rnacentral:lncRNA from 1 species
CUGUUCCAAGAACUGCAGGUCAAUCUACAAGUUCGGAAAACAAGUGGCUAAAAAGCUACAAGAUGUGAAGACUUUAAUCGGCGAGGGAGUUUUUGAGGCGGUGGCUACUGAGGUGGUGGCUGAGAGAGCCCCAGAACCUGUAGCAGAUAAAAGACCCACUGAGCCAACAAUAGUAGGCUUGCAAUCACAGCUUGAACAAGUUUGGAGAUGUCUUGUAGAAGAAUCAGUGGGAAUCAUUGGCCUAUAUGGUAUGGGCGGUGUUGGUAAAACCACACUAUUGACCCAUAUCAACAAUAAAUUUCUUGAGAGUCCCACAAACUUUGAUUGUGUGAUUUGGGUCGUAGUUUCAAAAGACCUGCGACUUGAAAAAAUUCAAGAAGAUAUUGGGAAGAAGAUAGGUCUAUCUGAUGAUUCAUGGAAGAAUAAAAGUUUUGACGAGAAAGCUGUGGACAUCCAGCGGAGAUUAGGAGAGAAGAGAUUUGUAUUGUUGUUAGAUGAUUUAUGGGAGCGGGUUGAUUUAACAGAAGUGGGCGUUCCACUUCCCAGCGCACAAAAUACUACCUCAAAAGUCGUAUUCACAACCCGUUCCAUUGGUGUUUGUGGUAGCAUGAGAGCUAGGCCGGUUAAAGUGGCAUGCCUAUCAGAAAAGCAAGCUUGGGAACUGUUCCGCGAAAAUGUUGGGGAAGAAACUCUUGAGAGUGAUCAUGAGAUCGUUGAGCUAGCCCAAACUGUGGCCAAAGAGUGUGGUGGUUUGCCACUCGCACUUAUUACUAUUGGUCGAGCUAUGGCCUACAGAAAGAAAGCGGAGCAGUGGAGACGUGCAAUUGAAGAGUUAAGAAGAUCAACUUCAGAGUUUGCAGGUUUGGGAAAAGAGGUGUAUCCUCUUUUAAAGUUUAGCUAUGAUAGUUUGCAGAAUGAUACAAUUAGAUCUUGUUUCUUGUAUUGUUGUUUAUAUUCUGAAGAUUAUGGCAUUCUUAAAUGGGACUUGAUUGAUUGUUGGAUUGGUGAGGGAUUUUUGGGGGAAUCUGACAGGUUUGGUGCAGAAAACCAAGGAUAUGACAUUUUGGACACUCUUGUUCGUGCAUGUUUAUUGGAAGAGGUGGAAGAUGAUAAAGUAAAAAUGCAUGACGUUAUUCGUGAUAUGGCUCUAUGGAUAACUUGUGAAAUUGAGAAGGAGAAGAGAAACUUUUUGGUUUGUGCAGGUGCGGGACUAAAGGAGGCACCGGAUGUUAAAAGAUGGGAAAAUGUGAGAAGAUUGUCAUUGAUGCAAAACCAAAUUGAACUCUGUCAGAGGGUUCCUAAAUGCCCUCAUCUCNNNNNNNNNNNNNNNNNNNNNNNNNNNNNNNNNNNNNNNNNNNNNNNNNNNNNNNNNNNNNNNNNNNNNNNNNNNNNNNNNNNNNNNNNNNNNNNNNNNNUGACGUUUUGAUUUUUGCAAGUCUACCCAAGUUAUCAUGCUCUCCAAAUUCUUUUGAGCUCAAAUAGGUUAAAAAGUUGUAUUCGAUCUCUUUUCCUCCCGUUGGCCGGAGAUGCAACGUCGAUUAUUGAUGCUACGGCUUUCGCAGAUCUAAACCACCUCAAUGAAUUAGGGAUUGAUAGGGCUGAGGAGUUGGAAGAAUUGAAGAUUGAUUAUGCGGAGAUAGUACGAAAAAGGCGGGAACCUUUUGUUUUCCGCAGCCUUCACCUUGUUGCUAUAUAUGAAUGCCACAAAUUGAAAGAUUUGACAUUCCUCGUUUUUGCUCCAAGCCUUAAGUCUCUUUCGCUAUACGGUUGCAAUGCUAUGGAAGAAAUAAUCAGCGUUGGAAAAUUUGAUGAGACUCCUGAGGUGAUGGGACAUAUAAGCCCUUUUGGAAAUCUCCAAACGCUUGAUCUAUCAAGAUUGCCAAUUUUGAAGAGCAUCUACUGGAAGCCAUUGCCUUUCACUCAUCUCAAAGAAAUGGCGGUGACACAUGGGUGUAAUCAGCUUAGAAAGCUUCCACUCGAUUCCAACAGUGCAAAAGAGCGUAAAUUUGUUAUUCGUGGAAGAGAAGACUGGUGGAACCGACUUCAAUGGGAGGAUGAAGCCACUCAAAUUGCUUUUCGUUCCUGUUUCCAACCUCAUUCCUGGUGAGUGCGUUUGUCUUUUAAAAGAAGAAUUUAAAAGAAAUUUAUUCUUGUCAUUUUCUUCUCUGUAUUUAUUUCAGUUUCUUUCUCUCUCUCUCUCUCUCUCUCUGUCUUCUGCAAAUCACAGUUAAAUGUUGAAUUAAUCGAAUUAAUGCUUCAUAAAAUUUGCCGGCACUGCCAUUACUUUUUUAAUUUCCUGUCAAAAGACGAGCGAGAAGAACAUAUAUAUGACUUAAACCAAUUGAUACUUUAUUUAUGUGCAUCGUAUGUAAUAAAUAUUAAGUAUACUUUAUUUUGCCCUGUUCUCUGUUUUUAUUUCAGUCUCUCUCUCUCUCUCUCUAAAACAUUAGAGUCAAACUAAUGCUCACAUAAAUUUCCCGUAAGAAUAUAUAUAUUAUUAGACUGGAAUGCACACCUCUAGAUUGAACAGAAUUAAAGCUGAGGAAUAAAUGACGCGAAAAAAUAUAAACAUAUAUACAAAAUCAUAGAUUAUAAAUCUUUUUUUUUUUGGUUUUAAGAUCAACAAUACUACAUAUCAUAAAUGGUAUCUUUAAAUACUCUUCCCUCAUGAAGAGAUUAAUUGAAAUACAACAUUGAUUUUAUGAUAAAAAAAAAUUUCUUAUAUUUUUUAGACAAGUUUGAGAAGUACAUUUAAAACUUUAUUGCAAUGCACACCUCUAUAUUUUUCUGUAUAGUAGCCCUCUUUACAGAAAAAGACGCGAAAGUUAAUUUAGAAAGAUAUAUUCUUGAUUAAUCCAUUUUCUGAAGUUUUUUUAUUUUGUAUGGUCAAUUAUACCUUCAUACUAGAAAUUUCUGAAGUUAUAAAUUAGUGCAACUUGACAAUUUUUACUGAUGAUAUCUUCUAUUUUUCCUUUUUUUUUUUUAACUCUCAUAGAAUGUUACUGUCAUUUUACUUACAAAUAGGUUUGAAUUUGAGCCCAUGAAACGAUAAUGAGGAAUAAAUGAGACUGAGGAUCUGCAAUAUGAUCUGCAAUAGUAGUUAAAAUAUCAUUGAUGACUUUUCUGNNNNNNNNNNNNNNNNNNNNNNNNNNNNNNNNNNNNNNNNNNNNNNNNNNNNNNNNNNNNNNNNNNNNNNNNNNNNNNNNNNNNNNNNNNNNNNNNNNNNAGUAUGUUAAGUAAAACAUAAUCAAUUAUUUGUGUUUUAUCUCUAAUUAGAACAUCAAUCAGUUCAGUACCUCACAAAUAAUUCGUAAUAUCUACAAAAUACUAUAAUGGCUACAAAAUAAAUCCUGCUUGCAAAUUGUCAAGGAUACCUAUCCGUUCGCUUCACAAGUCAUUUGAAUAAAUAUUGUUCACAUUCCUUACUAAAACAAUAAAACUCUGGAGGACGAUUUGUUAGCCUCAGUUUUCUGUCAGGUUCAUAUCACAUAUAUUUCACUUAUAUACAAGCUAAGAAUACAUAUGAUAAACAUUAGCUUACAAGAUAACUACAAGGAUAAUUACAAGACUAACGAUAACUACAAGGAUAAUUACAAGACUAACGAUAAGAAUAUUUUAAGUUUUAUCUUUAUCGUUAUCACUUACUCUGUCAAUUAUCCAAUGGUCCUCAACUUUAGUUUGAACAGUAUACAUGCCAUCACCAUUACCAAGAAUCAAGCAUGGAAGAGUCAUUCUAUAGAGUUAAUCGAAGCAAGGAAUGAUGUAUCAGAAAAUAUUUGGUGGAGAAUUCAGCACAAACAUAUUUCGGAUGAUCAGAAUCAAUAAAACCUGGUGGUUGCGCCAUAUAAACAUCUUCGGAAAGCUGGCCUUGAAGAAAGGCGUUAUUGAUAUCCAAUUGAUGAAGAGGCCAGCCAUGACUAACAUCAAUACUUAGAACAAGCCGUACUGUGGUGGGCUUAACAACUGGACUGAAAGUGUCAUAAUAGUCCACACCACGCCGUUGAUUGAACCCUUUGACAACAAGACGAGCUUUAAACCUGUCAACAGAACAGUUAGAAUGUCUUUUAAUACAAAAAUCCAUUUGCAGCCAACAAUAUUGGAAGGGAUGGGAGGUGGAACAAGCUUCCAUGUCCCGUUACGAACAAGAGCAUCAUACUCUUCUAACAUAGCUUGACGGUAGUGAGGAUUUUUGAUAACUUGCGUCACAAUUGUAGGUUCACAAUCAGAAGAAAGGCUGAAAUGAGCACGGAGGUUAAGUUUUUGUAACGGCUUGUGAAUCUUAUAUUUAGCUCCGGUAGUCAUAUCAUGAUGAUUUGUGUGGAGGUAGAAGUAGGUUGGGAGGAUUGCUGCGGAGAUGUUACCGGUAGAGAAGAAGGAGCAGUACACGGUGGCAACUCCAGAGGGCCCACAAUAGAUGGAGUAGGUGCCGACGAUGGAGUACUAGGAAAUGAAACAGAAGAAUUGGUGGAACACUUGCGUAAUUAGGAGUGGUAGAUGAGCUUGUAAUGAUUUGUAUGGAAAAACAAACUCUACAAAUUUAACGUGACGUGAAAUAAAAAUUUGAAAGGUGGAUGGGUCAAAACAUAAAUAAGCACUUUGAGAUAAAGGAAUAUCCUAGAAAAACACAAGGCUUAGAGGGUGGUUCGAGUUUAUGUGAUGAAACACAAACAUUCAAAAAUUUUAAGUUUAUAUUAAGAGUAAUGAUACAGCCACAAACUCUUGUACAAACUUAUUUUGUACAAACUGAUGUGGCAUGAUAAGAUUAGUUGAAUUGAAUAUCACUUGGCCCACAUGAUUUGUUUUUAUUAAUUUAUAUUUUCAUUCAACCAAUGAAAUCAUGCCACGUCAGUUUGUACAAAAUAAGUUUGUACAAGAGUUUGUGGCUGUAUCAUUACUCUUAUUAAUUAGGAGUGGUCCGCGGGACAUGUAGCUAUGGGGUUGUUGGAUGUGUUUUGGAUAUUUACAGUUAAGUUUGAGUUUAUAUCUCAACUUAAAAUUUGUAGUUUUCACUUGAAAAAAUUCAGUUAAAAAUUGAUUGGUAGAGUUGUGAAAAAGUUUAAAUUUUUAGUUCAACCCGAUUGCAUAUUUAAGAACAUCUCAAAUGAAUUGCUUACUGCUAUCAUCAUCGUUAUUGUAAGAGAUGGUUAAUUGAUAGACUAUGUGCCUGGGUCGAGCACUGNNNNNNNNNNNNNNNNNNNNNNNNNNNNNNNNNNNNNNNNNNNNNNNNNNNNNNNNNNNNNNNNNNNNNNNNNNNNNNNNNNNNNNNNNNNNNNNNNNNNNNNNNNNNNNNNNNNNNNNNNNNNNNNNNNNNNNNNNNNNNNNNNNNNNNNNNNNNNNNNNNNNNNNNNNNNNNNNNNNNNNNNNNNNNNNNNNNNNNNNNNNNNNNNNNNNNNNNNNNNNNNNNNNNNNNNNNNNNNNNNNNNNNNNNNNNNNNNNNNNNNNNNNNNNNNNNNNNNNNNNNNNNNNNNNNNNNNNNNNNNNNNNNNNNNNNNNNNNNNNNNNNNNNNNNNNNNNNNNNNNNNNNNNNNNNNNNNNNNNNNNNNNNNNNNNNNNNNNNNNNNNNNNNNNNNNNNNNNNNNNNNNNNNNNNNNNNNNNNNNNNNNNNNNNNNNNNNNNNNNNNNNNNNNNNNNNNNNNNNNNNNNNNNNNNNNNNNNNNNNNNNNNNNNNNNNNNNNNNNNNNNNNNNNNNNNNNNNNNNNNNNNNNNNNNNNNNNNNNNNNNNNNNNNNNNNNNNNNNNNNNNNNNNNNNNNNNNNNNNNNNNNNNNNNNNNNNNNNNNNNNNNNNNNNNNNNNNNNNNNNNNNNNNNNNNNNNNNNNNNNNNNNNNNNNNNNNNNNNNNNNNNNNNNNNNNNNNNNNNNNNNNNNNNNNNNNNNNNNNNNNNNNNNNNNNNNNNNNNNNNNNNNNNNNNNNNNNNNNNNNNNNNNNNNNNNNNNNNNNNNNNNNNNNNNNNNNNNNNNNNNNNNNNNNNNNNNNNNNNNNNNNNNNNNNNNNNNNNNNNNNNNNNNNNNNNNNNNNNNNNNNNNNNNNNNNNNNNNNNNNNNNNNNNNNNNNNNNNNNNNNNNNNNNNNNNNNNNNNNNNNNNNNNNNNNNNNNNNNNNNNNNNNNNNNNNNNNNNNNNNNNNNNNNNNNNNNNNNNNNNNNNNNNNNNNNNNNNNNNNNNNNNNNNNNNNNNNNNNNNNNNNNNNNNNNNNNNNNNNNNNNNNNNNNNNNNNNNNNNNNNNNNNNNNNNNNNNNNNNNNNNNNNNNNNNNNNNNNNNNNNNNNNNNNNNNNNNNNNNNNNNNNNNNNNNNNNNNNNNNNNNNNNNNNNNNNNNNNNNNNNNNNNNNNNNNNNNNNNNNNNNNNNNNNNNNNNNNNNNNNNNNNNNNNNNNNNNNNNNNNNNNNNNNNNNNNNNNNNNNNNNNNNNNNNNNNNNNNNNNNNNNNNNNNNNNNNNNNNNNNNNNNNNNNNNNNNNNNNNNNNNNNNNNNNNNNNNNNNNNNNNNNNNNNNNNNNNNNNNNNNNNNNNNNNNNNNNNNNNNNNNNNNNNNNNNNNNNNNNNNNNNNNNNNNNNNNNNNNNNNNNNNNNNNNNNNNNNNNNNNNNNNNNNNNNNNNNNNNNNNNNNNNNNNNNNNNNNNNNNNNNNNNNNNNNNNNNNNNNNNNNNNNNNNNNNNNNNNNNNNNNNNNNNNNNNNNNNNNNNNNNNNNNNNNNNNNNNNNNNNNNNNNNNNNNNNNNNNNNNNNNNNNNNNNNNNNNNNNNNNNNNNNNNNNNNNNNNNNNNNNNNNNNNNNNNNNNNNNNNNNNNNNNNNNNNNNNNNNNNNNNNNNNNNNNNNNNNNNNNNNNNNNNNNNNNNNNNNNNNNNNNNNNNNNNNNNNNNNNNNNNNNNNNNNNNNNNNNNNNNNNNNNNNNNNNNNNNNNNNNNNNNNNNNNNNNNNNNNNNNNNNNNNNNNNNNNNNNNNNNNNNNNNNNNNNNNNNNNNNNNNNNNNNNNNNNNNNNNNNNNNNNNNNNNNNNNNNNNNNNNNNNNNNNNNNNNNNNNNNNNNNNNNNNNNNNNNNNNNNNNNNNNNNNNNNNNNNNNNNNNNNNNNNNNNNNNNNNNNNNNNNNNNNNNNNNNNNNNNNNNNNNNNNNNNNNNNNNNNNNNNNNNNNNNNNNNNNNNNNNNNNNNNNNNNNNNNNNNNNNNNNNNNNNNNNNNNNNNNNNNNNNNNNNNNNNNNNNNNNNNNNNNNNNNNNNNNNNNNNNNNNNNNNNNNNNNNNNNNNNNNNNNNNNNNNNNNNNNNNNNNNNNNNNNNNNNNNNNNNNNNNNNNNNNNNNNNNNNNNNNNNNNNNNNNNNNNNNNNNNNNNNNNNNNNNNNNNNNNNNNNNNNNNNNNNNNNNNNNNNNNNNNNNNNNNNNNNNNNNNNNNNNNNNNNNNNNNNNNNNNNNNNNNNNNNNNNNNNNNNNNNNNNNNNNNNNNNNNNNNNNNNNNNNNNNNNNNNNNNNNNNNNNNNNNNNNNNNNNNNNNNNNNNNNNNNNNNNNNNNNNNNNNNNNNNNNNNNNNNNNNNNNNNNNNNNNNNNNNNNNNNNNNNNNNNNNNNNNNNNNNNNNNNNNNNNNNNNNNNNNNNNNNNNNNNNNNNNNNNNNNNNNNNNNNNNNNNNNNNNNNNNNNNNNNNNNNNNNNNNNNNNNNNNNNNNNNNNNNNNNNNNNNNNNNNNNNNNNNNNNNNNNNNNNNNNNNNNNNNNNNNNNNNNNNNNNNNNNNNNNNNNNNNNNNNNNNNNNNNNNNNNNNNNNNNNNNNNNNNNNNNNNNNNNNNNNNNNNNNNNNNNNNNNNNNNNNNNNNNNNNNNNNNNNNNNNNNNNNNNNNNNNNNNNNNNNNNNNNNNNNNNNNNNNNNNNNNNNNNNNNNNNNNNNNNNNNNNNNNNNNNNNNNNNNNNNNNNNNNNNNNNNNNNNNNNNNNNNNNNNNNNNNNNNNNNNNNNNNNNNNNNNNNNNNNNNNNNNNNNNNNNNNNNNNNNNNNNNNNNNNNNNNNNNNNNNNNNNNNNNNNNNNNNNNNNNNNNNNNNNNNNNNNNNNNNNNNNNNNNNNNNNNNNNNNNNNNNNNNNNNNNNNNNNNNNNNNNNNNNNNNNNNNNNNNNNNNNNNNNNNNNNNNNNNNNAUCAUCAUACCUGUGCACUGGAUUUUUAAUAUCAAUGCCACUGCAGCUGUGAUCAAGAAUAUAAGAGCGUUUAACAUCUUUUCUCCAUCGAGAAAGAAUGUACUGAGAUGGGAUCUCCUGCAUGCCACUCUGGCUUAGAACACAAAGAAUGUGUCUGCAUAAAUAUCCUCUGAAAUUGAACAACCCACAAACACAAAGCACCUCUAAGUCGGAGGCAUUGUACAAAACAAUGAAAGCCCUUGAAUCUUUCUCAUUGCUACCAACCUCGAAUUCUUCCUUCACUAUGUAUGUUAUAGGUCCAUCAGCACUAACAUGUUUUGUGCUAUAGCAAGAGUACAUAGCCUCCACCUCCGUCUGAAACUUCCUUAACAUUUCAUUUGUGUACAGUUUUGAGAGUUGAAAUUCAUAGUAGCAUCUUGGUUUCUGGAUACAACUUGAAUUUCUUGAAUCCAUAUCUGCCAAGGCUUCCAGUUGAUAAUUCGCCCGCAGUGCUUGAUCAUACUUGUCUAAGAAUUCUUUCAAAGGAGUAUUCGUAUCAAGAUAUCCUUCAAAGUAUAAAGUAGAAACCUCAUUCUGCAGGAACGAAAACACUCCUGAUAAAUAAGCUUCCUUCAAAUAAACAGGAGCCCACCCUUUACGAUCUUCAUAUAACGUUUGAAUCCAUCCGUGAUCCUUUAUUCCAUGACGUUGAAUCAUGUCUUCCCAAGCUGCUUCAAAUUCCUCAGGCCUGAGACAGUGAUAAAUUGCUCUAUGUAAUGCAGCUCUAAUAGCUUCUUAUUCAAACAAUCCUUCGAGUUUCUCUGGAAUUUUUUGCAUGAUGCAUGACAAUGAAAAGCAAUGAUAAGCUCUUGGGAAAACAUUGCCAACAGCAAUUUGCAAGAUUCUACAUUGGUCAGUGAUGAUUGUUUGUAGAGAGCGUCCUAACAUACAUGUAAGCCACGCCCUAAACAGCCAUGUAUAUGAUUCUAUAGUCUCACUGGCAAGUAAACCACAACCCAACAACACUGAUUGUCCAUGAUGAUUCACCCCAAUGAACGAAACCAGUGGCACAUUAUAUCUUUCUGUCAAGCACGUAGUAUCAAUUAAGACUACAUCACCAAAGUACCUAUACGCAACUCUUGACCUGGUAUCAGUCCAGAGCAGGUUUCUCAGGCAUCCCUUUUCAUUUAGAUCCACCACAUUAAAAAAGUUUGGAUCUGUCAACUGCCAACGACAAAAGAAACUCUGGAUAGCUUGUGCAUCUCCUGGUUUAAGCUUCAAUUGAUUUGAGCUAUUAACAUUAUUUUCAAAUACUCCACUAACAUCUACAUUACCAUUUCCCUUGGUAUCAAUGAUAAGAGUUCGAAACAGUCUAACUUUUUGAACUUCUUCAGCACCAUCUAAGUGCAACAUUCUUUUGGUUCCAAUACCUAUGUGCUUAUGUGACUUGUAAAACUUUCCGCUUCUUGGGCUUAACAAGUGGUUAUGGUCAAGCUCAACUUCAAUGAUUCUCCACCUUUUGGUUUCCAUCAACCUAAACUUUAUCAUUGCUGGACAGCCAGUUCUUGUUUCUGGUCUUGGGCGGUUUGCCUCGCUUUUCUUCUUGAAGCCUGCACUACUACAGCUCAGCUUUCCUCUAUACUUUUCUCUACUCUUUCGGUACCAUGUAUUGCUAACUCUAACACCAAAACCCUGUUCCUUGGCAUAGCAAUUGUAAAAGUAAUAAACGUCAUCAUAUGUCUCAAACUCCAUUCCAACAGCAGGAGGCAAUGGAUUUUGGAUUAUCCCAGUUUGUCCAACAUAUUCAGUAAUUGCACAAUCUCCUACGACCUCAAAAUCAUCAGCAUCAUCAUCACCUACUGGUUCAGUAUUCAGAGAAACUUCAUCCAUCUACAAUAGAUGUUUAAUGAAGUGAGCUUUAAGGAGAAAAAGCAAAAUCAGUAAGGAACGAUAAUAUAACCAUACAGUUACUUUCACAAAGCGUCGUAUUUCAUCACUGCUUUACCAACAUGCAACUGCCAGAGAACAAACAGACAUGUCAUAGACGCUUGAAUUAAGUAUUGGUACAAAUGAGCACACAUCAUGUGGGACAAAAUUUCAGUCACCAAACCCAAUACGACUUUUUACAUCAUACCAAGGAACAGAUUAAACCCGACACCUUCUUUUAAACCAUACCAAGGAACAGAUUAAAUCAUCAAUGAAAACUUAAUCACAUAAUAACUUAACCAGACAAAUGAAGGGCCUGAAACAGCAUAAAACUUGAAUCUGAUUAUGAUAAUUGUUGAGUCCUUGUAUCUACAGCUUUCCUUCAAUGAUAAGACAAUGAACAUAAACGAGACACAAAAAAUUUAUUUUAAACUGACAGCCCAUGAUAUAAAUCAAACAAAAUCAACUCCUUUUUUUACACAUCACAUCUCAUAUUCAUUUACAUUGAAACAAAAAAAGGAAGCGGGAGUGGGAAAAAAACAACAGCAGAGGAACUUAUUUCUAUAAGGUUUACGAAAUAAGGAAUCUAUUAAAACCCAAAACUUGAGGUCACCCCAAAGAAUUUGGUUCUCAUUAUUUUUUUCUUCAUUUUUCACCAAUUGAUGAACUUAAAAUACAAUCAUAAAUGAUAAAACCCCAUCUCAAUCUUUUUGAACUAGAGCUAAAGCAAAGCAUUUUAAGAUGUUUCAUCAUUUUUUUUUAAAAAAAAACCUCAAUAGUACAAUGUUUUUCAAUGUUAAAUGCACAAUUCAAUCUUCUCCUAAUUUACUCUAAUAAUCUCUUAAUUAAGGAAGAUUAAGCUUUAGUUGUAAGCUAAAACAAAUUUCUUAAAUCAAGCCCCAAUGCUUUAUGCUCUUCAACAAGGGCUCAUAAAUGAUAAAACUACUUCUACAAAGAUACCCAUUUUCUAAAUUAAUUUCAAAAACUGAAAUCAAACUCCUGAAACGUAACGAGCAUUAAUAUAAUCAAACCCGAACAAGAAUUGAAAAAUGACACAUAAACUCGUUUACACAUUUCGACAGACACUUUGCAAUCAAUGGGCAAAAAAUUAAUGGAGAAGAUAAAAUUCAAACGAAACAUGCCUUACAUUGAUAAAUUAGAAGGGCCAAAGAAAUUUUAGUACGAUAUGGGAUCAGGGUCUUGCCACGGUGAUGUUAUUUGUGAUGUUCGAGCGACUCAGCAACCUUCGAGGUUGAAAAUUUGAUUGACCAAAAGCUUCCCGUUCGUUGAUUCUCUAAUAGCAGAAACAAGACUGGCAGUAUACACAAGAAUGUGUUCGAUGAAUAUCAAAAUCUCAAAAACCUUUUGUUUUUCAUUUUUUUGGAAAAAACCAUUGAGAUCCUUACUAUUCUUUCUUAUAUAUUAAACAUGCAAAUAUACACACUAAUUUAGAUGUGUGAAUAACAAAUAUGGAACAACACAUGCAAAGUCAUCUGUAUAAUUGAAGUUGCUCCAAUGGUUACUGUUCAUUUAUUUUUAUUUAUGAAUUUUUUUGUAAAAUUUAAGAAAUAUGUAGAAAUGUUGCCAGCAAUGAUUUUGGAACUUUGCAUAAUAUUUUUAUCAUUAUUGUUUUUUGUAUUAAGAAAUCCGAGGCGGUGAUUAGACGUAUGUUGCAACAAUUAAGAAAUUUCUUAUUGGAAAUAAUUUGGUAGGUUGCAACAAUCAGAGAAUCAUUUUCCUGUCAGUUAAUCAAUCAAUAAUAAAUUUCAAAUUGCAGAAAAUAAAAUAAUACUGUAGCACUUAGAAUCAUCUUUUCUAUCUCUUUCAAUUGUGGCAAUCAUUUGUAACAAAUAAAUCAAUUUGAUGCACAUCAUUUCCCCAAUUCAAAGUUCAAGUCACUGCCCAAUUCAAAGUUCAAGAACUGCAAAUGAAGCCACAGCCGUGGGAUAGAAGCUGCUACAAUGCUGCGAGUUGUGGAGACUUUAAUGGGUGAAGGAUCAUUUGAAUUGGUGGGUGAGAGGGUGCCAGAAGAUGCAGCAGAGGAGAUAAAUUGUGAGCCAACAAUAAUGGGCAUGUUGUCGACUUUUGAGAAAGCCUGGAGAUGCCUUGAAGAAGAAUCGGUUGGAAUUAUUGGCCUAUAUGUCAAUGGGGGAGUUGGAAAAUAUUUACUCAAAUCAACAAGUUCCUUGAUAGUCCAAAUAAUUUUGAUGUUGCGAUCUGGGUGGUUGUCUGCCAAGAUUUGCAACCCCAGAAGUUUCGGGGAAAAGUUUGGGAAAAAAAAAGGCUUGUUCGAUGAGUCAUGGAAGAACUGAAGUUUUCAAGAGAGAGCACACGAAGUUUGUAUUACUGAUGGAUGAUAUAUGGGAGCAGGUUGAUUUAAUUAAAAUUGGUGUCCCUCUUCCAAGCACAAAAAUUACUUUCAAGAUAAUCUUCACAACUCCUUCUAUUGACAUUUGUGGCCUCAUGGAAGCUCACAACAAGAUUAAAGUGGAGUGUUUAAAUGACGAAGAAGCAUGGGAAUUAUUCUGCAAGAAGGUUAGAGAAGAUGUGGCGACUCUGUCCAAGUGCUAAGGAGCUCAACCUCAGAAUUUCUAGGUACGGAAAAAUAAGUAUAUCCUCUUUUGAAAUUCAGUUAUGAUAAUUUACGUAGCGAUAAAAUUAGAUCGAGUCUGUUAUACUGUAGUUUGUUUCCGGAAGACUUUCCAAUUAGCAAAAUGGAAUUGAUACAUUGUUGGAUAAGCGAGGGCCUUUUGGAUGAAACUAAUAGUUCUGAGAUAUGAAAUCAAGGAUACUACAUUAUUGGUGUUCUUGUUCCUUUAUGUUUAUUGGAAGAAGAGGCUCCACUUUAUGUAAAAGUGCAUGAUGUGAUACGCGAUAUGCUUCUGUGGAUAGCAUGUGAAGUUUUUUUUUGAUAGGGAUAGCAUGUGAAGUUGAGAAGGAGAAAGAGAAUUUUUUGGUUCGUGCAGGUGCAAGGAUUAACUGAAGUACCAGACAUUUGGAAAUGGGAAGGGUUGAGAAGGGUGUCUUUGAUGAGCAACAAAACUGAGAAGGUAUCAGAAAUUCCUUCAUCUCACGAUCCACUAACUUUGUUGCUUCAACAUAAUUAUUUAGAGAUGAUCAAUAAUGACUUCUUUCAAUCUAUGCAUUCCCUAAGAGUUUUGAACUUGUCAUGUAAUCAUUCUCUAACUGAUAAUUUCAAAGUUAGUUUCCCUACAACAUCUUAAUUUAUCAAUGACUAACAUACGAGAGUUGCCGAAUGAGUUAAAGUUUGUAGUGAAUCUAAAGUUUUUGAAAUUGGAGUAUGCACGGUUUCUUCAUUCAAUUCCAGGGCAAGUGAUAUCCAGUUUUACGAUGUUACAAGUUUUGAAGAUGUUUGGUUGUGGGAGGUCAUCUUCUGAUCAUGAGCCACACCAGAAGAUAGAGUUUUAUUUGAAGGCUGUAAACUUUUGAUUGUGGAGUUGUUUGGUUUGAGAGACAUUUAGAUGUGUCGACCAUCAUCCUAACAAGUUCCCAUGCUCUGAAAAGAUUUUUGAGCUCCAACAAACUUCAAAGUCGUACUCAAUCUCUCUAUCCUAAAUGCUUUGAUAAAAAUUUAAUUUAAUUCAAUCCAACUAAACUUAUCAAACAUGAGAAAAAAAUUUAAUUCUAAAAUUAGUCCAAUUCCAUAUUUAAUCCUAGCAUUCAAAUAUAGCCCAAGUUGUUUGCUUAAAGAAGCUACCAAAUUUGAAGAGCGUUUACGGGAAGGCCUUGCGUUUCCCAGAUGUAUGUAGAUUUUUUGUAUCUAAAUGCCCAGAACUUAAGAAGCUGACGCUGGAUUUUGAAAGGGCGGGCCAAGGUAAAAUUCUUAUCAAGGGAAAGGAAAAUCGGUGGGAACAACUUCAAUGGGAGGAUCAAGCAACUCAGGAUGCAUUGCUUCUGUUUUUCAAAUCAACUGACAAGUGAUUGAAGGGGGCAUCAUCAACAUCAUCAGCCUGGAUGGGGAGAUUCUGGAGCAGAUCUGUAGGGUUUGAAUCUGCAUCAUCAACAUCAUCAGGGUCUGUAUUUCUAUUGCUGGUCUUAAUGCUUGCUUACUGUUGCUUGACAAAGUGAGCCAGUUUUUUGUUUAUUAAAUUUUGUCUUGAAGAGACAGUCACAAAGUAUUUUUCUUAGUUGUUCUAUAUGAGAGUGAUGUGAAUCAAUGUUUCAAUUAUAUAUUCUGUGGUCAUUUUGAAUUUUGUUUAGAGAUGCAAACUUAGAAUAUGGAAAAGUUCACCGGCAAACAUUUUGUAAAAGGUUCCAACUGAAAUAGGGAAUGCACUUACUGCUAAGGACAUUUGGUGGCCAGCUAAUGCAUUCAUUUUAUAUCCAUUCAUCAUUUUAAUUAUUGAAAACAAGUGGCUCAUCGCUUUUACUUUAGGUAAAAUUCAGAUAAUCUCUAUUAUGAAAUGAUAAUAUUCUAUUAAAUUAUUAUAAACCUCAGCCAAUCUUAAUUUUAUUUAAAAGAUAAAAGAAAUAUAGGUUAUGUUGGUGACUUUUUUCUUAUCUUUUUAAUAAAAAUAAAAUAAAAUGAUGUUUAUAAUUGUUUAAAAUACUUUAAAGAUUGUUAUUUUAUGAGAGAGUAAUAUUUUACUUUUUUAUUGUGAAAGGCUAAAAAGGACAAAGCAAGUGUCCCUGGUUUUUAUUUUAUUUGAAAUUGGUCAUCUCGUAUACUUUACAUUUCAACACUACAAUUUUUUUUGUUAUAUUUUUAUUAUUUUUUUCUUUUUUACACAUGCACGUGAAUUUCUUUUCUUUAAGCUCCUGAAUAUUUAAGACAAAUCAUGGAAGAGAUGAAAAUAUAACAAGAUGAUCAAAAUACGUAACAAAAAAUUUACAAGUGAAACAUACGUUAGAGUCGAAGUAAAACUCUGAAAAUAGAGAUAUUGAUUAAUUUAGAAGAGAUGCAAGCAAAAGAUAUUCUAAAAAAGAAGAAAAGCAAUCUGUCACUUUCGAGGGCAAACUUGUUAGUCUCAAAAAGGUACAUUUUGUUGUUGUGCAUUAGUUGGAGAAGUCAAGCCUAGUGAAAAAUGUUAUGAAAGAGCAAAUGAUAUUUCUGACAGCUUUAUUUGAUUAUGUAUUCAUUUAAUGGAUGUAUUGUUAGAAGAUAUCUAAGUGCAUUAGUUUAUCGGUGUCUGUCGAUGUGCUUUUAGUGAUUUUUCCAGCUGUUUGCUGUAAAAGAUGAUUGUAAAUUGAAAUGAACUUGAUGUUGUAAUAUUUUCUCUUUAGUGGAAUCUCCAUUGUGUUGUCAAUAAUUUUGGUCAAAAUUAUUGUUAUUAUUUCUUACUAGAGGUAAAUUUUUUUGUUAAACCUCAUUAACACAAUUCUUAAUUAGAAGUAUAGGUUAGUGUCGGUGCAGGAUUUGCAGCACCAAAUCCUGCCUAGCUACGUGUCAAAAGUGCAAAAUAAAUGAAGAGAAAGCACAAAUACAUGACUUGGAUUAGGAUAGAAGGAAAUUUAAAUCUUAGAGAAAAGGACAGCUAUAUCCCAAUAUUUGAAAAAAUUGUCAUAUAGAUUUUUAAGAUUUCAAUAAGGGACGGAGAUCUUCUUUUGAUAAAUAAUAUCUUUUAGCUCUCUCAAGUAAAAAAAAAUUAAAUUAAAUAUUUUAUAAUAAAUAAAAAUAUAAUAUUAAAAUAUACGUGAUAAUAUAUACAUUUUAAAUAAUUUCAAUCUAAAAAAAUAGUUAUGUUUUACAGGAUCCACCUAUGUUACAAUAGUGGUAUAGUACCACAGUUUUUGUUCUUAUCCAAUGUAAUAAUUGGAUGAUUUAGAGCUUAAUCUAUCGGCUUAAAUUAUUUUUCUGAAUAUUUGAAGCAACAACUUGCAACCGUUGGAGCCGGUUGCAUAUUAAUUUAAUAUCAUUUGGGGAAGCGUACGGUCAGGAAGUUUCUUAGUAUGCCAACAAUGGAAUUUGAUUUCAUCUCAAAUCGAUCUGCAGGCAGCAAUUGGGAAAUUACACUCACGAUCUUCCUCUUCUUCACUUCCUCUCUACUCUUCACUUUUCUCACUCUCGCGAUGUUUACAGCAUGACAAAUACAAUUACAAACCAGGAAAUGCCAUUAACAAUUUUCAUUUGUCUUAGUCCGUUUUUUUUUUUUUUUUUUCUAGUAGAAAGCCAAAAAAACAAAAAAGAAAACGGGUGGGAGGUUGGGGCGCCGUGAUGAGAUGGUUUUGAGUUUUUGACGGAAUGUUUGUUUUUGUGAUUCAUUUAGGGUUUGAAUUCAGGCUUGUACGAACUCGGAUCUAUUCGAGAUCCGUAUUGGCGCUGAAAUCAGAUCCUUUGAAGCCUUGGUUUGAAUUCAACCUUGAGAACUCGAAGCUUGUUAGAAUCUUCAUUGAUCUCUCCAGAAAUUACACGGAUCUUAUUACUAAACCCUACAUAUCGGGCUGCAAUGGAGUCCGAUUCUCUCACAAUUAAUGAAUCAAUAUUGAGACAGUUCGAAAAGGAAGUAAAAAAGAGAAUCAACUUGACUGGCUAUAUAAUUGCGGAGGCCAAAGAGUCUUUUGAUAAUCAAUUGAAGAUUUAGAAGUUAAAAGACACUAUUUUUACUAUGAAUGAACAAUUGACUAAGGCGAAAAAGCAAGGAGCAUUUUUGAGUUUGAUUGCUGCGAAAUCGAUGCCUUAGAGUUUGCAUUGUUUGGCCAUGAGGUUGAUGAAAGAGCGAAUUGUUCAUCCGGAGAACUAUAAUGAAGAAGGGAAGCCCACACAUGCAGAAUUCGAGGAUCCCAAACUUUAUCAUAAUGCUAUUUUUUCUAGGUAAUAUGCUUGCAGCUUCGGUGGUGGUGAUUGGUGAAUUUAGCUGUUAAGAACUCGAAGGAGCCUUGGAAACAUGUGUUUCUUGUUGUGAUGGAUCAAAUGAAUCUCGGGGCAAUACAGGUUAUGUUGAAAUUUAAGGAUUAUAAUGGAGCACAUUUAGGCACGAAGGCUGUUGGGGAUUAUAAGUUUUUGAAUUCUCACAUGUCCCUGUGUUAAGGCAGCCGGCGUUUGCUAAUUUGCAAAGGUUUUAGUUCGGGAAGUAGCUUGAGAAUGCUACCAAAGAUGCUACUAACCUGAAGUUUAGGAAUCCCAAUUACUUGUUGAUACUGUAUCAUUUGAGGUUCUGGAUAAGAUUUCAAUGAUGGCCGCUUAAAACAAAUAAAAAAAAGAACUUGUACUGUAUUGGAUCUUUACUUAUUUGAUAUAGUUUUCCGCAAUCUCUCUAUGCAACCGGUUACUUUAAUUAUCCACUAACUCAUCUCAACCGUUUGAUGAACUCACUUUAUAUCCAACGAAAGUUUUAAAUGAAGACAAAAAGUGUGGUAUGUUGCAAUUGUUGCAACAUAUGUGAGUCCUGUUUUACAAUCUAUUUAACAUAUUUUAUUAAAUUAAUAUAUUUCUAUGAUAUAGGAACAUAAUAUUAAAAUAAAUUUACAAAAAUUUAAAGAAUUUUGAAUGUAAAACAAUUUCAAUAUAUUAAUAGUGAGAUUUUUUUAUUAUUAUAAAAAUUAUUUAACCCAUAGAUUUUUUAAAAUCUUUACAAUAAGUAUAAAUAUAUUAUCUUCAUUUUAAAAUAUUUAAAUAUUAUUAACCUAUAAUUAGGUUUGCAUUUAUUAGAAAAUUUUAAAGUCAAAUAUAUUGCACUUUUGCAUUAUUAGAAUCAUCACAGAGAAAGGAACAUAUAUAUUGUAUAGCUUUAGAAAUUGGUUUCUUUUACGUCUGGAAACAGAGAUGAUGAUUAUUAUAAGGAUGAAAAAAAAAGAUAAAGAAUAUUAAUGAUUAAUGAAACCUUUAUGCAAAUUGAUUUUAGUAGGGAAAGAGUCAGAUGAAUGGCUUCUUUUACAGCUAAAAACAUAGAUGAUGAUUAUUAUAAGGUUGAAAAAAAAAGAUAAAGAAUAUUAAUUAUUAAUGGAAUCUCUAUGCAAAUUGAUUUUAUAGGAAAAAAGCGAGCUAAAUGAUUUAGACAUUCAUAGUGUAUUUAUUUUUUGAAUUGGUGAAUAAGAAUUAUUGACAACGCUAACUUCAUCUUCACCGUUGGCUAUCCAAUAGCGGCAAUUGUCGCCGAUAAUGAUAUCUCCAAUGAUGAUGACAAUUUUUUUUAUUAUUAUUAUUGGUGGCCCCUUGGAAAGUUAACUGCAAGUGCCAAUCAGAGAAAAGUCGUCAUGCACAAUCCUCAAUCGGACCAAUCUACAUUACAGAUUCUGUAACGUACACACCAAAUGGGAAGCAGCACACGUGUUCUGAGGAGAGAGAAAAACCGUGCAAAUGCAGGCAAUAGGAGUUGGCUACAGUUGGAUCUGUAAGUUACAGAAUCUGUAACUUAGCCAACUCCCUCAAUGAUCACUAUUGUUUCCGAUAUUUAUAAAUUGGUGGCCCCUUGGAAAUUUAACUGGAAGUUUGCAAGUGCCAAUCAGGAAAAAAUCGUCAUUCGUUGUUUUUUUUUUUUCUGCAUUCCCUUUCAUGUUCUUAAUAAUUGAAGACAGGUUGUUCAUAACAUGUAUACUUUUCAAAUGUGGAGCCGCAGUUAAUGUUGCUAUUUUAAUUUGGGAUUAAAUUAGGGGAACACUAACUUUUAUAUUUAUCUAAACUCCUUAAAUUUAAGACAGAUUAUGGCGUAAAUAAGAAUAUAAUAAUAACAAAGGAAUUAAAAAGUAUAGUGAAGAUCUUGCAGAAAUAUAAAUAUUAGCGUUGAAUUAAAUAACACAGAACACAUGAAUUGAAUAGUGAUUAUCAAGACGGUGUUACUUGCACUCCUAUUUAUAGAAAAUCUUGGUUCUGUUCCAUUAGAUUUUUUAUCUUCAAAAUCUUGCAAAGUUUUGACAACCCAAAGGCUCAGUUUGCUUGUUCUAUAUUUGUAUGAUAUGAAUUCAAAUUUUUGUGUUUUGUUUUUCUUAAUUCUGAACACGGAUUCUUCUCUUCUCGUGCAAACCAGAAAGAAAUGUUGUCUUACAAAAAAAGGGGAAUAACUUCAUGAGAACAAAAAUUCAGAAAAAUAAUAUAAAGUUUAUAUUUAGACUUUUGAGGUAUAUUUUAACUUUCAACAAUGAGUUAAAGAAAAUAAAUAUUUUAAAAGAAAAUAAUAAAUAAAGUAAAUAAAAGUUGGAAAAAUGACACAUACACCCCCAACGUAUAAUAAAGGGACACAAAACUCCCUAAUAUUUGAAAAAAGACAUACAGACCCCAUUUAAUAACCGAAACAAUUUCGUUAAAUCAGUCAAAUGUUAAUAUCGUAAUUGCAUAUUAAUAACAAAUGAAUUGACCAAAAACCCACACACGAACAAAACGCUUAACACACAUGCACUGACACUGCUCCUCCCAGAUCUUGACAUAACGGACACACUCACACGAUUCGCCGGAAACUGCUGGAAUUGCUGGGGUUGCCGGAAGUCGCUGGAACUGUGGGGCCUGCCGGAAGUCCAGCCGCUGGAACUGCUCGCGCUGCCGCAAGCCGCUGGAUCUGCUCGCGCUGCCGCAAGUCGCUGGAUCUGCUCGCGCUGCCGCUGCUGCGUCGAUCGAGACCGCGUCUGGCUGCUGCUCGUUCGUGUGGCUGCUGCUCGUGCGUCGUUGCUGCUCGUUCGCGUGGAUGCUGCUCGUUCAUCUUCAAUCCACGGUUCACUUCUCUUAAACUAGUUUUUCCCUCUUUAAUUUUCAUUUUUUUACUAAAUUAACAAAUUAACAACUUGAGCGGGGAAGUUCCUCCUUCCCAAGGUCAAUUUGCUACCUUUGAUUCAGACUCUUAUAUCGGCAACGAAUAUCUGUGUGGACUUCCACUUCGAAAAUUGUGUGCGGGGAAUGUUUCAACACAUGUAUACGAACGUGGAUCAGGUGGAAAACAUGAACUGAGCUGGCUUAAUGUUAGCUUGUCACUAGGAGUUAUAUUGCUGAUUUUUGGAGUGUAAUUGCUCUUUUUUCUCAAUAAAAGAUGGUCAACAAUGUUGUGAAACUUAAUAACUAAUUUUAUUUAUUUUUAUUCUUGAAUAAUGGAUUAAAAUUAUUUGGCUUGAAGAGAAUUUGAUAAAAAAUUAUUAAUAAUUUUAUUAUAUGGACAAAAAAUUUAAUAGAGAAAUUGGAUAAUGAGGAUAUAUUCGUAAUUUUAUUAAUAAUAUAUGGGUAAAAUAGAUAAUGAAUAAUUUUUUUUAUAUGCUAGAAGGAUAUAACAAUAAUUACACGUUAAAAUUAUAAUUUCCGUUAAAACUAACGGUUUCGUUAAGAAAUUGGGGUCUGUAUGUCUUUUUUCAAACAUUAGGGGGUUUUAUGUUCCUUUAUUAAACGUUGGGGGUGUCUGUGUCCUUUUCCCAUAAAAGUUUAGAGAUUCAAAUUUUUUGUAUUGGAUUCUUUAAUUCAAAUACCUCUUAAUUAAUUAACACUUAAAAGAGAGUUCACUAUUAUAAUUUUAAGCUUUUUGAUUUAUUAUUGAUAUACAAAUUAGGAGUUUAAGCUUACUUUUUUAUUUUUCCAUUUUUUUUCAAAUUUGAAAUUAUUAUUUAAAUUUAUAAUUUUUUUUAAAAAAUAAAGGGCUUGAACCUGGCUUGGUAUUGUUUCCUAAACCCUUAUCCGGCCCGGCUUUUUUGCCAACCCCAAUGAUGAUGAUGAUGAUUAUUUUAUUAUUAUUAUUAAUGAUGAAAAAUAUUAUAAUUAAUUAAUAUAUUAUUGUAUUGUUAUUAAGAUUAACAAUAAUUAUUAAUAAUAACAAUUUUUUGAAUAAAAAUAAUCACAAUAAUUAAAAUAUAAAUUAAUAAUUAUAACAAUAGUUAAUUAAUGUCUUUUUAGCAAUUUGUAAUAAUUUAACUCAUUUUGAUUUCGAUUAUUAUAGUUAAGUAAACAACUUAUUAUAAUUCUCAUUCUCCAUUUUGAUUUCAGCUUAUUUCGAUUUCAGUCCAUUCCGAUUUUCAUUUAAUAAACGUUCCAUUAAUGCUAUAGUAAUAUUUCAUAUAGAAAAAAAUAAAAACUACAACUAAGGUUAAGGGAAAGGACUUAAAAAUUCUCUUUGGUCAUAAUACAUUUUUUCCUAAUUAACUUAAAGAGUUUGAAUCUAAUAUUUUAUAAUAAAUAAAAAUAUAUUUCAAAAGUAAAUAUAAUAUAUCUAUUUUAAACUAAUCUCAAUAUUUAAAAUAUAUUUAAUAUUUUACAAUCUAUUAGACAUAUUUUAUUAUAUUAAAAUAAAUUUUACAAUAAAUAUGAACGUACUGUUAAAAUGAAUAUAUAAAAAACUUAGAGUAUUUUGAAUAUUAUAUAAAAUAAUUUUAGUAUAAUACGUGAGAUAUAUUUUAUUAAUGUAAACUGCUAUUUAAUCUAAAGAUUCAUUUAUGAUAAAUUAAUAAUUAUAUUUUUAAAAUUAUUUUAAAUAUUAAUUUUUAAUAUUUUUAAUUUAUUAGACAGAUAAAAUUAUUUAUAUUAUUUUGUAUUUGUUAAAAAAAUUUAAAGUCAAUUUUUUUAAUUACUAUUCAAAGGAUAUAAUAAUUAAAAAAAUCUUAGCGUUUUUAUUAAAAAUUUAAAAAUUUACAUGCUAUUUCUAUAAAUAUUUAAGGUAUAUAUGAACUUCGGUGGAGAAGCUUCAUUUAAUAUUAUUGAUUUAAAUAAUAUCUCAAUUAAAAAUGUACAGAGAACAAAUUUCGGUGGGUAUUUCAGUCUUUUUAGCAAUUAUCAUGGUUAGCCCUUGGCCUUGAAACGUCUGUCAGAAAGGUUUCAAAUGCUUUAAUUGUUCUUAUAAAAAAAAAAAAAAAAAUGCAUUAAUUGUUUUUUCAUUUUAACGUCAGCGGCCUUGAAAGUGCUUUAUCUUAUAACAAAUUAAUUAAUGCUGACGAGAAAAUAUCUCUUCCACAGCCCACAGCAGCUUCUGUUAAUCAAACUCAACCAAUUUUCUCUCUUAACAAAAUUCCAAAGAUGGGUAGCGUUUUUCAGAUCACAUGCGACGGCGCUUUUUUCAAUCGUUGCUUGGAUUGCUUUCUUGGAAAAGCAGCAUACAUAAGCAACAUCCAAGAUAAUCUUGCAGCCUUGGAGACUGAACUGGGAAGACUAAUCGCAGCAAAGAACGAUGUGAUGAUGAUGGUUGUCAAUGCUGAACGGCAACAAAUGAAAAGGCUAGGCCAAGUGGAAUGGUGGGUGUCGAGGGUGGAUGCUGUUAAAAUUGAAGCUGAUGAGCUUAUCAGAGACGGCUCUCAAGAAAUUGACAAAUUAUGUGUUGGAGGCUACUGUUCUAAGAACUGCACGUCAAGCUACAAGUUCGGGAAACAAGUGGCUAAAAAGCUACGAGAUGUGGAGACUUUAAUCGCCGAAGGAGUUUUUGAGGCGGUGGCUAUCGAGGUGGUGCCUGAGAGAGCUCCGGAGCCUGUAGCAGAUGAAAGACCUACCGAGCGAACAGUAGUAGGCUUGCAAUCACAACUUGAACAAGUCUGGAGAUGUCUUGCAGAAGAAUCAGCGGGAAUCAUUGGCCUAUAUGGUAUGGGCGGUGUUGGUAAAACUACACUAUUGACCCAUAUCAACAAUAAAUUUCUCGAGAGUCCAACCAACUUUGAUUGUGUGAUUUGGGUAGUAGUUUCAAAAGACCUGCGACUUGAAAAAAUUCAAGAAAAUAUUGGGAAAAAGAUCGGUUUGGUUGAUGAUUCAUGGAAGAGUAAAAGUGUAGAGGAGAAAGCUCUCGACAUCUUCCGGAGUUUAAGAGAGAAGAGAAUUGUAUUGCUGUUAGAUGAUAUAUGGGAGCGGGUUGAUUUAACAAAAGUGGGCGUUCCACUUCCAGGACCACAAAAUACUACCUCAAAAGUCGUAUUCACAACCCGUUUGAUCGAUGUUUGUGGUAGCAUGGAAGCUGACAGGAAGUUCAAAGUAGCAUGCUUAUCAGAAAAGGAUGCUUGGGAACUGUUUCGAAAAAAAGUUGGGGAAGAAACUCUUGGAAGUCAUCAUGAUAUCGUUGAGCUAGCCCAGACUGUGGCCAAAGAGUGUGGUGGUUUGCCACUCGCACUUAUUACUAUUGGUCGAGCUAUGGCCUUCAAAAAGACAGCCGAGGAGUGGAGUCAUGCAAUUGAUGUGCUAAGAACAUCAGCUUCUGAGUUUGCAGGUUUGGGAAAAGAGGUGUAUCCUCUUUUAAAGUUUAGCUAUGAUAGUUUGCAGAAUGAGACUAUUAGAUCUUGUUUCUUAUAUUGUUGUUUAUAUCCCGAAGAUUAUGGAAUUCUUAAAUGGGAUUUGAUUGAUUGUUGGAUUGGUGAGGGAUUCUUAGAGGAAUCUGACAGGUUUAGUGCAGAAAACCAAGGAUACUACAUUGUGGGCACUCUUGUUCAUGCAUGUUUAUUAGAAGAGUUAGAAGAUGAUAAAGUAAAAAUGCAUGACGUUAUUCGUGAUAUGGCUCUAUGGAUAACCAGUGAAAUUGAGAAGGAGAAGAGAAACUUUUUGGUUCGUGCAGGUGCUGGAUUAAAAGAGGAACCGGCUGUUAAAGAAUGGGAAAAUGUGAGAAGAUUGUCAUUGAUGCAAAACCAUUUUAAAACUCUGUCAGAGGUUCCUUCAUGCCCUCAUCUCCAUACUCUAUUUCUUGCCUCUAAUGAUAAUUUGAGGAUGAUCACGGAUGGCUUCUUUCAAUUUAUGCCUUCUCUCAAAGUUUUGAAGAUGUCAAACUGUGUGGAUUGGCCAGUUUCGAAAUUACCUUUGGCGAUGUCAAAGUUGGGUUCACUACAACUUCUUGAUAUUUCACAUACCAGCAUAGAAGAGUUACCAGAAGAGUUGAAGUUGUUGGUAAAUCUGAAAUGUUUGAAUUUGAGGUGGACAUUUGAGUUAAAUAAAAUUCCAUGGCAACUAAUAUCAAAAUUUUCAAGGUUACGUGUGCUGAGAAUGUUCGCUACUGGCUUUGCACGUUUUGAUGAAGCAUCAGAAGACAGCGUUUUAUUUGGUGGGGGUGAAGUUUUAGUACAGGAAUUGGUCGGUCUGAAAUAUUUAGAGGUAUUGGAGUUGACCUUGGGAUGUCAUCAUGCUCUCCAAAUUUUUUUGAGCUCAAAUAAGUUAAAAAGUUGUAUUCGAUCUCUUCUCCUCCAAUUGGCCGGAGAUACAAUGUCGAUUAUUGAUGCUACGGCUUUUGCAGAUCUAAAGCACCUCAAUGAAUUAUGGAGUGAUAGGGCUAAGGAGUUGGAAGAAUUGAAGAUUGAUUGUAAAGAAAUAGUACAAAAAAGGCGGGAACCUUUUGUUUUCCGCAGCCUUCACCGUGUUACUAUACAUAGCUGCCAGAAGUUGAAAGAUUUGACAUUCCUCGUUUUUGCUCCAAACCUCAAGUCUCUCGAUCUAGACCGUUGCGAUGCUAUGGAAGAAAUAAUCAGCGUCGGAAAAUUUGCUGAGACUCCUGAGAUGAUGGGACAUAUAAGCCCUUUUGAAAAUCUCCAAAUGCUUGAUUUAGAAGAUUUGCCACAUUUGAAGAGCAUCUUCUGGAAGCCAUUGCCUUUCACUCAUCUGAAAGAAAUAUCUGUGGGUUAUUGCCGUAAUCUUAAAAAGCUUCCACUCGAUUCCAACAGUGCAAAGGAGCGUAAAUUUGUUAUUCGUGGAGAAGAAGACUGGUGGAACCGACUUCAAUGGGAGGAUGAAGCCACUCAAAUUGCUUUUCGUUCCUGUUUCCAAUCUCUUUUUGAUUAACUCUUAUACAUUUUCUCGUCGUUUGCUUCGUGCAAAAGACUACGUCUUUUGUUCUCCGUUUUUAUUUCAGUUUCGUUUUUUGUCUCCUGCAAAUCACAAUUAAAUGUUGAAUUAUAUGGAAGUAACGCUUUAUAAAUUUGCCGGCACUGCCAUUUCUUUUUCCUCUUUUUUUUUUUUUUUGGGUCGAAUUGAUGCUCUGGCUUUUUUACUUUUUGUCAUCGAAUUUUGCUCUGUUUUUCAAAUUGAUGCUUGAAUAUGUGAAUUCAAUUAAUGCUCACAUAAUUUUGUUUAGUUGCCGUAAAAGAAUAUAAUUAGACUGAAAUUCGCACUCCCAGAAUGAAUAGAAUCACAACAGAGAAAAUAUUAAGUAUGCUAGCCCUCUUUACAGAAAAUCAAAUGAAAAUAAAAUUUUUUUGGAUAUUUGAUUUUCUAUGGUGUACUAAAUACACUUUAUAAAUUCUUCUGUUCUAAGGAUAACCAAAUCCUUUGUUCAAGGAUUUUUAUUUGGGGUAUUGAUAAUAGUCCACCAAAAUAGUGAAUGCUUGGAUGCUGAUUAAGGAUCUGUAAUCAAUAAGCUGGAAGCAAACGAGAAGGCGGUCGCUACUCUGUACAAAGCCAUGCAGCAAUUGCUAUUCAUCUUAAAUUCUUAAUAAUUACGAAGCUUUGGUAAAAUUUUCAAACAAAGUUGACAUGUUAUUUUGAGAUUUGGUUCCUGAUUUUGGUUGAAUUUCGCUGUUUCGUUUGAGUUGGAUGUGAAUUCAAAUCCAAAUAUUCUUUGUUUUUCAAUUCUGAACUCAAUUUCUUUUUCUCAAGAAUGUUAUGCAGAAAUGAUUUUUACUAAAUCAUUUUUGAUGAAUUGUUUAAAUUAAACAAUUGGGAUAAGAAUUGUAACGAUUUAUCAUAAGCGUGCUAAUAUGAUAACUUGUUUUACAAAUGAUUAAUUAAUCAAUUAAUAUUAAAUUAUAUAUUAGUCAAUUAGAUAUGUGUUACAUUUGUCAUGUUUUGUAGGAGCGAUACUACAUAAUUUCUAAAAGAAUAUAAUAAAAACACAUUAAAAUGUUAUUUUAAUGAAGAAAAAAUUAUAAUUUUAUUAAAUAGGUGACACAAUAAUAAAUGGAUUUCUGUAAGAAUUGAGAUUCUUGAGAUAAUUUUGACAUGAUAAGAAGACAACACAGCACAGAAAACCCAAAUUGCCACUUCUACUAAUAAAAGAUAACCUGUUUGAAAAGUAAUUAUAAACUACCUUCUUUGCGUUAUUUCUCAAAACUUUUGUGGCACAAAUGUUAUUUCCAUUGACAACAGUACGAAAUACCGCCCCUUUCACUUGAGCAGGAGCAAAGCAAAGGUAUGAUGAGCUAUCUCUGUAUAAUUGAAACGCCAUUACUAAACGAUUCUUGAUGAUGGGAGCCACCGUGCCAGCUUUGUCGCUGAUUUGCAUGAUUUAUUAGUUGUCCAGAUGGCGGAUUUUGUACUGUUACCUUCUUUUCAUUCUUCAGAGCCAUGUACAGUUCUAGGAUACCAGAGAAACCAAGGUGGCAUUGAAGUUGCCCCGGUGGUUAGUUUUCAGAUCAUUUUUUUUUAAUUCAAUUAUUUAUGUUUUUAGAAAAAUGUAGGAAAUAUGUAGAAAUGUUGACAGCUAUGAUUUUGAAACUUUUGCCUAAAAUUAUUAUCAUUACUUAUUGUUUCUUAUUUAAAGAGAAAUCCUAGAAACAUGAAAUGAUUAUUCUACGCUUGUUUUAAUAUUAUACUAUGAAGAUUAUGAAGGUUUGAUUAUAUGUCACUAUCAAUUGCCUUAAUCGUUUGUCGUAAAUCAAUUAAGCAUUUUGAUGCGAAUGAUUCCCUAUUAAAAAAUUCAAGUCAGAGCUGAAUUGCAAAGUAGUUAGUCGUGCUUGCAAUUCAAAUUAAGUAUUGUAUUUUCUCCCUGAUUUGGUUGAUUCAACUAUGUGCAUUUGCUUAUGAAUGUUGUAGUAUAGAAAUCGAAACAUCUUGUCUUUUGCUAAGCCCAGAAGCAAAUUCUUUGUAUUCUACUCAUCAGUUUUCUUCAUUCUCUUCGUUGAAAUUUUAUCCAAACAGCGGUUUCGAAAUUGUUUUCACUACAAUACCUUAGUCUUUCAGAUGCUCCCGUCACUGAGUUGCCAGAAGAGCUAAAAGCCUUGGUAAAUCUUAAGUGUUUGAACCGGAGUACACAAAUUAUCUCUCUACAAUUCCGAAGCAACUGAUUUGUUACUUUUUGAUGCUACAUGUUCUGCGAAUAUUCAGUUGUGGUUAUCUUGUUCAAAUACCAGAAAAUAGCGUUCUAUUUAGUGGUAAUGAAUUCUUGGUUUGGGAGUUGCUUAGUUUAAAACGUUUAAAUGUAUUAAGCAUCAUCUUGAAAAGUUUUUCUGCCGUCCAAAAACUUAUGAGCUCCCAAAAGUUUCAAAGCCGUACACAAUGCUUGGAGCUUCUAGACUGUGAUGAUCCAAAGUCAUUUGCCUUGGCAGAGUUGAAGCAUCUUGAAAAACUAGGUUUUUCGAGUUGUGGAAAUUUGGAAGAGUUAAAGUUCUGCUGUGUCGAAGUUGCAAAGGCUCGAGAAUGUUUUCGUUUGAACGGCCCUCACUGAGUUAAGAUGAAGGCUUGUCAUAAAUUGUGGGUCUUGAAUCAAAUUUCAAUGCAUGAAUUAAUAUUUUUUAAAAAAAUUACUACACGCAGUUUAGGUUACAAACUAUUUUUUGCAAAGUUGACUAUGAAAUUGGAGAAAUUAAGUAAUUUAUAAUGUUUGCAAAGAAAGAGACUAACAUACUUCCAAUUACACUAUAUCUCUAUUAUCAUAAUGUUAAGACUAAACUAACUUAAAAUAAAUUUUAUUUGAAAAGUUAUAUCAAACGCAAUCUAAUUUUAUUAACUUGAAGAGAUAAUAGUUAUAGAAAUUAUUGUUCUAACUUAAUUAGUAUAAGUGGUAUAAAGGUUAAGUGUGCACUAAAUUCGUUUAAAUUUUUUCCACUAUAACUAACAGAGGUCAUUACUAGAAUUAUAUUACUAGUCUAUUAGAUAGAAAAAAUUAUUUAUAUUGUUUUAUAUUUAUUAAAAAAAUGUAAAGUCAAUCUUUUUAAUUACUAUUUAAAGGAUAUUAUAAUUAGAAAACAUUUAAUGUCUUUAUUAAAAAUUUAAAAAUUUACAUGACCGUUCUAUAAAUAUUUAAAGUGUAACUGUCAUUUUCUCAUAUAUAUAUAUAUAUAUAAACCAUGGUGGUGAAGCUUUAUUUAAUAUUAAUGAUUUAAAUAAUAAUAUCUCAAUUAAAAAUGUAGAGAGAAGAAAUUUCGGUGGGUAUAUUAGUCUUUUACAAUUAUCAUGAUUAGCCCUUCCUCUUGUAAUGUUGGUAAGAAAAGUUUUAAAAUGCCUUGAUUUCUUUUACUUUUAACGUUAGCGGCCUUAUAUUUUAUUACAAAUUAGUCCUAACAAGAAAAAGCAAGAUCAUAUUCCACAAAAGCAAAAGUGACAAAACAACCAACUGGAUUAUUUUUUUAAACUACAAAUUGUAUAGUCUUUUUCAAAUUGUUAUAAAUUGGUGGCCCCUACAAUUAUCAACUGUGCAAGUGCUCAUUCACAAUCUUCCAGGUCAUGCUCUUAAUAAUUGUUUUUUUUUUUUUCUGCAUUCCCUUUCAUGCUCUUAAUAAUUGAAGAGCAUACUUUUCAUUUUCAAAUGUGGAGCCGCAGCUAAUGUCGCUAAUUUAAUUUGGGAUUAAAUUAGGGGACCAUUAUAUUGCAGUGUGCACUAAUUUUUGUGUUUAUCUAAACUCCUUAAAUUUAAGACAUAUUAUGGCAUAAAUAAGAAUAUAAUAAUAACAAAAGAGUUAGAAAGUGUAGAGAAGAUCUUGCAGAAAUAUAAAUAAUAUCUAUUUUAAAAUAAUAUCAAUAUUUAAAAUAAUUUUUAGUAUUUUAUGAUCCAUUAGAUAUAUUUUAUUAUAUUAAAGUAAAUUUUAUAAUAAAUAAAAACGUACUAUUAAAAUGAAUAUAUAGAAAAUUUAGAGUAUUUUAAGUAUUAUAUAAAAUAAAUUUAAUAAAAUAUGUGAGAUAUUCAUAGUUUAUUAAUUUAAAAUACCAUUUUAAAAUUAAAGAUUUAUUUAUGAUAAAUUAAUAAUUAUAUUUUUGAAAUUACUUCAAAUAUUAAAAAAUUAAUAUUACUAAUCUAUUAGAUAGAUUAAAUUAUAUAUAUUAUUUUCUAUUUAUUAAAAAAUUAAAAUUAUUUUUAAUUACUAUUCAAAAAAUAUAAUGAUAAAAAAAUCUUAACAUCUUUAUUAAAAAUUUAAAAAUUUACAUGAUCAAUUCUCUAAAUAUUUAGGGUAGAUGUGAACCACGGUGGAGAAGCUUUAUUUAAUAUUAUUGAUUUAAAUAAUAUGUCAAUUAAAAAUGUACAGAGAAGAAAUUUCGAUGGGUAUUUUAGUCUUUUCAGCAAUUAUCAUGAUCAGAUCAGCCUUUAACCUUGAAACGUCGGUCAGAAAAGUUUUAAAAUGCUUAAUUGUUUUUCACUUUUAACGUUGAUGGCCUUGAAAUUGCUUAUAUUUUAUUAAAAAUUAAUGCUAACAAGAAAAAACUAGGUCAUAUUCCACAAAAUCAAAAGUGACAAAACAACCAGCUGGUUUCUUUUACUAAACUACAAAUUAAAAUAGAUUUUUUCGAUAAAUUACAAAUUAAAGUGGAUUCUUUUUUUUUUUUGAAAGGUAAAGUGGAUUCUUUUGAAUACAAGUGAGACAGAUUAGGCUCUUUUUAUUAAAGACAAGUAAAAACUAGUCAAGAAUCGAAUAAUCCUUUUCAAAAUCUUGUUUUAUUAUUUUUCAAAACUAGUUUUUGGUAAUUACAAUCGGGUCAUUAAUCAUUAUUCAAAGUUAGCGGCUCAUGUUUGCAAGUGUGAAUGUGCGAUGCUGCAAUUACAGUGGGGCCCGAAUCAGACGUGCCGAAUAAAUCUUUUUAAAAUUUUUGCCGUAUAACGAACAGAGGUCAUUACUAAAAUUUCUCUUCCAAAGCCCACAGCAGCUUCAGUUUAUCAAACUCAAUCAAUUUUCUUUCUUAACAAAAUUCCAAAGAUGUGUAGCAUUUUUCAGAUCACAUGCGAUGGUGCUCUUUUCAAUCGUUGCUUGGAUUGCUUUCUUGGAGAAGCAGCAUACAUAAGCAAACUCCAAGAUAAUCUUGAUGCCUUGGAGACUGAACUGGGAAGACUAAUCGCAGCAAAGAACGAUGUGAUGAUGAGGGUUGUCAAUGCUGAACGGCAACAAAUGAGAAGGCGGGAAGGAGUGCAACAAUGGGUUUCGAGGGUGGAUGCUGUUAAAACUGGAGCCGAUGAACUUAUCACAGACGGCUCUGAAGAAAUUGGCAAAUUAUGUGUUGGAGGCUACUGUUCCAAGAACUGCAGGUCAAGCUACAAGUUCGGAAAACAAGUGGCUAAAAAGCUACAAGAUGUGAAGACUUUAAUCGCCGAGGGAGUUUUUGAGGCGGUGGCUACUGAGGUGGUGCCCGAGAGAGCUCCGGAACCUGUAGCAGAUAAAAGACCCAUUGAGCCAACAAUAGUAGGCUUGCAAUCACAGCUUGAACAAGUUUGGAGAUGUCUUGUAGUAGAAGAAUCAGUGGGAAUCAUUGGCCUAUAUGGUAUGGGCGGUGUUGGUAAAACCACACUAUUGACCCGUAUCAACAAUAAAUUUCUUGAGAGUCAAAACAACUUUGAUUGUGUGAUUUGGGUCGUAGUUUCAAAAGACCUGCGGCUUGAAAAAAUUCAAGACGAUAUUGGGAAGAAGAUAGGUCUGUCUGAUGAUUCAUGGAAGAAUAAAAGUGUUGAGGAGAAAGCUGUAGACAUCUUGCGGAGAUUACGAGAGAAGAGAUUUGUAUUGUUGCUAGAUGAUAUAUGGGAGCGGGUUGAUUUAACAGAAGUGGGCAUUCCACUUCCCAGCCCACAAAAUACUACAUCAAAAGUCGUAUUCACGACCCGUUUCAUUGAUGUGUGUGGUAGCAUGGAAAGUCACAGGAAGUUUGAAGUGGCAUGCUUAUCAGAAGAGGAUGCUUGGGAGCUGUUUCGAGAAAAAGUAGGGCAAGAAACUCUUGAGAGUGAUCAUGAGAUCGUUGAGCUAGCCCAAACUGUGGCCAAAGAGUGUGGUGGUUUGCCACUNNNNNNNNNNNNNNNNNNNNNNNNNNNNNNNNNNNNNNNNNNNNNNNNNNNNNNNNNNNNNNNNNNNNNNNNNNNNNNNNNNNNNNNNNNNNNNNNNNNNNNNNNNNNNNNNNNNNNNNNNNNNNNNNNNNNNNNNNNNNNNNNNNNNNNNNNNNAUUGAUUGUUGGAUUGGUGAGGGAUUUUUGGGGGAAUCUGACAGGUUUGGUGCAGAAAACCAAGGAUAUGACAUUUUGGACACUCUUGUUCGUGCAUGUUUAUUGGAAGAGGUGGAAGAUGAUAAAGUAAAAAUGCAUGACGUUAUUCGUGAUAUGGCUCUAUGGAUAACUGGUGAAAUUGAGAAGGAGAAGCGAAACUUUUUGGUUUGUGCAGGUGCUGGAUUAAAUGAGGCACCGGAUGUUAAAGGAUGGGAAAACGUGAGAAGAUUGUCAUUGAUGCAAAACCAAAUUGAAACUCUGUCAGAGGUUCCUACAUGCCCUCAUCUCCUCACUUUAUUUCUUGACUUUAAUGAGGAUGUGGAGAUGAUCGCGGAUGGCUUCUUCCAAUUUAUGCCUUCUCUCAAAGUUUUGAAGAUGUCAAACUGUGGAAAGAGUUGGAGCAAUUUUCAAUUACCUGUUGGGAUGUCAGAGUUGGGUUCAUCACUAGAACUUCUUGAUAUUUCACAUACCAGCAUAAGAGAGUUACCAGAGGAGUUAAAGAAGUUGGUAAAUCUGAAAUGUUUGAAUUUGAGGCGGACAGAAUUGUUAAAUAAAAUUCCACGGCAACUAAUAUCAAAUUCUUCAAGGUUACGUGUGUUNNNNNNNNNNNNNNNNNNNNNNNNNNNNNNNNNNNNNNNNNNNNNNNNNNNNNNNNNNNNNNNNNNNNNNNNNNNNNNNNNNNNNNNNNNNNNNNNNNNNGCGUUUUAUUUGGUGGGGGUGAAGUUUUGAUACAGGAAUUGCUCGGUUUGAAAUAUUUAGAGGUAUUGGAGUUGACCUUGGGAAGUUAUCAUGCUCUCCAAAUUCUUUUGAGCUCAAAUAAGUUAAAAAGUUGUAUUCGAUCUCUUCUCCUCCACUUGGCCAGAGAUACAACGUCGGUUAUCGAUGCUACGGCUUUCGCAGAUCUAAACCACCUCAAUGAAUUAUGGAUUGAUAGGGCUAAGGAGUUGGAAUUAUUGAAGAUUGAUUAUACGGAGAUAGUUCGAAAAAGGCGGGAACCUUUUGUUUUCCGCAGCCUUCACUGUGUUACUAUACAUAUCUGCCAGAAGUUGAAAGAUACGACAUUCCUCGUUUUUGCUCCAAACCUCAAGUCUCUUUCGCUAUUCCAUUGCGGUGCUAUGGAAGAAAUAAUCAGCGUCGGAAAAUUUGCUGAGGUUCCUGAGAUGAUGGGACAUAUAAGCCCUUUUGAAAAUCUCCGACUUCUUCGUUUGUCACAUUUGCCAAAUUUGAAGAGCAUCUACUGGAAGCCAUUGCCUUUCACUCAUCUGAAAGAAAUGGUGGUACGUGGGUGUGAUCAGCUUGAAAAGCUUCCACUCGAUUCCAACAGUGCAAAAGAGCGUAAAUUUGUAAUUCGUGGAGAAGAAGACUGGUGGAACCUACUUCAAUGGGAGGAUGAAUCCACUCAAAUUGCUUUUCGUUCCUGUUUCCAGCCUCGUUCUUGAGCAGUGGCCGCAAAAUUUGAUUUCUGGUGAGUGCGUUUGUCUUUUAAAAAGAAUAAUUUAAAAGAAAUUUAUUCUUGUCGUUUUCUUCACUGUUUUUAUUUCAGUUUCUCUCUCUCUGUCUCUCUCUUUUUGUCUUCUACAAAUCACAAUUAAAUGUUGAAUUAAUGGAAUUAAUGCUUCAUAAAUUUGCCGGCACUGCCAUUACUUUUUUUUUUAAUACAAAUUGAUACUUUAUUUAUAUCUUCUUAGCGAUAUAAUUUCCUGUCAAUUGACGAACGAGAAGAACAUAUGACUUAAACCAAUUCUCGCAUAAACUUGCUGUAAAAAGAUAUAAUCUCACUGAAAUGCACACGUCUAGAAAGAAUAGAAUUAAAACAGGGAAAAUCUUUACCGAAAAUCAAAUGACAAUAAAUUUUUUGAAGUUUUGAUUUUCUAUGGUCAAUUCCACCUUUUGCAAUUUCUUCUGUUCUAACAAAAACCAAUUUCUUUGUUCAAGUAUUUUCGUUUGGGUAUUAAUAAUUCUCCACCGAAAGAGUGAACUCUUGCUCAAGGGAUCUCUAAUCAAUAGCCGGAAGGGCGCCGAGACCUGAUCGGACCUAGGCCCAAGUUUGGUCUUAAAGCCUGGGCUUGAGCCUGGCAAUUAAAUUAAAACAUUAAUUUAUUUCUUGAUUGAAUUGUCGUGUAAUUGAUUUAUGGGGGAUGACACAUCAACAUACUUGAAAAUACACUAAUCUCAGCAUCAUCGGUUAAUAACUUUUAGAUUUAUGGGUAAUCAAUAGUUAAGAUUAGUUGUCAUUAAUACUAAAUAAUUUUUACUUUUUUUUGUCUCUUCUAGAGGAUCUUCUAGAAAAAUGCAUCUGCAAUUAAAUUUAAUACUUUACAUAAUAAACAAAGCAUAAAUGUUAAAUUUAAGAAACUGCAUUGUAUUUCAGCUGAAGUUGACUUUAAUAUUUAGGGUAGAAAAAAAUUAAAUCCUUAAUGUGUUUAAUUUGUAUCACUUGUGUCAUUAAAAUUUUCUAGUCACCCUAACCAAUUACAUCUCAACCCACUUUUUUUUGGAUGAUUUUAUUUUUACACUAUUAUUUUCAACAUUUUUUUCCUUUUAACACCAACAUUAGUGUAUGUUACGUAACAUAAUUCAUAUUUGGAUAAUUUGAAAUUUGUUUGUGUUUUAUCUCAAAAUAGAGCUUCAAUCAAUUUGUACCUCAUAAAUUCACAAUAUCUAUGAAGGCUAAUAAGACCAAACUCUGGCAUAUUGUCAAAUGUGCUUAUCCUUUUGCUUGACAUGUCAUUUUAAAAUUGUCAUUCAAUGCCAAAAAAUCACAUCAACUAAUGGCCGAUAAUUAUAACUUAAUUGUUAUAUUGAAAUUUUUUUCUUUAUAAUUUUUAAGUUUAAUACUGCUACAUGUGUAGCACAUAAGUUGGAAAAUAUAACAAAAAUUGAAAAAUGUGUAGUUUUCGUUCCUUUUUUUCCCCUUAAAAAUGAAAAAAAAACAACAGUAAUUUUGUUUAAAUUACUGUUGUGAUAACAAGUAUUAUUUUAUUGAUUAAUUGGCAGAUAAUCAUUAUGGUUUCGUAUGGUUGUUAAAAGAUUGGAAAGUCCACUACAUCAUCCGUUAAUAACUUUCAGAUUUAUGGUUAAUCAAUAGCUGAGAUUUAUUAUCAUUAAUGCUAAAUAUUUUUUUCUCUCUCCUAGAGAAUCAUCCACAGCAAAAAUUUAAUAUUGUAAAUAGUAAACAAAAUAUAAACGUUAAAUUUAAGAAACUGCAUUGCAUUUCAGCCGAAGCUAACUUUAAUAUUUAAUGGAGAAAAAUAAUUAAGUCCUUAAUGUAUUUUAUUUACCCAUACAUGUGGCUAAUUAUUUAAGAUAAAGGGGAAGGAUGAUGCUCAAAAAUAUAAAUUAUAGAAUUAAUUGAACUCUCAAGUAAGUUUAAAGUUCAUUAUUUUUAAUUACAUGUUUAUAAUUUAUUUUUAUUUCGUAUUAAUCUAUAGAUCUAAAUCCACUUUGGAUUCAUAUACAUAUAUAGACAUAAUGUGUAUGUUAAUCUAUAGGUCUAAAUUCAUUUUAGGUCUAAAUCCACUUUGAAAAAGAUAAACUUUAAAUUUACUUAAGAGAGUAAUUAAUUUCAUAGUUAAAAUCUUUAAAUUUUACCCCUCAUCUUAACUUAAGAAAAUUAAUCACUUAUUUUAUUUAACAAAGAAGAGAUUUUUUUUCCCCCUAUAUUUUCCAAUUAUUUCUCUCCCUCUCGCUCCCUCAAGUUAUACAACUUGACGUGAAAUAUGAGUGGUCUGAUUCUAGCUUAAAUAAUUUAUUGUGACAUGCUAUCGAAGGACAAUACAAUACCUAGCUCUACAUAUUUUAUUUAACCUCCGGCUCACCCUGUGCAAACUUGCCUUUCCCCUGCAAGACAAGAUUAAUCAAUGUAUCAAGUCUCAAAUUCAAUUUGGAAUAUGACCAUCGUACGCUCUUGUUCUUCCCUCUUUACGAGUGCAUUCCCCCCAACCUCAAGCUCCCUCUCUCGUCUUCAAUGUCACUGCUUAUAUCCUUAUGUUGUUCUCAAAUUCUGAUUUCACCAUAUUUUAAUUACUGAUUAGCAUAUAUUCAAGUGCUCUCCAUUAUAAUAGAAGCCGCCGCCUCACUCGUGAUUCCAAACUUUAUCUUUUUUCCUUUUUUAAAUUAAUGCAAGUAGCCGCUGUCCUUUUUAUUAAUUAAUUAAUUCGGCCGCCCACAUUUCUUUUCCUAAUGUCUUCUACUGUCGAUUUUCUUUUAUUUUUUCUUUAUUCUUAAAAUAUGCUUUUAAUAAUAAAAUAUAAAAAUAUAAAUUAAAAUAAAAAUAUCAAAAUAUAAUUUAACAGAAAAUUAAGAUAAAAAAUGAAAAAAAAUUAUGAGCAUAUCAAUUAAUAAAUAAAAAUAAUAAUUUUUAUUUUUAUUAAAUAUAUAUUUUUCAGUAUUAAUCAAUUAUCUGAAUAACUAAAAUCAUUUAAAAAUAAAUAAAUAAAUUAUUCUUUAAAAACAAAAAGAAAAGAAACUUUUUAUAACACUCACCAUGCUGUUUGUAGGGUAGACGGUUUGGGGACUGAAGUUGGUAACUUCUACAAGUAGUCUUAAGUUGACUGGCAACAACUAUAUUGGCAUUUUGACAUACUGUACUGCAACCAUAUUGGUAUGUUCAAAUGUUCUUACUAUUGUAUUGGUGUGUCAAUAUUAUCUCUAACUGUCCUAUAGAUAAAAAAAUAAUCUAAAUUUAUAAUUUAACAUAAAAUAAAAUAAUUAGUUAUAGAUAAAAAAAUAAUUUAAAUUUAUAAUUUAACAUAAAAUAAAAUAAUUGGUAGAAAAACAAUUAUGGUUCAUUUACUUAUCAGUAAUCAGAAUAGACUGAAAUCGAAAUAAGUUGUAUUGCCGUUGAUGUGUUUAUGUUGUCCUCGAAUCGGAAUGAAUUAUUUUAAGUUACUAAAAUACCCUUGGUUUGUUAUUCUAAUAAUUAUUAUUUAAUAUUUAUUAUAAUAUUUUUCAUAUUAUUAAAAAGAAAUAAUAAUGAUGAUAAUAUUAUCAUUAUUGUUUGUUACAUUAUUAUUAUUCAAAAAAAUUAUUGUUAAUAACAAUAAUUACUUUAUUUCAAUAAUAAUAAUGAUAAAAUUAAUAAUAACAAACAUGACAACAACAAUAAUUAUUUAUUAUGCCAAAAAUAACAAUAAUAAUAAGAAUAAUAGUCAUCAUCAUUUUUUUUCCCAAAGAAGCAUUAUCAUCAUCAUUUCAAAAAAAAAAAAAAUCAUCAUUAUCAUCAUCGUUUUUGUAGUGGCUGCCUAUCGACUGCUGCUUUCAUGUGAGAUUGACUUGCGACGCUUCAACGGCUAUUAUUUCUGGCAAUGUCAGGUGUUACUGUUUCAAUUUAGGAAGAAGUUGUUUCGUUGUACUAACGAUGGGAGAUGUUGUGGCUGCGAUUCGGGGAGCUACUAGUUUAUUGCACUAAUGACGGCAGGUGCUGCUGCUUGAUGCGAGGUCCAUGGCCAGUUGUCAGCAGUUUGACUUUGGUAUGGGUGCUACUGGUUUGAUUUUAGGUGUUGUCCAAUUUCAUUUUCAGGAUUUUAAUUUUAUUUUUUCUUUAAUGUUUUCAUUAAUUAAUCAGGGCAAAGUUGGAUUUUAGAAUUUAGAAUGAAGGUAAUUUUGUUAAUCAUGGAAAUGAGAUUCUGAUUGUCGAGAAUGAGCUUAUACAAGCAACUGCAAAUUAAGUGAAAACAAAACGCUUUUUCUCUUUGUGUGAUUAAAACAUGAUAUGUAUCAUAAAUAAAUAAGUAAAAAAUAAAUCAAUACAAUCCAAAACAGUAAACAAAUUACAAGAGGUACAGAUUUUUAUGUGAAACACCGAAAAUAGAAAAAAACCACAGUAUCUUAGUCUGAUAUAAUCUUCUACUGUAUUAAUGGGAUUACAGCACAAAUUCUUCCCUAUAUACCACUAGAGGUUAACAACAUCUAGAUUCUCAAUAAUAUUGACUUACAAUACAGCUUAAUAUAUGUCUCUCUAAUAAGUAGAUAUCUAAAAUAACAAUCUCUAAUAAAUAAGUAUCUCAAAUAACCGUCUCUAAUAAGUAGGUAUCUUAAAUAAUAGUCAACAAGAGGAUAAAACAAAAAAUUAAGAUUAGUAGGAUGUGUAUCAGGCAAUGCUAUCAACUUAUUAUCUAAAUUUGAGAAAAAUAGUUAAAUUCACUUUUUCGAUUGUCCGACCAAAGAUGGAAACCCUUGCCCCAAAACCAAAGGAAUCAACAUUGUGUCUCUCUCUCUCUCUCUCUCUCUCGUUAUUUUCUUCUACUUUUCUUAAUGUUAGCCGCCACUUGCUUUUAUUCUUUAUAGCAUUUAAAAAGCUACUUUUAAUGGUAAAUUUAUAAGUCCAAACUUGGUGAUAAUUGCACACCAAACAAUCCUUACAUAGUCUUUUAGACCUCUAAAUGAGAUGAAUACAGUAAAUUUCCCCUUUUAGAUCAUGUGGGGGGCACCACAAGGCCACUCUCUGCAUAUAGCUUUUCAACUUCUCCUUGAAUAAUGUCUUUGUCAUCAUACAUAACCCAUUCUCCGUUGUGUAAAUCUUCUCAAGCUGUAAAUGUUCCUUCUCAAGCACAUCUCGUAUCUAACGAUACCUCACAUCAAUAUGCUUAAAUUUCGAAUGGUAUAUCAAAUUCUUUGAACGACACUCUGACUGUCGUAGUACAUAACAUAGUUGUCUCGUUUUACACCGAGCUCUUAUAGGAAAUUCUUCGUCCACAAUAUUUUUUUGCAACCUUCAAUAAUUGUAAUAUCAUUUGCUUUAGUGGUAGAAAAGGCAACUUAUUACUAAAGUUUAGAUUGCGAUGAGACUGCUCCCCUUGCAAAAGUGAGCAAACAUCCUAGUAGGAGUUUUUCGGAAUCAACAUCUCCUGCCAUAUCUACACAAUUGUAAAACAUGUUUGUCACUACCAAAAUAUAAACGUGCUCUGGAAAUGCCUCUAAGAUAUUUGAGAAUUUUUCACUGUUGUCCAGUGCUGAAGCAUAAGGAACUCCUCUCAUGGAGAAAUGGAUUUUGCUCUUAGAGAUUUUUGGNNNNNNNNNNNNNNNNNNNNNNNNNNNNNNNNNNNNNNNNNNNNNNNNNNNNNNNNNNNNNNNNNNNNNNNNNNNNNNNNNNNNNNNNNNNNNNNNNNNNGACACUUUUUCAGGAGAUGCAAACUUCAAAUAUAAUGGGAGACGAGUUUACCAUUGUUAGCAUUCUUACAGCUCGUGCGAAUCUGGGGGCACUAGAACUGGGAGAAUGGAUAAAGACUUAUACUGACAAAAACAAAGUCAAGAAUGAUAUAUUUGCGGGGAACGUUUUGAUAGACGUGUACUGUAAAUGCGGAGAUGUUGAGAAAGCUCAAAAGGUAUUCAGGAAGAUGCUUUGAAAGGACAAAUUCACAUGGACGACCAUGAUUGUUGGCCUUGCCAUCAGUGGCAAUGGUGAUAAAGCUCUUGAUAUGUUUUCCCAAAUGCUUAGGGCUUCGAUCAAACCGAAUGAGGUAGCUUAUGUUGGUGUUCUGUCUGCCUGUACUCACAAUGGUAAUGAAACUUUUGUGAUAAAUAGUUGCAACUAAAGGUGAGAAUUGGAGGAAAGGAAAUAGACUGAAGUUGUUCAAUCAUCAGUGGUUGCUAUUUGGUUUUAAGUUGUUCAAUCAUCGGUCGUCUCUAUUUGGUUUUCUCCAAUAUCUCAUCUUCAGUUUUGACUCAGAUUCUAUCUUACCACUAGUAAUUACAUAGACUUGCUGCCAAAGGUAAGAAUGGGAAUAAAUUAAAUAGAUUAUGUCGAAAACGAAAUAAAUUUACUAUUGUUCUGUUCAUUCUAUUUGUUUCCUACAAAAUAUUUCUCCUGCCUAAAAUUUUUUGAAUCAGUAAGUUUUUACCUUAUGCAAGAAUUGUGCUGAGAGUAAUUCCAUUUCUCAGUCUCUUUAUGUUUCAAUGAAGACGUAAAACUUGUGUUCUAGUGCACCAAUGUUUAUGCUUCUUACAAUUUGACUUUAAUUUACUUUGUAAAACUUUUGUCAAAAAGUACUAAAAAGUAGUGCACCAAACACCAACUUUAUUACACUUUAGUUUAAUUUUAAGAGAACACUCAAAAGAAAGAGUUAUAAAUUAGUAUAGAAAUAUUUCACAUAAAUAAAAGCCAUCCCAUGCUACAAAGAUCUUGCUAUCAUCACCAAAAACUAUCGGGAGCUUUUAGGGUUUCCAAAAAAAUGUCAUUUCGUUCCAAAAGUCAAUGGUGGGUAGAAAGUGGUGCAAAUGAGACUCAUUGUUAAUGGUAUAAGUUUUUGCUUAAUUAUGUCUUCCCCAAGAUGAUGAUUUAAUUUCCAUUCUCAAUUAAUUUUCAAGUUUCAACACUUUUCUAUCUAGCAUGACAUUGGAAAGAUCUUGUACAGUUGUACUACUAAAAGCUAGCACCACACGUUAGUUAUUGUUAAGUUCUUUUUCAACGUGAAAUAAAGGAAGUAGUCCCUCGUUAAAACCAUUAUAGCCAAAUUUCACCUAAUUGGACACUUACAGACUUUCAUUUCAAGUUGGAUUUUGGUCCAACGUUUCAAAGUUGGCCCAAUUAUUUUUGUCUGGUCAAGUCCUACGCAGCUAAGCCCCUCAAUGAAUGAGGGUGAGAUUGCUAAAAAUUACGACAGGUGAUAUUUUAUUGUUAUUAUUAUUAUUUUUGGGGGAUAAAUCCUCACCAAAGUGAGGAGAUUUUAUCAAAAUCAAAAUAAAAAUAUAACAAGAACUGAAAGUCGGGCAGCCUAAAAGCUAGAUGAACUAAAAGUCAGGCGCCUAAAAACAACCUUAUGCAAAAGAAAAGCAACAUGAGACCGAUCAAGUAAAAGAAUCCACCGCAACACCUAAAUUGGCCAAAUUAUCUGUUGGUAUUACAAGUUUCUUGUUAUAAAAGUGUAGAAUGAAGUAGGUGACGUAGUUUUAAGUUACAGCUGCAUGCCCAAUCGCAAUAUCAAAUAAUGCUUAAAGUAGUUGCCUAGGCGCCACAAUUUAUAUUAACUCUUAAAUUUAUAAAUAAUUAAAUUUUUAAAAGUUUGGAUUUAUAUUAAAAAAUCUUCAUAUAAAUAAAUCAUAUAUGCACUUUUACAACACAGUCUUUAAAUUUAAAUUUUUCUAGAAAAAUCUUCUGUAUAUCUUUUCUAUUAAAAAAUUUCCAUAUAAAUAAAUAAUAUACCUAAUUUAAUUGGACCCAGCACAACGUACAUGCAUAGAACACAUUCCGAAAAGCCAUGCUAUUCGGAAAUUGACGAAUGAAAAGUGAGGAGGCAGCAGUCAAUGCUACUUCGGCUUGGCCCAAAAUUGAUUUAUCAGUUUCACGUAUGCCAGGAAUGAAGAACUGGAAUAUCCCCGUCAAGCAAGCAACCUGUGGAGCAAUACCAUAGAAUGCACAAUCCGGCUUUGCAAAGUGACACUGGAGGCUUUUUGAAAAGUGCUUCAUGCUCACUUGCACAGAUUGAGCAUCCCCUCUGGAUAUUGCCCUCUCUGAUCGAGUCUGAGCACUCAAAUUUCGGUCCUCAGAUGGAGCUACAGCUUUCUCUCCCAAUAACCAACAAUUUUCUAAACUCAGCACCCUCGUGUGAUCAGAGUUGUUGAUAUUUGCAAAUGGAGAUCCCCCAUAUUUGCAAAUGGAGACAUUUAACAAAUCACCAACAUGUUUCAUUCAGUCUACGAAAUUCUGCAGCUUAUUCAAAUCCGGAACCUGAACCAGAGUCGGAGGUAAAUCUUGAGCCAUAUCUAAAGCAGCCUGAAGUUCAAGUACUUGAGCCCUUGACAAUGGUUUUGAAAUUGGAACAUCUUGGAUUACUGCAGAUUUGUACCCCUUGGUUUCAAAAGUGUGAGAGGCAUUGCUCGAGUACAAUUUGGAGGCAGCUUCUUCACCAAUUUUAUUUGGAGGCGAUUGGCAGCGGAUCCAGCUGCACCAAUUUCAGAGCAAAUACUGACACUACUUCGAACAGCACGCUGAAGAAGAGAUAUGUCUAUGGCAAAGGCAAUGCAGUCCUUAUUUUGACUUGAGAUGCAGUAAUCAUCAAAGAGAGUUUCCUUGUGAAACUGGGCAAAGCAUCGAAUCCCUUCACCACUGAGAAGGUUGUGGAGGAAGUGAGCUUUCUCUCUUGUGAGGAAGAGGUGGCGUGCCUUCCCCAUUUUGUCUAGGGCAGGUAUAAAUCUCUUUUCUAAGAGAUUUACUCCAUUCUCUGUGAGAAAUGCUUUGAACUUCAUCCCUCUGUCUGUAUCCUCACUUAUCAGGAAAAUAGUUGAAAGCGCUACAAGGAUAGAGAAGGAAAGUAUUAAGAUAAAUAGACAAGAAAAAUAUUAGAUGCCGAUCUUACAAACUAAUACUCCAAACACUAUCCUAGAAAGCUAAAAACUGAAGGAUGGCUUGAAAUUUUGAAAAGAACACAUGCUUUUCCUCCUUAACUUGGGAAAAUGUUUAAUAUAGUGCAACUUACAGAAGCAUUUAAGCAAUUAGAAAUUAGCACAAAAACAUCAAGAAGACUAAACAAAUCAGAUGCAGUGUAUUUGUCCAAGCACAAAUUGCAUUUUGUCCUCAACUUUAAUAUUUAUUGAUGAGAAUCAAUACAGGUCCCUCAUUUGUUAUAGAAAGCUUUCUUGUAGUCUCACCAGUUAAUUCACAGGUCUAUAAUCAUCUUGCAAAGUUAAGGGCAUUCUUCCGAUCUAAAGUCUUGCAUCACCACCUNNNNNNNNNNNNNNNNNNNNNNNNNNNNNNNNNNNNNNNNNNNNNNNNNNNNNNNNNNNNNNNNNNNNNNNNNNNNNNNNNNNNNNNNNNNNNNNNNNNNNNNNNNNNNNNNNNNNNNNNNNNNNNNNNNNNNNNNNNNNNNNNNNNNNNNNNNNNNNNNNNNNNNNNNNNNNNNNNNNNNNNNNNNNNNNNNNNNNNNNNNNNNNNNNNNNNNNNNNNNNNNNNNNNNNNNNNNNNNNNNNNNNNNNNNNNNNNNNNNNNNNNNNNNNNNNNNNNNNNNNNNNNNNNNNNNNNNNNNNNNNNNNNNNNNNNNNNNNNNNNNNNNNNNNNNNNNNNNNNNNNNNNNNNNNNNNNNNNNNNNNNNNNNNNNNNNNNNNNNNNNNNNNNNNNNNNNNNNNNNNNNNNNNNNNNNNNNNNNNNNNNNNNNNNNNNNNNNNNNNNNNNNNNNNNNNNNNNNNNNNNNNNNNNNNNNNNNNNNNNNNNNNNNNNNNNNNNNNNNNNNNNNNNNNNNNNNNNNNNNNNNNNNNNNNNNNNNNNNNNNNNNNNNNNNNNNNNNNNNNNNNNNNNNNNNNNNNNNNNNNNNNNNNNNNNNNNNNNNNNNNNNNNNNNNNNNNNNNNNNNNNNNNNNNNNNNNNNNNNNNNNNNNNNNNNNNNNNNNNNNNNNNNNNNNNNNNNNNNNNNNNNNNNNNNNNNNNNNNNNNNNNNNNNNNNNNNNNNNNNNNNNNNNNNNNNNNNNNNNNNNNNNNNNNNNNNNNNNNNNNNNNNNNNNNNNNNNNNNNNNNNNNNNNNNNNNNNNNNNNNNNNNNNNNNNNNNNNNNNNNNNNNNNNNNNNNNNNNNNNNNNNNNNNNNNNNNNNNNNNNNNNNNNNNNNNNNNNNNNNNNNNNNNNNNNNNNNNNNNNNNNNNNNNNNNNNNNNNNNNNNNNNNNNNNNNNNNNNNNNNNNNNNNNNNNNNNNNNNNNNNNNNNNNNNNNNNNNNNNNNNNNNNNNNNNNNNNNNNNNNNNNNNNNNNNNNNNNNNNNNNNNNNNNNNNNNNNNNNNNNNNNNNNNNNNNNNNNNNNNNNNNNNNNNNNNNNNNNNNNNNNNNNNNNNNNNNNNNNNNNNNNNNNNNNNNNNNNNNNNNNNNNNNNNNNNNNNNNNNNNNNNNNNNNNNNNNNNNNNNNNNNNNNNNNNNNNNNNNNNNNNNNNNNNNNNNNNNNNNNNNNNNNNNNNNNNNNNNNNNNNNNNNNNNNNNNNNNNNNNNNNNNNNNNNNNNNNNNNNNNNNNNNNNNNNNNNNNNNNNNNNNNNNNNNNNNNNNNNNNNNNNNNNNNNNNNNNNNNNNNNNNNNNNNNNNNNNNNNNNNNNNNNNNNNNNNNNNNNNNNNNNNNNNNNNNNNNNNNNNNNNNNNNNNNNNNNNNNNNNNNNNNNNNNNNNNNNNNNNNNNNNNNNNNNNNNNNNNNNNNNNNNNNNNNNNNNNNNNNNNNNNNNNNNNNNNNNNNNNNNNNNNNNNNNNNNNNNNNNNNNNNNNNNNNNNNNNNNNNNNNNNNNNNNNNNNNNNNNNNNNNNNNNNNNNNNNNNNNNNNNNNNNNNNNNNNNNNNNNNNNNNNNNNNNNNNNNNNNNNNNNNNNNNNNNNNNNNNNNNNNNNNNNNNNNNNNNNNNNNNNNNNNNNNNNNNNNNNNNNNNNNNNNNNNNNNNNNNNNNNNNNNNNNNNNNNNNNNNNNNNNNNNNNNNNNNNNNNNNNNNNNNNNNNNNNNNNNNNNNNNNNNNNNNNNNNNNNNNNNNNNNNNNNNNNNNNNNNNNNNNNNNNNNNNNNNNNNNNNNNNNNNNNNNNNNNNNNNNNNNNNNNNNNNNNNNNNNNNNNNNNNNNNNNNNNNNNNNNNNNNNNNNNNNNNNNNNNNNNNNNNNNNNNNNNNNNNNNNNNNNNNNNNNNNNNNNNNNNNNNNNNNNNNNNNNNNNNNNNNNNNNNNNNNNNNNNNNNNNNNNNNNNNNNNNNNNNNNNNNNNNNNNNNNNNNNNNNNNNNNNNNNNNNNNNNNNNNNNNNNNNNNNNNNNNNNNNNNNNNNNNNNNNNNNNNNNNNNNNNNNNNNNNNNNNNNNNNNNNNNNNNNNNNNNNNNNNNNNNNNNNNNNNNNNNNNNNNNNNNNNNNNNNNNNNNNNNNNNNNNNNNNNNNNNNNNNNNNNNNNNNNNNNNNNNNNNNNNNNNNNNNNNNNNNNNNNNNNNNNNNNNNNNNNNNNNNNNNNNNNNNNNNNNNNNNNNNNNNNNNNNNNNNNNNNNNNNNNNNNNNNNNNNNNNNNNNNNNNNNNNNNNNNNNNNNNNNNNNNNNNNNNNNNNNNNNNNNNNNNNNNNNNNNNNNNNNNNNNNNNNNNNNNNNNNNNNNNNNNNNNNNNNNNNNNNNNNNNNNNNNNNNNNNNNNNNNNNNNNNNNNNNNNNNNNNNNNNNNNNNNNNNNNNNNNNNNNNNNNNNNNNNNNNNNNNNNNNNNNNNNNNNNNNNNNNNNNNNNNNNNNNNNNNNNNNNNNNNNNNNNNNNNNNNNNNNNNNNNNNNNNNNNNNNNNNNNNNNNNNNNNNNNNNNNNNNNNNNNNNNNNNNNNNNNNNNNNNNNNNNNNNNNNNNNNNNNNNNNNNNNNNNNNNNNNNNNNNNNNNNNNNNNNNNNNNNNNNNNNNNNNNNNNNNNNNNNNNNNNNNNNNNNNNNNNNNNNNNNNNNNNNNNNNNNNNNNNNNNNNNNNNNNNNNNNNNNNNNNNNNNNNNNNNNNNNNNNNNNNNNNNNNNNNNNNNNNNNNNNNNNNNNNNNNNNNNNNNNNNNNNNNNNNNNNNNNNNNNNNNNNNNNNNNNNNNNNNNNNNNNNNNNNNNNNNNNNNNNNNNNNNNNNNNNNNNNNNNNNNNNNNNNNNNNNNNNNNNNNNNNNNNNNNNNNNNNNNNNNNNNNNNNNNNNNNNNNNNNNNNNNNNNNNNNNNNNNNNNNNNNNNNNNNNNNNNNNNNNNNNNNNNNNNNNNNNNNNNNNNNNNNNNNNNNNNNNNNNNNNNNNNNNNNNNNNNNNNNNNNNNNNNNNNNNNNNNNNNNNNNNNNNNNNNNNNNNNNNNNNNNNNNNNNNNNNNNNNNNNNNNNNNNNNNNNNNNNNNNNNNNNNNNNNNNNNNNNNNNNNNNNNNNNNNNNNNNNNNNNNNNNNNNNNNNNNNNNNNNNNNNNNNNNNNNNNNNNNNNNNNNNNNNNNNNNNNNNNNNNNNNNNNNNNNNNNNNNNNNNNNNNNNNNNNNNNNNNNNNNNNNNNNNNNNNNNNNNNNNNNNNNNNNNNNNNNNNNNNNNNNNNNNNNNNNNNNNNNNNNNNNNNNNNNNNNNNNNNNNNNNNNNNNNNNNNNNNNNNNNNNNNNNNNNNNNNNNNNNNNNNNNNNNNNNNNNNNNNNNNNNNNNNNNNNNNNNNNNNNNNNNNNNNNNNNNNNNNNNNNNNNNNNNNNNNNNNNNNNNNNNNNNNNNNNNNNNNNNNNNNNNNNNNNNNNNNNNNNNNNNNNNNNNNNNNNNNNNNNNNNNNNNNNNNNNNNNNNNNNNNNNNNNNNNNNNNNNNNNNNNNNNNNNNNNNNNNNNNNNNNNNNNNNNNNNNNNNNNNNNNNNNNNNNNNNNNNNNNNNNNNNNNNNNNNNNNNNNNNNNNNNNNNNNNNNNNNNNNNNNNNNNNNNNNNNNNNNNNNNNNNNNNNNNNNNNNNNNNNNNNNNNNNNNNNNNNNNNNNNNNNNNNNNNNNNNNNNNNNNNNNNNNNNNNNNNNNNNNNNNNNNNNNNNNNNNNNNNNNNNNNNNNNNNNNNNNNNNNNNNNNNNNNNNNNNNNNNNNNNNNNNNNNNNNNNNNNNNNNNNNNNNNNNNNNNNNNNNNNNNNNNNNNNNNNNNNNNNNNNNNNNNNNNNNNNNNNNNNNNNNNNNNNNNNNNNNNNNNNNNNNNNNNNNNNNNNNNNNNNNNNNNNNNNNNNNNNNNNNNNNNNNNNNNNNNNNNNNNNNNNNNNNNNNNNNNNNNNNNNNNNNNNNNNNNNNNNNNNNNNNNNNNNNNNNNNNNNNNNNNNNNNNNNNNNNNNNNNNNNNNNNNNNNNNNNNNNNNNNNNNNNNNNNNNNNNNNNNNNNNNNNNNNNNNNNNNNNNNNNNNNNNNNNNNNNNNNNNNNNNNNNNNNNNNNNNNNNNNNNNNNNNNNNNNNNNNNNNNNNNNNNNNNNNNNNNNNNNNNNNNNNNNNNNNNNNNNNNNNNNNNNNNNNNNNNNNNNNNNNNNNNNNNNNNNNNNNNNNNNNNNNNNNNNNNNNNNNNNNNNNNNNNNNNNNNNNNNNNNNNNNNNNNNNNNNNNNNNNNNNNNNNNNNNNNNNNNNNNNNNNNNNNNNNNNNNNNNNNNNNNNNNNNNNNNNNNNNNNNNNNNNNNNNNNNNNNNNNNNNNNNNNNNNNNNNNNNNNNNNNNNNNNNNNNNNNNNNNNNNNNNNNNNNNNNNNNNNNNNNNNNNNNNNNNNNNNNNNNNNNNNNNNNNNNNNNNNNNNNNNNNNNNNNNNNNNNNNNNNNNNNNNNNNNNNNNNNNNNNNNNNNNNNNNNNNNNNNNNNNNNNNNNNNNNNNNNNNNNNNNNNNNNNNNNNNNNNNNNNNNNNNNNNNNNNNNNNNNNNNNNNNNNNNNNNNNNNNNNNNNNNNNNNNNNNNNNNNNNNNNNNNNNNNNNNNNNNNNNNNNNNNNNNNNNNGUACAAAUUAAUAAGUUAUGCUCUUUGGAAGCAAACCUAAAUUCCAAGAGAAACAGAACUCAAAAAAUUUGCAAUUAUACGCAAAGGAAGUGAAGCACAGCAUUCUAUCACACAAACGAAUUGUAUAACAAGAGAUCGACAUAUCGAAUCAGAAGAACUCAAUUCAAAUUUGUCUCAAAAAUCAAAAUUAGAAGAUUUCACAUUUCGAGAGGAACAAGCGACAGGUCAGAUGCAAAAUUUUCAGCCACAACAUGCCACAAUUAACGGUUUAUUUCCAUGGAUUUAGAGAGCUGACUGACCUUUUGGCUUUUGGAAUUGAGAAGAUCGCGCGCCAAAAUGGAAGAGGGAAAGCGAAAGUGCGGGUUUUAAUAGGGUAUUGCAUUAGCAAAUUUAAUUAGUUUGCGAGGGUAAAAUAGGAAAGAGAUAUCACUAUUAACCUUUUUUUUAUAAGAAAAAAGAAUAAUAAAGAAUAUUUUAUUGUCAUUUGCAGCCUUUAAUUUUUUUUAAAUGCUAUUAGAAAAAUACGACGACAAAGAAAUGCUCUUUUUUUUAUUUUUUUCUUGAAGGUAAAAUCAAUUAUUUAGCUCCUUAUAUGUAAUCAAACUCCAUUUCUUACUUUAAGUCAUAUCCAACAGAACAACAAAGUAAUUAUUUUUUUUUUCAUUUAUUUUUGCAGAAAAUUAAUAACUUAAAAAUAUUGAAAGCUAUUGUAAAAUUUUUUAUUAUCAACCUCAUAAUUUAAUUUUUUUGGGGAAGAAUUGAUUUUUUUUUUUAUUUCCAAGAAUUUCAUUCUCUAGUUUUUCCAUUAAUAUUACUUAUCUUCAUACCCAUCUUAAUUAAAAUCUGUAGUUUUAUUCAAGAGUCAUGCUAUCCAUUCACUCGGACCAAAGGCUUUCCGCAGCAAUAUUAUUAUUUAAAGAGUAAUGAUAUAGCCACAGACUCUUGUACAAACUUAUUUUGUACAAACUGACGUGGCAUUAAUUCAUUGGUUGAAUGAAAAUAUAAAUUAAUAAAAACAAAUCAUGUGGGCCAAGUGAUAUUUAAUUCAACCAAUCUUAUCAUGCCACAUCAAUUUGUACAAAAUAAGUUUGUACAAGAGUUUGUGGCUGUAUCAUUACUCUUAUUUAAAUUACAACAAAGGGGAAAUCAAAUACGUCAUACAGAGGCUUAAAGCUCAAUCUACAAAAUCUAGAGCUCUCAACUACAUAAAUUACACUUGAUGAUCCUCUACAAGAUGAAGCUUGUUCAAUAUCUCAUCCAAAGCUUGUAAAGUAACCUUGUAACGAUCUUGAGAUUGCCUGCCUUCCUCGACGACCUGCACCAUGCGUUUGUACAAAUCAUCAUACCUGUGCACCGGAUUUUUAAUAUCAACGCCACUGCAGCUGUGAUCAAGAACAUAAGAGCGUUUAACAUCUUUUCUCCAUCGAGAAAGAAUGUAGUGAGAUGGGAUCUCCUCCAUACCACUCUGGUUUGGAACACAAAGAAUGUGUCUGCAUAAAUAUCCUCUGAAAUUGAACAACCCACAAACACAAAGCACCUCCAAGUCGGAGGCAUUGUACAAAACAUCGAAAGCCCUUGAAUCUUUCUCGUUGCUACCAACCUCAAAUUCUUCCUUCACUAUGUAUGUUAUAGGUCCAUCAGCACUGACAUGUUUUGUGCUAUAGCAAGAGUACAUAGCCUCCACCUCCGUCUGAAACUUCCUUAACAGUUCAUUUGUGUACACUUUUGAGAGUUGAAAUUCAUAGUAACAUCUUGGUUUCUGGAUACAACUUGAAUUUCUUGAAUCCAUAUCUGCCAAGGCUUCCAGUUGAUAAUUCGCCUGCAGUGCUUGAUCAUAUUUGUCUAAGUAUUCUUUCAAAGGAGUAUUCUUAUCAAGAUAUCCUUCAAAGUAUGAAGUAGAAACCUCACUCAGCAGGAAUGAAAACACUCCUGAUAAAAAUGUUUCCUUCAAAUAAACAGGAGCCCAACUUUUACGAUCCUCAUAUAAAGUUUGAAUCCAUCCAUGAUCCCUUAUUCCAUGACGUUGAAUCGUGUCCUCCCAAGCUGUCUCAAAUUCCUCAGGCCUCAGAGAGUGACAAAUUGCUCUAUGCAAUGCAGCACUAAUAGCUUCAUAUUCAAAAUAUCCUUGGAGAUUCUCUGGAAUUUUUUGCAUGACGCAUGACAAUGAAAAACAAUGAUAAGCUCUUGGGAAAACAUCGCCGACAGCAGUUUGCAAGAUCUACAUUGGUCAGUGAUGAUUGUUUGUGGAGAGCGUCCUAACAUACAUGUAAGCCACACCCUAAACAACCAUGUAUAUGAUUCGAUAGUCUCACUGGCAAGUAAACCACAGCCCAACAGCACUGAUUGUCCAUGAUGAUUCACCCCAAUGAACGAAACCAGCGUUGCAUCAUAUCUUUCUGUCAAGCAUGUAGUAUCAAUUGAUUUGAGCUAUUAACAUCAUUUCCAAAUACUCCAUUGGCAUCUACAUUACCAUUUCCCUCGGCAUCAAUGAUAAGAGUUCGAAACAGUCUAAUUUUUUUAACUUCUUCAGCACCAUCUAAGCGCAAUGUUCUUUUGGUUCCAAUACCUAUGUGCUUAUGAGACUUGUAAAACUUCCCGCUUCUUGGGCUUAACAAGUGGUUAUGCUCAAGCUCGACUUCAAUGAUUCUCCACCUUUUGGUUUCCAUCAACCUAAACUUUAUCAUUGCUGGACAGCCCGUUCUUGUUUCUGGUCUUGGGCGGUUUGCCUCGCUUUUCUUCUUGAAGCCUGCAUUACUACAGCUGAGCUUUCCUUUAUACUUUUCUCUACUCUUUCGGGACCAUGUAUUGCUAACUCUAACACCAAAACCCUGCUCCUUGGCAUAACAAUUAUAAAAGUAAUAUACGUCAUCAUACGUCUCAAACUCCAUUCCAACAGCAGGAUUCAAUGGAUUUUGGAUUAUCCCAGUUUGUCCAACAUAUUCAGUCAUCGCACAAUCUCUACGACCUCAACAUCAUCAGUGUCAUCAUCACGUACUGGUUCGGUGUUGAGAGAAACUUCAUCCAUCUACAAUGGAUGUUCAAUAAAGUGAGCUUUAAGGAGAAAAAGCAAAAUCAGUUCAAGGAAUGAUAAUAUAAUCAUACAGUUACUUUCACAAAGCUUCAUAUUUCAUAACUGCUUUACCAACAUGCUACUGCCAGAGAACAAACAGACAUGUCAUAGACGAUUGAAUUAAAUAUUGGUACAAAUGAGCACACAUCAUGUGGGACAAAAUUUCAGUCACUAAACCCAAUGCCUUUUUUUUUUUCACAUCAUACCAAGGAACGGAUUAAACCCAAUACCUUCUUUUACGCCAUACCAAAGAACAGAUUAAAUCAUCAAUGAAAAUUUAAUCAAAUAAUAAUUUAACUAGACAAUUGAAGAGCUUGAAACAGCACAAAACUUGAAUCUGAUUCUGAUAAUUGUUGAGUCCUUGUAUCCACAGCUUUCCUUCAAUGAGAAGAUUAUGAACAUAAACUACACAUAAAAAAAUUAUUUAAACUGACAGCCCAUGGUAUAAAUCAAACAAAAUUAACUCCUUUUACAAAUCACAUCUCGUAUUCAGUUACAUUGAAACACAAAAAAGGAAGCAGGAGCCGGAGAAAAACAACAACAGAGAAACUUAUUUCCAGAAGGUUUACGAAAUAAGGAAUUUAUUAAGACACAAAAUUUGAGGUCAACAAUAAGAAUUUGGUUCUCAUUCUCUUUUUCUUCAUUUUUCACUUAUUGAUGGAGUUAGCGUACAAUCCUAUAUGAUAAAACCCCAUCUCCAUCUUUUUGAACUAGAGCUAAAGCAAAGCUUUUUGAGAUGUUUUUCCCUAAAAAACUCAAUCGUACAAAGUUUUUCAAUAUUAAAUACACAACUCAAUCUUCUCCUAACUAACUCUAAUAAUCUCUUAACUAAGGAAGAUUAAGCUCCACUUGUAAGCUAAAACAAGUUUCUUAAAUCAAGCCCCAAUGCUCUAUACUAUUCAACAAGGCCUCAUAAAUGAUAAAACUACCUCUGCAAAGAUACCCAUUUUAAUUUUGCAAACUAAAAUCAAACUUCUGAAACGUAACGAGCAUUAAAACAAACAAGUCCGAACAAGAACUGAAAAAUGAUACAUAAACCCGUUUACACGUUUCGAAAAACACUUUGAAAUUCAAACGAAACAUACCUUAGGUUGAUAAAUUAGUAGCGCAAAAGAAAUUUUAGUGAGAUAUGGGAUCAGGGUUUUUGCCACUGUGAUGUUAAUUGCGACAUUGGGGUGACUCAGCAGCCUUCGAGGCUGAAACUUUGAUUGACCAAAAGUUUCCCGUUCGUUGAUUACCUAAUGUGUUCGCUGAUUUGAUAAUUCUGUUAAAAUCAUUGUUUUUUUUUCAGAUUUUUAAUGUGUUCGAUAAAAUAUCAAAAUCUCAAAAACUUUUGUCUUUCAUUUUGGGGGGAAAAACCCCAUUGAGAUCCUUAUGUUUUUUCUUAUAUAAUCUGGCUUAAUAAUUUGCAAAGUCUAUUACUUAGCACCCAUGCAUGCUGCGUUUCAAUUUACAAAAUUGUACGAGUGCAUCCAGCUAAAAUUUGUAAAAGAAAAUAACAAUAACAUGUUAAAAAUGUGAUUAUUAAGAAGAAAUUUUAAUUUAGUUAAAUAGGUGACGAUGGAUAGGUAUAAAAUCUGAGAUCUUUUAUGAGAUUAAUAAAUAUGUUGAGUUUGGAUCAGUUCAAUUUUGACAUAAUACGGAAUAAACACAACCUGCUAAUCUAAGUUAUCAUCUUUUCUCGUCAUCAGGUACCUGUUUGAAAAAUAAUUAUAUACAAUUUUAUUUGCGUUGUCUCUCUAAAAAUUUGGGACUCAAAUGUUAUUUCUAAUUGCUAAAAGUACGAAAAUGCCCCAUUUCUCUUCAGCUAAAGGAGUGCAAAGUCAUCUGUAUAAUUGAAUCUGCAUCAUCAGUUUCUAUUGCUGGUGUUACUGCAUGCUUACAGUUGCUUGACAAAGUGAGCCAGUUUUUUGUUUAUUAAUUUUUUUUCUUGUCGAGACAGUCACAAAGUAUUACUUGUUCUAUUUGAGAAUGAUGUGAAUCAAUUUUUCAAUUAUGCAUUCUGUGGUAAUUAUUGUGAAUUUAGUUUCAUUUGUCUUGUCUCCUGCAAAUUAUGAAGAAAAUGCAGACAUACAAACUUACAAUAUGUAUUUGCGUUAGUAUAAAAACAAUUGUUAGAUGAUUAAAGCGAAUUUGUUUUUUUACAGCAUUUGAUUGUAUUAGUUAAAAUCAUUUUUUAAGGAUAAAAAUAAAUAGAAAAUUAUUCUCAUGUAGUGUGGAAAUCUUUUCUAAUUUCUUGUUGACUUGUACAUUUAUUUCAGAAUUUCCAUUCAUUCUACUGUUUUAAUCUUUGACUUAGUUACCGUAGUUGACUUUUCAUAUCAAAGGCUUAAACAGCAUGCAUUUUUGAAUUGACUGAGAAUAAUUUGGUGGACAAAUUACAAGGACUUUAAAUGGUUGAAUUGACUGUGGGUUUUUCAUGCCCAAGUCACUCACGUCCUUUCAUCGAAACAAAGUGCCCGGUGCAAAUGGUGUGAUGUAAAACACCUUUUUAAAUUGUCAUUUUUUUCCUUUGCUUUUGCUUUAAUUUUCUAAAUGCUCAACGCCAUAAAUCCAUGCAUUCUUAAUUUUCGUUUGCUGUAUUGAUUCCCAACCCUCUAUGUCACAAGGUUUUGAAUGCCAGUAAUUAAGUUAAAUUAAACAUAUUUUAAGUCCUACUUUAAAUUAUUGAAAAAUGUAUUAUGGUUGAACUGAAUUUUAACUAAAAAAUAUAUACAAAAUAAAAGAUUAAUCAUAUCUUUUUAUGAGGAAGGUCAGUCAUCAUUCUGACCACAGACACUUAAAAUUAAUUGAGUGGAAUAUUGCAAAAUAUAUAUAAACCAUGCCAAAACUAGAUGUUUGAGUAAUGAAAACGAGAAUUCAUAUGACUCAGAAAUAUGGUCGCUUUCCUUUUUCUGAAAGGCAAAAAAAAAGGGGGAACCAAAAAGCACCAAAAUGAACAAAAAUGGAAGGCGAAGGUAAGCAGACAUGUUAUAUGUUUUACCUAAGAUGCCAAAUGCAACUCCCCAUUGAUGGUGAUCGAACAUUAUGGCCAUUUUCUUAGUAAACAAAAAAUGAAUUUUGAACACUCAACAACGAAACUUGAGCAGAAGAUCAAGCAAGGGCCUCGAUCUCAAAGAAGAUACUAUGAAACCCUACUUAAUGGUUAAAUAACUUUCAUUCAGCUUUGGACCCUAUUUCGUGAUACGGAAAGACAAACCUUUCUUGGCCGGCAGUGUCCCAGAUCUGGGCUUUGAUGAUCUAGAGGUUGAUGGUGACAGUUCUGGUUUGGAACUCGACGCCAAUGGUUUAUUUCGAUUCAAAGCAAAACUCAUUCUUGGUGAAUCUCGAAAGAAUCUGAGACUUGCCCACGGCCGAGUCACCGAUCACCACUACCUUGAAUACAUAGUCUAUUUUGUCAGGAAUCAUAUUCUCUCGUUGUUGAUGACGAUGAUCGGUGCCAUCACCACUCAUUUCUUCGUUCAUUCAUUCUAUGUCCAUUGAUCUUUUUGAAUUAUUGAAGACAAGUGGCUCACCGCUUUUAGUAUUGGUAAAAUUCAGAUAAUCUCUAUUCCGAAAUAAUAAUAUUCAAAAUAUCUCUUAAAUCAUUAUAAACUUCAAAUCUAUUUUAAUUUUAUUUAAAAAAUAAAAGAAAAAUAAGUUAUGUUGGUGAUUUUUUAUUAUCUUUUUAAUAAAAAUAGAAUAAAUUGAUGUUUAUAAUUAUUUAAAGUAUUUUAAAGAUUGCUAUUUUAUGAGAGAAUAAUAUUUCAUUUUUUUUUUCGUGUGAAAGACCGAAAAAGGACAAAGCAAGUUUCCCUAAUUUUUAUUUUAUGUGAAAUUGGUCAUCUCAUAUACUUUACCCUUCAACACUCUAAUUUUUUUUUAGGGAUGGCAAAAAUCCCCAAGGGGACGGGUACCCUCGGGAAUUUUCCCUAUUCGGGAAGGGUACGAGGAUAAUUUUAUACCCAAUUUUUUAUUUGGGGAGGGGACGGGGAUAAUUUUUUACCCAAUUUUUUAUUCGAGGAGGGGACGGGGAUGAGGUGGAAUCCCCAUCCCCUACCCAUUUCCCCAUUUUAAUUUUUAUUUUUAUUUUUAUUUUUAAAAUUACUAAUAAAUAAAUAACAAAAUUAUAAAUAUUGUUAAAAAUAAUAAAUAUUACAAUAUUUAUAUUAUUAAAUGCUAAUAGGUAUCCUACAUUAGCUCGAAUUGCUAGAGAUAUUUUGGCAAUUUCAAUUACAACAGUUGCUUCUGAAUCAGCUUUUAGCAGCGGUGGUAGAGUUGUGAGCCCACACCGUAACAAACUUCAUCCAAGCACAUUGGAGGCCUUAAUGUGCUGUCAAAGUUGGUUACGAGCUUACAAUAGCAGUAUGAGUUUAUUUUACAUUGUAAUUAUAUUAUACAGUUAUUAAUAUUUACACUUAUAAGUUACUUUACUUAUAUCAUUUUCAUUGUUUUAGGUUUGAAAUCUGAGGCUAUCUCUCAAUUUGCCACAUUUCUCGAGGAAGAACAGGAGGAGCAGGACGAGCAGGAGGUAAAUAGUUUUAUUAAAAAUAUUAAUUAAGUAUCUACAUUUAUUUCAUUUAUUUUAUUGUCGAUAUAAAAAUAAUUUUUUUUCUUUUUAUUGUAGGAUUAUGAAGAUUCUGACAAAGGAUAAUUUAUUUUUUUUAAUAAUUUAUAUUUUGAAUGUGACUUUGUAAUGGAUCAAUAUUAAUGUAAGAUAUAUUUUGAACUUUAUUUUUAUCUGAAUUUUUUAUUUUAAUAUGAUUAAUUUAAAAUCGAAAAUAAAAAAAAUGUAUUAGACUAUUAGUUAUUCGGGGACCGGGGACCCUCGGGGAUCCCCUGUUAUUAUUCGGGGAGGGGAUGGGGAUUCUCUCAAGCAAUUCUGACGGGGACGGGGACAUUCGCAAAAUAUCGGGGAUGGGUAUGGGGAGAUUGGUCCCCUCCCCUCCCCUCCCCAUUGCCAUCCCUAAUUUUUUUGGUUAUAAUUUUAUUAUUUUUAAGAUUUCAAUAAGUGACUGAGAUUCAAAUAAUAUCCUUUAAUUCUAUUAACAAAAAACAAAGACUCAAAUAUUUUAUGAUAAAUAAAAAUAUAAUAUUAAAAUAUAUGUGAUAAUAUACACAUUUUAAAUACUUUCAAUCCAAAAAAAUAGUUAUGUUUUACAAUCUAUUAGACAUCUUUUAUUAAAUUAAUAUAAAUUUUCUAUAAAAUAAGAAUAUAAUAUUAAAAUAAAUUCACAAAAAUUUAAAGAAUUUUGAAUGUAAAAUAAUUUUAAUAUAUUAAUACGUGAGUUUUUUUUAUUAAUAUAAAAAUUAUUUAACUUUAAGAUUUUUUAAAAUCUUUACAAUAAGUAUAACUAUAUUAUUUACAUUUUAAAAUAUUUAAAUAUUAUUAACCUACAAUUAUAUUUGCAUUUGUUAGAAAUUUUUUAAAUCAAAUAUUUUGCACUUCUAUAUUAUUAGAAUUAUUGCACACAAAUAAAGAAACAUAUACCUUUAGAAAUUGUUUUCUUUUAAAAAACAGAUGAUGAUUAGUAUAAGGAUGAAAAAAAGGAUAAAGAAUAUUAAUGAUUAACGAAAUUUCUAUACAAAUUGAUUUUAGUAGGAAAAGAGUGAGAUGAAUGAUUUCUUUUACAGUUAGAAACAUAGAUGAUGAUUAUUAUACGAAGAAAAAAGAUAAAGAAUAUUAAUUAUUAAUGGAAUCUCUAUGCAAAUUGAUUUUAGUUGGAAAAAAAAAUGAGUUAAAUGAUUUAGAGUGCGUUUGGAAUUGAGAUUGGGCAGCCAUAGAUUUUAAGUUACAACACUGAAGUGUUUGGUAAAUACUAGCUGCUGCAGAUUGAAAGUUAUGUUGAUAUGAUUUUUCACAUGUAUCAUAGAAAAUAUAUUACAUCUUUAAUAAUUUUUUAAAAAUUUAUAUUUGCUAUAUAUUAUUUUUUUUUUUAUAGUUAUAACUUUUUUUCCACAGCAGCUGUAGCUUAAAAGCCACAGUACCUUAACCUCAAACAAGUCCUUAGACAGUCAUAGUGUGUUUAUUUUUUGGAUUGGUGAAUCAAAAUUAUUGACAACGCUAACUUCAUCUUUACCGUUUGCAAUCCAACAGCAGCAAUUGUCACCAAUAAUGAUGAUGACAAUUAUUAUUAUUAUUAUUAUUAUUAUUAUCAUCAUCAUCAUCAUCAUCAUCAUCAUCAUCAUCAUCAUUAUGAUCAUCAUUAUUAUUAUCAUCAUCAUUAUUAUCAUCAUCAUUAUUAUGAUUUUUAUUAUUAUUAUCAUUAUUAUUAUUAUCAUUAUUAUUAUCAUUAUCAUUAUCAUUAUUAUUAUUAUUAUUAUUAUUAUUAUUAUUAUUAUCAUUAUUAUUAUCAUUAUUAUUAUCAUUAUUAUUAUUAUUAUCAUUAUUAUUAUCAUCAUUAUUAUUAUCAUUAUUAUUAUUAUCAUUAUUAUUAUCAUUAUUAUUAUUAUUAUUAUUAUCAUUAUUAUUAUUAUUAUUAUUAUUAUUAUCAUUAUUAUCAUUAUUAUUAUCAUUAUUAUUAUUAUUAUCAUUAUUAUCAUUAUUAUUAUUAUUAUUAUUAUCAUUAUUAUUAUCAUUAUUAAUUAAUUAAUUAAUUAAUUAAUAUAUUAAUGUUAUUAUUAUUAAGAUUAAGAUUAACAAUAAUUAUUAGUAAUAAAAUUUUUUGAAUAAAAAUAAUCACAAGAAUUAAAAUUCAAAUUAAUAUUUAUGAUAAUAGUUAAUUAAUGUCUUUUUAGUAUUUUAUAAUAAUCUAACUCAUUUUGAUUCUGAUUAUUAUAGCUUAAGUAAACAAAUUAUUAUGAUUCCUAUUCUCCUUUCCCAUUUUAACUCACUUCGAUUCCAGUCUAUUCCGAUUUCUAUAUAAUAAAUGCACCAUUAGUGCUAAAGUAAUAUUUCAUACAUAGAAAAAUAAAAACUACACCUAAGGUUAAGGGAAAGGACUUCAAAACUCUCUUUUGAUCAUAAUACAUUUUGUCCUAAUUAACUUAAAGAUUUUGAAUCUAAUAUUUUAUAAUAAAUAAAAAUAUAUUCCUAAAAUAAAUAUAAUAUCAAUAUUUAAAAUACGUUUUAAUAUUUUACAAUCUAUCAUACACAUUUUAUUAUAUUAAAGUAGAUUUUAUAAUAAAUAUAUAAAAAAAUUAGAAUAUUUAGAAUAUUAUAUAAAAUAAUUUUAAUAUAAUGCGUGAGAUAUAUUUUAUUAAUUUAAAAUGUUAUUUUACCUAAAAAAUAUGAUAAAUUAAUAAUUACAUAUUUGAAGUUAUUUCAAAUAUUAAAAAAUUUUAAUAUUAUUAGUCUUUUAGAUAGAUUAAAUUAUUUUUUUUAUAAGAGAUAGAUUAAAUUAUUUUAAAAUGCCUUAAUUGUUUUUACUUUUAACGUUACCGGCCUUUCUUUUAUUUUAUUGCAAAUUAAUGCUACCAAGAAAAGGCUAGAUCAUAUUCCACAAAAGCAAAAGUGACAAACCCAACCAGCUGGAAUCUUUUAUAAAACUACAAAUUAAAAUGGAUUUUUUUUUGAUAAAUUACAUAUGAAAGUGGAUUCUUUUGAAUAUAAGUGGGGUAGGCAGAAAUCUGAGGUCCAUAAUGCUACUUGUUUCCAAGGCUGUCAUGGGGCAAUUUGCUGGACACCUCCUCAGUUAGGUUGGCUUAAGUGUAAUGUUGAUGCCGCAACAUUUUCAGCUCAGGGAAAAGUGAGUUAUGGAGGGGUCAUUCGCAACUCUGAUGGGCUUUUUGUGGCAGCUUGCUGUGCAUCUGUCCUGGGUAGUUUUGGUGCAAGGGAUGCUGAAGCGCUUGGUGUGCGUGAGAUCCUCAGCUGGAUUAAGAAGCGACAUUUGUCUUGUGUUGUAGUAGAAUUGGACUGCAUUCAGGUUUUUAAAGCUCUCACAGCAAGCUAUUCUUGUCCUAAUGGGUAUGGUCUUAUUCUUGAUGAUUGUCUAGCUUUAGCUAAGUCUAUAGGAGAUAUUGAGUUCUCUUUUGUUCGAAGGUCUGCGAACACUGCCGCCCAUGUUACUGCUCGGGUGGGGGGUUCUUUGUCAGGCUUUGAGGAGUGGAAUCAUGUUCCACCUCCUUGGUUAUUUUCUUCUCUGUAAUCUUUGCCCUUUAAUGAAGUUUCCAGUUUCAAAAAAAAAAAAGUGGGGUAGGCUCUUUUAUUUUUUAUUUUUAAUACUGUAUAAUAGGACUGUAGACUUUUUUAUUAAACUACAAAUUGUAGUCUUUUUAAAAUUGUUCAGAUAUUUAUAAAUUGGUGGCCCCUACAAUCCUCAAUAAUUGUACCGAUAUUCACAAGUUGGUGGCCCCUACAAUUCUGUUCCGAUAAUUUAAUUGUGCAAGUGCUCAUUCACAAUCUUCCAGGUCAUGCUCUUAAUAAUUGUUUUUUUUUUCUGCAUUCCCUUUCAUGCUCUUAAUAAUUGAAGAGCAUACUUUUCAUUUUCAAAUGUGGAGCCGCAUCUAAUGUCGCUAAUUUAAUUUGGGAUUAAAUUUGGGGACCAUUAUAUUGCAGUGUGUACUAAUUUUUGUGUUUAUCUAAACUCCUUAAAUUUAAGACAUAUUAUAGCAUAAAUAAGAAUAUAACAAUAACAAAAGAGUUAGAAAGUGUAGAGAAGAUCUUGCAGAAAUAUAAAUAAUAUCUAUUUUAAAAUAAUAUCAAUAUUUAAAAUAAUUUAAAAUAUUUUAUGAUCCAUUAGAUAUAUUUUAUUAUAUUAAAAUAGAUUUUAUAAUAAAUAAAAACAUACUAUUAAAAUGAAUAUCUAGAAAAUUUAGAGUAUUUUAAGUAUUACAUAAAAUAAUUUUAAUAAAAUAUGUGAGAUAUUCAUAUUUUAUUAAUUUAAAAUACCAUUUAACCUAAAGAUUUAUUUAUGAUAAAUUAAUAAUUAUAUUUUUGAAAUUACUUCAAAUAUUAAAAAAUUAAUAUUACUAAUCUAUUAGAUAGAUUAAAUUAUAUAUAUUAUUUUCUAUUUAUAAAAAAAUUUUAAAAUUAUUUUUAAUUACUAUUCAAAAAACAUAAUGAUAAAAAAAAAUCUUAACAUCUUUAUUAAAAAUUUAAAAAUUUACACGAUCAAUUCUCUAAAUAUUUAGGGUAUAUGUGAAAAUCGGUGGAGAAGCUUUAUUUAAUAUUAUUGAUUUAAAUAAUAUGUCAAUUAAAAAUGUACAGAGAAGAAAUUUAUGAAAGAGCAAAGGAUAUUCCUGAUAGCUGAUAGAGCUCUUUUUGAUUAUGUAUUCAGUGAAUGGAUGUGUUGUUGGAAGAUAUGUGAGUGUAUUAGUUCAUUUGUGUCUGUCAAUGUGCUUUUAAUGAUUUUUCCACCUAUUUGUUGUAAAAGAUGAUUGUAAAUUGAAAUGAAUUUGAUGUAAUAUUUUCUCAUUAGUGGAAUUUCACUUGGUAUGUGUUCAAUUGUAUUGUCUAUAAUUUUGCAUUCGAAUAAGUUUCCACCUAAAAUAUUAGCACGAGUAGUAGCCCUUGAAACUUUAGUCAAAUUAUUGUUAUAAUUUCUUAGUAGGGGUAAACUUUUUAUAAAACCUCGUUAACACAAUUCUUAAUUAAUGGUGUGUUUACUUCAUGAAAUAGGGAAUGAGAAUAAAACUAAUGUUUACUUGGCAAAAUGUAAUUUGAGAAUUAGAAUAAAAUGGAUUAUAAUGAUGAAAAAAAGGACAAAGAAUAUUAAUGAUUAACGAAAUCUCUAUGCAAAUUAAUUUUAGUAGGAAAAAAGUUCGAUGAAUGAUUUCUUUUACAGCUAGAAACAUAGAUGAUGAUUAUUAUAAGGUUGAAAAAAAAAGAUAAAGAAUAUUAAUUAUUAAUGGAAUCUAUAUGCAAAUUGAUUUUAGUAGGAAAAAAGCGAGUUAAAUGAUUUAGACAUUCAUAGUGUGUUUAUUUUUUGGAUUGAUGAAUAAGAAUUAUUGACAACGCUAACUUCAUCUUCAUUGUUCGUUAUCCAACAAUAGCAAUUGUCGCCGAUAAUGAUACCUCCAAUGAUGAUGAUGAUUUUAUUAUUAUUAUUAUUAUUACUAUUGAUAAAAAUUAUUAUAAUUAAUUAAUAUAUUAAUGUUAAUAUUAUUAUUAUUAUUAAGAUUGAUAAUAAUUACUAAUAAUAAUAAUUUUUUGAAUAAAAAUAAUCACAAUAAUUAAAAUAAAAAUUAAUAAUUAUGACAAUAGUUAAUUAAUGUCUUUUUAGUAAUUUUUAAUAAUGUAACUCAUUUUGAUUUUGAUUAUUACAAUUCAAGUAAACAAAUUAUUAUGAUUCAUAUUCUCUAUUCCCAUUUCAGCUCACUCUGAUUUCAGUUCAUUUCGAUUUCUGUCUAAUAAACGCACCAUUAGUGCUAUAGUAAUAUUUCAUAUAGAGAAAAGUAAAAACUAUACCUAAGGUUAAGGGAAAUGACUUCAAAACUCUCUUUUGACCAUAAUACAUUUUGUCCUAAAUUUAACGAUUUUGAAUCUAAAAUUUUACAAUAAAUAAAAAUAUAUUCCUAAAAUAAAUAUACUAUCAAUAUUUAAAAUAUGUUUUAAUAUUUUACAAUCUAUCAGACACAUUUUAUUAAAUUAAAGUAAAUUUUAUAAUAAAUACAAACGUACUAUUAAAAUGAAUAUAUAAAAAAUUUAGAGUAUUUUGAAUAUUAUAUAUGCGUAAGAUAUAUUUUAUUAAUUUAAAAAGCUAUUUUACUUAAAAAUUUAUUUAUGAUAAAUUAAUAAUUACAUUUUUAAAAUUAUUAAAAAAAAUUAAUUUUUUUUUAUAUUAUUAAUCUUUUGAAUAGAUUAAAUUGUUCUUUAAGAGAUAGAUUAAAUUAUUUUAAAAUGCCUUAAUUGUUUUUACUUUUAACGUUACCGGCCUUUCUUAUAUUUUUUUGCAAAUUAAUGCUAACAAGAAAAAGCUAGAUCAUAUUCCACAAAAGCAAAAGUGACAAAACAACCAGCUGGAUUAUUUUAUUAAUCAACAAAUUAAAAUGGAUUUUUUUUAAAACUACGUAUGAAAGUGGAAUCUUUUGAAUAUAAGUGGGGUAGGCUCCCUUUCAAAAAAAAAAAGUGGGGUAGGCUCUUUUAUUAAAGACAAGUAUUGAGUAGUCAAGACUAACUAUGGCCAAUGGGCCGUGCCGUGCCGUGCCUACAUUUUUUUCACUUGAGCCUGGCACGGCCCACGGCACGAGCCCUCUCGUGCCGUGCUCGUGCCGUGCCGUGGGCCGUGCCCAAAAAAAGCCCACCAACUUUUUUUUUUUUUUAGCGUGCCUAAAAAAGCCCACGUGCCUAGCGUGCUUUAUUCAAGCCCACGUGCCCGACGUGCUUUUUUAAGCCCACCAACAUAAUACUAAUAAUAAUAUUCACAAUCAUAAUCAUAUUAAUUUUUAUUAAGAGAGCAAUUAACAUUUUAUUAUUAUUUUAUCACAAUUUCACAACUAUAUAUUUUAUUUCACAAUAAUCAAUCAUAAUUCAUAACACAACAAUACAUAAAUUUAAUUAAAUUUAAUUCCAUAGAUCAUAAUAAUAAUUAAUUAAAAUUAAAAAUACAAUCCUCGAAUAAUCAUUACAAUAAGUCAUAACUACGAAAUAUUAAUAUAACAAAUCAUAGAUCACAACUUACAAGUUACAACUACAAAACACGAACUACGAUCAAUUGACGAAUAACAAGCACGAAAAAAACAUUUAUUAAUCACAAUUAACUAAGUUAUGAUUUAAUAUUAAUAUGAAAAAUAUUUCAUAUGAAAAAUAUUUUAUUAUUAAUUUUGUAAAAAAAUUUAUUUUUUUAUUUAUAAUUUAUAAAUUUAUGAUAUUUAUAACCUUAUUUAUUAAAAUCAUGAUAUUUAAUUAUUUACUUAUUCAUUUAAUAAAUUAUAAACAUAAAUAAAUAAUUAAAUAAAUAUCAUAAAUAAAAUUAAAUAUCAUAAAUAACAUUAUUCAUUUAAUAAAUAUCAUAAAUAAAAUUAUGAUAUUUAUAAUUUUAUUUAUUAAAAUCAUGAUAUUUACUUAUUCAUUUAAUAAAUUAUAAACAUAAAAGAUUAGAAUAUUUAUUUAAACUAAGAUUUAAUGAUUUAAAUUAAUUUUUAAAAGUCUAUGCUAAAAAAUAUAUUAAAACAUUUAAUUUCAAGAUAUUGUACUUUAAUUUCAUAACAUUUUAUAUUUACUUUUUGUUAAAAAAAUUUACUUAGAUAUAUUUUGGCCCACGUGCUAUUAAUAGCUCACGGACCGCGUGCUAGCCCACUAAUGAACCGUGCUUAUUACGUGCUUUUUCGCGUGCCGUGCUUUGGCCCAUCUCUAAUCGUGCUGUGCUUUAAGGCCCACGUGCCUAAAAUUCUAGGCCCGGCACGGCCCACGUGCGUGCCGUGCUGUGCCUCGUGCCUCACCGAAACGUGCUCGUGCCGUGCCGUGCCGUACGGACACGUGCCGUGCCCGUGCCGUGCCACGUGCCGCCCGGCCCAUUGGCCAUCUUUAGUCAAGACGAUUAGGGUCUUUUAUUAAAGGGAGAUUGUCAAUUUUUUCUCUAUAAUAAUUAACAUAUAUUAUUAUUUUUUUUAUAAUGUCAAAAAAUUCUCUUGAUAAUAUAAAUUUAUAAUAUUACUCUUAUUUUUAACUACUCUUUUAUUUAUAUUUAUUAUAAAUUAAAUAAAUCACAUAAAUAGAACUAAAUAAAAACUUAAGCAUUAAAACCAAGAAAUAUAUGUUUUGAUAUAAAUAAUAAAAUUAAUAAUAAUUUUUUUAUACUUAUUUAUUUUGUGAAAAUUUUCUUACAAUAAAUAUAUAAGAAAAUUAUUAGUAAAAUGAUAAAAAAAUUAUUAUAAGAAAAUUUGAAUGACAAAUAAAAAUUUAUUACAAGAUAAAUAAUAAAAUGUUUUGCCUAUACUUUUACAUUUAAUUUUAAAAUAUUAUAAAAUAUUUAUUAUAAGAAAAUGUUCACAAAAUAAAUAAUUAUAAGAACAAAUUUUAUUAUUAAUUUUUUUGCUCAUAUUAAAACAUAUUUUUCUUAUUUUUAAUACUUAAUUUUUUUAUUUAGUUUAUAUUCAUAUAAUUUAUUUAAUUUAUAAUAAAUAUAAAAUAAAAAAAUUAAAAAUAAAUAUAAUAUUAUAAACUUAUACUGUUAAGGAAUUUUUAGUUAUUAUAAAAACAGAAAGAAAGUAAAUGAUAUAUGUUAAUUAAUUUAGAAAAAAUAGCAAUCCCCUUUAUUAAACUACAAAUUGUACAGGCAUUUAUAAACUGGUGGCCCCUACGGCGUCAAUUAUUGUUCCGAUACAUAUAAAUUGGUGGCCCCUUAGAAAUUUAAUUACAAGUCUGCAAGUGCCAUCAGAGAAAAAUCAUCAUUCACAAUCUUCCAAGAGAAACGGGGGAUAUACAAAGAUUAAGACAUGUCAUUCAUUGUUUUUUUUGUUGGCUGCAUGUGCAUUCCCUUUCAUGUUCUUAAUAAUUGAAGACAAGUUGUUCAUUACAUGCAUACUUUUCAAAUGUGGUGCCGCAGCUUAUGUCCUAUUUUAAUUUAGAAUUAAAUUAGGGGAAUAUUAUACGCUUAUUUUUAUGUUUAUCUAAACUCCUUAAAUUUUAGAUAGAUUAUGGCGUAAAUAAGAAUAUAACAAUAACAAAAGAGUUAGAAAGCAUAUUAAAGAUCUUUCAGAAAUAUAAAUAAUAGUGCUCAAUUAAAUAACACAGAACAUCUGAAUUGAAUAGUGAUUAUCAAGACUGUGUUACUUGCACUUCUAUUUAUAGAAAAUCUUGGUUCUGUUCCAUUAAAGUUUUUAUCUUCAAAAUCUUGUAAAGUUUUAACAAUCACAAAUGCUCAGCUUGCUUGAUCUAUAUUUGUAUGAUAUGAAUCCAAAUUUUUGUGUUCUGUUUUUCCUAAUUUUCAACACGGAUUCUUUUCUUCUUGGGCAAAUCAGAAAGAAAUGUUGUAUUAAAAAAAAUGGAAAUAACUUCAUGAGAACAAAAAUUCAAAAAAAUAAUAUAAAGUUUAUAUUUAGACUUUUGAGGUAUAUUUUAAUUUUCAACAAUGAGUUAAAGAAAAUAAAUAUCUCAAAAUAAAAUAAUAAAUAAAGUAAAUAAAAGUUUAGAGAUUUAAUUUUUUAGUAUUAGAUUCUUUAAUUUAAACAUUCUCUUAAUUAAUUAUCACUUAAAAAAGAGUUUAGUAUUAUAAUUUUAAAUUUUUUGAUUCAUUAUUGAUAUACAAAUUAGGAAUUUAAGUUUACUUUUUUUUACUAUUAUUUUUUCAAAUUUUAAAUUAUUAUUCUAAUUUAUAAAAUUUUUUUUAAAUAGAGGACUUGAGCCUAACUUGUGCAUUUUUUCCUAAGCUCUUAUGCAAGCCCUCAUGUGCGAAGGUCAGUCCAAAACCCGUGAGAAUGAGCGGCCCCGGCUUUUUUGCCAUCCAUGAGGAUAAUGAUGGUGAUGGUGAUGAUAAUGAUGAUGAUGAUGAUGAUUAUUAUUAUUAUUCUUAAUGAUAAAAAGUAUUAUAAUUAAUUAAUAUAUUAUUGUUAAUAUUGUUAUUAAUAAUAACAAUUUUUUGAAUAAAAAUAAUCACAAUAAUUAAAAUACAAAUUAAUAAUUAUAACAAUAGUUAAUUAAAGUCUUUUUAACAAUUUGUAAUAAUCUAACUUAUUAUGAUUUUAAUUAUUACAGUUUAAGUAAACAACUGAUUCUAAUUCUUAUUCUCCAUUCCCACUUCAAUUCAUUCUUAUUUCGAUUCAUUCCGAUUUCUGUUUAAUAAAUGCACCAUUAGUGCUAUAGUAAUAUUUCAUAUAGAGAAAAGUAAAAGCUACACCUAAGGUUGAGGGAAAAGACUUCAAAACUCUCUUUUGUCAUAAAACCUUUUGUUUUAGUUAACUUAAAGAUUUUGAAUCUAAUAUUUUAUAAUAAAUAAAAAUAUAUUCCUAAAAUAAAUAUAAUAAUAUCUAUUUUAAAAUAAUAUCAAUAUUUAAAGUAUGUUUUAAUAUUUUAUGAUCUAUCUGACAUAUUUUAUUAUAUUAAAGUAAAUUUUAUAAUAAAUACAAACAUAAUGAAUUUAUAAAACAUUUAGAGUAUUUUGAAUAUUAUAUAAAAUAAUUUUAAUAGAAUGCAUGAGAUAUAUUUUAUUAAUUUAAAAUGCUAUUUAACCUAAAGAUUUAUUUAAGAUAAAUUAAUAAUUAAAUUUUUUAAAUGAUUUCAAAUAUUAAAAAUUUGUAAUAUUAUUAGUCUAUUAGAUAGAUUAAAUUAUUUAAAUUAUUUUGUAUCGAUUAAAAAAAUUUUAAAGUCAAUCUUUUUAAUUACUAUUCGAAGGAUAUAAUGAUUAAAAAAAAUCUUAGUAUUUUUUUAUUAAAAAUUUAAAUAUUUACAUGACCAUUUCUAUAAAUAUUUAGGUCUCGUUUGCUAUGUUGGAUUAGAUUAGAUUGAAUUGGAUCGGAUUAGAUAAGAUAGGAUUGGACUGGAUAAUACUGGAUUAUAUAUAAUAUUAUGUUGUGUUUGUUAUGUCAUGAGAUUAACUAGUAACUAAUAAUAUGUCUUAUAUAUUAAUUUAUUAAAAUCAUCAUAGAUUUACUUUAAAAUGACAUGUAAUAUAAUAUAACUUAAAUCAAUAAUUAUUGGUAAAUUUAUAAAAAAAAUACAAAAUCUUCGCUUAAUUAUUUUUUUAAUAUUUAACAUGUUAUAGUUUCUAAUCCCAUGAAUAGUAAAAGAUAAAGUUUUAUCUUAGAAAAUGUAAUCACAAGGGUCCCCUUGGGAUGAAAUUUUGCCACUAUUGGAAUUAAGUGGUGGGCCUAUUAUUGUUACCUUUAUUUUUUUUACACUAAAUAUGAUAUAAGAAUUAUUUUACACUAAAAUUAUCUAAUCCCAUGAUAUAUAACUAAAACCAAACAGGCACUUAGGGUAUAUAUGAGCCACGGUGGAGAAGCUUUAUUUAAUAUUAUUGAUUUAAAUAAUAUCUCAUUAAAAAUGUAUUGAGAAGAAAUUUCGGUGGGUAUUUUAAUCUUUUCAGCAAUCACAUGAUUAGCCUUUGGCUUUGAAACGUCGGUCAGAAAAGUUUUAAAAUGCUUAAUUGUUUUUCACUUUUAACCUUGGUGGCCUUGAAAUUGCUUAUAUUUUAUUAAAAAUUAAUGCUAACAAGAAAAAAACUAGGUAAUAUUGGAUUCUUUUAGUAAACUACAAAUUAAAAUAGAUUUUUUCGAUAAACUACAAAUUAAAGUGGAUUCUUUUGAAUACAAGUGGGACAGACGAUUAGACUCUUUUUAUUAACGGCAAGUAAAAACUAGUCAAGAAUCGAAUAGUCCGUUUCAAAUUCUUGUUUUAUUAUUUUUCAAAACUAGUUUUUGGUAAUUACAAUCGGGUCAUUAAUCAUUAUUCAAGAUUUAGUGGCUCGUGUUUGCAAGUGUGAAUGUGCGAUGCUCUUUUUCCAAAGGCCCGAAUCGGACGUGCCUAAUAAAUCUUUUAAAAAAUUUUGCCGUAUAACGAACAGAGGUCAUUACUAAAAUUUCUCUUCCACAGUCCAUAGCAGCUUCAGUUUAUCAAACUCAAUCAAUUUUCUUCCUUAACAAAAUUCCAAAGAUGGGUAACAUUUUUCAGAUCCCAUGCGAUGGUGCUUUUUUCAAUCGUUGCUUGGAUUGCUUUCUUGGAGAAGCAGCAUACAUAAGCAACCUCCAAGAUAAUCUUGAUGCCUUGGACACUGAAUUGGGAAAACUAAUCGCAGCAAAGAACGAUGUGAUGACGGAGGUUGGCAAUGCUGAACGGCGACAAAUGAGAACGCUGGAACGAGUGCAAGAGUGGGUUUCGACGGUGGAUUCUGUUAAAACUGGAGCCGAUGAACUUAUCACAAACGGCUCUCAAGAAAUUGACAAAUUAUGUGUUGGAGGCUACUGUUCCAAGAACUGCUGGUCAAGCUACAAGUUCGGAAAACAAGUGGCUAAAAAGCUACGAGAUGUGAAGACUUUAAUCGCCGAGGGAGUUUUUGAGGCGGUGGCCACUGAGGUGGUGCCCGAGAGAGCUCCGGAACCUGUAGCAGAUAAAAGACCCAUUGAGCCAACGAUAUUAGGCUUGCAAUCACAGCUUGAACAAGUUUGGAGAUGUCUUGUAGAAGAAUCAGUGGGAAUCAUUGGCCUAUAUGGUAUGGGCGGUGUUGGUAAAACCACACUAUUGACCCAUAUCAACAAUAAAUUUCUUGAGAGUCCCACAAACUUUGAUUGUGUGAUUUGGGUCGUAGUUUCAAAAGACCUGCGACUUGAAAAAAUUCAAGAAGAUAUUGGGAAGAAGAUAGGUCUGUUUGAUGGUUCAUGGAAGAAUAAAAGUGUUGAGGAGAAAGCUGUAGACAUCUUGCGGAGAUUAGGAGAGAAGAGAUUUGUAUUGUUGUUAGAUGAUAUAUGGGAGCGGGUUGAUUUAACAGAAGUGGGCGUUCCACUUCCCAGCCCACAAAAUACUACAUCAAAAGUCGUAUUCACGACCCGUUUCAUUGAUGUUUGUGGUAGCAUGGAAAGUCACAGGAAGUUUAAAGUGGCAUGCUUAUCAGAAGAGGAUGCUUGGGAGCUGUUUCGAGAAAAAGUAGGGCAGGAAACUCUUGAGAGUGAUCAUGAGAUCGUUGAGCUAGCCCAAACUGUGGCCAAAGAGUGUGAUGGUUUGCCACUCGCACUUAUUACUAUUGGUCGAGCUAUGGCCUACAGAAAGAAAGCGGAGCAGUGGAGACGUGCAAUUGAAGCGUUAAGAAGAUCAGCUUCAGAGUUUUCAGGUUUGGGAAAAGAGGUGUAUCCUCUUUUAAAAUUCAGCUAUGAUAGUUUGCAGAAUGAUACGGUUAGAUCUUGUUUCUUGUAUUGUUGUUUAUAUCCUGAAGAUUAUGGCAUUCUUAAAUGGGACUUGAUUGAUUGUUGGUUUGGCGAGGGAUUUUUUGGGGAAUCUGACAGGUCUGGUGCAGAAAACCAAGGAUAUGACAUUUUGGACACUCUUGUUCGUGCAUGUUUAUUAGAAGAGGUGGAAGAUGAUAAAGUAAAAAUGCAUGACGUUAUUCGUGAUAUGGCUAUAUGGAUAACCUGUGAAAUUGAGAAGGAGAAGAGAAACUUUUUGGUUCGUGCAGGUGCUGGAUUAAAAGAGGCACCGGAUGUUAAAAGAUGGGAAAAUGUGAGAAGAUUGUCAUUGAUGCAAAACCAAAUUGAAACUCUGUCAGAGGUUCCUACAUGCCCUCAUCUCCUCACUUUAUUUCUUAACUUUAAUAAGGUGGAGAUGAUCGCGGAUGGCUUCUUCCAAUUUAUGCCUUCUCUCAAAGUUUUGAAGAUGUCAGACUGCGGGAAUUUAAUUUUGGAAUUACCUUUUGGGAUGUCAAAGUUGGGUUCACUGGAACUUCUCGAUAUUUCACAUACCCACAUAAAAGAGUUACCAGAAGAGUUAAAGUUGUUGGUAAAUCUGAAAUGUUUGAAUUUGAGGUGGACAGUUUGGUUAAAUAAAAUUCCACGGCAACUAAUAUCAAAUUCUUCAAGGUUACGUGUGUUGAGAAUGUUCGCUAUUGGCUGGUUCAAUUUUCAUGAAGCAUCAGAAGAAAGCGUUUUAUUUGGUGGGGGUGAAGUUUUAGUACAGGAAUUGCUCGGUUUGAAAUAUUUAGAGGUAUUGGAGUUGACCUUGGGAAGUUAUCAGGCUCUCCAAAUUCUUUUGAGCUCAAAUAAGUUAAAAAGUUGUAUUCGAUCUCUUCAACUCCGGUUGGUCAGAGAUACACCGUCAAUUAUUGAUGCUACGGCUUUCGCAGAUCUAAACCACCUCAAUGAAUUGUAUAUUUUUAAAGGUAUUGAGUUGGAAGAAUUGAAGAUUGAUUAUACGGAGAUAGUACGAAAAAGGCGGGAACCUUUUGUUUUCCGGAGCCUUCACCGUGUUAUUAUUGGGGAGUGCCAUAAAUUGAAAGAUGUGACAUUCCUCGUUUUUGCUCCAAACCUCAAGUCUCUUCGGCUAUUCGAUUGCGGUGCUAUGGAAGAAAUAAUCAGCGUCGGAAAAAUUGCUGAGACUCCUGAGAUGAUGGGACAUAUAAGCCCUUUUGAAAAUCUCCAAAGUCUUGAUUUAGACGAUUUGCCACAUUUGAAGAGCAUUUUCUGGAAGCCAUUGCCUUUCACUCAUCUGAAAAAAAUGGCGGUACUUAUGUGCGAUCAGCUUAGAAAGCCUCCACUCGAUUCCAACAGUGCAAAGGAGCGUAAAUUUGUUAUUCGUGGAUACACAGGGUGGUGGAACCGACUUCAAUGGGAGGCUGAAGCCACUCAAAUUGCUUUUCGUUCCUGUUUCCAACCUUAUUCCUGAGCCGUGGUCGCAAAAUUUGAUUUCUGGUGAGUGCGUUUGUCUUUUAAAAGAAGAAUUUAAAAGAAAUUUAUUCUUGUCGUUUGUUUUCUUCUCUUUUUAUUUCAGUUUCUUUAUCUCUCUCUCUCUCUUUGUCUUCUGCAAAUCACAAUUAAAUGUUGAAUUAAUGGAAUUAAUGCUUCAUAAAUUUGCCGGCACUGCCAUUACUUUUUUUUUUUAAUACAAAUUGAUACUUUAUUUAUAUCUUCUUAGCGAUUUAAUUUCCUGUCAAUAGACGAACGAGAAGAACAUACGACUUAAACCAAUUGAUACUUUAUUUAUGUGCGUUGUAUGUAAUAAAUAUUAAGUAUACUUUAUUUUGCCCUGUUCUCCGUUUUUAUUUCAGCCUCUCUCUCUUUCCUGUCUUCUGCAAGUCAUAAUUAAAUGUUGAAUUAUAUGGAAUUAAUGCUUUAUAAAUCUGCCUGCGCUGGCUUUUUUUUUUUUGUGGGGUCGAAUUGAUGCUCUGGUUUUCGACUAGUUUUUGUUGUCAAAAUUUUCUCUGUUUUUUUCAAAUUGAUGCUUUAUUUAUAUCUUCUUCGUGAAAAGUGAUUUAAUUUCCUGCCAAAAGACGAACGAGAAGAACAUUAGAGUCAAACUAAUGCUCACAUAAAUUUCCCGUAAGAAUAUAUAUAUAAUUAGACUGGAAUGCACACCUCUAGAUUGAACAGAAUUGAAGCUGAGAAAAUAUUGAGUAUAGUAGCCCUCUUUAAAGUUAAUUUAGAAAAAGAUAUAUUCUUGAUUAAUCCAUUUUCUGAAGUUUUUUAUUUUGUAUGGUCAAUUAUACCUUCAUACUCAAAAUUUCUGAAGUUAUAAAUUAGUGCAAAUUGACAAUUUUUACUGAUGAUAUCUUCUAUUUUUCCUUUCUUUUUUUUUACUCUCAUAGAAUGUUACUGUCAUUUUACUUACAAAUAGGUUUGACUUUGAGCCCAUGAAACGAUACUUUGAUUGCCAAACCACCGUCCAAUUUUUUUAAAAAAAGAAAAAAAAUAUGUAAUCCAUGAAUCUGGUUAAUUUUGUUUGUUUGUUUUUUUUAAUCUGUUAUACAUUUGAAACAUUCCAUUAAUUGCCAAUUAUGUAAGCGAGAUAGUAAUUAAUUUUUUUAUUUAAAAAAAAGUGAAAAUUAAUCCUAUGCAAUGUGAAUAAAUUUCUUUCCUUUUUCCUUCACUCUUUUUAUUUGAUAAUUAAGUUUCAAUCUAUGUACGCAAAAUUUCUGCAACAACUGCAAAACAUAAAAAUAUAUGAUUGUUAAGGGAAACACGCAGAAGUUCAUCACUUCAAUGUUCAGUAUUUCCAAUUUUGGCAUUAAGCUCUUACGAAUAUAUUCCACUUAGAAAGCAAAAUAUUAGAAUUGUGAUUUUAAUUCAUUCAUCAUAUCUCAUUUCAAUCCCAAAAUAUUCAAGUGGAUCCAAGUUACCAUAAGACUUCAGAGGCUCGAGCCUUAGCCAGAGAUGGUUAAUUGAUAGACUAUGUGCCUGGGUCGAGCACUGGAAGCCUGCAAUGCAGACUGAUUGAUUUAUCAGUUUGACGUGUUCCAGGAAUGAAGAACUGGAAUAUCACCCUCAAGCAAACACCCUGUGGAGCAAUACCAUAGAAUGCACAAUCCGGCUUUGCAAGGUGACACUGGAGGCUUUUUGAAAAGUGCUUCACGCUCACUUGCACUGAUUGAGCAUCCCCUCUGGAUAUUGCCCUCUCUGAUCGAGUCUGAGCACUCAAAUUUCGGUCCUCAGAUGGAGCUACAGCUUUCUCUCCAAUAACCAACAAUUUUCUAAACUCAGCACCUAGUGUGAUCAGAGUUGUUGAUAUUUGCAAAUGGAGAUCCCCAUAUUUGCAAAUGGAGACAUUUAACAAAUCACCAACAUGCUUCAUCCGGUGUACAAAAUUCUGCAGCUGAUUCAAAUCUGGAACCUGAACCAGAGUCGGAGGUAAAUCUUGAGCCAUAUCUAAAGCAGUUUGAAGUUCAAGUACUUGAGCCCUUGACAAUGGUUUUGAAAUUGGAACAUCUUGGAUUACUGCAGACUUGUACCCCUUGGUUUCAAAGGUAAGGAAAGGCAUUGCUUGAGUACAAUUUGGAGGCAGCGGAUCCAGCUGCACCAACUUCAGAGCAAAUACUGACACUACUUCGAACAGCACACUGAAGAAGUGAUAUGUCUACGGCAAAGGCAAUGCAGUCCUCAUUUUGGCUUGAGAUGCAGUAAUCAUCGAAGAGAGUUUCCUUGUGAAACUGGGCAACACAUUGAAUCCCUUUGCCACUGAGAAGGUUGUGGAGGAAGUAAGCUUUCUCUCUAGUGAGGAAGAGGUGGCAUACCUUCCCCAUUUUGUCUAGGGCAGGUAGGAAUCUUUUUUCUAAGAGAUUUACUUCAUUCUCGGUGAGAAAUGCUUUGAACUUCAUCCCUCUGUCUCUAUCCUCACUUAUCAGAAAAUAAGUUGAAAGCACUACGGAGAGAGAGAGAGAGAGAAUUAAGAUAUAUAGACAAGAAAAAUAUUAGACGGUGAUCUUACAAACUAAUACUUCAAGCAGUAUCCUAGAAAGCUAAAAACUGCAAGAUGGCUUGAAAUUUGAAAAGAGCACGUGCUUUUCCUCCUUAACUUGAGAAAAUGUUUAAUAUAGUGCACCUUACAGAAGCAUUUAAGCAAUUAGAACUAUGCACAAAAACAUCACGAAGACUAAACAAAUCAGAUGCAGUGUCUUUGUCCAAGCACAAAUUGCAUUUUGUCCUCAACUUUAAUAUUUAUUGAUGAGAAUCAAUACAGGUCCCUCAUUUGUUAUAGAAAGCUUUCUUGUAGUCUCACCAGUUAAUUCACAGGUCUAUAAUCAUCUUGCAAAGUUAAGGGCAUUUCUUUCGAUCUAAAGUCUUUGCAUCACCACCUCAUCACACGCCAAGCCAAUAUUCCAUUUACCUCUACAACAAAAAGUUUUAAGUAAACAAUCCUAAUGCACGCAGCCAAAUAAAAUGCAGUAAGAAUAUUCAACUUAAAAAUCUGAAAGCCAACUUGGUGAAUUGCCUCCUUAGGUGAAGUUCCAUGCUUUACUAUAGUUGACAGAACUCAGCAAAAGCUUCCAUACAACAGAUUUUGAAAAUGAUGAUGCCAAUAGAUACUCAUUCAAUCCAUUGAAAAUCCAAAGGUUCAUUGUUAAUAGAAGUUUACAGAGUUUUGGUCAUCAAAUAGCUCAGACCUAAUCCCAAACAAAAAACGAGUGAAAAUUAGAUCACGAGCAGCUAAUUGUAAAUUCUAACUUAACUCUUCAUCUCCUUUGUAAACAAGAAACAAAAUGAAGACACGCAAAAUGAAUAUGGAGAAAAUUUGAACUCAAAUGAAAUGAGGGCACGAAAGCAAACAAAUGGCAUGCACAAAAAAACCAAGCCUCAAUCAAAAACUAAUUAACCAUUAAGAAAAAAAUUGGUCUGAGAAUGAACUCCAAAUUCAGGAGUGAAGCAAGAAGCUUUCAUUAUUUCAGAAGCUCCUGUACAAAUUAAUAAGUUAUGCUCUUUGGAAGCAAACCUAAAUUCCAAGAGAAACAGAACCCAAAAAAUUUGCAAUUUUACGCAAAGGAAGUGAAGCACAGGAUUCUGUCACACAUAGGAAUUGUAAAACAAGAGAUCGAUAUAUCGAAUUAGAAAACUCAAUUCGAAUUUAUGUCAAAAAUCAAAAUUAGAAGAUUUCACAUUUUGAGAGGAACAAGCAACAGAUGAAGUUCAAAAUUUCAGCCAUAACAUGCUAAAAAUGCUACACUUAACGGUUCAUUUUCAUGGAUUUUCUCGGGAAACAAACAGAAAAUUACGGUUCAGAGAGUUGACUGACCUUUUGGCUUUUGAAAUUGAGAAGAUCGCGCGCCAAAUUGGAAGAGGGAAAGUGAAAGUGCGAGUUUUAAUAUGGGUAUUAGAUAAGGAAAUUUAAUUAGGUUGCGAGGGUAAAAAAGGAAAGAGAUAUCAUUAUUUUAUUAUCGAUAAUUAUUAAAUUUUUUUCCAAAAAAAAGAACAAGCAAGGAUAUUUUAUUUUCAUUACUAAGUUAAAAAAAAUUGUUUCAAAAUUACUCGAGUCAUAUCCAAUGGACCAACAAAGUAAUCGUUUUUAUUUUUAUUGAUUUUUGCAGGAAAUUAAUAACUUCUUAUUUCAUAAUCCAACUCCAGUACUAAGUUAAAAAAAAUUGUUUCAAAAUUACUUGAAUCAUAUCCAAUGGACCAACAAUGUAAUCGUUUUUAUUUUUAUUGAUUUUUGCAGGAAAUUAAUAACUUAAAAAUACUGAAAGCUAUUGUAAAAAUUUUUAUUAUCAACCUCAUAGUUUUUUUUUUUUUGGGAAGAGAAUUCAAACUUUUUUUUUUUUAAUUUCCAAGAAUUCUUGACACCCGUCUUAAUUAAAAGCUAUAUUUUAAUUCAAAAGUCAUGCUAUUCAUUCACUCACAGACCAAAGGCUUUCCGCAGCAAUAUUAUUAUUUAAAUUACAACAAAGGGGAAAUCAAAUACGUCAUACAGAAGCUUAAAGCUGAAUCUACAAAAUCUAGAGCUCGCAACUACAAAAAUUACACUUGAUGAUCCUCUACAAGAUGAAGCUUGUUCAAUAUCUCAUCCAAAGCUUGUAAAGUAACCUUGUAACGAUCUUGAGAUUGCCUGCCUUCCUCGACGACCUGCACGAUGCGUUUGUACCAAUCAUCAUACCUGUGCACCGGAUUUUUAAUAUCAACGCCACUGCAGCUGUGAUCAAGAACAUAAGAGCGUUUAACAUCUUUUCUCCAUCGAGAAAGAAUGUAGUGAGAUGGGAUCUCCUCCAUACCACUCUGGUUUAGAACACAAAGAAUGUGUCUGCAUAAAUAUCCUCUGAAAUUGAACAACCCACAAACACAAAGCACCUCCAAGUCGGAGGCAUUGUACAAAACAUCGAAAGCCCUUGAAUCUUUCUCGUUGCUACCAACCUCAAAUUCUUCCUUCACUAUGUAUGUUAUAGGUCCAUCAGCACUGACAUGUUUUGUGCUAUAGCAAAGAGUACAUAGCCUCCACCUCCGUCUGAAACUUCCUUAACAUUUCAUUUGUGUACAGUUUUGAGAGUUGAAAUUCAUAGUAACAUCUUGGUUUCUGGAUACAACUUGAAUUUCUUGAAUCCAUAUCUGCCAAGGCUUCCAGUUGAUAAUUCGCCUGCAGUGCUUGAUCAGACUUGUCUAAGAAUUCUUUCAAAGGAGUAUUCUUAUCAAGAUAUCCUUCAAAGUAUGAAGUAGAAACCUCAUUCUGCAGGAACGAAAACACUCCUGAUAAAAAAGCUUCCUUCAAAUAAAUAGGAGCCCACCUUUUACGAUCUUCAUAUAAAGUUUGAAUCCAUCCGUGAUCCUUUAUUCCAUGACGUUGAUGUUGAAAAGUCAAAAGAGUUUUGGUUGAAAAAGAAAAGUGAGUAUUAAAAAAGGCGGGAACCUUUUGUUUUCCGCAGCCUUCACCAUGUUACUAUACAAAGCUGCCAGAAGUUGAAAGAUUCGACAUUCCUUGUUUUUGCUCCAAACCUCAAGUCUCUUUCGAUGGUCAAAUGCAAUGCUAUGGAAGAAAUAAUCAGCGUCGGAAAAUUUGCUGAGACUCCUGAGAUGAUGGGACAUAUAAGCCCUUUUGAAAAUCUCCAAAUGCUUGAUUUAAUAGGUUUGCCACAUUUGAAGAGCAUCUUCUGGAAGCCAUUGCCUUUCACUCAUCUCAAAGAAAUAUAUGUGGGUUAUUGCCCUAAUCUUAAAAAGAUUCCACUCGAUUCCAACAGUGCAAAGGAGCGUAAAUUUGUUAUUCGUGGAGAAGAAGACUGGUGGAACCGACUUCAAUGGGAGGAUGAAGCCACUCAAAUUGCUUUUCGUUCCUGUUUCCAACCUCGUUCCUGAGCGGUGGUCGCAAAAUUUGAUUUCUGGUGAGCGCGUUUGUCUUUUAAAAGAAGAAUUUAAAAGAAAUUUAUUCUUAUCGUUUUCUUCUCUGUUUUUAUUUCAGUUUCUCUCUCUCUCUUUGUCUUCUGCAAAUCACAAUUAAAUGUUGAAUUAAUGGAAUUAAUGCUUCAUAAAUUUGCCGGCACUGCCAUUACUUUUUUUUUUUAAUACGAAUUGAAACUUUAUUUAUUUCUUCUUAGCGAUUUAAUUUCCUGUCAAAAGACGAGCGAGAAGAACAUAUAUAUGACUUAAAUUUUUUGUUCAAGGAUUUUUAUUUCGGGUAUUAAUAAUAGUCCACCAAAAGAGGGAACACUUGGAUGCUGCUCUAAGGGUCUCUCUAAUCAAUAGCUGGAAGCAAUUGAGAAGGCGGUCGCUACUGUGUACAAAUCCAUGCAGUAUUUGCUAUUCAUCUUAAUAAUUAUGAAGCUUUGGUAAAAUUUUCAGACAAAGUUGACAUGUUAUUUUGAGAUUUGGUUCGUGAUUUUGUAUGAAUAUCGUUGUUCCGUUUGAGUUGGAUAUGAAUUCGAGUCUAAAUAUUCUUUGGUUUUCAAUUUUGAACUCAAUUUUUUUUUUCUCAAGCAUGUUAUGCAGAAAUGAUUUUUACUAAAUCAUUUUUGAUGAAUUAUUUAAAUUAAACAAUUGGAAUCAGAAUUGUAACGAUUUAUCACAAGCAUGCUAAUAUGAUAAUUCUGAAACUAUCAUUUUUUUUUUCAAUUUGCUGCAGGGAAAGCCAAAUUUUGUAUUUUUCAGUUUUAUCUGAUAUGGAAUUUAUUUCCUCUACACUAGCUACCUAAAGAUUUAUCAAAUUGCUUCUCUUCCCUGCUUCAAAUAUCUUCAUGGCAUCAUAGGAAAAGAGAGUUUGGGUUGUAUUUAUUAUAGUUUUUAUUUUUUUUUCGUUAUAAGCAAAUUUAUUUUAAAUACUUUAGUAGUAACAGUUUUUAUUGAAUAAUAAUGGGGGAUGAUUAUUAUAUGUUCAAAUAGUUGUUAGAACAUUAUAAAAAGUCUAUUUGCUAUCAAAUGUUUUAAAUUGAUGCAACAUGAUAAUUGUCUCAUAUAAUUUUUUUAUACUAUAUAUGUCCCAUAAUCUUAACAUGAAUAAAUGAUUUUCAAUGGUUAAAUUUGACACGAUUAUUAAAUAGAUCAUAUCUAUAUUAAUUCGAUUUAAAAUCUGGUCACAUUUGGAUUUAGAGUUUCUAACAUGGUAUCUUGUUUUAUGACAUAAUUUACUAAUCAAUUAAUAGAAAAUCAAAUGUUAGUCAAUUAAAUAUGUGGUACAUUUGUCAUAUUUUAAAAAUUAUUUAUUUAUAUUUGAAAUAAAUUUGACUAGACUUUGUGCAGGUAAUACUGCAUAAUUUCUAAAAAAAUGUAAUAAAAACAUGUUAAAAUGUUAUUUUUAUGAAGAAAAAUUGGAAUUUUAUUAAAUAGGAGACACAAUAAUAAAUGGAUAAAAAUUGAGAUUAUUGAUAUAAUGAUUAAAUAGAUUGAAUUGAAGUGAGUUUCAAUUUUGAGAAGAUAAUAAGACGACGCGACACAAAUACAACCAACCAGUCAACCCAAAUUGCCACCUUUUACUAUCUUCUUUGUGUUAUUUCUCUAAAAAUUUGUGCCUUCUCUUACACUUUUAAAUCUUAAGUGUUUGAACUGGAGUACACAAAUUAUCUCUCUACAAUUCCAAAACAACCAAUUUGUAACUUGGUAAAUCUUAAUCAAUGGCAGGAAGCAAUUGAGAAGGCGGUCGCUACUGUGUACAAAGCCAUGCAGUAUUUGCUAUUCAUCUUAACAAUUGUUGAGCUUCGGUAAAUUUUCAAAUAUAGUUGACUUUUUAUUUUGAGAUUUGGUUCAUGAUUUUGUAUGAAUAUCGUUGUUCCGUUUGAGUUGGAUGUGAAUUCAAACCUAAAUAUUCUUUGGUUUUCCAUUUUGAAUUCAAUUUUUUUCCUCAAGCAUGUUAUGCAGAAAUGAUUUUUACGAAAUGAUUUUUGAUCGAUUAUUUAAAUUAAACAAUUGGAAUAAGAAUUGUAACGGUUUAUCGUAAGCAUGCUAAUAUGAUAACUUGUUUUACGAACGAUUAGUUAAUCAAUUAAUAUUAAAUUGUAUAUUAGUCAAUUAGAUAUGUGUUAUAUUUGUCAUAUUCUAAAAAUUAUUUAUUUAUAUUUCAAAUAAAUUUGACCAGAGGUUACGUAGGUAAUACUACAUAAUUUCGAAAGGAUGUAAAAAUUUAAAAUUUCAUUAAAUAGGUGACUCAACAAUAAAUGGAUUUCUGCAAGAAUUGAGAUUCUUGAGAUAAUUAUUGCAUAGGGGGAAUUUUGGUUAGUUCAAUUUUGACAUGAUAAGAAGACAACACAGCGCAGAAAACCCAAAUUGCCACUUCUACUAGUAAUAAAAGAUGAGCGAAUUGCGUGGGAUAUACUUGUUUUCCCUCAAAAUACCCAAAAUAUACCUCCACAUAUUAAAAUUGCUAGCUUUACACAUAUAUACUUAAAAAGAUCAGAGAAAAUACAAAAAUAACCUUAAUAAAAAUACUCGACUUAUUUAAUAUGCUUACUCGACUCAUUUAAUAUUCUUACUCGAUUUCUUACCGGACCAUAUACUCGACUUAGUUAAUAUGCUUACUCGACUUAUUUAAUAUUUUUAUUCGACUUAUUUAAUAUUCUUACUCGACUUCUUACCCGACCAUAUACUCGAUUUAUUUAAUAUGUUUACUCGACUCAUUUAAUAUUCUUACUCGACUUCUUACCGGACCAUAUACUCGAUUUAGUUAAUAUGCUUACUCGACUUAUUUAAUAUUCUUACUCGACUUCUUACCGGACCAUAUACUCGACUUAUUUAAUAUGCUUACUCGACUCAUGUAAUAUUCUUAUUCGACUUCUUACCCGACCAUAUACUCGACUUAUUUAAUAUGCUUACUCGACUCAUUUAAUAUUCUUACUCGACUUAUUUAAUAUUCUUACUCGACUUCUUACCCGACCAUAUACUCGACUUAUUUAAUAUGCUUACUCGACUCAUGUAAUAUUCUUACUCGACUUCUUACCCGACCAUAUACUCGACUUAUUUAAUAUGCUUACUCGACUCAUUUAAUAUUCUUACUCGACUUCUUACCCGACCAUAUACUCGACUUAGUUAAUAUUCUUACUCGACUCAUUUAAUAUUCUUAUUCGACUUCUUACCUGACCAUAUACUCGACUUCUUUAAUAUGCUUACUCGACUCAUUUAAUUUUCUUACUCGACUUCUUACCCGACCAUAUACUCGACUUAUUUAAUAUGCUUACUCGAUUCAUUUAAUAUUCUUACUCGACUUCUUACCCGACCAUAUACUCGACUUAUUUAAUAUGCUUACUCGACUCAUUUAAUAUUCUUACUCGACUUCUUACCCGACCAUAUACUCGACUUACUUAUCUCUAAUUCUUACUCGACUAAAUUCUCGAUUUACCCGACUUUGUACCCGACUUCGUACCCGACUUCUUCCUGCACUGAUUCUUCAAUCAUUCAUAACUUAAAUGUAGUCUUAAAUCCCUACAUUGAAAUAGUGUGUGUGUGCAAGCACAAAAAAUGAAUAAUGUACUACUAAAAUUCAUAAAUCAUUAGGAAGUACACUUAUAAGAAAAAUAGAGAAUGGUGAGAGAAGCCCAAAAAAGAGAAGCAAUGGGAGAAGAGAGAUGUGAAUUCUUAGUUUUUUUAAGGUUAUUUUUGACUUUUUCUAUCUUCAUAAGGUAUAUGUAUGUAAUAGGAUAUAAAUUUGGCAUUUAAGGGUAAAUUAAGGAUAUUUAAAUAAAAAACCCAUAAAAGAUACCUGUUUCAAAAGUAAUUAUAAACUAUCUUCUUUGUGUUAUUUCUCAAAACUGUUAUUUCCCUGGAGAAAAGUACGAAAUACCCACUUUCACGUUGGCAGAAGCAAAGCAAAGCUAUGAGCUAUCUCUGUAUACUUGAAACGCCAUUGCUAAACGAUUCUCGAUGAUGGGUGCCACUGGGCCAGUGUUGUCGCUGAUUUGCAUGAUUUAUUAGUUGUCCAGAUGCCAGAGAAACCAUGGUGGCAUUGAAGUUACCCAGAUGGUUAGUUUUCUGAUCAUUUUUUUAUUCAAUUAUUUAUUUUUUUUAGAAAAAUGUAAGAAAUAUGUAGAAAUGUUGACAGCUAUGAUUUUGAAACUUUGCCUAAAAUUGUUAUCAUCACUUAUUUAAAGAGAAAUCCUAGAAACAUGACAUGAUUAGUAGCCUAAUUCAAAAUUAGACAUGAUUACAACAAGAGAAAAGUGGAGAGAACUUGAUAGUCGAGUGCAUUUAGAAUUUAAUUUUUCUUUUAGCUGCCAAUCAUUAAAUUUUCGAUUUCAGAAAAUUAUACCUAGAAUAUUUCAAGGAUAUACUAUGAAGAUUAUGAAGGUUUGAUUACAUGUCACUAUCAAUUGCCCCAAUCAUUUGUAGUAAAUUAAUUGAUCAUUUUGAUGCAAAUGAUUCCCUACUAAAAAAUUCAAGUCAAGGCUGAAUUGCACAGUAGUUAGUCGCGCUUGCACUUCAAAUUAAGUAUUGUAUUUUCUGCCUGGUUUGGUUGAUUAAAGUAUGUGCAUUUGCUUAUGAAAGUUGUAGUAUAGAAAUCGAAACAUUUGUUUUUCGCUAAGCCCAGAAGCAAAGUUCUUUGUACUGUACUCAUCACUUCUCUUCGUUCUCUUCAUUGAAAUUUUAUCCAAACAGCGGUUUCUUCGAAUUUGUGCCUUCUCUUACACUUUUAAAUCUAGCAAAGAACCGUUACCUGAGAAGAUUGCCAUCAGGAAUUUCUAAAUUGAUUUCACUAUAAUACCUUAAUCUUUCAAAUACUCCUCUCACUGGGUUGCCAAUAGUACUAAAAGCCUUGGUGAAUCCUACGUGUUUGAACUGGAGUACAAAAGUUAUCUCUCCACAAUUCCAAAACAACUGAUUUGUUACUUUUCAAUGCUACACGUUCUGCGAACGUUCAGUUGUGGUUAUCUUGCUGAAAUACCAGAAAAUAGGGUUCUAUUUGGUGGUAGUGGAUUCUUGGUUGGGGAGUUGCUUAGUUUAAAACGUUUAGAUGUAUUAAGCAUCACCUUAAAAGGUUUUUCUUCUGUCCAAAAACUUAUGAGCUCCCAACAGUUUCAAAGCCGUACAAAAAUGUUUGGAGCUUAUAGACUGUGAUGAUUCAAAGUCGUUUGCCUUGGCAGAGUUGAAGCAUCUUGUAAAACUAGGUUUGUCAAAUUGUGGAAAUUUGGAAGAUAAAUUACAUUUAUAAACUGUGGAUCGCCCUUUAUAAGUAUUAGGCUUAUUCCAUACUCGAGCAAUGUGGAAUACCUUUAUAAGCAUUAAGCCUCUCCCAUACAAUUUCUGUACAUGACUCUUCUUUUUUUUUUUUUUUUGAAGACCGUUCAAAGUGGUUGAUGAUCCGUUUUGUAAUAUCAUAGAGGGAUCAUGAAUUCCUUUUCUUUUCUGUGGCUAGGCAACACUUUUGGGCCAAAGUAAGGGAAUCUAUUUUAGGUCAUGUAAAAACCAGUUGUGGGAUGUAAUAGUUUAUUAUGCACUGACAAUAACUUUUUGUAUAAUUGUCAGUUUAAUGAAUACGAGAGGAACUCUGUUGGCAAAUUCAUCCAUGAUAGAUGCUAAAAUUAUACCAGUUGCCUUAACUUAUUUUUCUCAACACUGGUAUUGAACAGGAAAAUGAAUAUGCAAUUUGUAUUUGUGCCAUUGUGGAGAAUUUGGAUAUUCUUAUUUUUAGUAACAAGGAGAGUAUUGGCCUCAUCUUUAAAAAAUGAAUCUUUGAGAAAUGAGGAGUGGGUGAUUGGCAGUGUCAGAGUGUCUUCCUGUAAAUGUUCAUUUAUUUGUAUUUUGAACUAUUAGUAGAAUCUUUAUAUGCCAAAUUAGUAAUACAAAUAUUCAGAUGAUUUUUCCUGUUGAUCAUUUCAUUCUUGAGAGCCAUGUACAAUACUAGUAUACCAGAGAAACCAAGGUAGCAUUGAAGUUGCCCCAGUGGCUAGUUUUCCGAUCAUUUUUUAUUCAAAUUUUUAUGUUUUAGAAAAAUGUAAGAAAUAUGUAGAAAUGUUGAUAGCUAUGAUUUUGAAACUUUGCCUAAAAUUGUUAUCAUCACUUAUUGUUUCUUAUUUAAAGAGAAAUCCUGGAAACGUGACAUGAUUAUUCCAUACUUGUUUUUAUAUUAUUUAUUAGCAGCCUAAUUCAAAAUUACACGUGAUUAUUUGUUACUUUUAAUGCUACAUAUUCUGGGAAUAUUCAGUUGUGGUUAUCUUGUUGAAAUACCAGAAAAUAGCGUUCUAUUUGGUGGUAGUGGAUUCUUGGUUGGUUUAAAUGUAUUAAGCAUCACCUUAGAAGGUGUUUCUGCUGUCCAAAAACUUACGAGCUCCCAAAAGUUUCAAAGCUGUGCACAACCUUUGGAGCUUAUAGACUGUAGUGAUUCAAAGUUGUUUGCCUUCACAGAGUUGAAGCAUCUUGAAAAACUAGGUUUUUCAAAUUGUGGAAAUUGGAAGAGUUUAAGUUCUGCUGUGUCGAGGAUGGAAAGGCUCGAGAAUGUUUUCGUGUGAACAGCCUCCAACGAGUUAAGAUAAAGGCUUGUCAUAAAUUGAGGGAAGUGACAUGGCUUGUAUUUGCUCUGUAUCUUGAGGUUAUUCAAAUAGACAAAUGUAUGGGGAUGGAAGUAAUAAUCAGUGCAAGGAAAUUGGGUGAAGUUCCAGAGAUGAUGGCAGAUCUAAACCCUUUGGUAAAACUCCAAUAUCUUGGCCCACGAGUUCUACCAAAAUUAAAAUGCAUCUAUUGGAAUCAAUUGCCCUCUCUACAUGUCAGGCAAAUUUUGUAUCUGAAUGUCCAAUUCUCAAGAAGCUUCCACUUGGUUUUAACAAUGCAAAGGAAUCUAAAACUAUCAUUAGGGGAGAAGAACACUGGUCGAAUGAGCUGCAAUGGGAGGACAAAGUGACCCUUAAUGUUCUUCUUCCUUGUUUCGGAUCCAUUUGAGGGCAUCAACAUGGAUUGAUACUUUGCAGUGGAGAAAUUCGAAUAAAACCUGGUAAGUGCUUUUCCAUUUAUUGCAUAUUUAUAUCUAACUUUUGUUUUCCUUUGUGGUUAAACUUUGCUCUAUAUACGUUGUUGUACGGUGACAUUCUCAUAUCAAUUAUUAGCUUUUUAAUUCUCUUCUCACAUUAACUGCCCUUUUGAUCAUGUAGGAUAUGCUGAUGUCAAAGAGUCGUAAUUUGGACUGCAAAUGUAAGAAUUAGACAGAUGACCAGUUGUUUUGAAGCGCUCGAAGAAGGAUUAAUUACGUCAUUGAAAGCCUCCAAUUUUAUGACUUUUUUUUUAAUUUGUUGUUUUUCUAUUUUUAGAUAGCUUGAUUGUUAGUUGUCGUGACGUAAUGCUUUAGUGUAGAAAAAUGAUAUUCGGCCAAGACAACAUUAGGAGGGCACCUUGUGCAUGCAUACUAGUGGAUAAUUUUGGCAUGCUAAAUCCAGUUAGGGUGGAUGACCUUUUAUAAGCAUUAGGCUUCUCUCAUACCCGAAAACAAUGUAGAAUAUGCUUAUAAGCUGUGGAUCACCCAUUAUAAGUUUUAGGCUUCUCCUAUACUCGAGCGAUGUGGAAUACCUUUAUAAGCAUUAAGCUUCUCCCGGUAUCUUUAUGUUAAAAAUAAUAAUAAUAAAAGAAAUCCAUUUUAAAAUAGACUCUUUUUGCUUUUUCUAUAUAAACAAAUGCAUUCUUCAAAUCAAUUGUGGGCAGAAGAAGUUAGUAGAAAAGAACUAGUCCCCUUUCAUUCCCCCUUAAACCUCACCAAAGCCUCUUUUGUAAGCUUUUCGGAUUUUCUUUCUAUAUUGCUUACGAUCUCAUUUUUGAUUGAAUCACUUCUUUUGCAUGCUGCAUUUUUUGUUUGUUGUAUUUGGAUAUUAUCGUAUUUGGAAUGCUGUUAUGAUUGAUGGAACAAGUAAUCGAUUUUUAGUCUGAUGGAAGUUGACUUAUUUAUUUAUUGUUAUUUUUAUUGAAAUUAUGUACAAUUGCAUUUCAUUCAUUUCUUCCCCCCUAACAUAUUUGUUAUGUAUAAUUGCGUUUCAUUUGAUAUUGAUCAUGCUGUAGAUAACCAUGUGAUUGUAGGAUGGGGAUUUCAAGUUUGUUGAAUAUUCAAGUAAGUGAAGUAACUGUCAAAAUACUAGUGAAAUUGGGAGCUUUAUUCAUGAGCUUGUGGUUUUGAAAAGUACCACAGUUCAACCGAUGAAGGUUCCUUUUUGGGGUUUGUUGAUGCGAGAUUCUGGUUAUGCUCGUCCUACGACCAGGAUAUCUGCUCGAUCAACCUCACCUCGAUCAGGAUCUCUCCUCGUAUGCUUUCUUCUCCAAGUAUCCCUGCGUUCACAGAAACGAGUCAGAGCACGCCGGUUGUUUUCUCGGCGUAAACCCUCCGACGCUCAAGUCAGAUGUGAAGGUUCUGGGAACGCUUGCCACAGAUCUUAUGGCUUUUCUAUAAUCUCAGUUCUUAGAGUUCUCUUUUCUUAGUUCCAAAAUCAAAAAUUCUAAACCUUUUACCUUCGUUGGCUACCUUUUUAUAGGCUUCCUCUGAAUCCAGAUCUUCCGCAGUCCACGCCCGCCAUUCUCCCCACUUUCGGGUGUGGACGCCCCAUUACCGCCAUUGUCGGCGAAUAGAGAUGGACCUCGUGUCUUAAUUCUCGGAUAGGAAUGCACGUCCUGCCAACUGUCGUUGACUGGGUCUCCUCGCCUCGAUGCCUAGCAGGAAUGACCUUAUGCCUCUAAUAGGAGUUCGGCCUCACGAAUGGCAUAUUCGUGGACGAGCAGAAUACUCCUGCUCGUAUUCCCCUGCUACUUGGCUCUUGCAGGAUACCCCUGCUCGCAGAACCCUGCCACCAACCACCUGCUCAUCAUGUUUGGUCGCCUCGAUAUAUUUCCCUCAAACACCGGUCCCCCAGUUUCUGGUGUUGGGUAAUGUAAUGGACCAGCAGUAGAAACUCAACGGUUCUUGCUCGCGUGGGACUGGAGAAGGCUGCCAAGAGUCGUGUCGCAUUUAAUUGCGGACGAGGUGAUGUGGCAGAAAUCUGCCCCUCUAUUUGAAUUUCAAACCAACGGUUACGAGGCCCUUGGGGUUUGGUUCCGUUAAAUGCUGGCAACCUAAGAGUCCGUCCCCUUUAUGAAACCCACCUCCUUUCGUACAACAAAUUCAUCAUCCACUCCGUCUCCGUCUCCGUCUCUCCGGCAAAGAAGUUCCGGCAUAAAGGCCUCCAUCUCUGUCUUUCACCGACUGAAAAAUUACUUCAGGUACUUCUUCUAUCUCCUUGGUCUCGAAUAGUUGUAGAUAAUUUCUCUUCUCUUUUGUUCGGGUAAUAGUUGGUGGUGGCGUUGUGGUUAGCGCUUAGGGAAUGUCGAAAGGUAAAGAGAAGGUCGUUGAGGUUGACGACGAUGAGUUGGACUUCCUGCCUGGUCUGCUCACCGAUCCUGCUUUUGACCCCGGGAUCCCCUUAGAGCCCAUCAGAUCCAGUGUUGGUACUAGCGCUAGGAGGAUGUCUCCCCAAACAACCUCCUCGAGCGGAAAUAACGAUGAAGAGGGGUCUUCUGGAUCGGAGAACACCCCGAGUGAGGGUCGAGGAGAUGAUUCUGGUGAGGUGUCCCCAUCAGGAGCGUCGCGACCAGAAGAGAGGAGUACAAUAGGAGGUAGAGCCCUAUCGCGGGAUUACGCUAUUGAUUAUAUGACGUGCACGACCACGUUUGAUGAGCUCGAUGACCUCCGGCUUAGGUAUAGUAUUCCUGGUGAAAUACCUCUUAAGGUCCCAGGAAAGAAGGAUGCUCCUAGCCGGCCUCCUAGGGGAUAUGUUACCCUAUAUCUGGAUAGCUUUAAGUAUGGGCUGAGGUGUCCCUUGCAACCUUACUUUGCCCGGAUACUUGACGGGCUGAAUCUAUCUCCUGGUCAGUUGAACCCAAACGGUUGGAGAGUGCUCUCUGGUCUGUUCAUAUUGUGGGACAGAUGUUGCCAAAGCGAGCCCACAAUUGAUGAGGUGAAGCACCUGUACCAGCUAAAGAGCAGCCCCAAAGAUGCCGGCUGGUACUACUUCCAAUCUAGCACCAAGACCAGGAAACCUAUAACCGACCUCCCUUCUGGUGGUGGUGGGAAUUGGAAGAGAAAGUUCUUUUUUGCUGGGGGUCCUUGGGGUCAGGUUGCACAAAUGGACGGGAAGGAUUAUCGGGUCCCACCCCGUUUCACAGUCCCAGGUUGCCUGCUCGCUUGAGAUGUCCUGUAUCCAUAAUUGUUCUUGCUUUAUUGGCUUGUCUCUAACCAAGUGUCUGUUUGUGUUGUAGUUUCUUGGGGUGUUCAUUUCCCGCUCCAACCUGGCCAGCUCAAACAGGUUGAGGCUGUGCUAGUCAAUUCCUGCCCGAGCCGAGAGCUGUUAACUACUUACAACUUGCUCGAGUCUCGUUUGAUACUACCUGGUCAUAAGAUGGAGGACGUUGUGAUUGGGGCUCUGAACAGGAAACGUUCUCGACCUCAAACCACGAAGAGGGACCAGAAUAAGGACGCCCUUACUGCAAAGCGGGCCAACAUCGUGCAGCAGGUCUUUCCCUUGAAGACUUUACCUCCUGCUCCUGCCAAAGUCGGGGAAACUAGUGGAGCAGCCACCGAUCCUGCUUCUUCUUCUCCUCCUGUCGGGCCGCGAUCUCGCUUACCUGAUAGCCGAGCAGAACACUUGGUCCUCUAUCUCAAUGAGUUAUCUAAGCUCGUGAGCAAGAAGGACCUGGAGGACUUUGAUGGCUGCACUCUGGGCGAGCUGGUGGGAGCCAUGCAGUAUAGUGCUUUCCAUCUCAGUUGCAUGACCACCUACUAUAAGGCCAAGGUUGGCCGUUAUGACAGGAAGAUGAAGGAGGACAUUCAGUCGGCGACGACCAGAGCUGACGUUGCUGAGAAGAAAGCAGGGGACUUAAACCUCGAGAAUCUCAAGUUGAUUGAGCGAGAAUCUCUUGCUCAAGCCAAGGCUAUUACUCUCGAGGAAGAGCUGGCCAAGGUCAAGGAAGAUCUGCAGAGGCAGAAAGCUAUGUACGAGGCUCAGCUCGAAUCUCUCCGUGAUUCCCACCGGGUUCAGGUCGAGAACUUAGAGAAGGAGGCUGACAACCAGUACGACCAGGGACUUCGGCAUUCCUAUCGUUGCAUCAUGGCCGUCCUCGGGAAGCAACACCCUGAUCUAAAGAUGGAUGACCUUGCAGUUGGUGUUGCUCAACAUAUGGAUGAGGAGGCGGCCGAGGAAGAUGCUGAAGGGGUAGAGCCGAUCGUGAUUGAGGAGGAAACCUCUCCUCCUCGUGCAGUCCCUGCUGCUGUUGGCGAGGCGAGCACCCCCCCGGACGCAACUGGUGAUACCCCCCCUGCACCUGAGGAGGUCCAGACAACCGAUGCUGCUCGGCUUACUGAUCCACCAUCUUCUUAAUAUAUUUCUUGUACUGUAAUGAACAAUUUUUGUGACGAUUAUCUCUUCUGUUAAUUACUAACAAUUAAUAAAGAUGUUUUUUAUUACUUUCUUAUGUUGUAAUCACGGCUUAUUUUCCGUUUGAGAAUCUGCUCGUCCUUGUCCGGUCGAGCAAGUUCUGGCUUGGCAUAUGGUUUUGCCACAUGCCUUAGAAAAUUCUUCGAUGUUCGAGAUUCUGCUCGCCUUCGCGCGAUCGAGCAGACCCUUCCACGCUUGACUUCAUUCUCGCCAUAAACAGGCUUUGAGACUUGACGAGCCUUUGCAUGCCUUAGAAAUUUUUUCGAUGCUUGGGGAUUCUACUCGCCUUCGCGUGGUCGAGCAGAUCCUGGCACGCUUGGCUUCUGUCUCGCCAUAAACAGGCUUUGAGACUUGACGAGCCUUUGCAUGCCUUAGAAAUUUUUUCGAUGCUUGGGGAUUCUGCUCGCCUUCGCGUGGUCGAGCAGAUCCUGGCACGCUUGGCUUCUGUCUCGCCAUAAACAGGCUUUGAGACUUGAUGAGCCUUUACAUGCCUUUGAUUCUUCAAGGACUGGGAUUCUGCUCGCCUUCUCGUGGUCGAGCAGAUCCUGGCACGCUUGGCUUCUGUCUCGCCAUAAAUAGGCUUUGAGACUUGAUGAGCCUUUGCAUGCCUUUGAUUCUUCAAGGACUGGGAUUCUGCUCGCCUUCUCGUGGUCAAGCAGAUCCUGGCACGCUUGGCUUCUGUCUCGCCAUAAAACAGGCUUUGAGACUUGAUGAGCCUUUGCAUGCCUUUGAUUCUUCAAGGACUGGGAUUCUGCUCGCCUUCUCGUGGUCAAGCAGAUCCUGGCACGCUUGGCUUCUGUCUCGCCAUAAAACAGGUUUGAGACUUGAUGAGCCUUUGCAUGCCUUUGAUUCUUCAAGGACUGGGAUUCUGCUCGCCUUCUCGUGGUCAAGCAGAUCCUGGCACGCUUGGCUUCUGUCUCGCCAUAAAACAGGCUUUGAGACUUGAUGAGCCUUUGCAUGUCUUUGAUUCUUCAAGGACUGGGAUUCUGCUCGCCUUCUCGUGGUCGAGCAGAUCCUGGCACGCUUGGCUUCUGUCUCGCCAUAAACAGGCUUUGAGACUUGAUGAGCCUUUGCAUGCCUUUGAUUCUUCAAGGACUGGGAUUCUGCUCGCCUUCUCGUAGUUGAGCAGAUCCUGGCACGCUUGGCUUCUGUCUCGCCAUAAAACAGGCUUUGAGACUUGAUGAGCCUUUGCAUGCCUUAGAAAAUUUUCACAGUUUCAAGCGAAUGAAAUUCCUCAUUGAUUUAUUAUUGAGUUCGGCUUACAUGAGGUUGCUUUGAAAUAAGAAAUCAAAAAUAGAAAACAACGGACACGAACAGAAAAAAAAAACUUUAAAACAUGAAUAAGUCUUACUAGAAAUAUUUCCUGAGGUGUGCCGCGCUCCAGGGGCGUUUCACCUCGUGGCCCUCCGUGCGAACCAACUUGUAAACUCCGGGUCCAACUAGCUGCCAUUCCCGGCUUCCACUCGGGUAUCAAGGUAUGUUAUCUGCAUUGCUUCCCUUGCUGCCGAGGAGUAACAGCUUCGUGCGAUUCUCUGGUCUCCUCGUACCACUCCAACUACCCCAUUCACCCGGUACUUGAGAGCCAGAUAAUGGUUGGACAGCACCGCUUUGCUGAUCCUCAGAAAUGGCCGGCCUAGGAUCAUCUGAUAAGGACCUUCCUCAUCCACUACCACAAAGUCCAGUAUCAUUGUCCUUUCUGUCGGGGAGCUCCCAAUCGUGAUAGGCAGCUCGACCACGCCCAGAGGGACCAGCUUUCCUCCUCCAAACCCCUUCAAGGAGGUAUUGGUGUACUCCAACUUCCGGUCUGCUAUUCCCAUCUCUUCCAAGGUUGACUUAAAUAACACAUCAACUGAACUCCCUGUAUCAACCAGUAUCCGGUCACACUUCUUGCUAGCGACAGUAGCCUUGAUGACUAAAGCAUCCUCGUGGGGGUAUAGAAUUCCUUCCUCAUCUUCAUCCGUCCACAUGAUUGGCACUUGCCUGACCCUUGCUCGUUUGGCUGCUGGGGUGUUGAAGAAUACCUCUUUACUAGUCAUGGCGUAUCUAGCAUAGUUCUUCCUAGAUCUGUUGGAAUCUCCAGCCAAUGUCGGGCCCCCAGCAAUCACCCUUACUGUAGGCUGCUCGUGCCUCAAAUUUCUGCCACUCUGGUCCCCUUCACAUGUCGAGGCCACCAUCGGGAAAGUCCCAUCUACAAACUCGUCCAGGUACCGAUUUCUCACCAAAUCUUCAACUUGGGUCUUGAGAUCUUUGCAUUCUGCGGUGGUAUGGCCAUGAGUGCCAUGGAACUUACAAUGACGUCCCCUAUCCCUCCUGCCGGGUAGCUUUGUUAUUGGGGCAGGGAGGUACAUCGAUCCUUGGUCCUUUAUGGCCUCGUAUACUUCGUCCAGGGACAUCUUCAAGGAAGUGUAUCGCCCAUACUCCUGGUUCUGGUCAAUCAGGUGCACUGCUCUUUCUCUGUUUGCUCCGUUCUGAGUUGGGUGCGGUGGCAGUACCUCUGGUCUGCUCCCUCUGCUACCGUGGGAGUGUUGAUGACCACCAUAUGAUGAAUCGUGCCUUCUCCAAGGCUCCCUAGCUGGGGAGCGAGGAGGCUGCGCCCUGCUGCGCUGAUACUGUGGUGGCCUCUGAUGAGGCUGGUAAGCAAUUACCCGACCUCCUGCUCCACUAUCCGAGGCCUGGUGGUCCCUCCUCCUGAUCGGCCCAUUCCCCGGUAAUGCUUUCUUCUCUUUCCUCCCCAACCCUUCUAACUGGUCUAUCUUAAUGCGUGCUGCCUUCUCCUCUUCGAUCUCAAUAUCUCUCUUAGCCUGCUCGUAUGCGGCCGCAUACGUCUGGAUAGCUGGGCUUCUCAAGUUGUACCACAGCCUUCCUAUCUUCACUCCUUCUUUCAAUCCCCUUAACGCCUGAGGGUGGUUGAAGGCUCCCAAGUCGAGGACAGCACGAUGAAACCUCUUGAUGAAUUCCCGAAGGGUUUCUUGCUCCCCUUGUUUCAUGCUUUUCAGCUCCAUCAUGUCAUCUUCUGGUGCCAUUGCCCCACUAAAUUGCUCUGCGAAUUCCUGGCACAUCUGCUCGAAGGUUUUAAUGCUGCCCCGAGGAAGUUUCCUGUACCACUCGCGUGCACAUCCCUCCAGGGAUAGUGGGAACACCCUGCACCUUUGAGGCUGAGAUAAUCCUUGUACCCCCGUUAUGUCAUUGAAGCGUUCUAUGUGCACCAGCGGAUCAGUUCGUCCCGAAUAUCUAAGGUCCGGGAGACGGAAAUCUCUCGGAAUAACUGCCCUCAUGAUAUCUGCUGCGAGCGGUGACUCUCCGUCCAGCAUUAUCCUCCAACCAGGAGCUCUGCUCCUUCCUUGCAUAUCGUCAAUUAUCUGCGCUAGUCUGCGCACUUCCUCCUCCAGCUGCACCGCACGACCAGGGUCACGUGCUGUAACUUGAUCCCUCUCUUGCUCUACAUCAUGCAAGUGUUGCCUCAACUCUGUUUCUUUUGCAUUCGCCACCCCAUCGUCCUCGUAAAAAAUCUGUCUUGCCGGGGAUUGCUCUUCGUCUCUAUGGAAUUCUCCCCGCAGAGGUAUGUUACCUCUCUCACCACCAAGUCUCCCGGUGGUUUGACUUCUCCUUGUACCAUCGGGACCUGGUGCCACUCCACCACCUCUCACCAUUUCCUCCUGAGUUACCCUUCGUUCACUCCGCAACUCAUGCAUGAUGGUUGUCAAGGUCUCCAUCUGCUUUUCCAUCCGUUCCAUUCGGUCGAACAUGGCUUUUUCCCUGGCUUCGCUGGCUAUCUCCCUCAGCAUCACGGAAUCGUUCAGCCUCAUAUCACCCCCUUGUGCACUACUUCCUCCUGUCUCCAUUACUUUUCACUUGCUUCACUCCUCUUCUUGCUAUCAACAUAAGCUUUUUGCUCAGUUCCCCACAGACGGCGCCAAAAUAUUGAUGCGAGAUUCUGGUUAUGCUCGUCCUACGACCAGGAUAUCUGCUCGAUCAACCUCACCUCGAUCAGGAUCUCUCCUCGUAUGCUUUCUUCUCCAAGUAUCCCUGCGUUCACAGAAACGAGUCAGAGCACGCCGGUUGUUUUCCCGGCGUAAACCCUCCGACGCUCAAGUCAGAUGUGAAGGUUCUGGGAAUGCUUGCCACAGAUCUUAUGGCUUUUCUAUAAUCUCAGUUCUUAGAGUUCUCUUUUCUUAGUUCCAAAAUCAAAAAUUCUAAACCUUUUACCUUCGUUGGCUACCUUUUUAUAGGCUUCCUCUGAAUCCAGAUCUUCCACAGUCCACGCCCGCCAUUCUCCCCACUCUCGGGUGUGGACGCCCCAUUACCGCCAUUGUCGGCGAAUAGAGAUGGACCUCGUGUCUUAAUUCUCGGAUAGGAAUGCACGUCCUGCCAACUGUCGUUGACUGGGUCUCCUCGCCUCGAUGCCUAGCAGGAAUGACUUUAUGCCUCUAAUAGGAGUUCGGCCUCAUGAAUGGCAUAUUCGUGGACGAGCAAAAUACUCCUGCUCGUAUUCCCCUGCUACUUGGCUCUUGUAGGAUACCCCUGCUCGCAGAACCCUGCCACCAACCACCUGCUCAUCAUGUUUGGUCGCCUCGAUAUAUUUCCCUCAAACAGGGUUCUUCUUUUUCUAGGCUGCAAUUAGGAUAUGUACAUGUUAGACAAUCUUUUGUGGGUUUAGCAUAUCUUCUCUGAUUUUGUCUUUUAUUCCCCAAUCUUGUAAUUACACACCAUGAAUGUUGAGUGAUUGUAUAGAUAAUUUAUGUUAGAACCAAAGCAUUGUGAAGGAGUUAAGUUAGUGGCUUCUGUUUUUUUGGCAUUGAUUGGGUAGAUUAUGUGUUACAGUGAUUCAAUUUGUGAUCCAAACUUUGCUUUAAUUUCUGUUUUCCCUAAUUAUUUAUGUCAAAUUUAAAUCCAGAAGCAUGUGCUGAUUUUUUCUUUUUGUAUUAAUCUGUGAAGUUUAUUUGGAAUGGAAGUAUCUGGGUUGGGUCUAACGGAUUAAAUUAUGACAUUGGGGGGAAGGCAGUAAAGGGUUUGCUUGACACAUUUGGUUCUGUGUUUACUUUGCAAGAAAUAGCUUUUGGUUCUCGCAAUGCUGGGGGAAAUCCCGAUUUGGCCAGUGAAUUUCUUUGUGACAAAUAGGCGAACACAUCAACCUCUUCUAUCCAUCCUUCUACUCGUAAGGCAAGGGGUAAAGAGUCUUCAAAAUCAUCAAAUAGUAACAUCUCUGAGAAUUCAUUUUAUGCAAAUGGAAAAUCUUGACCUUCUAAGACAAAAUGGCGUCCUGUAUCAGGAGGUACCGUUUCAAGUUUUCUUGGUAAAAAUUAUGUUAAACCUGCACAGCCAGCUAAUGGCACAUUUCUAGUAUCAAAGCCAUUGAAGUUGGAUCCAAAGGGGUUUCCCAUGUCUCCACUUUUGUGGAGAAGAUACUAAACUGAAACAAUCAAAGGAUGACCAUUUGCAGAAGGAUAUUGAAGAUUUUCUGUUUAAAUUGCUAGGAGAAGUGUUCCAAUUUAAUACAUAUUGUCCUUUUCAAUGUUCUUUCUUUCUUUCUCUUCUUUUCUUCUUCUUCUUCUUUUUUCUUUUUGUGUGCGUGUGAUCACUAAUUUGGUAUUGUAGUUAAGUUGCAGAUAGUUGUGGAUAUGAUAUGCAAAAGGCAAGGACUAUAUCUUCCUGAUGGAGGCCUCUGCUUUUUCCUUUAUGUGUAAUUUAAUAAAUUGCAUCUUCCUUUCCGAUUGUUAGAUCAUAUCAAAGACAAGUCUUAAAUACUGCUGUCAUAUGUUAAGGUUCAACUUGCAGUUUGAUUAACAUUCAUGGCUCAAAGGCCUGCAAAAACUUGCCAGUAAUUGUAAAAUGACAUUCUUUGCUUUUAAUGCAAUAGAGGGAACAGGGAAGUAUAGCUUUGGAAGCCUGGAUUGGUAACUAUAGAGAGACUUAGUAUUUAAUUGAUAAAAAUUCCCAUAACCCAAGGGUCAAGAAAAUUUUAGAUCGUUAAAGACUUCAUUUUGUUUCGGCCAGAAAUGUUUGUUUCGAUCGAAGACUUGAACCAUUUUCAUUGAACCUGAUUAUGAUGCUUUACGUUAUGCAUGUUCCUCUUAAUCAAGAAAAGUUGAGGUGAUGAUUUUAUAUUUCUAUAUUGUAAGUUGAAAUAAUAAUUGGUCUGCUUGUUUCUGUAGCUUGAUAACAUGAAUUUUCCUUCUCAAGUUAAUUUAAUCAAUAAAGUAAUUCUUCAAAGAAAAUAUGCCCAUUCUAUAAUCAUUUUCUUAACUAACAUGUUUUUUUCUUCACUCUUCAGAGCAUGUUGAAACUAAUUGUUUCGGCAGAGACUUUGGGUGAGAAGACAAAAUUUCUCGGUAAAUCCUCUGAAAAGGUAUGCAUAAUUCCGGAGUAUUAAAUAACCAAUGGUCAUAAUUUUUGUACAGGACUCUUUUCUUGUGGAGAUGAUUAAAAGUGGCUGAUGAUCCAGUUUGUAUAUCAUAGAGAGCAUCAAUUCCUUUUCUUUUCAGUGGCUAGGCAACACUUUCAGGGCAAAGUAAGGAAAUCUAUUUUAGGCAAUGUAAAAACCAAUGGUAGGAUGUAAUAGUUUAACAUGCACUGACAAUAACUUUUUGUAUAAUUGUCAGUUGAACGAAUACAAGAGGAACUCUGUUGACAAUUCAUCCAAGAUAGAUGCUAAAAUUAUUUAUGCAUGCCAGUUGCCUUAACUAAUUUUUCUUGACACUGGUAUUGAAGAGGAAAAUGGAUAUGCAAUUUGUAUAUUGUGCCAUGUGGAGAAUUUGGAUAUUCCUAUCUAAGUAACAAGGAGAGUAUUUGCCUCAUCUUUAGACAAUGAAUCUUUGAGAAAUUAGGAGUGGGUGAUUGGCAGUGUCUUCAUGUAAAUGUUCAUUUGUUUGUAUUUUGAACUAUUAUGAGAAUCUUUUAUAUGCCAAAUUAGUAAUGCAAAUGUUCAGAUUAUUUUUUCUGUUGAUCGUGCAUUUGUGUCUGCAAACAACCAUUGUAUAUCACUUCAUUCUGAUGUGCAAGUCUCUGUAGUUUAGAAGAAAAGAAAUAAUAAUGAUAUAUUAUUGCUUGAUUCAUGAUUAUUAAAUGAUUAUGGCUUUAAAAAGCCUACAAAUUCCUUCUGUUGAUAUAUGAAUGUACCAAGUUUGCUAUAUCUUAGAUUACCAUUUCCAAGAUUACAAGUUCAAAUUUUUUCUUUAUCCUUUUCCAUCACAGUUGCAUUUUAAGUGUAAGAUUUGUUAUUAAUACCUGGUUUCCCGUCAUUAUGAUUUCAUAAACAGUGUAUGGGUAUGUGCUCUACUUUUGGAGGGCCUCCACGUGAAAGAAAAAUUGCAACAAUUGAAUUCUUCCAGAUUGUAUGGUAUUUAAUUUAUUUUCUCAACCUCUUGUAAGACUAAUAUAUUUUCCUUCAGUAGACACGGCAUGGUGGGAAGGGUUUUUUAUUGAAAGAAUUCUGAUAUUUCUUAGACUUUGUUUUGGAAGGGGGUGCAGGGGUUUCUCAUCCAUAUAUGGUUACUUGAUUAGCUUUUGACUGUAUUGCCUUAAUCAUGCAAAGGAAGAUCCAAAUACAAACGAAGGAGAAUUGUUUAGACACCCAGAAGAUGGAAAUGAACUACAGAAGGAAGUUUUUGCUGCUUUAUUUAGUGCUCCUGAGAAAUCUGAUGAAUUUCCUGAAAUUACGGUGAAGACCAAGUGUGAGGUCCAAAGCAUUAGGAAAGGUGGUGAGUGAACUGCCGGAGGAAUUGGUACAGAAUACAAGGCUAAUGUGGUGGACUUGCAGCAAGAUAACCGAAACAGUCCGUGCUCUUAUAUUAACUAUAUUGACUGGAUUUGCUAGUGUGUAUAUUUUUGUGUGUAUACUCACUUUUGUAUUUAUGCAUAUUAACGUGUGUAGGAUUCUUGAUUUCUGCCACUUACUGGAGAACUAGUGGAAAGCUUUAUACUGAUAUAUGUGCUAUAACUAAUGGAAACUAUGAUAUUAAUAUUUUCUCUCGCUUGGAGAACUGCAUAACAUAUAUACUUUGUGGCUCUGGAAUACUAAAGAUUCUGCAAUAACUAAUGGAAACUAUGAUAUGAAUAUUUUCUCUCACCUGGAGAACUUUGUAACAGUUACACUUUGGGGCUUGGAAUGUCUAAAGAAUUUUGUCUGCUUCAGUUAGAUCAAAUAUCUUUUAGUUGCAUACAUUAUAGAAAAGAUAAAGUUCUCUGAAUCUGAACGACUUAAAAUUUUGCGCAUUUCUUGAAAGGGAAAUAUCUGUAGAUACUAGUUCAUGCAUUGUGGUAGCAUCAGUGUUAAAGAAAAACAGCAGUAAGUUAUUAUAUAGAAUUAGGUUGACUUGCUUUAAAUCCUGGUCUGGUCAACCAUAUGAACCUGUAAGUGGUUCUGUAGAAAUAUAUAUAUAUACGGGGAGAAAGUAGCUAAAUUUUCCUUUCAUUUAUGGGUUUGGUCAUUUUUUCCCCUUAUUUAUGUUUUCUCACACAUUUUUUAAAUGCCCCAGACAUGCAAUUUUGUAUGUGUCAAUUGCCUUUUAAGUUUUAAAAACCAUAAAGUAAGAAUACAGUUUCUUGUCAGGCUAUUGAUGCAUUUGCUCGGGGGGAUCAUGCUCGAGCAGGAAAACUUCUAGAACAGGUAAGGUUUCCAUCUACAGCCAUUUAUUGACAACAUAUAUAUUUUCAUUCAGCAAGCACUGUUAGCAUUCAAGAUGCUGGCAGAUUCACUUGAUUCUUAUUAGUUUGUUUAGUAGCAAAGCAUAUAACCUGUAUUUCAAAGCUAAGUUGUGCUAUUGAUUAUGUUAACUUUAUUGUUCACAUAAAGUGAUAUAGAGGAAAUAAUCAAUGUAGGAAAAUUAGGUGAAGAGAUGAUGUCAAAUCUUGAACCUCUUACAAAACUCUAAGCUCUUUACUUGAAGAAGCUACCAAAUUCGAACAGCAUGUACUGGAAGGCCUUGCCAUUCCCUGAUGCAUGCAGAAUUUUUGUAUUUAAAUGCCCAGAGCUUAAGAAGCUGCCACUGGAUCUUGAAAGGGCAGGCCAAGGUAAAAUUCUUAUGAAGGGAAAGAAAGAUUGGUGGAAACAAACUUCAAUGGGAGGAUCAAGUAACUCAGAAUGCAUUGCUUCCAUUUUUAAAAUCAACCAACAAGUGAUUGAAGGGGGCAUCAUCAACAUGGAUGGAGAGAUUCUGGAGCAGAUCAGCGGGGUUUAGUACGACCUGUGGUGGUUGCUUUUUUGUGACUUUUUUCCCUUUCAUUUUUUCACUCCCUGUCAUAUUAUCAUUUCUUUGUCUCUGUUUCUAUUGCUGGUGUUGCUGCAUGCUUGCUGUCCUUGACAAAGUUAGCUAGUUUUUUUGUUUAUUAAAUUUUGUAUGUUCGGGACAGUCACAAAGUACUACUUGUUCUAUAAGGGGGUGAUGUGAAUCCACUUUUCAAUUAUAUAUUCUGUGGUAAUUGUGAAUUCAAUUCAUUUGUCUCCAGCAAAUUAUGAAGAAAGUGCAGAGUUACAAUAUGGAAAAGUUCACUGGCAAAUACUUUGUAAAAGCUUCGGAGUGAAACAGGGAAUGCACUGGCAACUAAGGACAAAUUGGUGGCCAGCUAAUGCAUUCAUUUUAUGUACAUUCCUCUUUUUAAUUAUUGAAGAUAAGUGGUUCGUUGCUUUUGUUGUAGAUAAAAUUCAGACGACCUCAAUUGUGAGAUGACAAUAUUUAAAAUAUCUCUUAAAUUAUUAUAAACUUUAAUUUAUCUUAAUUUUAUUUAAAAGAUAAAAGAAAAAUGUGGUAUAUGGAUAAAUUUUUUUUUAUCUUCUUAAUAAAAUGAAAUAAAUUAAAAUUUAUAAUAAUUUAUAAUAUUUUAAAAAUUAUUAUUUCAUAAGAGAUUAAUAUGAAAUUAAUCCUUUUUACUUUUUGAAUGUGAAAGGACAGGAAAAGAGAAAGCAAGUGUCACUGCUUUUUAUUUUAUUUGAAAUCGGAGUUAUCCCAUAUACUUUACUACUUUAGCUCUAACAUUACAAUGUUUUUAGGCUACACUUUUAUUUUUCUUUUUCCCCCUUUUUUUAUACAUGCAUGUGGAUUACUUUCCUCUAAGCGCCUUAAUAUUUAAGACAAAUCAUAAAAGCGAUUGAAGUAUAACCAGAUGAUCAAAACAUUUAACCCAAAAAAAAAAAGAAAUAAAACAUUGAAAAUGGAGAUGUUGAUUAAUUUAGAAGAGAUGCAAGUAAAAGAUAUUCCCAAAAAAAAGAAAAAAAGAAAAAAGCAACGUUAGUUCAUCCAUGUCUGUCAAUGCGUUUUUUAUGGUUUUUUUUCCAGUUGUUUGUUGUAAUAGAUUGAUUGUAAAUUGAUAUGAACUUGAUGUUGUAAUAUGUUCCCUUUUGUGGAAUUAAAUUUGAAUAUUCAAGAUUAUUCAAGUCUUAUUUAGUAUGUGUUUAGUUGUGUUGUCGAUAACUUUGCAUUCGAAUAAGUUUUCACCUAAAAUAUUAGCAUGAGUAGUAGUCCUUGAAACUUUGGUCAAAAUUAUUGUUAUUGUUUCUUUUAGAGGAAAUUUUUUUAUUAAAGCCUCGUUAACACUAUUUCUUAUUAAGAUUAUAAGUUAGUGUCGGUGUAGGAUUUGCAACGACAAAUCCUGUCUAGCCACGUGUCAAAAGUACAAAUAAAUCAAGGGAAAGCACAUGUCGCGGAUUAGGAUCCAAUAAAAUUUAAAUCCCAAGGAAAAGGACAACUGUAUCCUAAAGUUUCAAUAAGAGAUACUGAUAUAUCUUUUGACUAAUGUUAUUUUUUGGCUUCAUUAAUAAAAAGAUCCAAUAGUUUAUAACAAAUAAAAAUAUAGCAUUAAGCUAAAUGUGAUAAUAUAUACAUUUUACAUAAUUUCAAUAAAAAAACAUUUUAAUGUUUUACGAUCUAUCAGACAUAUUUUAUUAAAUUAAUAGGAAUUUUCUGAUAAAUAGCAACAUAAUAUUAAAAUAAAUUUAUAAAGAUUUAAAUGUAAAAUAAUUUUAGUAUAAUUAAUACAUGGGAUAUAUUUUGUAAAUUAUAAAAUUACUUAACCCAAUGAUUUUUAAAAAUCUUUAAAAUAAAUAAAAAUAAAUUAUUCACAUUUUGAUGUAAAUAUUUAAAACAUUUUUAUACAUUAGUCCACAAUUAUUUAUGUUAUAUUUGUAUUUAUUAGAAAUUUUGAAAGUGAAAUGUUUUUCACCUCUAUCUUAUUAGAAUUAUUGCACACAGAGAAAGAGCCAUAUAUGCUUUAUAGCUUUAAAAUCGGUUUGUUUUAUAGCUGGGAACAGAGAUGAUCAUUAUUAUAAGGAUUAAAAAAAGAUAAAGAAUAUUAAUGAUUAACGAAAUCUUUAUGGAAAUUGAAUUUAGUAAGAAAAAAUUGAGCUGAUUUUAGUGGUAUAGUCAUAUUUUAUAUAGAGAAAAGUAAAAGUUGCACCCCGAAAUGUUCAAAACUCUUUUUUAAUAAUAAUAUCCUUUUUUCUAGAUAACUUAAAAAUUUGACUCUAAUAUUUUAUAAUAAAUAAAAACAUAUAAUCCUAAAAUAAAUAAAAUAAUAUAUAUUUUAAAAUAAUCUCAAUAUUUAAAAUAUAUUUUAACAUUUUAUAGUCUAUCAUAUAUAUUUUAUUUUUUUAAAGUAAAUUUUAUAAUAAAUACCAACAUACUAUUAAAAAAGAUAUAUAAAAAAUUUAAAAUAUUUUGAAUAUUAUAUAAAAUAACUUUAAUAUUGUUAAUAUGUGAGAUAUAUUUUAUUAAUUAAAAAUUCUAUUUAACCCAAAGAUUUAUUUAAGAUAAAUUAAUAAUUAUAUUUUUGAAAUUAUUUCAAAUAUUAAAAAAUAUUUUAAUAUUACUAACUAUUAGAUAGACUAAACUAUUUAUAUUAUUUUAUAUUUAUUAUAAAAUUUCAAAGUUAAUCUUUUUAACUACUAUUCAAAAGAUAUUAUGAUAAAAACAGAAUUUUUGUGUUUUUAUUGACAAUUUGGAGUUUACAUCUAUUUUUUUCAAAUAUUCGGGGUGUAAAUGUUUUUUCCCUUUUAUAUAUACGAACGGUGGUGAGAAAGCUUGAUUUAACGUUAUUUAUUUAAAUAAAAUCUCAGUUAAAAAUGUACAGAGAAGAAAUUUCUGUUGGUAUUUUAGUCUUUUACCAAUUAUCACGAUUAGGCCUUGGCCUUGAAACAUUAAUUGUUUCACUUUUAGCGCUAGUGGCGUUGAAAGUUGUCAAGAAAAAAGCAAGACCAUAUUCCACAAAAGCAAAAGUAACGUUGGCUCUUUUAUUAAAGGCAAAGUAUAAAGUAGUCAAGAAUCGAAUAUCCUGUCGUCUACUCUUUUUUAAAUUCUUCUUUUAUUAUCUUUUAGAAUAGUUUUUGGUAAUUACAAUCAUUAUUCAGAGUUAUUGUUAUCUUCCGGGGCAGUCUCUGUUCAUCGAACUCGUUACCCUUUUUUAUAGAUUAGUUCCAGUGGUCAGCAGUAAUUUUCUUAGAACUCGGAUCUUUAAUUCGAGUUUCUGUGUGAAUUAAUAAUAAAAAAUUUCAUUACACGCAAUUUAAGCUACGAAUUACUUUUUGCAAAGUUGAAUAUGAAAUUGGAGAAAUUAAGUAAUUUAGAAUGUUGGUAAAAAUUGACGAACAUAUCUCCAAUUACAGUAAAACCUCUCUACAGUCAUAACAUUAUAAUAAAAUUAAUUUUAUUACUAUGUUGAGGUAAUAUAGGUUUAGUUACAAAAUUAUUGUUUUAAUAUGGUUAGUGUCAAGUGAUAUAAAGGUUAAGUAUGUAGUACAUUGAUAAUUAAAUAAUGAAGCGUGUCAAAUCUAAUGUAUAUAUAUAUAUAUAUAUAUAUAUAUUUUUUUUUUUUUGGUUUUGACCACGAGGUAUCCUGGGGAGGGCCCCAACUGUGGGAGACACCUUUAAGCCCGUACCACAACCCAGACUAGAAGUCCUCACUCGAAUCGAGAGGCACAGGUUCUCCCAACAAAGGCGACUUCCCUACGACUCGAACUGGGGAGCAAACCCAGUCAAGCCACUUAAGGGGACUCCAUUGCCAGUGGAGCCAACACUUUGUUGGUUAUAUAUAUUAAUGAUAUAGAUAGACAUAGUUUUAAAAAACUAAUUAAUGUAUAUUUAUGUAGUGUUAUGAAUAUGGAAAGUCAAGCCUACACUUUACAUUAUCCUUAAUUUUUUCUCUCAGUUAAAUUCUACAAAAAUUUUACAAUGAUUGGGCAAGAACUCUAAAUUAAGAAUAAAUUAUUGUCACAAAUAAUUUUAGAAAAUAUUUUAUUUCGUCUUAAACCUUUAAUGUAAGUAAACAUAUAUAUAUAUAUAUAUAUAUAUAUAUAUAUAUAUAUAUAUAUAUAUAUAUAUAUAUAUAUGUGCAUAUUUUGCAACGUAUAGAUAAUUGUUAGUAUAUGGAGACAAGUCUUUUAAGGUAGGACCUAGGAAAAUUUAUAACUUACUACACUGGGGAGUUUUUAUUCCUUUUUAUAAUUGGCUCAUAUUGAUACAUUCUUACACAAAAUAUUACCACUGACAUAUUUUAUUACAAUUAGUUUAGAACAUUUGUUAGGAAAAAAAAAGAAAAGAAAACAUCCCUUGGAUGUAGCUCUCCUGAUUAUUUAAAUCUUUUAAGGAAAAAAAGAAAAAAGAAAAACUAACACAUUCAAAUCUUGAAGCAAUUACAUUAAAACCUCUCCAUAAUGAUAGGAAUAAUCUCCAUUUAGUAAUAAAAAAUUUUGUUCGCAAUUUAGGCAUAGUUAUAAAUAAGAAUAAAAUCCUCAUUGUAAUAAGUUAUAUUUAUUAUGGAUCCCAUCCUAAGGAACUUGUCUCUAUAUAGUAAUAAUUAUUUGAAUAUUAUAAAUAUAUAUGUUGCAUUAGAUUAAAUGAACUUGUCUCCACAUACUACUUAGACAACGAGAGAAAGUUAUUAAAGAGAACACAAAUAUUUAAAGAUUUUUAAGAUUACUUUGUAUAUUUAUAACAAUAAUACAUUGAUAUAUGUAUUAGUUUUUUGAUAUAUUAGAUUUGACAUGCUCUAUUAAUAAAUUAUUAAUACGAUGCAUACUUCAUCUCUAUAUCCUUGCAAUAAAAGUAACUAAGUUAUAACGAUAAUUUUUGUAACUACAUGCUUAUUAGGUUUUAACUACUUCAUAAUAAUAAAUUAGUUUCGUCCUAAUAUUAUAAUUAUGUAGAGUUGUGGUGUAUAGACACACCCAAUUUAAAUAGUAUAUCAAAUAAAAUUGUCCCCACAAAAAAGAAAAAAGGGGUAAAGGAUUGUUAUUUCUUCAAACAUUAGGAUCACGUUUGUACAAGUGCGAUGCCUUUCUUUUGAAGGCAACGUCAGUGGGUACCCAAUAGGACGUGUGUAAAUCUUUCCAAAAUUUCUCCGGUAUAACGGACAGAGAUCAUUACUUUUCUCUUCCAUAGACCACAGCAGCUUCAGUUAAUCAGACUCAAUCAAUUUUCUUGGUUUCUUCGCUUAUCAAAAUUCCAAAGUAUGGGUAGCAUAUUUCAAAUCACAUGCGAUGGUGCUUUUUUCAAUCGUUGCUUGGAUUGCUUUCUUGGAAAAGUAGCAAACACAAGUAAGCUCCAUGAUAACCUUGUUGCCUUGGAGACUGAAUUGGGAAAACUAAUCGCAGCAAAGAACGAUGUGAUGAUGAGGGUUGUCAAUGCUGAACGGCAACAACUGAGAACGCUGGACCAAGUGCAUGUGUGGCUUUCGAGGGUGGAAGCUGUUGAAACUGAAGCUGAUGAAUUGAAAAGACACGGCUCUCAAGAAAUUGACAAAUUAUGUGUUGGAGGCUACUGUUCCAAGAACUGCGCGUCAAGCUACAAGUUCGGGAAACAAGUGGCUAAAAAGCUACGGGAUGUGCGGACUUUAAUCGACGAAGGAGUUUUUGCGGCGGUGGCUACCGAGGUGGUGCCUGAGAGAGCUCCAGAACCUGUAGCAGAUGAAAGACCCACUGAGCCAACAAUAGUAGGCUUGCAAUCACAACUUGAACAAGUUUGGAGAUGUCUUGUAGAAGAAUCAGUGGGAAUCAUUGGCCUAUAUGGUAUGGGCGGUGUUGGUAAAACUACACUAUUGACCCAUAUCAACAAUAAAUUUCUUGAGAGUCCAACCAGUUUUGAUUGUGUGAUUUGGGCCGUAGUUUCAAAGGACUUGCGACUCGAAAAAAUUCAAGAAGAUAUUGGGAAAAAGAUCGGUUUGGUUGAUGAUUCAUGGAAGAGUAAAAGUGUAGAGGAGAAAGCUCUCGACAUCUUCCGGAGUUUAAGAGAGAAGAGAAUUGUAUUGCUGUUAGAUGAUAUAUGGGAGCGGGUUGAUUUAACAAAAGUGGGCAUUCCACUUUCCGGACCAAAAAAUACUACCUCAAAAGUCGUAUUCACAACCCGUUUCGUCGAUGUUUGUGGUAGCAUGGAAGCUGACAAGAAGUUCCAAGUGGCAUGCUUAUCAGAAGAGCAUGCUUGGGAACUGUUUCGAAAAAAAGUUGGGGAAGAAACUCUUGAGAGUGAUCAUGAUAUCGUUGAGCUAGCCCAAACUGUGGCCAAAGAGUGUGGUGGUUUGCCACUCGCACUUAUUACUAUUGGUCGAGCUAUGGCCUUCAAAAAGACAGCCGAGGAGUGGAGUCAUGCAAUUGAUGUGCUAAGAACAUCAGCUUCUGAGUUUGCAGGUUUGGGAGAAAAGGUGUAUCGUCUUUUAAAGUUUAGCUAUGAUAGUUUGCAGAAUGAGACGAUUAGAUCUUGUUUCUUAUAUUGUUGUUUAUAUCCCGAGGAUUAUGGCAUUCUUAAAUGGGACUUGAUUGAUUGUUGGAUUGGUGAGGGAUUCUUAGAGGAAUCUGACAGGUUCAGUGCAGAAAACCAAGGAUACUACAUUGUGGGCACUCUUGUUCAUGCAUGUUUAUUAGAAGAGUUAGAAGGUGAUAAAGUAAAAAUGCAUGACGUUGUUCGUGAUAUGGCUCGAUGGAUAGCUUGUGAAAUUGAGAAGGAGAAGAGAAAAUUUUUGGUUUGUGCAGGUGCUGGAGUAGGAGCGGUACCAGAUGUUGAAGGAUGGGAAAAUGUGAGAAGAUUGUCAUUGAUGCAAAACCAAAUUGAAAUUCUGUCAGAGGUUCCCACAUGCCCUCAUCUCCUCACUUUAUUUCUUGACUUUAAUUAUAAAUUGGAGACGAUCACCGAUGGCUUCUUCCAAUGUAUGCCUUCUCUCAAAGUUUUGAAGAUGUCAAACUGUGGGCAUGUCAAAGUUUUGAAAUUACCUUUUGGGAUGUCAAAGUUGGGUUCACUACAACUUCUUGAUAUUUCACAUACCGGCAUAAGAGAGUUACCAGAAGAGUUAAAGUUGUUGGUAAAUCUGAAAUGUUUGAAUUUGAGGUGGACACAUAUGUUAAAUAAAAUUCCACGGCAGCUAAUAUCAAAUUCUUCAUGGUUACGUGUGUUGAGAAUGUUCGCUAUUGGCUUCGAAAAUUCUAAAGAACCAUCAGAAGACAGCGUUUUAAUUGGUGGGGGUGAAGUUUUAGUACAUGAAUUGCUCGGUUUGAAAUAUUUAGAGGUAUUGGAGUUGACCUUGCGAAGUUAUGAUGCUCUCCAAUUUUUUUUGAGCUCAAAUAAGUUAAAAAGUUGUAUUCGAUCUCUUUUCCUCAUUAAGCUGGGAGAUACAAAGUCGAUUCAUGCUACGGCAUUCGCAGAUCUAAAGCAUCUCAAUGAACUAUGCAUUCGUUCGGCAGUGGAGUUGGAAGAAUUGAAGGUUGAUUAUACAGAGAUUGCGCCAAAAAGGUCGGAACCUUUUGUUUUCCGCAGCCUUCACCGUGUUACUAUGGAGCGGUGCCAUAAAUUGAAAGAUUUGACAUUCCUCGUUUUUGCUCCAAGCCUCAAGUCUCUUUCGCUAUACGGUUGCAAUGCUAUGGAAGAAAUAAUCAGCGUUGGAAAAUUUGCUGAGACUCCUGAGGUGAUGGGACAUAUAAGCCCUUUUGGAAAUCUCCAAACGCUUUAUUUAACUGAUUUGCCAGAGUUGAAAAGCAUCUACUGGAAGCCGUUGCCUUUCACUCAUCUCAAAGAAAUGACGGUACAUGGGUGUAAUCAGCUUAAAAAGCUUCCACUCGAUUCCAACAGUGCAACAGAGCGUAAAUUUGUUAUUCGUGGAUACACACACUGGUGGAACCGUCUUCAAUGGGAGGAUGAAGCCACUCAAAUUGCUUUUCGUUCCUGUUUCCAAUCUCAUGAAAUAUAAAUUCCUGAGCGGUGGUUGCAAAAUUUGAUUUCUAGUGAGUGCUUUUUUCUGAAACUCUUACAUAUAUUCUCGUCGUUUGCUUCGUGCAACAGACUAGGUUUUUAUUUCAGAUUCGUUUUUUGUCUCCUGCAAAUCACAAUUAAAUGUUGAAUUAUAUGGAGUCAAUGCUUUAGAAAAUUUUCAAGGCACUGCCAUUUCCUUUUUCUUUUUUCUUUUUUUGGGGUCGAAUUGAUGCUCUGGCUUUUUUCUUCUUCUUGUCAAAUUUUGCUCUGUUUUUUCAAGUUGAUGAUUGAAUAGUUGAAUUCAAUUAAUGCUCACAUAAAUUUGUUUAGUUGCCGUAAAAGGAUAUAAUUAGACUGAAGUACACACUUCUAGAAUGAAUACAAAAUGUUAAGUAUACUAGCCCUCUUUACAGAAAAUCAAAUGAAAAUCAAUUUUUUGGGGCUUUGAUUUUCUAUGGUCUAUUAUAUACUCUUUUUAAUAUCUUCUGUUCUAACUAUAACCAAAUCCUUUGUUCAAGGAUUUUUAGUUGGGGUAUUGAUAACUGUCCACCAAAAGAGUGAACACUUGGAUGCUGCUCAAGGAUCUCUAAUCAAUAGGUGGAAGCAACUGAGAAGGCGGUCGCUACUGUUUACAAAGCGAUGCAGUAUUCGCCAUUCAUCUUAAUAAUUGUGAAGCUUUGGUAAAAUUUUCAAACAAAGUUGAACAUGCUGUUUUGAGAUUUGGUUCAUGAUUUUCGAUGAAUAUCGUUGUUCCGUUUGAGUUGGAUGUGAAUUCAAAAUCUAUAUAUUCUUUAGUUUUCAAUUCUGAACUCAAUUUCUUUUUCUCAAGCAUGUUAUGCAGAAAUGAUUUUUAUAAUUACUAAAUCAUUUUUGAUGAAUUGUUUAAAUUAAACAAGUGGAAUAAGAAUUGUAAAGGUUUAUCAUAAGCAUGCUAAUAUGAUAAGUUGUUUUAUGAACGAUUAAUUAAUUAAUCAAUUAAUAUUAAAUUAUAUAUUAGUCAAUUAGAUAUGCGUUACAUGUCAUGUUUAAAAACUAUUUAUUUAUAUUUCAAACAAAUUUGACUGGAUGUUGUGUAGGUAAUACUACAUAAUUUCAAAACAAAAAAAGUAACAAAAACAAGUUAAAUUUUGUUUUUAUGAAGAAAAAAUUUAAAAUUUUAUUAAGUAGGUGAAAAUAAUAAAUGGAUUCGUGUAUGGUUUGAGAUUCUUGACAUAAUUAUGAAAUAAGCCGGAUUCAACUUAGUUCAAUUUUGACGCGAUAAGAAGACGACACCACACAAACACACGAUAAGAACCGUUACCUGAGAAGAUUGCCAUCAGGAAUUUUGAAAUUGAUUUCACUACAAUACCUUAAUCUUUCAGAUACUCCCAUCACUGAGCUGCCGGAAGAGCUAAAAGCCUUGGUAAAUCUUAAGUGUUUGAACUGUACACAAAUUAUCUCUCUACAAUUCAAAAACAACUGAUUUGUUACUUUUUCAAUGCUACAUGUUCUGCGAAUAUUGAGUUGUGGUUAUCUUGUUGAAAAAUCAGAAAAUAGAGUUCUAUUUGGUGGUAGUGAAUUGUUGGUUGGGGAGUUGCUUAGUUUAAAACGUUUAAAUGUAUUAAGCAUCACCUUACAAGGUUUUUCUGCUGUCCAAAAACUUAUGAGCUCUCAAAAGUUUCAAAGCUGUACAAAAUGUUUGGAGCUUAUAGACUGUGAUGAUUCAAAGUCUUUUGCCUUGGCAGAGUUGAAGCAUCUCGAAAAACUAGUUUUUCGAAUUGUGGAAGAGUUUAAGUUCUGCUGUGUUGAAGUUGGAAAAGCUCAAGAAUGUUUUCGUUUGAACAGCUUUCACCGAGUUAAUAUAAAGGCUUGUCAUAAAUUGAGGGAUGUGACAUGGCUUGUAUUUGCUCCAAAUCUUAUGGUUAUUCAAAUAGAAAAAUGUAUGCAGAUGGAAGCAAUAAUCAGUGCAAGGAAAUUGGGUGAAAUUCCAGAGAUGAUGGCAGAUCUAAACCCUUUUGCAAAACUCCAAUAUCUUCGCUUCCGAGUUCUUCCAAAAUUAAAAAUCGUCUAUUGGAAUGAGUCACCCUUUCCACAUGUCAGGGAAAUUAUUGUAUCUGAAUGCCCAAUUCUCAAGAAGCUUUCACUCAAUUUUAACAAUGCAAAGGAAUCUAAAAUUGUCAUUAAGGGAGAGGAACACUGGUGGAACGAGCUGCAAAGGGAGGAUGAAGCGACCGUUAAUGCUUUUCUUCCUUAUUUUGGUUCCAUUUGACAGGCAUCAACAUGGAUUUAUAUUUUGCGGUGGACAACUUGUAGUAAGUGCUUUUCCAUUUAUUACAUGUUUAUAUCUAACUUUUGUUUUCCUUUAUGGUUAAAUUUUACUAUAUAUAUGUUGUUAUACGGUGACAUUCUCGCAUCAAUUAUUAGCUUUUUAAUUCUCUUCUCGCAUUAAUUGUCCUUCUGAUCAUGUAGGAUUUGCCGAUGUCAAAGAGUAGUAAAUUGGGAUACAAAUGUAAGAAAUUAGCCAGAUGACAUGUUGUUUUGAAGCUUUCGAAGAAGGACUAAUUAUGUCAUUCAAAGCAUCCAAUUUCGCUACUUUUUUUUUUCAUUUGUUGCUUUUUCUAUUUUUAGAUAGCUUGAUUGUCAGUUGUCGUAAUGUAAUGUUUUAGUGUAGAAAAAUGAUAUUCGGCCAAGACAUCGAUAGUAGGGCACAUUGUGCAUGCACACUAGUGGAUGAUUUCGGCAUGCCGAAUCCAAUUAGUGUGGACAACCCUUUAUAAGCAUCAGGCUUCUCUCAUACCAGAGCAAUGUAGAAUAUGUUUAUAAACUGUGGAUUACCCUUUAUAAGUAUUAGGCUUCUUCUAUACUCGCGCGAUGAAACAAAAUGCAUUCUUCAAAUCAAUAGUGGGUGGAAGAAGUGAGUAGAGAAGAACUAGGCCCCUUUCAUUCCCCUAAAACCUCACCGAAACCUCUCUUGUGAACUUCUCAGAUUCUCUCUCAAUAUUUCUUAUGAUCUCAUUUUUGAUAGAAUCAAUUCUUUUGCAUGCUGCAUUUUGUGUGUCUUUUUUGGGUAAUAUCUUAUCUGGAAUGCUGUUAUGAUCAAUAGAAAAAGUAAUCAAGUUUUGGUUUGACGGAAGUCGAUUUAUUUAUUUACUAUUAUUUUUAUUUGAAAUUUUGUACAAUUGUGUUUCAUUCAUUUCUUUCAUUUUUUUAAAUAUUUAUUAUGUAUUGUUGAUGCUGAAAUCUGCUCGCCCUUUGCCCAAUCAGAUCUUUCCACCAAUGUUUACGUGGCUAGAAGAGAAGGUGUCACUUUCUUCUUGUUUCGACUGUUUGCUCAAGCCGCUGGGGUUGGAAUCACCCUUCCUUCUUUUACUAAACAUGCGUUCACAAAAAUGGAUCAGAGACGCCGGUGGUUUUAUCGGCGUAAACUCUCCGAUGCCUAAGUCAGCACAAGGUGUUUAUGGGAAAACAGUGCAGUUUAGAUUUUGAGAUUGCUUAUAAUUUGCUCAAAGUUUGUAUAGAAGACGGCUUGGUUUCAAUUUGGCAGAGUUUUCCCCCCUCUCAGUUUUUCUGUCCCUUCUCCAUUGGUUUUUCCUUAUUUUUAUAGCCGUUGUCCCACGUUUCCGUUCACCCUUCAUGCCCCCCCUUUUCUCGGGUAGUGGCAACCCCUCAUGGGACUCCAACUGCUAUAUUGUGGGUAAACGUGGGACACUGUGUCUCCCUCUACGAUUUUGGGCACAGCGCAACUGGCGUGAUUUCGUGAGAUCGUGUUCCCGCUCUUUGGGGAAUGGGUAUCUGCUCGGUAUAUGUCUCUGGUCGGUGCAUUCCUCUGGCUGGUACUCGUCUCUGGUUGGCCCAUGUUUGUAGAAGGCUCAUUAUCAGUGUUCUGCUCGUACCAUUUGGCUGAGGUGAUCCCUGCCGAGGUGGGGAUGAUGGCAUGGCUGAGCUGAUGCUCUUAUUUACUUAACAUGUAUAAUUGUGUUUCAGUUGAUAUUGAUCAUACUCUAGAUAACUAUGUGAUUGUAGCUGGGGAUUUUAAGUUUUGUGAAUUCAAGAAACUGUCAAAAUGCUAGUGAAAUUGGGACCUUUAUUCAUAAGCUUGUAGUUUUGAAAAGUAGCCCAGUUCAACUGAUGAAGUUCCUUUUUGGGAUUCUUUUUUUCCUAGGCUGCAAUUCGGAUAUGUACCUGAUAGACAAUCUUUUGUGGGUUUAGCAUAUCUUCUCUGAUUUUGUCUUUUAUUCCUCAAUUUUAUAAUUACACACCAUGAAUGUUGAGUGAUUGUAUAGAAAAUUUGAGUUAUAACCAAAGCAUUGUGAAGGAGUUAAGUUAGUGGCUUCUGUUUUAUUGGCAUUGAUUGGGUAGAUUACGUGUUACAGUGAUUCAAUUUGUGAUCCAAACAUUUUUUUAAUUUCUGUUUUCCCAAAUUAUUUAUGUCAAAUUCAAAACCAGAAGCAUGUGCUGAUUUUUUCUUUUUGUAUUAAUCUGUGAAGUUUAUUUGGAAAGGAAGUAUCUGGGUCUAAUGGAUUAAAUUAUGUAAGUGGCAGAAAUUCCUACACACAUAAAUAUGCAUAAAUACAAGAGUAUACACAAAAAAAUGCACACACUCAUACAUCCAGUCAAUAUAGUUAAUGUAUGAUACCAAUUGUUGGGGAAAAAUUAGGUUUUUAAUUUUUUAUAAAACCUUUUGAAGAUCGCUCUCAUAUAAUAUAUAAGAAUUUGUAUUCUAGAAAUCGUACCUUGAAAAUCCGAGUUGGCUUUUUCCGCUGAAGUGUUUUAGGCUCCUAGAUCACGAUCCGCCACCACCGCUCCUGUUAGAUCACGAUCCGUCACCACCACGCUUGUUAGAUCACGAACAGUCUCCAAUGAUCUUCCAGGUUAUGACUCAGGUUCGAUCUGCACUUGACGUGUAGGCGCCUUUAUCACUACCAAAGCAACUAGCACGAGAAAAUUUUUCUCUCAACAAUAGAGAGAAAAAUCUUUUUCUCUGAUCUGUAUAAAGUGGCUUCUCACUUUUUCUUUAGGGAAAAAUAAGCCUUUUAUAUCACCCUUUAGUGAAAACCCUAGGCUCCAAAUAAAUGAAAAAUAAAACCCACGUUUAUUUGCUUUUUCAAUAGGGGACCCACCUUGUAAAAUAACAUAAGGCCCCUUAUACAAAAGCUAAUUAAAUGGAGCCUCCCACUAAAUGAUAUAUUUAGGCUUUUGACCCAAAUAGCUGGUUAUCUUACUUAUUAGUCCAGUAGUGGUGCAGUCAAUUAAAUGAGCUAACCCGGGGAUCAUUUGGGAACAUACAAUAGUGGCUACAAUAAUUAGGCCUGUAAUUAAACUAGCCCAAUUAUUUAAUUCCAAAUCUACUCCAUUAAAAGAUUGGAACUGACUUCCAUAAUUGUAUGCUCGAAUAAUAAUUCGUCCCAAGCCACAUUGAUUUCUUUACUGCACAAUCCUUUGUACCACAUCGUUAAUUAAAUUGAUAUCUCAACUGUCCAAUCAAUUUAAUAACAUCUUAUUCCUUGAUCCUUACUGGUUUUCUCUAAUGAUCAUUUUCAACAUACUAAAUAUGUUGACACACUCUGGCCAGAGAAUUCUAUGAUCAAGUGCCGAAAACCCAUGAAGAGAUGUGUUGUACAAAUUCUAUAUUGUUAAUCUAUAACUCCAAUACUCAUAAUUGCUCCCACCAAGAUACCGGGUAAUCUUGACCACAAGGAUGUGUCGUGCCCAUUGGUAACUCAAAUGGAAUAACAAUUACAAUCAUGAAAUCAUAAUUAACUCAAGAUUAAGAUUACAGUAAAAUCAACGCCUAUGAGAUUUAAUAAGUCUGACAGUUAUUACAAAGUUAAUUAAAUCUCAUAUGUGAUCCUGUUCAAUGUAGUCGUACUACAUCAAUAAAUUCAUACAUGAUUAAGACAAAUCAUUCAAUGAAUUUAUUACAGUCUAUACCUAAAUAAAGUGCCCAACUUUAUUUAUCAACUGCGAACUAAAUUUAUUUAAUCAUAAGAUAACAUGUAUUUAUGUCUUCUGUGAAUCCACAUGGUAAUCACAUAAAUACAUAUAAUAUGAUUAAAUGGACUUUAAUACAAGUAUUAAUGCAAUUAAGAUAUUUGAAUAAAAUACCUCAUUUAUUUUAUUAAUCAGAAAAAUAGUUUAUUACAAUUAAAUAAACAUAUAUGCUUUUAAAGAGCAUAUUUUCCCAACACAUACCGGUUUGGUUAUCUUGCUGCAAGUGCACCACAUUAGCCUUGCAUUCUGGUGCCAACUCCUCCGGCGGUUCACCCACUACCUUUCCCAAUGCUUUGGACCUCCAUUCGGUCUCCAUCAGAUUUCUCAGGAGCACUAAAUAAAGCAGCUAAAACUUGCUUCUGUAGUUCAUUUCUGUCUUUCGGGUGUCUAGGCAAUUUUCCUUCGUUGGUAUUUCGAUCUUCCUUUACAUGACUGAGGAAAUACAGUCAAAAGCUAAUCAAGUAACCAUACAUGGAUGAGAAAUCCCUCCACCCCCUUCCAAAACAAAGUCUAAGAAAUAUCAGAAUUCUUUCAGUAAAAACCCUUCCCCCCAUGCUGUGCCCACUGAAUGAAAUAUAUUAAUCUUAUGAGAAGUUGAGAAAAUAAAUUAAAGACCAUACCCUCCGGAAGAAUUCAAUUGUUGCAAUUUUCUUUCACGUGGAGGUCCUCCAAAGUUAGAGCACAUAUCCGUACACUGUUUAUGAAAUCAUAAUAACAGGGGACCAUUUAUUAAUAACAAAUCUUGACACCUAAAAGUCAACUGUGAUGAAAAAGAUUAAAAAGAAUAUGAACUUGUUAUCUUGGAAGUGAAAAAUAUUUGAGAUGCUUGAAUAUGGUGAAAAUAGUAAUUGUUUUUGUUACUUCUACAAUUCUUGAAUUUUACAAAUAUAUAAAGACAUUCAAGAUGCUGUACAAGGAAAGACAAUAUUUACAAUAAUUAUAAUAAUCAACUAGCCGUUGUGAUGAAUCCACCAUGACAUGUGCUACUAUAUUCUCCAUCAAUUAUGGCUUAGACGAGAUGUUGGAAAUCCUCUUGCCAUGGCGGUACAAGCUACCAUAUUUGUUGCUUGUGACUUGUCCUUAUCAGCCCCCUUUAAGCUAGGCAGUGACAUGCGAUGAACACCUAGCUUGGUUCGUAGCGUGAGAAAUUGAUGCUUCCCCAAAGGUUUUGUAAGAGUGUCUGCAAUCUGAAGAUGAGAAGGCACAUAUCGUGUAAAUAAUGACCCUUUAGCAACCUUUUCACGAACAAAAUGCACGUCAAGCUCAAUAUGUUUCAUUCUAGCAUGAAACACUGGGUUCUUAGUCAUAUGAAUUGCACUCAAAUUGUCACAGAGAAGCGUGGGUGCUUUCGGAAUACAGAACCCAAUGUCAUUAAGUAGAUAUGUGAGCCAUGUUAACUCGGCAGCGGCAGAGGCCGUGGACCUAUAUUCGGCUUUGGCACUUGAGCGAGAGACUGUGUGUUGUUUCUUGGAGCUCCAAGAGAUACAAUUGCUUCCAAGAUAAAUGCAAAAUCCUGUUGUACUUCGUCUUGUUAUUGGACAUCCAGCCCAAUCGGAAUCAGAAAAGGCAUAGAGCUUGAGAGAGCUUUGAGACAAAAAUCUAAGGCCAAAGUCAAGGGUACCGUUAAGGUAACGAAGGAUCAUUUUCACGUCCUUGAGGUUGGCUUUUGUUGGCGCUUGGAAGUGUUGAGAGACUCAAUUGACAACAAAUGUGAUAUCGGGCCUUGUGUAGGUGAGAUAUUGAAGGCGUCCAACAAGGCCUCUAUAUUCGGUUGCAUCCAUAGGUUCAUUAUCAUCCGAACAUGGUAUUGAUCGUAUAGCCAUCGGCGUGUUGAUAGGAGAACAAUCCUGCAUUCUUGCCUUGGAAAGAAGGUCUUUAGUGUACUUCGCUUGAGAUAGGAAGAUGCUAUGCGUGAAUUGUUGAACUUCAAUGCCUAGGAAGUAAUGUAGGUUGCCAAGAUCUUUUAAAGCAAACUUUGAGCUCAGAUUGUUGAUGAUUGAUUGAAUUUCCUUCUCAUUAUUUCCUGUAAUGAUCACAUCGUCAACAUAAAUUAAUAUAAGUAUAAGAAUGGAUUUGUUAUUAAAUAUAAAUAAAGAACUAUCAGCUUUGCUACUAGAAAAUCCAAGAGAAAUUAAGGCUUGAGAAAAACACUCGAACCACGCUCUAGGUGCCUGUUUCAGGCCAUAGAGCGAUUUUUGAAGCUUGCAAACAUAUGUUGGAUGACGUGAAUUGCGAAACCCGGGAGGCUGCUCCAUGUAGACAAUCUCCUUUAGUAGUCCAUGAAGAAAAGCAUUGCGAACAUCCAGUUGCUUGAUAAGCCAUUUUGAGCUCACAACAAUUGCAAGGAUAAGGCGAAUAGUUGUGGCCUUUAUAACGGGACUGAAGGUUUCAUCGAAGUCGACUCCUGGAACCUAUGUGAAUCCCUUGGCAACUAAUCGAGCUUUAUAGCGAUCAAUGGUUCCAUCUUCUCUGUAUUUGAUACGAUAUACCCACUUCGAUUUGAUGACAUUAACAUUGUUAGGCCGCGGCACAAGGACCCAUGUAUGAUUUUGAUGCAAUGCUUGAAGCUCUUCUUUCAUAGCUUGAGUCCAAAGUGGAUUCUUUAAGGCAAUUUUGAGUGUUUUGGGUUCAAUUUCUCUACUGUCGCUGGCUUGAAGGGCUAAUUUAGGAUUUUGUUUGAGUUUAUUGCGUGUCAUCAUGGGAUGAGUAUUUAUGCUUUGCAGUUCUGCAGCUGUGUUUGGUAUCUUAAGUUCCACAAAUAAGCGAUUGGAUAUGUCAGGAUAAUCUGGUUGUGAAUUUGUGGCAGGGCUGUUGUCCGUAUUUCUGGACAAAUUAAGUGGUUCAGUUGCAUGUGAACUACUAGAAUUUGAAUCAUUUGUAGUCAAAUGUUGCAUUGCAUGUGGAGACUCCAAAAUAUUUGGAAUUGCUUCUGACUUGUCGUGUGGAGUUGCUGAAUUCAAAUUGUCCUCUAAAUUGUCUUGUGGGAAAUCUAAAAUAAUUGGAGAAGUGGCAUUUUAGUUGUUGUCCAAGUUCACGUCCUUGUGGGGCAUGAAUUGCACAUGUGGUGUUGAUAUUGUAGCGCCUUUACAAUUGUUUACUUUGACAGCACGUGAAUCAUUAAGAUUCUCACAAUUGGGAGAAUUCUUUGGGAGCCACUCAUCUUGUUGAGGGAAGGUGGUCAAUGUACUAUGUUCCUGCACAUUAAAAAAUGAUGUUAAAAUUUUUGAAUGGUAAAUAAUUUUCAUCAAAUACAACAUGCCCAUAUAUAUAUACACGAUUAGUCUCAGGUUGUAGACAACGACAUCCUUUAUGGAGGGGACUAUAGCCUAUGAAAACACAUGGAUAUGAUUUUUUUAUCAAAUUUUGUUUUACUGUAAUCCUGAAGAUAAGGAAAACAUCUACAACCUAGGACUUUUAACCCUCUAUAAUCCGGUAAUUUUUUGAAAAGAAUUUCAUAAGGGCUUUUAUUUUUUAAAGGUGAAAGAGGCAGCCUGUUAAUGAUAUAAGUGGCUGCAAGAAAAGAAUCCACCCAUAAUUUGAGUGGCAAAGAAGCAUGAAACAUCAUCGUCAAGGCUGUCUCAUUGAUGUGCCUAUGCUUUCUCUCAGCAACACCAUUUUGCUCCGGAGUGUAUGGACAAGAAAUUUGUCUUGUGAUGCCGCAAUUUUCAAGAUGUUUGAUGAAGGCCGUAUCCAUCACUUUGAAAUAUUGUGAUCUUUUUGUCCAAUUGUUUUUCAACUUGUUUCUGAAAUUUCAAGAAGCACUCCAAGAAAUCAGAUUUUUGUUUUAAGGGAUAUAACCAACUAAAACGUGAGUAAUCAUCUACAAAUAAUACAUAGUAACGAAAAUGUUGAGUAAAAGUAAUGGGAGCUGGACCCCAUAUAUCACAAUGCACUUUUUGUAAAGGAAAAUCUGCUUUAUUAUUAGAUAAAUUAAAAGAUUUCCUACAACUCUUGCCUAAUUGGCAAGAAACACAAAUAUGGGGUGCUUUAGACCAACUAGAAAAGUCAAUAAAAUUAUUGCGUUUUAAGGCCUCCAAGAUUUUAGGAUUGGCAUGGCCAAGCCUCUUGUGCCAUAAACUAAAACCGCUAGAUUCUCCUUGAAUUGUGUUGAAGGCAGCAUGAAAGUCUCAUUCCAAUGUGUAUAGCUUCCCUUGCUUACUCCCCUUUGCUAGAACCUUGUUUUCCUUUCUCUUCACAAUAAAACCAUCAGUGUUAAAUUUAAAAACACAUUUAAUAUCAUCAAUGAGUUGUCCAACUGAUAAGAGAUUCUUUUUGAGUUUUGGAACAACUAAAAUAUUAUUUAAGUGCAAAGAACCGUGAUUUGUAUUUAAAGAAGCAGAACCAAUAUGUGAAAUAUUUAAAUCUUGACCAUUGCCAACAAUUAUUUUGUCAUUACCUCUAUACGGCCUUACAUGAUCAAGAUUAUCUGUGUUAUUUAUCAUGUGUGAUGUUGCUCCAGAAUCCACAUAGAACUGUUGAUCAUUAUUUUCUUGAAGAUUCAUCGCAGCUAGGGCAUGUGGAUCCUCUUCAUUGUCAUAGUCGUAUCUGUACCAACAUUCAGCAGCACUAUGUUUGCGUUUGUGACAGAUUUGGCAAAUAACUUCUUCAUCUGAGGUAUUAUUUUCUUUAUUUGGUUUUUGAGGCUGCUGUUGUGGUUUACGGUUGUUGCCAUUGUUGUAGUUGUUGGGGUAAUUUCUACCACCUGAGUUGCGUUGAGAUCCUCUGCCUCGGUAUGGAGGUCUUCCACCUCUUUGAUUUCUGCCUCUUCCACCUAUAUUAUGGAAAAGAUAGAGUUCUCUGAAUCUGAAAGACUGAAACAUUUUGCAUAUUUCGUGAAAGGGAAAUAUUUGUAGAUACUAGUUCAUGCAUUGAGGUAACAUCAAUGUUAAAGAAAAACGGCAAUAACUUAUUAUAUAGAAUUAGGUUCACUUGCUUUAAAUGCUGGUCUGGUCAACCAUAUGAACCUGUAAGUGUAUCUGCAGAAGUAUGGUCAGCCAUAUGAACCUUUUUGGGGGGCAAAUUAGAAAAAUUUUCCUAAAAAAGUGAAAAAAAUCAUUUUUUUUUUUUUAAAAAAAAAAAACUUUAAAAAUUUUUUCAAAAGCUUUUUUUUUUUUUUAAAACCAAUGGUUUGAGGCUGCUGUUGUGGUUACGGUUGUGCCAUUGUUGUAGUUGUUGGGGUAAUUUCUACCACCUGAGUUGCGUUGAGAUCCUCUGCCUCGGUAUGGAGGUCUUCCACCUCUUUGAUUUCUGCCUCUUCCACCUAUAUUAUGGAAAAGAUAGAGUUCUCUGAAUCUGAAAGACUGAAACAUUUUGCAUAUUUCGUGAAAGGGAAAUAUUUGUAGAUACUAGUUCAUGCAUUGAGGUAACAUCAAUGUUAAAGAAAAACGGCAAUAACUUAUUAUAUAGAAUUAGGUUCACUUGCUUUAAAUGCUGGUCUGGUCAACCAUAUGAACCUGUAAGUGUAUCUGCAGAAGUAUGGUCAGCCAUAUGAACCAUAUGGGGGGACAAAUUAGCUAAAUUUUCCUCUUAUUUAUGGGUUUGGUCAUUUUUUCCCCUUCAGCUUUCCUUCUCCUGAAGUAUGUUAACAAUUGCAGAUAAUGACGAAGAGGACCGCUUCCAGGCUCUUCGUAGAGCUGCGAUGUAAUAUAGGGGCACAAUGAAGGAACAUUGUAAAGCUGUAGGUUCUUUUUCUCCUGUCAUUUAUGUUUUCUCACACAUUUUUUAUAUGCUCCAAGCAUCCAAUUUUGUAUGUGUCUUUGCCUUUUAAGUUUUAAAAACCAUAAAGUAAGAAUACAGUUCCUUGUCAGGUUAUUGAUGCAUUCACUCAGGGGGAUCAUGCUCGAGCAGGAAAACUUCUAGAACAGGUAAGGUUUCCAUCUACAGCCAUUUAUUGACAACAUAUAUAUUUUCAUUCAGCAAGCACUGUUAGCAUUCAAGAUGCUGGCAGAUUCACUUGAUUCUUAUUAGUUUGUUUAGUAGCAAAGCAUAUAACCUGUAUUUUAAAGCUAAGUUGUGCUAUUGAUUAUGUUAACUUUAUUGUUCACAUAAAGUGAUAUUGAGGAAAUAAUCAAUGUAGGAAAAUUAGGUGAAGAGAUGAUGUCAAAUCUUGAACCUCUUACAAAACUCCAAGUUCUUUACUUGAAGAAGCUACCAAAUUCGAACAGCAUCUACUGGAAGGCCUUGCCAUUCCCUGAUGUAUGCAGAAUUUUUGUAUUUAAAUGCCCAGAGCUUAAGAAGCUGCCACUAGAUCUUGAAAGGGCAGGCCAAGGUAAAAUUCUUAUCAAGGAAAAGAAAGAUGGGUGGAAACAACUUCAAUGGGAGGAUCAAGUAACUCAUAUUGCAUUGCUUCCAUCUUUAAAAUCAACCAACAAGUGAUUGAAGGGGGCAUCAUCAACAUCAUCAACAUGGAUAGAGAGAUUCUGGAGCAGAUCAGCCGGGUUUAGUACGACCUGUGGUGGUUUCUUUUUUGUGACUUUUUUCCCUUUCAUUUUUUCACUUCCUGUCAUAUUAUCAUUUCUUUGUCUCUGUUUCUAUUGCUGGUGUUGCUGCAUGCUUGCUGCCCUUGACAAAGUUAGCUAGUUUUUUUGUUUAUUAAAUUUUGUAUGUUCGGGACAGUCACAAAGUACUACUUGUUCUAUAUGGGGGUGAUGUGAAUCAACUUUUCAAUUAUAUAUUCUGUGGUAAUUGUGAAUUCAAUUUCAUUUGUCUCCUGCAAAUUAUGAAGAAAGUGCAGAGUUACAAUAUGGAAAAGUUCACUGGCAAAUACUUUGUAAAAGCUUCGGAGUGAAACAGGGAAUGCACUAGCAACUAAGGACAAAUUGGUGGCCAGCUAAUGCAUUCAUUUUAUGUACAUUGCUAAUUUGUAUGUUAAUUAUUAGAUAAUCAAUUAUUUGGAUAAUCCCUUGUGUUUUAUCUCUAAUUAGAACAUCAAUCUUCACAAUAUCUACAAUGCUACAAUGGCUAUAAAACAAAACCUGUUUGCAAAUUGUCAAGGAUACUUAUCCUUUCGCUUGACAAGUCAUUUGGAAAAAUAUUGUCCCUUGGCGGCUCCAUGUCUUCUCUGCCCCUCCUUUUGGUCUUAAUGUACGGUUGCAUAAUGAUAGUUUAGGCCCUUCAGGGACUACUUUCCCUGGUGUUGUUAAGUCUUAGCUUGUGCUAGGCUCGUUUUUCUUACCAAAAGAAAAGGAAUACUUCUCCUAUAAGAAAUAAUCUCUAUAUAUAGGGUAGUUGGAUUCACUUGUUUACAUAACAAAUCAAUUAGUUCUCUGUAAGUAGAGAGUUUCAAGUAUGAGAGAAACGGUAGGUCUAUCGAGAGAUUAUGUGUUAUUAGGAUUUUGGUUGUGAAGAAAAGUACUAGAGUGAUUGUGUUAAUUUUCUACAUAGUGGAUUUUUCUAUCGUCAUCUUUGUGGCUGUGAUUUUUCUUUUAUAUAGAAGUUUCCCACGUAAAUUGUUAUGUUAUGUGAUUAGUUUUAUUCUCCAUCUAUUUUUUGUUUAUUAUUUGUUUGAUAUUUUAUUUGUAAGAUGUUGGAUGGGAUUAAAAUUCCUUAACAAAUAACGGAUUAAAAAUAUUGAAGAAAAAGCUCAAGAGAUCUUCAAGAUUUGAAGUGUGAAAAAGUUCAUAUUACUGCUAGAUGAUAUAUAGGAGCGGGUUGAUUUAGUAAAAAUGGGUGUCCCUCUUCCUAGAUCAGAAAACAACACAUCCAAAGUGAUAUUUACAAACCCGUUCUGAGGAAGUUUGCGGCUUAAUGGAAGCUCGUAGGAGUUUUAAAGUGGCGUGCUUAUCAAAUAAAAAUGCUUAGGAUUAUUUCGAUACAAAGUUGGGGAAGAAACUUUGAACAAUCAUCUUGAUAUCCUUGAGCAAGCACAAUAGUUGUUAAGGAGUGUGGUGGUUUGCCACUUGCACUUUUUACCAUCGGCCGAUCUAUGGCGUGCAAGAAGACACAGCCGAAGAAUGGAGAUAUGCUAUUCAAGUGUUCACUUCGUCCGCUUCCUGUUUCCAGGUCUGGAAGAAGGGAUAUAUACUCUUGUAAAAUUCAGUUAUGAUAGUUUACCCAAUGACACAAUUACACCUUGUCUGUUAUAUUGUAGUUUAUAUCCAGAAGAUUGUUGCAUUUCUAAAGAGAAUUUGGUAGAUUGUUAGAUCAAUGAAGGAUUUUUUAAUGAAAGUGAUUGGUUUGGAGAAAAAAUCAAGGAUACUUCAUUUUGGGCAUUCUUCUUCAUGUUUUUUUUUGGAAAAGGGAGGAGAUUGUGAAGUGAAAAAUGCAUGCAUGACGUUAUUCGUGAUAUGGCUUUGUGGAUCGCAUGCGACUAUGAGAAGGAGAAGGAGAACUUUUUGGUUUACGCUGGUGUUGGUUUAGCUAAGGUACCGGAUAUUAGAGAUUGGGAAAAGGUAAGGAGAUUGUCAUUGAUGAAAAAUAAAAUUGAGAAUCUAUCUGAGGCUCAUACAUGCCCUCAUCUCCUCACUUUCUUUCUUGACGAUAAUGAGUUUCGGAAGAUCCCCGGUGAUUUCUUCCAGUUUAUGCCUUCUCUCACUGUUUUAAACUUGUCAUGUAUUAAACUAAAGUCAGUUCCUUUAGGGACUUCAAGGUUGGUUCCACUACAACAACUCGAUCAUUCAUAUUCAAGCAUAAAAGAGUUGCAAGAAGAGUUAAAUGCCCUGAUUAAAGUUAAAUGCUUGAAUAUAGAUCAUGUAGAGGAGCUAAUUACAGUUCCACAACAACGGAUAUUUAAUUUUUAAGGUUAUAUGUGUUGAGAAUGUUCGAUACUAUUAGUUUAAAUUUUCAAGAAGCAUUAAAUAAAGACAGCAUUUUAUUUGGUGGGGAGGAAGUUUAAGCAGAGGAGUUGCUCGGUUUGGAAUAUUUGGAGGUAUUGAGCUUCACUUGAGAAGUGUUCGUGCUCUCCAAUUUAUUUUGAGCUCACAUAAGCUACGAAGUUGUACUCAAGCGCUGUUCCUCCAAUCCUUCAAUAAUUCGAUAUGGCUUGAUAUUUCACUUUUGGCAGAGUUAAAAGCACCACUGCAGAUUUAAGUAUUUUUGGCUGUAGAAAAUUGGAGGACUUGAAGAUGGAAUAUACAGGGGGAGCGAAAAACAAGCGGCAACCUUGUGUUUUCUAAGGCCUACAUACAGUUCACAUAGAGGUUUGUUCUAAAUUGAAGGACUUAACAUUCCUUGUUUCUGCUCCAAAUCUCAAGAACUUGGAAAUACAAAAUUGCCCUGCUGUGGAAGCAAUCAUCGGUGUGGGAGAAUUUGCGGAAGCUCUAGAUGUGGUGGAAAAUCUAAACCCAUUUGCAAAACUCCAGUUUCUUGGACUAGAAAAUCUGCCAAAUGUGGAGAGCAUCUAUUGCAGGCCUCUGCCCUUUCCAUGUUUGAAAAGAAAUGACUGUGGAUAGUUGCGGUUGUCUUAAAAAGCUUCCACUCUACUCCAACAGAGUAAAAGAGUGUACAAUUGUUAUUUCAUCAUUCGGAGAGUUAAUGGUGCAAUGAGAUUUGGCAGUUAACUCUCGUGGGAAGAGCUUUAAUGGGAAGACGAAGCCACUCGAAUUGCUUUUCAUUUCUGUUUCAAAUCUCUAAUUGGAUUGGAGAUUGCAUUUCGCCUCAGGUUCGUACUUUUCUUGAAUUUUUCUUGUUAACUUCAUUUGUUCAUUUAUCCAUUUUUUUUUUAAAGGAAUCAGAAGGGUUAAUAUUUUUGGUUGUGUUAGGUCGACUUCUAAUCACGAGGCAGAAGGAGCUGAGAUGAAGUUUAAUUUUGGUGGAGAAAUUGUUUGAUUUAAAAAAUUUAAAUGAGUUGACCAUCAUUCUUUAGCAUAUUUGUAUGAACAGGAGUGUGUAAAUAUGCAAACUGUCCAGCUGUAUGUGUAUAACGUAAUAAUUUUGAGGAGUUAAAACAUUGAAGAAUAUUGAUGUUUCCAUUGUCAAACCAAAUAUACUUAAUUACUUGAGGAUAAUGAUUACUGCUAAUACAUUUGCAAAGAAAAAAACAUGCCUAUUGAAAAACUCAUCUUAUUAGCAACAGCAUUAUAAGUAGUAUCCAAUCAUAGUUUCAUGCAAGAUUUUGAGAUUUUUCAAAUGCUGAUUCCGGGAAUGGAGAUUAAUAGAUAAUGGAGACAGGUUGACUGCAAUGGCUAAUUGCAAGAGGGAAUUUUAGUCGUAAAAACAGACCAACUAGCAAAGCAGAUUCCAAAUCUUGGAAUGAAGUAGCAAAAAAACGAAACAAACAACUGGCAAGAGGAAGUGACUAUACAAUAAUAACAUCGACUUGCAAUUCAACAUUUAUAUAGUUAUACACACCAAGAAAAGAGAAAAUUACAAUAGCAAUUUGGCUACUAGAAGAUGUUCAUUCAUGCUUAUGCCUGUCAUAUGGAUUUGAAACAAGGAGUAAAAGCAUUUAGAGUGGCUUUAUCCUUCCACUGCAGCUCAUUCCACCAGUGUUGCUCUCCCCUAAUAACAAGUUUGCGUUCCUUGGCGCUGUUGUAAUCGAGUGGAAGCUUCUUGAGGUUCGGGCAUCCAGAUACAAACAAUUCCAAGAGAUUUGGAAAGGGCAAUGCAUUCAAACAGAUCUUCUUCAAAUUUCUUAGAACUUGCAACCGAAGAUAUUGGAGUUUCGCAAAAGGUUUUAGCCCUGGAACUUCUUCCACUUUCCAAACACUGAUUAUUUCUUCCAUCUCAUAACAACGUUCUACAUGCACCAUCUUCAGAUUUGGGGCAAAAACAAGCCUUGUCAUCUCCCUCAAUUUACUGCAAUAGUCUAUGGUAACACUUUGAAGGCUGUUGAAACCAUAAGUUCUCUUGUUGUUUGAACUUCUGCAUAGUCAACCUUUAGCUCUUCCAAACUUGUACAAUACACAAAAUCUAGUUUGUCAAGGUACUUGAGAUCUGCUAUGGACAAAAUAUUCCAUGACCUUGAAUCCUCACAGCGGCGAAGCUCUAAAGCAUAUUUACAACUCUUGUACUGUUGGCAGCUCAAAAGUCUUCGUAGAGCAUAAAAACUUCUUAACGUGACGCUUAAUACAUUUAAAUGUUCCAAAGUAAUCAACUCCUCUACCAAAAUUUCACUACCACCAAAUAGAACGCUAUCUUCUGGUACUGUAUUAGCAGAGCCACAAUCUAGCAUCCUCAACACCUUUAACCCAGAAAAAUUACAAAGCAGUUGCCGUGGAAUCGUAUGGAGAUAACGCAUGUACUCCAAGUUCAAACACUUUAGAUUUUUCAAGGCUUUUAAUUCAUGUGGUAACUCUUUGAUGAAAGUUUCUGAAAGAUUAAGAUAUUGUAGUGAAACCAAUUUUGAAAUUCCUGAAGGCAAUUGACUCAAGGAGCGAUUCUUUGAUAGGUUUAAAACUUUUUUUUUUUUGGUGAGAGGGGGCUCGUCAAAACGAGCUAAAUAGAAACAAAACGGGGUUGAGUAACCCCAAACAAGUCUUGCGAAAUGAUAGAAUAUAUACCCAUAGGAGGGUCAGAGAACACUUGCAAUCCAAGAGGAGCUGAAUGAGCCAUAUUAGCCAUGAAGUCCGCAGCUGAGUUUGCUUCACGAUAGAUAUGGGUGAUAGCAAUCUGCCAAUUUCUACUUAAUAAUUCGUGGACAGCUACUAUUAAAGCAUGGAACACAUUAGGAACGACCACCUGCUUAGAGAUUAUUUGUGUAAUACAAAGACUAUCCACUUCCACCAACAGCCGUUUUAUGCCUACAUCCCAAGCCAGAAUUAGACCCUGAUACAGCCCCCAAAGCUCAGCCAUAAGCACUGAACUCUCCCCAAUUCUCAUACAAAAUCCGGAAAUCCAAUGACCGACUGAGUCUUGAAUGACACCUCCUGCUCCUGCUUCCCUGUCAUUUUUACGAGAGCCAUCUGAAUUUAAUUUGCACCAUGGCCAUGGCGGCGGAAUCCAACGAAUAAAAAUCUCCUUUCUCCUCGGCUGUUGACUUAUACCGGAAUUAUAAACUUUGUAAAUUUCAUUAGCUCUAGCCAUAGCAUCCAUAUAGACUGUUACACCAUCCACCAACUUCCCCGCAAACAAGAAAUGGUUCCUCCAGAACCACAGCCUCCAAACCACCACUCCAAAGAUACAAUCCCAAGGGAGGGAAGAUGCAAUCUUCCAUUUGUUCUGCAAGUUCCCAGUAAUCCAUUCACGUAGAUUCGAAUUGAAGAAAGCGUUAUGAGUUGCCAUUGGGACAAGCUUACGCCAAACCUGAUUAAUACAGCAGUAAUCUCUCAAUGCAUGGAGAAUAUCUUCAACCGCACCCCCACAUCUAUCACAGCCCUCAGGAGCAUUGAUAUGGCGCCUAGCUAGCUCAACAUGAGUCUUUAAUUUCCCAUGCAUCAGCUGCCACAGAAAAAGACGGAUGGAUUGAGGCCCCUUCCAACUCCACGGAAGCUUCCAAAUUCUGUCAUGAUCAGCCAAGUGAUGAUAGCAAAGGGAUGCAUAAGCUGAACGAACCGUAAACAUGCCGCUCGGAUCCAGACCCCAGUAAAUUUUGUCAGACCCAAAAUGCGGUCUCGGAGGCAUGACUGAUGCGAUCUGCAUGAGAGUAUAAUGUGGCAGCAAAUGCUCAAAGCUCGACCAAUUCCAUCCCCCCUGACCAUUCGUAAACUCACUCACGGUGGCGUUGAUAAGCUCCUGAGGAAUCGGCUGGAGAGCUAGGCUGCUCAAGGGAUAUUUCGUAGCCCAACAAUCUAUCCAAAAGCGAGCUCGACCUCCAUCGCAAACAGACCAGCGAGCUCCCUGAACUAUUGUCAACCACUUGCUACGAAUAGCUCUCCAAAUCUGAGAACCCGGUUUAUCUGGAAGGGACAUCGGUAAAUUUGCUGGAAUCCAAUCCAUAUUUGGAACAGAAAACUUUCACCCACAAUUUAUCCGAGCUGGACACAAUCUCCCAGCUCAAUUUCAUUAUCAGCGCCUGGUUCAUCUCGUCCAUUUUUUUGAACCCCAGACCUCCAUAUUGUUUCGGCAUGCAGAUUUUGCUCCACCCCACCAUACUCAUCUUAGGACUCUUUGAAUUCCCAUCCCAAAUAAAUCGCCGACAAGAUUUGUCUAUUUUAUGCCUCACUGGAGAAGGAAGAAAUGUCGUUUGCAUGGCAUAAAUAGGCAUUGCUUGCAGAACUGAUUGAGCCAGGGUGACGCGUCCAGCAAAAGAGAGAUGAGUCGCAUUCCAACCAGUAAGUCGGUUAUCGACUUUAUCAAGGAUGGACUGAUACGUGGAUUUAUUAACCCGCGUGUGAAUUAAUGGCAUUCCAAGAUAAUCACCCAAAUUAUUUGUGGCCGAAAAACCCAAAGUAGAGCCUAUGAGAUUGGCAUCCCGAGUAUCAACAUUUUUUGAGAAGAACACCUUGGUUUUCAACUUAUUUAUUUUUGCUUCAGAGCUCCUACAAUAGUUUUCCAGAACAACAUCAACCACAUAAGCUUGGUCAAUUGAAGCUUCCACAAAUAAAAGCAAAUCGUCUGCAAAAAAGAGAUGAGUUAAGGGAGUUCCAUAUUUGGCCAACCUAAUAGGCCUCUAUCUCCCAUCCAUUACCGCUUGGGUUAUCCCAUGACUCAAACGCUCGAUACACAGAACAAAAAGAUAAGGCGAGAGGGGAUCUCCCUGACGAAUACCUCUCCCUGGAGUGAAGGUCCCUGUAACCUCACCAUUCCACAAAAUACUCAUACUAGCUGAAGUUACGCAAUCCAUGAUAAGUCUAGAUAAAUGAGUUGGAAUACCAGUCUGUUGAAGCGUAUCAAAAAUGAAAUCCCAAUUAAGCCAGUCAUACGCCUUCUCUAGGUCAACCUUAAUGGCCAUAAAUCCUUUCCUGCCAGUUUUUCUGCGCAUUGAGUGAACAACUUCCUGAGCCACAACAAUAUUAUCUACGAUAUUCCUCCCUGGAACAAAACUUGUCUGAUUGGGGCCUAUUAGAUUGGGCAACAGCGAUUGCAAGCGAGUGGCUAUAAUUUUAGUCACCGUCUUGUAAGCCAUUGUGCAUAGGCUUAUGGGCCUAAACAUCUUUAAGCUAGUAGGGUGCUCCUCUUUUGGAAUCAAAACCAGGAGGGUAGUAUUUAUCUCUUGCGGCACUUUGCCCGUGGUAAAAAUAUCAUCAAUAAACCUGCAAAACGACGGACCCACAACAUACCAUUGGGAUUGAUAAAAAAUAGCAUGCAACCCAUCCGUAUCUAGAGCUUUCAGCGGCUUCAUACUAAAAACGGCACUUUUAAUCUCCUCCCUCAAAAUUGGGGCUGCGGCACCAUCAACGUCAUGAGAACUCAAGUCUGGAAAAAAAUUUGGCACAUGGUAGUUCUGAUAAAUAGCAUUUUCUCUUUUAAAUAAUUCUGAAAAAUACCCCACUGCAUGCCUCUUUAUAUCUUCCUCAUCAUACAGCCAAUUCCCUGAACUGUCUCGGAUAGCCUCGAUUCUAUUCCGCCGCCUUCGAGCAAUAGUUUUUUUAUGGAAAAAAUUCGUAUUUCUGUCUCCAUGUAAAAGCCAAUCCUUUCGAGAUUUCUGGAGCCACAGAAUUUCCUCCUGGCUCAUCACCAUUUCGAGCUCAUUACGCAAUCGGGCCUCCAAUCGCCUCAAACUGCGAGAGCUAUAUUUCUCUAGGGUGGCUUGAAUUCCAUUAAUCCGAGCCAUAAGCCGGCGUUUCCUCUGAAAGAUAUUCCCAAACACAUCUCGAUUCCAAACUUGAACCUCCUGAACAAAAUGAGAAGCUGCUGCACUAUAGUGGGAUUGCGGAUUCCACAUCCGCUUAACAAAAUUGUUAAAGUGCUCAUGAGUUAACCAAGCAGCCAAGAAGCGGAAAGGCCUGGUGUUGAGUGUUAGAAAAUGCAUAUUUAUAAAGGAGAAAACCGUCAUUUUACAUUUUAAGUCUUACUAACAACCCUUACUUUUAUAUAUUUAACCUUCUUGUGAUUUAAUUACAUGUGUUUUAUUUUAAUUAAGUAUUUUAUGUAUUUUAGGGGCAUUAUAGUCAUUUCACAAUAAAGGAGAGAUCAGACGGCAAAACGGACAUCACUUUUGAACUCAGGACGGUCGAAAACCUUAGGAGGAGCAUAAAAGGAAAAAUGGCACUAUUCACAUGUACGGUACUAUUCACGUAUACGGUACUGUCUACGUUACUGUUCACGACACUGUUCACAUAGACGGAUCGAUGACGUGGCAUUGACCGAUGAUGUGGCAUUGACUGAUGAGGUGUCACGAUCCUGUUGGGCUAAAAUUCUUAUGUACUGUUGAUGGUGACGUGGCAGCAUAUCAGUGGACGAAAAAUCUCGUGUACGGUGCAUGCAUCACACAGGAUUAUUUUCAACCAAACCGCGUUACUGUUCAUCCGGGUCAAACCGCGUUACUGUUCAAAGUCGGGUCAAACCGUGUUACUGUUCAUCCGCGUGGUCAAACCGUGGACUGUUGACUGAUGACGUGGCGCAAUCCUGAGCGUCCAAACUGUUUUUAAUCCGAUGGCCAUGAUUUACUCCAUGUAUCUAUAAAAAGGGGGCCUCCCCCCCCUAAUUUGAUAUCUCUGAAUCCAUUUUUGGGAUCCAUUUUCUGUAAUUCCUUCUCCAUCUUGUAUUUUCUUCGUAUUUUAAUAAAUUCCCAUUUUGCCCCUAGUUCAAUUAUGAGUGGCUAAUUUUCUUUCAAGCUUGGGUUGAAGGUGAAGUCUCAACAUGUGUCAUGGGCUUAAUUUGGUAAAUUUAUUUUCUCUUCCCCUCUAGUUUUUGUGGAUGUUUUGACUUCUCGUCGACAAAUAAUACUAAUCUUGUCUAGUACCGCCUUGGUUUCACCGGCUCUCUAGUAUAAGGUUAUUAUUAUUUGGCACGAUAAGCCCUUAGCACCAUAUUGAUUAGAGCGUGGUUCAUGCGGUGUGGAUUCCCCCCUCAUGAUUUAAUUGGUAUUAAUAAGGAAUAUUUAGCCUAUGAUGCAUGUUGAUACGGAUCCAGAUACCCAAGUACGUCAUUUCAAUAGAAUUCUCUUCAAUUUAUUCUCACCAUUUCAAUACCAAUUUUAGAAUUUAUUCUCUCCAUUUUAAUUUAAGUUUUAGCAUAUUCCAAUCAUUUCCACCACAAAUCUAAUCACCCAUUCACAAAAUUAAUUCUACACAAUUAAAAUCCACCUCCUCGUGGGAUCGACACUCGUCACCAUUAAUCUAUACUACAACAGAUUCGUGCGCUUGCGAGUACAUUAAAAUUUGCACAACAAGUUUUUGGCGCCGUUGCCGGGGAGGUAAGUAAUUUUAAUUCAUAGAAUUAAUUUUUGUGAAUAAUUUCUUUUAUUUGUUUUCUUGUAUUUUUUUUAUUAUUAAAAAAAAAGAAAAAAAAAGUGAAUCUACAUUUAAAGGUUAGUAUUUCUUUUCUUUUUCUCUUCUUUAAAAUUCUGUAAUUUAAUUUUCAAUUUAUUUUUUCUUUGUAAUUUUUGUUUAUUUUAUUAAUUUAAUUUUUAGUUAAUUUCACGUAUUUGUUUUUGUGUAUUUUUAUAGUAAGGUUGUAAUAGCGCAAUAAGGUUAGUAUCGUAAUUUCUCCCUCUUCUUUAUUUUUAUUUGUUUUGUUCCCAUCUUUAUUUUUUGUUUUGUUUGCAUCUUUAUUUUUAUUUUAUUUAUUUGCAUGCAUGGUCGUAGGUCAUUAUUACCUAAUCUUGAACCUAUAGACCUUGAAUUAGAAAAAACACUUCGCACACACAAACACGUUAAAAAUAAAAUGGAUUUACAAGCACCACAGGAGAGGCCAUUUAAGGACUAUUUUAGUCCCUUAGCUAAUUUGAGCACGUCAUGCAUAAGAUACCCAAAUGUAGCUGCUAGGAGUUUUGAAUUAAAACCUAGUGUGUUAAAUUGUCUCCCUACAUUUUAUGGCCUAGAAAAUGAGGAUCCAUAUAAUCAUUUGAAUGAUUUUCAUGCCAUUUGUCAAACAUUCAAAUAUGAGAAUUUUUCAGAUGAUGAUGUUAAACUUAGACUAUUCCCAUUUUCUUUAAAAGAUAGAGCUCGUUCAUGGCUUAAUACAUUGCCUGCUAAUAGCAUUGCAUCAUGGGAACAAAUGGUAACGAAAUUUUUGAAUAAAUAUUUCCCAGUGCAUAAAACCAAUGCUAUUCGCAGGGAAAUCUCAGAGUUUACUCAGAGAGAGGACGAGCAGUUUUUCGAGACAUGGGAGCGAUUCAAUGGGCUACUCUUGAAGUGUCCACAUCAUGGGUAUGAGAAAUGGCAUCAAUGCCAAUACUUUUUGGAGGGAUUACUACCGAAUGUGCAAGAAUGGCUAAUGGCAACAAGUGGAGGAGAGCUAAUGUCAAAAAGUGCAUCAGAAAUUUGGGAGUUUUUCCAGCGACAAGCGGACAAUUCCCAACAACGGAGUCGAUCACUCAGGAAUACUAGAAGGAUUAAAGGAGUGAAUGAGGUUCACAUUGGCGAGUCAACUUCGGGAAUCAAAGAAGUCAAGGAGAUGGUUGAAGGUCUUGCUCGACAAAUAGCAUCAUUAUCGAUUGCUAAAUCAACAGAACCACAUGACCAUGACUCAUACUCAGAUCAAGCCAAUGCCAUAGGUGUAAUGAGAAAGCCAUCAAAUUACAACCCAUACUCCAACACAUAUAACCCUGGAUGGAGAGACCACCCUAAUUUUUCAUGGUCUCAAGGAUUCCAACAGAAUGGACCAGCAGCUCCAGCUCCACCAAUUCCACAAAAUCCUCAAGCCUCUCAGCCAUCAUUUAGACCAUUCAAUCAGAACCAUAAUUAUUCUCAACCCAGACCAUGGGAGGAUGCAUUUCAGAAUUUCAGGAAUGUUACUCACUCCACGAUUGAGCAACAGAACCGCACCAUUGAUGGAUUACGAAAUGAGUUGAAAGCGGGCUUCAACUCACAAGCCCAAUCAGUUUCAAGCCUUGAGAAGAUGGUGGGACAACUUGCUUCUUCAGUUCAGACCUUGGCAAUGACCGUUGAGAAAGGCAAAUUUCCAAGUCAACCAGUACCUAAUCCUAAAGGAGUGCAUGAAGUAAGUACCAGUUCACCACAGCAGCAUGGAGAGGUCAAAGCAGUAAUGACCUUGCGAAAAGGAAAGGAAGUCGACAACAAAGUGGAGAUGCCGGUGACAAAAGAAAAUCAAAUUGUACCUGUGAAUGUUGAGGACUCAUCACCGGAGGAGAAAGAAGAAACUAACCCACGAGAAUAUGUUCCGAAAGCUCCAUUUCCCCAGAGGUUAGCUAAAGGCAAGAAGGGAAAAUCCACAGGUGAGAUUCUCGAAAUCUUCAAACAGGUAAGUGUUAACAUCCCUUUACUUGAUGCUAUUAAACAAGUUCCAUCUUAUGCCAAGUUUCUUAAAGACCUUUGUACUAAAAAGAGAAAUAUGCAUGUUCAAAAGAAGGCAUUUUUAAUAGAAAACGUUAGUUCUAUACUCCAACAUAAAAUUCCUUUAAAAUGCAAAGACCCAGGCUCCCCCACUAUCUCAUGUAGUAUAGGGAACCACACAAUUGAGAAUGCUUUAUUGGAUUUAGGAGCUAGUGUAAAUCUUUUGCCUUACUCUGUAUUCGUGAAACUUGGACUUGGAGAAUUACACCCAACUCCAGUGGUGUUACAACUUGCAGAUCGGUCCACAAAAAUACCUCGUGGUAUUGUGGAGGACGUGCUUAUCCAGGUAGACAAGUUUUAUUUUCCUGUUGAUUUCAUUGUAAUUGACACUCAACCAAUACAGGAUUCAAGGAAGCACAUCCCCAUUAUUCUAGGCCGACCUUUCUUGGCAACUGCGGAUGCUCACAUUCAAUGCAGGACUGGAAAUAUGCAGUUGUCUUUCGGCAACAUGACUAUGGAGCUGAACAUCUUCAACAUUGCCAAACAACCUCACAGUGCAGAUGAUGGAAUUGUUGAUGUGGAUUUAAUAGAAACAAUAGUUGAUAAUACUUUUCUUUCAAACCUUAGUGAUGAUCCUUUACAAACAUGUUUAACUCACUUUGGUUUGGAUUUUGAUAUUGACAGAUCAGUCGAUGAGGUCAACGCCCUGCUUGACUCAACACCAUCCAUGGACACUAAUAAAUGGAAGUCAAGAGUUGAACAACUAACACCAUCAGAGAAGAAACUCAUCACAUCAUCAGAAUCACCACCGAAACUCGAGCUCAAACCAUUGCCCAACACAUUAGAAUAUGCGUUUUUGGGAGAAGAAAGUUCUCUGCCGGUAAUCAUCUCAUCAUCCCUUAAUGACGAACAAAAAGGUAAGUUGUUGGAUGUUUUGAAAGAGCAUAAAGGGGCAUUAGGAUGGACCAUAGCAGACAUAAAAGGUAUAAACCCUGCAGAUUGCAUGCAUUACAUUCACCUUGAUGAAAAUGCUAAAUCUACUAGGGAAAUGCAACGUCGGUUAAAUCCUAAUAUGAAAGAAGUUGUUAGAACAGAAGUCCUUAAGCUAUUAGACGCAGGUAUCAUUUACCCAAUUUCUGAUAGUUCAUGGGUCAGUCCUGUACAAGUUGUCCCCAAAAAGUCAGGAGUCACAGUAGUUACGAAUGCAGAUAAUGAAUUGAUACCCACUAGAGUAACUACAGGAUGGCGUGUACGCAUUGAUUAUAGAAAAUUGAAUUCUGUCACACGUAAAGACCAUUUUCCUUUACCAUUUAUUGAUCAAAUGCUUGAUAGAUUAGCAGGCCAUGAAUUUUAUUGCUUUCUAGAUGGUUACUCAGGAUAUAAUCAGAUUCCCAUAGCACCAAAAGAUCAAGAGAAAACUACUUUCACUUGCCCUUUUGGCACAUUUGCAUAUAGGAGAAUGCCAUUUGGAUUAUGUAAUGCACCUGCUACAUUUCAACGAUGCAUGUUGAGCAUUUUUUCUGAUAUGGUGGAACGAUUCCUUGAAGUCUUUAUGGAUGAUUUUUCUGUCUUUGGUGACUCGUUUGAUCAAUGUUUACAUCAUCUAACACUAGUUCUGCAGAGAUGUAUCGAGAAGAACUUGGUCUUAAAUUGGGAGAAAUGCCAUUUUAUGGUAAAACAAGGUAUUGUUCUCGGUCACAUCAUUUCGAGCAAAGGUAUUGAGGUUGACAAAGCCAAGGUGGAUCUCAUUUCUAAUCUUCCUCCACCCAAAACAGUCAGAGAAGUAAGAUCUUUCCUUGGGCAUGCUGGUUUCUAUAGACGUUUCAUUAAAGAUUUUAGUAAAGUUUCUAGACCCUUAUGCAAUUUGCUUGCUAAGGAUGUACCUUUUGUCUUUGAUGAUUCAUGUCUUGUUGCGUUUGAAAAAUUAAAGCAUUUGUUGACAUCAUCACCCAUCAUUCAGGCCCCAAACUGGAACUUACCAUUUGAGCUAAUGUGUGAUGCAUCUGAUUAUGCAGUAGGAGCAGUAUUAGGACAAAGAGUUGAUCGAAUUCCCCAUGUUAUUUACUAUGCUAGUAUGACAUUGAAUGAUGCACAGUUGAACUAUUCAACUACUGAAAAAGAAAUGCUAGCAGUAGUGUUUGUAUUGGAAAAAUUUCGAUCAUAUCUCAUUGGUUGUAAAAUAAUUAUAUUCACAGAUCAUGCUGCUCUUAAAUAUCUUCUCACAAAGAAAGAUGCAAAAGCCAGACUAAUUCGUUGGGUGUUACUUUUGCAGGAAUUUGACUUGGAAUUCAAAGAUAAAAAAGGGACAGAAAAUGUUGUGGCGGACCACCUCUCUCGUCUCCAUUUUGACACAAUAAUAGAACAAUUACCAUUAAAUGAGUCAUUUCCAGAUGAACAAUUAAUGAGUGUGGAAGUAUUACCUUGGUAUGCUGAUAUAGUUAAUUAUCUUGUUACAGGUAAACUUCCAGAGCAUUGGACCAAGCAAGACAAGGCUAAAUUCUUUGCAGAGAUAAAGAAUUUCUUUUGGGAUGACCCGUAUUUGUUCAAGUAUUGUGCGGAUCAAAUUGUUAGACGAUGUGUCCCAGAAAGUGAAAUUCAGAAUAUCCUUUCAUUCUGCCAUGAACAAGCUUGUGGAGGCCAUUUCAGUGCUAAGAAAACAGCGACUAAAGUUUUACAAUGUGGUUUCUAUUGGCCAACACUAUUUCGAGACGCUUACACUUUUUGUUCUUCAUGUGAUAGGUGUCAACGAAUGGGGAGCAUUACACGAAGGAACAUGAUGCCACUAAAUCCAAUUUUAGUGGUUGAGAUUUUUGACGUAUGGGGUAUCGACUUCAUGGGACCCUUUCCCCCUUCUUUUGGCCAUCAAUACAUAUUGGUUGGUGUUGACUACGUCUCAAAAUGGGUAGAAGCAAUUCCAUGUAGGACCAAUGAUCACAAGGUGGUGAUAGGAUUUUUGAAAAGCAACAUUGUCUCGCGCUUUGGAUUCCCUCGAGCAAUAAUCAGUGAUGGUGGUGCCCACUUUUGUAACAAAGCAUUCAAAGCUCUUUUGACAAAGUAUUCAAUCACGCACAAAGUGGCGACCCCGUAUCAUCCGCAAACCAGUGGCCAAGUUGAGAUCUCCAAUCGAGAAAUAAAGCACAUAUUAGAAAAAACGGUGAGGCCGGACAGAAAAGAUUGGUCAUUAAGACUUGAUGAUGCCUUAUGGGCAUAUAGAACGGCUUUCAAGACCCCGAUUGGGAUGUCACCCUACAGGCUAGUGUAUGGAAAAGCUUGCCACCUACCUGUGGAACUCGAGCAUCGUGCGUAUUGGGCCAUCAAGAAAUUCAAUUUUGACAUGCAGCAAGCCAGCUCAGAAAGAAGAUUACAGCUGGCAGAACUUGAAGAAAUUCGCAAUGACGCGUACGAAAAUGCCAAGAUUUACAAGCAACGAAUGAAAGUCUUCCAUGACAAGCAAAUUAUGAGAAAAUCUUUCACCCCAGGUCAGAAAGUGCUUUUAUUCAAUUCUCGCUUGCACCUAUUCCCAGGUAAGUUACGCUCUCGAUGGUCUGGCCCAUUUAUUGUUCAUACUGUUUUUCCACAUGGGGCAAUUGAAAUUAAAGACCCAAAGAACGGUGUCACGUUUAAAGUUAAUGGUCAAAGAUUAAAGCCAUAUCUAGAGUACCAACCACAUGAAGAAGACACCGAAAUAAAUUUGAGUGACCCACCAAAUUUGAAUUGAUUUUUUUUUUCUUUUCGUUGAUUUGAUUUUUCUUUCUUUCUUUUUAUUAUUAUUCUUUUGCUAAUUGAAAUUGUUUUUGCAUAAGUGUGUUUAUUUUACCAUUAAGUUUUCUCUUAUCAUUUUUAAUCAUGAGUCUCAUACUUAGACCGUUCCUCCUGAACAUUCUUAAACCACUUCAACGUGUCAAAACUCAUCUCAAAAGACAGAUUCAAUUUUGUAAAACACAUCGCAUUUGGGCUCUACAACCACCAGAGUUAGUAGCCUAUGUUGAGGGUUUAGAACACCAACUCAGAGACAUUGAGAGAAGUGUUUACGACAUCCAGUUGGAGCUUGAGGUAAAUUCAAUAAGAGGACGAUUUUAAUUUUCUUUGUGUGUUUUAAUUUGUUUUUCUAUUUGUGUGCUUUAGUUUGUUACCCCGGUGAAAUGGCGGAUAACGGUACUCCGUGACAAUCAAGUCGGUUACUUCAGUCUCCCAUAAUAACUGAUAUUCUGAGGCGAAGGUAUGGACAGAAACGAGAUUCUAGCGAAGCUUCACAAGCGAUUCCCUUCACUUCCUCAGAAUGCCCUCCUUACGAUCUAUAAAGCUCGGUCCGAACGCAUGCGAUUACUCAUGAGGAAUAACAUACCUGCUGACAUCCGUUGGUUAAUCGAGGCUAAAGUACGAUCGGCAGGUGAGUUACCUCCAAAAUUUAUUGCAUACAUGCCUGGUUGUGGUAAAGGAAAUUAUGCAAGAAAACGACGAGCUCGAAGAAUUUCUGUUGCUUGUCAUAAGUGUGCCAGAAUGAGUUGCAAUAAAAACCCAUGUUCUUUAGGAAUGGUGUCUGAUAACAGGGAAGAUAAGAUUCAAUUCAUUAGGGAUGGCUUGAAUAAGGAGUCAUUGGAUGAUAUCCUUUUGUCUCUUGAAACGCAUCCCAGUGGAUAUGUGCAAGGAGCGAUUCUCCAGUUAUGGCCAUUAUUCCAGAAAGAGCAUGCACGAUAUAGUCUCGGGAAUCUGACUAUAAACGACCCUGUUUGCCAGUUUAUAAGAAAAUUGGAUAGGAAGCCUAUCCUCGACCCAUAGAGGGCGUUCAAGCCGUUUCUGGACGUAAAACCAGAGGAAGAUGUGAGCCACAGUCGCAACUACCUGUAAAUAUUCUUUUACUUUAUUAUUUCACUAUUGUCUUAUUGUUUGCAUUAUUGUCUUUAAUAAUUUUAUUACUGUUUGCUUUUUUUCUUUUUACUGUUUUCUUUUUGACUCGCGAGCCACGUGCUUUACGCGUUAUUUGACAUGGACAUGUGACCUCAUACACAACUAUGACCCAUUAUCACCAAGACUCUUAAAUGUGAUUUUCUUUGUCAAUCACUCACAAAUUAUUUUUGCGAAGUAUCACAAUGGCAGCUACUCCCAAUAGACAAUUCAAGAACAUUUGUGUGCUUUCUGGAUUUACAUAUGGCAAACAUAAAGAGUUCGUUGAGGCAGCCAUAGAUCUUGGUCGAAGCAUAGCAGCGAGAAAAUUACACUUGGUGUAUGGAGGAGGUAAUCGAGGGUUAUCAAAAAUGGUCUCAGAAGCAGCUCUUAUCAGAGGAAGUCAAGUGUUAGGCAUCAUCCCAAGAGUCUUAAAACCAUUGGGCAGUUCGUCUGACUCAUCAACUGGAGAAGAGUUAGUCGUCUCAAGUAUGCAGGAAAGAAUAACUGAAAUGCUUAAUCAUGCUGAUGCUUUUAUUUUCCUUCCAGGAGAUCUUGCAACACUAGAGGCACUUAUGACACUAGCAUCUUGGGCCCAUCUACACAUUCACCAGAAACCCAUCGGUUUGUUAAAUGUCAAUAACUUUUAUGAUGGCUUUAUCGCAUUUCUUAACCAUGCAAUAAAAAACUAUUUCAUUCCCUCUAAUGCGAAAAAACUCUUUAUUUGUGCUCACACUGCUAAUGAGCUACUUGAUAUGUUACAAGCUUAUCGACCGGAGCCAGACCCCUGGACCUUUGUGUUGGAGCGUCCAAAUAAUGAUGGUAACAGUAGCCGCAGUAAGAAGUACAAAUUAGAUUUAACUCUCCGCCUGUAAAUAUUUUCUUCUGUGUUGCACCACCCAGGUGAUGUCUUCUAAACUCUACUUCUUUCAUUUCAAACAUUGAGGACAAUGUUUCGUUCUGGUUGGGGGGAGGGAAUAGUCGACAAUUGUGGAAUUUUGGUUAAGUUUUUACUAAUUUUUUGUUGUAGAAACUAACUGUUGCUAACUUUUUGUGUUGAAGAUGGCUGAAUAUGGAGUGUAGUUACUCUAGAAACGCAUCUUCAUUGUUUGAAAAAAAAAAUUCAAAAAAAAAAAACAAUUCAGACAUUUUCUUUUUCUUUAUUAUGUGUUUAUGUUUAUUUUUCUUCUUUAAUUUCUCCUCUAUAAAUAUAAAUUUUCCAACUUUUGAGUCGAAGAUGGCUGAAUAUGGAGUGUAGUUCCUCUAGAAACGCAUCUUCUUUUAAAAAAAAAAAAAUCAUUUUCGUUUUCUAUCAUUUUACGUGUAACUUUUCUAAUUAGUUUUUAUACAUCAUUUUCACAUUUCUGCAUGCAUAUUUUCCUUUCAUGUUUAGAAUAGGUUGGGGGGUAGAAUGAUGUUUAAAAAAAAAAAUGUGUGAUUUGUUUUAACAUUGGAUGACAUGAUUAAUUUCAAAUUUUAGUAUUUGUAUUAUCUUUGGUCUUAAGUGAUGUUACGCUAUGUUUGCUACUUUACAUGUUGAUGUCGGAGACAAAUGUGAGUUGCUUGAAGGAAUGAAUAUGUCAUAAUAAGUACCAAGUGAGUUUUUGAGCCUAUUAUUUUUCUUGGAGAAUAACCCUUUUGCCCACUCUUUAUACAGCUUAGCAGUUUAUUAUUUUAUACACGAUCUCUAAAUUACUUUUGAGUUAACCCUUAAAAAAAAAAUUGUAAAAUAAAAAAAAAGAGAAAAAAGAAAAAGAAAAAAGAGUGUGUUGCUACAUUUGGAGGCCCAUCUAACUAGUAGAUAUGGAAGAUUAUUUAGAGCCCUAAAAGACGAUGGAGAGGCCAUCUUUGAUCCGUUUGAGCCUUUCAAGCCAUCCCUUUUUAAUAUCCAUAGUUAACCCUUUUGAGCCUAUAAAAAAAAAAAAAAAAAAAAAACCUUUUCUUUGUCAACUUAUCAUCUUGACCCACUCCGAUUUGGAGUAUUACCCGAUAUCUUAUAAGUUCCAUCACCUAUUUAUGUUUGAGAAAAUGUAAAUAAUUAUUUUGUUCAGUGAAGUUAUGCCAAAUAAAAAAAAAACAAAAACAAAAGUUGUUGUUUCAAAAGAAUAAAAAUAGGUGAAAUCCACCUUGCAACUUCCAAAAAAAAAAAAAAAAUUCUCUGCAUUUUUCUCAAACAUACACUUUGUUUUCCUUAUUUUCCUUCUUUGUUAGCCAUGUCCCUAGCCUACGUUUCGUCCUAAUAAAAGUCCUUCUUGAUUUUAGGGAACUAUAGUUUGAAGUAGAAGCUAGUUAUAUGGGCUAAAAAGAUGUAGUGAUGCAUAAUUAAAAAAAAAAAAAAAGAUAAAUAAAGUGGGUUGACUAACAUUUUAUUUGACUUGAGAUCGUAUUAUUUCUAAGCUGAGGGCAUAUUUAUUUCAUCUUGGUGAGAGCAUGUGAUAUCACUUCUUUAUUAUUUUCUCUCUCAAUUACCAUUCAUUGGAGUGACUAUUUUUAUUGGGAUUAAUUUAUUUGUGAGAGUGUCACUACUUCCAGUGAGAUUUUGGGGUUUGACAUUUCAUUCUUGAGAGUAGCUAUAACAAAGUCUACUGGGCUAAUUCAUGUGGAUGGUUGAUGUGGGUGUGAUGUUGCUUUAGACUGGAGAUAAUGCUUAUACUUUUAUUUGAUUGCUAUCAUUAAUCUGAUGGAAUAAAUACGAGUGUUUCUAUUAAAAAAAAAAAAAUUAUUUUGAAUUUGAAUUUUGUUUUCGCUUUAUUUGCUAGGGACUAGCAAUAAGCUGGUUGGGGGGUGUGUUGAGUGUUAGAAAAUGCAUAUUUAUAAAGGAGAAAACCGUCAUUUUACAUUUUAAGUCUUACUAACAACCCUUACUUUUAUAUAUUUAACCUUCUUGUGAUUUAAUUACAUGUGUUUUAUUUUAAUUAAGUAUUUUAUGUAUUUUAGGGGCAUUAUAGUCAUUUCACAAUAAAGGAGAGAUCAGACGGCAAAACGGACAUCACUUUUGAACUCAGGACGGUCGAAAACCUUAGGAGGAGCAUAAAAGGAAAAAUGGCACUAUUCACAUGUACGGUACUAUUCACGUAUACGGUACUGUCUACGUUACUGUUCACGACACUGUUCACAUAGACGGAUCGAUGACGUGGCAUUGACCGAUGAUGUGGCAUUGACUGAUGAGGUGUCACGAUCCUGUUGGGCUAAAAUUCUUAUGUACUGUUGAUGGUGACGUGGCAGCAUAUCAGUGGACGAAAAAUCUCGUGUACGGUGCAUGCAUCACACAGGAUUAUUUUCAACCAAACCGCGUUACUGUUCAUCCGGGUCAAACCGCGUUACUGUUCAAAGUCGGGUCAAACCGUGUUACUGUUCAUCCGCGUGGUCAAACCGUGGACUGUUGACUGAUGACGUGGCGCAAUCCUGAGCGUCCAAACUGUUUUUAAUCCGAUGGCCAUGAUUUACUCCAUGUAUCUAUAAAAAGGGGGCCUCCCCCCCCUAAUUUGAUAUCUCUGAAUCCAUUUUUGGGAUCCAUUUUCUGUAAUUCCUUCUCCAUCUUGUAUUUUCUUCAUAUUUUAAUAAAUUCCCAUUUUGCCCCUAGUUCAAUUAUGAGUGGCUAAUUUUCUUUCAAGCUUGGGUUGAAGGUGAAGUCUCAACAUGUGUCAUGGGCUUAAUUUGGUAAAUUUAUUUUCUCUUCCCCUCUAGUUUUUGUGGAUGUUUUGACUUCUCGUCGACAAAUAAUACUAAUCUUGUCUAGUACCGCCUUGGUUUCACCGGCUCUCUAGUAUAAGGUUAUUAUUAUUUGGCACGAUAAGCCCUUAGCACCAUAUUGAUUAGAGUGUGGUUCAUGCGGUGUGGAUUCCCCCCUCAUGAUUUAAUUGGUAUUAAUAAGGAAUAUUUAGCCUAUGAUGCAUGUUGAUACGGAUCCAGAUACCCAAGUACGUCAUUUCAAUAGAAUUCUCUUCAAUUUAUUCUCACCAUUUCAAUACCAAUUUUAGAAUUUAUUCUCUCCAUUUUAAUUUAAGUUUUAGCAUAUUCCAAUCAUUUCCACCACAAAUCUAAUCACCCAUUCACAAAAUUAAUUCUACACAAUUAAAAUCCACCUCCUCGUGGGAUCGACACUCGUCACCAUUAAUCUAUACUACAACAGAUUCGUGCGCUUGCGAGUACAUUAAAAUUUGCACAACACCUGGUCCUCUGGUGGCCAGCCACAUCUCUCUCAAAACGAACCAGCACCGGCCUGUGAUCCGAAGCAAUUUUCGGGAGAUGGAGCACAUAAUUAUUCAUAUAUUUAAGCAGCCAUUCACUAUUACACAAAGCUCUAUCAAGCCUUUUAAAAAGCAAUCCACGUGACCAAGUAAACCUUGGACCCUUAAAUUUCAAGUCAAAAAGUUUAUGCCCAUCAAACCACUUCCGAAACAGAUUACACACUCCUGAGUUCCUGGCCACACCCCCUUGCUUUUCUGAGGCGUAUAAGAUAGAGUUGAAAUCCCCACCUAUCAACCAAGGCUCUUGAAUUAAAGGCGCAAGGUUCUCCAUAUGGCACCACAGCUGUCUCCGCAACAUUGGGUUUGGACUGGCAUAAACAGCCGUUACCCAAGACACAAAAACAUUGUUCCUGCAAAUUUUAAAAUGGAUGAACUGCCUGUGAUUAAUUGAGACCUCCACCUCUAUAGAACUUCGCCAAAGAAGCCAAAUUCCUCCAGAAAAACCCACAGCUUCCACCCGGUGCGAGUAAUCAAAUCCACUUUUCUUUAUAAAUUCAUCGGCUUUCACCCCACUAGUACGAGGUUCCAUUAAUACCACCAUCGAUGGGUUGUAAUUUUUAAUAAUAGUCCUAAACGAGCACCUGAAUUCCCCCGAGGCUGCCCCUUGGACAUUCCAGAACAUAAUACUGACUGUCAUAAAAAAUAUAAGAAGAGAGAACAUGAGGCUACUGUUGCUAUCCAGAGACAUCAUCCAUCAAUGCCAACGGCGUUUCCUGAACCAUCGAAAAUUCAUCAUCAGUCAUCCCAUCUCCAUCUAUACCACUCAUAGGAACAUCUGGAUGGUUACAAACAUGUCCACCUUCUUUCACCCGAGAAGUGUUAUGGUUAUCAGGAGGGUCUGCUAAGGGUUGCGGAUCCGAUCCCUGCAUCUCUAUAUGAUCCGUGGCCACUUCCCUUACAUCUCCAUUAAGAAGUGUUGGGGGAGAACAAAAAACCAUUGUGUGUUUAGUAGGAUCCAAGGUGGAUUCGAAAGAAACCACACGUUGGUUACUAGAUACUUUCUGGGGGAAACUAUGUGAAUUGGAUUUUUGGUUGGCAUGGGGUAAGAGAGUUAUAUCCUCAUCUCUGAUACUUAAAUCACUAGGCUGGAAAGGGUUACUAGUAGGGACCACUGGAGCAUUUAGCUUUUUGCUCUGAUUCCUUAUUACCACGGUCUUAUUUUGCAGCUUUCGACGAGCUAAAAUCUGUACUGUGUUAUUUGUUUUGGCUGUAAAUGUAGGGUUUGAGGCGGAUAUGAAAGGCUACCGUGAGGUGGAGGGGAAGUCUGUGCAAGCCUCCUGCACUUGGUGUCCUCCUUCAUCCGGGACUUGGGAUAGAAUGUGAAACCUUGAGGUACCAGCUCCAGUAAACUCCCUAUUCCGAUUUAAGUCUCUAGUAUUCAUCCUUCCAUUAUUAGGCUUUCUUCCUCUCCUAGGAGCCAUCAUCCAGGGACCAAAUGGUUCCACAGUGCUGUCGCCAUUACAACCUUUAGCCUGUUGGCCAGGAGCCUCGUUUCCCGGCAUUGCCUGAUGGGAUUGACCAGCUUCUUUAGAGCUUGUCGAGUUCUUAGCAUCUUUGCAAUUAUUACUAUUGUGCCCGUAAAGUCCACACUUAUAACAAAUUACUGGCAAGCCCUCAUAUUCGACCUUCUGUAUCUUCCCAUCCAACUCAAACUGAGACACCAGUGGCCUAGUUAAAGAGAUACUCACUGCAAGGCGGGCAAAUCUUCCACGAGAUGAGGAGGCUGUAUUCAAAUCGAUUGUAAUCACGUUCCCCACUAACUGACCCAGCUUUUGAAGAACUUUUCGAUCGUAAAGAUGAACAGCAAGGCCAGGUAAUCUGAUCCACACCGUGACCUGUUCAAGAGCCGUGUUUGUGAAGUCAAAGGAUGGCGUCCAUGGCUGCACCGUUAAAUAGUGACCCAUGACAAGCCACGGCCCCUUGGUUAAUGCAUCCAUAGCAUCCCCUACCGAGCGAAACCGAACCAGAUAAUAGUUAUUCUCCAAGUCUAUCACUGAAAACCCCAUGGCUGAUUUCCACAUGCCAUUCAAUCUUGCACAAAGGGCUCUAUAGCCAAUUGUGCGGCCAAGCAACUUUACAACAACCGAGUUCUUCCAAGGCUCACUUAACUUAGCAUGAACCCUAGCCGAAAAAGUGAUGGAUGGCAUGGAUCCCUCGUUACUUUCAGUAACGUCCCCUUCCUCAAAAUCCCAGUCAUCUAGUCCACCUCCAACUCCUUGCUCCAUCGCUUGCGUUGCAUUCACUAGGGUUUCUUUGUACGAUACCUGAGCAGUGGGAUCACCAGCAUGUUCCUCAUCGCGAAACCUCGCUUUUUUAGUCGUUCUAGCCUCCCUGAACGGCGGGGGAAAAAUCCCUCCGGAGAUAGGGUUUCCUUCACAUCCGUGGUUUUCGGAGCUUUCCAUUGAAUUUCGCUUGAUUCACUAAAAAAAUUAACGUUUUUAUGAAGGCUCGAACCAUUGCACUCAACAUUGUAAGUGCAUAUUGGAGUUAUUGGUAAAAUCACAAUUUUAUUUCUCAUCAACGAUAUCCUUCUCUUAUCUUCCCAUUGUUUAACCUCGGGUGGUUCAGUUAAUUCAAUACCGGCAGAAACCAAAAAGUUUUCAUUCUCCACUUCACAGGCUAUCCACAAGGUCAUAUCACGAAUCACAUCAUGCAGUUUUACAUAAUCUGAUCCUGCUUCUUCCAAUAGGCAUGCAUGAACAAGAACACCAAUAAUGUAGUAUCCUUGGUUAUGUACUCCAUUAAUUCCUUUAUAUUCCUUUAGAAAACCCUCACCAAUCCAACACCCUACCAAUUCAAUUUUGCUAAUUUGAUAAUCCUCAAGAAAUAAACUACAGUAUAACAGACAAGAUCUAAGGACGUCACUAGACAAACUAUCAUAACUGAAUUUUAAAAGACGAAACACCUCUUUCUCCAUACCUGGAAAUUCAUAAGCUGAUCUCCUUAACAUCUGAAUUGCAUAGCUCCAUUCUUCGGGUGUCUUCUUGCUGCUCAUGGCACGACCGGUGGUAAUAAGUGCAAGUGGCAAACCACUACACUCCUUUGCCACAGUUUGGGCUAACUCCGGAAUAUCGGGAUGACUUUCAAGAGUCUCUUCUCCGACCUUCUUUAGGAACAAUUCCCAAGCAUCUUGAUCUGCCAAACACUCCACCUUGAACUUUUUUUGAGCUUCCAUGAGGCCACAGACGUCCACAAGACGAGUCGUAAAGACUAUCUUUGAUGCAUUUCUUGAACUCCCAGGAAAAGGGACACCCACUUUGGCUAAAUCAAUUCUUUCCCAUAUAUCAUCUAACAAUAGCAGAAAUUUCAUUUUGCUCAAUAAAUUGAAUAUGCCUGAUGCUUUCUCUUCAAAGCUUCUAUUCUGAAGCCAUCCUAUUCUUUCUCCGAUUUUCUGUUGAAUUCUCUCAAGUUGCAUGUCUUUUGACACCACCACCCAAAUCACAAUAUCAAAAUAAUUUGGUGUAUUAAGGAACUUGUUGUUGAUUUGGGUUAAUAGUGUAGUCUUGCCGACUCCCCCCAUGCCAUAAAGUCCGAUGAUUCCAAAUUGUCCUUCUACAAGACAUCUCCAAACUUGAUCAAAUGAUGAUUCUAGGCCGAUUAUUGUUGGCUGAAGAGGCCUUUCAUCCACUGCUGGUUGUGGUACCUUUUCAGCUACCACUGCAAAAGCUCCAUCAUCUAUUAAAGUAGCCACAAGCUGCAGCUUUUUAGACACCUUUUUCCCAAACUUGUAGCUUGACUUGCAGUUCUUGGAGCAGUAGCCUCCAAGACAUAGUUUUUCAAUUUCUUGAGAGCUGUCCCUUCUCAAUUCACCUACUUCAGCUUCCACAGCCUCCAACCUUGCACUCUGUUCAGCCGUCUUAGUUGUUGUUGCUCAGCAUUAGCGACCCUCAUCAUCACAUCGUUCUUUGUUUCAAUUAGUUUCUGCAAUUCGGUCUGGACGGCAACCAGAUUAUUUUCAAGCUGGCUUAGAUAUGCUGCUUUUCUGCGGGUACAAUUGAUGAAGCCAGUGGAAAGGGCAUCACAUGUAAGUUGGAUUCCCAAAAUAUUACCCAUAGUUUGUAUGAGAUUCAGAGUACAAUAGAAGGAAUGCAACACAGUAUGUAUUCGGUUGUGGUGUCUAUGAUUUUACAGUCGCAGAAGCUUAUUCACCUUGUGAGGGCUGGUCAGGUGGGCACCAUCACUCUCCUUACUCUUUAUAGAGAGCGAUAGUCCAUGUGGUCAGAUCUCAUUCAGAUAACUAGCCAAGUGGGCAAUCGCUCCACCUUAUCAAAAUUCUUCAUCUUAUAAUAAUAUCAUGAGUAGGCCUUGAAUUUUUCUUUUAAUUUUAACAUUUAAAAGGUAGAGGUGAAAAAGUCUACAUAGUAUUUUUGUCCUCGUACUUUAAUAACAUUUCUUGAAAGUCACUCGAUCUCAAAAUUUAAUUAAGAAGAUAUUAUAGAUUUAUAAGCCCUUAAAUUUUAUUUGCAAGUAAGCCCAUAAGACUUACUAAAAGUCGUCAACUCGUCAUGACCAAAAUUGAAAAUUCGUCCGCGCGUGAAAUACGGCAUGCACAGUCGUAUUAAAAGCAAAGGCCAGCUAUGAUAGUCUUCGUAUACUUGCAUUCCCUAUCAUCUUAUUAAUAAUUUCAGACACGUAGUUCGUUGCUUGUGAUUUUUCAUAUGCAAAAGCACAGUCAGUGUUACAUUUUACAAUUACAAUUGAGUGCCACCUAUAUACUCCUUCAUUCUUUUCAAAAUAUGUUGUAGGAUGGGUAAUUGUGACAAAAGUGAUUUUUAAAAAAAAUUAACUUUUAAUUUUUUUUAAAUUACUUUUGAGAUUUGUGAAAAAAAUCCUAAACGGGUCUCAGAAGUAUAAUUAGCACCGCGAAUUUAUAAAAUGAUCAAAGGAAUCCAUCGCCUAAUAUUAUAGUACGCAAUUGAUUGCUAUAAACUAAAUUGCUAUGAUCUCACUUCAUAAUAAUUUAUUUUCAAUCUCCAUCAUGGUAGAAAAAUUUCAUCAAUCAACAUACCCUACCACCACCCAAUAGUCGACCAUUUAUCAUCUUCUAUCCGUAAAAAACCGAAAAAAAAAAAGAAAAGGAAAAAUUUAGUCCACAAAAGAAUAUAUCGCAAGACCAAACAGAGAGAGAAAAUAGAAAAAGCAAAGAGCUGUACUGAAUACCGGCGGUGAUGGCUCCGUACUUGACCAUUUAGGUUUGAUUCUGCAUUCACAUAAUAUUUUUUCUACACUGCAGUCACAUCACAACCAUUGAAUAGUCGUGAUCUAUUUUUCUAAAGCGAAUAAUAUUAUCUUCUCGUGUCGGUGGCUUGAUCAUAUAACAAAAUAGACUAAUAAUGUUUCAAUAGACAUUUUGGUAAAUGGAAGAAGUUAUGAUCUGUCCAUUUUUAUGUUACUUUAUUUUAAUUUGUUAAUUACUAUUAAUAUCUUUGAGUGGGAUAGAAUCUUGACCUAAGAUAUGACUAGGCUCCACAUGUUAUAUAUUAAUUUGAUUAAGCCUAGCUAAUUGUUAAUUAUUAAUUUGAUUGCGGCUUUUUAUUUUACCCACAUUUUUUAUGCGUGAAAUCUUUCUUAGUGAAAAACUACACGUAUUUGCAAAUAUUCGGAAUGGACAUUUUCGAAAAAACAAGUAAAAGAAAAUGACUAAAAAGUAAAAGAAAAUAGACACCCAAUUGUAAUUGCGAGGACAAUAGAAGGAAUGCAACAAACAGCUCUCUCCUUACACUCUUAUAGAGAGUUAUAGUCCAUGAUCUCAUUGAGAGAACUAGCCAAGUGGGCAAUCGCUCCACCUGAUCACAAUUCUUCAUCUUAUAAUAAUAUCUUGAGUCGGCCUUCAAUUUUUUUUUUCAAUUUUUAUCUUUAAAAGGUAGAAGAAGUGAAAAAGUUAAAUAAUAUUUUUGUCCUCCUAUAUAACAUUUUUUGAAAAUCACUCGAUCUUAAAACUUAAUUAAGAAAAUAUUAUAGAUUUUUAAGUUAGUGGCCCUUAAAAUUUAUUUGCAAGUAACAAUUAGAGAAAAGUCGUCAUGCCCAAAUGACUUACUAAAAGUCUGCAACUCGUCAUGACCAAAAUUCUUCCGAGUGUGAAAUACGGCAUGCGCAGAUGCAUUAAAAACAAAGGCCAGCUAUGAUAAUCUUUGUAUACUUGCCUUCCCUAUCAUCUUAUUAAUAAUUUCAGACGCGUCGUUCGUUGCCUGUGAAUUUUCAUAUGCAAAAGCACAGUCAGUGUUACUUGCAUUCCCUGUCACCUUAUUAAUAAUUUCAGACACAUCGUUGGUUGCCUGUGAUUUUCAUAUGCAAAAGCACAGUCAGAAUUACAAUUUACAUUUGGAAUUGAGUGCCAUCUAUUUAUUCUAGCUGGAUCUAAAAUGAUAUUGCAGUAUUGCACUGACUUUUCAGUCACAGCGUUUCUCUAUGAAUUCCUUAAAGUUUAGACCCAUCAUGGAAUAAUUAUUUUCUUAAAGACCAAAUUAACAUAAUUCUUAAAUCAUCUUCCGAGUGUCAAAUACGGCAUGCGCAGAUGCAUUAAAAACAAAGGCCAGCUAUGAUAUUCUCUGCAUACUUGCAUUCCCUGUCACCUUUAUUAAUAAUUUCAGACACGUCGUUGGUUGCCUGUGAUUUUCAGACACAUCGUUGGUUGUCAGAAUUACAAUUUACACUGAUUUUUUAGUCACAGCGUUUCUCUAUGAAUUCCUUAAAGUUUAGACCCAUCAUGGAAUAAUUAUUUUCUUAAAGACCAAAUUAACAUAAUUCUUAAAUCAUUUAUAAAACAACAUUUAUCAUAUAACAGAUCGUACAUGAAUAAAUUUACCUUGAACCGUAGCAAACAAACAAGAAUCUCAACCACAUCAAUAUCAUAAUCCCUUCUGACCUUAACAAUAAUUUUAUUCGUCCUUAAUUCAUAGGUAUAAGUAUCCCAAUAUAUACUUGAUGUCAACCUUUACAAUUCUUUACAGAAUUGCAGCAGACCAAAUUUGUAUGCAAAACUGAAAUCAUACAGUAAUUGAAUACAGUGAUAGUAAUUAGUAUAUAUAAAUAUCUUAAUAAUUUAAAAGUUUCUUAAACUGCUUUUACAUAUCUGAAAAAUUAUAGAAAUCGGAACUGCUGCAGAAAUCAUAAUUUCCCAGCGAAUGUGUUACAACUUCAGAAACUCAUAAGAAAUUAAAUUCUUGGGAUCACAAAAUAAUUCAAUAGAAAGCUUAAGAUGUCUAGUUCAUAAAAUCUGAAUUUUUUUUUAAAAAAUAAGAUCUUUGGAAUUUAAGAGAUUCAGCAGUACUUUUAUUACAUCAAUUCUUCAAACAAUCACCAAUCUAACAUUCAUCAAAAUUAAGUCAUAAAAAUCAUGUGGUUUAUAAAAAGAAUUACCUGAAAAAGAUUAGCCUUCCCCUUUCAAAAGCAACGUGAAACUCCAAAAACUCUUCUUCCAUUGCCUAUUCAAACAUGAAAAAAAAAAUUAGUAUAUCUUCUUUAAACGCGUGAUGAGUGUGCUCUGUUUUCUCUGUUCUUCUUCUUCUUUUUUAGAUUUCGAAAACGUAAAGAGUGUUGGAGUCUUUAUUUUCUAAAAACAAGACUUUUCCAUGUAUUCAGUUAAAUUAAAUUAUGUCCUAAUGCUAUGUCAGUUCCAUCAUUAGCAUUUUUUUUUUUGGCUUUUAACACCAACAUUAGCGUAUGUUAAGUAUCAUAAUCCAUAGUUGGACAAUUUGAAAUCUCUUCGUGGUUUAUCUCAAAGUAGAGCUUCAAUCAAUUUGUACCUCAUAAAUUUACAAUAUCUAUGAGGGCUAAUAAGACCAAACUCUGGCAUAUUGUCAAAUGUGCUUAUACUUUCGCUUGACAAGUCAUUUUAAAAUUGUCUUUCAAUGCCAAAAAAACCACAUCAACUAAUGGUCCACUACUUUAAUUUGAAAGCAUGCAUGCGAUCGCCAAUAAUCAAGGAUGUUAGGGUCAUGCUACAGAGUAUAGAAUAUGAUUUUAUGGUAUAGCCUUCUUUCUUUAUAAUUUUUAAAUUUAAUACUGUUACUUAUGUAGCACAUAAGUUGGAAAACAUAACAUAAAAUUUGAAAAAUGUAUAGUUUUCGUUCCCUUUUUUCCCCUCUAAAAAUGGGAAAAAAGAACGUAAUUUUGAUUUAUUUAAAUUACUGUUGUGAUAACAAUUUUUAUUUUAUUGAUUAUUUACCCAUUCAUGUGGCAAAUUUUUUAAGAUAAGGUGAAGGAUGAAGCUCAAAAACAUAAAUUAUAUAAUUAAUUACCCUCUCUAGUAAGUUUAAAGUUUAUUAUUUUGAACUACAUGUUUAUAAUUUAUUUUUAUUAUGUGUUAAUAUAUAGAUCUAAAUUCACUUUGGAACCAUAUACAUAUUUAGACCUAAUGUGCAUGUUAAUCUAUAGAUCUAAAUUUACUUCUAAAUUCACUUUAGAUCUAUAUGAGUAUUUAGACAUAACGUAUUGCAACCAUAUUGGCAUGUUCUCACUAUAGUAUUGGUGUAUUGACAUUAUAUCUAAUUGUCCCUAUAAAUCCAAAAAUAAUCUAGAUAUACAAAUUAACAUAAAAUAAAGAUAAUUGGUAGAAAAUGCAAAUUAUAAACAUAUAAUUGAAAACGAUAAAUUUAAAUUUACUUAAGAAAGUAAUUAAUCACUUAUUUCUUUUUUAUAAUAUGACAAAUAUUAUAAUAAAUAUUAAUUAAUAAUAAUUAGAAUAACAAACUAAAGAUAUUUUAGUAACUUAAAAUAAUUCAUUUUGAUUUCGAGACAAAAUAAACACAUCAAUCGCAAUACAACUCAUUCUGAUUCCACUCAUUCAGAUUUCAACAUAUUUUAAUUAAUUCAAGUGCUCUCCAUUAUAAUUGAAGCCGCUGCCCCAUCCCACUCGUGAUUCCAAACUUUAUCUUUUUCCUUUUUUAAAUUAAUGCAAGCAGCCGCUGUCCUUUUUGUUAAUUAAUUAAUUAAUUCGGCCGCCCACAUUUCUUUUCCUAAUGUCUUCGGCUUUCGAUUUUCUUUUAUUUUCUUUUUAUUCUUAAAAUAGACUUAUAAUAAUAAAAUAUAAAAAUAUAAAAAAAAUUAACAUAAUCAAAAUAUAAUUUAACAGAAAAUUAAGAUAAAAAUGUGAAAAUAAUAUAUAAAUUAUGAGCGUAUCAAUCAAUAAAUGAAAAAUAAUAAUUUUUAUUUUUAUUAAAUAUAUAUUUUUCAAUAUUAAUCAGUUAUCUAAAUAACUAAAAUCAGUUAAAAAUAAAUAAAUAAAUUAUUCUUAAAAAAAAAAAACUUUUUAUACCACUCACUAUGCUGGCUGUCAAGGGUAGAAGCUUUGGGGACUGAAGUUGGUAACUUCUACAAGUAGUCUUAAGUUGACUGGCAACAACUAUAUUGGCAUUUGGACAUAAUGUUCUGCAACCAUAUUGGCAUGUUCAAUUGUUCUCACUAUUGUGUUGGUGUGUCGAUAUUAUCUCUAACUGCCCUAUAGAUCCAAAAAUAAUCUAAAUUUAUAAUUUAACAUAAAAUAAAAUAAUUGGUAGAAAACAAUUAUGGUUCAUUUACUUAUCAGUAAUUAGAAUAGACUGAAAUCAGAAUGAGUUGUACUGCCGUUAAUGUGUUUAUGUUGUCCUUGAAUCGGAAUGAAUUAUUUUAAUUUACUAAAAUACCCUUGGUUUGUUAUUCUAAUUAUUAUUAUUUAACAUUUAUUAUAAUAUUUGUCGUAUUAUUAAAAAGAAUUAAUAAUGAUGAUAAUAUUAUCAUUAUUGUUUGUUAUAUUAUUAUUAUUAUUUAAAAAGUUAUUGUUAAUAACAAUAAUAACUUUAUUUCAAUAAUAAAAAUGAUAAAAUUAAUAAUAACAAUCAUGACAACAACAAUAAUUAUUUAUUAUGCCAAAAAUAACAAUAAUAAUAAGAAUAAUAAUCAUCAUCAUUUCAAAAAAAAAUCAUCAUCAUCAUCAUUUUUGUAGUGGCUGCCUAUCGGCUGUUGCUUUCAUGCGAGAUUAACUUGCGACGCUUCAACUGCUAUUAUUUCUGGCAAUGUCAGGUGUUGUUGUUUCAAUGGGGGGAGAAGCUGUUUCGGUGCACUAACGAUGGGAGGUGUUGUGGCUGCGAUUCGAGGAGCUACUGGUUCAGUGCACUAAUGACGGCAGGUGUUGCUGCUCAAUGCAAGGUCCAUGGCCAGUUGUCUUGUUUUACACCCAGCUCUUGUAGGAAAUUCUUUAUCAAAAAUAUUUUUUUUGUAACCUUCAAUAAUUGUAAUAUCAUUUGCUUCCGUGGUAGAAAGGACAACUCAUUACUAAGUCUAGAUUGUGAUGAGACUGCUCUCCCUACAAAAGUGAGCAAAUAUCAUUGUAGGGAUUUUUCAGAAUCAACAUCUCCUGUCAUAUCUACACACUUGUAACACAAGUUUGUCACCACCAAAAUAUAAACAUAUUCUGGAAAUGCCUAUAAGAUAUCUGAGAAUUCAUUUCACUGUUGUCCAGUGCUCUUUGCCGAGAUUGAAGAGAAACCGACUGACUACACUGACUGCAUAGGCAAUAGCUGGUCUUGCACAAAUCAUGGUGUACACCAAACUGCCAAUUGCCUAAGCAUAAGGAACUCCUCUCACUGAGAAAUGGGUUUUGCUCUUGAGAUUUUUGGGAACAUGAAGAAUAAAGAUGUAAUUUCUUGGACUACCAUUGUGUUGGGGUAUAUAAAUAGAAGACAAGUCGAUAUAGCUCGACAGUAUUUUGCUCAGAUGCCAGAACGAGAUUAUGUCUUAUGGACUGCCAUGAUUGAUGGGUACCUUCGAGUGAAUAGGUAUAGAGAGGCUUUGACACUUUUCCGGGAGAUGCAAACUUCAAAUAUAAGGCGAGACGAGUUUACCAUUGUUAGGAUUCUUACAGCUUGUGCGAAUCUGGGGGCACUAGAACUGGGAGAAUGGAUAAAGACUUACACUGACAAAAACAAGGUCAAGAAUGAUAUAUUUGUGGGGAAUGCUUUGAUAGACAUGUACUGUAAAUGCGGAGAUGUUGAGAAAGCUCAAAGGGUAUUCAGGAAGAUGCUUCGAAAGGACAAAUUCACAUGGACGGCCAUGAUUGUUGGCCUUGCCAUCAGUGGCCAUGGUGAUAAAGCUCUUGAUAUGUUUUCCCAAAUGCUUAGGGCUUCGAUCAGACCAGAUGAGGUAACUUAUGUUGGUGUUCUGUCUGCCUGUACUCACAAUGGUAACGAAAAUUUUGUGAUAAACAGUUGCAACUUAAGGUGAGAAUUGGAGGAAACGAAAUAGACUGAAGUUGUUCAAUCAUCGGUGGUUGCUAUUUGAUUUUAAGUUGUUCAAUCAUCGGUCGUCUCUAUUUGGUUUUCUCCAAUAUCUCAUCUCCAGUUUUGACUCAGAUUCUGUCUUACCACUAGUAAUUACAUAGACUUGUUGCCAAAGGUAAGAAUGGGAAUAAAUUAAAUAGAUUAUGUCGAUAACGAAAUAGAUUUACUAUUGCUAUGUGCAUUCUAUUUGGUUCCUGCAAAAUAUUUUCUCCUGCCUAAAAUUUUUUGAAUCAGUAAGUUUUUACCUUAUGCAAGAAUUGUGCUAAGAGUAAUUCCAGUCUCUCUAUGUUUCAAUGAAGACGUAAAACUUGUGUUUUAGAGCACCAAUGUUAUGCUUCUUACAAUUGGAUUUUAAUUUACUUCGUAGAACUUUUGUCAAAAAGUACUAAGAGUGUAUUUGAAAUUGAUGUACUGUAUCUUUUAAGCUACAGCUGCUGUGGAAAAAAAAACUGUAACUAUGAAAUAAAAGUUAAUAAUAUAUAGUAAAUAUAAAUUUUAAAUAAUAAUUUUGAUAAAAUUAUUAAAGAUAUAAUAGUUUUUUUAUUAUACAAGUGAAAAAUUAUAUAAACAUAGUUUUCAAGUUACAGCAGCUAGUGUUUAUCAAACACUUUAGUACUGUAUCUUUUAAGUUACAGUUGCCCGAGUUCAAUCUCAAACGCAACUUAACGAGUAGUGCACCAAACACCAACUUUAUUACAGAGAGGACUUUGGUUAAACUUUAAGAAAAACACUCAAAGGAAGAGUUAUAAAUUAUUAUAGAAAUAUUUGACAUAAAUAAAAGCCAUUCCACAAUGCGAAGAUCUUGCUAUCAUCACCAGAAACCAUCGGGAGCUUUCAGGGUUUCCAUGAAAACGCCAUUUCAUUCCAAGAGUCAAUGGUGGGUAGAAAGUGGUGCAAACGAUACUCAUUGUUAAUGCUAUAAGUUUUUGCUAAAUUAUGUCUUACCCAAAAUGAUGAUUUAAUUUCCAUUCUCAAUUAAUUUUCAAAUUUCAACACUUUUCUUUGUAGCAUGACAUUGGAAAGAUCUUGUACUACUAAAAGCUAGCACCACACGUUAAUUAUUGUUAAGUUCUUUUUCAACGUGAAAUAAAGGAAGUAGUCCUUCGUUAAAACCAUUAUAGCCAAAUUUCAUGUAAUUGGACACUUACAGACUUUCAUUUCAAGCUGGAAUUUGGUCCAACGUUUCAAAGUUGACCCAACUAAUUGUCUGGUCAAGUCCUACACAGCUAAGACCCUCAAUGAAUGAGGGUGAGACUGCUAAAAAUUACGACAGUUGAUAUUAUUAUUAUUUUGGGAUAAAUCCUCACCAAGGUGAGUGAGGAGAUUUUAUCAAAAUAAAAAUAAAAAUAUAACAAGAAAACUAGCUAAAUUAAAAUAUUACAAAAGCUAGAUGAAAUGAAAGGCAGCCUAAAAACAACCUUAUGCAAAAGAGAAGCAACAUGCUAGUAUUCCAAGCUUCUUGUUAUAAAAGUGUAGAAUGAAGUAGGUGAUGUAGUUUUAAAUUACACCUCCAUGCCCAAUCACAAUAUCAAAUAAUGCUUAAAGUAGUUAUAUUAACUCUUAAAUUUAUAAAUAAUUAAAUUUUUAAAAGUUUGGAUUUAUAUUAAAAAAUUUCUAUAUAAAUAAAUAAUCUAUGCAUUUUUACAACAUAGUCUUUAAAUUUAAACUUUUCUAGAAAAAUCUUCUGGAUAUCUUUUCUAUUAAAAAAGAGAUUCUCAAAAUUUAUAAAAGUAACUUAAAGUUUUGUCUUCCCUUUUCUUUUAGCUUAUACAUAUGUGUGUGUAUUCUUUUAUAGCAAUAACUAACGUUAUUUAUUUUUAAAUCAUAAAAAAAUUAUGAAAAAAAAAUGUACCAAAUUUAAUUGGACCCAGCACAAUGCACAUGCAUAGAACACAUUCUGAAAAGCCAUGCUAUUCGGAAAUUGACGAAUGGAAAGUGAAGAGGCAGCAGUCAAUGCUAUUUCGGCUUGGCCCAAAAUUUCACCAGUUUGUUAAUCAGUGUUCUGCAGCUCUUGCUGCUUUCCUAGAGAUUCUACAUCUUUUGCAAUCUGAUAGAUUUAAAAAAAAAAAAAAAAUUAGUGGCCAUUUGGAAUGGAGGAGAGAUUUGUGUGAAUGGUAUAGGUGAAAAAUUGGAUGAAAAUAAACAGGCAACCGUCCGUAUAAAACAACAAUAACAAUAUACAAAAAGAUAAGUAAUUCACGAAAGGAAAUUUACGGUUGUUUCUGGAAAACAUACAUAUUAAUUUCACUUAUACUCUAAGAUUUGCCAUCAUGACUGGACUUGUGAGGAAUUUGGAAACAUGUAUGCUGUAGAAAUGCUGAAGUAGCUUGAACCCGAUAAAAAUUGAUUGGUAGAAUUGUUAAAAAGUCUAAAUUUUUAGUUCAAACCUAUUGCAUAUUUAAGAAAAUCUCAAAUGAAUUGCUUAUUGCUAUCGUCAUCAUCAUUGCCCAUAUAAUUAUUAUUAUUAUUAUUAUUAUGUCUUUAUAAUUAUUAGUAUCGCUGUUAUUAUUUUUAUGGGUAAAUGGUUUUUCUAUCCUGGCAAUUUAAGCCAAUUACCUAACUAAUCCACGUAAUUUUAAAAAUGUUUCAAAAGAUCUUUAUUUUAUAUAUGUUUCCACUACAAUUUAUUUAAUGAUUCUUUAUUUUUCAAUUAUUGCAUGUUCGAUAUUUUUGAGUUCUAAGCUAUAUCAAUAGAAAUGUUAUCUUAUCCAUAAAAAGUUAGAUCCAGCAAUUAUGAAAAUUACUAUAGAGCUGCUUUGAAUAAUUUUAAAAAAAUACCACAAGCAAAUAAUAAUUAGUUUAAAUAGUGGAGACUAAAAAGCAUUCACCCUUAUUCUUUAUCUGUUAUUUGUUUUUUUUUUUUUCCGUUAAUGCACAUAUUAUACAUUUUAAACAUUCCGUUAAUUGCCAAUUAUGCAAGCGAGAUAGUAAUUUAAAUUUUUUUAUUUUAAAAAAAAGUGAAAAUUAAUCCUAUGCAAUGUGAAUAAAUUUCUUUCCUUUUUCCUUCUCUCUUUUUAUUUGAUAAUUAAGUUUCAACCUAUGUACCCAAAAUUUCUGCAACAGGUAAAAAAACAUAAAAAUAUAUGAUUGUUAAUGUAAACACGCGGAAGUUCAUCAUUUCAAUGUUCAGUAUUUCCAAUUUUGGCAUACGAAUAUAUUCCACUUAGAAAGCCAAAUAUUAGAAUUGUGAUUUUAAUUCAUUCAUCAUAUCUCAUUUCAAUCCCAAAAUAUUCAAGAGGAUCCAAGUUACCAUAAGACUUCAGAGGCUCGAGCCUUAGCCAGAGACGGUUAAUUGAUAGACUAUGUGCCCGGGUCGAGCACUGGAAGCCUGCAAUGCAGACUGAUUGAUUUAUCAGUUUGAUGUGUGCCAGGAAUGAAGAACUGGAAUAUCACCGUCAAGCAAGCACCCAGUGAAGCAAUACCAUAGAAUGCACAAUCCGGCCUUGCUAGGUGACACUGGAGGCUUUUUGAAAAGUGCUUCACGCUUACUUGCACAGAUUGAGCAUACCCUCUGGAUAUUGCCCUCUCUGAUCCAGUCUGAGCACUCAAAUUUCGGUCCUCAGAUGGAGCUACAGCUUUCUCUCCAAUAACCAACAAUUUUCUAAACUCAGCACCUAGUGUGAUCAGAGUUGUUGAUAUUUGUAAAUGGAGAUCCCCAUAUUUGAAAAUGGAGACAUUUAACAAAUCACCAACAUGCUUCAUCCGGUCUACGAAAUUCUGCAGCUGAUUCAAAUCCGGAACCUGAACCAGAGUCGGAGGUAAAUCUUGAGCCAUAUCUAAAGCAGUUUGAAGUUCAAGUACUUGAGCCCUUGACAGUGGUUUUGAAAUUGGAACAUCUUGAAUUACUGCAGACCUGUACCCUUUGGUUUCAAAGGUAAGGAAAGGCAUUGCUUGAGUACAAUUUGGAGGCAGCUUCUUCACCAAUUUUAUUUGGAGGCGAUUGGCAGCGGAUCCAGCUGCACCAAUUUCAGAGCAAAUACUGACACUACUUCAAACAGCACGCUGAAGAAGCGCUAUGUCUAUGGCAAAGGCAAUGCAGUCCUCAUUUUGGCUUGAGAUGCGGUAAUCAUCGAAGAGAGUUUCCUUAUGAAACUGGGCAACACAUUGAAUCCCUUCACCACUGAGAAGGUUGUGGAGGAAGUACGCUUUCUCUCUAGUGAGGAAGAGGUGGCAUACCUUCCCCAUUUUGUCUAGGGCAGUUAGGAAUCUUUUUUCUAAGAGAUUUACUCCAUUCUCUGUGAGAAAUGCUUUGAACUUCAUCCCUCUGUCUCUAUCCUCACUUAUCAGUAAAACAGUUGAAAGUGAUACAAGGAGAGAAAAGGAGAGUACUAAGAUAUAUAGACAAGAAAAACAUUAGGUGUCGAUCUUACAUGUUAAUACUUCAAACAGUAUCCUAGAAAGCUAAAAACUGCAGAAUGGCUUGAAAUUUGAAAAGAACACAUGCUUUUCCUCCUUAACUUGAGAAAAUGUUUGACAUAGCGCGCCUUACAGAAGCAAGCAAUUAGAACUUUGCACAAAAACAUUCAAGAAGACCAAUAUUUCAACUAUUUUACUGAUGAAAAUCUCAAAGCACAAAUGGCAUUGCAUUUUGUCCUCAACUGUAAUAUUUAUUGAUGAAAAUCAGUACAGGUCCCUCAUUUGUUAUGGAAAGCUUUCUUGUAGUCUGACCGGUUAAUUCACGGGUCUAUAAUCAUCUUGCAAAGUUACGGACAUUUCUUUCGAUUUAAAGUCUUUGCAUCACCACCUCAUCACACACCAAACCAAUAUUCUGUCUACCUCUACAACAAAAAGUUUUAAGUAAACGAUCCUAAUGCACGCAGCCAAAUAAAAUGCAGUAAGAAUAUUCAACUUAAAAAUCUGAAAGUAUCUUGGUGAAUUGCCUUCUUAGGGGAAGUUCCAUGAUUUACUAUACUAGACAGAACUGAGCAAAAGCUUCCAUACGACAGAUUUUGACAAUAAUGAUGCCAACAGAUCCUCAUUAACUCCAUUAAAACUCCUAAGGUUCAUUGUUCAUGGAUGUUUACAGAGUUUUGGCCAUCAAAUAGCUCAGACCACAAUCCCAAAGAAAAGACGAGUGAAAGUUAGAUAACGAGCAGCUAAUUGUAAAUUCUAACUUAACUCUUCAUCUCCUUUGUAAAAAGGAAACAAAAUGGAGACGCGUAAAUUCUAACUUAACUCAAAUAAAAUGAGGGCACGAAAGCAAACAAAUGGCAUGCACAAACAAACCAAGCAUCAAUCAAAAACUAAUUAACCAUUAAAAAAAAUAAAAAUUGGUCAGAGAAUGAACUCCAAAUUCGGGAGUGAAGCAAGAAGCUUUCACUAUUUCAGAAGCUCCUGUACAAAUUAAUAAGUUAUGCUCUUUGGAGACAAUCCUAAAUUCCAAGAGAAACAGAGCUCAAAAAAAUUUUGCAAUUAUGCGCAAAGGAAGUGAAGCACAGCAUUCUACCACACACAGGAAUUGUAUAACAUGAGAUCGAUAUAUCGAAUUGGAAGAACUCAAUUCUAAUUUGUGUCAAAAAUCAAAAUUAGAAGAUUGCAUAUUUCGAGAGGAACAAGCAACAGGUGAGGUUCAAAAUUUCAGCCAUAACAUGCUAAAAUUGCUACAUUUAACGGUUUAUUUUCAUGGAUUUUCUCGGGAAACAAACAGAAAAUUACGGUUUAGAGAGUUGACUGACCUUUUGGCUUUUAGAAUUGAGAAGAUCGCGCACUGCAUUAGUCCAUAGUAUAAUUAUAGACAGUUUUGAGUCAAAGUGUAGUUUCAGUGAACAGUAUUACUGUAGCAAAAUUCAAAAAUAACGGUAAUAUUACUGUUCCUGAGCGGCUAGCCGGAUAAUCAAGCGGCUAACCGCUUGAGCACGGGAUUUUGCCUAUAACGACUAGUUUUUGGGCUUCCACUAUAAAAACUCAACUCAAACUUCUUUCUAAGGACUAAUGCACGCAAAUAUAAGAUCAUACAACAUAUAUUGAGCUUCCAAAACGUAAAUCAUAAUUGAUUGAAUCAUUGUUGAGCUAUUAGUUGCAUAUCCACUCUUAAAGAGAGUUUUUGUUGUAAUUUUCAUUUCUUAUCAAAUUGUGAGUGUGUAAGUGUGGGAAACACUUGGGGUAAAGAGAUUAGGGAGAUAAUCUCUUGGUUGUAAAGGUUCAUUGACACCUUGGAAGGCAAUUGUAAAAACUUGAAGCCUUGGGAGGCUUGGAUAGUGAAAUCCUCGAGCUCGGUUGGCUUGGAGGCGUGGACGUAGGCGGGGAUUGCCGAACCAGAUAAAUAUCCGCGUGUUUGCUUUUCUCUUCCGUAACUCUUUUAUUUUUAUGCUUGCUUGAAUUUAUUGUUCUCCAUUUCAUUAAGGCGUUAGAUUGAUUUUAUUGUGCGAAUUGUAUUGCAUUAAUUUUAAAAAUCCAAUUCACCCCCCUCUUGGGUUGCGUUACUUAUAUUUCAUUUGGUAUCAGAGAUUGGUUCUCUUGUUAGGACUUAACCGUCUAGAGUAAAAGAUCUAUGGCAAUCCAAAUUGAUUCAACCUUUAGGGAAGGACAAUCCACAACUAGGCCACCGUUCUUUGACGGAAAUGACUACCCAUAUUGGAAAACUAGGAUGAGAAUUUAUUUACAAGCAUUAGAUUAUGAAAUUUGGGAAGUUGUAUGUGAUGGUCCUUUUAUGCCUUUGACUAAAAACGAAAUUGGGGAAGACAUUCCAAAACCUUCACGGGAAUGGAAUGAAUUGGAAAAGAGAAAAGCUUCUCUAAAUUCCAAAGCCAUAAAUGCCUUGUUUUGUGCACUCGAUAAGAAAGAGUUUCAUAGAGUGUCUAGUUGUGAAAGUGCUAAUGAAAUUUGGCACAACUUGAAGUUGUUUAUGAAGGCACGAAUCAAGUGAAAGAGUCUAAAAUUAGUAGGUACACUCGGCAAUAUGAAUUGUUCCAAAUGGAACAAAAUAAGAGUGUGUAUUCUAUGUAUACUAGAUUUACGGACAUAGUAAACACUCUAGGAGCCCUAGGAAAGACGUUUUCAAAUAGCGAGAAAGUUGAGAAAAUCAUUAGGUCAUUACCUAAGGAAUGGAGACCAAAAAGGACUGCCAUUGAGGAAGCUAAAGAUUUGAAUAUCUUACCUACUGAUGAUUUAAUUGGUUCUCUUAUUUCUUAUGAGAGAGAUUUGGCAGCUGAAUGAGGAAAUGAGGAAAGAAAGAAAAACAUUGCUCUCAAGGUCACCAAACAUGAGAGUGAUGAGGAAAGUGAGCCGGAUGAUGAGGAGUUGGCUAUGCUAGCAAGGAGGUUCAGAAAAUUUUUCAAGAAAACUGGUGACCAAAGAAAAUUCAGAAAUUUCAAAAACCAAAAGGAGAAGAAAGAGGUAAUCAUAUGCUAUGAAUGCAAGAAGCCUGGCCAUAUAAGAUCGGAAUGCCCACUUAUCAACAAACUCAAGAAGAAAGCUAUGGUUGCUACUUGGGAUGAUAGCGAUGAAGAUUCAAGUGAUGAAGAUGAGUCACAAGAAGUAUCAAACCUAGCAUUUAUGGCACUAGGAGAUGAUGAUGAUCUCAAUGAGGUAAGUGAUCCAACCUAUGAUGAAUUGUAUGAUGCUUUUAAAGAAAUGCAUGAUGAGUUGAUGAAAAUUGGUAAAAAGAAUGCAUGCCUUAAAAAGAAAUUGCUAGAAUCUACAAAUGAAAAGGAUACCAUGCAAAAAUGCAAUGAGCCAUUGAAUGAGAAGACUAAAGGAUUAGAAUUAGAGAAUAAAACCUUGCAUAAUAGAGUUGCAUUAUUAAAUGAAAAAUCUAGCACUUCACAUGAGCAUUUAGAGUCACAUGUACAUGAUUUGAAAAAGGAAAAUGAAAUGCUCAAGAAAAAGAAUAUUGAACUUAGUAAUGUUGUUCUAAAAUUUACAAAUGGACAAAAGAUGUUGGAUAACAUGCUUAACUCCCAAAAAUGUGUUUUUGAUAAAAGAGGACUUGGGUAUAAGCCUAACUUGAAGUAAAAGUAUUAUAAGAAUUAUUUUGUUAAAGCUACCUCCACAAAUGAUCAUAAGAUUGUUUGCGAUUAUUGCAAUCAAAAUGGUCACAUGAAAUAUAGAUGUCUUGUAAAAAGGAAUGCAUAUAAUGGUGUCAAAUGUGUGUGGGUUCCAAAAGGAACCGUUGCUAACGAUCAAGGGCCUAAAAAGGUUUGGGUACCUAAAACAUAAGAUUUUCUUUGAAGGGCUUGAAGAAAAAGAAAAAUAAAUGGUACUUGGAUAGCGGAUGUUCUAGGCAUAUGACCGGAAACUAUGCAUGGUUCUCAAGUUUUACCAAAAUCGAAAAUGGUGGAGAUGUAUCUUUUGGAGAUAACUCAAAAGGAAAAAUUCUCGGAAUUGGAAAUGUUGGUAAAAUUUCUUCAACUCUAAUUGAAAAUGUAUGUUUGGUUGAAAAUUUGAAACACAAUCUGAUUAACAUUAGUCAACUAUGUGACAAAGGCUAUAAAGUUAUUUUUGAUAAAUCAAGAUAUGUUAUUGAGAAUGCAUGUGAUGGGAAAAUUUUGUUUAUGGGAAAUAGAUGUGGCAAUGUUUACACGAUUGAUAUAGAGUGUGCAUCUACUCAUGAUAAAUGUUUUUCGGCAUUGCAUGAUGAUUGAUGGGUGUCGAAGCCAACAAAAAUAAAUUCCUACUCUAAAUAAAUUGUGUAUAGUGAUUGAGCAGGGUCGUGUCCACAGAGAUCGGUAAUUAAUUAAAUCCUUUUGAAACGUAAAACGUAAAAUGGGGGAAUUGUUGACAAUAAUAAAAAUCAAAUUAAAAUAACAAGAAUACAAAUUAAAGUUGUAAUUCAAAUUAGAGAAAGCUCUGGUUGAAGGAAUUAACUCAGCUUGAUUCGACUACUGAUCAUUGAUUCAAAUAUAGAUUAUUAUUACUCAUGAAUAGACCGGUUAUAGCUACUGAGACCCUCUAAUAGCCAAUCUCUCCUUAACUAGUCGAUAACCAAGGUACGACCGUUGGUUAUUUCCCUAAUCAAUAGACAACCCUAGAUACGAUCAUAGAAUUUAAUCAAUUGACAGCCUGAAAAACCAGAGAGACCCAAAUCCUAAUCAACACAUAUGAUGAUUCAUUUAAAUUAGAUUGUUUAUUCUCACAACACAACUCUCUGCUAUGUUAUUUGUCACAAGCAUUAAAUUCUUUAUACGAUGAAUCCUUUAAUUGACAAUAGAUUAAGUUGAUAAUUAAAUAGUGGCCAAUUACCUAAUUAACAAACAUAAUCAUGAAAAUAAUUCAGAGAAUAAACAAAUACCCAAAAAGUAAUAAAACAAUUAAAGUAUAAGAAAGAUCUCACAGUAGUGAUGAAUCAAAGCUUCAUUAUCCUUCAACCAGAAAAAUAGGUUUAGUUCUUCAUAAAGAGAAGAGAAAAAUUAAGUCUAGGGUUUCUUUCUUUCUCCAAUCCCCCAAAAAAUCCCCAUUUUCCACAAUAGAUUCCUCCCUUAAAUACUCUCUCUCUCUUCUCUUUUAGAAUUCUAUUUAAAAUAAAAUCCUAAUAUCUGAAAUAUUAAAUUCGUAAUUACAAAUAUAGCCAAAAAUAUAAAACACGUUAAACUAAAAACUGCAGGUCCGCAGUUGACAGCACGCGCCCACGCCUUAUCAACAAAGUUCUUCUGCCGCUCAUAAUUUCUCCAAGGGAACAAUCAUCCCUAAACAUCAUCUUGUAGCUCAAUUUUAUCACCAAUCAAUAGAAUUGCACCUACAAAAGUAAAUCACAAGUAAAUCACUAUUAUUAAGUGCAAAACAUCGAUAUUAAGAGAAGUAAACAAUGCAAAACUAGUGCAUAAAUUGCACUCUAACAAUGAUGGUUGGUUAUGGCAUAGAAGACUAGGACAUGCUAGCAUGGAUUUAAUUUCAAAAAUUUCGAAAAAUUAUUUAGUUAAAGGUCUUCCAAAAAUUGGUUUUCAAAAGGAUAGAAUUUGUGAAGCAUGUCAAUUUGGAAAACAAAUCAAAACCUCUUUCAAAAACAAGAAUCAUAUCUCUACUUUAAAACCUCUUCAAUUACUUCACAUAGAUUUGUUUGGACCCUCUAGAUAUGCUAGUUUAAGUGGCAAAUUUUAUGCAUUUGUAAUUGUAGAUGAUUAUUCUAGAUACACAUGGGUAUUAUUCUUAGUUAAUAAGGAUGAUGACAUUGAUGCAUUUAAAAUUUUCUGUAAAAAGGUUCAAAAUGAAAAGGGUUAUUAUAUUACUUGUAUUAGAAGUGAUCAUGGUGGAGAGUUUGAAAAUCAUGCAUUUGAAAAUUUUUGUAAUGAUUUUGGCAUUGAGCAUCAAUUUUCAUCACCUAGGACUCCACAACAAAAUGGAGUUGUUGAGAGAAAGGAUAUGUCUAUUCAAGAAAUGGCUAGGACCAUGUUAAAUAAAAAUGCAUUACCGAAAUAUUUUUGGGCCGAAGCCGUCAACACCGCUUGUUAUGUUUUAAAUCGGGUGUUGAUUAGACCUUAUCUCAAUAAAACUCUCUAUGAGCUUUGGAAAGAUAGAAAAUCCAACAUUGGUUAUUUCAAAGUUUUUGGAUGCAAAUGUUUUGUUUUAAACACAAAAAAUAAUCUUGGUAAAUUUGAUCCAAAAUCUGAUGUUGGCAUCUUUCUCGGGUAUUCAAACUCAAGCAAAGCUUAUAGAGUUUAUAAUAAAAGAACUUUAGUUGUGGAAGAAUCCAUGCAUAUUACGUUUGAUGAAUCUAACCCCUCCUCUGCUGAGAAAGGAGUUGUUAAUGAUGAUACAAAUGGAGAGUUACAAGAAGAAUCAUCAAAAGAGAAUCAAGAGAAUGCACCAUAAGAAAAUCAAGAGGAUAGACAAGAAGAACAAACAAAUAUGGAGCUGGAGCAACAGGAAGGUAGUUCUCAAACACUCCCCAAGGAGUGGAGGUAUGUUUCCUCUCAUUCUAAGGAUUUAAUUGUAGGUGAUCCUUUAAAAGGUAUCACAACUAGAUCGUCACUUAGAAACACAUGUGAGCAUGCUGCAUUUAUUUCUCAAAUUGAACCAAAAUCUUUUGCGGAUGCGGAAAAUGAUAAGUUUUGGAUUAUGGUAAUGCAAGAAGAGUUAAAUCAAUUUGAGAGAAAUAAAGUAUAGGAAUUGGUUCCUAAACUGGAACAUCAAUCCAUUAUAGGCACUAAAUGGGUAUUUAGAAAUAAAAUGGAUGAAUUCGGUAUGGUUGUAAGAAAUAAAGCUAGAUUAGUGGCUCAAGGAUACAACCAAGAAGAAGGAAUUGAUUUCGAUGAAACAUUUGCACCUGUAGCUAGAUUAGAAUCCAUUAGGAUGUUGUUAGCAUUUGCAUGUCAUAAAGAUUUUAUUUUGUUUCAAAUGGAUAUCAAGAGUGCUUUCCUAAAUAGUUAUAUUAUGGAGGAAGUUUAUGUGAAACAACCUCCUGGUUUCGAAAAUGAGAAAUUUUCAAAUCAUGUGUAUAAGUUAUCAAAAGCAUUGUAUGGAUUAAAACAAGCACCUAGAGCAUGGUAUGAUAGACUUAAAAAUUUCUUGUUGGAUAACGAUUUUUUGAUGGGAAGAGCGGAUACUACCCUCUUUAUUAAAAAUAAAAAUCAAAAUAUAUUUGUUGUUCAAAUUUAUGUUGAUGAUAUUAUUUUUGUUCUACUAAUGAAUCUUUGUGCAAAGAAUUUUCCUCUUGUAUGAGUAAGGAAUUUGAGAUGAGCAUGAUGGGAGAAUUGAAGUAUUUUCUUGGACUUCAAAUCAAACAAAACAAUGAGGGGAUUUUCAUCAACCAAGCUAAGUACGUCAAAGACUUGCUCAAGAGAUUUGGUAUUGAUGAAUCAAAUACCAAGAAUACUCCAAUGAGUACAACAAUCAAGCUUGAUAAAGAUGAGAGAGGUAAAGAGGUUGAUAUUAAAAAGUAUCGAGGUAUGAUCGGAUCCUUACUUUACUUAACUGCAAGUAGACCCGAUAUCAUGUUUAGUGUAUGUUUGUGUGCAAGAUUUCAAUCAUGUCCCAAGGAAUCUCAUUUGCUUGUUGUUAAAAGAAUUUUUCGUUAUUUAAGUGGAACCAUAGAUAUUGGCCUUUGGUAUCCUAGAGGAACUCAUAUAGAUUUAACUUGUUAUUUAGAUGCCGAUUUUAAUGGUCACAAGGUCGAUAGAAAGAGUACUAGUGAAACUUGCCAUUUUCUUGGUCAUUCACUUGUUUCAUGGUUUAGUAAGAAACAAAAUUUUGUGGCACUCUCAACUACUGAGGCGGAAUAUAUUGCCGCAGGAAGUUGUUGUGCACAAGCACUUUGGAUGAAACAAACACUUAGAGACUAUGGUAUUGUUCUUGAAAAAAUUCCUAUCAAGUGUGAUAAUACUAGCACCAUAAAUCUUUCAAAGAAUCCCAUUCAGCAUUCUAGGACCAAGCAUAUAGAGAUUAGGCAUCAUUUCUUGAGAGAUCAUGUUCAAAAAGAUGAUAUUGCAUUAUAAUUUAUCUCUACGGAAAAACAACUUGCCGAUAUUUUUACAAAACCCCUUUGCGAAGAACAAUUUUCAAAAAUUCAGCAUGAACUUGAGAUGAUGAAAUUUUCGCAUUAACAUCUCUAGUUAUGUUAUUUAAUCUAUUAAAAUUGUUUGGAAAACAAAGGAUUCGUUGAAAAUCCCAAGUCUGCACAAGCUGUAAUGAAUUGGUCAUAACUCCUUCUAGAGAACUCCAAAUCCAGCUCUAUAAAAUUUAUUGGAAAGCUAACUUAAUUAUCUUUCCAACGGUAUAUAGUUUGCACAUUACUUCUGGCUCAAUCAAUACAGUUUUUAUUCCGAAUUUGACAUUUCUGCAUUUUAUUAAGUUUUGAAUGCUUAUAUGCUUCAUGAUUGUAUGCUUGUUGGAUGGAUUAUUUGUUUGAAUUAACUAUCUUUUGGAUGUUUAAAAUCAUGAAUCAUGCAUUAAAUUGGCUCUUGAGAUGUUUCGGGAUCACAAACUGGUCACGAAAUUAAUUAAAAUUGGCCGAAAAUUAACUAAGGUACAGCUGGACAACAACCAGGAGGCUAGCCGCUUGGAAAUGUCCCCCCAACCCGAGAGCAAGCGGCUAGCCGCUUGGUCACGGGUGUGGCAAUUGUUUUUUGCUUCUUCUUCUUCCUUUGUUAAUUUUCUGCACAUGCUUUCUCUCUCACUCAAAACCGUGAGCAACCCAUCCAUUUUCACCUCCAUUUUCUUCCUUUUUCAUCUAUUUUCAUGCCCAAAUCAACCAUUCAAACUAAUACCCAUGCAUUUCAUCUUCAUUAAACACUUCUCCAUCAUGAUUUCUUCAUUUGUUUUUCAUCAUUUCAUCAUCAUCUCUCACGCGUGAACAGUACCUCUCCAUUUCUCUCUCAAAAUUCUUCAUUUUUCACUCACUUUCUUGUUAAAAUCAAUCAUCCAAAUCAUUAUUCAUCCAUUACUCCUUCAAUUUUCGUUCUCAAAACUUCAUUUCAUCAACUCUCCACAUAAAACCCAAAAUCAAAAAACCUAACUCUACCCUUUCUCUCUCUACAUUUUCAAGCUUCCUUUAGCCCAUUUUUGAUCCAAUCUACAUCAUAUAUUAGCUUCAUUCAUCUCUAGGAUCAAUUUUCUUGGCUCAAACAAAUCCAUUUCACUCAAUUUUUGUAAACCCGAAAUUGCAUAUUUAAGCUCUUUUUAGUCCACUUUUGAUCCAAUCAACACCAUCCAUUAUCUUAAAUCAUCUCUUGGAUCAAUAUAAUUGGUUUAAAAUCAUCUAUUUCACUCAUUAUUUUACAAAAUUAAAUUUGUGCAUUUUGGGUAUAUGCACCUACAUUUUCAUAUGCAUAAUUGUUUUAAUUGUGGAUUACGGAUGAUGGUUGUUUAAUAUUAAGAUAAUUUAUAUUUGGAUGAUAUUUUCUGAAUUCUUAGAAUGAAUAUGACUCUUUAGUUAAUUGCACGCUUAAUUUUUAUAUGCUUCUUGAUUAAUCAUUGAGAUAUUCUUUUUGGUAUAAACAUGGAUUUAUAGUACUUUUGAUGAUUGAUGAUUAUAUGUGUGUUGCUUGAUGAAUUAAUGGAGUUGUUGGUUUGUGUUACUUGUUUAAGUUCAUAUGGAAGUGUUUUUAAUCACAUUGUGUAUUUGAGGAUUUGUUCAUUUUUAAGGGGAGACUCUGCCGAAAUUUUUACUCGCACACAAUUGGUAAUAUCUUCCUUGAAUCAUUUUUUAUGAUCUUGCUUCAAAUUGCAUUUUUCUAUUUUUUAUGAAAUGGGAGAUAAAUAUGAUAUGUUUUUGGAUAAUAUUAUUUUGGUUAAAUUUUUUAAUUGGCCAUAUAUUUAGGGGGAGCAUACAAUAUGAUUUUGGAUAAUACGCAUUUUGAGCAUUCUUUUGAUGGCAUAAUGGUUCAUGAUCAUUUAAUGGUUAAUUGGAUGUUUGGUUAUUAUAUGUUUCUUGAUUAACCAUUGACAUAUUAUCGAUCUUCGGAUGAAUUUCUAGUAAUUUUGAUGAUGAAGGGGGAGAAGUCAUGUAUUUUGAAUAUGAAGACAUGUAAUACAUAUUUUUGUAUUUCAAGUAUUUAUGCAUGUUUUUGAAAUAUUAAGGGGGAGCUUUCAAAUUAUCAUAAAUCAAAUAUUCAGGGGAAGUUUUUGAUUUAUAUAUGCCAUGUAUUAAGGGGGAGUUUAAUGUCAAAAUAAAUGAGAUGUUUGUCAUCAUCAAAAAGGGGGAGAUUGUUAGCCUAAAGGGCUAUACAUAAUGUAAUUUUGAUGAUAACAAAUAUAUGUAUUAAGUGAUUUAAUAAAUAUUGUAUUUCACAUUUUCACUAGUUUUUUAAGGAUAAUAUUUAUGCAAGUGAAUCAAAUGAAAUCAAGAUUGAAGACACUCAACGGACAACGGCGACAUCAAGAAUAGUCUAGAGCUCAACGAACAAAUUAGUGCGAUAAAUUCUUAUAAAGCCGGUAUGAUUUAAUUGAUGCAUGAUUUAGCAUUUGAGAAGCUCAAGAGAUUAAUUAAUUAAAUAUUUUUCAUAAACUAAAAUGUUUUAUUUUUAAAAAGUAAAGUAUUUUGUGGAUUUGAGUAAAUUGGACUUAAAUGUUAAGAUUUAUAAUCUUUGAGUUUAAUAAAUAUUAUUUUGAAAUUCAAAUUUGGACUUAUUUGCAAAGGUUUGAAACGUUUUGAGGCAUAUUAUAAUUUAUGAAAGUUUGAGGACCCGAAUGUAAUCUAGACACUUGAAAUCCAAAGUUGGACAGAGAGGAAGCGGCUAACCCCCUGAGCGCUAGCGGCUAGCCGCCUGAGGGAAAUCUCAUAUUUUCAAUUUUUGGACUAAAGUGAAAGAUUUUGAUAACUUUAAAAAAUAUGGGUAUUAUGCUAAAUUUAAAAAGGACCUCUUUGAAAAAUAAUAAUAUCUUUGGGGCUAUAUCAUAAUUUUAGAAAGUUUUGGAAAGAUAACUAAUCUUAAGUAAUUCUAAAAUUAGAUCUAUUUGCAAACUUUUCUGACGUUUUGGGUCAUAAUAUAAUUAUAGAAAGUUUUAGGUCAAAGUGUAGUUUCAGUGAACAGUAUUACUGUAGCAAAAUUCAAAAAUAACGGUGAUAUUACUGUUCCUGAGCGGCUAGCCGGAUAAUCAAGCGGCUAACCGCUUGAGCACGGGAUUUUGCCUAUAACGACUAGUUUUUGGGCUUUCACUAUAAAAACUCAACUCAAACUUCUUUCUAAGGACUAAUGCACGCAAAUAUAAGAUUAUACAACAUAUAUUGAGCUUCCAAAACGCAAAUCAUAAUUGAUUGAAUCAUUGUUGAGAUAUUAGUUGCAUAUCCACUCUUAAAGAGAGUUUUUGUUGUAAUUUUCAUUUCUUAUCAAAUUGUGACUGUGUAAGUGUGGAAAACACUUAGGGUGAAGAGAUUAUGGAGAUAAUGUCUUGGUUGUAAAGGUUCAUUGACACCUUGAAAGUCAAUUGUAAAAACUUGAAGCCUUGGGAGGCUUGGAUAGUGAAAUUCUCGAGCUCGAUUGGCUUGGAGGCGUGGACGUAGGCAGGGAUUGUCGAACCACGUAAAAAUCCGCGUGUUUGUUUUUCUGGUCCCUAACUCUUUUAUUUUUACGCUUGCUUGAAUUUAUUGUUCUCCAUUUCAUUAAGGCGUUAGAUUGAUUUUAUUGUGCGAAUUGUAUUGCAUUAAUUUUAAAAACCCAAUUCAUCCCCCUCUUGGGUUGCGUUACUUGUAUUUCAAAAAGUGCGUGUGAAGUGUAAAAUUAGGGUUGGUCUUUUGGCUUUAUGUGUUAUGCUUAAAAUUACAAUAUUAGUUUUCAUAUUUUAAAAAGUUUCCAAAUUAAUUUAAGGAUAAAAAAGUAAUUUAAUUAAACAAAUUUUAAAUGAAUCGACCUAUAUUUGAUUCGUUUAUAACUCGUUUAUUAAAUGAAUUUUAAACAAAUAAAUGAAUCAAAAUCUUCUAACCUGCAAUUUGUUUAAUUAGCGAAUCGAAUCGAAUCGAAUUCAUCCAUUUAUUAAAUUAAUUAAUUUUUUCAAACUUAAAUUUAUUUAAUUCACAUCUAAUCGAAUUAAAUAAAUAAAUCCUUACCCAUAUUAGUACCCGUAAACGGAUCAUUAAUGUUACCGGUCUUUCCUAUAUUUUAUUGCAAAUUGAUGCUAACAAGAAAAAGCUAGAUCAUAUUCCACAAAAGCAAAAGUGAUAAAACAACCAGCUGGAUUCUUUUAUUAAACUACAAAUUAAAAUGGACUUUUUUUUAAUAAACUAUAUAUGAAACUGGAAUCUUUUGAAUAUACGUGGGGUAGGUUCCCUUUCAAAAAAAAAAGCGGGGUAGGCUCUUUUAUUAAAGACAAGUCACAAGACGAUUAGGGUCUUUUAUUAAACUACAAAUUGUAUAAUAUUUUUCAAAUUGUACAGACAUUUAUAAAUUGGUGGUCCCUUGGAAAUUUAAUGCCAAUCAGAGAAAAGUCAUCAUGCACAAUCUUCAAUAAUUGUUUCGAUAUUUAUAAAUUGGUAGCCCUGCGUCUUUAAUAAAUGAAAUCAUGUUACGAUUGCAUAUAGUCGUUAGAUGCACUUAAAUUAGUGAGAUUUAUUAAUAUCUAAUAAUUAGAUAUAAUUAUAACCCAAUACAAUAGUUACACCAAAGUUUCCCCCAAUAAUUAUUCGGAUACUUAUAAAUUGGUGACCCCUUAGUAAUUUUACAGCAGCUUGCAAGUGCCAACUAGUGAAAAGUCAUCAUUCACAAUCUUCCAAGUGAAACAGGGGAUAUACAAAGAUUAAGACAUGUCAUUUUUUUUUUCAUUCCGUUUCAUGUAACUUACACCCAAAUAUAUAAAUAAUAUAAAAUGAAUGGAGAGAUGCCGGAGCAGAUCGGCAGGGUUUGAAUAUGACCUUUGGCGCUUGCUUUUUUUUGUGAUUUUUUUUUUCAUUUUUUCCUUCCUGUCAUUUUAUCAUUUCUUUGGCUUUGUCUCUGUUGCGGGUGUUACUGCAUGCUAACUGUUGCUUGACAAAGUUUGCUAGCUUUUCCUUUUGUUUAUUAAUUUUUUUAUGGUCACAAAGUAUUACUCGUUCUAUUUGACAGUGAUGUGAAUCAAUUUUUCAAUUUUAUAUUUUGUGGUCAAUGUGAAUUCAAUUUCAGUUGUCUCCUGCAAUUAUGAAAAAAUUGCAGUCAUAAUAUGGAAAAGUACGCGGGCAAAAAUUUUGUAAAAGCUUCGGAGUGAUACGGGGAAUUCACUUACUACUAAGGACAAUUGGUGGCAAGCUAUUCCAUUCAUUUUAUGUCCAUCCAUCUAUUUAGUUAUUGAAGACUAGUGGUCUAUUUAUAAAUUUCAGAUUGUUUCUCUCUCUCUCUCGAAAUAACAAUAUUUAAAAUAGAGUAAUGAUACAGCUACAAACUCUUGUACAAACUUAUUUUGUACAAACUGACGUGACAUUAAUUCAUUGGUUGAAUGAAAAUAUAAAUUAAUAAAAACAAAUCAUGUGGGACAAGUGAUAUUUAAUUCAACCAAUCUUAUCAUGUCAUAUCAGUUUGUACAAAAUAAGUUUGUAUAAGAGUUUGUGGCAGUAUCAUUACUCUUUAAAAUAUCUCUUAAAUUAUUAUAAAUUUUAAUUUACUCUCGAUUUAAAAUGGAGCAUGUCAAUAAAUUUUUUUUCUUCUUAAUAAAAUUGACGUAAGUUGUGUUUACAGUAGUUUGAAGUUUGAAAUAUUUUAAAGAUUAUUAUUCUAUAAGGGAGUAAUAUGAAAUGAAAUUUACUUUUCAUGUGUGAAAUGAAAAAGGACGAAGCAAGUGUCCCUGCUUUUAUUUUAUUUCAAGGAGGAGUCAUCUCACAGACUUUAGCUCUUAACAUUACAUUUUUUCUGGUUACAUUUUUAUUUUUUAUUUAUUUUUACACAUGCGUGUGGGUUGCUUUUCUGUAAGCUCCUUAAUAUAUAUUUAAGACAAAUUAUGGAAGAGAUGGGAUUAUAUCAAGAUGAUCAAACCAUGUAAAAAAAGAAAAAAGAAAAAAAAUUAAGAAGUAAGACACUGAAAAUGGAGAAGAGAUGGAAUCAAAAGAUAUUCCAAAACAAAGCAAUCUGUCCCCUUUCCAGGGCAGACUUAUCAGGUUUAAAAAAGUACAUGCUUUGGAUUGGUAGUUGCAAUCAAUUGAAAAUAAAUAGGAUCCAAUGAAAUUUAAAUUUCGGAGAAAUAAAAUAAUCAUGCAGAUUUUUAAGAUUUUAAUAAGAGAUACUAAUAUCUUAUUUUGAUUAAUAAUAUUCUUUCACUGUGUUAACUCAAAAAAAUAUAUUUUAAAGUUUUACAGUAAAUAAAAAUAUAAUAUUAAAAUAAAUGUGACAAAUAUAUAUAUAUAUAUAUAUAUAUAUAUAUAUAUAUUAAAUAAUUUCAAUAAAAAAACAUUUUAAUGUUUUACAAUCUACUACACAUAUUUUAUUAAGUUAAUAUAAUUUUUCAAAUAAAUAGGGACAUAAUAUUAAAAUAAAUUUAUAAAAAUUUAAAUUAUUUUGAAUUUAAAAUAAUUUUAAUAUUAUUAAUAUUUUAUAUAUGUUUUAUUAAUUAUAAGAAUUAUUUAACCCAAAGUUUUUUUAUAAAUAUUUUCAGUGGAUAUAAAUAUAUUAUUUAUACUUUGAUUAUUUAACCAUUAUUAGUCUACAAUUAUUUAUAAUUAUAUUUUCAUUUAUUAGAAUACAGUUAAAGUCAAAUCUUUUGCACUUUUACCUAGCUAGAAUUAUUGCACACAGAGAAAUAAACAUAUAUUCUUUAUAACUUUAGAAAUCGGUUUUUUUUAUAGCUGGGAACAGAGAUGAUGAUUAUUAUAAGGAUGGAGAAAAGGAUAAAAAAUAUCAAUGAUUAACAAAGUCUCUGUGCAAAUUGAUUUUAGCAGUAAAAUAGUGAGCUGAAUGAUGUACGCGAUUAGUGGUAAUAGAAAUCUUCUCAUAAAUCUCCUUUUUGAGUUAUAGUUAUUUUAUUUCCGAAAUAUCCUUUUUCUUCUUUAAUACACUUCUAAUUUUUCAUUUAAUUUUUUUAUUGUUAAACUCAAAAUAUUAUUGUGAUAUUUUUCGUGUCUUUUGCAAUCUUAUUAUUACUCUACACACGAAUUAAAAAAAUUUUUUAGGUGAUGAACUUUUGAAUGUUAAUCUUGGCUUAAAUUUCACAUAUUUUACAUUAUAAUAUAAAAUUAAUUACAAAAAUAUUUAAUCAAUAAAAAUUAUAAAAAAUAAAUUAUUUUAAAUUUAUACAAUUUAUUUUAAUUAGAUAAGCAGUAACAACUACAAAAAGGAUUUGGUUAUGAAAUUUGUUGCAGCUUAAUAUUCCACAAAAGCAAAUCGUAAUAUUCCACAAAGGAGUACGAUCCACAAAAGCAAACAACCAGCUGGAUUUUUUUAUUAAGCUACAAAUUAAAGUGGAAUCGUUUAUUAAACAACAAAUUAAAGUUUGAAUAUUUAAGUAGUAGUGCGUUAGAUGNNNNNNNNNNNNNNNNNNNNNNNNNNNNNNNNNNNNNNNNNNNNNNNNNNNNNNNNNNNNNNNNNNNNNNNNNNNNNNNNNNNNNNNNNNNNNNNNNNNNCUUGUAGCUAAUUUGUCAAUAAUAUUAAACUACAAGUGCUGACAACAAGUGCGAUGCUCUUUUUCUAAAGAGAAUUAAAGUUGGUCCCGAAUAGGACGUGCCUAAAUCUGUUUAAAUUUUUUCCAGUAAAACUAACAGAGGUCAUUACUAGAAUUAUUUAUAUUGUUUUAUAUUUAUUAACAAAUUUUAAAGUCAAUCUUUUUAAUUAUUAUUCAAAAGAUAUUAUAAUUAAAAAAUAGUGUCUACUAUUAAAAAUUUAGAAAUUUACAUUACCGUUCUCUUAAAUCUCUAAAUAUUUAAGAUGUAAUUGUUAUUUUCCUUUUAUAUAUAUUAGGAAAUAGAACCGCGCUUCGCGCGGUUUGAGAAAAAAAAAUUAGUAUUAUUAUUUUUUCUCACUUUGCAUUUGAUGAAAUUGAUAAAAAAUUAUGAAUUAUUUUUUUUAAGAUGAGACAGCCUCAUAAAACUAAUGUCAUUUAUGAAAUAAUUAUUUUUUUUGUUAACUUUUAAAAUAUAUAUUAAUAUGUAUAGUGUAAGUGUACAUACCUUAUACCUUUUGUAGUUGUUGAUAAGUUCCAAGUUAUACUCAACUUGCUAAUCUGUUAGAACUUUUAUAUAUCUUUUUUUUUCUAACUAGUUCCAACGAUCUCAAUAUCACCCACACUACAUAAACUUCUGACAACGUCUGUAAUAUUAUGAAAAAAUAAUAUAAAUAUGUUAAAACAUAAGGAUCAAUAAUUUCUAAUAUACACUUAAAGAUUAACGAACAUUAAUAAUUUAAAAAUAAUAUCUGAGAGGAUUGUAUUAUCAUUCACACGUAUAUCAAUCAAAUUCAGAGAUAUGAAUUGAAAUCUAUUAAUCGAAAUCUUAACAGUUCCUUCUUCUAAACUCUUAAGUGAAGUUAUAAGCAAGAAAAUUAAUUUUAUACUGAUUUGAAAGUAGUCUGUACUCGCCUGUAGUUGAAACAACUUUCAAAUUCUUGACACUAUACAAAGAACCAUCACUCAACAUGUGCCUAAACCUUGUCACUAAAUUUUUCUUAGUUGUUGCAUGCAUUAGAAUGUCCUAUAAAAAAGAAAAACAUGCUACAUUAAGCGUAAAACAAUUGGGAAAAAAAAGAGAAAAUAAGGGGAGAAUGAAUUUUUUAUACAACCUUUUCAUCAAUAAAAAUUAUGUUCACACUAAUCAAUUAUCCAUUCUUUUUAGUAUUAACAGACUCCCACAUCCUAAAAAACAUAAUCCUUAUCAUCUAACUAUCUUUAUCAUUGUUCAACUCAUGAAGAAAAUAGUACUUCAUGAAGCACACAAUACAAAAACUUUAAAAAGUCAAAAAUAAAAUCAUGAGGAUAUUUUUAAAGAGGAUAUUGGUUAAAUAUUUAAAAAAAACUCAAACAUAACAAAUAUUAAAUACUUAAUGUUUAAAGAGUUUUAAGAAGUCAAAAGACACAAAACAAAAUGUUGAAUAAUUAAAUAUGAGAUUAUUGCAUUAAAAUUAUACUCUAAUGCCAUUGGUGAGAGAAGAUGAAGGAACCUUCCUUCAUUUAAUAAUUAGUUUAUGUAUUUUAAGCCACUAAAGUUUAGUUGUUGGCUUAAUAAAAUAAAUGAAUGUUUCAAGACUUAUAAUUAAUUAUUAUUAAUGGUUACAUAUUGUUGAAUUUAAUAGAAAGAUGAAGAGACAUGUAAUCUUUUGCAAUCUAAUAAUUAUUUUCUAUUUUUAAUACUUUGUAAUGUAAUUAUUUUUUAAUUGCAACCAAUUUAUUAAAUAAUAGAGAAUAUAAGAAGAUGAGAAAUGGUGAUGCCACAUCACCUCCUGUAGUCCCAGCUUUAUAUAUAUACUAGGAAAUAGAACCGCGCUUCGCGCGACUUAAAAAAAAUUAAUAUAAUUUUUUUCUUACUUUGCACUUGAUGAAACUGAUAAAAAUUAUGAAUUAAUUUUUUUAAAGAUGACACAACUUUAUAAAACUAAUAUUAUUUAUGAAAGUUCAUUUUUUUGUUAACUUUAAAAAUAUAUAUUAAUGUGUACACAAUAUUUUCAUCAAUAAAAAUUAUGUUCACAAUAAUCAAUUCUCCAUUCUUCUUGAUAUUAACAGACUCCCAUAUCCUAAAAUCUAACCUUUAUCAUCCAAUUAUCUUUAUCAUUGUUCAACCCAAGAAAAUAGUACUCUAUGAAGCACACAAUACUAAAAUUUUAAAAAGUCAAAAAAUAAAAACACAAGAACAUUUCUAAAGAGGAUGUUAGUUAAAUAAUAAAAAAAACUCAAACAUAAUAAAUCUUAAAUACUUAAUGUUUAUAGAGUUUAAAGAAGCCAAAAGACACUAAACAAAAGGUUGCAUAAUUAAAUAUGAGAUUAUGACAUUACAAUUAGGCCCUAAUGACAUUGUUGAGGGAAAAUGAAGGAACUUUCCUUUCUAUAUUAAUUAAUUGAUGUAUUUAAAACACUAAAGUUUAAUUAUUGGCAUAAUAAAAUAAAUGAAUGUUUCAAGACUUAUAAUUAAUUAUUAUUAAUGGUUACAUAUUAUUGAAUUUAAAUAAACAGAGGAAAGGACAUGUAAUCUUUUGUAAUCUAAUAAUUAUUUUUUAUUUUUAAAAUUUUGUAAUGUAAUUAUUUUUUUAAUCUCAACCAAUUUAUUAGAUAAUAGAGAAUACAAGAAGAUGAAAAAUAGUAAUGUCACAUCACCUCUUCUAGUUAAUUAAUUGAUGCAUUUAAGCUACUAAAGUUUAGUUGUUGGCUUAGUAAAAUAAAUGUAUGUUUCAAAACUUAUAAUUAAUUAUCAUUAAUGGUCACAUAUUGUUGAAUUUAAAUAGAAAGAGGAAGAGACAUGUAAUCUUUUGUAAUCUAAUAAUUAUUUUCUAUUUAUUUUUUAUUUUUAAUAUUUUGUAAUGUAAUUAUUUUUUAAUCUCAACCAAUAUAUUAGAUAAUAAAGAAUAUAAAAAUAUGAGAAAUAAUGAUGCCACAAAUCUUAAUUACUUAAUAUUUAUAGAGUUUGAAGAAGGCAAAAGACACUAAACAAAAUGUUGCAUAAUUAAAUAUGAGAUUAUGAUAUUAAAAUUAGGCCCUAAUGGUAUUGUUGAGGGAAGAUGAAGGAACCUUCCUUCCUAUAUUAAUUAAUUGAUUUAUUUAAGCCACUAAAGUUUAAUUGUUGGCAUAAUAAAAUAAAUGAAUGUUUCAAGACUUAUAAUUAACUAUUAUUAAUUGUUACAUAUUAUUGAAUUUAAAUAGAAAGAGGAAGAGAUAUGUAAUCUUUUGUAAUCUAAUAAUUAUUUUUAUUUUUAAAAUUUUGCAAUAUAAUUAUUUUUUUAAUAUCAACCAAUUUAUUAGAUAAUAGAGAAUGCAAGAAGAUGAAAAAUAGUGAUAUCAUAUCAUCUCAUCUAGUCCUAACUUUAUUAUCUAUGUAAGAAAAUAAAAAAAUAGUAAUGGCACAGCACCUCCCCUAGUCUCAUCUUUAUAUAUAUAUAUAUAUAGAUAUAUAAAAACCACGGUGGUGAAACUUUAUUUAAUAUUAUUGAUUUAAAUAACAAUAUCUCAAUUAAAAAUGAACAGAGAAGAAAUUUCGGUGGGUAUAUUAGUCUUUUACAAUUAUCAUGAUUAGCCCUUCCUCUUGUAACGUUGGUCAGAAAAGUUUUCUUUUACUUUUAACGUUAGCGGCCUUCCUUAUAUUUUAUUACAAAUUAAUCCUAACAAGAAAAAGCGAGAUCAUAUUCCACAAAAGCAUAAGUGACAAAACAACCAGUUGGAUUCUUUUAUUAAACUACAAUUUAAAAUGGUUUUAAAGUGGAUUCUUUUGAAUACAGGUGGGGUAGACGAUUAGGCUUUUUCAAAUUCUUGUUUUAUUAUUUUUCAAAAACUAGUUUUUGGUAAUUACAAUCGGGUCAUUAAUCAUUAUUCAGUGUUAGUUUUAUCUUCGGGGGCAGUGGGUAAAAGGCUAAAUGAUAAUUACUACCUGUUUUUCCUUCAAAAGUUAGUGGCUCGUGUUUUGCAAGUGUGAACGUGCGAUGCUCUUUGUCUAAGGGCAAUUACAGUGGGUCCCGAAUCGGACGUGCCUAAAUCUUUUAAAAAAUUUUCCGGUAUAACGGACAUAGGCCAUUACUAAAAUUUCUCUUCCACAGGCAAUUACAGCAGCUCGAGUUUAUCAAACUCAACCAAUUUUCUUUCUUAACAAAAUCCAAAGAUGUGUAGCAUUUUUCAGAUCACAUGCGAUGGUGCUUUUUUCAAUCGUUGCUUGGAUUGCUUUCUUGGAAAAGCAGCGUACAUAAGCAACCUCCAAGAUAAUCUUGUAGCCUUGGAGACUAAAAUGGGAAAUCUGAUCGCAGCAAAGAACGAAGUGAUUAUGAGGGUUGUCGCUACUGAACGGCAACAAUUGAGAAGGCUGGACCGAGUGCAAGUGUGGGUUUCCAGGGUGGAAGCUGUUAAAAUUGAAGCUGAUGAACUUAUCAGAGACGGCUCUCAAGAAAUUGACAAAUUAUGUGUUGGAGGCUACUGUUCUACGAACUGCACGUCAAGCUACAAGUUCGGGAAACAAGUGGCUAAAAAGCUACGAGAUGUGGAGACUUUAAUCGCCGAAGGAGUUUUUGAGGUGGUGGCUGACAGAGCUCCAGAGUCUGUAGCAGAUGAAAGACCUACUGAGCGAACACUAGUAGGCUUGCAAUCACAACUUGAACAAGUCUGGAGAUGUCUUAUAGAAGAAUCAGCGGGAAUCAUUGGCCUAUAUGGUAUGGGCGGUGUUGGUAAAACUACACUAUUGAUCCAUAUCAACAAUAAAUUUCUCGAGAGUCGAACCAACUUUGAUUUUGUGAUUUGGGUAGUAGUUUCAAAAGACCCGCGACUCGAAAAAAUUCAAGAAGAUAUUGGGAAAAGGAUAGGUUUGGUUGAUGAUUCAUGGAAGAGUAAAAGUGUAGAGGAGAAAGCUCUCGACAUCUUCCGGAGUUUAAGAGAGAAGAGAAUUGUAUUGUUGUUAGAUGAUAUAUGGGAGCGGCUUGAUUUAACAAAAGUGGGCGUUCCACUUCCCGGACCAAAAAAUACUACCUCAAAAGUCGUAUUCACAACCCGUUUCUUCGAUGUUUGUGGUAGCAUGGAAGCUCACAGGACGUUCGAAGUGGCAUGCUUAUCAGAAAAGGAUGCUUGGGAACUGUUUCAAGAAAAAGUAGGAGAAGAAACUCUUAAGAGUGAUCAUGAUAUCGCUGAGCUAGCCCAAACCGUGGCCAAGAAGUGUGGUGGUUUGCCGCUCGCACUUGUUACUAUUGGUCGAGCUAUGGCCAGCAAAAAGACAGCCGAGGAGUGGAGACAUGCAAUUGAAGAGUUAGGAAGAUCAGCUUCAGAGUUUCCAGGUUUGGGAAAAGAGGUGUAUCCUGUUUUAAAAUUCAGUUAUGAUAGUUUGCCGAAUGAGACGAUUAGAUCUUGUUUCUUAUAUUGUUGUUUAUAUCCUGAAGAUUAUGGCAUUCUUAAAUGGGACUUGAUUGAUUGUUGGAUUGGUGAGGGAUUCUUAGAGGAAUCUAACAGGUUUGGUGCAGAAAACCGAGGAUACUACAUUGUGGGCACUCUUGUUCAUACGUGUUUACUAGAAGAGAUAGAAGAUGAUAAAGUAAAAAUGCAUGACGUUGUUCGUGAUAUGGCUCUAUGGAUAGCUUGUGAAACUGAGAAGGAGAAGAUAAACUUUUUGGUUUGUGCAGGUGCUGGAUUAAAGGAGGCACCGGAUGUUAAAGGAUGGGAAAAUGUGAGAAGAUUGUCAUUGAUGCAAAACCAAAUUAAAGUUCUGUCAGAGGUUCCUACAUGCCCUCAUCUCCUCACUUUAUUUCUUGACUUUAAUAGAGAGUUAAUGAUGAUCGCGGGUGGCUACUUCCAAUUUAUGCCUUCUCUCAAAGUUUUGAAGAUAUCAAACAUUGGGUAUUUCAACGUUUUGAAAUUACCUUUGGGGAUGUCAAAGUUGGGUUCACUAGAACUUCUCGAUAUUUCACAUAGCAGCAUAGAGGAGUUACCAGAAGAGUUAAAGUUGUUGGUAAAUCUGAAAUGUCUGAAUUUGAGGUGGACAGAUGUGUUAAAUAAAAUUCCACGGCAACUAAUAUCAAAUCUUUCAAGGGUACGUGUGUUGAGAAUGUUCGCUACUGGCUAUGAUCGUUUUCAUGAAGCAUCAGAAGACAGCGUUUUAUUUGGUGGGGGUGAAGUUUUGAUACAGGAAUUGCUCGGUUUGAAAUAUUUAGAGGUAUUGGAGUUGACCUUGGGAAGUUAUCAUGCUCUCCAAAUUCUUUUGAGCUCAAAUAAGUUAAAAAGUUGUAUUCGAUCUCUUCUCCUCUUCGGGUUCAGAGGUACAAAGUAUUUUAUUGAUGCUACGGCUUUCGCAGAUCUAAAGCACCUCAAUGAAUUACAGAUUCAUGAUUGUAGGGGGUUGGAAGAGUUGAAGAUUGAUUACACAGAGAUAGCACAAAAAAGGCGGGAACCUUUUGUUUUCCGCAGCCUUCGUCGUGUUACUAUGGUUUCGUGCCAUAAAUUGAAAGAUUUGACAUUCCUCGUUUUUGCUCCAAACCUCAAGUCUAUUUCGCUAGGCGAUUGCGAUGCUUUGGAAGAAAUAAUCAGCGUUGGAAAAUUUGCUGAGGUUCCUGAGAUGAUGGGACAUCUAAGCCCUUUCGAAAAUCUCCAAAAUCUUGACCUAUCGUAUUUGCUGGCUUUGAAGAGCAUCUACUGGAAGCCAUUGCCUUUCACUUAUCUGAAAGAAAUGGUGGUAAAUGGGUGUGAUCAACUUAAAAAGCUUCCACUCGAUUCCAGCUGUGCAGAAGAGCGUAAAUUUGUUAUUCGCGGAGAAGCACACUGGUGGAACUGCCUUGAAUGGGAGGAUGAAGCCACUCAAAUUGCUUUUCGUUCCUGUUUCCAGCCUUAUUCCUGAGUGGUGGUUGCAAAAUUUGAUUUCUGGUGUGGUCUUUUAUUCUCUGUUUUUAUUUAAGUUUCUUUUCCUUUCCUUUUCCUUUUUUUUUUUAAUUUCUCCUGCAAAUCACAAUUAAACAUUGAAUUAUAUGGAAUUAAUGCUUUAUAAAUUUGCCGGCACUGCCUUUUUUUUUUUUUGUCGGAGUGAUACUCUAGCUUUUGACUUUUGGUUGUCAAAUUCUGCUCUGCCUUUUUAAAUUGAUGCUUUAUUUAUAUUUUCUUAGUGAUUUAGUUUCCUGUCAAAAGACGAACGAGAAGAACAUUUGAAUUAAAUAAAUGCUCGCAAAUUUGCGGUAAAAAGAUGUAAUUAGCCGAGAAAAUAUUAAAUAUAGUAGCCCUCUUUACAGAAAAUCAAGUGGAAGUUAAUUCAGCAAGUUAUAUUCUUGAUUAAUUCCUUUUCUGAAGUUUUUAUUUUCUAUGGUCAAUUAUACCUUCAUACUAAAAAUUGCUGCUAUUGGGUGUUGAGUGUUAUGCUAAAAUUUUGCCCUAUUUUGGGCCAAUAUUUUAGAAGUGAAACAUACUUCAGAGUUGAAGUAAACUUUGAAAAUAGAGAUAAUGAUUAAUUUAGAAGAGAUGCAAGUAAAAGAUAUUCUAAAAAAAAAAAAGCAAUAUGUCCCUUUGGAGGGCAAACUUGUCAGUUUGAAAAAGUUACAUGCUUUGGAUUGAUAGUUGCAGGAUAUUUGUUUUGUCACUGUGUAUUAGGUGCGUUUGGAAUUGAAGUGUUGUAGUUUUUAAGUUAUAAUUGUUGUAAAAAAAAAUUGUAACUAUAAAACAAAAGUUAAUAAUAUAUAAUAAAUUUAAAUUUAAAUAAUAAUUUUAAUAAAAUUAUUAAAGAUAUAAUAGAUUAUUUAUUAUACAAGUGAAAAUUAUAUCAACAUAUCUUUCAAGUUACAAUAGUUAUUGAUUACUAAACACUUUACUGUUGUAACUUUUAAGUUAUAGCUAUUUAACCUCAAUUCCAAACGCAUCGGAGAAGUCACGCCUAGUGAAGAAUGUUAUGAAAGAGCAAAGGAUAUUCCUAAUCGAGCUCUAUUUGAUUAUGUAUCCAGUGAAUGGAUGUGUUGUUGGAAGAUAUUUGAGUGCAUUAGUUCAUUUGUGUCGGUCAAUGUGCUUUUAAUGAUUUUUCCACUUGUUUGUUGUAAAAGAUUAUUGUAAAUUGAAAUGAAUUGGAUGUUGUAAUAUUUUCUCUUUAGUGGAAUUUCACCUUGUAUGUAUUCAGUUGUGUUGUCUAAAAUUUUACAUUCGAAUAAGUUUUCACCUAAAAUAUUAGCAUGAGUUGUGGCCCUUGAAACUUUGGUCAAAAUUAUUGUUAUUAUUUCUUACUAGAUGUAAACUUUUUAUUAAACCUCGUUAACAUAAUUCUUAAUUAAAAGUAUAGGUUAGUGUCGGUGCAGAAUUUGCAACACCAAAUCCUGCCUAGGCAAGUGUCAAAAGUGCAAAAUAAAUGAAGAGAAAGCACGAAUACAUGAUUUAGAUUAGGAUAGAAGGAAACUUAAAUCCUAGAGAAAAGGAUAGCUAUAUCCCAAGAUUUAAAAAAAUAGUCAUGUAGAUUUUUAAGAUUUCAAUAAGCGACUAAGAUUUUCUUUUGACAAAUAAUUUCCUUUAGCUCUAUUAACAAAAAAAAUAAAGACUCAAAUAUUUUAUAAUAAAUAAAAUAUAAUAUUAAAAUAUAUGUGAUAAUAUAGAAAUUUUAAAUAAUUUCAAUCCAAAUAAAUAGUUAUGUUUUACAAGCUAUUAAACAUAUUUUAUUAAAUUAAUAUAAAUGUUUUAUAAAAUAGGAACAUAAUAUUAAAAUAAAUUUACAAAAUUUUUAAGAAUUUUGAAUGUAAAAUAAUUUUAAUAUAUUAAUACGUGAGAUUUUUUUAUUAUUAUAAAAAUUAUUUAACUUUAAGAUUUUUUAAAAUCCUUACAAUAAGUAUAAAUAUAUUAUUUACAUUUAAAAAUAUUUAAAUAUUAUUAACCUACAAUUAUAUUUGCAUUUAUUAGAAAAUUUUAAAGUCAAAUAUUUUGCACUUCUACAUUAUUAGAAUUAUUGAACACAAAGAAAGAAACAUAUAUGCUUUAUAGCUUUAGAAAUUGUUUUCUUUUACAUCUGGAAACAAAGAUGAUGAUUAUUAUAAGGAUAAAAAAUGGAUAAAGAAUAUUAAUGAUUAACGAAAUCUCUGUGCAAAUUGAUUUUAGUAGAAAAAGAGUGAGAUGAAUGAUUUCUUUUACAACUAGAAACAAAGAUGAUGAUUAUUAUAAGGAUGAAAAAAAGAUAAAGAAUAUUAAUUAUUAAUGGAAUCUCUAUGCAAAUUGAUUUUAGUAGAAAAAACGAGCUAAAUGAUUUAGACAUUCAUUCUGUGUUUAUUUUUGUGAUUAGCAUUAAAAAUUGUUUAAUUAUCAAACGAUAAUAAUGUUAUUUUGUACUUAUGUUAUAAUUUAUAUUUGUGUUUAUGUAAUAUAUUAGAAAUUAUUAAUUAUGUUUUAAAUAUAUCUAAUUUUGAGUAUAUUUGUGUGUUUAUUAGGAAAAAUAUUAAUUUUAGAUAAAUUGAGGCUCCAAACAAUUAAACGGAGGUCAAAUUUGGAUUCCGGAGGUUUGAAAACCUUAAGAUCAGUCAAGAUCGGCUUAAAAUUAGGUUUGUGUAAAAAGAGUUGACUUUUUCUGCUGACCGAGCACUGAUUGGAUGAUGAAAUGAGCUUACAAUAGAUAUGAGUGCAUGGGAUAACUGGCAAUUUUGACUAAAUCUCAACCGUUCAUGAUUCAAUGGCCAUGAUUGUGCCAUGUGGUAGUGGUUGAUGAAGCAAGUUGUAGGAUCUGAAUCUUUGUAUACGGGUCGACCUGAUCCGCCCAUUAACUCGCCAAAUCACAACCGUUCUUUGGCCAAAUCGGACGAGUCAAACGAUGCCACAUGUGAAGUUGACUUUUGAAGUUUGACCAGCCAUUGGAUCUUGAUCUAAAGGUUGUGAGAGCAUGAAGCUUAUGGAGCUUAUGAUGGACCGCAAAACACUGGAUUAUAAAUUUAUUUUUCUAUAAAUAGAGCCUCAUUUUUAUGUUUUUAAUUAUCUCUACAUCUCUCUUCUUCUCAAAUUCUCUCCAUCUCCCUGUAAUAUUUUGUAUAAUUAUUUUAUUAAAUAAAUUUAGUUUUAUUUUCAAUUUUAGUUGUUUUUAUUACUUUUAAUUAUAAGUAAUUAAAUUUUAAUAUUUCUUUUUAUUUCAAUUAUGCUUAACUAAAUAAUAUUAGUUGGGGUAAGGUGAAACUCUUAGGAAAUAAAUAUGAUUUAAUCAAAUUUUAUUUUUAAUUUUAUAAAUUAAAUUAUUUUCUAUUUAAUUUUAUACAUAUUUUAUAUUUUAAAAUUUUGAUUUAUUGUAGACAAACAAAUAAAUUUGGCACAAUAAAUUCUUAAGAUCUUAAUAUAAGGUAUGGUAAAAUGGUAUUUUGACUUAUUGUAGACAAAUUAAAUUUUGACACAAUAAAUACUUAAUCCAUCAUAAAAUUAGAGGGAAAAUAAUAAUAAUUUAUAUAAUUAAUCUUUUGGGCAAUAAAUUUAAAAAAAUAGCAAAAAGAAUUUAUUGAGUUUUAUUUACUACUAAGAGUGGAUCCACAAUCCUAACUAGAUCAAUUUCAUAAUUUCAUUUAAAUUAAGUUGUUUUUAUUCAAGUUUUUAUUUCAAUUUUUAGAUAAAAUAAAUUAAAUUAAUUAAAUCUUUUCUCUGUAGAUCGACCUCAGACUCACCGAGGACUGACCAAGGUAUAAUACAACAAGACACUCUUAUAAUUAAGAGUUUAAAAUUACUUUUAAGUUGUGUCAUUUUGGAUUGGUGAAUUAGAAUUAUUGACAACGCUAACUUCAUCUUCACAAUUUGCAAUCCAAUAGCAGCAAUUGUCACCGAUAAUGAUAUCUCCAAUGAUAAUGACGAUUUUAUUAUUAUUAUUGAUAAAAAGUAUUAUAAUUAAUUAAUAUAUUAAUGUUAAUAUUAUUAUUAUUAAGAUUAACAAUAAUUAUUAAUAAUAACAAUUUUUUGAAUAAAAAUAAUUACAAUAAUUUAAAUAUAAAUUAAUAAUUAUGACAAUAAUUAAUUAAUGUCUUUUUAAUAAUUUACUGAUUAUCACAGUUCAAGUAAACAAAUUAUUAUGAUUCCUAUUCUCCAUUUCCAUUUCAGCUCACUCCGAUUCCAAUCCAUUUCGACUUCUGCCUAAAAAACUCACCAUUAGUGCUAUAGUAAUAUUUCAUAUAGAGAAAAGUAAAAUCUACACCUAAGAUUAAGGUAAAGGACUUCAAAACUCUCUUUUGAUUAUAAUACCUUUUGUCCUAAUUAACUUAAAGAUUUUGAAUCUAAUAUUUUAUAAUAAAUAAAAAUAUAUUCCUAAAAUAAAUAUAAUAUCAAUAUUUAAAGUAUGUUUUAAUAUUUUACAAUCUAUCAGACACAUUUUAUUAUAUUAAAGUAAAUUUUAUAAUAAAUACAAACAUACUAUUAAAAUGAAUAUACAAAAAAGUUUAGAGUAUUUUGAAUAUUAUAUAAAAUAAUUUUAAUAUAAUGCGUGAGAUAUAUUUUAUUAAUUUAAAAUGCUAUUUUACCUAAAAAUUUAUUUAUGAUAAAUUAAUAAUUAUAUUUUUAAAAUUAUUUUAAAUAUUAUAAAAAAUUUAAUAUUAUUAGUGUUUUAGAUAGAUUAAAUUAUUUUAAAAUGCCUUAAUUGUUUUUACUUUUAACGUUACCGGCCUUUCUUAUAUUUUAUUGCAGCUAACAAGAAAAAGCCAGAUCAUAUUCCACAAAAGCAAAAGUGACAAAACAACCAGCUGGAUUCUUUUAUUAAACUACAAAUUAAAGGAUCCCAUUAUCUUACAACUAAUGUAAGAUACAUCCCUCACAUAAAUAGUAUAUAAACUCCACAUAUAUACUGUUCAUGUGAGGAAAUGUACCUUACAUUAAGAUAGUGUUUGCCCAAAUUAAAAUAGAUUUUUUCGAUGAACUACAAAUUAAAGUGGAUUCUUUUGAAUAUAGCUGGGGUUAGGGUAGGCUCUUUUAUUUAAGGCAAGUCUAGAGUAGUCAAAGACGAUUAGGCUCUUUUAUUAAACUACAAAUUGUAUAGUCUUUUUCAAAUUGUUCAGAUGCUUAUAAAUUAGUGGCCCCUUGUAAAUUUAACUGGAAGUGCCAAUCAGAGAAAAGUUCAAUUCUAAAUAAUUGUUCCGAUAUUUAUAAAUUGGUGGCCCCUACAAUCCUCAAUAAUUGUUCCGAUAUGUAUAAAUUGAUGGCCCCUACAAUCCUCAAUAAUUGUUCCUAUAUUUGUAAAUUGGUGGCCCCUUAGAAAUUUAACCGCAAGUCUGCAAGUGACAAUCGGAGAAAAGUCAUAAUUUACAAUCUUCCAAGGGAAGUAGGGAACCAGGGGAUAUACAAAGAUUAAGACAUGUCAUUCAUUUUUUUGGCUGCAUUCCCUUUCGUGUUCUUAAUAAUUGAAGACAGGUUGUUCAUUACAUGCUUACUUUUCAAAUGUGGAGCCGCAGCUAAUGUCGCUACUUUAAUUUGGGAUUAAAUUAGGGAAACAUUAUAUUGUAGUAUGCACUAACUUGAUGUUUAUCUAAACUCCUUAAAUUUAAGACAGAUUAUGGCAUAAAUAAGAAUAUAACGAUAACAAAAGAGUAUAUAAAAUAUUUAGAGUAUUUUGAAUAUUAUAUAAAAUAAUUUUAACAUAAUGCAUGAGAUAUAUUUUAUUAAUUUUAAAUGCUAUUUAACCUAAAGAUGUAUUUAUGAUAAAUUAAUGAUUAUAUUUUUGAAAUUAUUUCAAAUAUUAAAAAAUUAAUAUUAUAGACUAAAUUAUUUAUAUUAUUUUUUAUUUAUUAAAAAAUUUUUAAGUCAAUCUUUUUAAUUACUAUUCAAAGAAUAUAAUGAUUAAAAAAAUCUUUAUGCCUUCAUUAAAAAUUUAAAAAUUUACAUAACGAUUUCUAUAAAUAUUUAGGGUAUAUAUGAAGCACGGUGGAGAAGCUUUAUUUAAUAUUAUUGAUUUAAAUAAUAUCUCAAUUAAAAAUGUACAGAGAAGAAAUUUCGGUGGGUAUUUUAGUCUUUUCAGCAAUUAUCAUGACCAGAUCUGCCUUUGGCCUUGAAACGUCGGUCAGAAAAGUUUUAAAGUGCUUUAAUUGUUUUUAAGGCCGCUAAUAACUCUGCUCGUGCAAGUUGAGGAUAAAUGUUAAAUUAAUUACAAAAGCAAAAGGCUAAUUUAUUGAAGACAAGUAAAGCAGUCACGAAUGGUACAUGCCUAAUCUUUUCUAUAUUUACAGAAACACAAUUUUUUUUCAAUCCGCCGCAGCUUCUGUUAAAAUUAUCUUGGUUUCUCGUAGUUGAUUUCUAUUAUCCCAAAAAAAAAAAAAAGGUAACUGUUGAUGCCGAAAAAUGAUUUCAACAGCUGAAUUUAUUUUUUUUGGAGAAUUACAGUGUGAAUCCAAGCUCAAACGCAAGUCUGAUCGCAACUUUCUAUAUCUGCUAAUCAGAAAACACAGUUAGGAUACGCCGGUGGGGUUUCGGCUAGACCUUCCGAUACUUAAGUCAGAAAUUAUGUAUAAAAGGAGAAAAAUGAGAAUGAAGAAUUAUGAAUGAGUUAAAGUCAAGUAAUUUUCCGGUAGAGGGGUUGAAAAUCUUGUAGAAGCUUUGGUUGAUUUUGCUAACCCCUUCACCUGAUGCGCUCUUCAGUUUAAAUAGACUCUUGGUCGUGUACGGUUACCUCCUUAACUUCAGAAGUUGCAAGUGGUUGUCAGUUGGAGGUGGUUUAAAUAGAUCGUGGCACACAACUUCCUUAUAAAUUAGGCCACGUUCUCUUAACUAGCAAUUUUCCAUGUCAAGCUAAUUCUCAGGUCGGACAAGAGAAUUUCAAGGUCGGAUUACUUCACUUUCAGAUUAGACAGAUGAAUUUCUCAGUCGCUCAUAUAACGUUAAGGUUGUAUUCUUAAACUAAGUCAUUCACAUAGAUCUUAGGUCGUACUUAUAAACCAGGUCGCCAACAUAGGCUCCAGGUUGUACUUAUGAGGUUAGCUCAACAACAAUAAGUUUUGAGUAGAUUAGGAUCGACUAUAUUUUGAGACACUACCAGAAAAAUCCAACCCAAACACCAGUCCCCUAAUUUUCAAUACUGGAAAGUCAUUGCCAGUGUUGGAAACUAAUGGAAAACAUUUCUCAAAACCCAAUACCAGUCCCCUAGUUUUCAAUACUGAGAAGAUAUGAACGGUAUUGGAAACUAAAAUAAUUAAGAAAGAGCAAUAUAGCCACAAGCAAAAGAAAGACGGUGUAGAGCGGAACAAUGAGCAAAGAGAAGAGUAAAAAGAAAACUUCAGGUGUGGACCAAGAAAAUAACCAUGACCAAAUGCCUCGAGGUGAUAGAGUCGGGGUUGAGGGUGAGGUCUUCCUAACUAGUAGGGUUGUUGAAGACCAAGAGAGAACUUCCUAAAUUUAAUUAUUACAAUGCUUGCCCUUUUUUGCAAUAUGAACUUGUGUAGACCGUAUGCUACUGAACUUUAUUUUGCCUUUGUAAUCGGAUAAUUAUUAUGCUGACCUUGCCUUUUUUACUCUUUAUUUACUAGGGUUGGUUAUGAAUUGCAUUCCGUAGACUGAGCCCAUUUAAGACUCUGUUGAGGUCAAACAAAUAGAUAUGGUCAACUUUGGUAGCAAUAACACCAAGCAAUGACCUUGAAUUCACCAAGAUUCUAUCAUUUCGAUAUCAAUCUUGAUAAGGAAAAUGUUGACCUCACGAAAAUAUCAACUUCAACAAGAUAAAUUGUUGACCUCAACAAGAUAAAUUGUUGACCUCAACAAGAUAAAUUGUUGACCUCAACAAGGUUAAGUGUAGAGCUAAAAUGCCAACCUCACGACAAGGAAAAUGUUGACCUCACGAUAAGGAAAAUGUUGACCUCACGAAAAUGUCAACCUUAACAAAAUAGAUUGUCGACCUCAACAAGGUUAAGUGUAGAGCUAAAAUGCUGAACUCACGAUCUCACGACAAGGAAAAUGUCAACCUCACGAAAAUGUCAACCUCAACAAGAUAGAGUGUUGAACGCAAUAAGGUUAAAAUGUAAAGCUAAAAUGCCGACCUAAAAAAAAAUUGAAAAUUGGAGAACUUAAAUGUUAAGCUUAUGAUCAACCUCAACAAGGCAAUGACUGACCUCAAUAAAAUUGAAAAUUGGGCAACGACCUCAACAAGGCAAUGGCCGACCUCAACAAGGCAAUGGCCGACCUUAAAAAAAAUUAAAAAUUGUAGAACUUAAAUGUUAAGCUUAUGGCCGACCUCAACAAAAUUGAACAUUGUAGAACGUAAAUGUUAAGGCUAUGGCCAAACUCCACGAGGCAAUGACCAACCGCAAUAAAUAGAAAAUUGUAGAUUUUAACUUAUGGCCGACCUCAAUAAGGUAAUGGUCGACCUCAACAAAAUUAAACAUUGUAGAACGUAAAUGUUAAGGCUAUGGGCAAACUCCAUGAGGCAAUGACAAACCUCAAUAAAUAGAAAAUUGUAGAAUUUAGCUUAUGGCUGACCUCAAUCAGGCAAUAGCCGACCUCAACAAAAUUGAACAUUGUAGAACGUAAAUGUUAAGGCUAUGGCCAAACUCCACGAGGCAAUGAGCAACUUCAAUAAAUAGAAAAUUGUAGAACUUAGUUUAUGGCUUACCUCAAUAAGAAAAUGGUCGACCUAAAUAAAGUAAAGGCGAAUUUCGAUAAAAUUGAAAAAUGUAGAUCUCAACAAGAUAAAAGUUAAGGCUAUCUAACCACAAGGUAAUAGCUGUCUUCAAUCUCAAAAAGGCCGAAUUACAAUUAGACCUCAACAAGGUCAAAAUGACAAUCUCGAUCUCAAUAAGAUUUGAUAAAUUUUUCAGGUAGGACCUCAACAAGGCAGCAAUGUCGAUCUCAAUCUCAAUAAGAUUGGAUGAAUUUUUCAGGUAGAAUCUCCACAAAGCCGAAAUGCCGAUCUCAAUCUCAAUAAGAUUGGAUAAAAUUUUCAGGUAGGACUUAAAUAAGGCCGCAAUGUCGAUCUCAAUCUCAAUAAGAUUGAAUGAAUUUUUUUCAUGUCAGACCUCAGUAAAGUCGUCAUGUCGAUCUCAAUCUCAAUAAGAUUAGAUAAAUCUUUUCACGUUGGACCUCAAUACGGUCCAAAAAUGCCGAUCUCAAUCUCAAUAAGAUUGGAUAAAAUUUUCAGGUAGGACCUCAACAAAGCUGCAAUGUCGAUCUCAAUCUCAAUAAGAUUGGAUGAAUUUUUUCACGUUGGACCUCAGCAAGGCCGCCAUGUCGAUCUCAAUCUCAAUAAUAUUGGAUAAAUCUUUUCAUGUUGGACCUCAAUACGGUCCAAAAAUGCCGAUCUCAAUCUCAAUAAGAUUGGGUAACUUUUUCAUGUUGGACCUCAAUAAGGUCACAAAGUUGAUAUCAAUCUCAAUAAGAUUGAAUAAAUAUUUUCACGUUGGACCUCAAUACGGUCCAAAAAUGCUGAUCUCGAUCUCAAUCUCAAUAAGAUUGGGUAAUUUUUUCACGUUGGACCUCAACAAGGUUGCAAUAUCGAUAUCAAUCUCAAUAAGAUUGGAUAAAUUUUUUCACGUUGGACCUCAAUAAGGUCCAAAAAUGCCAAUCUCAAUCUCAAUCAGUCUGGAUAAAUUUAUUUCAUAUUGGACCUCAAUCAAGUCCAAGUGUCGAUCUCGAUCUCAAAUAAGACCGGUCACAAGUAGAUAAGAAAUAAAGUUGCACUUUUAAAUAACCUCAUUGAUACUAAUAUAACAGAAGUUAUAGAAUUGAACGCAUAACAAAUUGAAAUAACAAAGAAACAAACUUUCUUAGCAUAUUUAAAGAAAAUAAACAAACAAUAUUUAAAGAAAAUAAACAAACAAGGACAUCAUAAAUAAGAUAUAUCUUAACUGAUAGUAUUUUCGCAGGUGCUCUGCAUUCCAUGCCUUGCCAACGACCCUGCCAUCCUGAUAACUUAAUUUAUAUGCCCCAUUAUCAAAUUAGGGUAGCACUUUAUAUGGUCCUUCCCAGCUCGGCCCUAGAACUCCAUCAAUAAAUCUGAAGCUCAUUGGAGAUGUCAUCCAUCAUUUUUGUUCCCACUCUUACCACCCUGCUCGGAUCAACCUCACUUAUCGGCAUGUUUCAUUUCUUCAUUAGGUCACUGUUGGCACAAUCUAUUCUCAGCUCGUGGGUCGAUACUCGUGAUCUGCAUGGAUUCUCUUGCAGCUGUAGCGUAACAACUUCGAGCUAUUUGUUGCUGGCCCCUCAUCACUCCAACCCCAUAUUGAACUCUAAACUUCACACGUUGCAUGUGGGUUGAGCUCACGGCUCUUACUAUCCUAUUGAAAGGUCUACCCAAAAUAAAUUGAUAAGGGUUGGGCUCAUCAACUACCACCCAUGUCACCAUCACUGUCUUUUGUAGUGGGUUGGACUUUAUUAUCAGUGGCAAGUCAAUCAUCCCAAGGGGAAUCAACUCAGCUCCGCCAAACCCUUUUAGUGAUGUUCUGACGGGAUCAAGCCUAAGGUCCCCUAUUUGUAGAUCUUCCAGGGUUUGCUUAAACAAAAUGUCGACUGAGCUUCCUCCAUAUAUAAGAGCUCGGUUCAAAUCCUGCCCUACCAAGGUAACCUUCACUAUGAGCGCAUCCUCAUGUGGAUGUGCGACCGCUUCCUCGUCCUCGUCUGUGAACAUGAUCGGCACCCUUUGAACCCGUUGCUUCUUUGGUAUUGAAACAUUAAAAUUCAACUUAUAACUUUCUAAUGACUAUCUACUAUAAUUUCUCCUUGAACGAUUUGAGUCUCCUACUAGGGUCGGCCCUCCCAUAAUCAUCAUCGCUACAUUAUCUCUGAUGUCUCCUCUUCUCCCACCUAUUCCUUGGUCAUUCACAUACUCCUUUAGAUAUUGAUUUUGCACUAGCCACAAAAUCUGUUCUUUCAAGUCUAUGUAAUCUGCAGUUCCAUGUCCGAACACAAUGUGAAACUCGCAAUACUUGUGGUGAGCACUUCUGCCCAGACUUCUUACAAUUGGCUUUGGCGGUUUAAGUAGCCCCUUCUUUUCUACUACAACAUAUAUUUCCGCUCUGCUUUUGUUCGAUGGUGUGUAUCUUCCACUCUACUCUAAUAAGUUCACCCCAUGGUCAGAUCUCGAUACUCUCUGUUCUAUAGGCAGUGGCAACCUAUUGUAGUCUCUUGCUCGGUUCUCCCUUUAGUUCAUCUCAUAAUUAUUUCCUCUAUCUCGGCCCCAUCCCAUUAAUGAGAUUUAUCUCAUUUCACGAUUUCUUUCCCAAUCUCGACCCGACCUUUCUGGUCAUCUGUAAUUGAACAACUCUCCGCCGUAAUGACGUCUAUCAUCCGAGUUCCUCCUCGAGCUAUACUCGAGGUUAUCACUUGACCCUCUCUCUGCUCUUCCAUUCUCCUAUUUUCUUCCUCUGCAUCUUCAGUUUUCAUAUCUAAUUUUGUCUAGUCGUACGCCUCAGCGUAUGUUGUUAUCCCCUUGUUAUAUAAGCUAUUCCAUAAUCGAUUGAUUCUCAACUCCUUCUUUAAUCCCUCUAGAACAUCUGGAAGAUCAAAGGCCCCUAGAUCGGUAACCUCUCUAUGAUACCUGGUCACAAAACUCGUCAAACUUUCAAAUUCUCCUUGGACCAAUUUUGUCAAGCUGCUCAUAUCCUGCUCUGAUAUGCAUGAACCUCUAAAAUGCAUAGCGGAAAGCACACAUAACUCCUUGAAAUUUCCUAUGCUUCUAUUCUUUAAUCUCCGGUACCAUUCCCAUGCUUGUCCAUCUAGAGUUAAGGGAAAAAUACGGCACCUUUGAAAAUCAUUCAAACCUUGAAUUACAGUCAUCUCAUUAAACUUCUCCACAUGAUGAUUUGGGUCAGUUUUUCCUUCAUACACCAAGACUUGAACCACAUACUUGGGUGGCAAAGUUACUGCCAUCACUUCAGGUACCAAGGGGGACUCGUCAUCGAGUAACAGCCUUCCUACCACUUUCUUGCCCUCUGUUUUCGCCUCUAAUACCUCUAAGGUUUUUUGAAAUUGCAGCAUUCGUUGCUCAAGCUCAUUUGCCCGUUGGGGUCUCUCAGCUCUUCCCUCUCUCUUUCUUGAUUCAAGUCAUUGAUUCUCCCCCUCAACUCAUUCACUUGUUCUCCUGCACUUCUAUUCUUUUGUCGUACCCCAACUUGUGGUAGUCCCAUUCCGCUCUGCUGUUCACCAUCAAGCUCUUCCCUCUCUCGCGCUCCACUACAUUUUGGAUCACUAGCUCGAACGUGAGCCUCUCUGACUUGGGCAUCAACCAGCCCCCGAUCAUCUUCUCAAAUCUCGCCAUUUGCCUCUCAAUCCCUUCUCUCCAUCUCUUAUCUGCCGUGGCAUUCAUUUCCUCAGCCAAUUGGCGCAAGGUCUACGUAUCUUCAUCCUUAUCAUCUAUCACUAUUUUGUAAUCCGAUAGCUUCUCCUUCUAAAUCUUCAAACGUAUGGCUUUUCGCACUGAUCCCCACAGAUAGCGUCAAGAUGUUGAUGCUGAAAAACGACAUGAACAGCUGAAUUUGUUUCUUUUGGGGAAUUACAAUGUGAAUUUAAGCUCAAACGCAAGUCUGAACGCAACUUUCUAUAUCUACCAACCAGAAAACACAGUUAGGAUAUGCCGGUGGGGUUCCGGCGCAGACCCUCCGAUGCUUAAGUCAAAUUAUGUAUAAAAGGAGAAAAAUAAGAAUGAAGAAUUAUGAAUGAGUUAAAGUCAAGUAAUUUUCCAGUAGAGGGGCUAAAAAUCUUGUAGAAGCUUCAGUGAAUUUUGCUAACCCCUUCACCUGAUGCGCUCUUCAAUUUAAAUAGACUCUUGGUCAUGUACGGUUACCUCCUUAACUUCAGCCCGCUUUCUUCAGUAGUUGCAAGUGGUUGUCAGUUGGAGGUGGUUUAAAUAGAUCGUGGCACACAACUUCCUUAUAAAUUAGGCCACGUUCUCUUAACUAGCAAUUUUUCAUGUCAAGCUAAUUCAUUGGUCGGACAAGAGAAUUUCAAGGUCGGAUUACUUCACUUUCAUAUCAGACAGAUGAAUUUGUUAGUCGCUCAUAUAGCGUUGGGGUUGUAUUAUUAAACUAAGUCAUUCACAUAGAUCUUAGGUCGUACUUGUAAACCAAGUCGCCAACAUAGGCUUCAGGUUGUACUUAUGAGGUCAACUCAACAACAAUAAGUUUUGAGUAAAUUAGUAUCGACUAUAUUUUGAGACACUACAAAAAAAAUCCAACCCAAACAGUAACAUUUUGCAAAUCUCAAUCGACGGUGCUAUUUUCAAUCGUUGCCUGGAUUGCUUUCUUGGAAAAGCAGCAUCUAUAAGAAACCUGCAAAAAAAUGUUGUAGCCUUGGAGACUGAAUUGGGAAAACUAAUCGAAGCAAAGAACGAUGUGGUGGCGAGGGUCGUCAACGCUGAAAGGCAACAAACGAUGACAAGGCUGAACAAAGUUCAAGGCUGGCUUUCGAGGGUGGACGCUGUUAAAGCUGAAGCUGAUGAAUUGAUAAGACAUGGCCCUCAAGAAAUUGAGAAACUAUAACUUAGAGGCUACUGUUCCAAGAACUGCAAGUCAAGCUAAAAGUUUGGCAAAAAAGUGGCUAAAAAGCUAAGAGACGCCGGGACUUUAAUGGCCAAUGGAGCAUUUGAAGUGGUAGCUGAGAGAGCUCCAGAAUCAGUAGCGGAUGAAAGGCCUAUCGAGCCCACAGUAGUAGGCCUGCAAUUGCAACUCGAGCAUGUUUGGAGAUGUCUUGAAGGAGAAUCAGUCGGAAUUGUUGGCCUAUACGGCAUGGGCGGUGUCGGUAAAACUACACUAUUGACCCAUAUCAACAACAAAUUUCUUGAGAGUCCAACUAAUUUUAAUUAUGUGAUAUGGGUCGUAAUGUCAAAAGACUCGCGACUUGAAAACAUUCAAGAAACUAUCGGGGAGUAGAUUGGUUUGUAAAAAUUUGCCAAUUUACACAGCAAACAAUUUCCACCCAAUUAAUGUUUUUUAGAAAAUUGUAAAAAUUUGGAGUUAUGAAAAUAGAAACUAUAUAAUAAGAAGAAAUAAUUUAAGAUUUUAAGAUUUAUAUAUAUUUUAUAAAUAAAACAUUAAAAGAGAUGCUUGUUAUUACGAUGAAAUUUUAUGAGUAAGAUGAUUAACUUUAAUAUAUGAGUUUGUAUUUUAUAAAUUAAUCAGAGGUAUUUUAGAAAAUAAAUUCAAAAUGGGAGUUAUAAGAGUUUUAGAGUGGUGUUAAAAGCUCAACUCUUUUGAAUUUUACUGCCCAAUUAUAUAGUACAUUAGCGUGAUUGUUAUGUAUUCAUUUUUUUCAGAUACAACAAACGAGCUGCGUAGUGCUCAAAUAACAAAAAUUAAUAAUUUCACACACCCAUAUACAUAUAUGUAUACAUAUAGAUACAUAUUAUAUUUAAUUAAGCAAAAGAAAGAACCCCCUGUACGACGCCAGUGAGAAGAGAGAGAGAGAGAGAGAGAGGAAGAGAGCUUUUUGUGUUAUAUUUCAUAAUUUUUAUUUAAUUAAAAAUAUUUGUAGUUUGGAUUUGGGCGCCCCAAAGAAUUUCUAAAUCAAAACCUUAAUUUUUAUUAGGUCUUGAGCCUAUUCUCGAAAUAGAUCCUAUUAUAUUCUUAGGUGGUGUUUGGUUUUAAGAAAAUGGAAGAGAGGAGAGGUGAAAAAAGAAGAUGAACGGAGAGGUGAUGAGAGGAAAAGAGUGUAAAAAUUAAUUGUUAUUGUUUGGUUUCACAUUAAAUUUGAAAGGAAAAGAAAUUACAUAUUUUUUAUUUGGACGAAUAUACCCACUAUUUUAAUGCUAAUAUUGUUAAUAAAUUAAAAAAUAAUAAAACUAUGAAUUAAUUUAAUCUAGAAAUUACCUAAUUAAAUUAAAAAAUUAUUUUUUAAAAAAAUACAGCAUUUGGCCAUGGACAGCCUCCACGUUGACCACCGUUGACUGGCGAAUUUGACUGUCGUUGACCGUCAUUUUUCAUCGCGUUAAAUGCAUAAUAAUAAUAAGAAAUGAAUGAUUUAUUCAUUGGAAGUGUUAAUUUUGCAGAAAAUACACUAUAUAGUAGGAAAUAUGAGAGUUAAAAUUUUCCCAAGCAUUUAAACAAGACUUGAGGUAAAUAACAAUGUAUAUUAGCAUUUUUAAUCUCAUAGCAUUGUAGAUGGACUCAUGAGGAUUCCAUUGAUACCGGUUUUGAUGAAAAAGUGCGUCUCCGGCGAAACUCCGACGAGUCACUUUACUGUUUUUUCUUUUUUCAAAUAAGUUUAUCCUAUUAAUUUAAGAAAAUAAAUAUAAAUUAUUUGUACUUUAAUUUAUUUAACAUUGAUUUUGUUUAGAGGAUAAUAUUGGAAUUUUUGUGUUUAAAUAGAUAAGAAAUUUAAAAUCUUUAGUCAUUGAUAAGAAAUACAAAUUCUUCAAAUUGAUGGAAAUUCAAUUCCAUUAAACUUGGUCCAAGUAGAAAAGAAAUCAAUUUUUUUUGGCUCUCCCCACUUCCCUACCCCUAAGCAAACAUGGCCUUAUGGUUUUUGAGAACUCAUACCAAAUUCAAAUUAAUCAGGAGCCCACGGGUCCCGGGGCUCGCGGGAAAGUUGCCAUCCCUACCUUCAUCUGACGGAAAGUCCCUACAAACAAAUGUUUCUUUAUUUAUUUAUUUUUAUAAAAGAAAUUUCAGUUUGAAUGUCUUUUGGACGUUUCCAAUUGUCAUGAUUAGCCCUUGAACCUUUGGUCAAAAAAGUAUUAUCACGCGUUGAUUGUUUGUAUCGCAAAUGCUAGUGGCAUUUGAAAGUUGAUAUAAUUAAUUACAAUCUACAAAUGUUUAACAAAAAAGUGGGAUGGAUAUGGCACAAAAGUAAAGCAAGCAGGAUUCGUUGAAAAAGCUAUUUUGACACCUACUUCGGUUAUAAAAUUUUCAAAAAAAAAAAAAAAUUUUGAUUAAAAGUAAAUUGUAUAGGUUCAACUACCGUGCACUUGGUGCAUGGGACAUGUAUUUUGUCUAUAUAUAAGUUACCCGUCAGAUAUAACAUAGAACUUGCUUCAACGGCAUAGAUGUAUUCUCUUUAGUUUUUAACAUUGACAUCUAUGUUGUUUUUCAAAAAAGAAAAAUAGUGAAAGGUUUGACACAUAAUUUUAGAUUAUUUUUAAAUUUUAUAUUUUAAUCAAUUGAUUUAAUUUACUGUUAAAAUUAAUGACAGUAUAAGCGUAAUAACUUGAAAAAACUUUUUAAUACAUAAUUUUUUUUAUUUUUUGAAAAUAAUAUAAUAUCAAUUUAAUCUAUAAUAAAUAAUUUUAACAUAUAAUUAAAUUUUAAUUUAUCAAUAAUAAUAUGACCAAAUGACAAUGUUAAAGAAUUUCAUUAUAAUCAACUAUGAUUUAGUAUUCAAAUAUAAAUAAUAGAAAUAUACUCUAAGUGUAAAUAAUAGAAAUAUAUCAAACUUAUAUGUUAAAAUUUCAAAACUUUUAAUUUUUUCACUUUUCAGCAAACAAGAGGGAGUAAUUUACCAAAAACAAGGGGUAUCGUACACCUGGGGCACCAUAGCUUCCUCCAAAUUGUAUAAAAAAUAGAAAUAUUUUUAGUCUCCAAAUUGUAUAAAAAAGUAAAAAUAUUUUGACUAAAAGUAAAUUGUGCGUAACUACUUUAAUAUUUUAUUUCUUUCAUAACUUUAUCAAAAUCUUGUCAUCAAAUAUUUUAUCAAUGUAACGCUGUAAACAGCAAAUUAAAGUUUAAUUAUUUAAUUACAACUGGCAAAAGAGACGUUUAAUUAUUUAAUUACAAGCGGGAUAGUCUCUUUUGUUGAAGGAAAUUAAAGUUUAGUUAUUUAAAUCGAGCACGCGUAAUCUUUUCAAGCACAAACAAAAGAGAUCAUAAUUCAAAGUUGAUGUUCUCUUCACAGCAGCUUCUAUUCAUCGAACUCCAUCGUUAAAAUUUCCUUGGUUUUUCCUGGUUGAAUUCUCAUCCAAAAUAUGGGUAACAUUUUCCAAAUCACAUGCGACGGCGCUCUCUUUAACCGUUGCCUGGAUUGCUUUCUUGGAAAAGCAGCAUAUAUAAAAAACCUCAAACAAAAUCUUGCAGACUUGGAGACUGAAUUGGGAAAACUAAUCGACGCAAAGGAAGAUGUGAUGAGGGAGGUCAACGCUGCUGAAAGGCACCCAAUGAUGAAAAGGCUGACCAAAGUUGAAGGCUGGCUUUCGAGGGUCGAAGCUGCUAAAUCCGACGGUGACAAAUUGAUAGCAUUUGGCUCUCAAGAAAUUAAGAAACUAUGUCUUGGAGGCUACUGUUCCAAGAACUGCAAGUCAAGCUACGAGUUUGGCAAACAAGUGGCUAGAAAGCUAGGAGAUGUCAAGACUUUAAUGGCUGAAGAAGCUUUUGAAAAGGUAGCUGAGGAAGUACAACCACCUUUGGUAGAUGAGAGACCCACCGAGCCAACCGUAGUAGGCUUCCAAUCACAAUUUGAACAAGUCUGCAAAUGUCUUGAAGAAGAAUCAGUCAGAAUUGUUGGCCUAUACGGCAUGGGCGGUGUCGGUAAAACCACACUAUUGACUCAUAUCCACAAUAACUUUCUUCAGAGUCCAACUUUUAAUUGUGUGAUAUGGGUCCUAGUGUCAAAAGAUCUGCGACUUGAAAACAUUCAAGAAACUAUCGGGGAUCUGCGACUUGAAAACAUUCAAGAAACUAUCGGGGAGCAGAUUGGUUUGUUAAACGAUACAUGGAAAAAUAAACGAAUUGAACAGAAAGCUCAAGACAUCUUCAGGAUUUUGAAGGAGAAGAAGUUUUUGCUGUUGCUAGAUGACUUAUGGCAGCGGGUUGAUUUAACAAAAGUGGGCGUCCCUCUUCCUGGCCCGCAAAAUAAUGCAUCCAAAGUGGUAUUCACAACCCGUUCCGAAGAAGUUUGUGGUUUGAUGGGAGCUCACACGAGGUUUAAAGUGGCGUGCCUGUCAAAUAUCGAUGCUUGGGAAUUGUUUCGGCAGAACGUUGGAGAAGAAACUCUGAACAGUGAUCCCGAUAUUCUUCAACUCGCCCAAGCAGCAGCCAGAGAGUGUGAUGGUUUGCCACUAGCACUUAUUACCAUUGGCCGAGCUAUGGCUUGCAAGAAGACACCUGACGAAUGGAUUUACGAUAUUGAGGUGCUAAGAACAUCAAGUUCUCAGUUCCCAGGUUUGGGAAAUGAGGUUUAUCCUCUUUUAAAAUUCAGUUACGAUAGAUUGCCGAGUGACACAAUUAAAUCAUGUCUCUUAUAUUGUAGUUUAUAUCCAGAAGAUUAUUGCAUUUCUAAAGAGAAAUUGAUAGACUGUUGGAUCGGCGAGGGAUUUUUGACAGAAAGGGACAGGAUUGGAGAACAAAAAGAAGGAUACCAUAUUCUGGGCAUUCUUCUUCAUGCCUGCUUACUGGAAGAGGGAGGAGACGGUGAAGUAAAAAUGCACGACGUGAUUCGAGAUAUGGCAAUAUGGAUAGCAUGCGACAUUGAAAAGGAGAAGGAGAAUUUUUUUGUUAAUGCUGGCGUUGGAUUAGUUGAAGCACCCGAUGUCACAGGAUGGGAAAAGGCGAGGAGAUUGUCACUGAUGCACAAUCAAAUUACGAAUCUAUCAGAGAUUCCUACAUGUCCUCAUCUCCUUACUUUUUUCCUUAACAAAAAUAGGUUUCAGAUGAUCCCCAAUGACUUCUUCCAAUUUAUGCCCUCCCUCAAAGUUUUAAAUCUGUCAUACAGCAAACUAACCAGCUUACCAUUGGGGAUUUCAAAGUUGGUUUCACUGCAACAUCUUGACCUGUCAGAAUCCGACAUAGAAGAGUUGCCAGGAGAGUUAAAGGCAUUGGUAAAUCUUAAAUGUUUGGAUUUGGAAUAUACAGGGAAUUUAAUUACAAUUCCACGUCAACUAAUAUCUAAUCUUUCAAGGUUACAUGUGUUGAGAAUGUUUGGUGCUGGUCAUAAUGCCUUUGAUGAAGCAUCAAAAGACAGCAGUUUAUUUGGUGGGGGUGAAUUCAUAGUAGAGGAACUGCUUGGUUUGAAAUCUUUAGAGGUGAUUAGCUUCACCUUGAGAAGUUCUCAUGGUCUCCAAAUGAUUUUGAGCUCGGAUCAGUUACGAAGUUGCACUCGAGCACUCUCAUUCCAAUGCUUCAACGAUUCGACAUCGCUUGAAGUUUCAGCUUUGGCAGAUCUGAAGCAACUUAAAAUGUUGCGGAUUGCAAGGAGUGAAAUAUUGGAGGAAUUAAAGAUGGAUUGUGCAGGGGAAGUUCGACAGUUUGUUUUCCAUAGUCUCAAUAAGGUUGAAAUAUACGGUUGCAGUAAAUUGAAGGACUUGACAUUCCUUGUUUUCGCUCCAAACCUCAAGUCUAUUAAAGUAACAGGUUCCCAUGCUAUGGAAGCAAUCAUAAGUGUGGGUAAAUUUGCAGAAGUUCCAGAGGUAAUGGCAAAUUUAAACCCAUUUGCAAAACUCCAAAAUCUUGAAGUAAUUGGUGCGAUAAAUUUGAAGAGCAUUUACUGGAAGCCCCUGCGCUUCCCACAUCUGAAAACAAUGAGUUUCUUUCAUUGCAACAAGCUUAAAAUGCUUCCACUUGAUUCCAAUAGUGCAAGAGAGCAUAGCAUUGUUAUUCGUGGAGACAGAAUGUGGUGGGCACAGCUUCAAUGGGAGGAUGAAGCCACUCGAAAUGCUUUUCUUCCCUGUUUCAAAUCUUGAGCAGAGAUCACAUUUGAAUAAUUUCUGGUGCGUGCUUUUUCUUACAUUAUUCUUCUUGUUAAUUUCCUUCAUGCAGACAUCUGCACCUAAUAACUCGUUACUUCAAAUAUUCUCUAAAUUAUUUGAGGGUACUCGCCCCUGCACAUAAUGUAUAUUUAUAUCUAAUUAAAUUUUUUAAAAAGUCAAUAUUAUAUUUUUUAUGUCAUUAAAUAAAGUCUUGUUAUUUUAUCGAAUUAUAUUCAACUUGAAAAUAGUUCUAGCUUUUAGAUAUAAGUUAUGUAAGUACAAGUUCAAAGUGUAUCAGCAUUAAAUUACUCAUAUUCAAUCAUUUAUAAUCUGAUGUUGAAAAAAAAAUGUCAUUCAAUCAUAUGCAUUUAACUAAAUUCAAAUAUAAUCUAAAUUCAGAUACGUUAAAAUUAUUUGGGAAAAAAAAGCGCCACAACUCUAUAUUGUUUAUUGAGUAAACCAGAUAUUAACUCUAUCAUGAACGUAAUAGCCUCCAGCAUUUUUUAUUAUCUGUUCAAACCAUAUUUUAUUAUUUUAAUUUAUUUAUAUUCAUUGCAUUUCAAUUAGGUCAUGUUUUCUUUUGUUUUCUGUUUUAUAUUCUUUGAUCAUUUUGGCAACAUGGAGUACUAUGAUUAAUCAUUUUGUACUGGUCUCAAAUUUCAGUCGGAUUAUCUGCGGAAAAUAUCUCUGAAGAUGCUUUCAAUGGAGUCCAGUACUCAGAAUGCGAUGCCUAAUCCUUUGCAAUCCAACAAUGCUAGCAGGAGCAACGAACCCCCUCAUCCAGGUAGUGACGUGGAAUAGUAAAUGCAGCUUCACUUUCAAUUUGUCUCUGAAACCGCUCCCUAUAAUCAAUCCUAGCAUUCUUAUGUGUUCUUAACUUCUGCAGCCUGAAUAUUUCUUCCUCGACAAUCAAAGUCAUAACAGUAUGAUUGGCUGGAGUAGCUUUCCUCCAGACCCCUCAUUAUAGUUAUAAAUAAUUCCGAUAUUUGAUAUCAUGAUCGGGGAUUUCAGAGCUUAGAAAAUAUGAUUUGUACCCAUAUGUGUCUGAUCAUGAGAAGUUUGAAAAUAUACAUCAAAAACUGUAUGGAUUGGAAAAAUAUAAUCUUAUUAUGGUGUGUUAAAUCGUCAUUUGAUGAACGGAUUUGGGAUACAUUAUAAUAUGAUGUCAUUAUUAAUUAGGGUGUGUUUUUGGAAGUGCUUAAUUAUAUUCGUUUAAUGUGUAUUUCUUUUAUCACUUUUGAAAAGAAUUCUUAAAUAUUUAAAUAUUUCAAUGUUUAUAUCUUAACUUCAAAUAUAAUAAAAUAAAAUAAAAUAACUGUUCUCCAAUAUGAGGGUCCGAACUAAGGGUCUACGUCAAUAACAUGAAAUAUAAUAAUUUUUGUAAAUUUUUCUUAAAUUCAAAAUAAAUUUUGUUACUGAUUCAAAUGUUUAACAAAAUGUGGCAGCUUAUCUGUAAUUGCCACAUCAAUUGAGAUUCAAAUUACUACUCAAAUCCUGAAAUUCCUAAAGGUCCCUAACAUUAAUAUUUUAUUAAGUCAAUAUUGAAGUUGAACUAUGGGGUUCGUCGGCUAUUUCACACUAACAGAGGAAUCAUUUUAUCUUCUACAAAGGGUUCAGUUUUCUUGCACUGUAUGAUAUGAAGUAAUAUUGUCAUAUGUUGUUCUGAAUUAAUUUUUUUCUUCUCUCGUGCGAAUCAGAAAGAAAUGUUGUAUUUAAGAUGUGGAAAGUAUAAGAUCUUAGGAGUUUUACAGUGUAUAUAUAUAUAAAUUUUUUUUUGACAAACAGAGAAAUUCAGUCUAGAAUAUGAGAACAAACUAAAAGCUACGAAAUACAUUGGCAUUUUUGAGAAGUAGGAUAAAUAUUAUUUUUUUUUUUGAAAAAAAAAGGACUUGGCACCUCAAUGCUUUAAUAACCUAAUGUUAUACUUUUGGUUUGAUUUUUCUAUGUACUCUCUUCCAAUGGUCAAUUUAGGCUAUGUUUGGUAUUGAGAUAUUAUAACUAAAAAAUUUUAGGAUUUAUCACUUAAAAGAUAGAGUAGCCGUGGGAAAAAAGAGAGAGAGAGCUGAAAUUAUGAAAUAAAAUUAUUAAUGUAUUGUAAAUAAGAUGUUCAAAUAAAAAAAUUGACAAAAAUAGUAAAAAUACAAUACCAAACAAGAAUUUAUUUAGGAUACCGAUUCCAGGUCUCUAAAGAUUUGUUUUUAUGCUUUGCAGUUAUUUUCUUCUAGCUGACUGAUGAAUUAUUGUGAAAUUGCUAUGAAAAUUACUAGGGAAAUUAUCAGUCAUACACUCUUAAAUGACACCCGUAUCAAAUAUGCUACAACAUUUUUCAAGUAUAUCACUCGUAUACUCUAAGUUGACAAAACACUUCUACCGUCCACCAAUAUGUUAACUUCUAUUAGAAAGUUAAUAGAAUUGUGGCAAAUUGACUAUUUCGUCCUUGAAACUCAAAAUGAGAUUAAAAAAAAUUUACCCAAAAAAUUAAAGUAAAUUUUCAAUACAUAAUUUUUUUUAAUUUCGUUAUUAACAAUACAUUUUUUUAUUAAAAAAUAUGAAUUAUUAAUGGUACAUAUUAUUAACAAUUAUCCAUAAAAAUAUCCAUAUUAUACCAUAAAAAAUUAUUAACAACAUAUUAUUUACAAUUAUACAUAUUAUACCAUAAAAAACUCCAAUUGGAGCUUGGAGGAGUAGAUCUUAAAAAAUUUAGGUUAAAUUUUGGAUGAGUAGAUUCGGUUGUAAAGUAGUUGUUUUUUUAUAUGUAAUUAUUAACAAUUAUCCAAUAAAUGGGAUGACAUGUCAUUUUAUCAAUAUAUAUCAUAUGACAUGUCAUUGCUUAAUAGGAAAAUGGGAUGACAUGUCGUUUUUAAAAAAGACUAUAUUUACCCUUAUGAUGUCAGCACUUGCAAACGGCAGUUAACGGAUUGGUGAACGGUAGAAAUGUUUUGUCAACUUAAAGUAUACGAGUGAUAUACUUGAAAAGUGUUGUAUCACGUUUGAUAUUAGUGUCAUUUAACGAUAUAUGACUGAUAAUUUUCCAAAUUACUACUAUAACUUAUGGCAAAUUGGCAAUUAAAAAUCAUAAAAGUCUUUCCUCUUGAAUGAGAAAGUGGGUUAUUUUCGUUUACUAUAUAUAUAGUGUCACAAUCAAGAUUAGCAAAGGUUUGUUCACAAACCACCAUCUAUGAAACUAUGAUGACAAAUAUUAUUUGCUAUUAUCAUGUCACUGCAUUACUCUAAUGCCAUUAUUUGCCUAAUUAAAUAUUCAUGUCGGUUUUAAGAUGAAUUUCAAGACAUUUAACUAACCAUAUCUAUUGUAUUUUAUUAUGGUGCUCUAGCUAGCUGGUUGCCAGCUUUGCCUUUCAAUGGGGUUUGAUUAAUUACUCUGCAUAUAGACCAUUAUAUACUAGGACGGCCAAUGGUUAAUGUAAUAUAAACACAAUAAAUUUUAAUCAAAUAUGAAUUUUCUGAAUAAUUGUUUCUUUAUUUUAUGAAUUUUAUUUAAACGAUAUCCCAAUUUAAAAAAAAAAAAGAAAGAAAGAAAAUCAGCGCGUUUGUCUCCUCCCCAUUGUCAUGAUCAACCUUGUUGGAAACGUUGGUGAGAAAAGUAAUACUAUACGUUAAUUGCUUUUAAUAUUUUAAUCGUUGGUGGCACAACCGCACAAGAAAGUAAAAGUUGUUAUAUAUAUAUAUAUUUUAAAUAAAAGUUUAGCUUUCAAUAAUUCAACUUUGAAAAAGGUACAAAAGAUGUGUAGGACAUUCGUUGAACCACAUUAUUGGUUGUACACUUUCUAAAGCUACUUUGGCUAUGGAAUAGGCCAUGAUUAUGAAGCCGAGAAGUAUGUUGCAGUGUGGGGUUGUGUAGUUCCUUUUAGCUUCUUCUUACAAAUUAAUGCUGACAGAAAAAGCAAGAUCAUAUUCCACAAAAGUAAAAGUAACAAAACAACCAGCUGGAAUCUUUUAUUAAACUACGAUAAACUACAAAUUAAAGUGGAUUCUUUUGAAUACAAGUGGGAUAGACGAUUGGCUCUUUUAUUAAAGGCCAGUAGUCAAGAAUCGAAUAUCUCGAUUGCAUAGUCUUUUUCAAAUUCUUGUUUUAUUAUUUUUCAAAACUAAUUUUUUAUUAGUCUACAAUUAUUUAUAAUUAUAUUUUCAUUUAGAAUACAGUUCAAGUCAAAUCUUUUGCACUUCUACCUAACUCGGGCUAAUACUAGUCCACUCAUUAUUCAUGUGAGAGAGUUGUAAGGUACAUGCAUGUAACUUCUCUAACUCGAAUUAUUCCACACAGAGAAAUAAACAUAGAUGCUUUAUAACUUUAGAAAUCCGAUCUCUUACAGUUGGAAACAGAGAUGAUGAUUACUAUAAGAAUGAAGAAAAAGAUAAAAAAUUGUCAAUGAUUAACGAAGUCUCUAUGCAAAUUUCUCUAUGCAAAUUGAUUUUAGCAGAAAAAUAGUGAGUUGAAUGAUGUAGGCGAUUAGUGGUAAUAUUUCAUAGAGUUAGAGUAUUGGCAACCCUUCAAUCUUCUCAUGAAUCCCCUUUUUGAGUUAUAGUUAUUUUAUUUCGAAAUAUCCUUUUUCUUCUUUAAUACACUUCUAAUUUUUCAUUUAAUUUUUUUAUUGUUAAACUCAAAGUAUUAUUGUGAUAUUUUUCGUUUCUUUUGUAAUCUUAUUAUAAUUAAAAAAACCAAAAAAAAAGAUUGGCUAUGAAAUUUGUUGGAAAAAAUCUAUGUGCGUUUAAUUUUUGUUUGUCUUUGACUGUAAUUUAUUUGAAGUGGGGUUUUAUAAGCAUAAUGAAGGGAUCAAAGGAUGCCCAUAACUUCACUCUAUUUUAUAUGGAGAAAAGUAAAAGGUACACCUAAAGUUAAUGGAAAGUACUUCGCAGCUUUCUUUUGAUUAUAAUAUCCUUUAAUUUAAUUAACUUAAAAAUUUUGACUUUAAUAAUUUAUAAUAAAUUAAAUUAUAAUCUUAAAAUAAAUAUAAUAAUAUAUUUUAAAAUAAUCUCUAUAUUUAAAAUUUAUUUAUUUUCACAUUUUAUAUAAAUUUUAUAAUAAAGACAAACAUACUAUUAAAAUAAUAUAUAAAAAAUUUAAAAGUAUUUUGAAUAUUAUAUAAAAUAACUAUAACAUUUUUUAAUACAUGAGAUAUAUUUUGUUAAUUUAAAAUUCUAUUUAAUCCAAAGAUUUAUUUAAGAUAAAUUAAUAAUAAUAUUUUUGAAAUUAUUUGAAAUACUAAAAAAUAUUUUAAUAUUACUAGUCUAUUAAAUAAAUUAAAUAUAUUUAAUAGACUAGUAAUAUUCUGAAAAAUAAUAAAAGAAGAAUUAAAAAAAGACUAGACAAUAGAGAUAUUCGAUUCUUUUAAAGCAAAUCGUAAUAUUCCACAAAGGAGUAAGAUCCACAAAAGCAAACAACCAGUUGGAUUCUUUUAAAGUGGAAUCGUUUAUUAAACAACAAAUUAAUGUUCAAAUAUUUAAAUAGCAGUGCAUUAGACGAUUAGACUGUCUUAUUAAAGGCGAGUAUAAAGUAGUCAAGAAUCGAAUAUCUCUAUUGUCUAGUCUUUUUUUAAUUCUUCUUUUAUUAUUUUUCAGAAUAGGUUUUGGUGAUUACAAUGGGUUAUUAUUCAGAGUUAUUGUUAUCUUCCGGGUCAAUUUCUGUUCAUCGAAGUCGUUAAUUCAAAUUUUAGAACUUUUAUCAAAAGAAUGUUUUUCGUUAUCUUUUUUAUGGUCUAAUUCCAAUUGUAAGAAGUAGUCAUUUUAAAAUUUGGGUCUUGAAUCGAAUUUCAGUGCAUGAAUUAAUAUUAAAAAAAAAUCACUACACACAGUUUAGGCUGCAGACUACUUUUUGCAAAUUUGACUCUGAAAAUUGGAGAAAUUAAGUAAUUUAGAAUGUUUGCAAAGAAAAAGACUAACAUACUUCCUAUUACACUAAAUCUCUAUUAUCAUAAUGUUGAGACUAAACUAACUUAAAUACGUUUUAUUUGAAAAGCUAUAUUAAAUGCAGCCUAAUUUUAUUAACCUGAAGAGCUAAUAGAAGUGUAGUUAUAAAAAUUAUAUUCUGACUUAAUUAGUACAAGUGAUAUAAAGGUUAAGUGUGCACUAUAUUUAAUAAUUAAUUAAUGGAGCAUGUUAAAUAAAAUGAUAAUUUAUAUUUAUAUAAUGUUAGGAAUAUGUAAAGUCUAAGUCCACAAGUUGCAUUAUCUUUAAUAUUUUCUCUCAAUUAAAUUCUAAAAAUACUUUACAAUUAUUUAGUAACAACUGUAAAUUAAGAAUAAAUUAUUGUCCCAAACAACAUUAAAAAAUAUUUUAUUCCAUUUGAAUCCUUUAAUUUUUUUUACAGUAUAUAGAUAAUUAUUACUAUGUGAAUGUAAGUUUCUUAAGAUGGGACCUAUAACAAUUUAGAACUUAUUACAACGGGGAGUUUAUUAGGACCAAAAUUUUUUAUGAGUACAUAAAGUUAUCUUGUAUAGAAUAUUAGUAUAUAGAUGUUUUACUGUAAUUAGUCUAGAACAUUUAAAAAAAAAAAACAUAUACCGUCCCUUGGAUGUAGCUCUUGGGUGACCAUGAAUGUUCUUUGUUCCACAUACGNNNNNNNNNNNNNNNNNNNNNNNNNNNNNNNNNNNNNNNNNNNNNNNNNNNNNNNNNNNNNNNNNNNNNNNNNNNNNNNNNNNNNNNNNNNNNNNNNNNNACCCUCUAUGGGAAUAAUCUAUUUAGUUAUAAAAAAUUAUGAUCCCAAUUUAGACUAGUUAUAAAUAACAACAAAUUCCACUUUGUAAUAAAUUAUAUUUUUUCUAUAUCUUAUCUUAAGAAACUUAUCUCUACAUAGUAAUAAUUAUUUGUAUAGGUAAGAAUGGAUCAAGAUCCUCUCCUGAUCUGAGCACUCCUGAUCUUUUACAGAUCUUAUACCACCUGUGUUUUACUGUUAGUGGAUGAUUAUGAUUUGACUAUUUUUUCUUUUUAAUUUAUUAAUCACCAAUUAUAUUAAUAAAAUUUGCUCAGAUGAAGAUCAGAUCAAGAAAGGAUCCUGAUCCAAUAAGAAUACAUGUUAUAUUAGACUAAAGGAACUUGUCUGCACAUAACGAUUAGACAACGAGCGAAAAUUAUUAAAGCGAAUGCAAAUAAUUAGAAUUUUUUAAGAUGACUUUGUAUAUUCACAAUAAUAAUUGAUAGAUACAUGUACCAACGUUUUAAUAUAUUUGACAUCCUCCAUUAAUAAAUCAUUGAUGUAAUAUAGACUUUAUCUCUAUAUCCUCACACUACGGACAACUAAGUCAUAAUAAUAAUUUUUGUAACUACAUCUCUAUUACUUCCUCAUAAUAAUAAGUUAAUUUGAUCUCUACAUUAUGACUAUGGAGAUUUUAUUGUAUAGGGACACCCAAUAUAAAUAGUAUCCCAACUAAAAUUGUCCCAAAAAAAAAAUCGCUAAAGGAUAAUUAUAAUUUUUUUUCACUUCUCAAACGUUGGUGGCAGUUGUAAGCUAAGUUGUCAAAUAUAUUAAACUACAAGUGCUGCCACCAAGUGCGAUGCUCUUUUCUAAAGAGAAGUACAGUGGGUCCCGAAUAGGACGUGCUUAAAUCUGUUUAAAUUUUUCCAGUAUAACUAACAGAGGUCAUUACUAGAAUUAUAUUACUAGCCUAUUAGAUAGAAAAAAUUAGUUAUAUUAUUUUAUAUUUAUUAAAAAAGUUUAAAGUUAAUCUUUUUAAUUACUAUUUAAAAGAUAUUAUAAUAAAAAAAUAGUGUCUUUACUAAAAAUUUAGAAAUUUAUUUGACCGUUCUCUAAACUUUAUUUAAUAUUAUUGAUUUAAAUAAUAUCUAAAUUAAAAAUGUACAGAGAAGAAAUUUCGGUGGGUAUAUUAGUCUUUUACUUUUAACGUUAGUGGCCUUCUUAUAUUUUAUUACAAAUUAAUCCUAACAAGAAAAAGCUAGAUCAUAUUCCACAAAAGCAAGAGUGACAAAACAUGAAAACAACCAACUGGAUUCUUUUAUUAAACUACAAAUUAAAAUUGUUUUUUUUAAUAAACUAUAAAUUAAAGCGGAUUCUUUUGAAUACAGGUGGGACAGACUUAAGCUCUUUUAUUAAAGGCAAGUAUAAAGUAGUCAAGAAUCGAAUAGUCUUUUUCAAAUUCUUGUUUUAUUAUUUUUCAAAACUAAUUUUUGGUAAUUACACUCGGGUCAUUAAUCAUUAUUCAGAGUCAUUGUUAUCUUCGGAGACAGUGGGUAAAAGAUAAUUACUGGCUGUUUUUCCUUCAAAAGUUAGUGGCUCAUGUUUGCAAGUGUGAAUGUGCGAUGCUCUUUUUCCAAAUGCAAUUACAGUGGGUCCCGAAUCGGAGGAUAAAAAUCCUUUUAGUUUUUGUAUUUUAAGAUUAGUAUAUAUUUAGUCUUUAUAUUUUUAAAAAUACCUCGAAACAUUCAUGCCGUUAAAGUAUUGAUACCACUACCAUUACUUUUCAUUUCUUUUAACUUAAUUUUACAAUAUUACCCUUUUAUAAUAAUUUUUUUAGACAUUAAUAAAAAAUAAUUAAAUCACUAAUUUAACUCUAAAAAAUAAAAAAAUUAUAUUAAUUUUUUUGCAAGCACCGUUUGCACACUUGGUAGGUUGCAUACAAUUUUUGAUAAUUAAAAAUUAAUAUAAAUUUUUAUUUUUAUUUUUAGGGUUAAAUUGAUAAUUUAAUUAUUUUAUUUUUAUUAAUGUACAAACAAAAAAAUUAUUAUUAAAGGGUAAUAUUGUAAAAAUAAGCCAAAAGAAAUGAAAAAUAACGGUAGAAGUAUCAAUACUUUAACGACAAGGAUGUUUCUAGAUAUUUUUAAAAAUAUAGAGAUUAAAUGAAUACUAAUCUUCAAAUACAGGAUUAAAUAGAAUUUUACCCCGAAUCGAACGUGCCUAAAUCUUUUUAAAAUUUUUGCCGUACAACGGACAGAGGUCAUUACUAAAAUUUCUCUUCCACAGCCCACAUCAGCUUCAGGAAUCAGUUUAUCAAACUCAAUCAAUUUUCUUUCUUAACAAAAUUCCAAAGAUGUGUAGCAUUUUUCAGAUCACAUGCGAUGGUGCUUUUUUCAAUCGUUGCUUGGAUUGCUUUCUUGGAAAAGCAGCAUACACACGUAACCUCCAAGAUAAUCUUGUGGCCUUGCAGACUGAAUUAAUGAAACUAAACGCAGCAAAGGACGAUCUGAUGAGGAGGGUCGUCAAUGCUGAACGUCAACAAAUGAGAAGGCUGGACGGAGUGCAAGUGUGGGUUUCGAGGGUGGAUGCUGUUACAACUGAAGCUAAUGAACUUAUCAGAGACGGCUCUCAAGAAAUUGAAAAAUUAUGUCUUGGAGGGUUCUGUUCCAGGAACUGCACGUCAAGCUACAAGUUUGGGAAACAAGUGGCUAAAAAGCUACGAGAUGUGGAGGCUUUAUUUGCCGAAGGGGUUUUUGAGGCGGUGGCUACCAAGGUGGUGCCUGAGAGAGCUCCAGAGCCUGUAGCAGAUGAAAGACCUGCCGAGCGAACAGUAGUAGGCUUGCAAUCACAACUUGAACAAGUCUGGAGAUGUCUUGCAGAAGAAUCAGCGGGAAUCAUUGGCCUAUAUGGUAUGGGCGGUGUUGGUAAAACUACACUAUUGACCCAUAUCAACAAUAAAUUUCUCGAGAGUCCAACCAACUUUGAUUGUGUGAUUUGGGUAGUAGUUUCAAAAGACCUGCGACUCGAAAAAAUUCAAGAAGAUAUUGGGAAAAAGAUAUGUUUGGUUGAUGAUGAUUUGUGGAAGAGUAAAAUUUUUGAAGAGAAAGCUGUAGCCAUCUUGCGGAGAUUAGGAGAGAAGAGAUUUGUAUUGUUGUUAGAUGAUUUAUGGGAGCGGGUUGAUUUAACAAAAGUGGGCGUUCCACUUCCCAGACCAAAAAAUACUACCUCAUAAGUCGUAUUCACAAGCCGUUUCAUCGAUGUUUGUGGUAGCAUGGAAGCUGGCAGGAAGUUCCAAGUAGCAUGCUUAUCAGAAAAGGAUGCUUGGGAACUGUUUCAAGAAAAAGUUGGGGAAGAAACUCUUGAGAGUGAUCAUGAUAUCGUUGAGCUAGCCCAAACCGUGGCCAAGAAGUGUGGUGGUUUGCCACUCGCACUUAUUACUAUUGGUCGAGCUAUGGCCAUCAAAAAGACAGCCGAGGAGUGGAGACAUGCAAUUGAAGUGUUAAGACGAUCAGCUUCAGAGUUUCCAGGUUUGGGAAAAGAGGUGUAUCCUCUUUUAAACUUUAGCUAUGAUAGUUUGCUGAAUGAGACGAUUAGAUCUUGUUUCUUAUAUUGUUGUUUAUAUCCUGAAGAUUAUGGCAUUCUUAAAUGGGACUUGAUUGAUUGUUGGAUUUCUGAGGGAUUCUUAGAGGAAUCUAAUAGGUUUGGUUGUUAGAGUGCAAUUUAUGCACUAGUUUUGCAUUAUUUACUUCCCUUAAUAUCAAUGUUUUGCACUUAAUAAUAGUGAUUUACUUGUGUUUUACUUUUGUAGGUGCAAUUCUAUUGAUUGAUGAUAAAAUUGAGCUAUAAGAUGAUGUUUAAGGAUGAUUGUUCUCUUGAAGAAAUUAUGAGCGUCAGAAGAACUUUGUUGAUAAGGCGUGGGCGCGUGCUGUCAACUGCGGACCUGCAGUUUUAGUUUAACGUGUUUUGUAUUUUUGGUUAUUUUUGUAAUUACGAAUUUAAUAUUUCAGAUAUUAGGAUUUUAUUUUAAAUAGAAUUCUAAAAGAGAAGAGAGAGAAAGUAUUUAAGGGAGGAAUCUAUUGUGAAAGGGGGAUUUUGGAUUGGAGAAAAAGAAACCCUAGAUCUAAUUUUUCUCUUCUCUCUAUGAGGAACUAAACCCAUUUUUCUGGUUGAAGGUUAAUGAAGCUUUGAUUCAUCACUACUGUGAGAUCUUUCUUGUGCUUUAAUUGUUUUAUUACUUUUUGGGUAUUUGUUUAUUCUCUGAAUUAUUUUCAUGAUUAUGUUUGUUAAUUAGGUAAUUGGCCACUAUUUAAUUAUCAACUUAAUCUAUUGUCAAUUAAAGGAUUCAUCGUAUGAAGAAUUUAAUGUUUGUGACAAAUAACAUAGCAGAGAGUUGUGUUGUGAGAAUAAACAAUCUAAUUUAAAUGAAUCAUCAUAUGUGUUGAUUAGGAUUUGGGUCUCUCUGGUUUUUCAGGCUGUCAAUUGAUUAAAUUCUAUGAUCGUAUCUAGGGUUGUCUAUUGAUUAGGGAAAUAACCAACGGUCGUACCUUGGUUAUCGACUAGUUAAGGAGAGAUUGGCUAUUAGAGGGUCUCAGUAGCUAUAACCGGUCUAUUCAUGAGUAAUAAUAAUCUAUAUUUGAAUCAAUGAUCAGUAGUCGAAUCAAGCUGAGUUAAUUCCUUCAACCAGAGCUUUCUCCAAUUUGAAUUACAACUUUAAUUUGCAUUCUUGUUAUUUUAAUUUGAUUUUUAUUAUUGUCAACAAUUCCCCUAUUUUACGUUUUACGUUUCAAAAGGAUUUAAUUAAUUACCGAUCUCUGUGGACACGACCCUGCUCAAUCACUAUACACAAUUUAUUUAGAGUAGGAAUUUACUUUUGUUGGCUUCGACACCCAUCAUUGGUGCAGAAAACCGAGGAUACUACAUUGUGGGCACUCUUGUUCAUGUGUGUUUACUAGAAGAGAUAGAAGAUGAUAAAGUAAAAAUGCUUGACGUUGUUCGUGAUAUGGCUCUAUGGAUAGCUUGUGAAACUGAGAAGGAGAAGAUAAACUUUUUGGUUUGUGCAGGUGCUGGAUUAGAAGAGGCACCGGAUGUUAAAGAAUGGGAAAAUGUGAGAAGAUUGUCAUUGAUGCAAAACCAAAUUGAAACUCUGUCAGAGGUUCCCACAUGCCCUCAUUUCGUCACUUUAUUUCUUGACUUUAAUGGGGAGUUGAAGAUGAUCGCGGAUGGCUUCUUCCAACUUAUGCCUUCUCUCAAAGUUUUGAAGAUGUCAAACUGCUGGAAUUUGAAAUUUCUUGUUGGGAUGUCAAAGUUGGGUUCGCUACAGCUUCUUGAUAUUUCACAGAACGCCAUAGAAGAGUUACCAGAAGAGUUGAAGUUGUUGAUAAAUCUGACAUGUUUGAAUUUGAGGGGGACAGGCCAAUUAAAUAAAAUUCCACGGCAACUAAUAUCAAAUUUUUCAAGGUUACGUGGGUUAAGGAAGUUCAUAACGUGUGCAAGCAGUCAACUCAAGGUUAGCACGUGGGAGAAUUUGCUGAGCUAAAGUUAGUUAAAUAAGCAAUGCCAGCUCAACAAAUUCAGUCAAGGUUUACUGAGAUUUUAUUCCUAUUGUUUUCUUUUCUGUUAACAAUGUAUAAAGGUGUUCUUUGUACUCAUUUGAUCAUUAAGAAAAAAAGAAAUAAAAUCUAGAAUAUUCUCUGAAGUUUUCUCAGUAAAACAGAGUAAAUUUUCUCAGUAACUAAACAGUAUAUAUCAGUGGAAUUUACGUUUUAUAACAUGGUAUCAGAGCCAAACAGUAACCAGCAAACAAUGAUGAGAAAUCUAGCAAUCAAUAAUACACAUCAACACACUCAAAUCAAUUUCUCUUUCACGAAUCCAAUUAAACUAGAUCGAUCAAACUACCUGCUCUGGCGUUCACAAGUUCUGGCUUCGAUUAGAGGUAAUCGACUAGAAGACUUCAUAACUAGAAUCAAAUCAACAUCUGAAGAAAAUAUUUUGUUAGCUGGAGUUGAUGGAUCUACACAACAAAUUGAGAAUCCUGAGUAUCAGAUCUGGAGAUCACAAGAUCAAAUUCUUCUUGGUUGGCUACUGUCAACCUUAAGUGAAGGUAUCCUUAGUCUUGUUAUUAACUGUAAAAGCUCAUUUUCUUCAGCUCAGAUAUGAACUGAACACUCUUAAAAAGGAGUCUCUUAGUAUUGAAGAUUAUUGUGUUAAAAUGAAAGCAAUAGCUGAUAAGCUUGCUAGUGCUGGUAGCUCGAUAACAGAAAAGGAUCUAAUGCUAACCAUACUCAAUGGAUUAGGAUCAGGAUAUAGUGAUAUUGCUACUUUCAUAACUGGUUCACGAAUGGAAUUUGAUGAUACUUAUGCAUUAUUGCUCACUCAUGAAACUAGGUUGGAACAAGAUCAUGAUGAUAAGAGUAUGUUCAAUGCUAACUAUGCAUAUACUAAUGCAUUUCAUCCUAAGGUUUAUUAUGCACAGCCUAGAGGAAAUUUUAAGAGAGGAGGUUAUUAUGGUGGUAGGAAUGUUUUCUCUGGUAGAGGGAAUAUGAAUUUUUCUCCAAGAAUGUUUAAUGGAGGUUUUAGAAGUGGUUUUGGUAGAGGAUAUUAUGUUGGUAAUCCUUUUAAUGGUAAUAAUUCUUUAGCACCAAAGAAUUCAUCAUCUGUUAUCAAGAAUGGAUCACAGAGAACUUUUAAUAACAAUCCAGGGGACUCAGUAUGUCAGAUUUGUCUCAAACUUGGUCAUACUGCUGAUAUUUGUUGGCAUAGAUUUGUUGAAGAUUAUGUGCCAAUGCCAAGGGGUUUUUAGAAAAGGAAAAGCACCCAGAGCAGCAUCACUACUAGAAAAAUAGCUUUUACUGAUACUUGUCUUGUGAUACUUUUCUAAAAAGUAUCAGCAAUUACAUAUAUUUGGGCCAUUUUCCGUGUUUAACAAACAAGUGUCACAAAUUACUGAUUCUAUGAUGUUUGUAUAUUAAACAUCAGAGAUCGUCGACACUAAGGUAUCAGAAACAACAAAAAAAAAUAAAAAAUCUAUUUUUGUUUUAGUUGCGACUCGAACCUAGGACCUCAAAACUAAAGUGCUUUAUGUUCAACCAACAAACCACCAUGCCAAAUUCAUAAAUUAGUUUGUGUUGAACAUGUUGAAAUUAUCAAAUUAAAUUAAUAUAGAAAACAAAAAUAUAAAAGCAAAAGAAAAAAACCCUAAAUCAACAUAAACAUAAAAUUCCCUAACUCCUAAAUCCAUGGCCAGCCGCCUCAUCUCUCUGGCGAUAUCCUUCUUCUUCUUCAUACCUCUAAAACUUCGAGCCCUAAAAUUCAAGGGUCCAUGUCAUAAGAAAUCCUACCACCACUGCUCAAAUUCUAACACCCAUACCAUACGAAACCCUAAUGAUCUACAUUAUGCAAAACAUCCACCAUGCCGCUAUGCCACAAGCUCACAAGACCCGCUUUAGAUCUCCACAUUUUGCUCACCCUACUCGAGUGCACACCGCCCCUCUCGCUUCGACUUCUCGGGAUUUCUUGUUAGCUGAAGUUUUGUUUUCUUCCGCUAAUUCGAUCUUCGAAAGGUCUCGGAGCUCCAAGUAACUAAGUAAGCUCGGUUUUCUUCUAUUCUCUCAGAUACUUGCUUACACAUUCCUUUUUUUUUCGUGUUAAAUUUUGUUGUUUCGUUGUGUUAUAUGGAUCGAUGAGAGUCACAGACUUUGACGAGACAAUGACGAUAUUGUUUUGGAGUUUCGUUUCGUAGAUCUGUGAUAGAGUCUCCUUUUUCAGAUAUUUCCUUUCAUUUACCAUAUUUGCACAAUUUGUUUUGUCAUUAAAUUAUUUGCGUUUGAAUGUACAAUUUUUGUUUUCGUUUUAUAUUUUCAAAUACUGUUUCUUGGAGCGAAUUAGUGGAGGAAUUUUUGGUUGAAGCAGAGGAUGGAUAACUUUUGUAUUUUGAACUUUGUAUGUUAUUUAUUAUUUGAACUUGAAGCUAAAAGGUGACCAAAUUUUCCAAAGGUUAGGGUUUGGUUGGCUUAUGUGAAAAUGCCGAACGAAUGUGUAUUAUUCAUACUCCAAUAUUGUAGGUGCGUCAAUGCACCUCCUUGCGAUGGUUGCAGCAACGAAACUGUAGGUCAAGGUUUGGGUACCCCAUUUCCUUCAAAGAUCCAAUAUGGAGCAACUCGAGUCGAGCUUUUUCGGUCAAUUUAAACAAAACCUUUACUCCUAAUUUAUUGUCUUUUGCUUUCUGUUUGUACCUGUAGGAGUUCAUAUUUUGUAAUGUUCCGUAAGUGUCCAAUAACUGGUUAAAUUAUGACUUAUGCUAGGUGAAGAUUUUGUGUUACAAUCCCCUUCAAUAGGCAAUCACUCUUUUUGUAAAUGUUCAUGGGUAAUUGCUUUGCCUUUGCUUCUGUUGUACUUUUGUUUUUGUGGGGUUUUAGUUAAUGGAUGUUGAGUUAUAUUUCAAUCAGUUUGAUUUCUCUGCAUAUUUUUCAUAUUUUAGUAUUAGAAGAGGUAUUUAAUCAAAUGAAGACAAAAACAAUUGUCGGCCAACCAACAAACUCACUUUAGUUUGUUGUGAAAUGAUUUUCUCUCUCUCUCUCGAUUUUCACUGGUUCUGUGGUUUUUUCCCUUCCACAAUGUGAUUUAGUUCUGUUCUAUUUAUGGAUGUUACCAACAUUUUAGCUUUUAAGAAACAGACAAAAAGAUUCUGAAGUUUGUUUCUUGUUUCUUACUCUGAAUUUCCAAGGCAUCUUAUUUGGAGAAAUGCAUUCUGAAUGGAGAAAUUUCUCCAAAUUUAUGAGAUGUGGUUCUGUCUUGCUGAAUGAACAUUGUAUUUCCUUCAAUGGUUUGCGAGCCAUUAAGUUAUUUGAGCAAACAAAAUUAGCAAUAUGGAAUCCUGUUUCUACAGGAUUAUAGUUGUAGGACUCUAGAAUUUAGUCUAGGUAAUGUUUUUACCAUUGUAAAAAGUAUCUGACAUUGGUGAUGUUUAAGCAUAUGUGUCAUUUCUUUUGGGCUUCACUUUGGAUCCUUUUUUUCUUUUUUUACAAACAAUGGAUGGUUAAAACCUAAGAGACUGAUUGAUUUUUGUUUUAAAUCCAGUGGUUAUGCCUUGUAAACUUUUGAGUUGUAUCAAUUUCUUUUCCUGGCCUAACUUGGCUAAAUUUAUGCUAUAUAAUUGAAUUCUACAAAUUUUGGCUAUGUAUGAUGUAAAGGUCAUAAGUCUUGUAUCUUCAUUUGUUCACCACAGGCUUGAUACUUCACAACUACCAUAAGUUAUGUCAUGCCAUGUCUUCUUUAGCAAUAUUGUGUGGCUUUGAGUAGUAUUAAUGUUUUUGUUUGUUAAUUCACGACUUAAUGGAACCAUUUUCCUUAUAAUCGAGAACCUUCGUGCGAGUGUUGUGGAGAAAUCUUAUGAUUCAUGUGUAGGUGUGUUUGCUUAAUGUGAUGACUUUUAUUAUGUGUUGUAGUUCUUGUGUCUAUAAGAGGAACCUUUGCUCCUAUGUCUAUUUAUCUCCGACUUUCAGUUUAGGCGUAAAUAGGUUACUCUUCUUUCUUUCUCAUUUUUUAAUUUCUAUGUUCUCCUAUGUCUAUUUACAUGGACUGCUUUGCUGCUUCUCUGCAGUGAAAACAACCCUGGUAAUUUACAGGAGCUUUUUUCACUUCAGAACAAUAGCAAGACAUCCCCUGCAGAUUUUUUAUUGAUUUUGCAUAGAUUGGUUUGUUGCUUUGGGUUGGAAUGCUACUGGAUAUAUGUCAGAAUUAUAGCGCUAUUGGAAGAUGGUGGGUUGUUGCAUAUGAGUUGGAGUGUUCCUGGGUAUGUAGCUAGAAUUAGAGUGCUGUUGGAAGAUGGUAUUGCUACUGGAAGUUUUGCUCAAAAACUUGUCGUUGGAAUACUUGCAUUAAUUUUUGGAAAUUUUAUUGGGUAACUUGGCUAGGUGGCUGAAAUUUUAAUUGCUUUUGUGUAUUGAAGCAUUUGGAUUGUGUAAUAUAUAUUGAUAAUAUUUAAAUGUUAUGAAAGGUUUUGAUAAAUAAAUUGAUUUUUGUUCUUAUUUCUCACAGCCUUUUAAUUCUAUCAACAAAUCAAUGGGUAAUGUCAUUUUGUAUAAUUAUUUUUUUAAAUAAUACAUAAAGUAGUGAUACUAUAGUAACAGUAUCACAAAUACUAAUAUAGUAUUGUAAUAUUUUGAUACCAUGGUGUUAUGAUUUUAAUGAUACUAUAGUAAUAGUAAUUACUGACACCACUUACAAGUGUCACUAUUUUUCUGACUGCCAGAUUACUGACACAAUUAGCAAGUGUCACUAAAAGUAAUUACUGACACUAUUCUAAUGUCAGUAAAGACCAUUUUUCUAGUAGUGCAUAUCUGUCAAAUUUUGAUGGUUCUGUUUCAAAUCCAAACUUUGAAGAUUAUGAGAACUUCAACUAUAUGCCUUCAGCUUAUAAUCCUAUGUCUGGCAAUAGCUAUUAUUCUGGUUUUGAUGCUUGUACUCCUGGAGUAGCAUUUAUGGCUAACUUUGAAGGAGUUGCUAAUGAUGAAUGGUACUUGGAUAGUGGGGCAACUCACCAUCUGGACAACAACAUGGAGAGCUUGCAGAUCAGUGAGGAGUUUAAGGGUACUGAUUAGCUCAUAAUUGGUAAUGGUCAAGGUUUGUUUAUCACUAAUGUUGAUUUUGCAUUUCUGUCACAAAGAGCAUCAAAUUACUUAUCUGCACAUUCCAGAAUAGCACUUAAGGAUAUAUUACUUGUUCCAUCAAUUACCAAAAAUCUACUAAGCAUUUCCAAAUUGACAUCUGAUAACCCUAUAACUGUUGAAUUUUGUGGGAAUGUUUGUUUUGUGAAGGACAUGAAUAGACAAGUUCUGCUGCAGGGACUUGCCGAAAAAGGUCUAUACAAGCUGCUGCUGAGUUCUAAUUCCUCUUCUUCAUUUCCUUCAUCUCAUCUUUGUCAUACUCAACUAAAUAAUUAUGUCUCAAUGUUGUCUAGCUUUCAAAGCUUUGAUAAUCCUUCUAAAGUUUGUUAUCAUUCUGUUUUCAAUAAAUGCAAAACCAAAUAUGAUGUAAUGACAUUGUUACAUAGAAAAUUUGGUCAUCCAAGUUCAAUGAUUCUGAUGCAUUUAGCUAAGUCUUGCAAGCAAUUAAAAAUCUCUCAAAAAGAUAUUCUAUCUUGUACAAAUUCUUUGUGUGAGGCAUGUCAGUUAGGCAAAGUUCACAGGCAAAGUUUUCCAGCAACUGAAACAAAAACAAAAGGAGUAUUAGAACUGAUUCAUACUGAUAUCUAGGGACCUUCACCCACUGUAUCUAGAAAUGGAUACAAGUAUUACAUUAGUUUUGUGGAUGAUUACACUAGAUACACCUGGAUCUAUCCACUUAAGCUUAAAUCACAAGCAUUUGAAGUUUUCAAACUGUUCAAGGCACAAGUUGAAAAUUAGUUUAAUACCAAGAUUAAGGAAUUACAAUCUGAUCUGGGGGAGAGAGUUUAGAGUAUUCAGUAAUUUCCUAAGUCAAAAUGGAAUCAAGUUUAGACAUUCAUGCCCUUAUACUCAUCACCAGAAUGGUCUUGUUGAGAAGAAACAAAGACACAUAAUUGAAUUAGCAUUAACACUCUUAGCUCAAGCUAAUCUCCCUUUUCAGUUUUGGUGGAAAGCUGUUCACACAGCAACAUAUCAUAUUAAUAGGUUACCAACACCUGUUCUUAAGCUUUUAUCUCCUUAUGAAAAGCUCUUUAAACACAAACCAGAUUAUUCAUUUCAUAAGUGCUUUGGUUGCCUAUGUUAUCCAUAUAUGAGAGAUUUAAAUAAACACAAAUUUGAUUUUCACACCACCAAAUGCAUCUUCAUUGGCUAUAGUCAUUCUUACAAGGGUUAUAAGUGUUUAACAAGCUCAGGAAAAAUUCAUAUCCUAAGGCAUGUUAUCUUUGAUGAAAAUACAUUCCCUUACUUAACAAACAAAGUCUUUCAUUUAUCCGAGAACAGUUCAAAUUCUGAAAUAUCAGUGUCAAACUUUUCCCAGUAACAAAUUUAUCAUCUCUCCACAUUAUCCUUAACUGACAGCAGCUUGGAAGAUCUUCAAUCAGCAAGUUCAGAAAGCAAUGAACAAGUACCUUCUGUUUCUGCACACACAAAUAAUCUGCAUCAACAAGAGCAUUCUCAAGAGCAUUCCUCAUCAACUAUACCAUUAUCACCAACACAACAACAAACUGAAUCACAACCACAAAAUGAACCACAUCUAUCUACUUCCUAGCACAUAAAUCAAACUCAAACUAGAAACCUUCCUUCACAACCAUCACAUUCAAUGGUAACCAGAUCGAAAAUAUGGAAUCUUCAAGCCAAAAGUUUACAUAACCACCUUAACCAACAAAGAACCCAGUACUGUUCAAGAAGCUCUAAGUGAUCAGAAUUGGCAUCAAGCUCUGAAAGAUGAAUAUGAAGCUUUGCUUAGGAAUGAAACAUGGUCACUAGUACCAUUUUCAGAGGUAUACAAGGUUGUUGACAGUAAAGGGGUUUUCAGAAUUAAACAAAACACAGAUGAGAGUGUAGCUAAAUACAAAGCCAGGUUAGUUGCAAAGGGUUUCCAGCAAACUAAUGGUGUUGACUACUUUGAGACCUUUAGUCUUGUGGUAAAGGCCUGCACAGUAAGAAUUAUUUUUAGUUUGGCUGUGAUGAACAAGUGGAAAAUAAGGCAAGUGGAUGUCAAUAAUGCAUUCUUAAAUGGAGAAUUGACUGAAGAUGUUUACAUGUAUAAGCCAGAAGGUUUCAUUGAUGAGAAAAAGUCCAGUUAUGUAUGCAAGUUGAAGAAAGCCCUGUAUGGCUUAAAACAAGCUCCUAGAGCUUGGUAUGAUAAGUUGAAAAACCGUCUGAUAAGUUGAAAAACUGUUUGAUAAGUAAUUGGGGUUUUCAAAAUUCCAGAGCUGAUACUUCUCUCUUCUUCAAAGAGAUUCAAGGCUCAAUAAUACUUGUGCUUAUAUAUGUGAAUGAUAUACUUAUUACAGGGCCUGACAUUGGAGAAUUAGAGAAGUUUAUCUUAGAAUUCAGUAAGACAUUUGCUUUAAAGGAUCUAGGAAUACUAUCAUACUUUCUUGGGAUAGAAGUCUCUUAUGCUGAUGGUUGUAUGUACUUAUCUCAGAGAAAGUAUAUUAAUGAUCUCUUGUCUAAAGCUGAUAUGUUGAACUGUAAAGGGUGUGAUACUCCCAUAGCGAUUGGACUGAAACUUCAAAAGGAGGUUAAAGGUUGUUUAGGUCAGUAUGUUGAGGAUGCAACCAGUUACAGAAGUUUGGUUGGAGGCUUGCAAUAUCUGGUGUUAACCAGACCAGAGAUAGCCUUUGCUGUGCACAAACUCAGUCAAUAUGUGACAGCUCCAACAUUGCAGCACAUAAUGGCCUGUAAACGAGUUCUAAGAUACCUAAAGGAAACCAUGGAUUAUGGUCUAAAGUUUUCAGCUGGUGGAGAAAUGGAAAUCACAGGUUUUAUAAAUGCAGAUUGGGCAUGCGAUAUUGAUGACAGAAAAUCUAUAGGUGCAUACUGUAUCUAUUUUGGAAAUAAUCUGGUGUCAUGGUCAUCUAAGAAGUAGUCUGUGGUGAUAAGGUCUAGUGCAGAAAGCGAAUACAGAGCUUUGGCUUCUGCAAGUGUAGAAAUAGCAUGGAUUCAAUCUUUGUUCAGUGAGCUAAAUAUAAGAUGUGUCUCAGUACUUAUCAUCUGGUGUGACAACAUGAGUGCAACAAAGUUAAGAUAAAAAUCUAGUCUACCAUUCACGUACCAAACACAUUGAACUGGAUAUGCAUUUUGUUAGAGAUAAGGUUUUAGCAGAGGAGCUGAAAAUUAACUUCAUUCAAAGUGAAGAACAGAUAGCCGAUGUCCUAACAAAACCUCUCACAUUCAUUCAUUUUAAUUAUUUCAUAAACAAACUCAAUGUGCAGCCAUGCCCCUUGAGUUUGAGGAGGGCUGUUAAGGAAGCUCAUAACGUGUACAAGCAGUCAGCUCAAGGUUAGCACGUGGGAGAAUUUGCUGAGCUAAAGUUAGUUAAGUAAGCGAUGUCAGCUCAGCAAAUUCAGUCAAGGUUUACUGAGAUUUUAUUCAUAUUGUUUUCUUUUCUAUUAACAAUGUAUAAAGGCAUGCUUUGUACUCAUUUGAUCAAUAAGAAAAGAAGAAAUAAAAUCCAGAAUAUUCUCUGAAGUUUUCUCAGUAAAACAGAGUAAAUUUUCUUAGUAACCAAACAGUACAGAUCAGUGGAAUUUACGUUUUAUAACAACGUGUGUUGAGAAUGUUGGGUAUUGGCCAAUUCAAUUUUCAUGAAGCACCAGAAGACAACGCUUUAUUUGGUGGGGGUGAAGUUUUGAUACAGGUAUUGCUCGGUUUGAAAUAUUUAGAGGUAUUGGAGUUGACCUUGGGAAGUUAUCAUGCUCUCCAAAUUCUUUUGAGCUCAAAUCAGUCAAAAAGUUGUAUUCGAUCUCUUCUCCUCCACAAGUUUAGAGGUACAACGCCGAUUAUUGAUGCUACGGCUUUCGCAGAGCUAAACCACCUCAACGAAUUAUUUAUUAAUAAUAGUAUUGAGUUGAUAGAAUUGAAGAUUGAUUAUACAGAGAUAGUACAAAAAAGGCAGGAACCUUUUGUUUUCCGCAGCCUUCACCGUGUUACCAUAUUUAGGGCCCGUUUGGGAGUGAGGUGCUGUAGCUUUUAAGCUGCAGUUGCUGUGGAGUAAAAGCUAUAGAUGUGGAAUGGAAGUUGAUGGUGUUUGGUAAAAGUGUUGUAGCUUUUAAGCUGCAACUACUGAUGGUGUUUGGUAGAGUGGAUGAAUAUUUGUAAUAAUUAAUUUUAAAUAACAUUAUUUUUAAUUGUUAACAAAUCAAUUAUUUUUCAUUCUUCAAAUUAUUAUAUUGACAUACAAUUACGAUUUAUUCCGUUACAAAUUAAAUUAAUAUUUAAUAAAUCAAAUUUAUUUUUUUGCACAAGUUGUAAUAAAUAAUUUAUAAAACACAUCAUGGGGUCAAUUAUAAAUAAUUUUAAAUAACUAUUAUUGACAAUGCCAACCGGGCAGUGUACAUGAUAUGCUUCUCCAAAUUGCUUCGGUUUGUACCUGAUAUGAUUAAUCGAGUAUUAUUUACAAUACCAAAUAUAUCUAAUAAAAAUCAUACAACAAAACAAAAUAAAAUUAAAAUGUAAUUAAUUACAAAAUUUGUAUAAAUAUUUCUAUUGUUGUGCCUCCAUUAAACUUGCAGCAAUGCCAUCUUUCAAGAUUAUUAUAUCUUGAGUUGUGCUAUCAAUUGUUUCAUAACUUUCUUCAUGAGAUGCAAUAUGUUCGCUAAUACUAUGACUUGGUUCAUCCGUCAUUUCAUCAAAAUGAUCAUUAUUUUGUGAAUAUCUUCUGAUAUAAUUAUGCAAGGCCAUGGUAGCAAUAACUAUUUUCACCUGCUUCUUGAAUGGAUAGCUUGGCAUACUUCGUAAAAUCUUCCAUGUAUUCUUCCAAACCCCAAAAGUACGCUCAAUAACACUUCUCAAGGAAGAGUGCUUGUAGUUGAACAAUUCUUUAUAACCCAUUGGUUGGCUACCUCUACGAAAUUCAGGAAGGUGAUAUCUUUCACCCUUAUAUGGUCCUAAGUACCCACAUAACUCCGGAUAUCCUGCAUCUACUAAAUAAUAUUUUCCUAAAAAUAAAAAGAAAAAUACAAAAUAAAUAAAACAAUCUAAUCAAUUGAAUAUGUAUAUAUAAAAGAAAAAUUAGAAACACAAACCUGGAGGAGGGUUUGGAAAAUUGAAUGCAGGAUUCGUAAUAGUUGUUUGAAAUACCCUUGCAUCAUGGGCACUGCCUUCCCAACCAGCCACUGCAAAUAUGAAUUGCAUAUCAAAGCUACAUACAGCCAUUACAAAUUCUUUUCCCACCAUUCCUCACUUGCAUCAACUGUCCUCAACCUAUGAUUCCACCCUAAACCAGUUUCUUUGCCAAUCAAAUUCUUCCACAAUUUCCAAUCAGUUCUAAGAGAAUCCCAUUUAUUUUUCAUUUGAGUUCUGUUGUAAUCUAAUCCAGUUUCUUUAGUGAACUCCUUAAUCAAAUUUUCAUAUCCUUGGGAAGUCAAAUGAGUCCCUGGACGAUGUCCGGCAUCCACCUCUUUAACGCAUAAGUCACAAAAUACAUCUAAAGUCUGGGGGUUCCAAGUAGCCUUACUAGUUGAGCUAUUAGACACAAUUUCAUACACUUAAACCUAGGAAAAAAAAUAUUUCUUUAUCAAACAACAAUACAGAAAAAAUAAGAAUAUAGAAGUUAAGAAAAUUACUAGAAUCUUGUUAUGGAUGGUGGAAGGAAAAAUAAUUCGAUAUUAAAAAAUUAAAAAAAAAGACAAACCAGAACAAGUUACCUUAGUUGUUACUUUACUUGAAAUACUUUUCCAGCAAACAAUAAUGAUCAUAGCCCACGAAUAGAAACAAUUACAAGCAAGUCAAUAAAGCAACAAAAGACAAACCAGACUAGGAAACAAAGAAAUUCAACUAAACAAUCAUUAGGUACAAACUGCAAUUGCAUUUAGCCUCACAAUCUCAAAUUUGCUACGUGCUUUGAUAUUUCCUGUACUAUUCUUUUGGCCCAUCCUAAGACAUAUACAAUUGCAAUUGCAACACUUUCUCCCUUCUUUUUUCUGUAAUUCGUAUGGCGACUUACGUAUAUAUAACCUAAUUAAUUGAAUUAAAUUGAUGAUGGGUUAGAAAAUCAUUAGGCUUAUUAAUUAUACGCGUCAAAAGAAUGGUCGGCCAAUAAUUAGGUGUCCUGCUUAUACUCCUGUAAUUUAGUCAUUCUCUAGUAAAUAUUAUUAAAUAAAAAGAAACACAAACAAUUAAGCUUAUUGGUAACUGAACUGGUGCCCAAAAAUAACAAGAGCAGGAGAAAGCAAACACACCCAAGAAUUUGACAAACUUCAACUUGAAAUCCAGAAUUUGACAAACUUCCUUUUGUUUACUGAAGCAUAGUAUUUCAUAACGAAGGCAUGCAUUUUAUUAUUUAAUGUCUUGUAGAACUGGAAACUCAAAUCAAACAGGGGUUGUGCAUGUUUAUAAAAAGCAACUACAAAAAUAAAAACUACAAUAAAAACAAUGGUUACAAGCAAAUAAAUCACGCAUGACCCAUCACCCAUCAAUUUAUUCUAACAAAAGCCCCAACAUUUUAUGAAUGAAAAGGAAGAAAAUGAAAAAUUGCUUGAAAUAGAGUAAAGGAGUACUCAAAAAUGAACAACAGAUAGAGGAAAAGGCACCACUGACAGAGGCGUAUGAGAGUGGCCGGUGUCGGAAUCGCGCCGAUGAGAAUUUCGGUGUCAGAAUCGCAUCAAUUGGAACUCCCACAGUCGGAAUCGUGCUGAUGAGAAUGGGUGUUUAGGGUUUGUUUAAAAAAAUCGAUUUGAAAUAGAACUCCCACUGACAUGACUGUUUGAUAAAAUGAAAAUGGAAUAAUAUAUAAAGUUAAUUUAGUAAUUAAACUUGCAGCUGGGAAAAAAAAUCUGUCAAGUUGUCAAAACACAACUAUAAGUGGUACCAAACACUUUGGUGGCUGGGCUGCUCACCACACUCCCAAACGGGACCUUAGUUGCGGUAAAUUGAAAGAUGUGACAUUCCUCGUUUUUGCUCCAAACCUCAAGUCUCUUUGGCUAUUCGAUUGCGGUGCUAUGGAAGAAAUAAUCAGCGUCGGAAAAUUUGCUGAGACUCCUGAGAUGAUGGGACAUAUAAUCCCUUUUGAAAAUCUCCAAAUGCUUAAUUUAAUGGAAUUGCCGGAGUUGAAGAGAAUUUUCUGGAAGCCAUUGCCUUUCACUCAUCUGAAAGAAAUAUCUGUGGGUUAUUGCCGUAAUCUUAAAAAGCUUCCACUCGAUUCCAACAGUGCAAAAGAGCGUAAAUUUGUAAUUCGUGGAGAAGAAGACUGGUGGAACCGACUUCAAUGGGAGGAUGAAGCCACUCAAAUUGCUUUUCGUUCCUGUUUCCAACCUCGUUCCUGAGCGGUGGUCGCAAAAUUUGAUUUCUGGUGAGUGCGUUUUUGUUAACGCUUAUGUUUUUAUUCCAGUGUGUUUUUCUUCUGUCUUCUGCAAAUCACGAUUAAAUGUUGAAUAAUAUGGAAUCAAUGCUUUAUAAAUUUUCCGGCGUGGCCAUUUCCUUUUCCCUUUUUUUUUUUGGGGGGGGGGGGGGGGCGUGGUUCGAUUGAUGCUCUGGCUUUUUACUUUUUGUCUUCGAAUUUUGCUCUGUUUUUCAAAUUGAUGCUUGAAUAGUUGAAUUCAAUUAAUGCUCACAUAAAUUUGUUUAGUUGCCGUAAAACGGUAAAAGGAUAUAAUUAGAUUGAAAUUCGCACUUCUAGAAUGAAUAGAAUUACAAUAGAGAAAAUAUUAAGUAUACAAGCCCUCUUUACAGAAAAUCAAAUGAAAAUAAAAUUUUUUGGAUAUUUGAUUUUCUAUGGUCUACUGUAUACGCUUUAUAAAUUCCUCUGCUUUAACGAUAACCAAAUCCUUUUUUCAAGGAUUUUUAUUUGGGGUAUUGAUAAUAGUCCACCAACAUAGUGAACGCUUGGAUGCUGCUUAAGGAUCUCUAAUCAGUAGCUGGAAGCAAAUGAGAAGGCGGUCGCUACUUUGUACAAAGCCAUGCAGCAAUUGCUAUUCAUUUUCAAACAAAGUUGAGAUGUUAUUUUCAGAUUUGGUUCCAGAUUUUGUAUGAAUAUCGUUGUUCCAUUGAGUUGUAUAUGAAUUCAAAUGUAAAAUAUUCUUUGGUUUUCAAUUUUGAAUUCAAUUUCUUUUUCUUAAGCAUGUUGUGCAGAAAUGAUUUCUACUAAAUCAUUUUUGAUAAACUAUUUAAAUUAAACAACUGGAAUAAGAACUGUAAGGAUUUAUCGUAAGCAGACUAAUAUGAUAAUUCUGAAACUAUCAUUUUUUUUUUUUCAAUUUGUUGCAGGGAAAGCCAAAUUUUGCGUUUUUCAGUUUUAUCUGAUAUGGGCUUUAUUUCCUCUACACUAGCUACCUAAAGAUUUAUCAAAUUGCUUCUCUUCCCUGCUUCAAAUAUCUUCAUGGCAUCAUAGGAAAAGAGAGUUUGGGUUGUAUUUAUUAUAGUUUUUAUUUUUUUUUUUGUUAUAAGCAAAUUUAUUUUAAAUACUUUAGUAGUAACAGUUUUUAUUGAAUAAUAAUGAGGGAUGAUUAUUAUAGGUUCAAAUAGUUGUUAGAACAUUAUAAAAAGUCUAUUUACUAUCAAAUGUUUUAAAUUGAUGCAACGUGAUAAUUGUCUCAUAUAAUUUUUUUAUAAUAUAUAUGUCCCAUAAUCUUAACAUGAAUAAAUGAAUUUCAACGGUUAAAUUUGACACGAUUAUUAAAUAGAUCAUAUCUAUAUUAAUUCGAUUUAAAAUCUGGUCACAUUUGGAUUUAGAGUUUCUAACAUGAUAACUUGUUUUAUGACAUGAUUUACUAAUCAAUUAAUAGUAAAUCAAAUGUCAGUCAAUUAAAUAUGUGGUACAUUUGUCAUAUUUUAAAAAUUAUUUAUUUAUAUUUGAAAUGAAUUUGGUGCNNNNNNNNNNNNNNNNNNNNNNNNNNNNNNNNNNNNNNNNNNNNNNNNNNNNNNNNNNNNNNNNNNNNNNNNNNNNNNNNNNNNNNNNNNNNNNNNNNNNAUAAGACGACGCGACACAAAUACAACCAACAAGUCAACCCAAAUUGCCACCUUUUACUAUCUUCUUUGUGUUAUUUCUCUAAAAAUUUGUGCCUUCUCUUACACUUUUAAAUCUGAAGUGUUUGAACUGGAGUACACAAAUUAUCUCUCUACAAUUCCAAAACAACCAAUUUGUUACUUGGUAAAUCUUAAUCAAUGGCAGGAAGCAAUUGAGAAGGCGGUCGCUACUGUGUACAAAGCCAUGCAGUAUUUGCUAUUCAUCUUAAUAAUUGUUAAGCUUUGGUAAAAUUUUCAAACAUAGUUGACAUCAUGUUGUUUUGAGAUUUGGUUCAUGAUUUUGUAUGAAUAUCGUUGUUCCGUUUGAGUUGGAUGUGAAUUGAAACCUAAAUAUUCUUUAUUUUUCAAUUUUGAAUUCAAUUUCUUUUUCUCAAGCAUGUUAUGCAGAAAUGAUUUUUACGAAAUCAUUUUUGAUGAAUUAUUUAAAUUAAACAAUUGGAAUAAGAAUUGUAACGAUUUAUCAUAAGCAUGCUAAUAUGAUAAGUUGUUUUACGAACGAUUAAUUAAUCAAUUAAUAUUAGAUUAUAUAUUAGUCAAUUAGAUAUGUGUUACAUUUGUCAUAUUCUAAAAACUAUUUAUUUAUAUUUCAAAUAAAUUUGACCAGAGGUUACGUAGGUAAUACUACAUAAUUUCUAAAGGAAUGUAAAAAUUUAAAGUUUUAUUAAAUAGGUGACUCAAUAAUAAAUGGAUUUCUGCAAGAAUUGAGAUUCUUGAGAUAAUUAUUACAUAGGGAAUUUUGGUUAGUUCAAUUUUGACAUGGUAAGAAGACGACACGGCGCAGAAAACCCAAAUUGCCACUUCUACUAGUAAUAAAAGAUACCUGUUUGAAAAGUAAUUAUAAACUAUCUUCUUUGUGUUAUUUCUCAAAACUUUUGUGGCACAAUGUUAUUUCCCUGGAGAAAAGUACGAAAUACCCCCUUUCACGUCGGCAGAAGCAAAGCAAAGCUAUGAGCUAUCUCUGUAUACUUGAAACGCCAUUGCUAAACGAUUCUCGAUGAUGGGUGCCACUGGGUCAGUGUUGUCUCUGAUUUACAUGAUUUAUUAGUUGUCCAGAUGCCAGAGAAACCAUGGUGGCAUUGAAGUUGCCCAGAUGGUUAGUUUUCUGAUCAUUUUUUUAUUCAAUUAUUUAUUUUUUUAGAAAAAUGUGAGAAAUAUGUAGAAAUGUUGACAGCUAUGAUUUUGAAACUUUGCCUAAAAUUGUUAUCAUCACUUAUUUAAAGAGAAAUCCUAGAAACAUGAAAUGAUUAGUAGCCUAAUUCAAAAUUAGACGUGAUUACAACAAGAGAAAAGUGGAGAGAACUUGAUAAUCGAGUGCAUUUAGAAUUUAAUUUUUCUUUUAGCUGCCGAUCAUUAAAUUUUCGAUUUCAGAAAAUUAUACCUAGAAUAUUUCAAGGAUAUACUAUGAAGAUUAUGAAGGUUUGAUUACAUGUCACUAUCAAUUGCCCCAAUCAUUUGUAGUAAAUUAAUUGAUCAUUUUGAUGCAAAUGAUUCCCUACUAAAAAAUUUAAGUCAAGGCUGAAUUGCAUAGUAGUUAGUCGCGCUUGCACUUCAAAUUAAGUAUUGUAUUUUCUGCCUGGUUUGGUUGAUUAAAGUGUGUGCAUUUGCUUUUGAACGUUGUAGUAUAGAAAUCGAAACAUUUGUUUUUCGCUAAGCCCAGAAGCAAAGUUCUUUGUACUGUACUCAUCACUUCUCUUCAUUCUCUUUGUUGAAAUUUUUUCCAAACAGCGGUUUCUUCGAAUUUGUGCCUUCUCUUCCACUUUUAAAUCUAUCAAAGAACCGUUACCUGAGAAGAUUGCCAUCAGGAAUUUCUAAAUUGAUUUCACUAUAAUACCUUAAUCUUUCAGAUACUCCCGUCACUGGGUUGCCAAAAGUGCUAAAAGCCUUCGUAAAUCCUACGUGUUUGAACUGGAGUACAAAUGUUAUCUCUCCACAAUUCCAAAACAACUGAUUUGUUACUUUUCAAUGCUACACGUUCUGCGAAUGUUCAGUUGUGGUUAUCUUGCUGAAAUACCAGAAAAUAGGGUUCUAGUUGGCGGUAGUGGAUUCUUGGUUGGGGAAUUGCUUAGUUUAAAACAUUUAGAUGUAUUAAGCAUCACCUUAAAAGGUUUUUCUUCUGUCCAAAAACUUAUGAGCUCCCAACAGUUUCAAAGCUGUACAAAAUGUUUGGAGCUUAUAGACUGUGAUGAUUCAAAGUCGUUUGCCUUGGCAGAGUUGAAGCAUCUUGAAAAACUAGGUUUUUCAAAUUGUGGAAAUUUGGAAGAUAAAUUACAUUUAUAAACUGUGGAUCGCCCUUUAUAAGUAUUAGGCUUAUCCCAUACUCGAGCAAUGUGGAAUACCUUUAUAAGCAUUAAGCCUCUCCCAUACAAUUUCUGUACAUGACUUUAAAAGUGGUUGAUGACCCGUUUUGUAAUAUCAUAGAGGGAUCAUGAAUUCCUUUUCUUUUCUGUGGCUAGGCAACACUUUUGGGCCAAAGUAAGGAAAUCUAUUUUAGGUAAUGUAAAAACCAGUUGUGGGAUGUAAUAGUUUAUUAUGCACUGACAACAACUUUUUGUAUAAUUGUCAGUUUAAUGAAUACGAGAGGAACUCUGUUGGCAAAUUCAUCCAUGAUAGAUGCUAAAAUUAUACCAGUUGCCUUAACUAAUUUUUCUCAACACUGGUAUUGAACAGGAAAAUGAAUAUGCAAUUUGUAUUUGUGCCAUUGUGGAGAAUUUGGAUAUUCUUAGUUUUAGUAACAAGGAGAGUAUUUGCCUCAUCUUUAAACAAUGAAUCUUUGAGAAAUGAGGACUGGGUGAUUGGCAGUGUCAGAGUGUCUUCAUGUAAAUGUUCAUUUAUUUGUAUUUUGAACUAUUAUUAGAAUCUUUAUAUGCCAAAUUAGUAAUACAAAUGUUCAGAUGAUUUUUCCUGGUGAUCAUUUCAUUCUUGAGAGCCAUGUACAAUACUAGGAUACCAGAGAAACCAAGGUAGCAUUGAAGUUGCCCCAGUGGCUAGUUUUCCGAUCAUUUUUUAUUCAAAUUUUUAUGUUUCAGAAAAAUGUAAGAAAUUUAUAGAAAUGUUGAUAGCUAUGAUUUUGAAACUUUGCCUAAAAUUGUUAUCAUCACUUAUUGUUUCUUAUUUAAAGAGAAAUCCUAGAAACGUGACAUGAUUAUUCCAUACUUGUUUUAAUAUUAUUUAUUAGCAGCCUAAUUCAAAAUUAGACGUGAUUAUUUGUUACUUUUAAUGCUACAUGUUCUGGGAAUAUUCAGUUGUGGUUAUCUUGUUGAAAUACCAGAAAAUAGCGUUCUAUUUGGUGGUAGUGGAUUCUUGGUUGGUUUGAAUGUAUUAAGCAUCACCUUAAAAGGUUUUUCUGCUGUCCAAAAACUUACGAGCCCCCAAAAGUUUCAAAGCUGUGCACAACCUUUGGAGCUUAUAGACUGUAGUGAUUCAAAGUUGUUUGCCUUCGCAGAGUUGAAGCAUCUUGAAAAACUAGGUUUUUCAAAUUGUGGAAAUUGGAAGAGUUUAAGUUCUGCUGUGUUGAGGAUGGAAAGGCUCGAGAAUGUUUUCGUGUGAACAGCUUCAACGAGUUAAGAUAAAGGCUUGUCAUAAAUUGAGGGAAGUGACAUGGCUUGUAUUUGCUCCGUAUCUUGAGGUUAUUCAAAUAGCCAAAUGUAUGGGGAUAGAAGUAAUAAUCAGUGCAAGGAAAUUGGGUGAAGUUCCAGAGAUGAUGGCAGAUCUAAACCCUUUUGCAAAACUCCAAUAUCUUGGCCCACGAGUUCUACCAAAAUUAAAAAGCAUCUAUUGGAAUCAGUUGCCCUCUCUACAUGUCAGGCGAAUUUUGUGUCUGAAUGCCCAAUUCUCAAGAAGCUUCCACUUGGUUUUAACAAUGCAAAGGAAUCUAAAACUAUCAUUAGGGGAGAAGAACACUGGUUGAAUGAGCUGCAAUGGGAGGACAAAGUGACCCUUAAUGUUCUUCUUCCUUGUUUCGGAUCCAUUUGAAGGCAUCAACAUGGAUUGAUACUUUGCAGUGGAGAAAUUUGAAUAAAACCUAUGGUAAGCGCUUUUCCAUUUAUUGCAUAUUUAUAUCUAACUUUUGUUUUCCUUUGUGGUUAAAUUUUGCUCUAUAUACGUUGUUGUACGGUGACAUUCUCAUAUCAAUUAUUAGCUUUUUAAUUCUCUUCUCACAUUAACUGCCCUUUUGAUCAUGUAGGAUAUGCUGAUGUCAAAGAGUCGUAAUUUGGGAUGCAAAUGUAAGAAUUAGACAGAUGACCAGUUGUUUUGAAGCGCUCGAAGAAGGAUUAAUUACGUCAUUGAAAGGCUCCAAUUUUGUGACUUUUUUUUUUAAUUUGUUGUUUUUUCUAUUUUUAGAUAGCUUGAUUGUCAGUUGUCGUGAUGUAAUGCUUUAGUGUAGAAAAAUGAUAUUCGGCCAAGACAACAUUAGCAGGGCACCUUGUGCAUGCAUACUAGUGGAUAAUUUCGGCAUGCUAAAUCCAAUUAGGGUGGAUGACCCUUUAUAAGCAUUAGGCUUCUCUCAUACCCGAAAACAAUGUAGAAUACGCUUAUAAGCUGCGGAUCACCCAUUAUAAGUUUUAGGCUUCUCCUUUACUCGAGCGAUGUGGAAUACCUUUAUAAGCAUUAAGCUUCUCCCAGUAUCUUUAUGUUAAAAAUAAUAAUAAUAAAAGAAAUCCAUUUUAAAAUAGACUCUUUUUUCUUUUUCUAUAUAAACAAAUGCAUUCUUCAAAUCAAUUGUGGGCAGAAGAAGUUAGUAGAAAAGAACUAGUCCCCUUUCAUUCCCCCUUAAAGCUCACCAAAGCCUCUUUUGUAAGCUUUUCGGAUUUUCUUUCUAUAUUGCUUAUGAUCUCAUUUUUGAUUGAAUCACUUCUUUUGCAUGCUGCAUAUUUUGUUUGUUGUAUUUGGAUAUUAUCGUAUCUGGAAUGCUGUUAUGAUUGAUGGAACAAGUAAUCGAUAUUUGGUCUGAUGGAAGUUGACUUAUUUAUUUAUUGUUAUUUUAAUUUGAAACUAUGUACAAUUGCAUUUCAUUCAUUUCUCUCUCUCCCCCCCCCCCCCCCCCACACACACACACAUAUAUUUGUUAUGUAUAAUUGCGUUUCAUUUGAUAUUGAUCAUGCUGUAGAUAACCAUGUGAUUGUAGAUGGGGAUUUCAAGUUUGUUGAAUAUUCAAGUAAGUGAAGUAACUGUCAAAAUACUAGUGAAAUUGGGAGCUUUAUUCAUGAGCUUGUGGUUUUGAAAAGUACCACAGUUCAACCGAUGAAGGUUCCUUUUUGGGGUUCUUCUUUUUCUAGGCUGCAAUUAGGAUAUGUACAUGUUAGACAAUCUUUUGCGGGUUUAGCAUAUCUUCUCUGAUUUUGUCUUUUAUUCCCCAAUCUUAUAAUUGCACACCAUGAAUGUUGAGUGAUUGUAUAGAAAAUUUGUGUUAUAACCAAAGCGUUGUGAAGGAGUUAAGUUAGUGGCUUCUGUUUUAUUGGCAUUGAUUGGGUAGAUUAUGUGUUACAGUGAUUCAAUUUGUGCUCCAAAGUUUGCUUUAAUUUCUUUUUUCCCUAAUUAUUUAUGUCAAAUUUAAAUCCAGAAGCAUGUACUGAUUUUUUCUUUUUGUAUUAAUCUGUGAAGGUUAUUUGGAAUGGAAGUAUCUGGGUUGGGUCUAACGGAUUAAAUUAUGACAUUGGGGGGAAGGCAGUAAAGGGUUUGCUCGACACAUUUGGUUCUGUGUUUACUUUGCAAGAAAUAGCUUUUGGUUAUCACAAUGCCGGUGGAAUCCCGAUUUGGCUCGUGAAUUUCUUUGUGACAAAUAGGCAAACACAUCAACCUCUUCUAUCCAUCCUUCUACUGGUAAGGCAAGGGGUAAAGAGUCUUCAAAAUCAUCAAAUAGUAACAUCUCUGAGAAUUCAUUUUAUGCAAAUGGAAAAUCUAGACCUUCUAAGACAAAAUGGCGUCCUGUAUCAGGAGGUACCGUUUCAAGUUUUCUUGGUAAAAAUUAUGUUAAACCUGCACAGCCAGCUAAUGGCACAUUUCUAGCAUCAAAGCCAUUGAAGUUGGAUCCAAAGGGGUUUCCCAUGUCUCCACUUUUGCGGAGAAGAUACUAAACUGAAACAAUCAAAGGAUGACCAUUUGCAGAAGGAUAUGGAAGAUUUUCUGUUUAAAUUGCUAGGAGAAGUGUUCCUAUUGUCCUUUUCAAUGUUCUUUCUUUCUUUCUCUUCUUUUCUUCUUCUUCUUCUUUUUUCUUUUUGUGUGCGUGUGAUCACUAAUUUGGUAUUGUAGUUUAGUUGCAGAUAGUUGUGGAUAUGAUAUGCAAAAGGUAAGGACUAUAUCUUCCUGAUGGAGGCCUCUGCUUUUUCCUUUAUGUGUAAUUUAAUAAAUUGCAUCUUCCUUUGUGAUUGUUAUAUCAUAUCAAAGACAAGUCUUAAAUACUGCUGUCAUAUGUUAAGGUUCAACUUGCAGUUUGAUUAACAUUCAUGGCUCAAAGGCCUGAAAAAACUUGCCAGUAAUUGUAAAAUGACAUUCUUUGCUUUUAAUGCAAUAGAGGGAACAGGGAAGUAUAGCUUUGGAAGCCUGGAUUGGUAACUAUAGAGAGACUUAGUAUUUAAUUGAUAAAAAUUCCCAUAACCCAAGGUCAAGAAAAUUUUAGAUCGUUAAAGACUUCAUUUUGUUUCGGCCAGAAAUGUUUGUUUCGAUCGAAGACUUGAACCAUUUCGAUUGAACCUGAUUAUGAUGCUUUACGUUAUGCAUGUUCCUCUUAAUCAAGAAAAGUUGAGGUGAUGAUUUUAUAUUUCUAUAUUGUAAGUUGAAAUAAUAAUUGGUCUGCUUGUUUCUGUAGCUUGAUAACAUGAAUUUUCCUUCUCAAGUUAAUUUAAUCAAUAAAGUAAUUCUUCAAAGAAAAUAUGCCCAUUCUAUAAUCAUUUUCUUAAUUAACAUGUUUUUUUCUUCACACUUCAGAGCAUGUUGAAACUAAUUGAUCGCUCGGCAGAGACUUUGGGUGAGAAGACAAAAUUUCUCGGUAAAUCCUCUGAAAAGGUAUGCAUAAUUCCGCAGUAUUAAAUAACCAAUGGUCAUAAUUUUUGUACAGGACUCUUUUCUUGUGGAGAUAAUUAAAAGUGGCUGAUGAUCCAGUUUGUAUAUCAUAGAGGGAGCAUCAAUUCCUUUUGUUUUCAGUGGCUAGGCAACACUUUCAGGGCAAAGUAAGGAAAUCUAUUUUAGGCAAGUAAAGCCAUGUAGAUGUAAUAGUUAACAUGCACUGACAAUAACUUUGUAUAAUGUCAGUGAACGAUACAAGAGGAAUCUGUUGACAAUCAUCCAAGAUAGAUGCUAAAAUUAUUAUGCAUGCCAGUUGCUUAAUAAUUUUCUUACACUGGUAUUGAAGAGGAAAAUGAAUAUGCAAUUUGUAUAUGUGCCAUGUGAGAAUUUGGAUAUCUAUCUAAGUAACAAGGAGAGUAUUGCCUCAUCUUUAGACAAUGAAUCUUGAGAAUUUGGAUAUUCAUGUAAAUGUUCAUUUGUUUGUAUUUUGAACUAUUAUGAGAAUCUUUUAUAUGCCAAAUUAGUAAUGCAAAUGUUCAGAUUAUUUUUUCUGUUGAUCGUGCAUUUGUGUCUGCACACAACCAUUGUAUAUCACUUCAUUCUGAUGCGCAAGUGUCUGUAGUUUAGAAGAAAAGAAAUAAUAAUGAUAUAUUAUUGCUUGAUUCAUGAUUAUUAAAUGAUUAUGGCUUUAAAAAACCUACAAAUUCCUUUUGUUGAUAUAUGAAUGUACCAAGUUUGCUAUAUCUUAGAUUACCAUUUCCAAGAUAACAAGUUCAAAUUUUUUCUUUAUCCUUUUCCUUCACAGUUGCAUUUUAAGUGUAAGAUUUGUUAUUAAUACCUGGUUUCCCGUCAUUAUGAUUUCAUAAACAGUGUAUGGGUAUGUGCUCUACUUUUGGAGGGCCUCCACGUGAAAGAAAAUUGUAACAAUUGAAUUCUUCCGGAUGGUAUGGUAUUUAAUUUAUUUUCUCAACCUCUUGUAAGACUAAUAUAUUUUCCUUUAGUAGACACGGCAUGGUGGGAAGGGUUUUUUAUUGAAAGAAUUCUGAUAUUUCUUAGACUUUGUUUUGGAAGGGGGUGCAGGGGUUUCUCAUCCAUAUAUGGUUACUUGAUUAGCUUUUGACUGUAUUGCCUCAAUCGUGCAAAGGAAGAUCCAAAUACAAACGAAAGAGAAUUGUUUAGACACCCAGAAGAUGGAAAUGAACUACAGAAGGAAGUUUUUGCUGCUUUAUUUAGUGCUCCUGAGAAAUCUGAUGAAUUUCCUGAAAUUACGGUGAAGACCAAGUGUGAGGUCCAAAGCAUUAGGAAAGGUGGUGAGUGAACUGCCGGAGCAAUUGGUACAGAAUACAAGGCUAAUGUGGUGGACUUGCAGCAAGAUAACCGGAACAGUACGUGCUCUUAUAUUAACUAUAUUGACUGGAUUUGCUAGUGUGUGCAUUUUCGUGUGUAUACUUUUGUAUUUAUGCAUAUUAAUGUGUGUAGGAUUCUUGAUUUCUGCCACUUAUUGGAGAACUAAUGGAAAGCUUUAUACUGGUAUAUCUGCAAUAACUAAUGGAAACUAUGAUAUUAAUAUUUUCUCUCGCUUGGAGAAUGCGUAACAGAUAUACUUUGUGGCUCUGGAAUACUAAAGAUUCUGCAAUAACUAAUGGAAACUAUGAUAUGAAUAUUUUCUCUCACCUGGAGAACUUUGUAACAGUUACACUUUGGGGCUUGGAAUGUCUAAAGAAUUUUGUCUGCUUCAGUUAGAUCAAAUAUCUUUUAGUUACAUACAUUAUAGAAAAGAUAAAGUUCUCUGAAUCUGAAAGACUUAAAAUUUUGCAUAUUUCUUGAUAGGGAAAUAUCUGUAGAUACUAGUUCAUGCAUUGUGGUAGCAUCAGUGUUAAAGAAAAACAGCAGUAAGUUAUUAUAUAGAAUUAGGUUCACUUGCUUUAAAUCCUGGUCUGGUCAACCAUAUGAACCUGUAAGUGGUUCUGUAGAAAUAUAUAUAUACGGGGAGAAAGUAGCUAAAUUUUCCUUUCAUUUAUGGGUUUGGUCAUUUUUUCCCCUUAUUUAUGUUUUCUCACACAUUUUUUAAAUGCCCCAGACAUGCAAUUUUGUAUGUGUCAAUUGCCUUUUAAGUUUUAAAAACCAUAAAGUAAGAAUACAGUUUCUUGUCAGGCUAUUGAUGCAUUUGCUCGGGGGGAUCAUGCUCGAGCAGGAAAACUUCUAGAACAGGUAAGGUUUCCAUCUACAGCCAUUUAUUGACAACAUAUAUAUUUUCAUUCAGCAAGCACUGUUAGCAUUCAAGAUGCUGGCAGAUUCACUUGAUUCUUAUUAGUUUGUUUAGUAGCAAAGCAUAUAACCUGUAUUUUAAAGCUAAGUUGUGCUAUUGAUUAUGUUAACUUUAUUGUUCACAUAAAGUGAUAUUGAGGAAAUAAUCAAUGUAGGAAAAUUAGGUGAAGAGAUGAUGUCAAAUCUUGAACCUCUUACAAAACUCCAAGUUCUUUACUUGAAGAAGCUACCAAAUUCGAACAGCAUCUACUGGAAGGCCUUGCCAUUCCCUGAUGUAUGCAGAAUUUUUGUAUUUAAAUGCCCAGAGCUUAAGAAGCUGCCACUGGAUCUUGAGAGGGCAGGCCAAGGUAAAAUUCUUAUCAAGGGAAAGAAAGAUGGGUGGAAACAACUUCAAUGGGAGGAUCAAGUAACUCAGAAUGCAUUGCUUUCAUUUUAAAAAUCAACCAACAAGUGAUUGAAGGGGGCAUCAUCAACGUAAUCAACAUGGAUGGAGAGAUUCUGGAGCAGAUCAGCGGGGUUUAGUACGACCUGUGGUGGUUUCUUUUUUGUGACUUUUUUGCCUUUCAUUUUUUCACUUCCUGUCAUAUUAUCAUUUCUUUGUCUGUGUUUCUAUUGCUAGUGUUGCUGCAUGCUUGCUGUCCUUGACAAAGUUAGCUAGUUUUUUUUGUUUAUUAAAUUUUGUAUGUUCGGUCGGGACAGUCACAAAGUACUACUUGUUCUAUAUGGGGGUGAUGUGAAUCAACUUUUCAAUUAUAUAUUCUGUGGUAAUUGUGAAUUCAAUUUCAUUUAUCUCCUGCAAAUUAUGAAGAAAGUGCAGAGUUACAAUAUGGAAAAGUUCACUGGCAAAUACUUUGUAAAAGCUUCGGAGUGAAACAGGAAAUGCACUUGCAACUAAGGACAAAUUGGUGGCCGGCUAAUGCAUUCAUUUUAGGGAAAAGGACACAGACCCUCAACGUUUUAAUAAGGGACAUAAAACUCCCUAAUAUUUUAAAAAAAAUACUCAAACCCCCAUUUGUUAAUAGUAAAUUCUAAGUUUAAAGUGUAAUUACCAUUAUACCUUUAUAGCAUAUUAAAAAAUAAUUAUUCAUUAUUCAAUUUAUUCUUAUAUUAUUAAUAAAAUUACGAAUAUAAUUUCAUUAUCUAAUUUUUUCAUUUAAUUUUUGUUAAAUUUUCUCUUCAAACUAAAUAAAUUUAAUCCAUUGCUUAAGAAUAAAAAUAAAUUAAAUUGAUUACUAAUAUAAUAAAAAUAACAUAUAUUUAAUAUAAAAAUAACAUAUAUUAAAUUAAAAUAAAUUUAAUUUAUAUAUAGAGAAUUGUUAUUUUUAAGAAAUUAUCAAUUUAAUUUAUAUAUAAGAAAUUAUAAGAAAUAACAUAUGGAGAAUUGUUAUUUUUAUUAUAUUAAUAAUCAAUUUAAUUUAUUUUUAUUUUUGAGCAAUGGAUUAAAUUUAUUUAGUUUGAAGAGAAAAUUUGAUAAAAAUUAAAUGGAAAAAUUGGGUAAUGAAGUUAUAUUCAUAAUUUUAUUAAUAAUAUAGGAAUAAAUUAGAUAAUGAACAAUUAUUUUUUAAUAUGCUAUAAGGGUAUAAUGGUAAUUGUACUUUAAAAUUAGAAUUUACUGUUAACAAAUAGGGGUCUGAGUGUCUUUUUUGAAACAUUAGGAAAUUUUGUGUCUCUUAUUCAAACGUUGGGGGUUUCUGUGUUAUUUUCCCUUCAUUUUAUGUACAUUCAUCUUUUUAAUUAUUGAAGAUAAGUGGUUCGUUGCUUUUGUUGUAGAUAAAAUUCAGACGACCUCAAUUGUGACAUGACAAUAUUUAAAACAUCUCUUAAAUUAUUAUAAAUUUAAUUUAUCUUAACUUUAUUGAAAAGAUAAAAGAAAAAUGUGGUGUAUGGAUAAAUUUUUUUUUAUCUUCUUAAUCAAAUGGAAUAAAUUAAAAUUUACAAUAAUUUAAAAUAUUUUAAAAAUUAUUAUUUCAUAAGAGAUUAAUAUGAAAUUAAUCGUUUUUACUUUUUUAAUGUGAAAGGACAAGAAAAGAGAAAGCAUGUGUCCCUGCUUUUUAGUUUUUAUUUUAUUUGAAAUCGGAGUUAUCCCAUAUACUUUACUAAUUUAGCUCUAACAUUACAAUGUUUUUAGGCUACACUUUUAUUUUUCUUUUUCCCCCUUUUUUUAUACAUGCAUGUGGAUUACUUUUCUCUAAGCUCCUUAAUAUUUAAGACAAAUCAUAAAAGCAAUUGAAGUAUAACAAGAUGAUCAAAACAUUUAACCAAAAAAAAAGAAAGAAAAAAGAAAGAAAACAUUGAAAAUGGAGAUGUUGAUUAAUUUAGAAGAGAUGCAAGCAAAAGAUAUUCCCAAAAAAAAGAAAAAAAGAAAAAAACAACGUUAGUUCAUCCAUGUCUGUCAAUGCGUUUUUUAUGGUUUUUUUUUUCCAGUUGUUUGUUGUAAUAGAUUGAUUGUAAAUUGAUAUGAAUUUGAUGUUGUAAUAUGUUCGCUUUUGUGGAAUUAAAUUUGAAUAUUCAAGAUUAUUCAAGUCUUAUCUAGUAUGUGUUCAAUUGUGUUGUCGAUAAUUUUGCAUUCGAAUAAUUUUUCACCUAAAAUAUUAGCAUGAGUAGUAGUCCUUGAAAUUUUGGUCAAAAUUAUUGUUAUUGUUUGUUUUAGAGGAAAUUUUUUUAUUAAAGCCUCGUUAACACUAUACCUUAUUAAGAUUAUAAGUUAGUGUCAGUGCAGGAUUUACAGCAACAAAUCUUGUCUAGCCACGUGUCAAAAGUACAAAUAAAUCAAGAGUAAGCACAUGACAUGGAUUAGGAUCCAAUAAGAUUUAAAUCCCAAGGAAAAGGACAAUUGUAUCCUAAAGUUUCAAUAAGAGAUACUGAGAUAUCUUUUGACUAAUGUUAUUUUUUUAGCUUUAUUAAUAAAAAGAUCAAAUAGUUUAUAACAAAUAAAAAUAUAGUAUGAAGCUAAAUGUGAUAAUAUAUACAUUUUACAUAAUUUCAAUAAAAAAAAUUUCAAUAAAAAACAUUUUAAUGUUUUACGAUCUAUUAGACAUAUUUUAUUAAAUUAAUAGGAAUUUUCUGAUAAAUAGCAACAUAAUAUUAAAAUAAAUUUAUAAAGAUUUAAAUGUAAAAUAAUUUUAGUAUAAUUAAUACGUGGGAUAUAUUUUGUAAAUUAUAAAAUUACUUAACCCAAUGAUUUUUAAAAAUCUUUAAAAUAAAUAAAAAUAAAUUAUUCACAUUUUGAUGUAAAUAUUUAAAACAUUUUUAUACAUUAGUCCACAAUUAUUUAUGUUAUAUUUGUAUUUAUUAGAAAUUUUGAAAGUCAAAUGUUUUUCACCUCUAUCUUAUUAGAAUUAUUGCACACAGAGAAAGAGCCAUAUAUGCUUUAUAGCUUUAAAAUCGAUUUGUUUUAUAGCUGGGAACAGAGAUGAUCAUUAUUAUAAGGAUUAAAAAAAAGAUAAAGAAUAUUAAUGAUUAGCGAAAUCUCUAUGGAAAUUGAAUUUAGUAAGAAAAAAUUGAGCUGAUUUUAGCGGUAUAGUAAUAUUUUAUAUAGAGAAAAGUAAAAGCUGCACCCAAGGUUAAGGGAAAUGGUCAAAACUCUUUUUUAAUCAUAAUACUCUUUUUCCUACAUAAUUUAAAAAUUUGACAUUAAUAUUUUAUAAUAAAUAAAAACAUAUAAUCCUAAAAUAAAUAAAAUAAUAUAUAUUUUAAAAUAAUCUCAAUAUUUAAAAUAUAUUUUAACAUUUUAUAGUCUAUCAGAUAUAUUUUAUUUUUUUUAAAGUAAAUUUUAUAAUAAAUACAAAACAUACUAUUAAAAUAGAUAUAAAAAUUUUAAAGUAUUUUGAAUAUUAUAUAAAAUAACUUUAAUAUUGUUAAUGCGUGAGAUGCAUUUUAUUAAUUAAAAAUUCUAUUUAACCCAAAGAUUUAUUUAUAAUAAAUUAAUAAUCAUAUUUUUGAAAUUAUUUUAAAUAUUAAAAAAUAUUUUAAUAUUACUAACUAUUAGAUAGACUAAACUAUUUAUAUUAUUUUCUAUUUAUUAUAAAAUUUCAAAGUUAAUCUUUUUAACUACUAUUCAAAAGAUAUUAUGAUAAAAACAGAAUUUUUCUGUUUUAUUAAAAAUUUAGAGUUUACACCUAUUUUUUCAAAUAUUCGGGGUGUAACUGUUUUAUUUAAAUAAAAUCUCAGUUAAAAAUGUACAGAGAAGAAAUUUCUGUUGGUAUUUUAGUCUUUUACCAAUUAUCACGAUUAGGCCUUGGCCUUGAAACAUUAAUUGUUUCACUUUUAGCGCUAGUGGCGUUGAAAGUUGUCAAGAAAAAGCAAGACCAUAUUCCACAAAAGCAGCUCUUUUAUUAAAGGCAAAGUAUAAAGUAGUCAAGAAUCGAAUAUCCUGUCGUCUACUCUUUUUUAAAUUCUUCUUUUAUUAUCUUUUAGAAUAGUUUUUGGUAAUUACAAUCAUUAUUCAGAGUUAUUGUUAUCUUCUGGGGCAGUCUCUGUUCAUCGAAGUCGUUACCUUUUUUUCAUGGAUCAGUUCCAGUGCCAAGCAGUAAUUUUCUUAGAACUCGGAUCUUUAAUUCGAGUUUCUUUGUGAAUUAAUAAUAAAAAAUUUUCAUUACACGCAAUUUAAGCUACGAAUUACUUUUUGCAAAGUUGAAUAUGAAAUUGGAGAAAUUAAAUAAUUUAGAAUGUUGGUAAAAAUUGACUAACAUAUCCCCAAUUACAGUAAAACCUCUCUACAGUCAUAACAUUAUAACAAAAUUAAUUUUAUUACUAUGUUGAGGUAAUAUAGGUUUAGUUACAAAAUUAUUGUUUUAAUAUGGUUAGUGUCAAGUGAUAUAAAGGUUAAGUAUGCAGUACAUUGAUAAUUAAAUAAUGAAGCGUGUCAAAUCUAACGUAUAUAUAUUAAUGAUAUAGAUAGACAUAGUUUUAAAAAACUAAUUAAUGUAUAUUUAUGUACUGUUAUGAAUAUGGAAAGUCAAGCCUACACUUUACAUUAUCCUUAAUUUUUUCUCUCAGUUAAAUUCUACAAAUAUUGUACAAUGAUUGGGUAAGAACUCUAAAUUAAGAAUAAAUUAUUGUCACAAAUAAUUUUAAAAAAUAUUUUAUUUCAUCUUAAACCUUUAAUGUAAGUAAAUAUAUAUAUAUGUGUGUGUGUGUGUGCAUAUUUUGCAAGGUAUAGAUAAUUGUUAGUAUAUGGAGACAAGUCUUUUAAGGUAGGACCUAGGAAAAUUUAUAACUUACUACAUUGGGGAGUUUUUAUUCCUUUUUAUAAUUGGCUCAUAUUGAUACAUUCUUACACAAAAUAUUACCAUUGACAUAUUUUACUACAAUUGGUUUAGAACAUUUGUUAGGAAAAAAAAAAGAAAAGAAAACAUUCAUUGGAUGUAGCUCUCCCUCGUAUGCUUUUUUCUCCAAAUAUUCCUGCGUCCACAGAAACAAGUCAGAGCACGCCGGUUGUUUUCCCGGCGUAAACCCUCUGACGCUCAAGUCAGAUAUGAAGGCUCUGGGAAUGCUUGCCACAGAUCUUAUGGUUUUUCUGUAGUUUCUAUUCUUUAGAGUUUCAUUUAUCUCUGAAUAUAAUCUCAAAAAUGCUAACCCUUUUACCUUCCUUGGCUACCUUUUUAUAGGCUUCCUCUGAAUCCCGGUCUUCCGUAGUCCACGCCCGUUAUUCUCCCCACCCUCGGAUGUGGAUGCCCCAUUAUCGCCAUUGUGGGCGAAUGGAGAUGGACUUCGUGCCUUGAUUCUCGGAUAGGAAUGCACGUCUUGCCAACUGUCGUUGACUGGGUCUCCUCGCCUCUCGACCUCUAGCCGGAAUGGCCUUAUGCCUCUAACAAGAGUUCGACCUCGUGAAUGGCAUACUCGCGGACGAGCCGAAUAUUUCUGCUCAUGUUCCCCUGCUACCUGGCUCUUACAGGACAUACCUGUUCGCAGAACUCCGCCAUCAAAUAUCUGCUCAUCACGUCUGGUCUCGUUGAAGUAUUUCCCUCAAACAACAUAUUUUACUACAAUUAGUUUAGAACAUUUGUUAGGAAAAAAAAAGAAAAGAAAACAUUCCUUGGAUGUAGCUCUCCUGACUAUUUAAAUCUUUUAAGGAAAAAAAGAAAAAAGAAAAACUGACACAUUCAAAUCUUGAAGCAAUUACAUUAAAACCUCUCCAUAAUGAUAGGAAUAAUCUCCAUUUAGUAAUAAAAAAUUUUGUUCGCAAUCUAGGCAGAGUUAUAAAUAAGAAUAAAAUCCUCAUUGUAAUAAGUUGUAUUUAUUAUGGAUCCCAUCCUAAGGAACUUGUCUCUAUAUAGUAAUAAUUAUUUGCAUAUUAUAAAUAUAUAUGUUGCAUUAGAUUAAAUGAACUUGUCUCCACAUACUACUUAGACAAUGAGAGAAAGUUAUUAAAGAGAACACAAAUAUUUAGAGAUUUUUAAGAUUACUUUGCAUGUUUAUAACAAUAAUACAUUGAUAUAUGUAUUAGUUUUUUGAUAUAUUAGAUUUGACAUGCUCUAUUAAUAAAUUAUUAAUACGAUGCAAACUUCAUCUCUCUAUCCUUGCAAUAAAAGUAACUAAGUUAUAACAAUAAUUAUUAAUAAAUUAUUAAUACGAUGCGUACUUCAUCUCUAUAUCCUUGCAAUAAAAGUAACUAAGUUAUAACGAUAAUUUUUGUAACUACAUGCUUAUUAGGUUUUAACUACUUCAUAAUAAUAAAUUAAUUUCGUCCUAAUAUUAUAAUUAUGUAGAGUUGUAGUGUAUAGACACACCCAAUUUAAAUAGUAAAUCAAAUAAAAUUGUCCCCACAAAAAAGAAAAAAGGGGUAAAGGAUUGUUAUUUCUUCAAACAUUAGGAGCACGUUUGUUCAAGUGCGAUGCCUUUCUUUUGAAGGCAACGUCAGUGGGUACCCAAUAGGACGUGUGUAAAUCUUUCCAAAAUUUCUCCGGUAUAACGGACAGAGAUCAUUACUUUUCUCUUCCAUAGACCACAGCAGCUUCAGUUAAUCAGACUCAAUCAAUUUUCUUGGUUUCUUCGCUUAUCAAAAUUCCAAAAUAUGGGUAGCAUAUUUCAAAUCACAUGCGAUGGUGCUUUUUUCAAUCGUUGCUUGGAUUGCUUUCUUGGAAAAGUAGCAAACACAAGUAAGCUCCAAGAUAACCUUGUUGCCUUGGAGACUGAAUUGGGAAAACUAAUCGUAGCAAAGAACGAUGUGAUGAUGAGGAUUGUCAAUGCUGAACGGCAACAACUGAGAACGCUGGACCAAGUGCAAGUGUGGCUUUCGAGGGUGGAAGCUGUUAAAACUGAAGCUGAUGAAUUGAUAAGACACGGCUCUCAAGAAAUUGACAAAUUAUGUGUUGGAGGCUACUGUUCCAAGCACUGCGCGUCAAGCUACAAGUUCGGGAAACAAGUGGCUAAAAAGCUACGGGAUGUGCAGACUUUAAUCGGCGAAGGAGUUUUUGCGGCGGUGGCUACUGAGGUGGUGCCUGAGAGAGCUCCAGAACCUGUAGCAGAUGAAAGACCCACUGUGCCAACAAUAGUAGGCUUGCAAUCACAACUUGAACAAGUUUGGAGAUGUCUUGUAGAAGAAUCAGUGGGAAUCAUUGGCCUAUAUGGUAUGGGCGGUGUUGGUAAAACUACACUAUUGACCCAUAUCAACAAUAAAUUUCUUGAGAGUCGAACCAGUUUUGAUUGUGUGAUUUGGGCCGUAGUUUCAAAGGACUUGCAACUCGAAAAAAUUCAAGAAGAUAUUGGGAAAAAGAUCGGUUUGGUUGAUGAUUCAUGGAAGAGUAAAAGUGUAGAGGAGAAAGCUCUCGACAUCUUCCGGAGUUUAAGAGAGAAGAGAAUUGUAUUGUUGUUAGAUGAUAUAUGGGAGCGGGUUGAUUUAACAAAAGUGGGCAUUCCACUUUCGGGACCAAAGAAUACUACCUCAAAAGUCGUAUUCACAACCCGUUUCAUCGAUGUUUGUGGUAGCAUGGAAGCUGACAAGAAGUUCCAAGUGGCAUGCUUAUCAGAAGAGCAUGCUUGGGAACUGUUUCGAAAAAAAGUUGGGGAAGAAACUCUUGAGAGUGAUCAUGAUAUCGUUGAGCUAGCCCAAACUGUGGCCAAAGAGUGUGGUGGUUUGCCACUCGCACUUAUUACUAUUGGUCGAGCUAUGGCCUGCAAAAGGACAGCCGAGGAGUGGAGACACGCAGUUGAAGUGCUAAGAAGAUCAGCUUCUGAGUUUGCAGGUUUGGGAAAAGAGGUGUAUCCUCUUUUAAAGUUUAGCUAUGAUAGUUUGCAGAAUGAGACGAUUAAAUCUUGUUUCUUAUAUUGUUGUUUAUAUCCCGAGGAUUAUGGCAUUCUUAAAUGGGACUUGAUUGAUUGUUGGAUUGGUGAGGGAUUCUUAGAGGAAUCUGACAGGUUUGGUGCAGAAAACCAAGGAUACUACAUUGUGGGCACUCUUGUUCAUGCGUGUUUACUAGAAGAGAUAGAAGAUGAUAAAGUAAAAAUGCAUGACGUUGUUCGUGAUAUGGCUUUAUGGAUAGCUUGUGAAAUUGAGAAGGAGAAGAGAAACUUUUUGGUUUGUGCAGGUGCUGGAGUAGGAGCGGUACCAGAUGUUGAAGGAUGGGAAAAUGUGAGAAGAUUGUCAUUGAUGCAAAACCAAAUUGAAAUUCUGUCAGAGGUUCCCACAUGCCCUCAUCUCCUCACUUUAUUUCUUGACUUUAAUUAUAAAUUGGAGAUGAUCACUGAUGGCUUCUUCCAAUGUAUGCCUUCUCUCAAAGUUUUGAAGAUGUCAAACUGUGGGCAUGUCAAAGUUUUGAAAUUACCUUUUGGGAUGUCAAAGUUGGGUUCACUACAACUUCUUGAUAUUUCACAUACCGGCAUAAGAGAGUUACCAGAAGAGUUAAAGUUGUUGGUAAAUCUGAAAUGUUUGAAUUUGAGGUGGACACAUAUGUUAAAUAAAAUUCCACGGCAGCUAAUAUCAAAUUCUUCAUGGUUACGUGUGUUGAGAAUGUUCGCUAUUGGCUUUGAAAAUUCUAAAGAACCAUCAGAAGACAGCGUUUUAAUUGGUGGGGGUGAAGUUUUAGUACAGGAAUUGCUCGGUUUGAAAUAUUUAGAGGUAUUGGAGUUGACCUUGCGAAGUUAUCAUGCUCUCCAUUCUUUUUUGAGCUCAAAUAAGUUAAAAAGUUGUAUUCGAUCUCUUUUCCUCAAUAAGCUGGGAGAUACAAAGUCGAUUGAUGCUACGGCUUUGGCAGAUCUAAAGCAUCUCAAUGAAUUAUAUAUUCUUUUUUUUNNNNNNNNNNNNNNNNNNNNNNNNNNNNNNNNNNNNNNNNNNNNNNNNNNNNNNNNNNNNNNNNNNNNNNNNNNNNNNNNNNNNNNNNNNNNNNNNNNNNNNNNNNNNNNNNNNNNNNNNNNNNNNNNNNNNNNNNNNNNNNNNNNNUCUUUCGCUAUACGGUUGUAAUGCUGUGGAAGAAAUAAUCAGCGUUGGGAAAUUUGCUGAGGUUCCUGAGAUGAUGGGACAUAUAAGCCCUUUUCAGAAUCUCCAAAAGCUUGAUUUAUCACAUUUGCCAGCUUUGAAGAGCAUCUACUGGAAGCCAUUGCCUUUCGCUCAUCUGAAAGAAAUGGUGGUGCAUUGGUGUGAUCGGCUUAAAAAGCUUCCGCUCGAUUCCAACAGUGCAAAAGAGCGUAAAUUUGUUAUUCGUGGAAGAGCAGACUGGUGGAACCGUCUUCAAUGGGAGGAUGAAGCCACUCAAAUUGCUUUCCAUUCCUGUUUCCACCUAAUGAAAUAUAAAUUCCUUAGCGGUGGUUGCAAAAUUUGAUUUCUAGUGAGUGCUUUUUUCUUAAACUCUUACAUUUAUUUCAGAUUCGUUUUUUGUCUCCUGCAAAUCACAAUUAAAUGCUGAAUUAUAUGGAGUCAAUGCUUUAGAAAAUUUUCAAGGCACUGCCAUUUCCUUUUUUCCAUUUUUUUUUGGGUCGAAUUGAUGCUCUGGCUUUUUACUUUUUGUUGUCAAAUUUUGCUCUGUUUUUUCAAGUUGAUGCUUGAAUAGUUGAAUUCAAUUAAUGCUCACAUAAAUUUGUUUAGUUGCCGUAAAAGGAUAUAAUUAGACUGAAGUACACACUUCUAGAAUGAAUACAAAAUGUUAAGUAUACUAGCCCUCUUUACAGAAAAUCAAAUGAAAAUCAAUUUUUUGGGGCUUUGAUUUUCUAUGGUCUAUUAUAUACUCUUUUUAAUAUCUUCUGUUCUAACUAUAACCAAAUCCUUUGUUCAAGGAUUUUUAUUUGGGGUAUUGAUAACUAUCCACCAAAAGAGUGAACACUUGGAUGCUGCUCAAGGAUCUCUAAUCAAUAGCUGGAAGCAACUGAGAAGGCGGUCGCUGCUGUUUACAAAGUGAUGCAGUAUUUGCCAUUCAUCUUAAUAAUUAUGAAGCUUUGGUAAAAUUUUCAAACAAAAUUGAACAUGUUGUUUGAGAUUUGGUUCAUGAUUUUGGAUGAAUAUCGUUGUUCCGUUUGAGUUGGAUGUGAAUUCAAAAUCUAUAUAUUCUUUGGUUUUCAAGUCUGAACUCAAUUUCUUUUUCUCAAGCAUGUUAUGCAGAAAUGAUUUUUACUAAAUCAUUUUUGAUGAAUUGUUUAAAUUAAACACUUGGAAUAAGAAUUGUAAACGUUUAUCAUAAGCAUGCUAAUAUGAUAAAUUGUUUUAUGAACGACUAAUUAAUUAAUCAAUUAAUAUUAAAUUAUAUAUUAAUCAAUUAGAUAUGCGUUACAUGUCAUGUUUAAAAACUAUUUAUUUAUAUUUCAAACAAAUUUGACUGGAUGUUGUGUAGGUAAUACUACAUAAUUUCAAAACAAAAAAAAGUAAUAAAAACACGUUAAAUUUUGUUUUUAUGAAGAAAAAUUUAAAAUUUUAUUAAAUAGGUGAAAAUAAUAAAUGGAUUCGUGUAUGGUUUGAGAUUCUUGACAUAAUUAUGAAAUAAGCCGGAUUCGACUUAGUUCAAUUUUGACGCGAUAAGAAGACGACACCACACAAACACACGACAAGAACCGUUACCUGAGAAGAUUGCCAUCAGGAAUUUUGAAAUUGAUUUCACUACAAUAUCUUAAUCUUUCAGAUACUCCCAUCACUGAGCUGCCAUAAGAGCUAAAAGCCUUGGUAAAUCUUAAGUGUUUGAACUGUACACAAAUUAUCUCUCUACAAUUCAAAAACAACUGAUUUGUUACUUUUCAAUGCUACAUGUUCUGCGAAUAUUGAGUUGUGGUUAUCUUGUUGAAAUAUCAGAAAAUAGAGUUCUAUUUGGUGGUAGUGAAUUGUUGGUUGGGGAGUUACCUAGUUUAAAACGUUUAAAUGUAUUAAGCAUCACCUUACAAGGUUUUUCUGCUGUCCAAAAACUUAUGAGCUCUCAAAAGUUUCAAAGCUGUACAAAAUGUUUGGAGCUUAUAGACUGUGAUGAUUCAAAGUCUUUUGCCUUGGCAGAGUUGAAGCAUCUCGAGAAACUAGUUUUUCGAAUUGUGGAAGAGUUUAAGUUCUGCUGUGUUGAAGUUGGAAAAGCUCAAGAAUGUUUUCGUUUGAACAGCUUUCCCCGAGGUAAUAUAAAGGCUUGUCAUAAAUUGAGGGACGUGACAUGGCUUGUAUUUGCUCCAAAUCUUACGGUUAUUCAAUAGAAAAAUAUAUGCAGAUGGAAGUAAUAAUCAGUGCAAGGAAAUUGGGUGAAGUUCCAGGGAUGAUGGCAGAUCUAAACCCUUUUGCAAAACUCCAGUAUCUUCGUCUGCGAGUUCUACCAAAAUUAAAAAGCGUCUAUUGGAAUGAGUCACCCUUUCCACAUGUCAGGGAAAUUAUUGUAUCUGAAUGCCCAAUUCUCAAGAAGCUUUCACUCGGUUUUAACAAUGCAAAGGAAUCUAAAAUUGUCAUUUAUUACAUGUUUAUAUCUAACUUUUGUUUUCCUUUAUGGUUAAAUUUUACUUUAUAUAUGUUGUUAUACGGUGACAUUCUCGCAUCAAUUGUUAGCUUUUUAAUUCUCUUCUCCCAUUAAUUGCCCUUCUGAUCAUGUAAGAUAUGCCGAUGUCAAAGAGUAGUAAGUUGGGAUACAAAUGUAAGAAUUAACCAGAUGACAUGUUGUUUUGAAGCUCUCGGAGAAGGACUAAUUAUGUCAUUCAAAGCAUCCAAUUUCGCUACUUUUUUUUUCAUUUGUUGCUUUUUCUAUUUUUAGAGAGCUUGAUUGUCAGUUGUCGUAAUGUAAUGUUUUAGUGUAGAAAAAUGAUAUUCGGCCAAGACAUCAAUAGGAGGGCACAUUGUGCAUGCACACUAGUGGAUGAUUUCGGCAUGCCGAAUCCAAUUAGUGUGGAUAACCCUUUAUAAGCAAUUGGCUUCUCUCAUACCAGAGCAAUGUAGAAUAUAUUUAUAAACUGUGGAUUACUCUUUAUUAGGCUUCUUCUAUACUCGAGCAAUGUGGAAUACCUUUAUAAGCAAUAAGCUUCUCCCCUACACUUUAUGUUAAUAAUAAUAAUAAUAAAAUAAAUCCAUUUUAAAAUAGACUUUUUUUUUCUUUUUCUAUAUAAACAAAAUGCAUUCUUCAAAUCAAUAGUGGGUGGAAGAAGUGAGUAGAGAAGAACUAGUCCCCUUUCAUUCCCCUAAAACCUCACCGAAACCUCUCUUGUGAACUUCUCAGAUUCUCUCUCAAUAUUUCUUAUGAUCUCGUUUUUGAUAGAAUCACUUCUUUUGCAUGUUGCAUUUGGUGUGUCUUUUUUGGGUAAUAUCUUAUCUGGAAUGCUGUCAUGAUCAAUAGAACAAGUAAUCAAUUUUUGGCUUGACGGAAGUCGAUUUAUUUAUUUACUAUUAUUUUUAUUUGAAAUUUUGUACAAUUGUGUUUCAUUCAUUUCUUUCCUUUUUUUUUAAUAUUUAUUAUGUAUAAUUGUGUUUCAUUUGAUAUUGAUCAUACUCUAGAUAACUAUGUGAUUGUAGCUGGGGAUUUUAAGUUUUGUGAAUUCAAGAAACUGUCAAAAUGCUAGUGAAAUUGGGACCUUUAUUCAUAAGCUUGUGGUUUUGAAAAGUAGCCCGGUUCAACUGAUGAAGUUCCUUUUUGGGAUUCUUUUUUUUCCUAGGCUGCAAUUCGGAUAUGUACCUGAUAGACAAUCUUUUGUGGGUUUAGCAUAUCUUCUCGGAUUUUGUCUUUUAUUCCUCGAUUUUAUAAUUACACACCAUGAAUGUUGAGUGAUUGUAUAGAAAAUUUGUGUUAUAACCAAAGCAUUGUGAAGGAGUUAAGUUAGUGGCUUCUGUUUUAUUGGCAUUGAUUGGGUAGAUUACGUGUUACAGUGAUUCAAUUUGUGAUCCAAACUUUGUUUAAAUUUCUGUUUUCCCAAAUUAUUUAUGUCAAAUUCAAAACCAGAAGCAUGUGCUGAUUUUUUCUUUUUGUAUUAAUCUGUGAAGUUUAUUUGGAAAGGAAGUAUCUGGGUCUAAUGGAUUAAAUUAUGUAAGUGGCAGAAAUUCCUACACACAUAAAUAUGCAUAAAUACAAAAGUAUACACAAAAAAAUGCACACACUCAUACAUCCAGUCAAUAUAGUUAAUGUAAGAGCACAUACCGGUUUGGUUAUCUUGCUGCAAGUGCACCGCAUUAGCCUUGCAUUCUGGUGCCAACUCCUCCGGCGGUUCACUCACUACCUUUCCCAAUGCUUUGGACCUCCAUUCGGUCUCCAUCAGAUUUCUCAGGAGCACUAAAUAAAGCAGCUAAAACUUGCUUCUGUAGUUCAUUUCUGUCUUUCGGGUGUCUAGGCAAUUUUCCUUCGUCGGUAUUUCGAUCUUCCUUUACAUGACUGAGGAAAUACAGUCAAAAGCUAAUCAAGUAACCAUAUAUGGAUGAGAAAUCCCUCCACCCCCCUUCCAAAACAAAUUCUAAGAAAUAUCAGAAUUCUUUCAAUAAAAACCCUUCCCCCCAUGCUGUGCCUGCUGAAUGAAAUAUAUUAAUCUUACGAGAAGUUGAGAAAAUAAAUUAAAGAACAUACCCUCCGGAAGAAUUCAAUUGUUGCAAUUUUCUUUCACGUGGAGGUCCUCCAAAGUUAGAGCACAUAUCCGUACACUGUUUAUGAAAUCAUAAUAACAGGGGACCAGAUAUUAAUAACAAAUCUUGACACCUAAAAGUCAACUGUGAUGAAAAACAUUAAAAAGAAUAUGAACUUGUUAUCUUGGAAGAAGAUAAUUUAAGAUAUAGCAAACUUGGCACAUUCAUAUAUGAACAGAAGGAAUUUGUAGACGUUUUAAAGCCAUAAUCGUUUAAUAAUCAUGAACCAAGCAAUAAUAGAUGAUUAUUAUGUUGGGUGCAAGCGGAAGUGCAGAAAAAUUUUUAUUUAAGAUCAGAGUAUUUUGCUGGAAAUUUCUGAAACUUUAUUGCUUAAUUCAUUUUUUCGUUUCUCUCUUACUUUUCAUACAACCAGAGUUCUAUAUUUAUAUGCAUUAUAGACAACUCUAGAGAUUACAUUAAUCAUGCUUUACAUUUCCAAAGCCACAUUGCAAACAUCAAUUCUACCCUUUACUUCACGUUGAAAAACAAACCAAAUAAUCCUUCAAACUUCUUGCUCAAUUUACUAGAUUACUAAUUAUAUCUCAACACCCCCUCUUAAUUAGUAAUCUUCAAUUGCUUCUUGAAUUUUUCAAACUUCUCAAUAAUGAUUGCUUUGGUCAGAAAAUCUGCUGGCUGCUCAUUAGUGCUGAUAAACUCCAUAUUAACUUCUCCUUUGCUUACUAAGUCACGGAUGUAGUGAUAACGCAGCUCAAUGUGCUUAGAUUUAGCAUGAAAUACGAGGUUCUUUGUUAGAGCAAUGGCUGACAUGUUGUCACAAUAAAUUGUUGUUGCAGCAUCUUGAUUGAACUGCAAAUCCUUGAGAAUUCUUCUAAGCCAAACGGCUUCACAAGCUGAUUCAGUUGCUGCAAUGUACUCUGCCUCGGCUGAGGAUAAAGCUACUGACUUCUGCUUCCUUGAGCUCCAUGAAAUCACAUUUGUACCAAGACAAAAUAAAUAACCUGAUGUGCUUUUUCUGUCAUCAAGGGAACCAGCCCAGUCACUGUCAGUAAAACCAACAAGCUUGCAAUUGUCUUCUUUUUCAUACAUGAUCCCCUGCUUUUUUGUUCCUUGAAGAUACCUUAAGAUUCUCUUUGCUGCAAUAUAAUGGGACUUCCUUGGAUCAUUCAUAAAUCUAGAAAGAACACUAACUGAGUGCAAAAUGUCAGGUCUUGAGUUGGUUAGAUAAAUCAACGAACCAACCAAGCUUCUAUAGAUUCUUGCGUCAGCCUUUUCUUCUUUUUCAUCAUGUUUCAAUUUUUCAUUCAAACCCAUAGGAGUAGGUGCUGGUUUGCAUUUGAACAUGUGGAAUUUCUUCAACAAAUCUUCUACGUAUUUUUCUUGACAAAAGAAGAUUUUUCCUCUGGCUUGCUUCACUUGAAUGCCAAGAAAAUACUUCAUUAAGCCCAAGUCAGUCAUCUCAAAUUCAUCUAGCAUGCUUUUUUUAAACUCUUCCACCAUUUUCAGAUUAGUGCCACAAUAAAUUAGAUCAUCAACAUAAAGGCAAACAAUAAGGAAAUCAGUACCUUCCUUUUUGACAUAAAGAGAAGGUUCACUUGAGCUUCUGUCAAAUCCAUUUUUAACGAAAUAUCUAUCAAUUCUGCUAUUCCACGCUCGAGGGGCUUGCUUCAAGCCAUACAAGGCUUUUCGGAGUUGAUAAACUUUGUUUUCUUCACCUUUCACUUCAUAUCCUUUAGGUUGCUCAACAUAAACCUCUUCUUCAAUUUCACCAUUUAGAAAUGCCGAUUUUACAUCUAGUUGAAACACAUGUAAUUCCAUUUGGGCUGCCAAGGCAAGAACAGUUCGAAUAGUCUCCAUUCGAGCUACGGGAGCAAACGUUUCUGUAAAAUCAACUCCAGGCAGCUGAGAGUAUCCUUUGGCAACGAGCCGCGCCUUAUAUUUUUUAACUGAACCAUCUUCAUUGUACUUGAUUUUGAAGAUCCAUUUCAGCCCAAUUGUUUCUUUUCCAUUUGGCAAAUUAACCAUCUCCCAAGUUUUAUUUUUCACAAUGGUGGCCAUUUCCUCGUUCAUUGCUUGGAUCCAAUUUUCAUUUCUUGAGGCCUCCUCAAAGUCUUGAGGCUCACAAGAAAAUAAAGCAAGUUCACAUGACUCAUAAAUUUCUCUCAUUGACUUUAUCUUCCUUGGAGGGCUUUCAUCAUCCGAAGAACUUUCUGCUGCUGAAUUUGGAGAAUUUGGUUCCAAAUUAUUUUGCUGUGAAGAAUUUGGUGGAGAUACAGGAGCUUCGAAAAAGCUAGAUGCUUGAGAUUGAUCUUUUUCCCACUGCCAAGCUGAUGCCUCAUCAAAUACAACAUCUCUUGAGAUAACAAGCUUAUUUGUUGUAGGAUUCAACAACCGAUACCCUUUAGACUCAUCACUAUAGCCAAUAAACAAAUAUUUUUCACCUUUUUCAUCAAACUUCUCUCUGUUUUGAGCUAGAAUAAGAGCAUAAGCAAUACUCCCAAAAAUCUUCAAGUGAUCAACAGUUGGCUUUCGGUUGUGCCAAGCUUCAAAUGGAGUUUUGUCUCUAACAGCUUUUGUAGGAGACCUGUUGAGGAUGUACACAGCUGUAUGACAUGCUUCUGCCCAUAAGUUGUUAGGAAUGCCUUUGCCUUUUAACAUGCUUCUUGCCAUCUCUACAAUGGUACGGUUCUUCCGUUCUGCAACUCCGUUUUGUUGUGGACUUCGGCUGACAGUAAGUUGUCUUUGAAUUCCAUUAUCCCUGCAAUAAUUCAUGAAUGGAGUGUAGAUAAAUUCACCACCACGAUCAGUUCUCAAGGUCUUCAUUUUGCAUCCACUUUGCCUUUCUGCAAGAGCUUUAAACUGAAGAAAAGUUGAGAAAGCUUCUGAUUUUUCAUUCAAAAAAUAAAUCCACAUCAUCCUUGUAUAGUCAUCAACAAAAAGAAUGAAAUAUCUCCUGUUAUUGAGAGAGAGAGUCCUUGUAGGACCACAAAUAUCAGCAUGCACCAACUCCAACGGAGCUUUGGCUCUCCAUGAAUUUUUAGGAAAUGGAAGUCUAUGCAUUUUUCCAUAUAUACAGCCCUCGCAAACUUUUUCAUAUCUUCCAACAUCAGGUAAGCCAAUCACCAUGUUCUUUUGCUUGAGCAAAUUCAGCCCUUUAUAGUUUAAAUGACCAUAUCUGAGAUGCCAUAAAUUUGACAAAUCUGAAUUUUCAGUUUUGAGAGCAACAUUCUCAUCAAGUGGCAUAACAAGAGGAAAAACUUUGUUCUUUGACAUUUCAACAACGGCCACUGUAUGAUUAUUAGUUUUAUCAAUGAUUUUGCAUUUUUCAUCAUCAAAAUAAAUUGAAAAACCCUUUUGAAUUAGCUGCCCCACACUCAAGAGGUUUUGAGUUAAAUUUGGAACAUAAAGAACGUCAUAAAUGAGCUUUUUGUUACCUCCCUUUGUAUGGACAGCAAUAGUGCCUUUUCCCACAGCUUUCUGCAUCUUUCCAUCUCCAAGCUUCACUUGCGAAUUAAAACUUUGGUCAAGGUUGAUGAAAAUGUCACGUUCUCCAGUCAUGUGGUUGCUACAACCGCUAUCCAAGUACCACAAAUUAUAUGAUUCACGUUCAGCACCUUUACUUGAAUAAAACAAGUAAUCUCCAUCACAUUCUUUUGUAAAAUUUGCCUCAUUUUUGCCUUUCUUAUUUUGAUACCAGCAAUCCCUUUGAGAAUGGUUAGGAAUGCGACACCUUGUGCAUUUAUAACGACAAUCUUUUGAUUCAUGAUUAGACCGAUUACAAAUGAUGCACUGAGAAUCUGAAUUUUGCUGUGAAUUCCCUCUGUCAUUUUUCCACUUGUUGCGGUUGUCGUUCUGUUCUCUUUGCCCUAUGCCACGCUGCUCGUUUCUUUGAGACGAGCCUCCGUUCUUCUGGUCUUUCUUGCUGCUUUUAUUCUGAUCUGAAUUAUUAAUCUUUGACUGAAAAGCUUGCUCUGUAGGCUGACUUGAAGGUCGAUUGAUUCUUUGCUCAUGAGACCGUAAUGAUCCUGACAAAUCUGAAAAAGUCAUCUUGGACAAAUCCUUUGAUUCUUCAAUGGCUGCUGCUACAUGAUCAAACUUUGGAGGAAGACAUCUCAGCACCUUUUCAUUCACCUUCUUGUCUUCAAUGGAGUCCCCACAACCUUUAAUCUGGUUCACAAUCUCAGUAACUCUACUGCAAAAAUCCUGAAUUCCUUCUCUGUCUUUCAUUGAUAAAUUAUCGAACUCUUUCCACAAAGUCUGUAACUUGAUGGUGACUGCCUUUUCAGAACCUUGAAAUUCUUGUUUUAGGAUUUUCCAAGCAUUUUUGGCCUUUUUGACACCAAAUAUUCUGGGGAAAAUUGACUUACUAACACCUUGCUGGAUAUAUCGAAGUGUCGUGGCAUUUCUCUGUAUGUUUUCUUUGUACUGCUGUUGAUGUGCUGGAGUCCAAUCUGAAGAACUUGCAGAUUCUGGUGGUUCAGCAUAUCCAUCUUCAACAACAUCCCAUAAAUUUUGAGAGAGGAAAAAGGUUUCCAUUUGAUUACUCCAAUAUUCAUAAUGUACCCCUUCAAAUAUUGGAACUUGACUGGGAGCAUAUGAGAAUAAUGUGGGUAGGGUAUUUGAUGUCAUUUUGAGGGUGUUUUGGAAAAGCUCUGAUACCAAAUUUGUUGGGUGCAAGCGGAAGUGCAGAAAAAUUUUUAUUUAAGAACAGAGUAUUUUGCUGGAAAUUUCUGAAACUUUAUUGCUUAAUUCAUUUUUUCGUUUCUCUCUUACUUUUCAUACAACCAGAGUUCUAUAUUUAUAUGCAUUAUAGACAACUCUAGAGAUUACAUUAAUCAUGCUUUACAUUUCCAAAGCCACAUUGCAAACAUCAAUUCUACCCUUUACUUUACGUUGAAAAACAAACCAAAUAACCCUUCAAACUUCUUGCUCAAUUUACUAGAUUACUAAUUAUAUCUCAACAUAUUAUUCCGUUUCUUCUAAGCUACGCAUACUUGCACAUCAGAAUAAAGUGAUAUACAAUGGUUGUGUGCAGACACAAACGCAUGAUCAACAGGAAAAAUCAUCUGAACAUUUGUAUUACUGAUUUGGCAUAUAAGAUUCUCAUAAUAGUUCAAAAUACAAAUAAAUGAAUAUAUAUAUAUUCCCCACCGGAAUCACCCCCUGGAUCCUCACUCAAGGUGUCUUCCGAGCCAGAAGAUCCCUCCUCACCACUAUUUCCGCUCGUGGAGGUUGUUUGGGGGGACAUCCUCCUAGCGCUAGUCCCAACACUAGACCUAAUGGGUUCUAAGGGGAUCCCGGGGUCAAAAGCAGGAUCGGUGAGCAGACUAGACAAGAAACCUAAUUCGUCGUCAUCAAUCUCAACGAUUUUCUCUUUACCCUUCGACAUUCCCUAAACUAUAAUCAGAACACCACCACCAACUACAACCCCAAGCAAAGCACAGAGAAAAGAAAUUAUCUACAACUAACCAAGACCGAGAAAAUAGAAGAAAUACCUGAAGCAGGGAUUCGAUCAGAGAGAGAUAGGGAUGAAAGCUUUAAUGCCGAGGUUCAUUCGCCGGAGAGACAAGAAGGGAGAAAAUGACGAGUUCGUGUUUGAGGAUUUUGGGUUUUCUUACUGAGAAGCAAACUCUUGGGCUGCCAGCAUUUAAUGACACAUAUUCCGAGAAUCUUGCAACCGUAGGUUUGAAAUUCAAAUGGAGGGGUGGAUUUCUGCCACAUCACUUCAUCUGCAAUUAAAUGCGACACGACUCUUGGCAGUCUUUUCCAGUCCCACGCGAGCAAGAACCGAUUGAGUUUCUACUGCUGGUCCAUUACAUUACCCAACACCAGAAACUGGGGGACUGGUGUUUGAGGGAAAUACUUCGACGAGACCAGACGUGAUGAGCAGAUAUUUGAUGGCAGAGUUCUGCAAACAGGUGUGUCUUGUAAGAGCCAGGUAGCAGGGGAACAGGAGUAGGAAUAUUCUGCUCGUCCACGAAUAUGCCAUUCACGAGGUCAAACUCCUGUUAGAGGCAUAAGGCCAUUCCUGCUAGAGGUCGAGAAGCGAGGAGACCCGGUCAACGACAGUUGGCAAGACGUGCAUUCCUAUCCGAGAAUCAAGGCACAAAGUCCAUCUCCAUUCGCCCACAAUGGCGAUAAUGGGGCAUCCAUAUCCCGGGGGGGGGAGAAUAAGGGGCGUGGACUACGGAAGAUCGGGAUUCAGAGGAAGCUUAUAAAAAGGUAGCCAACGAAGGUAAAAGGGUUAGAAUUUUUGAGAUUGCAACUAAGAAAAGAGAGCUCUAAGAACUGAAACUAAAGAGAAGCCAUAAGAUUCGUGGCAAACAUUCCCAGAACCUUCAUAUCUGACUUGAGCGUCGGAGGAUUUACGCCGGGAAAACGACCGGCGCACCCUGACCUGCUUUUGUGUUCGCAUGAAUUUUUGGGGAAGAAACCUUACGAGGAGAGAUCCUGGUCAUGGUAGAGUUGGUCGAGCAGAGGUCCUGGUCUUGGUAGAGAAGGCAACCAGAAUCUCGCAUCAACAAUUAUUUUACUUGAAAUUAUGUACAAUUGCAUUUCAUUCAUUUCUCUCUCUCUUUUUCUUUUUUCCCCCCAUAUAUUUUUUAUGUAUAAUUGCGUUUCAUUUAAUAUUGAUCAUACUGUAGGUAACCAUGUGAUUGUAGAUGGGGAUUUCAAGUUUGUUGAAUAUUCAUGUAAGUGAAGUAACCGUCACAAUACUAGUGAAAUUGGGAGCUUUAUUCAUGAGUUUGUGGUUUUGAAAAGUACCACAGUUCAGCUGAUGAAGGCUUCUUUUUGGGAUUCUUCUUUUCCUAGGCUGCAAUUAGGAUAUGUACAUGAUAGACAAUCUUUUGUUGGUUUGGCAUAUCUUCGCUGAUUUUGUCUUUUAUUCCCCAAUUUUAUAAUUACACACCAUGAAUGUUGGGUGAUUGCAUAGAAAAUUUGUGUUAUAACAAAAACAUUGUGAAGGAGUUUCUGUGCUAAUAGUUAGUGGCUUCUGUUUUAUUGGCAUUGAUUGGGUAGAUUACGUGUUACAGUGAUUCAAUUUGUGUUCCAAACUUUGCUUUAAUUUUCUGUUUUCCCCAACUAUUUAUGUCAAAUUUAAAUCCAGAAGCAUGUACUGAUUUUUUCUUUUUGUAUUAAUUUGUGAAGUUUAUUUGGAAUGGAAGUAACUGGGUCGGGUCUAAUGGAUUAAAUUAUGACAUUGAGGGGAAGGCACUAAAAGGGUUUGCUUGACACAUUUGGUUCUGUGUCUGCAAGAAAUAGCUUUUGCUUAUUGCAAUGCAGGGGGAAAUCCCGAUUUGGCUGGUGAAUUUCUCUGCAACAAACGGGCAAACACCUUGACUUCUUCUGUCCAUACUUCUGCUGGGGAGGCAAGGGGUAAAGAGUCUUCAAAAUCAUCAAAUAGUAACAUCUCUGAGAAUUCAUUUUAUGGAAAUGGAAAAUCUAGAGCUUCUAAUACAAAAUGGUAUCUGGUAUCAGGACGUACCGUUUCAAGUUUUCUUGGUAAAGAUUAUGUUAAACCUGCACAGCCAGCUAAUGGCACUUUUCUGGCAUCAAAGCCAUUGAAGUUGGAUCCAAGGGAGUUUCGCAUUUCUGCACUUUCAGAGAAGAAACUAAACCGAAACAAUCAAAGGAUGACCAUUUGCAGAAGGAUAUGGAAGAUUUUCUGUUUAAAUUGCUAGGAGAAGGGUUCCAGCUGUACAGGGAUGUGAUUCAGAUGGUUCAUGGUAACGUCUUAAAUAUAUUGAUGCCAAUUUAAUACAUAUUGUCCUUUUCAAUGUUCUUUCUUUCUUUCUCCUCUUUUUAUUCUUCUUCUUCUUCUUUUUUCUUUUCAUGUGCAUCUGAUCACUAAUUUGGUAUUAUUCUUAACUUGCAGAUAGUUGUGGAUAUGAUAUGCAAAAAGGUAAGGACUAUAUCUUCUUGAUGGAGGCCUCUGAUUUUUUAAAUCGCAUUUUCCUUUGUGAUUGAUAUAUCAUACCAAAGUCAAGUCUUAAAUACUGCUGUCAUAUGUUAAGGUUCAACUUCCAUUUUGAUUAACGUCGAUUUGCUACUGCUUCCAAAAGUGAGAAUGAGAUACUUUGGUUAAUUUCAGUAGUUGAACCCAAUAGAGUACUUUAUUUAGAUCUUCAUGGUUCAAAGGCCUGAAAAAACUUGCCGGUGUUUGCAAAAUGACAUUCUGUGCUUUUAUUUAGACUUAUUAUUAAAGACAACAUUUUGUUUCAGCCAAAAAUGUUUGUUUCGAUUAAAGACUGAUUUUAUAUUUCUAUUUUGUAACUUGAAAUAAUUGGUCUGCCUGUUUCUGUUGCUUGAUAACAUGAAUUUUUCCUUCUGAAGUUAAUUUGAUCAAUAAAGUAAUUCUUCGGAGAGGAUAUGCCCAUUCUAUAGUCAUUUUCUUAGCUAACAUGUUUUUUCUUCACUCUUCAGAGCAUGUCUAAACUAAUUGAUCGCUCAGCGGAGACUUUGGGUGAGAAGACAAAAUUUCUUGGUAAAUCCUCUGAAAAGGUAUGCAUAAUUCCCGAGUAUUAAAUAAUCAUUGGUCAUAAUUUUUGUACACGACUCUUUUUUUGGAGAUCGUUAAAAGUGGUUGAUGAUCUAUUUUGUAAUAUCAUAGAGGGAUCAUGAAUUCCUUUUCUUUUCUGUGGCUAGGCAACACUUUCGAGCCAAGCUAAGGAAAUCUAUUUUAGGUAAUGUGAAAACCAGUUGUAGGAUGUAAUAGUUUAUUAUGCCCUGCCAAUAACUUUUUGUAUAAUUGUCAGUUUAAUGAAUACAAGAGGAACUCUGUUGGCAAGUUCAUCCAUGAUAGAUGCUAAAAUUAUUUAUGCAUACCAGUUGCCUUAACUAAUUUUUCUCAACACUGGUAUUGAACAGGAAAAUGAAUAUGCAAUUUGUAUAUUGUGCCAUUGUGGAGAAUUUGGAUAUUCUUAUUUAAGUAACAAGGAGAGUAUUUGCCUCAUCUUUAAACAAUGAAUCUUUGAGAAAUGAGGAGUGGGUGAUUGGCAGUGUCUUCAUGUAAAUGUUCAUUUAUUUGUAUUUUGAACUAUUAUGAGAAUCUUUGUAUGCCAAAUUAGUAAUACAAAUGUUCAGAUGAUUUUUCCUGUUGAUCAUGCGUGUGUAUCUGCACACAACCAUUGUGUACCACUUUAUUCUGAUGCGCAAAUAUCUGUAGUUUAGAAGAAAAGAAAUAAUAAUCAUAUAUUAUUGCUUGGUUCAUGAUUAUUAAACGAUUAUGGCUUUAGAAAAUCCACAAAUCCUUUGUGUUCAUAUAUGAAUGUGCGAAGUUCGCUAUAUCUUAGAUUACCUUCUUCCAAGAUAACAAGUUCAUAUAUUUUUUAAUCCUUUUUCAUCACAGUUGAAUUUCAAGUGUAAGUUUUGUUAUUAAUAGCUGGUUUCCUGUUAUUAUGAUUUCAUAAACAGUAAGAGGAUAUGUGCUCUACUUUUGGAGGGCCUCCACAUGAAAGAAAAUUGCAACAAUUGAAUUCUUCCGGAGGGUAUGGUAUUUAAUUUAUUUUCUCAGCUUGUUGUAAGACUAAUAUAUUUCCUUCAGUACGCACGGCAUGGUGGGAAGGGUUUUUAUUGAAACAGUUAUGAUAUUUCUUAGACUUUGUUUUGGAAGGGGGUGGAGGGAUUUCUCAUCCAUAUAUGGUUACUUGAUUAGCUUUUGACUGUAUUGUCUCCGUCGUGCAAAGGAAAAUCCAAAUACUAACGAAGGGGAAUUGCUUAGGCACCCAAAGGACAGAAAUGAAUUACGGAAGGAAGUUUUUGCUGCUUUAUUUAGUGCUGCUGAGAAAUCUGAUGGAUUUCCUGAAAUUACGGUGAAGACGGAGUGGAGGUCCAACGCAUUAGGAAAGGUGGUGAGUGAACCGCCGGAGGAAUUAGUACCAGAACACAAGGCUAAUGUGGUGCACUGGCAGCAAGAUGACCAGACCUGUAUGUGCUCUUAUAUUAACUAUAUUGGCUGGAUUUGUGAGUGUGUACAUUUUUGUGUGUAUACUCACUUUUGGAUUUAUGCAUAUUAACGUGUGUAGGAUUCUCGAUUUCUGCCACUUACUGGAGAACUAGUGGAAAGCUUUAUACUGAUAUAUGUGCUAUAUAACUAAUGGAAACUACAAUAUGAAUAUUUUCUCUCACCUGGAGAACAGUGUAACUGAUAUAAUUUGUGGCUCUGGAAUACUGAAGAUUCUGCAAUAACUAAUGGAAAAUAUGAUAUGAAUAUUUUUUCUCACCUGGAGAACUUUGUAACAGAUACAUUUUGUGCUGGAAUGUCUAAAGAAUGCUUCAGUUUAGAUCAAAUAUCUUUUAGUUAGAAAAGAUAAAAUUCUCUGAAUCUGAAAGACUGAAACAUUUUGCAUAUUUCGUGAAAGGCAAGUAUCUGUAGAUACUAGCUCAUGCAUUGAGGUAAUAUCAAUGUUAAAGAAAAACAGCAAUAAUUUAUUAUACAGAAUUAGGUUCACUUGCUUUAAAUGCUGGUCUGAUCAACCAUAUCAACCUGUAAUGGUCCUGCAGAAAUAUAUAUACGGGGAGAAACUAGCUAAUUUUCCUUUCACUUAUGGGUUUGGUCUUUUUUUUCCCCUAUUUUUCAGCUUUCCUUCUCCUGAAGUAUGUUAACAAUUGCAGAUAAUGACGAAGAGGACCGCUUCCAGGCUCUUUGUAGAGCUGUGAUGGAAUAUAGGGGCACAAUGAAAGAAUAUUGUAAGGCUGUAUGUACUUUCUCUCAUGUCAUUUAUGUUUUCUCACACAUUUUGUAUAUGCCCUGAACAUGCAGCUUUGUAUGUGUCAAUUGCCUUUUACGUUUUAAAAGCCAUAAAGUAAGAAUACAGUUCCUUGUCAGGCUAUUGAUGCGUUCGCUCAGAAGGGUCAUGUUCAAGCAGGAAAACUUCUAGAACAGGUAAGGUUUCCAUCUACAGCCAUCCAUUGACAGCAGAUAUAUUUUCAUUAAGCAGACACUGUUAGCAUUCAAGAUGCUGGCAGAUUCACUUGAUUCUUAUUAGUUUGUUUAGUGGCAAACCAUAUAACCUGUAUUUCAAAGCCAAGUUGUGCUAUUGAUUAUGUUAACUUUAUUGUUAACAUAAAGUGAUAUGGAGGACAUAAUCAAUGUAGGAAAAUUAGGUGAAGAGAUGAUGUCAAAUCUUGAACCUCUUACAAAGCUCCAAGUUCUUUACUUGAAGAAGCUGCCAAAUUUGAAGAGCGUCUACUGGAAGGCAUUUCCAUUCCCAGAUGUAUGCAGAAUUUUUGUAUUAAUGCCCAGUUCUUAAGAAGCUGCCACUGGAUUUUCAAGGGGCGGGCCAAGGUAAAAUUCUUAUCAAGGGAAAGGAAGAUUGGUGGAAAGAACUUCAAUGGGAGGAUCAAGCAACUCAGAAUGCAUUGCUUCCAUUUUUCAAAUCAACUGACAAGUGAUUGAAGGGGGCAUCAUCAACAUCAUCAACUGGGAUGGAGAGAUUAUGGAGCAGAUCAGCAGGGUUUGUAUAUGAUCUUUGGUGGUUGCUUUCUUUUGUGAUUUUUUUUUUCUCAUUUUUUUCCCUUCCUGUCAUUUUAUCAUUUCUUUGUCUCGUUUUCUAUUGCUGAUGUUAGUGUAUGCUUACUGUUGCUUGACAAAGUUUGCUUGCUUCUUGUUUAUUAAUUUUUUUAUGGUCACAAAAUAUUACUUGUUCUAUUUGAGAGUGAUGUGAAUCAAUUUUCAAUUAUAUAUUUUAUGGUCAAUGUGAAUUCAAUUUCAUUUGUCUCCUGCAAUUAUUUAAAAAAUGCAGAGUCAUAAUAUGGAAAAGUCGACCGGCAAAAACUUUGUGAAAGCUUCGGAGUGAAACAGGGAAUUCACUUACUAACAGGGAAUUCACUUACUACUAAGGACAAUUGGUGGCGAGCUAUUCCAUUCAUUUUAUGUCCAUACAUCUAUUUAAUUAUUAAAGAUAAGUGGUCCAUUUGUAAAUUUCAGAUUGUGUCUCUCUGAAAAUAACAAUAUUUAAAAUGUCUCUUAAAUUAUUAUAAAUUUUAAUUCACUCUCGAUUUAAAAUGGAACAUGCUGAUGAAAUUUUUUUUCUUCUUAAUAAAAUUGAAAUAAAUUGUGUUUGCAGUAGUUUGAAAUAUUUUAAAGAUUAUUAUUUUAUAAGGGAGUAAUAUGAAAUGAAAUUUACUUUUCAUGCGUGAAAUGUUGAAAAAGGACACAGCAAGUGUCCCUGCUUUUAUUUUAUUUCAAAGUGGAGUCAUCUCACAUACUUUAACUCUAUCGUUACAAUUUUUCAGGUUACAUUUUUAUUUAUUUAUUUAUUUUCUUUUUUACACAUGCAUGUGGGUUACUUUUCCGUAAGCUCCUUAAUAUAUAUAUUUAACACAAAUCAUGGAAGAGAUGGGAGUAUAUCAAGAUGAUCAAAGCAUGAAACAAAAAUAUUUAAGAAGUAAAACACUGAAAAUAGAGAAGAGAUGCAAGCAAAAGAUAUUCCAAAGAAAAGCAAUCUAUCUCCUUUCGAAGAAUGUUAUGGAAGAGUUGAACCCAGCGAAGAAUGUUAUGGAAGAGCAAAUUAAUGAUAUUUUUGAUAGAGUCUAUUUGAUUAUGUAGCCUGAAUAGAUGUCUUGUUGAAAGAUAUCUCAGUGCAUUAGUUCAUCCUUGACUGUCAAUGUGUUUUUAAUGGUUUUUCCAAAUUUUUAUUAUUAUAGAUUGAUUGUAAAUUUGAUAUGAAUUUAAUGUUGAAAUGUUUUCUCUUUAGUGGAAUGAAUUUAAAAGUGCAAAAGCUUAUUGCACACAGAGAAAUAAACAUAUAUGCUUUAUAACUUUAGCAAUCGAUUCUUUUACAGCUGGAAACAGAGAUGAUGAUUAUCAUAGGGGUGAAGAAAAGGACAAAAAAUGUUAAUGGUUAACGAAAUUUCUAUGCAAAUUGAUUUUAGCAGGAAAAAAGUGAGCUAAAUGAUCUUAAUGUUCCACAAGAAAAAGCAAGAUCUUAAUGUUCCACAAAAGCGUUAUUUAUUUUUUUUUGGUGAGCCACGUGGAGCUCAAUUAUCAUUGUCUUUACUUUAAAAACGUUAUUUUAUUUUCUUUUAUUACAAAUUAAUGCUAACAAGAAAAAGCAAGAUAUAAUAUUCCACAAAAGCAAAUCGUAAUAUUCCACAGAGGAGUAAGAUCCACAAAAGCAAACAACUAGCUGGAUUCUUUUAUUGAACUACAAAUUAAAACAACAAAUUAAAGUUCAAAUAUUUAAAUAGUAGUGCGUUAGACGAUUAGGCUCUUUUAUUAAAGGGAAGUAUAAAGUAGUCCAGAAUCGAACAUCUCUAUUGUCUAGUCUUUUUUUUUUUUUUUAAUUCUUCUUUUAUUAUUUUUCAGAAUAGGUUUUGGUGAUUACUAUUGGGUUAUUAUUGAGAGUUAUUGUUAUCUUCCGGGGCAGUUUCUGUUAAUCGAAAUCGUUAAUUAAAAUUUUAGAACUCUUAUUGGAAGAAUGUUUUUCCGUUAUUUUUUUAUAUUCUAAUUUCAAUUGUAAGAAGUAGUCAUUUUAGAAUUUGGGUCUUGAAUCGAAUUUCAAUGCAUGAAUUAAUAUUUAAAAAAAAAAUUACUACACGCAGUUUAGGUUACAAACUAUUUUUUGCAAAGUUGAUUAUGAAAUUGGAAAAAUUAAGUAAUUUAUAAUGUUUGCAAAGGAAGAGACUAACAUACUUCCAAUUACACUAUAUCUCUAUUAUCAUAAUGUUAAGAUUAAACUAACUUAAAAUAAAUUUUAUUUGAAAAGUUAUAUCAAACGCAGUCUAAUUUUAUUAACUUGAAGAGAUAAUAGUUAUAGAAAUUAUUGUUCUAACUUAAUUAGUACAAGUGGUAUAAAGGUUAAGUGUGCACUAAAUUUGUUUAAAUUUUUUCCAGAAUAACUAACAGAGGUCAUUACUAGAAUUAUAAUUACUAGUCUAUUAGAUAGAAAAAAUUAUUUAUAUUGUUUUAUAUUUAUUAAAAAAUUUUAAAGUCAAUCUUUUUAAUUAUUAUUUAAAGGAUAUUAUAAUUAAAAAAAAUUUAAUGUCUUUAUUAAAAAUUUAAAAAUUUAAAAAUUUAAAAAUUUACAUGACCGCUCUAUAAAUAUUGAAAGUGUAACUGUCAUUUUCUCAUAUAUAUAUAUAUAUAUAUAUAUAUAUAUAUAUAUAAACCACGGUGGUGAAGCUUUAUUUAAUAUUAAUGAUUUAAAUAACAAUAUCUCAAUUAAAAAUGUAGAGAGAAGAAAUUUCGGUGGGUAUAUUAGUCUUUUACAAUUAUCAUGAUUAACCCUUCCUCUUGUAACGUUGGUCAGAAAAGUUUUAAAAUGCCUUGAUUUCUUUUACUUUUAACGUUAGCGGCCUUCCUUAUAUUUUAUUACAAAUUAGUCCUAACAAGAAAAAGCGAGAUCAUAUUCCAAAAAAGCAAAAGUGACAAAAAAACCAGCUGUAUUCUUUUAUUAAACUACAAUUUAAAAUGAUUUUAAAGUGGAUUCUUUUGAAUACAGGUGGGGUAGUCGAAUAGUCUUUUUCAAAUUCUUGUUUUAUUAUUUUUCAAAACUAGUUUUUGGUAAUUACAAUCGGGUCAUUCAUUAGUCAUUAUUCAGAGUUAUUGUUAUCUUCGGGGGCAGUGGGUAAAAGGCUAAAUGAUAAUUACUAAGUGUUUUUCCUUCAAAAGUUAGUGGCUCGUGUUUUGCAAGUGUGUACGUGCGAUGCUCUUUGUCUAAAGGCAAUUACAGUGGGUCCCGAAUCGGACGUGCCUAAUAAAUCUUUUAAAAAUUUUUCUAAUAAAUAUUCCUAAAAUUUCUCUUCCACAGGCAAUUACAGCAGCUUCAGUUAAUCAAACUCAAUCAAUUUUCUUUCUUAACAAAAUUCCAAAGAUGUGUGGCUGUUUUCAGAUCACAUGCGAUGGUACUUUUUUCAAUCGUUGCUUAGAUUGCUUUCUUGGAAAAGCAGCAUACAUACGUAACCUCCAAGAUAACCUCGUUGCCUUGGAGACUGAACUAAGGAAACUAAUCGCAGCAAAGAACGAUGUGAUGACGGCGGUUGUCAAUGCUGAACGGCAACAAAUGAGAAGGCUGGAACGAGUGCAAGUGUGGGUUUCGAGUGUGGAUUCUGUUAAAACUGGAGCCGAUGAACUUAUCACAGACGGCUCUGAAGAAAUUGGCAAAUUAUGUGUUGGAGGCUACUGUUCCAAGAACUGCAGGUCAAGCUACAAGUUCGGAAAACAAGUGGCUGAAAAGCUACAACAUGUGAAGAAUUUAAUCGCCGAGGGAGUUUUUGAGGCGGUGGCCACUGAGGUGGUGCCCGAGAGAGCUCCGGAACCUGUAGCAGAUAAAAGACCCAUUGAGCCAACAAUAGUAGGCUUGCAAUCACAGCUUGAAGAAGUUUGGAGAUGUCUUGCAGAAGAAUCAGUGGGAAUCAUUGGCCUAUAUGGUAUGGGCGGUGUUGGUAAAACCACACUAUUGACCCAUAUCAACAAUAAAUUUCUUGAGAGUCCCACAAACUUUGAUUGUGUGAUUUGGGUCGUAGUUUCAAAAGACCUGCGACUUGAAAAAAUUCAAGAAGAUAUUGGGAAGAAGAUAGGUCUAUCUGAUGAUUCAUGGAAGAAUAAAAGUUUUGAAGAGAAAGCUGUGGACAUCUUGCGGAGAUUAGGAGAGAAGAGAUUUGUAUUGUUGUUAGAUGAUAUAUGGGACCGGGUUGAUUUAACAAAGGUGGGCGUUCCACUUCCCGGACCACAAAAUACUACCUCAAAAGUCGUAUUCACAACCCGUUCCAUCGAUGUUUGUGGCAGCAUGAGAGCUAGGCCGGUUAAAGUGGCAUGCCUAUCAGAAAAGCAAGCUUGGGAACUGUUCCACGAAAAUGUUGGGGAAGAAACUCUUGAGAGUGAUCAUGAGAUCGUUGAGCUAGCCCAAACAGUGGCCAAAGAGUGUGGUGGUUUGCCACUCGCACUUAUUACUAUUGGUCGAGCUAUGGCCUACAGAAAGAAAGCGGAGCAGUGGAGACGUGCAAUUGAAGAGUUAAGAAGAUCAGUUUCAGAGUUUGCAGGUUUGGGAAAAGAGGUGUAUCCUUUUUUAAAGUUCAGCUAUGAUAGUUUGCAGUAUGAUACGGUUAGAUCUUGUUUCUUGUAUUGUUGUUUAUAUCCUGAAGAUUAUGGCAUUCUUAAAUGGGACUUGAUUGAUUGUUGGUUUGGCGAGGGAUUUUUUGGGGAAUCUGACAGGUCUGGUGCAGAAAACCGAGGAUAUGGCAUUUUGGACACUCUUGUUCGUGCAUGUUUAUUAGAAGAGGUGGAAGAUGAUAAAGUAAAAAUGCAUGACGUUAUUCGUGAUAUGGCUAUAUGGAUAGCUUGUGAAAUUGAGAAGGAGAAGAGAAACUUUUUGGUUUGUGCAGGUGCUGGAUUAAAAGAGGCACCGGAUGUUAAAGGAUGGGAAAAUGUGAGAAGAUUGUCAUUGAUGCAAAACCAAAUUAAAACUCUGUCAGAGGUUCCUACAUGCCCUCAUCUCCAUACUCUAUUUCUUGACUUUAAUAAGGAGUUGGAGACGAUCGCGGAUGGCUUCUUCCAAUUUAUGCCUUCUCUCAAAGUUUUGAAGAUGUCAAACUGUGGGCAUGUCAAAGUUUUGAAAUUACCUAUUGGGAUGUCAGAGUUGGGUUCAUCACUAGAACUUCUUGAUAUUUCAAAUACCAACAUAACAGAGUUACCAGAAGAGUUGAAGUUGUUGGUAAAUCUGAAAUGUUUGAAUUUGAGGUGGACAAUUUGUUUAAAUAAAAUUCCAUGGCAACUAAUAUCAAAAUUUCAAGGUUACGUGUGUUGAGAAUGUUCGCUACUGGCUUUGCACGUUUUGAUGCAGCAUCAGAAGACAGCGUUUUAUUUGGUGGGGGUGAAGUUUUAGUACAGGAAUUGGUCGGUCUGAAAUAUUUAGAGGUAUUGGAGUUGACCUUGGGAUGUCAUCAUGCUCUCCAAAUUUUUUUGAGCUCAAAUAAGUUAAAAAGUUGUAUUCGAUCUCUUCUCCUCCAAUUGGCCGGAGAUACAAAGUCGAUUAUUGAUGCUACGGCUUUCGCAGAUCUAAACCACCUCAAUGAAUUAUGGAUUGAUAGGGCUAAGGAGUUGGAAGAAUUGAAGAUUGAUUGUAAAGAAAUAGUACAAAAAAGGCGGGAACCUUUUGUUUUCCGCAGCCUUCACCGUGUUACUAUACAUAGCUGCCAGAAGUUGAAAGAUUUGACAUUCCUCGUUUUUGCUCCAGACCUCAAGUCUCUCGAUCUAGACCGUUGCGAUGCUAUGGAAGAAAUAAUCAGCGUCGGAAAAUUUGCUGAGACUCCUGAGAUGAUGGGACAUAUAAGCCCUUUCGAAAAUCUCCAAACUCUUCAUUUAAGAGCGUUUAACAUCUUUUCUCGACGACCUGCACGAUUGCCUUUCACUCAUCUGAAGGAAAUGGAGGUAAGUGGGUGCGAUCAGCUUAAAAAGCUUCCACUCGAUUCCAACAGUGCAAAAGAGCGUAAAUUUGUUAUUCGUGGAAAAGAAGACUGGUGGAACCGACUUCAAUGGGAGGAUGAAGCCACUCAAAUUGCUUUUCGUUCCUGUUUCCAACCUGAGCGGUUAGUCGCAAAAUUUGAUUUCUGGUGAUUGCGUUUGUCUUUUAACUCUUAUAUAUAUUCUUGUCGUUUGUUUUCUUCUCUGUUUUUAACUCUUAUAUUGCGUUUGUCUUUUGAAAAUCUCCAAUUAAAUGUUGAAUUAAUGGAAUUAAUGCUUCAUAAAUUUGCCGGCACUGCCAUCACUUUUUUUUUUUUUAAUACAAAUUGAUACUUUAUUUAUAUCUUCUUAGCGAUAUAAUUUCCUGUCAAUUGACGAACGAGAAGAACAUACGACUUAAACCAAUUCACGCAUAAACUUGCUGUAAAAAGAUAUAAUCUCACUGAAAUGCACACGUCUAGAAUGAAUAGAAUUAAAACAGGGAAAAUAUUUAAGUAUAUUAGCCCUCUUUACCGAAAAUGAAAUGACAAUAAAUUUUUUGAAAGUUUUGAUUUUCUAUGGUCAAUUCCACCUUUUGCAAUUUCUUCUGUUCUAACAAAAACCAAUUUCUUUGUUCAAGUAUUUUCGUUUGGGUAUUAAUAAUUCUCCACCGAAAGAGUGAACUCUUGCUCAAGGGAUCUCUAAUCAAUAGCCGGAAGGGCGCCGAGACCUGAUCGGACCUAGGCCCAAGUUUGGUCUUAAAGCCUGGGCUUGAGCCUGGCAAUUAAAUUAAAACAUUAAUUGAUUUCUUGAUUGAAUUGUCGUGUAAUUGAUUUAUGGGGGAUGACACAUCAACAUGCUUGAAAACACACUAAUCUCAGCAUCAUCGGUUAAUAACUUUUAGAAUUAUGGGUAAUCAAUAGUUAAGAUUAGUUGUCAUUAAUACUAAAUAUUUUUUUACUAUUUUCGUCUCUUCUAGAGGAUCUUCUAGAAAAAUGCAUCCACAACAAAAUUUAAUACUUUACAUAAUAAACAAAGCAUAAAUGUUAAAUUUAAGAAACUGCAUUGUAUUUCAGCUGAAGUUGACUUUAAUAUUUAGGGUAGAAAAAUAAUAAAUCCUUAAUGUGUUUAAUUUCUAUCACUUGUGUCAUUAAAAUUUUCUAGUCACCCUAACCAAUUACAUCUCAACCCACUUUUUUUUGGAUGAUUUUAUUUUUACACUAUUAUUUUCAUCAUUUUUUUUCCUUUUAACACCAACAUUAGUGUAUGUUACGUAACAUAAUUCAUAUUUGGAUAAUUUGAAAUUUGUUUGUGUUUUAUCUCAAAAUAGAGCUUCAAUCAAUUUGUACCUCAUAAAUUCACAAUAUCUAUGAGGGCUAAUAAGACCAAACUCUGGCAUAUUGUCAAAUGUGCUUAUCCUUUUGCUUGACAUGUCAUUUUAAAAUUGUCAUUCAAUGCCAAAAAAUCACAUCAACUGAUGGCCGACUACUUUAAUUUGAAAGCAUGCAUGCGAUCGCCAAUAAUUAUAACUUAAUUGUUAUUUUGAAAUUUUUUUCUUUAUAAUUUUUAAGUUUAAUACUACUACAUGUGCAGCACAUAAGUUGGAAAAUAUAACAUAAAAUUUGAAAAAUGUGUAGCUUUCGUUCCUUUUUUUUCUUAAAAAUGAGGAAAAAGAAUGUAAUUUUGUUUAAAUUACUGUUGUGAUAACAAUUAUUAUUUUAUUGAUUAAUUGGCAGAGAAUGGUUAUGGUUUCGCAUGGUUGUUAAAACAUUGGAAAAUCCACUACAUCAUCCGUUAAUAACUUUCAGAUUUAUGGUUAAUCAAUAGUUGAGAUUUGUUAUCAUUAAUGUUAAAUAUUUUUUUAAUAUUUUUUCUCUCUCCUAGAGGAUCAUCACAGCAAAAAUUUAAUAUUAUAAAUAGUAAACAAAAUAUAAACAGUUAAAUCUAAGAAACUGCAUUGCAUUUCAGCUGAAGCUAACUUUAAUAUUUAAUGGAGAAAAAUAAUUAAGUCCUUAAUGUACUUUAUUUACCCAUACUGAUACGCUCUUAAUUCGUGAAACUGAGCAACAUCAAAAUUAUCACUACUUCGAGCGAGUGUUUGCUCCAGAAGAAAGAACUGGAAGUUGAGAAAUGAGAAAGAAGAAAAGAAGAAGAGUCACAGCGAGGAAUAAAAGUGGUCCAUUCAUUUCAUGCCUUCCCAAAAUGACAAAAUCCCGCAAUAUAUAACAGACAAUCGAAAAUAACCAAUUUGACAACGCAACAGAAAAUGACAAAAAAGAAUCCAAAACAAACGUAGCCAAUCACAAUGCUUUUACAGAUCAUCCUAAACGACGUAGUCUCGUAGCCAAUCUAGAAGUUUCUUGUUUCGUUUGGGCCGUUGAUUCUCUUGCACUGGCUCAUGGUGAAUGUCCUCUUUGGGUUGACUGACUGUGGGUUCUCGGUUGAGCUCUUCCACUUGCGCCCCCUCUAAUGGCUCUAAUUUGAUAUAUAAAUUCGUAUCAUUCCCUCCUGCUUGAAAACACACAUUGUCCUCAAGGUGAAAUGCUGGAUAGAGCUUACAAAAGGCGUCAAAGUUUUCCCAAGACGAAUUCUUCGGUGAACUGACGGUCCAUUGAACUAACACUUGAAGCGUUGGCUUCCCCUGUUGCAAAACUAUUCGGGUUGCACAAAUGGCAGCCGGUAGCAAAAGAGGAUGGUUAUCCACACUCAACUCUGGUAAAGGAUGUGAAAUAGCAGGGUCGUUGCCAUGAUAAUGCUUAAGGACAGAGAUGUGAAAAACCGAGUGGAUUUUGGAAGUAUUGGGUAACUCCAAUUUGUAAGCUACAUACCCCACUCUAGCAAGUACCGUAAAUGGCCCGUAGUAUCACUUGGCCAACUUCUGACAGGCGCGAGAAGCUAUAGUGGUCUGUCGAUAUGGCUGUAAUUUAACCAGCACUUUAUCCCCUACUUCAAAGUGAGCUUCACGGCGAUGGGCAUUAGCUUUCUGAGCCAUUCGAUGUUGUGCUUGCCUCAAAUUAGCUUUUAAAGAUUGGAGAAGAGUAUUACGUUCAAGGAGAAUGUCCUCCAAAGUUUGGAUUGAAGUAGAGCCCUUAGCAUAAUGAGGAAUAGUUGGAGGCAAUCGGCCAAAUAAAGCUUGAUAGGGAGACAUCUUCAAGCCACUGUGGAAAUGAGAAUUAUAACUAAAUUCUGCCCAACUCAGUAAGGAAACCCACUUCCGUGGUUUGUCUUGAGUGAAAGCUCGUAAAUAUUGCUCCAAUCCUCAAUUUACCACUUCCGUUUGACCAUCCGUUUGAGGGUGGUAUGCCGUGCUAUGACGAAGAGUUGUGCCACUUAAGAGGAAUAAUUGUUUUCAAAAAUUGCUCAAGAACACUGGGUCUCGAUCGGAGAUAAUUGAACUUGGAAAACCAUGUAUUUUAAUGACCAUGUCCACAAAGAGUUCAGCUGUCUUGAGGGCAGUAAAUUGACAGGGUAACGGACCAAAAUGGGCAAAUUUUGUAAGACGAUUGACAACAACCAAUAUGACCGAGAAACCUUGUGCUAACGAAAGACCUAUAACGAAAUCCAUUGUGACCUCAUCCCAAACCAUAUUAGGUAUCGGCAAUGGUUGAAGAAGACCAGCAGGGGCUUGAGUGGAAUACUUAGUUUGCUGGCAUAUUAAACACUCUCGGAUAAACGUUUCCACAUCAUGACGCAUCUUGGGCCAAUAGAAUGUUGAAGAUAAUCUGAUUAAGGUUCUAGUGACACCCACAUGACCUGCCAGUGGUGUAGAGUGAAAUUCUUGCAAUAGUACGACUUUUAAAGAGGAGGUAGGACUGAUGUAAUAACGCUGACGGUGGAGAAGAAAUCCGUUUUGAACAGAGAAGUCAACUGACAGUUUGCCUUGUAAAAGUUGCUGGUGAAGUGAUAUUAAAUCAGGUAAUGUGGUAUUCUCAUUAAGUAAUGACUGCAGCAAUUCAAAUGAAGGAUGGCUGUUGAAAGAAAGGCAAGUGGGGGAGAUGUUGAUGUUAUCCUCAGGAGCUGUUUCAUGGACACGGGAUAGAGCAUCAGCGGCGCUAUUGGUACAACAUGGUCUGUACUCAAUUCUGAAUUGGAAACCCAAUAAUUUGCGGAGAUAAACUUGCUGAUCUAGUGUUUGUAUCACUUGUUGAAGGAGUUCUUUGAUACUCUUAUGAUCCGUGCGGAUAACAAAGAAUCGGCCCAACAAAUACUGCCGCCACUUAUACACAGCUUCUACAAUUGCAUGCAACUCCUUGAUGUAAGUGGAAGAAGCCCGCAAUUUGGGACCCAACUUCUUGCUGAAAUAAGCAAUUAAAUGCCCAUGUUGUGUAAGUACAGCUCCUAUGCCUACAUUAGAAGCAUCGGUCUCAAUGACGAAUUCGAAAGUAAAAUUCGGCAACUUAAGGACUGGAGCUUGCACCAUUGCUUGUUUAAGAGCUUCAAAGGCCUCCAUGGCUGUCAAAUUCCAUUGAAAGGCAUCAUUUCGCAGCAAAUCAGUGAGUGGGGCUGCCAAGGAAGCAUAACCACGGAUGAAGCGCCUAUAAUAUCCAGUGAGACCAAGAAAACCCCUCAACUGUUUGAUAGAACGUGGAAUUGGCCAAUUAAGCAUGGCAUCAAUCUUUUGGGGGUCGGCUUGUACUCCCGAGGCUGAAACAAUACGGCUUAGAUACUCAAUAGCGGCUUGGCAAAACAAACAUUUGGAUAAUUUAAUAAAAAAUUGAUGAAGAUGUAAACAAGCUAAUACUUUCUCAAGAUGAAGCAAAUGCUCGGCCAUGGAGGAGCUAUAAACCAAGAUAUCAUAAAAAAAAACGAUCACAAAUUUCCGGAGAUGAGCUGCAAAAAUCUGAUUCAUUGUGGCUUGAAAAGUGGAUGGGGCAUUUGUCAACCCAAACGGCAUGACAAGAAACUCAUAAUGGCCCUCAUGUGUUCAAAAUGUCGUUUUGUAUAUGUCGCGGUUGUGGACACGAAUUUGAUGGUAUCCCGCGCGCAAAUCCAAUUUGCUAAAAAUGGUGGCGCCCCCAAGUUCAUCAAACAACUCAUCGAUUGUCGGUAUAGGAAAUUUGUCUUUGAUGGUUACGGCAUUUAAUGCACGAUAGUCAACACAAAACCGAUAGGUGCCAUCUUUUUUCUUGACCAAGAGAACCGGGGAGGAAAAAGGGCUUUAGUUCGGUCGGAUUAUGCCCUACUCUGACAUUUCCCUGAUCAGUUUUUCCAUUUCAGAUUUCUGGAAGUGUGGGUAGCGGUAUGGACGAACAUUGACGGGGGCUGUGUUGGGUAAUAAAUGGAUUUUGUGGUCAAUAGUUCUGUGCGGUGGUAGGCUAGAAGGUUGGAGAAAUAGGUGUUUGUAUUGCUGUAAAAGGUUGAGAAAUUGAGCAGGAAGGGAAAAAGGAAAUUCAAGUGAGGAAGUGUCUGUGAUGGAAAAUGAAGGCAAAGCAUCGAUAGCGGGCACUGGUUGUAAGGCACAAAGGCUGGUCACGGUAUCACUUUGAACCAAUACCUGCAAUUGAUUAUAAGUGAUCAAAUUAUUAGAAGACAAAUCACCAUGAAGCAUCACUGGUUGCUCAUUUAAAGAAAACUCCAUAGGACACUUUGCCCAAUUUCUGUAGCCAUUGAAUGCCAAGGACCACAUAUGUGCCCUCAAUUGGCAAAAUGAAGAGGUCUACCAUAAAAGCCGUGCCUUGCAUUGUUAAGUUCACUUGAGGACAGAACUGUUUACACACCAGGAAGUCACCGUUGCCAAUAUACACUCGGAAAUUGGUAGUUGGAUGAAUGGCUAACCCCAAUCGUUCCGCUAACGCCGGUUUUAUGAAAUUGUGAGUGUUGCCACUAUCAAUCAGCACUUGAAAGGUGUGCGAAUCAAUUUCUCCAAUUAAACGAAGAGAGCGAGGAUUGGCCUGCCCUGCUAGAGCAUUUAAGCUAGAGAUGUCACCAGUAAUACCAGCAUCUACCAAUUCUGAUGGUUCCUCGUUAUUUUUGGGUUCCAAUUCUUCAUCAUCCGUGCCCAUGAGAAGUAGAAAUUUACUGCGACAGAGAUGAUUGUUGCUGUAUUUUUUGUCACAAUUGUAACAUAAACCCUUCUCGCGUUUGUCGCAAAGUUCAGCCGAAGACAAACGGCGAAUUGGUAAUGUUGGUGUCGAUAAUAAUGCAGGUAAAGUGUUUGAUUUAUUGGUAUUGUGGGUUUGUGAGGGAAGAGUUGAAGAUGAUACGGGGGUGAUGGCUGUGGUAACAGUUGCAAGUGAUGAGGAUGGAUAAAUGGGUUUGGGUUGUGUUUGGAAACCAUGUGAAAGGGGAUAUGGUUGCUGCCAUUUAGGCCAUGAGCGUGAGCUCUGUUUCACUUCGUCAUAUUUGGCCUCAAAAGCACGAGCUAAAGUUUCCAUUAGUGAAGACGGUCUAGAGAAAAGCAAUUCCCGUCGAAUGUUGGGUUUCAGACCAGUGAUGAAAAAACUAAUCAAAAGAAGUUCAGAAAUUCCAGUGACCUUGUUCAUUAAAUCUUCAAAAGCUGACUGGAAAUCUGCAACCGUGGUAGUUUGACUCAAUUUGGACAAAUCACCUUGGGGAUCUUCACACAAAGAAGCACCAAAACGAUAGCGCAAGUUAGCUAAAAAUUCUUGCCAAGUAGUGAGCAAGUGAUUGUUCUUUAUCCAUUGAUACCACGCUGCAGCGCGACCCUCCAUAUGAAAAGAGACAAUCCGUAGUCGGAGGAUCUCAGGUGUGUCAUGAAAGUCAAAAAAUUCUUCUAUUCGAAAAAUCCAUCCAUUUGGGUCAGACCCAUCGAAUUUGGGCACAUCCAUUUUCAUGGAACAAAGUACUGGAGAAACUUUAGAACCAGUAAGAACGCCAUCAUAUUUAGAAGAUGAAGGGUGUGAAGGGUUGGAGGAACCAACUGGUUUGUUGGAAGACCCAUGAAUUUAUGUACGUAACUCCUCAAAACGAGAGUCAACUGAUGUCAUGAAUUGUUGGAUUGUUUGAUGGAUGGACAGUUGCUACCCAUCAAGUUUGGCGUCAAAAGUUGCUUGAAGGGUCUGUAAAGCAUAAAGAAUUUCAGAAUUUGCCAUGAUCAAUGAAAGCACCAGUGAUACGCUCUUAAUUCGUGAAACUGAGCAAUAUCAAAAUUAUCACUACUUCGAGCGAGUGUUUGCUCCAGAGGAAAGAACUGGAAGUUGAGAAAUGAAAAAGAAGAAAAGAAGAAGAGUCACAGAGAGGAAGAAAAGUGGUCCAUUCAUUUCUUGCCUUCCCAAAAUGACAAAAUCCCGCAAUAUAUAACAGACAAUAAAAAAUAACCAAUUUGACAACGCAACAGAAAAUGACAAAAAAGAAUCCAAAACAAACGCAGCCAAUCACAAUGCUUUUACAGAUCAUCCUAAACGACGUAGUCUCGUAGCCAGUCUGGAAGUUUCUUGUUUCGUUUGGGCCGUUGAUUCUCUUGCACUGGCUCAUGGUGAAUGUCCUCCUUGGGUUGACUGACUGUGGGUUCUUGGUUGAGCUCUUCCACUUGCGCCCCCUCUGAUGGCUCUAAUUUGAUAUAUAAAUUCGUAUCACAUACAUGCGGUUAAUUUUUUAAGAUAAAGGGGAAGGAUGAUGCUCAAAAAUAUAAAUUAUAGAAUUAAUUGAACUCUCAAAUAAGUUUAAAGUUCAUUAUUUUUAAUUACAUGUUUAUAAUUUAUUUUUAUUUCGUAUUAAUCUAUAGAUCUAAAUCCACUUUGGAUUCAUAUACACAUAUAGACAUAAUGUGUAUGUUAAUCUAUAGGUCUAAAUUCACUUUAGGUCUAUAUAGGUAUUUUGACAAAUGUACUCCAAUCAUGCAUAUUGGCAAGUUCAAAUUCAAUUUGGAAUAUGGUCAUGGUACGUUCUUGUUCUUCCCUCUUUACGAGUGCAUUCCCCCCAACCUCAAGCUCCCUCUCUCGUCUUCAAUGUCACUGCUUAUAUCCUUAUGUUGUUCUAGUUUGAAACAGUGGCUUCCACUAUUUCAGGGCCCCCAAAAAUCCAGAAACAUACUAUUCAUCACGAUGACAAAAUUUUGGGCAGGCAGGUGCUUCCUGACUUUCACACGGUAAUUCUCAAAUUCUGAUUUCACCAUAUUUUAAUUACUGAUUAUGCUCUCCAUUAUAAUAGAAGUCGCCGCCACACUAGUGAUUCCAAACUUUAUCUUUUUUCCUUUUUUAAAUUAAUGCAAGUAGCCGCUGUCCUUUUUAUUAAUUAAUUAAUUCGGCCGCCCACAUUUCUUUUUCUAAUGUCUUCUACUGUCGAGUUUAUUUUAUUUUCCCUUUAUUCUUAAAAUAUACUUAUAAUAAUAAAAUAUAAAAAUAAAAAUAAAAAUUAACAUAUCAAAAUAUAAUUUAACAGAAAAUUAAGAUGAAAAAUAAAAAAAAAUAAAUUCUGAACAUAUCAAUCAAUAAAUGAAAAAUAAUAAUUUUUAUUUUUAUUAAAUAUAUUUUUUUCAGUAUUAAUCAAUUAUCUGAAUAACUAAAAUCAUUUAAAAAUAAAUAAACAAAUUAUUCUUUAUAAAAAAAAAAAACUUUUUAUAACACUCACUAUGCUGGUUGUAGGGUAGACGCUUUGGGGACUGAAGUUGGUAACUUCUACAAGUAGUCUUAAGUUGAUAACUUCUACAAGUAGUCUUAAGUUGACUGGCAAAUGUUCUCAGUAUUAUAUUGGUGUGUCGAUAUUAUCUCUAACUGCCUUAUAGAUAAAAAAAUAAUCUAAAUUUAAAAUUUAACAUAAAAUAAAAUAAUUGGUAGAAAAACAAUUAUGGUUCAUUUACUUAUCAGUAAUCAGAAUAGACUGAAAUCGAAAUGAGUUGUAUUACCGUUGAUGUGUUUAUGUUGUCCUCGAAUCGGAAUGAAUUAUUUUAAGUUACUAAAAUAUCCUUGGUUUGUUAUUCUAAUUAUUAUUAUUUAAUAUUUAUUAUAAUAUUUGUCAUAUCAUUAAAAAGAAAUAAUAAUGAUGAUAAUAUUAUCAUUAUUGUUUGUUACAUUAUUAUUAUUCAAAAAAAUUAUUGUUAAUAACAAUAAUUACUUUAUUUCAAUACUAAUAAUGAUAAAAUUAAUAAUAACAAACAACAAUAAUUAUUUAUUAUGCCAAAAAUAACAAUAAUAAUAAUCAUCAUCAUUUUUUUUCCCAAAGAAGCAUUAUCAUCAUUUCAAAAAAAAUAUCAUCAUUAUCAUCAUCAUUUUUGUAGUGGCUGCCUAUCGGCUGUUGCUUUCAUGUGAGAUUGACUUGCGACGCUUCAACGGCUAUUAUUUCUGGCAAUGUCAGGUGUUACUGUUUCAAUUUAGGAAGAAGCUGUUUCGUUGUGCUAACGAUGGGAGAUGUUGUGGCUGCGAUUCGGGGAGCUACUAGUUUAUUGCACUAAUGACGGCAGGUGCUGCUGCUUGAUGCGAGGUCCAUGGCCAGUUGUCAGCAGUUCGACUUUGGUAUGGGUGCUGCUGGUUCGAUUUUAGGUGUUGUCCAAUUUCAUUUUCAGGAUUUUAAUUUUAUUUUUCUUUUAUAUUUUCAUUAAUUAAUCAGGACAAAGUUGGAUUUUAGAAUUUGGAAUGAAGGUAAUUUUGUUAAUCAUGGAAAUGAGAUUCUGAUUGUCGAGAAUGAGCUUACACAAACAACUACAAAUUAAGUGAAAACAAAACGCUUUUUCUCUUUGUGUGAUUAAAACAUGAUAUGUACCAUAAAUAAAUAGGUAAAAAAUAAAUUAAUACAAUCCAAAACAGUAAACUAAUUACAAGAGGCACAAAUUUUUAUGUGAAAUACCAAAAAUAGAAAAAACCACAGCAUCUUAGUAUGAGAUAAUCUUCUACUAUAUUAAUGAGAUUAUAGCACAAAUUCUUCCUUAUAUAACACUAGAGGUUAACAACAUCAAGAAUUUCAAUAAUCUUGACUUACAAUACAGCCUAAUAUUUGUCUCUCUAAUAAGUAGAUAUCUAAAAUAACAGUCUCUAAUAAAUAAGUAUCUCAAAUAACAGUCUCUAAUAAGUAUCUCAAAUAAUAAUUUCUAAUAAGUAUGUAUCUCAAAUAAUAGUUAACAAGAGGAUAAAACAAAAAUUAAGAUUAGUAGGAUUGUAUAAGGCGAUGCUAUCAACUUAUCUUCUAAAUUUGAGAAAAAUAGUUAAAUUCACUUUUUCGAUUGUGACCAAAGAUGGAAACCUUUGCCCCAAAACCAAAGGAAUCACCAUUUCUCUCUCUCUCUCUCUCUCUCUCUCUCUCUCUCUCUCUCUCUCUAUCUCUCUCUCUCUCUCUCUCUUCUUCUACUUUUCUUAAUGUUAGCCGCCACUCGCUUUUAUUCUUUAUAGCAUUUAAAAAGCUACUUUUAAUGGUAAAUUUCAUUUAAGUCCAAAACUUAGUGAUAAUUGUACACCAAACAAUUCUUUUUGGACUAUGAGCUUUUGGGCCUCCAAAUGAGAUGAAUACAACAAAUCUCCCCCUUUAGAUCAUGUGGGGGGCACCACAAGCCUGCUCUCUGCAUAUAGUUUUUCAACUUCUCCUUGAAUAAUGACUUUGUCAUCAUACAUAACCCAUUCUCUGUUGUGUAAAUUUUCUCAAGCUGUAGCUGUUGCUUCUCAAGCACGUCUCGUAUCUAAUGAUAUCUCACAUCAAUAUGCUUAGAUUUCGAAUGGUUUAUCAAAUUCUUUGAACGGCACUCUGACUGUCGCAGUACAUAACAUAGCUGUCUCGUUUUACACCCAGCUCUUAUAGGAAAUUCAUUAUCCAUAAUAUUUUUUUGCAACCUUCAAUAAUUGUUAUAUCAUUUGCUUUAGUGGUAGAAAACGUAACUUAUUACUAAAGUUUAGAUUGCAAUGAGACUUCUCCCCCUGCAAAAGUGAGCAAACAUCCUAGAAGGAAUUUUUCGGAAUCAACAUCUUCUGCCAUAUCUACACACUUGUAACACAGGUUUGUCACCACUAAAAUAUAAACAUGCUCUGGAAAUGCCUCUAAGAUAUCUGAGAAUUUUUCAUUGUUGUCCAAUGCUCUUUUAUAAUAAAUACAAACAUAAUGAAUUUAUAAAACAUUUAGAGUAUUUUGAAUAUUAUAUAAAAUAAUUUUAAUAUAAUGCAUGAGAUAUAUUUUAUUAAUUUAAAAUGCUAUUUAAUCUAAAGAUUUAUUUAAGAUAAAUUAAUAAUUAAAUUUUUUUAAUUAUUUCAAAUAUUAAAAAUUUGUAAUAUUAUUAGUCUAUUAGAUAGAUUAAAUUAUUUAUUUUAUUUUGUAUUUAUUAAAAAAUUUUAAAGUCAAUAUUUUUAAUUACUAUUCGAAGGAUAUAAUGAUUAAAAAAAUCUUAAUAUUUUUUAUUAAAAAUUUAAAAAUUUACAUGACCAUUUCUAUAAAUAUUUAGGGUAUAUAUGAGCCACGGUGGAGAAGAUUUAUUUAAUAUUAUUGAUUUAAAUAAUAUCUAAUUAAAAAUAUACUGAGAAAAAAUUUCGGUGGGUAUUUUAGUCUUUUCAGCAAUCACAUGAUUAGCCUUUGGGCUUUGGCCUUGAAACGUCGGUCAGAAAAGUUUUAAACUGCUUAAUUGUUUUUCACUUUUAACGUUAGUGGCUGCUUAUAUUUUAGGAAAAUGAGAUUCUCACCACAGUGAGAACCACACUGAGCACAGAACGGUGCGUUUUGUGCUCAGUAUAAAUUCUAACUGUAGCGGAAAUAUCGCAACACAAACGCGCCAUUCCAAACCCACGCGCGUUCUCCCUCACGCCAGCAAAUCUCACCACGCUUCCUCCUCACUGUAAGCGCCCCCCCUCCCCGGGGGCGGUCGGCUGCGUCACGCUCCCUCACGGCGCCUCACUCUCUCGGCUCUCUUAGAAAAUUGAAUUGCGGCUUCCGCCGUGGGGUUCUCUCCUCAACUGCCGUUGUCUCGUCUCUGACAGCUGCCUUAAUCAAAUUCUGAAGGUAGUUUGCUUCAAUUCAUUACAUUAAUUUCAAAUUUGGUUUGUGUGGGAUUAUGAGUUUGUGAAGAUUUAGUUCUGUUUCAUGGUAAACUAUUUUUUGCUCAGUGUGUUGAGAAUAUCAGCACGGUUUAAAAUUCUUUUUAGAUUCUGUCGUAAAGUUUUCUUUGUAUUGGGCAAGUCAGUUACUUUAGUUUUGUGUCUGAAAACAAAAACACUUAGCUUAGUGAGUUUUAAGAGAUUUUGCUAUUUUGUUCAACGAAGCUUAAAAAGGGGAAGCUUUUAUGGCGUCUGUGAGCCGAGGCAAUUUGGAUCGGGUGCUUUUUCAGUUCAUUUGUUUGUUUCUUAUUUGGGUUCUUUAUUGUUAGAUGUUCUUUUGAGAUUCUGGCAUCUGGCAUCUGGCUACUUGCUUUUGUGGAGUUUUUUUAUUAUUUGAAUUCUGUGAAUUCUUUGUUUUCUUUCCCAAAUGAUUCCACUCUAUAAAAUAUAUAUUGUGCUUGGCUAGAAUUUUCUUUUAGAUAAUUGCAUCCUGUACAUUGGCUUAACCUGUCAAGAAUGAGAAUGAUGGAAGAUGCCUAUCUUGGAAAGAAUAUAUUGAGUUACAUAGUACCGGUUCCAAAUGAAUAAAUUGGAACUUGCCUAAAACAGGCACCAAUCCACCAUGACACCAAGCCUUUUUAAAAUUUUUUUUUUUUUAAGUUUAAAGAAACUUAUGUUGCUUCUUUAGAUCUGUUUUAGCUUAUGAUGAAUUUUGCUAAUGGUAAAAUCCCUCCCCUUCAAAGUUGGGGGAGGGGAAGCAUCUAUAUGCAUAUGUGUACAUUAUGGAGCUCGAACUACAUGUCGCAGUAAUACAUUAUUCUCUUUGCUUUGCAGGUUUUGAUCAACAUGAGUGAUUGGGAUGUAGGUCUGUGCUUGAGAGGCCGGAGUGAUGACCAGAAUUCUGUCAACCAGACCAAAGACAAUCAACUGAUGAAGUGUUGUUGUUCUCUAUAUUGAUUGUUGGAAAUUAUGUGUUAUUUCCAGAUUUUUAGAAAAUUAUGAUUGCUGGAAAUAAUUAUAUAUGUACAAUCAUUAUGUCCUCCAGCACAAGUGAAUUUCCAAACCCACAACUGAAAGCUUGCGAAAAAUUUGUAGAAAAUUUGUACAUCAAAUCCACAAGCUAAGUGUUGUAUCAGAAUAUGAAUGACAAUAAAACAAAAAUCUGUGUUCUUCAUUCUUAAAAUACUAAUACAAUACAAGUACAUUCUUAUUCUGAGAAAUAACUACCUAUUAACUCCAUAUUCAUUAUCUUGUUGAAAGAGUAGCUGCUGAAAAUGUCCAUGUCGCUGAGCUUGUAUGUGCUAUUAAAAAAAAAUUAAACAUCUUGUUGUCAUCCGAAAAAAUAAAGAAGGCAAGAUGAACAAAUAAAAAACUUAUCACUACUUACGGUGCAAGAAUUUUAUGUAGAUAUUGAAUAAACAUUAUCCUCAAUUAUUUGUCACAAUAAUUUAUAUUCAAUUCAUGGUGUGUUGCAGCAAGCUUCCAUUGUUUAACUAAAUGACAGCUGAAUCUUUACAACUAAUUAUCUUUACAAUCAAAUUUGGAAUUAAUUAAGCAAAUUACCGCUAGAAAUCGACGAGUGAAGCUAAGAGAGUGAGGCUGCAAGUCGAAUUUUUGAGACAGCCGAGAGAGUGAGGCGCUGUGAGAGAUGCAAUGGACGGGCGAGAGAGAGACGAAGCCGAUGGUGAUUGCUGCAUUGGUAGGAUUGAGGGAGAGAGCGAAAGAGCCAGAGCGUGCGUGCUUGUUCUGCCAGAGAGCGCGUAUGUUUUUUCUCAAUGCGCGUGUUGCGUAAUUAUCCAUCUACAGUGACCAUUUUAUAGUUAUCUUGAAACGCACCGUUCGGUGCUAUAUGUGGGGCUGAAUGUUGUGAGCAUAUCGGUGCUGUAUAUUUUAUUAAAAAUUAAUGCUAACAAGAAAAAACCCCUCAAUGAAUGAGGGUGAGAUUGCUAAAAAUUACGACAGGUGAUAUUUUAUUAUUAUUAUUAUUAUUGGGGGAGAAAUCCUCACCAAAGUGAGGAGAUUUUAUCAAAAUCAAAAUAAAAAUAUAACAAGAACUGAAAGUUGGGCAGCCUAAAAGCUAGAUAAACUAAAAUUCAGGCGCCUAAAAACAACCUUAUGCAAAAGAGAAGCAACAUGAGACCGAUCAAGUAAAAGAAUCCACCGCAACACCUAAAUUGGCCAAAUUAUCUGUUGGUAUUACAAGUUUCUUGUUAUAAAAGUGUAGAAUGAAGAAGGUGACGUAGUUUUAAGUUACAGCUGCAUGCCCGAUCGCAAUAUCAAAUAAUGAUUAAAUAUCAAAUAAUACUUAAAAUAGUUGCCUAGACCCGCCACAAUUUAUAUUAACUCUUAAAUUUAUAAAUAAUUAAAUUUUUAAAAGUUCGGAUUUAUAUUAAAAAAUCUUCAUAUAAAUAAAUAAUAUAUGCACUUUUACAACACAGUCUUUAAAUUUAAAUUUUUCUAGAAAAAUCUUCUGUAUAUCUUUUCUAUUAAAAAAUUUCCAUAUAAAUAAAUAAUAUACCUAAUUUAAUUGGACCCAGCGCAACGCAUAUGCAUAGAACACAUUCCGAAAAGCCAUGAUAUUCGGAAAUUGACGAAUGAAAAGUGAGGAGGCAGCAGUCAAUGCUAUUUCGGCUUGGCCCAAAAUUGAUUUAUCAGUUUGACGUGUGCCAGGAAUGAAGAACUGGAAUAUCACCAUCAAGCAAGCAACCUGCGGAGCAAUACCAUAGAAUGCACAAUCCGGCUUUGCAAGGUGACACUGGAGGCUUUUUGAAAAGUGCUUCACGCUCACUUGACAGAUUGAGCAUCCCCUCUGGAUAUUGCCCUCUCUGAUCGAAUCUGAGCACUCAAAUUUCGGUCCUCAGAUGGAGCUACAGCUUUCUCUCCAAUAACCAACAAUUUUCUAAACUCAGCACCUAGUGUGAUCAGAGUUGUUGAUAUUUGUAAAUGGAGAUCCCCGUAUUUGCAAAUGGAGACAUUUACCAAAUCACCAACAUGCUUCAUCCAGUCUACGAAAUUCUGCAGCUGAUUCAAAUCCGGAACCUGAACAAGAGUCGGAGGUAAAUCUUGAGCCAUAUCUAAAGCAGUCUGAAGUUCAAGUACUUGAGCCCUUGACAAUGGUUUUGAAAUUGGAACAUCUUGGAUUACUGCAGACUUGUGCCCCUUGGUUUCAAAGGUAAGGAAAGGCAUUGCUUGAGUACAAUUUGGAGGCAGCUUCUUCACCAAUUUUAUUUGGAGGCGAUUGGCAGCGGAUCCAGCUGCACCAAUUUCAGAGCAAAUACUGACACUACUUCGAACAGCACACUGAAGAAGUGAUAUGUCUACGGCAAAGGCAAUGCAGUCCUCAUUUUGGCUUGAGAUGCAGUAAUCAUCGAAGAGAGUUUCCUUGUGAAACUGGGCAACACAUUGAAUCCCUUCGCCACUGAGAAGGUUGCGGAGGAAGUAAGCUUUCUCUCUAGUGAGGAAGAGGUGGCAUACCUUCCCCAUGUCUAGGGCAGGUAGGAAUCUUUUUUCUAAGAGAUUUACUUCAUUCUCUGUGAGAAAUGCUUUGAACUUCAUCCCUCUGUCUCUAUCCUCACUUAUCAGUAAAAUAGUUGAAAGUGCUACAAGGAGAGAAAAGAAGAGUAUUAAGAUAUAUAUAGACAAGAAAAACAUUAGAUGUCGAUCUUACAAGCUAAUACUUCAAACAGUAUCCUAGAAAGCUAAAAACUGCAAAAUGGCUUGACAUUUGAAAAGAACACAUGCUUUUCCUCCUUAACUUGAGAAAAUGUUUAAUAUAGUGCACCUUACAGAAACAUUUAAGCAAUUAGAACUUUGCACAAAAAUAUUCAAGAAGACUAAACAAAUCAGAUGCAGUGUAUUUCUCCAAGCACAAAUGGCAUUGCAUUUUUUCCUCAACUGUAAUAUUUAUUGAUGAAAAUCAGUACAGGUCCCUCAUUUGUUAUGGAAAGCUUUCUUGUAGUCUGACUGGUUAAUUCACGGAUCUAUAAUUAUCUUGCAAAGUUACAGGCAUUUCUUUCGAUUUAAAGUCUUUGCAUCACCACCUCAUCACACACCUAGCCAAUAUUCCGUCUACUUCUACAACAAAAAGUUUUAAGUAAACGAUCCUAAUGCAUGCAGCCAAAUAAAAUGCAGUAAGAAUAUUCAACUUAAAACUCUGAAAGCCAUCUUGGUGAAUUGCCUCCUUAGGGGAAGUUCCAUGAUUUACUAUACUUGACAGGACUGAGCAAAAGCUUACAUACAACAGAUUUUGAAAAUGAUGAUGCCAAUAGAUACUCAUACAAUCCAUUGAAACUCCUAAGGUCCAUUGUUCACAGAGGUUUACAGAGUUUUGGUUAUCAAAUAGCUCAGACCUUAAUCCCAAACAAAAAACGAGUGAAAAUUAGAUCACCAGCAGCAAAUUGUAAAUUCUAACUUAACUCUUCAUCUCCUUUGUAAACAGGAGACAAAAUGGAGACACGCAAAAUGAAUAAGGAGAACAUUUGAACUCAAAUGAAAUGAGGGCACGAAAGCAAACAAAUGGCAUGCGCAAACAAACCAAGCCUCAAUCAAAAACUAAUUAACCAUUAAAAAACAAAACUGGUCAGCUUCUGGUGUUCUCAAAUUGUAUAACAAGAGAUCGACACAUCGAAUCAGAAGAACUCAAUUCAAAUUUGUCUCAAAAAUCAAAAUUAGAAGAUUUCACAUUUCGAGAGGAACAAGCGACAGGUCAGAUGCAAAAUUUUCAGCCAUAACAUGCCACAAUUAACGGUUUAUUUCCAUGGAUUUAGAGAGCUGACUGACCUUUUGGCUUUUGGAAUUGAGAAGAUCGCGCGCCAAAAUGGAAGAGGGAAAGCGAAAGUGCGGGUUUUAAUAGGGUAUUGGAUUAGCAAAUUUUAUUAGUUUGCGAGGGUAAAAUAGGAAAGUGAUAUCACUAUUAACCUUUUUUUUAAUAAGAAAAAAGAAUAAUAAAGAAUAUUUUAUUGUCAUUUGCAGCAUUUAUUUUUUUUAAAUGCUAUUAGAAAAAUACGACAACAAAGAAAUGCUCUUUUUUUUUUUUUUUUUUUUCUCGAAGGUAAAAUCAAUUAUUUAGCUCCUUAUAUGUAAUCAAACUACAUUUCUUACUUUAAGUCAUAUCCAACGGACCAACAAAGUAAUUAUUUUUUUUUUCAUUCAUUUUUGCAGAAAAUUAAUAACUUAAAAAUAUUGAAAGCUAUUGUAAAAUUUUUUAUUAUCAACCUCAUAGUUUUAUUUUUUGGGAAGAAUUGAAUUUUUUUUUUUAAUUUCCAAGAAUUUCAUUCUCUAGUUUUUCCAUUAAUAUUACUUAUCUUGAUACCCAUCUUAAUUAAAAUCUGUAGUUUUAUUCAAGAGUCAUGCUAUUCAUUCACUCACAGACCAAAGGCUUUCCGCAGCAAUAUUAUUAUUUAAAUUACAACAAAGGGGAAAUCAAAUACGUCAUACAGAAGCUUAAAGCUGAAUCUACAAAAUCUAGAGCUCUCAACUACAUAAAUUACACUUGAUGAUCCUCUACAAGAUGAAGCUUGUUCAAUAUCUCAUCCAAAGCUUGUAAAGUAACAUUAUAACGAUCUUGAGAUUGCCUGCCUUCCUCGACGACCUGCACGAUGCGUUUGUACAAAUCAUCAUACCUGUGCACCGGAUUUUUAAUAUCAAUGCCACUGCAGCUGUGAUCAAGAACAUAAGAGCGUUUAACAUCUUUUCUCCAUCAAGAAAGAAUGUAGUGAGAUGGGAUCUCCUGCAUGCCACUCUGGUUUAGAACACAAAGAAUGUGUCUGCAUAAAUAUCCUCUGAAAUUGAACAACCCACAAACACAAAGCACCUCCAAGUCGGAGGCAUUGUACAAAACAUCGAAAAUAGUUAUGUUUUACAAUCUAUUAGACAUAUUUUAUUAAAUUAAUAUAAAUUUUCUAUAAAAUAAGAAUAUAAUAUUAAAAUAAAUUCACAAAAAAUUAAAGAAUUUUGAAUGUAAAAUAAUUUUAAUAGAUUAAUACGUGAGUUUUUUUAUUAAUAUAAAAAUUAUUUAACUUUAAGAUUUUUUAAAAUCUUUACAAUAAGUAUGACUAUAUUAUUUACAUUUAAAAAUAUUUAAAUAUUAUUAACCUACAAUUAUAUUUGCAUUUGUUAGAAUUUUUUAAGUCAAAUAUUUUGCACUUCUAUAUUAUUAGAAUUAUUGCACACAAAGAAAGAAACAUAUACCUUUAGAAAUUGUUUUCUUUUAAAAUAGAGAUGAUGAUUAGUAUAAGGAUGAAAAAAAUGAUAAAGAAUAUUAAUGAUUAACGAAAUCUCUAUACAAAUUGAUUUUAGUAGGAAAAGAGUGAGAUGAAUGAUUUCUUUUACGGUUAGAAACAUAGAUGAUGAUUAUUAUAACGAAGAAAAAAAGAUAAAGAAUAUUAAUUAUUAAUGGAAUCUCUAUGCAAAUUGAUUUUAGUAGGAAAAAAAAUGAGUUAAAUGAUUUAGAGUGCGUUUGGAAUUGAGAUUGGGCAGCCAUAGAUUUUAAGUUACAAUACUGAAGUGUUUGAUAAAUACUAGCUGCUGCAGAUUGAAAGUUAUAUUGAUAUGAUUUUUCACAUGUAUCAUAGAAAAUAUAUUACAUCUUUAAUAAUUUUUUUAAAAUUUAUAUUUGCUAUAUAUUAUUAAUUUUUUUUUAUAGUUAUAACUUUUUUUCCACAGCAGUUGUAGCUUAAAAGUCACAGCAUCUCAAUCUCAAACAAAUCCUUAGACAUUCAUAGUGUGUUUAUUUUUUGGAUUGGUGAAUCAAAAUUAUUGACAACGCUAACUUCAUCUUCAUUGUUCGCAAUCCAACAGCAGCAGCAAUUGUCACCAAUAAUGAUAUCUCCAAUGAUGAUGACAAUUAUUAUUAUUAUUAUUAUUAUUAUUAAUUUAUUAAUUAAUAUAUUAAUGUUAAUAAUAUUAUUAUUAAGAUUAACAAUAAUUAGUAGUAAUACAAUUUUUUGAAUAAAAAUAAUCACAAUAAUUAAAAUACAAAUUAAUAAUUAUGACAAUAGUUAAUUAAUGUCUUUUUAGUAAUUUGUAAUAAUCUAACUCAUUUUGAUUCUGAUUAUUACAGCUUAAGUAAACAAAUUAUUAUGAUUCCUAUUUUCCUUUCCUAUUUUAACUCACUUCGAUUCCAAUCUAUUCCAAUUUCUAUCUAAUAAAUGCACCAUUAGUGCUAAAGUAAUAUUUCAUACAUAGAAAAAUAAAAACUACACCUAAGGUUAAGGGAAAGGACUUCAAAACUCUCUUUUGAUCAUAAUACAUUUUGUCCUAAUUAACUUAAAGAUUUUGAAUCUAAUAUUUUAUAAUAAAUAAAAAUAUAUUCCUAAAAUAAAUAUAAUAUCAAUAUUUAAAAUAUGUUUUAAUAUUUUACAAUCUAUCAUACACAUUUUAUUAUAUUAAAGUAGAUUUUAUAAUAAAUACAAACGUACUAUUAAAAUUAAUAUAUAAAAAAUUUAGAAAAUUUAGAAUAUUAUAUAAAAUAAUUUUAAUAUAAUGCGUGAGAUAUAUUUUAUUAAUUUAAAAUUUUAUUUUACCUAAAAAUAUGAUAAAUUAAUAAUUACAUAUUUAAAGUUAUUUCAAAUAUUAAAAAAAUUUAAUAUUAUUAGUUUUUUAGAUAGAUUAAAUUAUUUUUAUAAGAGAUAGAUUAAAUUAUUUUAAAAUACCUUAAUUGUUUUUACUUUUAACGUUACCGGCCUUUCUUUUAUUUUAUUGUAAAUUAAUGCUAACAAGAAAAAGCUAGAUCAUAUUCCACAAAAGCAAAAGUGACAAACACAAUCAGCUGGAAUCUUUUAUAAAACUACAAAUUAAAAUGGUUUUUUUUUUUUUUUGAUAAAUUACAUAUAAAAGUGGAUUCUUUUGAAUAUAAGUGGGGUAGGCUCUUUUAUUUUUUUUUAAUACUGUAUAACAAGAUUGUAGACUCCUUGAUUAAGCACAAGUAUAAAGUAGUCGAGACGAUACUUUAUGCUAGGUGUCCAUUGAAUAUUAGAUCUUCAUUUCUUUGGCCAUUUAAUUUUUUCGAGAAAUUUUUCUUACGAUCCCGGCUAAGCUUGAAGAAAAGACAACUCAACGGUUUUUUUAAAACAAGUUUCCGUUUUGGUUGGUGAAAUGAAAACGAAAUAAAGCACUUCCAUCCAAAAAUCAUUCUUCUGGAGAAAGGGAUGACAGAUUAAAGAAAAGGGGUGUACUGAAAGGAGAAAAAAGGUUCUUGCAUGAGAGCUGGACACGUUAAAAGAAGUUGAACAAAUGUCUCAAAAAGAAGCUAUUUCGCUUUCAUACUAAAGCCUAUUUGUAAUAGCAUCAGCAAUGCUCCACUAUCCACAUUCUUGUGCGGAUAUCAUUGCAAUCUACUAAUGGUAUAUAAACAUGCAUGUUGUCCCAUGAUGAUUAAGUUAACACACACUUGGAGGUACUUAAAUUAUGCCAUAAAGAGAUAUAGUUAUUACGCAUACAAAUGUUAUUCAAUGGUUAAAAUGUAUGAUAAAGAAAUCGCUUGAAUUUUUUAUUUGCCGUUACGUAAUUUUUUUAUUGAUUCCGAGUUUGAAUCUUAAAAGAAAUAAAGGGUUAGAAAAUUAAUUUGAACUUUGUCCACUCUUUAACUUAAUGAGUAUAAAAACAGAAAAUGCAGGUAAUUUAAUUUUGACAUCUAACAUUUAAGAGAUAGAGCUUGAAAGAGUCCAAUAUUAAAUUAUAAAAUAAUUGAAAUAAAGUUUGCCCCAUAAGAAAAAUUGAACAAAAAAUCUUAAGUAUGAUAUGAUGCUAGAGAAAUUAUUUAUCUCAAAACUUUUAUUAGGUAAUUAAGUCCUAAGAAUAUGUAAUUACACAUGUAACAAAAAUUAGAGAUGAGGGUCUUUUAUUAAACUACAAAUUGUAUAGUCUUUUUAAAAUUGUUAUAAAUUGGUGGCCCCUACAAUCCUCAAUAAUUGUGCCGAUAUUCACAAGUUGGUGGCCCCUACAAUUAUCAACUGUGCAAGUGCUCAUUCACAAUCUUCCAGGUCAUGCUCUUAAUAAUUGUUUUUUUUUUCUGCAUUCCCUUUCAUGCUCUUAAUAAUUGAAGAGCAUACUUUUCAAAUAUGGAGCCGCAGCUAAUGUCGCUAAUUUAAUUUGGGAUUAAAUUAGGGGACCAUUAUGUUGCAGUGUGCACUAAUUUUUGUGUUUAUCUAAACUCCUUAAAUUUAAGACAUAUUACGGCAUAAAUAAGAAUAUAACAAUAACAAAAGAGUUAAAAAGUGUAGAGAAGAUCUUGCAGAAAUAUAAAUAAUAUCUAUUUUAAAAUAAUAUCAAUAUUUAAAAUAAUUUUUAAUAUUUUAUGAUCCAUUAGAUAUAUUUUAUUAUAUUAAAGUAAAUUUUAUAAUAAAUAAAACAUACUAAAUUUAGAGUAUUUUAAGUAUUAUAUAAAAUAAUUUUAAUAAAAUAUGUGAGAUAUUCAUAUUUUAUUAAUUUAAAAUACCAUUUAACCUAAAGAUUUAUUUAUGAUAAAUUAAUAAUUAUAUUUUUGAAAUUACUUCAAAUAUUAAAAAAAUUAAUAUUACUAAUCUAUUAGAUAGAUUAAAUUAUAUAUAUUAUUUUCUAUUUAUUAAAAAAUUUUAAAAUUAUUUUUAAUUACUAUUCAAAAAAUAUAAUGAUAAAAAAAAAUCUUAACAUCUUUAUUAAAAAUUUAAAAAUUUUCAUGAUCAAUUCUCUAAAUAUUUAGGGUAUAUGUGAACCACGGUGGAGAAGCUUUAUUUAAUAUUAUUGAUUUAAAUAAUAUGUGACAAAACAACUAGGUGGACUACAAAUUAAAGUGGAUUCUUUUGAAUACAAGUGGGACAGACGAUUAGGCUCUUUUUAAUUUUUAUUAAAGGCAAGUAAAAAGUAGUCGAAUAGUCUUUUUCAAAUUCUUGUUUUAUUGUUUUUCAAAACUAACAAGAAAAAGCGAGAUCAUAUUCCACCCCAAAAGCAAAAGUGACAAAACAACCAGCUGUAUUCUUUUAUUAAACUACAAAUUAAAAUGGAUUCUUUUGAAUACAAGUAGGACAGACGAUUAGGCUCUUUUUAUUAAACGCAAGUAAAAAGUAGUCGAAUAGUCUUUUUCAAAUUCUUGUUUUAUUAUUUUUCAAAAUUAGUUUUUGGUAAUUACUGUUUUUCCUUCAAAAGUUAGCGGUUCAUGUUUGCAAGUGUGAAUGUGCGAUGCUCUUUUCUUAAAGGCAAUUACAGUGGGGCCCGAAUGCCUAAAUCUUUUUAAAAUUUUUGCCGUAUAACGAACAGAGGUCAUUACUAAAAUUUCUCUUCCACAGCCUACAGCAGCUUCAGUUUAUCAAACUCAAUCAAUUUUCUUUCUUAACAAAAUUCCAAAGAUGUGUAGCAUUUUUCAGAUCGCAUGCGAUGGUGCUCUUUUCAAUCGUUGCUUGGAUUGCUUUCUUGGAAAAGCAGCAUACCUUCGUAACCUCCCAGAUAAUCUUGUAGACUUGGAGACUGAACUGGGAAGACUAAUCGCAGCAAAGAACGAUGUGAUGAUGAGGGUUGUCAAUGCUGAACGGCAACAAAUGAGAAGGCUGGGCCAAGUGGAAUGGUGGGUUUCGAGGGUGGAUGCUGUUAAAACUGGAGCCGAUGAACUUAUCACAGACGGCUCUGAAGAAAUUGGCGAAUUAUGUGUUGGAGGCUACUGUUCCAAGAACUGCAGGUCAAGCUACAAGUUCGGAAAACAAGUGGCUAAAAAGCUACAAGAUGUGAAGGCUUUAAUCGCCGAGGGAGUUUUUGAGGCGGUGGCUACUGAGGUGGUGCCCGAGAGAGCUCCGGAACCUGUAGCAGAUGAAAGACCCAUUGAGCGAACAGUAGUAGGCUUGCAAUCACAACUUGAACAAGUCUGGAGAUGUCUUGUAGAAGAAUCAGUGGGAAUCAUUGGCCUAUAUGGUAUGGGCGGUGUUGGUAAAACCACACUGUUGACCCAUAUCAACAAUAAAUUUCUUGAGAGUCCCACCAACUUUGAUUGUGUGAUUUGGGUCGUAGUUUCAAAAGACCUGCGACUUGAAAAAAUUCAAGACGAUAUUGGGAAGAAGAUAGGUCUGUCUGAUGAUUCAUGGAAGAAUAAAAGUUUUGAGGAGAAAGCUGUAGACAUCCUGCGGAGUUUAGGAGAGAAGAGAUUUGUAUUGUUGUUAGAUGAUUUAUGGGAGCGGGUUGAUUUAACAAAAGUGGGCGUUCCACUUCCCGGACCACAAAAUACUACCUCAAAAGUCGUAUUCGCAACCCGUUUCAUCGAUGUUUGUGGUAGCAUGGAAGCUGACAGGAAGUUCCUAGUGGCGUGCUUAUCAGAAAAGGAUGCUUGGGAACUGUUUCGAGAAAAAGUUGGGGAAGAAACUCUUCAGAGUCAUCAUGAUAUCGUUGAGCUAGCCCAAAUUGUGGCCAAAGAGUGUGGUGGUUUGCCACUCGCACUUAUUACUAUUGGUCGAGCUAUGGCCUGCAAAAGGACAGCCGAGGAGUGGAUACACGCAGUUGAAGUGCUAAGAAGAUCAGCUUUUGAGUUUGCAGGUUUGGGAAAAGAGGUGUAUCCUCUUUUAAAGUUUAGCUAUGAUAGUUUGCAGAAUGAGACGAUUAGAUCUUGUUUCUUAUAUUGUUGUUUAUAUCCCGAAGAUUAUGGAAUUCUUAAAUGGGACUUGAUUGAUUGUUGGAUUGGUGAGGGAUUCUUAGAGGAAUCUGACAGGUUUAGUGCAGAAAACCAAGGUUACUACAUUGUGGGCACUCUUAUUCAUGCGUGUUUACUAGAAGGGAUAGAAGAUGAUAGAGUAAAAAUGCAUGACGUUGUUCGUGAUAUGGCUCUAUGGAUAGCUUGUGAAAUUGAGGAGAGGAGACACUUUUUGGUUUGUGCAGGCGCUGGAUUAGAACAGGCACCGGCUGUUAGAGAAUCGGAAAAUGUGACAAGAUUGUCAUUGAUGCAAAACCAAAUUAAAAUUCUGUCGGAGGUUCCCACAUGCCCUGAUCUCCUCACUUUAUUUCUUGACUUUAAUGAGGAGUUGGAGAUGAUCGCGGAUGGCUUCUUCCAAUUUAUGCCUUCUCUCAAAGUUUUGAAGAUUUCAAACUGCGGGAAUUUUACUUUUCAAUUACCUUUGGGGAUGUCAAAGUUGGGUUCACUAGAACUUUUUGAUAUUUCACGCACCGAAAUACAAGAGUUACCAGAAGAGUUAAAGUUGUUGGUAAAUCUGAAAUGUUUGAAUUUGAGGUGGACAAGCAAGUUAAUUAGAAUUCCACGGCAACUAAUAUCAAAUUCUUCAGGGUUACGUGUGUUGAGAAUGUUCGCUACUGGCUAUGAAUGUUUUCAUGAAGCACCAGAAGACAGCGUUUUAUUUGGUGGGGGUGAAGUUUUAGUACAGGAAUUGCUCGGUUUGAAAUAUUUAGAGGUAUUGGAGUUGACCUUGGGAAGUUAUCAGGCUCUCCAAAUCUUUUUGAGCUCAAAUAAGUUAAAAAGUUGUAUUCGAUCUCUUUUCCUCCAGUUGGCCGGAGAUACAAAGUCGAUUAUUGAUGCUGCGGCUUUCGCAGAUCUAAACCACCUCAAUGAAUUAUAUAUUUAUGAAGGUAUUGAGUUGGAAGAAUUGAAGAUUGAUUAUACAGAGAUAGUACGAAAAAGGCGGGAACCUUUUGUUUUCCGCAGCCUUCACCGUGUUACCAUAUUUAGUUGCGGUAAAUUGAAAGAUGUGACAUUCCUCGUUUUUGCUCCAAACCUCAAGUCUCUUGAGCUAUUGCAAUGCGAUGCUAUGGAAGAAAUAAUCAGCGUCGGAGAAAUUGCUGAGACUCCUGAGAUGAUGGGACACAUAAGCCCUUUUGAAAAUCUCCAAAGUCUUCAUUUAUCGUAUUUACCAAUUUUGAGGAGCAUCUACUGGAAGCCAUUGCCUUUCACUCAUCUCAAAAAAAUGGAGGUACGUAGAUGCGAUCAGCUUAGAAGGCUUCCGCUCGAUUCCAACAGUGCAACAGAGCGUAAUGUUGUUAUUCGUGGAUACACACUCUGGUGGAACCGACUUCAAUGGGAGGAUGAAGCCACUCAAAUUGCUUUUCGUUCCUGUUUCCAACCUCGUUCCUGAGCAGUGGUCGCAAAAUUUGAUUUCUGGUGAGUGCGUUUGUCUUUUAAAAAGAAGAAUUUAAAAGAAAUUUAUUCUUGUCGUUUUCUUCACUGUUUUUAUUUGAUUUCUGGUUAGUUUCUUUCUCUCUCUCUCUCUCUUUGUCUUCUGCAAAUCACAAUUAAAUGUUGAAUUAAUGGAAUUGAUGCUCUGGUUUUUUACUUUUUGUUGUCAAAUUUUGCCCUGUUCUAUCUUCUUAGCGAUUUAAUUUCCUGUCAAAAGACGAGCGAGAAGAACAUAUAUAUGACUUAAACCAAUUGAUACUUUAUUUAUGUGCAUUGUAUGUAAUAAAUAUUAAGUAUACUUUAUUUUUGCCCUGUUCUCUGUUUUUAUUUCAGUCUCUCUCUCUCUUUCCUGUCUUCUGCAAAAUAUAAUCAAUUAUUUUCAAAAUAUCAUUGAUGAUUUUUCUGCUCUAAUGCUAUGUAAAUAGUAUGUUAAGUAAAACAUAAUCAAUUAUUUGUGUUUUAUCUCUAAUUAGAACAUCAAUCAGUUCAGUACCUCACAAAUAAUUCGCAAUAUCUACAAAAUACUAUAAUGGCUACAAAACAAAUCCUGCUUGCAAAUUGUCAAGGAUACCUAUCCGUUCGCUUGACAAGUCAUUUGAAUAAAUAUUGUUCACAUUCCUUACUCUAUCAAUUAUCCAAAGCACCAUCAAUGGUCCUCAACUUUAGUUUGAAUAGUAUACAUGCCAUCACCAUUACCAAGAAUCAAGCAUGGAAGAGUCAUUCUAUAGAGUUAAUCGAAGCAAGGAAUGAUGUAUCAGAAAAUAUUUGGUGGAGAAUUCAGCACAAACAUAUUUUGGAUGAUCAGAAUCAAUAAAACCUGGUGGUUGCGCCAUAUAAACAUCUUCGGAAAGCUGACCUUGAAGAAAGGCGUUAUUGAUAUCCAAUUGACGAAGAGGCCAGCCAUGACUAACAUCAAUACUAAGAACAAGCCGUACUGUGGUGGACUUAACAACUGGACUGAAAGUGUCAUAAUAGUCCACACCAGGCCAUUGAUUGAACCCUUUGGCAACAAGAUGAGCUUUAAACCUGUCAACAGAACCGUUGGAAUGUCUUUUAAUACAAAAAUCCAUUUGCAGCCAACAAUAUUGGAAGGGAUGGGAGGUGGAACAAGCUUCCAUGUCCCGUUACGAACAAGAGCAUCAUACUCUUCUGACAUAGCUGGACGCCAGUGAAGAUUUUUGAUAGCUUGCGUCACAGUUGUAGGUUCACAAUCAGAAGAAGGGCUAAAAUGAGCACGGAGGUUAAGUUUUUGUAACGGCUUGUGAAUCUUAUUUUUAGCUCGGGUAGUCAUAUCAUGAUGACUUGUGGGGCAAUGAUCUAGUGGAGUUUAGGAAGAUGAUUGAACAGGAAGUGAAGAAGUGCUUUGUGUAGAGGUAGAAGUAGGUUGGGAGGAUUGCUGCGGAGAUGUUACCGGUAGAGAAGAAGGAGCAGUACACGGUGGCAACUCCAGAGGGCCCACAAUAGAUGGAGUAGGUGCCGACAAUGGAGUACUAGGAAAUGAAACAGGAAGAAUUGGUGGAACACUUGCGUAAUUAGGAGUGGUAGAUGAGCUUGUAAUGAUUUGUAUGGAAAAACAAACUCUACAAAUUUAACGUGACGUGAAAUAAAAAUUCAACCCGAUUGCAUAUUUAAGAACAUCUCAAAUGAAUUGCUUACUGCUAUCAUCAUCAUUAUUGUCUAUAUAAUAAUGGAUCUUUAUUAUAUAUAUGUUUCCACUAAAAUAUAUUUAAUUAUUCUUUAUUUUUCUAUUGUUGCGUGUAAGAUUUAUUUGAGUUCUAAGUUAUAUCAAUACAAAUGUUAUCUUAUCCAUAAAAAGUUAGAUCCAACAAUUAUGAAAAUUACUAUAGAGUUGCUUUCAAUUAUUUUUUUAAAAUACCAGGAGUAAAUAAUAAUUAGUUCAAAUGGUGGAGACUAAAAUGCGUUCACCUUUAUUUUUUAUCUGUUAUUUACUUUUGUCAUUACAUUAAUGCACAUGCUAUACAUUUGAGACAUUCCAUUAAUUGCCAAUUAUGUAUGUGAGAUAGUAAUUUAAAUUAAAAAAUAAAAGUGAAAGUUAAUCCUAUGCAAUGUGAAUAAAUUUCUUUCCUUUUUCCUUUACUCUUUUUAUUUGACAAUAAAGUUUCCAUCUAUCAUCUAUCAUCUAUGUACACAAAAUUUCUGCAACAAGUACAAAACAUAAAAAUAUAUGAAUAUUAAGGGAAACACGCAGAAGUUCAUCAUUUCAAUGUUCAGUAUUACCAAUUUUGGCAUUAAGCUUGUACGAAUAUAUUCUACUUCGAAAGCAAAAUAUUAGACUCGUGAUUUUAAUUCAUUCAUUAUCUCUCAUUUUAAUCCCAAAAUAUUCAAGAGUAUCCAAGUUACCAUAAGACUUCAGAGGCUCGAGCCUUAGCCAGAGAUGGUUAAUUGAUAGACUAUGUGCCUGGGUCGAGCACUGGAAGCCUGCAAUGCAGACUGAUUGAUUUAUCAGUUUAACGUGUGCCAGGAAUGAAGAACUGGAAUAUCACCGUCAAGCAAGCACCCUGUGGAGCAAUACCAAAGAAUGCACAAUCUGGCUUUGCUAGGUGACCCUGGAGGCUUUUUGAAAAGUGCUUCAUGCUCACUUGCACAGAUUGAGCAUCCCCUCUGGAUAUUGCCCUCUCUGAUCGAGUCUGAGCACUCAAAUUUCGGUCCUCAGAUGGAGCUACAGCUUUCUCUCCAAUAACCAACAAUUUUCUAAACUCAGCACCUAGUGUGAUCAGAGUUGUUGAUAUUUGCAAAUGGAGAUCCCCAUAUUUGCAAAUGGAGACAUUUAACAAAUCACCAACAUGCUUCAUCCGGUCCACGAAAUUCUGCAACUGAUUCAAAUCUGGAACCUGAACCAGAGUCGGAGGUAUAUCUUGAGCCAUAUCUAAAGCAGUUUGAAGUUCAAGACCUUGAGCCCUUGACAAUGGUUUUGAAAUUGGAACAUCUUGGAUUACUGCAGACUUGUACCCCUUGGUUUCAAAGGUAAGGAAAGGCAUUGCUUGAGUACAAUUUGGAGGCAGCUUCUUCACCAAUUUUAUUUGGAGGCAAUUGGCAGCGGAUCCAGCUGCACCAAUUUCAGAGCAACUACUGACACUACUUCGAACAGCACACUGACGAAGUGAUAUGUCUACGGCAAAGGCAAUGCAGUCCUCAUUUUGGCUUGAGAUGCAGUAAUCAUCGAAGAGAGUUUCCUUGUGAAACUGGGCAACACAUUGAAUCCCUUCGCCACUGAGAAGGUUGUGGAGGAAGUAAGCUGUCUCUCUAGUGAGGAAGAGGUGGCAUACCUUCCCCAUUUUGUCUAGGGCAGGUAGGAAUCUUUUUUCUAAGAGAUUUACUUCAUUCUCUGUGAGAAAUGCUUUGAACUUCAUCCCUCUGUCUCUAUCCUCACUUAUCAGGAAAUAAGUUGAAAGCACUAUGAAGAGAGAGAGAGAGAGAGAGAGAAUUAAGAUAUAUAGACAAGAAAAUAAUUAGACGUUGAUCUUACAAACUAAUACUUCAAGCAGUAUCCUAGAAAGCUAAAAACUGCAAGAUGGCUUGAAAUUUGAAAAGAGCACAUGGUUUUCCUCCUUAACUUGAGAAAAUGUUUAAUAUAGUGCACCUUACAGAAGCAUUUAAGCAAUUAGAACUUUGCACAAAAACAUCAAGAAGACUAAACAAAUCAGAUGCAGUGUAUUUGUCCAAGCACAAAUUGCAUUUUGUCCUCAACUUUAAUAUUUAUUGAUGAGAAUCAAUACAGGUCCCUCAUUUGUUAUAGAAAGCUUUCUUGUAGUCUCACCAGUUAAUUCACAGGUCUAUAAUCAUCUUGCAAAGUUAAGGGCAUUUCUUUCGAUCUAAAGUCUUUGCAUCACCACCUCAUCACACGCCAAGCCAAUAUUCCAUUUACCUCUACAACAAAAAGUUUUUAAGUAAAUAAUCCUAAUGCACGCAGCCGAAUAAAAUGCAGUAAGAAUAUUCAACUUAAAAAUCUGAAAGCCAACUUGGUGAAUUGCCUCCUUAGGUGAAGUUCCAUGCUUUACUAUAGUUGACAGAACUCAGCAAAAGCUUCCAUACAACAGAUUUUGAAAAUGAUGAUGCCAAUAGAUACUCAUUCAAUCCAUUGAAACUCCAAAGGUUCAUUGUUCAUAGAAGUUUACAGAGUUUUGGUCAUCAAAUAGCUCAGACCUAAUCCCAAACAAAAAACGAGUGAAAAUUAGAUCACGAGCAGCUAAUUGUAAAUUCUAACUUAACUCUUCAUCUCCUUUGUAAACAAGAAACAAAAUGGAGACACGCAAAAUGAAUAUGGAGAAAAUUUGAACUCAAAUGAAAUGAGGGCACGAAAGCAAACAAAUGGCAUGCACAAAAAAACCAAGCCUCGAUAAAAAACUAAUUAACCAUUAAGAAAAAAAUUGGUCAGAGAAUGAACUCCAAAUUCAGGAGUCAAGCAAGAAGCUUUCAUUAUUUCAGAAGCUCCUGUACAAAUUAAUAAGUUAUGCUCUUUGGAAGCAAACCUAAAUUCCAAGAGAAACAGAACCCAAAAAAUUUGCAAUUAUACGCAAAGGAAGUGAAGCACAGGAUUCUAUCACACAUAGGAAUUGUAUAACAAGAGAUCGAUAUAUCGAAUUAGAAAACUCAAUUCGAAUUUGUGUCAAAAAUCAAAAUUAGAAGAUUUCACAUUUCGAGAGGAACAAGCAACAGAUGAAGUUCAAAAUUUCAGCCAUAACAUGCUAAAAAUGCUACACUUAACGGUUCAUUUUCAUGGAUUUUCUCGGGAAACAAACAGAAAAUUACGGUUUAGAGAGUUGACUGACCUUUUGGCUUUUGAAAUUGACCAGAUCGCGCGCCAAAUUGGAAGAGGGAAAGUGAAAGCGCGAGUUUUAAUAUGGGUAUUAGAUAAGGAAAUUUUAUUAGGUUGCGAGGGUAAAAAAGGAAAGAGAUAUCAUUAUUUUAUUAUCGAUAAUUAUUAAAUUUUUUUCCAAAAAAAAGAACAAGCAAGGAUUUUUUAUUGUCAUCACUAAGUUAAAAAAAAUUGUUUCAAAAUUACUUGAGUCAUAUCCAAUGGACCAACAAAGUAAUCGUUUUUAUUUUUAUUGAUUUUUGCAGGAAAUUAAUAACUUAAAAAUACUGAAAGCUACUGUAAAAAUUUUUAUUAUCAACCUCAUAAUUUUUUUUUUUUGGGGAAGAGAAUUCAAACUUUUUUUUUAUGAAUAUCGCUGUUUCGUUUGAGUUGGAUGUGAAUUCAAAUCCAAAUAUUCUUUGUUUUUCAAUUUUGAACUCAAUUUCUUUUUCUCAAGAAUGUUAUGCAGAAAUAAUUUUUACUAAAUCUUUUUUGAUGAAUUGUUUAAAUUAAACAAUUGGAAUAAGAAUUGUAACGAUUUAUCAUAAGCGUGCUAAUAUGAUAACUUGUUUUACGAAGGAUUAAUUAAUCAAUUAAUAUUAAAUUAUAUAUUAGUCAAUUAGAUAUGUGUUACAUUUAUCAUGUUUUGUAGGUGAUAGUACAUCAUUUCUAAAAGAAUAUAGUACGUUAAAAUAUUAUUUUAAUGAAGAAAAUUUUAUUAUUUUAUUAUUAGGUGACACAAUAAUAAAUGGAUUUCUGUAAGAAUUGAGAUUCUUGAUAUAAUUAUUACAUAAGGAGAAGUUUAGUUGGUUCAAUUUUGACGUGAUAAGAAGACAACACAGCACAGAAAACCCAAAUUGCCACUUCCACUAAUAAAAGAUACCUGUUUGAAAAGUAAUUAUAAACUAUCUUCUUUGUGUUAUUUCUCAAAACUUUUGUGGCACAAAUGUUAUUUCCAUUGACAACAGUACGAAAUACCACCCCUUUCACUUGAGCAGGAGCAAAGCAAAGGUAUGAUGAGCUAUCUCUGUAUAAUUGAAACGCCAUUACUAAACGAUUCUUGAUGAUGGGAGCCACCGUGCCAGCUUUGUCGCUGAUUUGCAUGAUUUAUUAGUUGUCCAGAUGGCGGAUUUUGUACUGUUACCUUCGUUUCAUUCUUCAGAGCCAUGUACUGUUCUAGGAUACCAGAGAAACCAAGGUGGCAUUGAAGUUGCCCUGGUGGUUAGUUUUCCGAUCAUUUUUUUAUUCAAUUAUUUAUGUUUUUAGAAAAAUGUAGGAAAUAUGUAGAAAUGUUGACAGCUAUGAUUUUGAAACUUUUGCCUAAAAUUGUUAUCAUUACUUGUUGUUUCUUAUUUAAAGAGAAAUUCUAGAAACAUGAAAUGAUUAUUCUACGCUUGUUUUAAUAUUGUGCUAUGAAGAUUACGAAGGUUUGAUUAUAUGUCACUAUCAAUUGCCUUAAUCGUUUGUCGUAAAUCAAUUAAGCAUUUUGAUGCGAAUGAUUCCCUAUUAAAAAAUUCAAGUCAGAGCUGAAUUGCAAAGUAGUUAGUCGUGCUUGCAAUUCAAAUUAAGUAUUGUAUUUUCUCCCUGAUUUGGUUGAUUCAACUAUGUGCAUUUGCUUAUGAACGUUGCAGUAUAGAAAUCGAAAUAUCUUGUCUUUUGCUAAGCCCAGAAGCAAAUUCUUUGUAUUCUACUCAUCAGUUUUCUUCAUUCUCUUUGUUGAAAUUUUAUCUAAACAGCGGUUUCUUCGAAUUUAUGCCUUCGCUUACUCUUUUAAAUUUUAUCCAAACAACGGUUUUGAAAUUGUUUUCACUACAAUACCUUAGUCUUUCAGAUGCUCCCGUCACUGAGUUGCCAGAAGAGCUAAAAGCCUUGGUAAAUCUUAAGUGUUUGAACCGGAGUACACAAAUUAUCUCUCUACAUUUCCAAAGCAAUUGAUUUGUUACUUUUCGAUGCUACAUGUUCCGCGAAUAUUCAGUUGUGGUUAUCUUGUUCAGAUACCAGAAAAUAGCGUUAUAUUUAGUGGUAAUGAAUUCUUGGUUUGGGAGUUGCUUAGUUUAAAACGUUUAAAUGUAUUAAGCAUCAUCUUGAAAAGUUUUUCUGCUGUCCAAAAACUUAUGAGCUUCCAAAAGUUUCAAAGCUGUACACAAUGCAUGGAGCUUGUAGACUGUGAUGAUCCAAAGUCAUUUGCCGUGGCAGAGUUGAAGCAUCUUGAAAAACUAGGUUUUUCAAGUUGUGGAAAUUUGGAAGAGUUAAAGUUCUGCUGUGUCGAAGUUGCAAAGGCUCGAGAAUGUUUUCGUUUGAACAGCCCUCACUGAGUUAAGAUGAAGGCUUGUCAUAAAUUGUGGGAAGCGACAGGUUAUUCAAAUAGAAAAAUUUAUGGAGAUGGAUGUUAAUCUUAAGGUUAUUCAAUUAGAAAAAUUUGAAUAAAAUUUAUGGUAAGUGCUUUUCCAUUUAUUGCAUAUUUAUAUCUAAUUUUUAUUUUCCUUUAUUGUUAAAUUUUGGUCUCUAUUUGUUGUUGUAUGGUGGCAUUCUUGUACAAUUAUUAGCUUUUCAUUUCUCUUCUCACAUUAACUGCCCUUCUGAUCAUGUAGGAUUUGCUGAUGCAAAGAGUCAUAAUUUGGGAUACAAAUGUAAGAAUUAGACAGAUGACAUGUUGUUUUGAAGCUCUCAAAGAAGGACUAAUUAUGUCAUUGAAAGCCUCCAAUUUUGUGAUUGGUUUCUUUUUAUUUUAUUUGUUGUUUUCUCUAUUUUCAGAUCACUUAAUUGUUAGUUGUUGUAAUGUAAUGUUUUAGUAUAGCAAAUUAUAUUCGGCCAAGACAGUGAUAGGAGGGCACAUUGUGCAUGCACACUAGUGGAUUUGGCAUGCCAAAUCCAAUUAGGAUGGAUAACACUUUAUAAGCAUUAGGCUUCUCUCAUACCUGAGUAAUAUAGAAUAUGUUUAUAAGUUGUGAAUCACCCUUUACAAGUGUUAGGCUUCUGCUAUACUCAGUGAUGUGAAAUAUAUUUAUAAGCACUAAACUUCUCCCAUACACUUUAUGUUAAUAAUAAUAAUAAUAAUAAUAAUAAUAAUAAUAAAAUAAUAAUAAAUAAACCCAUUUUAACAGACUCUUUUUUCUUUUUCUAUAUGAACAAAUGCAUUCUUCAAAGCAACUGUGGGGAGAAGAAGUGAGUAGAGAAGAACUGAGCCCCUGUCAUUCCCCUAAAACCUCACCAAAACCUCUCUUGUAAGCUUCUCGGAUUUUCUUUCUAUAUUUCUUAGGAACUCAUUUUUUAUUGAAUCACUUAUUUUGCAUGCUGCAUUUUUUGGUUGUCGUAUUUGUGUAUUAUCUUAUCUGGAAUGCUGUUAUGAUUGAUGGAACAAGUAAUCGAUUUUUGGUCUAAUGGAAGUUGAUUUAUUUAUUUAUUGUUGUUUUUAUUUGAAAUUAUGUACAAUUGUAUUUCAUUCAUUUCUCUCUCUUUUGCUUUUUUCCCCCCAUAUAUUUGUUAUGUAUAAUUGCGUUUCAUUUAAUAUUGAUCAUACUGUAGGUAACCAUGUGAUUGUAGAUGGGGAUUUCGAGUUUGUUGAAUAUUCAUGUAAGUGAAGUAACCGUCACAAUACUAGUGAAAUUGGGAGCUUUAUUCAUGAGUUUGUGGUUUUGAAAAGUACCACAGUUCAACUGGUGAAGGCUCCGUUUUGGGAUUCUUCUUUUUCUAGGCUGCAAUUAGGAUAUGUACAUGAUAGACAAUCUUUUGUUGGUUUAGCAUAUCUUCGCUGAUUUUGUCUUUUAUUCCCCAAUUUUAUAAUUACACACCAUGAAUGUUGGGUGAUUGUAUAGAAAAUUUGUGUUAUAACAAAAACAUUGUGAAGGAGUUUCCGUGCUAAUAGUUAGUGGCUUCUGUUUUAUUGGCAUUGAUUGGGUAGAUUACGUGUUACAGUGAUUCAAUUUGUGUUCCAAACUUUGCUUUAAUUUUCUGUUUUCCCCAACUAUUUAUGUCAAAUUUAAAUCCAGAAGCAUGUGCUGAUUUUUUCUUUUUGUAUUAAUCUGUGAAGUUUAUUUGGAAUGGAAGUAACUGGGUCGGGUCUAAUGGAUUAAAUUAUGACAUUGAGGGGAAGGCACUAAAAGGGUUUGCUUGACACAUUUGGUUCUGUGUUUACUCUGCAAGAAAUAACUUUUGCUUAUUGCAAUGCAGGGGGAAAUCCCGAUUUGGCUGGUGAAUUUCUCUGCAACAAACAGGCAAACACCUCAACAUCUUCUGUCCAUACUUCUGCUGGGGAGGCAAGGGGUAAAGAGUCUUCAAAAUCAUCAAAUAGUUACAUCUCUGAGAAUUCAUUUUAUGGAAAUGGAAAAUCUAGAGUUUCUAAUACAAAAUGGCAUCUGGUAUCAGGACGUACCGUUUCAAGUUUUCUUGGUAAAGAUUAUGUUAAACCUGCACAGCCAGCUAAUGGCACUUUUCUGGCAUCAAAGCCAUUGAAGUUGGAUCCAAGGGAGUUUCGCAUUUCUGCACUUUCAGAGAAGAAACUAAACCGACAAUCAAAGGAUGACCAUUUGCAGAAGGAUAUGGAAGAUUUUCUUUUUAAAUUGCUAGGAGAAGGGUUCCAGCUGUACAGGGAUGUGAUUCAGGAGGUUCAUGGUAACGUCUUAAAUAUAUUGAUGCCAAUUUAAUACAUAUUGUCCUUUUCAAUGUUCUUUCUUUCUUUCUCCUCUUUUUAUUAUUCUUCUUCUUCUUUUUUCUUUUCAUGUGCAUGUGAUCACUAAUUUGGUAUUAUUCUUGACUUGCAGAUAGUUGUGGAUAUGAAAUGCAAAAGGUAAGGGCUAUAUCUUCUUGAUGGAGGCCUCUGAUUUUUUAAAUCGCAUUUUCCUUUGUGAUUGAUAUAUCAUACCAAAGUCAAGUCUUAAAUACUGCUGUCAUAUGUUAAGGUUCAACUUCCAUUUUGAUUAACGUCGAUUUGCUACUGCUUCCAAAAGUGAGAAUGAGAUACUUUGGUUAAUUUCAGUAGUUGAACUCAAUGGAGUACUUUAUUUAGAUCUUCAUGGUUCAAAGGCCUGAAAAAACUUGCCGGUAUUUGCAAAAUGACAUCUGUGCUUUUAUUUAGACUUAUUAUUAAAGACAACAUUUUAUUUCAGCCAAAAAUGUUUGUUUCAAUUAAAGACUUGAACCAUUUUCAUUUAACCUGAUUGUGAUGCUUUACAUUAUGCAUGUUCCUCUCAAUCAAUAAAAGUUGAGGUCAUGAUUUUAUAUUUCUAUUUUGUAACUUGAAAUAAUUGGUCUGCCUGUUUCUGUUGCUUGAUAACAUGAAUUUUUCCUUCUGAAGUUAAUUUGAUCAAUAAAGUAAUUCUUCGGAGAGGAUAUGCCCAUUCUAUAGUCAUUUUCUUAGCUAACAUGUUUUUUCUUCACUCUUCAAAGCAUGUCUAAACUAAUUGAUCGCUCAGCGGAGACUUUGGGUGAGAAGACAAAAUUUCUUGGUAAAUCCUCUGAAAAGGUAUGCAUAAUUCCCGAGUAUUAAAUAAUCAUUGGUCAUAAUUUUUGUACACGACUCUUGUUUUGGAGAUCGUUAAAAGUGGUUGAUGAUCUAUUUUGUAAUAUCAUAGAGGGAUCAUGAAUUCCUUUUCUUUUCUGUGGCUAGGCAACACUUUCGAGCCAAGCUAAGGAAAUCUAUUUUAGGUAAUGUGAAAACUAGUUGUAGGAUGUAAUAGUUUAUUAUGCCCUGACAAUAACUUUUUGUAUAAUUGUCAGUUUAAUGAAUACAAGAGGAACUCUGUUGGCAAGUUCAUCCAUGAUAGAUGCUAAAAUUAUUUAUGCAUACCAGUUGCCUUAACUAAUUUUUCUCAACACUGGUAUUGAACAGGAAAAUGAAUAUGCAAUUUGUAUAUUGUGCCAUUGUGGAGAAUUUGGAUAUUCUUAUUUAAGUAACAAGGAGAGUAUUUGCCUCAUCUUUAAACAAUGAAUCUUUGAGAAAUGAGGAGUGGGUGAUUGACAGUGUCUUCAUGUAAAUGUUCAUUUAUUUGUAUUUUGAACUAUUAUGAGAAUCUUUGUAUGCCAAAUUAGUAAUACAAAUGUUCAGAUGAUUUUUCCUGUUGAUCAUGCGUGUGUAUCUGCACACAACCAUUGUGUACCACUUUAUUCUGAUGCACAAAUAUCUGUAGUUUAGAAGAAAAGAAAUAAUAAUCAUAUAUUAUUGCUUGGUUCAUGAUUAUUAAAUGAUUAUGGCUUUAGAAAAUCCACAAAUCCUUUGUGUUCAUAUAUGAAUGUGCGAAGUUCGCUAUAUCUUAGAUUACCUUCUUCCAAGAUAACAAGUUCAUAUAUUUUUUUUAAUCCUUUUUCAUCACAGUUGAAUUUCAAGUGUAAGUUUUGUUAUUAAUAGCUGGUUUCCUGUUAUUAUGAUUUCAUAAACAAUGAGAGGAUAUGUGCUCUACUUUUGGAUGGCCUCCACAUAAAAGAAAAUUGCAACAAUUGAAUUCUUCUGGAGGGUAUGGUAUUUAAUUUAUUUUCUCAGCUUGUUGUAAGACUAAUAUAUUUCCUUCAGUACGCACGGCAUGGUGGGAAGGGUUUUUAUUGAAAGAAUUAUGAUAUUUCUUAGACUUUGUUUUGGAAGGGGGUGGAGGGAUUUCUCAUCCAUGUAUGGUUACUUGAUUAGCUUUUGACUGUACUGUCUCCGUCGUGCAAAGGAAAAUCCAAAUACUAACGAAGGGGAAUUGCUUAGGCACCCAAAGGACAGAAAUGAAUUACGGAAGGAGGUUUUUGCUGCUUUAUUUAGUGCUGCUGAGAAAUCUGAUGAAUUUCCUGAAAUUACGGUGAAGACGGAGUGGAGGUCCAACGCAUUAGGAAAGGUGGUGAGUGAACCGCCAGAGGAAUUAGUACCAGAAUACAAGGCUAAUGUGGUGCACUGGCAGCAAGAUGACCAGACCUGUAUGUGCUCUUAUAUUAACUAUAUUGGCUGGAUUUGUGAGUGUGUUCAUUUUUGUGUGUAUACUCACUUUUGUAUUUAUGCAUAUUCACGUGUGUAGGAUUCUCGAUUUCUGCCACUUACUGGAGAACUAGUGGAAAGCUUUAUACUGAUAUAUGUGCUAUAUAACUAAUGGAAACUACAAUAUGAAUAUUUUCUCUCACCUGGAGAGCAGUGUAACUAAUAUAAUUUGUGGCUCUGGAAUACUGAAGAUUCUGCAAUAACUAAUGGAAAAUAUGAUAUGAAUAUUUUUUCUCACCUGGAGAACUUUGUAACAGAUACAUUUUGUGCUGGAAUGUCUAAAGAAUGCUUCAGUUUAUAUCAAAUAUCUUUUAGUUAGAAAAGAUAAAAUUCUCUGAAUCUGAAAGACUGAAACAUUUUGCAUAUUUCGUGAAAGGCAAGUAUCUGUAGAUACUAGCUCAUGCAUUGAGGUAAUAUCAAUGUUAAAGAAAAACAGCAAUAAUUUAUUAUACAGAAUUAGGUUCACUUGCUUUAAAUGCUGGUCUGAUCAACCAUAUCAACCUGUAAUGGUCCUGCAGAAAUAUAUAUACGGGGAGAAACUAGCUAAUUUUCCUUUCACUUAUGGGUUUGGUCUUUUUUUCCCCAAUUUUUCAGCUUUCCUUCUCCUGAAGUAUGUUAAUAAUUGCAGAUAAUGGCGAAGAGGACUGCUUCCAGGCUACCGGCAAAAACUUUGUGAAAGCUUUGGAGUUAAACAGGGAAUUCACUUACUGCUAAGGACAAUUGGUGGCGAGCUAUUUCAUUCAUUUUAUGUCCAUACAUCUAUUUAAUUAUUAAAGAUAAUGUACGCAUUUGUAAAUUUCAGAUUGUGUGUCUCUGAAAAUAACAAUAUUUAAAAUGUCUCUUAAAUUAUUAUAAAUUUUAAUUUACUCUCGAUUUAAAAUGGAACAUGUUGGUGAAAUAUUUUUUCUUCUUAAUAAAAUUGAAAUAAAUUAUGUUAGCAGUAGUUUGAAAUAUUUUAAAGAUGAUUAUUUUAUAAGGGAGUAAUAUGAAAUGAAAUUUACUUUUCAUGCGUGAAAUGUUGAAAAAGGACAAAGCAAGUGUCCCUGCUUUUAUUUUAUUUCAAAGUGGAGUCAUCUCACAUACUUUAGCUCUAUCAUUAGGAGCCGGCUAAGUUACGUUAAACGUAAUUUACGCCAGGCACAGCAAUAAUGACAAGUCCCAUGACUAGUAUUGUUGCUGUGUCUGACGUAAGUUACGUUUAACGUAACUUAGCCAAAGCCCUAUCAUUAAUAUAUAUUUAAAUUUAACACAUGCAUGUGGGUUACUUUUCCGUAAGUUCCUUAAUAUAUAUUUAACACAAAUCAUGGAAGAGAUGGGAGUAUAUCAAGAUGAUCAAAGCAUGAAACAAAAAUAUUUAAGAAGUAAAACACUGAAAAUGGAGAAGAGAUGCAAGCAAAAGAUAUUCUAAAGAAAAGCAAUCUAUCCCCUUUCGAGGGCAAACUUAUCAGGUUUAAGAAAAGUACAUGCUUUGGAUUGGUAGUUGCAGCCUUGCAGGAUAAUUGUUUUUGCCACUAUAUUAGUUGGAGGAGUUGAACCCAGUGAAGAAUGUUAUGGAAGAGCAAAUGAUAUUUCUGAUAGACUCUAUUUGAUUAUGUAGCCUGAAUAGAUGUCUUGUUGAAAGAUAUAUCAGUGCAUUAGUUCAUCCUUGUCUGUCAAUGUGUUUUUAAUGGUUUUUCCAAUUGUUUUUUUUUUUUUUGAAACUGAUUAAGCAUCAGGUUACUGCAUUACACAGAUAUAUAUACAACUGCUAUGACAGCAGGUCAUUACACUGAUAUUUACAAUCAGAUAUAUAUACAUGGGACUUAUAUUAUUACAUUUUUAUUCUAUGAAGUACAUGCCCAUCCCAAAUACCCCUCACGGAGGAGGGAUGUCUCUACUCCACUCGCAUUUCGCAAGGGAGAAAGACGUUUAUAGAAAUCUCCACACAAUUAUGUUUAAUUGGAGGAGGUUGAGUCCGUGGGGACUCGAACCAUUGCCCUCAAAGUCAUGCUUAACUUUGAGGGCAAUGGUCCACCACUGGGCUACAAGCCCAAGUGGCGGUUUUUCCAAUUGUUUAUUGCUAUAGAUUGAUUGUAAAUUGAUGUGAACUUAAUGUUGAAAUAUUUUCUCUUUAGUGGAAUGAAAGUUAAACAUUCAAGAUUAGAUUAUUCAAGGUCCACAUAGUAUGUGUUCCGUUGUGUUGUCUGUAAUUUUGCAUUUAAAUAAAUUUGAGUGCUGCCGUUUCGCUCCCACAAUCUCUCGCCUUUUUUUAAUUUUAAAAAUUAAAAUAUUAAUAAAAAACAAUAAAGAAAAUCGAAUCCUUUAUGUCAUUCCAUCUUUACAACUCUCUCUCACAAACUCCAUCUAACAGACUUCUCUCUUACUAUCUCGGUCGAACAAGACCAGUGACAAUGAUGACACGACCGCCGACGAUGAGAUGGUCAUCGCUAAAGAAUCGGGCCGUGUAUUUUACAAUUUCUUGGUUUGUGACAACAAUGGAAAACUCCUGAAAAUUUUGAAUUUGUAGUCGAGCAAAGGAAGAAGCAAGUUAUCUUCAAAGCAUUUUCCAGUAAUAGCUGAUGAAAUUUAAUACUUCAAGCUGGCCCUUUGCUGUCACAACUAGAUGCAUUUGCACUGUCAUUACAAUUUAUGGAAAUUAAAGUAAUUAAUGGUUCUAAUUAAUAGCUUCCCAAAAAACCAAUCUGCCCUUGUGAGAACCAAAGCAUUAAUUUCUUGUAAGAGCUGCAGAAGGCCAGAGAAUUUCAGAUCGUGAAAAGGAGUGUGUGAGUGAGAGAGAGAUCGUGAAAUAGUGAGAGACAAUGAGAGAGAGAGCCGCUCGACUGAGAUGGUGAGAGAGUUGCAAAAAUGGAGUAAGGAGCAGAUAAGAUUAUGUUUUCUUUAUUAUUUUUUAUUAAUAUUUUAAUUUUUUUAAUUAAAAAAGGGCGAGAGAUUUUGGGAGUGAAACGGCAGCAUGUUCCAAUAAAUUUUUACCAAAGUUUCUCUCGUGUUUCUCUCACCUUUCUAGAUACCAAGCAUUUUCCAAUAAAUUUUUACUAAAAACUUAGCAAGCCCUUGAAACUUUGGUCAAAAUUAUUGUUAUUAUUACUUUUAGAGGAAAAACUUUUAUUAAAACCUCAUUAACACAAUUCUUAAUUAAAAUUAUAAGUUUGUGUUGGUGUAAGGAUUUGCAGGAGCAAUUACUGCCUAGCCAAGUGUCAAAAGCACAAAAUAAAUCAAGAGAAAGUAGACAUGAAUUAGGAUCCAAUGAAAUUUAAAUCCCGGAGAAAAGAAAUAAUCAUGCAGAUUAUCAAGAUUUCAAUAAGGGAUAUUGAUAUCCUAUUUUGAUUAAUAAUAUCCUUUUACUGUGUUAACUCAAAAAAUAUGUAUAUUCUAAUAUUUUACAAUAAAUAGAAAUCUAAUAUUAAAAUAAAUGUGAUAUAUAUAUAUAUAUAUUAAAUAAUUUAAAUAUAAAAAAUAUUUUAAUGUUUUACAAUCUACUACACAUAUUUUAUUAAGUUAAUAUAAUUUUUCAAAUAAAUAGGGACAUAAUAUUAAAAUAAAUUUAUAAAAAUUUAAAUUAUUUUGAAUUUAAAAUAAUUUUAAUAUUAUUAAUAUGUUAGAUAUGUUUGAUUAAUUAUAAAAAUUAUUUACGCAAAUUUUUUUAAUAUUUUCAGUAGAUAUAAAUAUAUUACUUACAUUUUGAUUAUUUAACUAUUAUUAUUCUACAAUUAUUUAUAUAAUGUUUGCACUUAUUAGAAUAUAUUUAAAGUCAAAUCUUUUGCACUUCUACCUAGCUAGAAUUAUUGGACGCAGAGAAAUAAGCAUAUAUGCUUUAUAACUUUAGAAAUCGAAUUAUCUAUACAAAUUGAUUUUAGCUGGAAAAAAAGUGAGCUGAAUGAUAUAGGCGAUUAGUGUGGUAAUAUUUCAUAGAGUUAGACUAUUGAAUUUGGCACCCCUCCAAUCUUCUCAUGAUUACCUUUUUGAGUUAUUAAUACACUUCUAAUUUUUCGUUUAAUUUUUUUUAUUGUUAUACUCAAAGUAGUAUUGUGAUAUUUUAUAUUUCUUUUGCAAUCUUAUUAUUAUUUUACACAAAAUUAAAAAGUUUUCUAGGUGAUGAACUUUUGAGUUUUGAACAUUAAUCAUUGGCUUAAAUUUCAUAUAUUUUACAUUAUAAUUUGAAAUUAAGUACGAAAAUAUUUAAUAAAUUAUGAAAAGAUUAACAGAUUAUUCUAAAUUGAUACAACUUAUUUUAGUUAAAUAAAAAGUAACAGGUAAAAAAAAAAAGGAUUGGUUAUGAAAUUUGUUGGAAAAAAAUCUGUGUGUGUUUAAUUUUUAUUUGUCCUUAAUUGUAAUUUAUUUGAAGUGAGGUUUUAUAAGGAUAAUGAAGGGGUGCCAUAGUUUCACUCUAUUUCAUAUGGAGAGAGAAGUAAAAGGUACACCUGAGGUUAAUGGAAAGGACUUCGAAAGUUUCUUUUGAUUAUAAUACUGUUUGUUCUAAUUAACUUAAAAAAUUUUACUUUAAUAUUUUAUAAUAAAUUAAAUUUUAAUCUUAAAAUAAGUAUAAUCAUAUAUUUUAAAAUAAUCUUAAAAUAAAUACAAUCAUAUAUUUUAAAAUAAUCUUAAAAUAAAUACAAUCAUAUAUUUUAAAAUAAUCUUAAAAUAAAUACAAUCAUAUAUUUUAAAAUAAUCUUUAUAUUUAAAAUUUAUUUAUUUGUACAUAUUUUAUAAUAAAUAUAACACAUACUAUUAAAAUAAUAUAUAAAAAAUUAAAGUAUUUUGAAUAUUAUAUAAAAUAACUUUAAGAUUCUUAAUAUGUAAGAUAUAUUUUAUUAAUUUAAAAUUCUAUUUAAAAUUUUAUUAAUUUAAAAUUCUAUUUAACCCAAAGAUUUAUUUAAGAUAAAUUAAUAAUCAUAUUUUUUAAAUCAUUUCAAAUAUUAAAAAAUAUUUUGAUAUUACUAGUCUAUUAAAUAGAUUAAAUAUUUUUAUUAUUUUGUACUAAUCAAAAGUUACAGCUCGAAUGAUAUUAUGAGAACAGAAUUUUUAUGUCUUUAUUAAAAAUUUGGGUUUGUAUAAUUAUUUUUUCAAAUGUUAGGGGCAUAGCUGUCUUUUUACUUUUAUAUAUGUGAACCGCGGUGGUGAAAAAGUGUGAUUUAAUAUUAGUUAUUUAAAUAAUAUCUGAAUUAAAGAUGUACAGAGAAGAAAUUUCGGUGGGCAUUUUAGUCUUUUAACGAUUAUCAUGAUUAGGGAUUAGGUCCUGCUCUUGAAACGUUGGUCAGAAAAGUUCUAAAAUGCGUACAUUAUCUUUACUUUAAAAAAGUUAUUUUAUUUUAUUACAAAUUAAUGCCGACAAGAAAAAGCAAGAUCUUAAANNNNNNNNNNNNNNNNNNNNNNNNNNNNNNNNNNNNNNNNNNNNNNNNNNNNNNNNNNNNNNNNNNNNNNNNNNNNNNNNNNNNNNNNNNNNNNNNNNNNAUAAAGAUGAAGAAAAGGGCAAAAAAAUAUUAAUGAUUAACGAAAUCUCUAUCCAAAUUGAUUUUAGCAGGAAAAAAGUGAGCUAAAUGAUGUAGACGAUUAGUGGUAAUAUUUCAUAGAGUUAGACUAUUGGCACCCUUCCAAUCUUCUCACGAAUCCUCUUUUUGAGUUAUAUUUAUUUUAUUUUUAAAAUAUCUUUUUUCUCUUUUACUACACUUCUAAUUUUUCAUUUAAUUUUUUUAUUGUUAAACUCAAAGUAGUAUUGUGAUAUUUUUAAUUUCUUUUGCAAUCUUAUUAUUACUCUGCAUAUAAAUUAAAAAGUUUUUUAGGUGAUGAAUUUUUGAAUGUUAAUCAUUAGCUUAAAUUUCACAUAUUUUACAUUACAAUUUGAAAUUUAAUAUGAAAAUAUUUAAUCAAUAAGAAUUAUGAAAAGAUUAAUAAAUUAUUCUAAAUUUAUACAACUUAUUUUAGUUAGAUCAGAAGUAGCAGGUUAACAAAAGAAAGGAUUGGUUAUGAAAUUUGUUGGAAAAAAAUCUAUGUGUGUUUAAUUUUUAUUCGUUGUUAACUCUAAUUAAGUAGGUUAAAUAUUUUUGUUAUUUUUUACUUAUCAAAAAAUUUAAGAUCAAUAUUUUUAGUUACCAUUCGAAGGAUAUUAUGACAAAAACAGAAUUUUCACUUCUUUGUUAAAAAUUUGGGGGUUUGUGUAACUAUUUUUUCAAAUGUUAGGGGCAUAUCUGUCUUUUUACUCUAUAUAUAUGAACCAUGGUGGUGAAAAAGCGUGAUUUAAUGUUAUUUAUUUAAAUAAUAUCUCAAUUAAAAAUGUAAGGAGAAGAAAUUUCGGUGGGCAUUUUAGUCUUUUAACGAUUAUCAUGGUUAGGCCCUGGUCUUGAAACGUUGGUCAGAAAAGUUCUAAAAUGCGUUCAUUUGUCUUUACGCCAACAAUAAAAAGCAAGAUCUUAGUGUCCCACAAAAGCAAAUCGUAAUAUUCCGCAAUGGAGUUAGAUCCGCAAAAGCAAACAAAUUCUUUUAUUAAACUACAAAUUAAAGUGGAAUCAUUUACUAAACAACAAAUUAAAUUUGAAAUAUUUAAAUAGUCGUGCGUUAGACGAUUAGAGACUCUUAUUAAAGGCAAGUACAAAGUAGUGAAGAAUCGAAUAUUUCUAUUGUCUAGUCUUUUUUUAAAAAAAAUUUUCUUUUAUUAUUUUUCAGAAUAUGUUUUGGUGAUUACUAUUGGGUUAUUAUUCAGAGUUAUUGUUAUCUUCCGGGGCAGUUUCUGUUCAUCGAAUUCGUUAAUAAAAUUUUAAAACUCUUAUUGAAAGAAUGUUUUUCCGUUAUCUUUUUUAUAAUCUAAUUUUAAGUGUAAGAAGUAGUCAUUUUAGAAUUUGGGUCUUGAAUCGAAUUUCAAUGCAUGAAUUAAUAUUUAAAAAAAAUUUACUACAUGCAGUUUAGGUUACAAACUAUUUUUUGCAAAGUUGACUAUGAAAUUGGAGAAAUUAAGUAAUUUAUAAUGUUUGCAAAGAAAGAGACCAACAUACUUCCAAUUACACUAUAUCUCAAUUAUCAUAAUGUUAAGAUUAAACUAACUUAAAAUAAAAUUUAUUUAAAAAGUUUAUCAAACGCAGUCUAAUUUUAUUAACUUGAAGAGAUAAUAGUUAUAGAAAUUAUUAUUCUAACUUAAUUAGUAAAAGUGGUAUAAAGGUUAAGUGUGCACUAAAUCUAUUUAAAUUUUUUUCCAGUAUAACUAACAGAGGUCAUUACUAGAAUUAUAUUACUAGUCUAUUAGAUAGAAAAAAUUAUUUAUAUUGUUUUAUAUUUAUUAAAAAAAUUUAAAGUCAAUCUUUUUAAUUACUAUUUAAAGGAUAUUAUAAUUAAAAAAAUUUUAAUGUCUUCAUUAAAAAUUUAAAAUUUUAUAUGACCGUUAUCUAAAUAUUUAAAGUGUAACUGUCAUUUUCUCAUAUAUAUAUAUAAUUUCAUCAACCCCUUAUACUUUAUGUUAUUUAUAUUUUAUUCAUGAAUAUUAUAAAUUUUUUGAAAUAUAAAAUUUCGUUUAACCCUUUAUACUCAAUUUUAUUUUAUUAAAACCCUAGAGUAUGAAUUCGUCCCUAUAAUAUUAAAUUCUCAAAAUAACUUCCAUUUAAUUAAAAAAUAUAAUUAUUAUUAAAUGAAUUAUAAUUAUUAUUAUUAUGUUAUUAUAAUCAUAAAAAGCGAGAUCAUAUUCCACAAAAGCAUAAGUGACAAAACAACCAACUGGAUUCUUUUAUUAAUCAACAAAUUGUAUAGUCUUUUUCAAAUUGUUAUAAAUUGGUGGCCCCUACAAUCCUCAAUAAUUGUACCGAAAUUCACAAGUUGGUGGGCCCUACAAUUCUGUUCCGAUAAUUUAACUGUGCAAGUGCUCAUUCACAAUCUUCCAGGUCAUGCUCUUAACAAUUGUUUUUUCUUUUCUGCACGCCCUUUCAUGCUCUUAAUAAUUGAAGAGCAUACUUUUCAAAUGUGAAGCCGCAUCUAAUGUCGCUAAUUUAAUUUGGGAUUAAAUUACGGGACUAUUAUAUUGCAGUGUGCACUAAUUUUUAUGUUUAUCUAAACUCUUCAAAUUUAAAACAUAUUAUGGCAUAAAUAAGAAUGUAACAAUAACAAAAGAGUAAGAAAGUGUAGAGAAAAUCUUGCAGAAAUAUAAAUAAUAUUUAUUUUUAAAAUAAUAUUAAUAUUUAAAAUAAUUUUUAAUAUUUUAUGGUCCAUUAGAUAUAUUUUAUUAUAUUAAAAUAAAUUUUAUAAUAAAUAAAAACAUACUAUUAAAAUGAAUAUAUAUAGAAAAUUUAGAGUAUUUUAAGUAUUAUAUAAAAUAAUUUUAAUAAAAUAUGUGAGAUAUUCAUAUUUUAUUAAUUUAAGAUACCAUUUAACCUAAAGAUUUAUUUAUGAUAAAUUAAUAAUUAUAUUUUUGAAAUUACUUCAAAUAUUAAAAAAAUUAAUAUUACUAAUAUAUUAGAUAGAUUAAAUUAUAUAUAUUAUUUUUACUUAUUAAAAAAAUUUUAAAAUUAUUUUUAAUUACUAUUCAAAAAACGUAUUCAAAAAACAUAAUGAUAAAAAAAUCUUAACAUCUUUAUUAAAAAAUUAAAAACUUAUAUGAUAAAUUCUCUAAAUAUUUACGGUAUAUGUGAACCACGGUGGAUAAGCUUUAUUUAAUAUUAUUGAUUUAAAUAAUAUGUCAAUUAAAAAUGUACAGAGAAGAAAUUUCGGUGGGUAUUUUAGUCUUUUAAGCAAUUAUCAUGAUCAGAUCAGCCUUUAGCCUUCAAACGUCGGUCAGAAAAGUUUUAAAAUUAAUGCUAAAUUGUUUUUCACUUUUAACGUUGGUGGCCUUGAAAUUGCUUGUAUUUUAUUAAAAAUUAAUGCUAACAAGAAAAAGCUAGGUCAUAUUCCACAAAAUCAAAAGUGACAAAACAACCAGCUGGUUUCUUUUACUAAACUACAAAUUAAAAUAAAUUUUUUCGAUAAAUUACAAAUUAAAGUGGAUUCUUUUGAAUACAAAUGGGACAGACGAUUAGGCUCUUUUUAUUAGAGGCAAGUAAAAACUAGUCAAGAAUCGAACAGUCUUUUUCCAAUUCUUGUUUUAUUAUUUUUCAAAACUAGUUUUUGGUAAUUACAACCGGGUCAUUAAUCAUUAUUCAGAGUUAUCUUCCGGGGCAGUUUCUGUUCAUCGAAUUCGUUAAUAAAAUGUUAAAACUCUUAUUGAAAGAAUGUUUUUCCGUUAUCUUUUUUAUAAUCUAAUUUUAAGUGUAAGAAGUAGUCAUUUUAGAAUUUGGGUCUUGAAUCGAAUUUCAAUGCAUGAAUUAAUAUUUAAAAAAAAUUUACUACAUGCAGUUUAGGUUACAAACUAUUUUUUGCAAAGUUGACUAUGAAAUUGGAGAAAUUAAGUAAUUUAUAAUGUUUGCAAAGAAAGAGACCAACAUACUUCCAAUUACACUAUAUCUCAAUUAUCAUAAUGUUAAGAUUAAACUAACUUAAAAUAAAAUUUAUUUAAAAAGUUUAUCAAACGCAGUCUAAUUUUAUUAACUUGAAGAGAUAAUAGUUAUAGAAAUUAUUAUUCUAACUUAAUUAGUAAAAGUGGUAUAAAGGUUAAGUGUGCACUAAAUCUAUUUAAAUUUUUUUCCAGUAUAACUAACAGAGGUCAUUACUAGAAUUAUAUUACUAGUCUAUUAGAUAGAAAAAAUUAUUUAUAUUGUUUUAUAUUUAUUAAAAAAAUUUAAAGUCAAUCUUUUUAAUUACUAUUAAAGGAUAUUAUAAUUAAAAAAANNNNNNNNNNNNNNNNNNNNNNNNNNNNNNNNNNNNNNNNNNNNNNNNNNNNNNNNNNNNNNNNNNNNNNNNNNNNNNNNNNNNNNNNNNNNNNNNNNNNNNNNNNNNNNNNNNNNNNNNNNNNNNNNNNNNNNNNNNNNNNNNNNNNNNNNNNNNNNNNNNNNNNNNNNNNNNNNNNNNNNNNNNNNNNNNNNNNNNNNNNNNNNNNNNNNNNNNNNNNNNNNNNNNNNNNNNNNNNNNNNNNNNNNNNNNNNNNNNNNNNNNNNNNNNNNNNNNNNNNNNNNNNNNNNNNNNNNNNNNNNNNNNNNNNNNNNNNNNNNNNNNNNNNNNNNNNNNNNNNNNNNNNNNNNNNNNNNNNNNNNNNNNNNNNNNNNNNNNNNNNNNNNNNNNNNNNNNNNNNNNNNNNNNNNNNNNNNNNNNNNNNNNNNNNNNNNNNNNNNNNNNNNNNAUUGUGGGCACUCUUGUUCGUGCAUGUUUGCUAGAAGAGAUGGAAGAUGAUAAAGUAAAAAUGCAUGACGUUGUUCGUGAUAUGGCUUUAUGGAUAGCUUGUGAAAUUGAGAAGGAGAAGAGAAACUUUUUGGUUUGUGCAGGUGCUCGAUUAGAAGAGGCACCGGGUGUUAAAGAAUGGGAAAAUGUGAGAAGAUUGUCAUUGAUGCAAAACCAAAUUGAAACUGUGUCAGAGAUUCCCGCAUGCCCUCAUCUCCAUACUCUAUUUCUUGCCUCUAAUAGGAAUUUCAGGAUGAUCACGGAUGGCUUCUUUCAAUUUAUGCCUUCUCUCAAAGUUUUGAAGAUGUCACGCUGUGGGCAAUUCGAAGGUUUUCAAUUACCUGUUGGGAUGUCAGAGUUGGGUUCAUCACUAGAACUUCUUGAUAUUUCACAUACCACCAUAAGAGAGUUACCCGAAGAGUUAAAGUUGCUGGUAAAUCUGAAAUGUUUGAAUUUGAGGUGGACAGGUGCGUUAAUUAGAAUUCCACGGGGACUAAUAUCAAAAUUUUCAAGGUUACGUGUGUUGAGAAUGUUGGGUACUGGCGGGUUCAUUUUUUAUGAAGCACCAGAAGACAGCGUUUUAUUUGGUGGGGGUGAAGUUUUGAUACAGGAAUUGCUCGGUUUGAAAUAUUUAGAGGUAUUGGAGUUGACCUUGGGAAGUUAUCAUGCUCUCCAAAUUCUUUUGAGCUCAAAUAAGUUAAAAAGUUGUAUUCGAUCUCUUUACCUCUAUUUGACCGGAGAUAAAAAGUCGAUUAUUGAUGCUACGGCUUUCACAGACCUAAACCACCUCAAUGAAUUAUGGAUUGAUAAUGGAAUUGAGUUGGAAGAAUUGAAGAUUGAUUAUACGGAGAUAGUACGAAAAAGGCGGGAACCUUUUGUUUUCCACAGCCUUCACCUUGUUACGAUAUAUAGUUGCCAUAAAUUGAAAGAUUCGACAUUCCUCGCUUUUGCUCCAAACCUCAAGUCUCUUUCGCUAUUCAAAUGCCGUGCUAUGGAAGAAAUAAUCAGCGUCGGAAAAAUUGCUGAGAAUCCUGAGAUGAUGGGACAUAUAAGCCCUUUUGAAAAUCUCAAAAGUCUUGAUCUAUCAUAUUUGCCGGAGUUGAAGAGCAUUUUCUGGAAGCCAUUGCCUUUCACUCAUCUCAAAGAAAUGGGGGUAAGAGCAUGUGAUCAGCUUAGAAAGCUUCCACUCGAUUCCAACAGUGCAAAAGAGCGUAAAUUUGUAAUUCGUGGAGAAGAAGACUGGUGGAACCGACUUCAAUGGGAGGAUGAAGCCACUCAAAUUGCUUUUCGUUCCUGUUUCCAACCUGAUUCCUGAGCGGUGGUCGCAAAAUUUGAUUUCUGGUGAGUGCGUUUGUCUUUUAAAAGAAGAAUUUAAAAGAAAUUUAUUCUUGACGUUUUCUUCACUGUUUUUAUUUCAGUCUCUCUCUCUCUCUUUUUGUCUUCUGCUAAUCACAAUUAAAUGUUGAAUUAAUGGAAUUAAUGCUUCAUAAAUUUGCCGGCACUGCCAUUACUUUUUUUUUUUUUAAUACAAAUUGAUACUUUAUUUAUAUCUUCUUAGCGAUUUAAUUUCCUGUCAAUUGACGAACGAGAAGAACAUAUGACUUGAACCAAUGCUCGCAUAAACUUGCUGUAAAAAGAUAUAAUCUCACUGAAAUGCACACGCCUAGAAUGAAUAGAAUUAAAACAGGGAAAAUAUUAAGUAUAUUAGCCCUCUUUACCGAAAAUCAAAUGACAAUAAAUUUUUUGAAGUUUUGAUUUUCUAUGGUCAAUUCCACCUUUUGCAAUUUCUUCUGUUCUAACAAAAACCAAUUUCUUUGUUCAAGUAUUUUCGUUUGGGUAUUAAUAAUUCUCCACCGAAAGAGUGAACUCUUGCUCAAGGGAUCUCUAAUCAAUAGCCGGAAGGGCGCCGAGACCUGAUCGGACCUAGGCCCAAGUUUGGUCUUAAAGCCUGGGCUUGAGCCUGGCAAUUAAAUUAAAACAGUAAUUGAUUUCUUGAAUGAAUUGUCGUGUAAUUGAUUUAUGGGGGAUGACACAUCAACAUACUUGAAAAUACACUAAUCUCAGCAUCAUCCGUUAAUAACUUUUAGAUUUAUGGGCAAUCAAUAGUUAAAUUAGUUGUCAUUAAUACUAAAUAAUUUUUACUUUUUUUGUCUCUUCUAGAGGAUCUUCUAGAAAAAUGCAUCCACAAUUAAAUUUAAUACUUUACAUAAUAAAGAAAGCAUAAAUGUUAAAUUUAAGAAACUGCAUUGUAUUUCAGCUGAAGUUGACUUUAAUAUUUAGGGUAGAAAAAAAUUAAAUCCUUAAUGUGUUUAAUUUCUAUCACUUGUGUCAUUAAAAUUUUCUAGUCACCCUAACCAAUUACAUCUCAACCCACUUUUUUUUGGAUGAUUUUAUUUUUACACUAUUAUUUUCAACAUUUUUUUUUCCUUUUAACACCAACAUUAGUGUAUGUUACGUAACAUAAUCCAUAUUUGGAUAAUUUGAAAUUUGUUUGUGUUUUAUCUCAAAAUAGAGCUUCAAUCAAUUUGUACCUCAUAAAUUCACAAUAUCUGGCAUAUUGUCAAAUGUGCUUAUCCUUUUGCUUGACAUGUCAUUUUAAAAUUGUCAUUCAAUGUCAAAAAAUCACAUCAACUAAUGGCCGACUACUUUAAUUUGAAAGCAUGCGUGCGAUCGCCAAUAAUUAUAACUUAAUUGUUAUAUUGAAAUUUUUUUCUUUAUAAUUUAAGUUUAAUACUGCUACAUGUGUGGCACAUAAGUUGGAAAAUAUAACAUAAAAUUUGAAAAAUGUGUAGUUUUCGUUCCUUUUUUUUCUAAAAAAAUGGGAAAAAAGAAUGUAAUUUUGUUUAAAUUACUGUUGUCAUAACAAUUAUUAUUUUAUUGAUUAAUUGGCAGAGAAUCGUAAUGGUUUCGCAUGGUUGUUAAAACAUUGGAAAGUCCACUACAUCAUCGGUUAAUAACUUUCAGAUUUAUGGUUAAUUAAUAGCUGAGAUUUAUUAUCAUUAAUGCUAAAUAUUUUUUCUCUCUCCUGGAGGAUCAUCCACAGGCAGGUGCUUCCUGACGAUGACAAAAUUUUGGGCAGGCAGGUGCUUCCUGACUUUCACACGGUAAUUCUCAAAUUCUGAUUUCACCAUAUUUUAAUUACUGAUUAGCAUAUAUUCAAGUGCUCUCCAUUAUAAUGGAAGCCGCCGCCUCACUCGUAAUUCCAAACUUUAUCUUUUUUUCCUUUUUUAAAUUAAUGCAAGUAGCCGCUGUCCUUUCUAUUAAUUAAUUAAUUCGGCCGCCCACAUUUCUUUUCCUAAUGUCUUCUACUGUCGAGUUUAUUUUAUUUUCUCUUUAUUAUUAAAAUAUACUUAUAAUAAUAAAAAAAUAAAAAUUAACAUAUCAAAAUAUAAUUUAACAGAAAAUUAAGAUAAAAAAUUAAAAAUAAAUAAAUUAUGAGCAUAUCAAUCAAUAAAUGAAAAAUAAUAAUUUUUAUUUUUAUUAAAUAUAAAUUUUUCAGUAUUAAUCAAUUAUCUGAAUAAAUAAAAUCAUUUAAAAAUAAAUAAAUAAAUUAUUCUUAAAAAAAAAAAAAAAACUUUUUAUAACACUCACUAUGCUGGUUGUAGGGUUGACGCUUUGGGUACUGAAGCUAGUAACUUCUACAAGUAGUCUUAAGUUGACUGGCAACAACUAUAUUGGCAUUUAGAAAUAAUGUACUGCAACCAUAUUGGCAUGUUCAAAUGUUCUUAUUAUUGUAUUGGUGUGUCAAUAUUAUCUCUAACGGUUUUAUAAAUAAAAAAAUAAUCUAAAUUUAUAAUUUAACAUAAAAUAAAAUAAUUGGUAGAAAAACAAUUAUGGUUCAUUUACUUAUCAGUAAUCAGAAUAGACUGAAAUCGAAAUGAGUUGUAUUACUGUUGAUGUGUUUAUGUUGUACUCGAAUCGAAAUGAAUUAUUUUAAAUUACUAAAAUAUCCUUGGUCUGUUAUUCUAAUUAUUAUUAUUAUUUAAUAUUUAUUAUAAUAUUUUUCAUAUCAUUAAAAAAAAAUAAUAAUGAUGAUAAUAUUCUCAUUAUUGUUUGUUACAUUAUUAUUAUUCAAAAAAAUUAUUGUUAAUAACAAUAAUUACUUUAUUUCAAUAAUAAUAAUGAUAAAAUUAAUAAUAAUAAACAUGACAACAACAAUAAUUAUUUAUUAUGCCAAAAAAUAACAAUAAUAAUAAGAAUAAUAAUCAUCAUCAUUUUUUUGCCAAAGAAGCAUUAUCAUCAUCAUUUCAAAAAAAAAAUCAUCAUCAUCAUCAUCAUUUUUGUAGUGGCUACCUAUCGGCUGCUGCUUUCAUGUGAGAUUGACUUGCGACGCUUCAACGGCUAUUAUUUCUGACAAUGUCAGGUGUUGCUAUUUCAAUUUAGGAAGAAGUUGUUUCGGUGUGCUAGCGAUGGGAGAUGUUGUGGCUGCGAUUCGGGGAGCUACUAGUUUAUUGCACUAAUAACGGCAGGUGCUGUUGCUUGAUGCGAGGUCCAUGGCCAGUUGUCAGCAGUUCGACUUUGGUAUGGGUGCUGCUGGUUCGAUUUUAGGUGUUGUCCAAUUUCAUUUUCAGGAUUUUAAUUUUAUUUUUCUUUUAUAUUUUCAUUAAUUAAUCAGGGUAAAAUUGGAUUUUAGAAUUUAGAAUGAAGGUAAUUUUGUUAAUAAUGGAAAUGAGAUUCUGAUUGUCGAGAAUGAGCUUACACAAACAACUAUAAAUUAAGUGAAAACAAAACACUUUUUCUCUUUGUGUGAUUAAAACAUGAUAUGUACCAUAAAUAAAUAAGUAAAAAAUAAAUCAACACAAUCUAAAACAGUAAACAAAUUACAAGAGGCACAGAUUUUUAUGUGAAACACCGAAAAUGGAAAAAACCACAGCAUCUUAGUUUGAUAUAAUCUUCUACUAUAUUAAUGGGAUUAUAGCACAAAUUCUUUCCUAUAUAACACUAGAGAUUAACAACAUCAAGAAUCUCAAUAAUCUUGACUUACAAUACAGCCUAAUAUUUGUCUCUCUAAUAAGUAGAUAUCUAAAAUAACAGUCUCUAAUAAGUAUGUAUCUAAAAUAAUAGUCAACAAGAGGAUAAAACAAAAAUUAAGAUUAGUAGGAUGUGUAUAAGGUGAUGCUAUCAAUUUAUCUUCUAAAUUUGAGAAAAAUAGUUAAAUUCACUUUUUCGAUUGUCCGACCAAAAAUGGAAACCCUUGCCCCAAAACCAAAGGAAUCACCAUUAUGUUUUUCUCUCUCUCUCUCUCUAUCUCGUUCUUUUCUUCUUCUUUUCUUAAUGUUAGCCAUCACUUGCUUUUAUUCUUUAUAGCAUUCAAAAAGCUACUUUUAAUGGUAAAUUUCAUUUAAGUCUGCAACUUAGUGAUAAUUGCACACCAAACAAUCCUUACAUAGUGUUUUGGGCCCUCAAAUGAGAUGAAUACAACAAAUCUCCCCCUUUAAAUCAUGUGGGGGGCACCGCAAGCCCGCUAUUUGCAUAUAGCUUUUCAGCUUCUCCUUGAAUAAUGACUUUGUCAUCAUACAUAAUCCAUUCUUCGUUGUGUAAAUCUUCUCAAGCUGUAACUGUUCCUUCUCAAGCUGUAAUUAUUCCUUCUCAAGCACGUCUCGUAUCUAAUGAUACCUUACAUCAAUAUGCUUAGAUUUCGAAUAGUAUAACAGCACUCUGACUAUCGUAGUACAUAACAUAGCUGUCUUGUUUUACACCCAGCUCUUGUAGGAAAUUCUUCGUCCACAAUAUUUUUUUGCAACCUUCAAUAAUUGUAAUAUCAUUUGCUUUAGUGGUAGAAAAGGCAACUUAUUACUAAAGUUUAGAUUGCGAUGAGACUGUUCCCCCUGCAAAAGUGAGCAAACAUCCUAGUAGGAAUUUUUCGGAAUCAACAGCUCCUGCCAUAUCUACACACUUGUAACACAGGUUUGUCACCACCAAAAUAUAAACAUGCUCUGGAAAUGCAUCUAAGAUAUCUGAGAAUUUUUCACUGUUGUCCAGUGCUCUUUACCGAGGUUGAAGAGAAACCACUGACUACACUAACUGUAUAGGCAAUAUUUGGUCUUGUACAAAUUAUGGCGUACAAUAAACUGCCAACUGCUGAAGCAUAAGGAACUCCUCUCAUGGAGAAAUGGGUUUUACUCUUGAGAUUUUUGGGACCAUGAAGAAUAAAGAUGUAAUUUCUUAUACUGCCAUUGUUUCGGGAUAUAUAAAUAGAGAACAAGUCGAUAUAGCUCGACAGUGUUUUGAUCAGAUGCCAGAACGAGAUUAUGUCUUAUGGACUACCAUGAUUGAUGGGUACCUUCGAGUGAAUAGGUUCAGAGAGGCUUUGACACUUUUUCAGGAGAUACAAACUUCAAAUAUAAUGGGAGACGAGUUUACCAUUGUUAGCAUUCUUACAGCUCGUGCGAAUCUGGGGGCACUAGAACUGGGAGAAUGGAUAAAGACUUAUAUUGACAAAAACAAAGUCAAGAAUGAUAUAUUUGCGGGGAAUGCUUUGAUAGACAUGUACUGUAAAUGUACUGUAAAUGCGGAGAUGUUGAGAAAGCUCAAAAGGUAUUCAGGAAGAUGCUUUGAAAGGUCAAAUUCACAUGGACGACCAUGAUUGUUGGCCUUGCCAUCAGUGGAAAUGGUGAUAAAGCUCUUGAUAUGUUUUCCCAAAUGCUCAGGGCUUCGAUCAAACCAGAUGAGGUAGCUUAUGUUGGUGUUCUGUCUGCCCGUACUCACAAUGGUAACGAAACUUUUGUGAUAAAUAGUUGCAACUUAAGGUGAGAACUGGAGGAAGGGAAAUAGAUUGAAGUUGUUCAAUCAUCAGUAGUUGCUACUUGGUUUUAAGUUGUUCAAUCAUCGGUCGUCUCUAUUUGGUUUUCUCCAAUAUCUCAUCUUCAAUUUUGACUCAGAUUGUAUCUUACCACUAGUAAUUACAUAGACUUGCUGCCAAAGGUAAGAAUGGGAAUAAAUUAAAUAGAUUAUGUCGAAAACGAAAUAAAUUUACUAUUGUUCUGUUCAUUCUAUUUGUUUCCUACAAAAUAUUUCUCCUGCCUAAAAUUUUUUGAAUCAGUAAGUUUUUACCUUAUGGAUGAAUUGUGUUGAGAGUAAUUCCAUUUCUCAGUCUCUUUAUGUUUCAAUGAAGACGUAAAACUUGUGUUCUAGUGCACCAACGUUUAUGCUUCUUACAAUUUGACUUUAAUUUACUUUGUAAAAUUUUUGUCAAAAAGUACUAAAAAGUAGUGCACCAAACACCAACUUUAUUACAGAGAGGACUUUAGUUAAAUUUUAAGAAAACACUCAAAAGAAAGAGUUGUAAAUUAUUAUAAAAAUAUUUCACAUAAAUAAAAGCCAUCCCAUGCUGCAAAGAUCUUGCUAUAAUCACCAAAAACUAUCGGGAGCUUUUAGGGUUUCCAUAAAAAUGCCAUUUCGUUCCAUGUAUAUGAUUCUAUAGUCUCACUGGCAAGUAAACCACAGCCCAACAGCACUGACUGUCCAUGAUGAUUCACCCCAAUGAACGAAACCAGCGUUGCAUCAUAUCUUUCUGUCAAGCAUGUAAUAUCAAUUGAUUUGAGCUAUUAACAUCAUUUCCAAAUACUCCAUUGGCAUCUACAUUACCAUUUCCCUCGGCAUCAAUGAUAAGAGUUCGAAACAGUCUAAUCUUUUGAACUUCUUCAGCACCAUCUAAGAGCAAUGUUCUUUUGGUUCCAAUACCCAUGUGCUUAUGAUAUUUGUAAAAUAAUUAUUUGUAAAAUAAUUAGUUCAAUUUUGACAUAAUACGGAAUAAACACAACCUGCCAAUCUAAGUUACUAUCUUUUCCCGUCAUCAGGUACCUGUUUGAAAAAUAAUUAUAUACAAUUUUAUUUGCGUCGUCCCUCUAAAAAUUUGGGACUCAAAUGUUAUUUCUAAUUGCUAAAAGUACGAAAUUGCCCCCUUUCUCUUCAGCUAAAGGAGUGCAAAGUCAUCUGUAUAAUUGAAUCUGCAUCAUCAGUUUCUAUUGCUGGCUGGUGUUACUGCAUGCUUACAGUUGCUUGACAAAGUGAGCCAGUUUUUUGUUUAUUAAUUUUUUUUCUUGUCGAGACAGUCACAAAGUAUUACUUGUUCUAUUUGAGAAUGAUGUGAAUCAAUUUUUCAAUUAUGCAUUCUGUGGUAAUUAUUGUGAAUUUAGUUUCAUUUGUCUUGUCUCCUGCAAAUUUUGAAGAAAAUGCAGACAUACAAAUUUACAAUAUGUAUUUGCGUUAGUAUAAAAACAAUUGUUAGAUGAUUAAAGCGAUUUAUUUUUUUUUUUACAGCAUUUGAUUGUAUUAGUUAAAAUCAUUUUUUAAGGAUAAAAAUAAAUAGAAAAUUAUUCUCAUGUAGUGUGGAAAUCUUUUCUAAUUUCUUGUUGACUUGUACAUUUAUUUCAGAAUUUCCAUUCAUUAAUUCUACUGUUUUAAUCUUUGACUUAGCUACCGUAGUUGACUUUUUAUAUCAAAGGCUUAAACAGCAUGCAUUUUUGAAUUGACUGAGAAUAAUUUGGUGGACAAAUUACUAGUAAAGGACUUCAAAUGGUUGAAUUGACUGUGGGUUUUUCAUGCCCAAGUCACUCGUCACGUCGUUUCAUCGAAACAAAGUGCCCGGUGCAAAUGGUGUGAUGUAAAACACCUUUUUAAAUUGUCAUUUUUUUUCCUUUGCUUUUGCUUUAAUUUUCUAAAUGCUCAACGCCAUAAAUCCAUGUAUUCUUAAUUUUCGUUUGCUGUAUUGAUUCCCAACCCUCUAUGUCACAAGGUUUUGAAUGCCAGUAAUUAAGUUAAAUUAAACAUAUUUUAAGUCCUACUUUAAAUUAUUGAAAAAUGUAUUAUGGUUGAACUGAAUUUUAACUAAAAAAUAUAUACAAAAUAAAAGAUUAAUCAUAUCUUUUUAUGAGGAAGGUCAGUCAUCAUUCUGACCACAGACACUUAAAAUUAAUUGAGUGGAAUAUUGCAAAAUAUAUAUAAACCAUGCCAAAACUAGAUGUUUGAGUAAUGAAAACGAGAAUUCAUAUGACUCAGAAAUAUGGUCGCUUUCCUUUUUCUGAAAGGCAAAAAAAAAGGGGGAACCAAAAAGGACCAAAAUGAACAAAAAUGGAAGGCGAAGGUAAGCAGACAUGUUAUAUGUUUUACCUAAGAUGCCAAAUGCAACUCCCCAUUGAUGGUGAUCGAACAUUAUGGCCAUUUUCUUAGUAAACAAAAAAUGAAUUUUGAACACUCAACAACGAAACUUGAGCAGAAGAUCAAGCAAGGGCCUCGAUCUCAAAGAAGAUACUAUGAAACCCUACUUAAUGGUUAAAUAACUUUCAUUCAGCUUUGGACCCUAUUUCGUGAUACGGAAAGACAAACCUUUCUUGGCCGGCAGUGUCCCAGAUCUGGGCUUUGAUGAUCUAGAGGUUGAUGGUGACAGUUCUGGUUUGGAACUCGACGCCAAUGGUUUAUUUCGAUUCAAAGCAAAACUCAUUCUUGGUGAAUCUCGAAAGAAUCUGAGACUUGCCCACGGCCGAGUCACCGAUCACCACUACCUUGAAUACAUAGUCUAUUUUGUCAGGAAUCAUAUUCUCUCGUUGUUGAUGACGAUGAUCGGUGCCAUCACCACUCAUUUCUUCGUUCAUUCAUUCUAUGUCCAUUGAUCUUUUUGAAUUAUUGAAGACAAGUGGCUCACCGCUUUUAGUAUUGGUAAAAUUCAGAUAAUCUCUAUUCCGAAAUAAUAAUAUUAAAAAUAUCUCUUAAAUCAUUAUAAACUUCAAAUCUAUUUUAAUUUUAUUUAAAAGAUAAAAGAAAAAUAAGUUAUGUUGGUGAUUUUUUAUUAUCUUUUUAAUAAAAAUAGAAUAAAUUGAUGUUUAUAAUUAUUUAAAGUAUUUUAAAGAUUGCUAUUUUAUGAGAGAAUAAUAUUUCAUUUUUUUUUUCGUGUGAAAGACCGAAAAAGGACAAAGCAAGUUUCCCUAAUUUUUAUUUUAUGUGAAAUUGGUCAUCUCAUAUACUUUACCCUUCAACACUCUAAUUUUUUUGGUUAUAAUUUUAUUAUUUUUUCUCUUUUACACAUGCAUGUGAAUUACUUUUCUUUAAGCUCCUGAAUAUUUAAGACAAAUCAUGGAAGAGAUGAGAGUAUAACAAGAUGAUCAAAAUAUGUAACAAAAAAAUUUUAGAAGUGAAAAAUAUGUUAGAGUCGAAGUAAAACUCUGAGGUGAUGUUUGAUUUGAAGAAAAUGGAGGAGAGAAAAAGAGUGGAAUGGAGAGGAAAAGAGAGAAAAGGAGAGGAGAGGAGAGGAGAGUGAACUUUUUUUCUAAUGUUUGGUUUGUCACAUAAAUAUACAAAGAAAGGAAAUCUCCAAUUUUUUAUUUAGACAAUUUUAACCUUAAUAAGUAUUAAGCUUUCAAUAUUUAUCAUGUGUAUAAUUUAAAAAAAGUAAAUGGUAGAAAGCGGUUUCUGAUUCCGGCCACAUCGCCGGCAAUGGAAGGUACUUAUCAGAACAUCAAGAACCGGCCAUCAUUCCCUAGCCAUCACUGCUGUAGGAACACUGCUAAAAAGCUGCCGAUUGAACCGCGAAAAGUCGUGGAAAUCGUUGCCUCAAAUCGGUGAGUUUCGCCUUUUUCUGGUCAUGCCGUCGCCUUGGCUUUGUCCAUCAACGCUGCCACUUCCAUUUCAACCAUCCAUAGCCACUAUUAACCGCCAAAUCGCCGCCGAUCAGCGGGAUCUGUGGAAGUUAAAAAGUUUCUAAAAUUUUUUAAUUGGAUUUGAACAACAUACAACCAUUUUUUGAUCUCAAUAACGACAUAGUAAUGUUGAUCGUUGGUCGGCAAGUCGAAUGGUAGUGGCGGUGAGUAACACGCGCCAAUGACAUCGGCGGCGGCGGCGGCACUAUCCGGCUACUGUUAAAAUUAAUAUUUUAUAUUUGUAGAUUAAAUAAAUUUAUUUUAUUAAACUUUUUAAAUCAUUAUUUAAAUUUAAUUAAUUUAAAAUUAUCUAUGAUGUUGAAUUGAUAAAAUAAAUUUAUAAAUAAUAAUUAUGUGAUUACAUUAAAUAAGUUAAAAAGUUGAAGGGUUAUUUUUGGAAGAUUUAGUUUCCAACACAAAGGGAAUUUGAAUUCUUCACUUCUUAGUGUGGAAUUCAAAUUCUAUAUUGUAAUGGAUAUUAAAUUCCAAUAGAAAUUAAAUUCUUAUAAGUUAUGUCAAACCAAACAACGGAAAUAAAAAAAAAGAAUUUAAAUUACUUUCCUUUCCUCCACCCUCUCCUUCCAACCAAAUACAUCCUGAAAAUAGAGAUAUUGAUUAAUUUAGAAGAGAUGCAAGCAAAAGAUAUUCCACAAAAAAAAAAAAGCAAUAUGUCCCUUUGGAGGGCAAACUUGUCAGUUUUAAAAAAGUACAUGCUUUGGAUUGAUAGUUGUAGGAUAUUUGUUUUGUCACUAUGUGUUAGUUGGAGAAGUCAAGCCUUGUGAAGAAUGUUAUGAAAGAGCAAAGGAUAUUCCUGAUAGCUGAUAGAGCUCUAUUUGAUUAUGUAUCCAAUGAAUGGAUGUGUUGUUGGAAGAUAUUUGAGUGCAUUAGUUCAUAUGUGUCUAUCAAUGUGAUUUUAAUGAUUUUUCCACUUGUUUGUUGUAAAAGAUUAUUGUAAAUUGAAAUGAACUUGAUGUUGUAAUAUUUUCUCCUUAGUAGAAUUUCACCUAGUAUGUAUUUAGUUGUGUUGUCUAUAAUUUUGCAUUCGAAUAAGUUUCACCUAAAAUAUUAGCAUGAGUAGUGGCCCUUGAAACUUUGGUCAAAAUUAUUGUUAUUAUUUCCGACUAGAUGUAAAUUUUUUAUUAAAUCUCGCUAACACAAUUCUUAAUUAAAAGUAUAGGUUAGUGUUGGUGCAAGACUUGCCACACCAAAUUCUGCCUAACUGUCAAAAGUGCAAAAUAAAUGAAGAGAAAGCACAAAUACACGACUUGAAUAAGGAUACAACGAAACUUAAAUUCAAGAGAAAAUGAUAGCUAUAUCUCAAGAUUUGAAAAAACGGUCAUGUAGAUUUUUAAGAUUUCAAUAAGCGACUGAGAUUCAAAUAAUAUCCUUUAAUUCUAUUAACAAAAAACAAAGACUCAAAUAUUUUAUGAUAAAUAAAAAUAUAAUAUUAAAAUAUAUGUGAUAAUAUACACAUUUUAAAUACUUUCAAUCCAAAAAAAUAGUUAUGUUUUACAAUCUAUUAGACAUAUUUUAUUAAAUUAAUAUAAAUUUUCUAUAAAAUAAGAAUAUAAUAUUAAAAUAAAUUCACAAAAAUUUAAAGAAUUUUGAAUGUAAAAUAAUUUUAAUAUAUCAAUACGUGAGUUUUUUUAUUAAUAUAAAAUUUAUUUAACUUUAAGAUUUUUUAAAAUCUUUACAAUAAGUAUAACUAUAUUAUUUACAUUUAAAAAUAUUUAAAUAUUAUUAACCUACAAUUAUAUUUGCAUUUGUUAGAAAUUUUUUAAGUCAAAUAUUUUGCACUUCUAUAUUAUUAGAAUUAUUGCACAAAAAGAAAGAAACAUACACCUUUAGAAAUUGUUUUCUUUUAAAAUAGAGAUGAUGAUUAGUAUAAGGAUGAAAAAAAGGAUAAAGAAUAUUAAUGAUUAACGAAAUCUCUAUACAAAUUGAUUUUAGUAGGAAAAGAGUGAGAUGAAUGAUUUCUUUUACAGUUAGAAACAUAGAUGAUGAUUAUUAUAACGAAGAAAAAAAGAUAAAGAAUAUUAAUUAUUAAUGGAAUCUCUAUACAAAUUGAUUUUAGUAGGAAAAAAAUGAUUAAAUGAUUUAGAGUGCGUUUGGAAUUGAGAUUGGGCAGCCAUAGAUUUUAAGUUACAACACUGAAGUGUUUAGUAAAUACUAGUUGCUGCAGAUUGAAAGUUAUGUUGAUAUGAUUUUUCACAUGUAUCAUAGAAAAUAUAUUACAUCUUUAAUAUUUUUUAAAAAUUUAUAUUUGCUAUAUAUUAUUAAUUUUUUUUUAUAGUUAUAACUUUUUUUCCACAACAGUUGUAGCUUAAAAGUCACAGCACCUCAAUCUCAAACAAAUCCUUAGACAUUCAUAGUGUGUUUAUUUUUUGGAUUGGUGAAUCAAAAUUAUUGACAACGCUAACUUCAUCUUCACUGUUCGCAAUCCAACAGCAGCAAUUGUCGCCAAUAAUGAUAUCUCCAAUGAUGAUGACAAUUAUUAUUAUUAUUUUUAUUAUUAUUAUUAUUAUUAUUAUUAUUAUUAUUAAUUAAUUAAUUAAUUAAUUAAUUAAUUAAUUAAUAUAUUAAUGUUGAUAUUAUUAUUAUUAAGAUUAACAAUAAUUAUUAGUAAUACAAUUUUUUGAAUAAAAAUAAUCACAAUAAUUAAAAUACAAAUUAAUAAUUAUGACAAUAAUUAAUUAAUGUCUUUUUAGUAAUUUGUAAUAAUCUAACUCAUUUUGGUUCUGAUUAUUACAGCUUAAGUAAACAAAUUAUUAUGAUUCCUAUUCUCCUUUCCCAUUUUAACUCACUUUGAUUCCAGUCUAUUCCGAUUUCUAUUUAAUAAAUGCACCAUUAGUGCUAAAGUAAUAUUUCAUACAUAGAAAAAUAAAAACUACGCCUAAGGUUAAGGGAAAAGACUUCAAAAUUCUCUUUUGAUCAUAAUACAUUUUGUCCUAAUUAACUUAAAGAUUUUGAAUCUAAUAUUUUAUAAUAAAUAAAAAUAUAUUCCUAAAAUAAAUAUAAUAUCAAUAUUUAAAAUAUGUUUUAAUAUUUUACAAUCUAUCAUACACAUUUUAUUAUAUUAAAGUAGAUUUAUAAUAAAUAUAUAAAAAUUUAGAAUAUUUAGAAUAUUAUAUAAAAUAAUUUUAAUAUAAUGCGUGAUAUAUAUUUUAUUAAUUUAAAAUGUCAUUUUACCUAAAAAAUAUGAUAAAUUAAUAAUUACAUAUUUGAAGUUAUUUCAAAUAUUAAAAAAAUUUAAUAUUAUUAAUCUUUUAGAUAGAUUAAAUUAUUUUUUAUAAGAGAGAUUAAAUUAUUUUAAAAUGCCUUAAUUGUUUUUACUUUUAACGUUACGGGCCUUUCUUUUAUUUUAUUGCAAAUUAAUGCUAACUAGAAAAACAAAAACAAAAGUGACAAACACAACCAGCUGGAAUCUUUUAUAAAACUACAAAUUAAAAUGGAUUUUUUUUUUUUGUUGAUAAAUUACACAUGAAAGUGGAUUCUUUUGAAUAUAAGUGGGGUAGGCUCUUUUAUUUUUUUUUUAAUACCGUAUAACAGGACUGUAGACUCUUUUAUUAAGCACAAAUAUAGAGUUGUCGAGACAAUUAGGGUCUUUUAUUAAACUACAAAUUGUAUAGUCUUUUUUAAAUUGUUCAGAUAUUUAUAAAUUGGUGGCCCCUACAAUCCUCAAUAAUUGUACCGAUAUUCACAAGCUGGUGGCCCCUACAAUCCUUAAUAAUUGUUUUUUUUUUUUUCUGCAUUCCCUUUCAUGCUCUUAAUAAUUAAAGAGCAUACUUUUCAAAUGUGGAGCCGCGGCUAAUGUCGCUAAUUUAAUUUGGGAUUAAAUUAGGGGACUAUUAUAUUGCAGUGUGCACUAAUUUUUAUGUUUAUCUAAACUCCUUAAAUUUAAGAUAUAUUAUGGCAUAAAUAAGAAUAUAACAAUAGCAAAAGAGUUAGAAAGUGUAGAGAAGAUCUUGCAGAAAUAUAAAUAAUAUUUAUUUUAAAAUAAUAUCAAUAUUUAAAAUAAUUUUUAUUAUUUUAUGAUCCAUUAGAUAUAUUUUAUUAUAUUAAAGUAAAUUUUAUAAUAAAUAAAAACAUACUAUUAAAAUGAAUAUAUAGAAAAUUUAGAGUAUUUUAAGUAUUAUAUAAAAUAAUUUUAAUAAAAUAUGUGAGAUAUUCAUAUUUUAUUAAUUUAAAAUACCAUUUAACCUAAAGAUUUAUUUAUGAUAAAUUAAUAAUUAUAUUUUUGAAAUUACUUCAAAUAUUAAAAAAAUUAAUAUUACUAAUCUAUUAGAUAGAUUAAAUUAUAUAUAUUAUUUUCUAUUUAUUAAAAAAUUUCAAAUUAUUUUUAAUUACUAUUCAAAAAAUAUGAUGAUAAAAAAAUCUUAACAUCUUUAUUAAAAAAUUAAAAACUUACAUGAUCAAUUCUCUAAAUAUUUAGGGUAUAUGUGAACCACGGUGGACAGAGGUCAUUACUAAAAUUUCUCUUCCACAGGCAAUUACAGCAGCUCCAGUUUAUCAAACUCAACCAAUUUUCUUUCUUAACAAAAUUCCAAAGAUGUGUAGCUUUUUUCAGAUCACAUGCGAUGGUGCUUUUUUCAAUCGUUGCUUGGAUUGCUUUCUUGGAAAAGCAGCAUACAUACGUAACCUCCAAGAUAAUCUUGAUGCCUUGGACACUGAACUGGGAAGACUAAUCGCAGCAAAGAACGAUGUGAUGAUUAGGGUUGUCAAUGCUGAACGGCAAUAAAUGAGAAGGCUGGACGGAGUGCAAGUGUGGGUUUCGAGUGUGGAUGCUGUUAAAACUGGAGCCGAUGAACUUAUCACAGACGGCUCUGAAGAAAUUGGCAAAUUAUGUGUUGGAGGCUACUGUUCCAAGAACUGCAGGUCAAGCUACAAAUUCGGAAAACAAGUGGCUAGAAAGCUACGAGAUGUGGAGACUUUAAUCGCCGAAGGAGUUUUUGAGGCGGUGGCUACUGAGGUGGUGCCUGAGAGAGCUCCAGAGCCUGUAGCAGAUGAAAGACCUACCGAGCGAAAAGUAGUAGGCUUGCAAUCACAACUUGAACAAGUCUGGACGUGUCUUGUGGAAGAAUCAGCGGGAAUCAUUGGCCUAUACGGUAUGGGCGGUGUUGGUAAAACCACACUAUUGACCCAUAUCAACAAUAAAUUUCUCGAGAGUCCAACCAACUUUGAUUGUGUGAUUUGGGUAGUAGUUUCAAAAGACCUGCGACUUGAAAAACUUCAAGAAGAUAUUGGGAAAAAGAUAGGUUUGGUUGGUGAUUCAUGGAAGAGUAGAAGUGCAGAGGAGAAAGCUCUCGACAUCUUCCGGAGUCUAAGAGGGAAGAGAAUUGUAUUGUUGUUAGAUGAUAUAUGGGAGCGGGUUGAUUUAACAAAAGUGGGCGUUCCACUUCCUGGACCACAAAAUACUACCUCAAAAGUCGUAUUCACAACNNNNNNNNNNNNNNNNNNNNNNNNNNNNNNNNNNNNNNNNNNNNNNNNNNNNNNNNNNNNNNNNNNNNNNNNNNNNNNNNNNNNNNNNNNNNNNNNNNNNNNNNNNNNNNNNNNNNNNNNNNNNNNNNNNNNNNNNNNNNNNNNNNNNNNNNNNNNNNNNNNNNNNNNNNNNNNNNNNNNNNNNNNNNNNNNNNNNNNNNNNNNNNNNNNNNNNNNNNNNNNNNNNNNNNNNNNNNNNNNNNNNNNNNNNNNNNNNNNNNNNNNNNNNNNNNNNNNNNNNNNNNNNNNNNNNNNNNNNNNNNNNNNNNNNNNNNNNNNNNNNNNNNNNNNNNNNNNNNNNNNNNNNNNNNNNNNNNNNNNNNNNNNNNNNNNNNNNNNNNNNNNNNNNNNNNNNNNNNNNNNNNNNNNNNNNNNNNNNNNNNNNNNNNNNNNNNNNNNNNNNNNNNNNNNNNNNNNNNNNNNNNCAGGAAGUCCUAGUGCGUGCUAUCAGAAAAGAUGCUGGGAACUGUUUCGCGAAAAUGUUGGGGAAGAAACUCUUGAGAGUGAUCAUGAGAUCGUUGAGCUAGCCCAAACUGUGGCCAAAGAGUGUGGUGGUUUGCCACUCGCACUUAUUACUAUUGGUCGAGCUAUGGCCUACAGAAAGAAAGCGGAGCAGUGGAGACGUGCAAUUGAAGAGUUAAGAAGAUCAGCUUCAGAGUUUGCAGGUUUGGGAAAAGAGGUGUAUCCUCUUUUAAAGUUUAGCUAUGAUAGUUUGCAGAAUGAUACAAUUAGAUCUUGUUUCUUGUAUUGUUGUUUAUAUUCUGAAGAUUAUGGCAUUCUUAAAUGGGACUUGAUUGAUUGUUGGAUUGGUGAGGGAUUUUUGGGGGAAUCUGACAGGUUUGGUGCAGAAAACCAAGGAUAUGACAUUUUGGACACUCUUGUUCGUGCAUGUUUAUUAGAAGAGGUGGAAGAAGAUGAAGUAAAAAUGCAUGACGUUAUUCGUGAUAUGGCUAUAUGGAUAACCAGUGAAAUUGAGAAGGAGAAGAGAAACUUUUUGGUUUGUGCAGGUGCUGGAUUAGAAGAGGCACCGGAUGUUAAAGAAUGGGAAAAUGUGAGAAGAUUGUCAUUGAUGCAAAACCAAAUUGAAACUCUGUUUGGGGUUCCCACAUGCCCUCAUCUCAUCACUUUAUUUAUUGACUUUAAUAGGGAGUUGAAGACUAUCGCGGAUGGCUUCUUCCGAUGUGUGCCUUCUCUCAAAGUUUUGAAGAUGUCAAACUGUGGAAAGCCUUAGAAAGGUUUGGAAUUACCUUUGGGGAUGUCAAAGUUGGGUUCACUACAACUUCUUGAUAUUUCACACACCUGCAUACAAGAAUUACCACAAGAAUUAAAGUUGUUGGUAAAUCUGAAAUGUUUGAAUUUGAGGCGGACAAUUUGGUUAAAUAAAAUUUCAUGGCAACUAAUAUCAAAAUUUUCAAGGUUACGUGUGUUGAGAAUGUUCGCUACUGGCUGGUUCAGUUUUCAUGAAGCACCAGAAGACAGCGUUUUAUUUGGUGGGGGUGAAGUUUUGAUACAGGAAUUGCUCGGUUUGAAAUAUUUAGAGGUAUUGGAGUUGACCUUGGGAAGUUAUCAUGCUCUCCAAAUUCUUUUGAGCUCAAAUAAGUUAAAAAGUUGUAUUCGAUCUCUUUUCCUACAGUUGUUCAGAGAUACAACGUCGAUUAUUGAUGCUACGGCUUUCGCAGAUCUAAACCACCUCAAUCAAUUAUGUAUUAGUAACGGUUCUGAGUUGGAAGAAUUGAAGAUUGAUUAUACGGAGAUAGUACGAAAAAGGCGGGAACCUUUUGUUUUCCGCAGCCUUCAACGUGUUACCAUAGAGGAGUGCCAUAAAUUGAAAGAUUUGACAUUCCUCGUUUUUGCUCCAAACCUCAAGUCUCUUUCGCUAUACGAUUGCGGUGCUAUGGAAGAAAUAAUCAGCGUCGGAAAAUUUGCUGAGACUCCUGAGAUGAUGGGACAUAUAAGCCCUUUUGAAAAUCUCCAAAUGCUUUAUUUAAUGGCAUUGCCGGAGUUGAAGAGCGUCUACUGGAAGCCAUUGCCUUUCACUCAUCUGAAAGAAAUGGAGGUACUUGGGUGUGAUCAGCUUAAAAAGCUUCCACUCGAUUCCAACAGUGCAAAAGAGCGUAAAUUUGUAAUUCUUGGAGACACACAGUGGUGGAACCGUCUUCAAUGGGAGGAUGAAGCCACUCAAAUUGCUUUUCGUUCCUAUUUCCAAACCUGAUUCCUGAGCGGUGGUCGCAAAAUUUGAUUUCUGGUGAGUGCGUUUGUCUUUUAAAAGAAGAAUUUAAAAGAAAUUUAUUCUUGUCGUUUUCUUCUCUGUUUUUAUUUCAGUUUGUUUCUCUCUCUCUCUUUUUGUCUUCUGCAAAUCACAAUUAAAUGUUGAAUUAAUGGAAUUAAUGCUUCAUAAAUUUGCCGGCACUGCCAGUACUUUUUUUUUUUUUUAAUACGAAUUGAUGCUUUAUUUAUUUCUUCUUAGCGAUUUAAUUUCCUGUCAAAAGACGAGCGAGAAGAACAUAUGACUUAAACCAAUUGAUACUUUAUUUAUGUGCAUUGUAUGUAAUAAAAUUUUCUCUGUUUUUUUCAAAUUGAGGCUUUAUUUAUAUUUUCUUCGUGAAGAGUGAUUUAAUUUCCUGCCAAAAGACAAACGAGAAGAACAUUAGAGUCAAACUAAUGCUCACAUAAAUUUCCCGUAAGAAUAUAUAUAUAAUUAGACUGGAAUGCACACCUCUAGAUUGAACAGAAUUAAAGCUGAGAAAAUAUUGAGUAUAGUAGCCCUCUUUACAGAAAAUGACGCGAAAGUUAAUUUAGAAAGAUAUAUUCUUGAUUAAUCCAUUUUCUGAAGUUUUUUAUUUUGUAUGGUCAAUUAUACCUUCAUACUAAAAAAAAAAAAAAAAAAGAGAAAAUAUGUAAUCCAUGAAUGGUUAAUUUUGUUUGUUUGUUUUUUUUUCUUAAAUAUCAUUCUUUUUCGGCCACCCAAGGACAUUUUCACAAAUACCUUUUGUGUGCAGAAGUCUUCCAAACCAUCAAUGGAAAAAUAAAAAAUAAAAAAAACACGGUCCAGUAUACCUCAAAAUAUCAUUGAUGACUUUUCUGGUCUAAUGCUAUGUAAAUAGUAUGUUAAGUAAAACAUAAUCAGUUCAGUACCUCACAAAUAAUUCGCAAUAUCUACAAAAUACUAUAAUGGCUACAAAACAAAUCCUGCUUGCAAAUUGUCAAGGAUACCUAUCCGUUCGCUUGACAAGUCAUUUGAAUAAAUAUUGUUCACAUUCCUUACUCUGUCAAUUAUCCAAAGCACCAUCAACUUUAGUUUGAAUAGUAUACAUGCCAUCACCGUUACCAAGAAUCAAGCAUGGAAGGGUCAUUCUAUAGAGUGCAGAACAUGACUCUAUGCGGUAGUCAAUUUGACACACGACGAACACCAUAUGCUGCAUAACAUACAAAUUAAUUUCCCAUAUGUGAUGCAAUUUUCUCCUCAACAUAUGCGCAAUUCUUUCCAUUCCGGCAUUUACACUCAAAUUUUCCUUCCUUUCUCUUUGUGGUUGAAUCUUACACCACAACUCAUGUGAUGCAAUCUCCUCUCGCUGCCUAAAUUGCACUCUCAGCAAAGCAGCAUAUGUAAGCAAGCUUGAAGAUAAUCUUGCUGCUCUGCAGAAGAACGGCAAAAGUUAAUCGAAGCAAGGAAUGAUGUAUCAGAAAAUAUUUGGUGGAGAAUUCAGCACAAACAUAUUUCGGAUGAUCAGAAUCAAUAAAACCUGGUGGUUGUGCCAUAUAAACAUCUUUGGAAAGCUGACCUUGAAGAAAGGCGUUAUUGAUAUCCAAUUGAUGAAGAGGCCAGCCAUGACUAACAUCAAUACUAAGAACAAGCCGUACUGUGGUGGACUUAACAACUGGACUGAAAGUGUCAUAAUAGUCCACACCAGGCCAUUGAUUGAACCCUUUGGCAACAAGAUGAGCUUUAAACCUGUCAACAGAACCGUUGGAAUGUCUUUUAAUACAAAAAUCCAUUUGCAGCCAACAAUAUUGGAAGGGAUGGGAGGUGGAACAAGCUUCCAUGUCCCGUUACGAACAAGAGCAUCAUACUCUUCUGACAUAGCUGGACGCCAGUGAAGAUUUUUGAUAGCUUGCGUCACAGUUGUAGGUUCACAAUCAGAAGAAGGGCUAAAAUGAGCACGGAGGUUAAGUUUUUGUAACGGCUUGUGAAUCUUAUUUUUAGCUCGGGUAGUCAUAUCAUGAUGACUUGUGGGGCAAUGAUCUAGUGGAGUUUAGGAAGAUGAUUGAACAGGAAGUGAAGAAGUGCUUUGUGUAGAGGUAGAAGUAGGUUGGGAGGAUUGCUGCGGAGAUGUUACCGGUAGAGAAGAAGGAGCAGUACACGGUGGCAACUCCAGAGGGCCCACAAUAGAUGGAGUAGGUGCCGACAAUGGAGUACUAGGAAAUGAAACAGGAAGAAUUGGUGGAACACUUGCAUAAUUAGGAGUGGUAGAUGAGCUUGUAAUGAUUUGCAUGGAAAAACAAACUCUACAAAUUUAACGUGACGUGAAAUAAAAAUUUGAAAGGUGGAUGGGUCAAAACAUAAAUAAGCACUUUGAGAUAAAGGAAUAUCCUAGAAAAACACAAGGCUUAGAGGGUGGUUCGAGUUUAUGUGAUGAAACACAAACAUUCAAAAAAUUUUAAGUUUAUAUUAAUUAGGAGUGGUACCAAAAAUUAAUUAGCUAUGGGGUUGUUGGAUGUGUUUUGGAUAUUUACAGUUAAGUUUGAGUAUCUCAACUUAAAAUUUGUAGUUUUCACUUGAAAAAAUUCAGUUAAAUUUUGCAAUGCAGACUGAUUGAUUUAUCAGUUUAACGUGUGCCAGGAAUGAAGAACUGGAAUAUCACCGUCAAGCAAGCACCCUGUGGAGCAAUACCAAAGAAUGCACAAUCUGGCUUUGCUAGGUAACACUGGAGGCUUUUUGAAAAGUGCUUCACGCUCACUUGCACAGAUUGAGCAUCCCCUCUGGAUAUUGCCCUCUCUGAUCGAGUCUGAGCACUCAAAUUUUGGUCCUCAGAGGGAGCUACAGUUUUCUCUCCACUAACCAACAAUAUUCUAAACUCAGCACCUAGUGUGAUCAGAGUUGUUGAUAUUUGCAAAUGGAGAUCCCCAUAUUUGCAAAUGGAGACAUUUAACAAAUCACCAACAUGCUUCAUCCGGUCCACGAAAUUCUGCAACUGAUGCAAAUCUGGAACCUGAACCAGAGUCGGAGGUAUAUCUUGAGCCAUAUCUAAAGCAGUUUGAAGUUCAAGACCUUGAGCCCUUGACAAUGGUUUUGAAAUUGGAACAUCUUGGAUUACUGCAGACUUGUACCCCUUGGUUUCAAAGGUAAGGAAAGGCAUUGCUUGAGUACAAUUUGGAGGCAGCUUCUUCACCAAUUUUAUUUGGAGGCGAUUGGCAGCGGAUCCAGCUGCACCAAUUUCAGAGCAACUACUGACACUACUUCGAACAGCACACUGAAGAAGUGAUAUGUCUACGGCGAAGGCAAUGCAGUCCUCAUUUUGGCUUGAGACACAGUAAUCAUCGAAGAGAGUUUCCUUGUGAAACUGGGCAACACAUUGAAUCCCUUCGGCACUGAGAAGGUUGUGGAGGAAGUAAGCUUUCUCUCUAGUAAGGAAGAGGUGGCAUACAUUCCCCAUUUUGUCUAGGGCAGGUAGGAAUCUUUUUUCUAAGAGAUUUACUUCAUUCUCUGUGAGAAAUGCUUUGAACUUCAUCCCUCUGUCUCUAUCCUCACUUAUCAGUAAAAUAGUUGAAAGCGCUACAAGGAGAGAAAAGAAGAGUAUUAAGAUAUAUAUAUUAUAUAGACAAGAAAAACAUUAGAUGUCGAUCUUACAAGCUAAUACUUCAAACAAUAUCCUAGAAAGCUAAAAACUGCAAGAUGGCUUGAAAUUUGAAAAGAGCACGUGCUUUUCCUCCUUAACUUGAGAAAAUGUUUAAUAUAGUGCACCUUACAGAAGCAUUUAAGCAAUUAGAACUUUGCACAAAAACAUCAAGAAGACUAAACAAGUCAGAUGCAGUGUAUUUGUCCAAGCACAAAUUGCAUUUUGUCCUCAACUUUAAUAUUUAUUGAUGAGAAUCAAUACAGGUCCCUCAUUUGUUAUAGAAAGCUUUCUUGUAGUCUCACCAGUUAAUAUGGAUAUUAGAUAAGGAAACUUUAUUAGGUUGCGAGGGUAAAAAAGGAAAGAGAUAUCAUUAUUUUAUUAUCGAUAAUUAUUAAAUUUUUUUCCAAAAAAAAGAACAAGCAAGGAUAUUUUAUUGUCAAUUGCAACCUUUAAUUUUUUUAAAUGCUAUUAGAAACACAAGAUAACAAAAAUGUAGUGAGAUGGGAUCUCCUGCAUGCCACUCUGGUUUAGAACACAAAGAAUGUGUCUGCAUAAAUAUCCUCUGAAAUUGAACAACCCACAAACACAAAGCACCUCCAAGUCGGAGGCAUUGUACAAAACAUCAAAAGCCCUUGAAUCCUUCUCGUUGCCACCAACCUCGAAUUCUUCCUUCACUAUGUAUGUUAUAGGUCCAUCAGAACUAAUAUGUUUUGUGCUAUAGUAAGAGUACAUAGCCUCCACCUCCAUCUGAAACUUCCUUAACAUUUCAUUUGUGUACAGUUUUGAGAGUUGAAAUUCAUAGUAACAUCUUGGUUUCCGGAUACAACUUGAAUUUCUUGAAUCCAUAUCUGCCAAGGCUACCAGUUGAUAAUUCGCCUGCAGUGCUUGAUCAUACUUGUCUAAGAAUUCUUUCAAAGGAGUAUUCUUAUCAAGAUAUCCUUCAAAGUAUGAAGUAGAAACCUCAUUCUGCAGGAACGAAAACACUCCUGAUAAAAAAGCUUCCUUCAAAUAAAUAGGAGCCCACCUUUUAUGAUCUUCAUAUAAAGUUUGAAUCCAUCCGUGAUCCUUUAUUCCAUGACAUUGAAUCAUGUCUUCCCAAGCUGCUUCAAAUUUCUCAGGCCUGAGAGAGUGAUAAAUUGCUCUAUGUAAUGCAGCUUUAAUAGCUUCAUAUUCAAACAAUCCUUGGAGUUUCUCUGGAAUUUUUUUGCAUGAUGCAUGACAAUGAAAAGAAAUGAUAAGCUCUUGGGAAAACAUCACCAACAGCAAUUUGCAAGAUUCUACAUUGGUCAGUGAUGAUUGUUUGUGGAGAGCGCCCUAACAUACAUGUAAGCCACGCCGUAAACAACCAUGUAUAUGAUUCUAUGGUCUCACUGGCAAGUAAACCACAACCCAACAACACUGAUUGUCCAUGAUGAUUCACCCCAAUGAAUGAAACCAGUGGUACAUCAUAUCUUUCAGUCAGGCACGUAGUAUCAAUUAAGACCACAUCACCAAAGUACCUAUAUGCAACUCUUGACCUGGUAUCAGUCCAGAAUAGGUUUUUCAAGCAUCCCUUUUCAUUUAGAUCCACUACAUUAAAAAAGUUUGGAUCUGUCAACUGCAAAUGACAAAAGAAACUCUGGACAGCUUGUGCAUCUCCUGGUUUAAGCUUCAAUUGAUUUGAGCUAUUAACAUUAUUUCCAAAUACUCCAUUAACAUCUACCAUUUCCCUUGGUAUCAAUGAUAAGAGUUCGAAACAGUUUAAUUUUUUGAACUUCUUCAGCACUAUCUAAAUGCAAUGUUCUUUUGGUUCCAAUACCUAUGUGCUUAUGUGACUUGUAAAACUUUCCGCUUCUUGGGCUUAACAAGUGGUUAUGCUCAAGCUCGACUUCAAUGAUUCUCCACCUUUUGGUUUCCAUCAACCUAAACUUUAUCAUUGCUGGACAGCCAGUUCUUGUUUCUGGUCUUGGGCGGUUUGCCUCGCUUUUCUUCUUGAAGCCUGCACUACUACAGCUCAGCUUUCCUCUAUACUUUUCUCUACUCUUUCGGUACCAUGGAUUGCUAACUCUAACACCAAAACCCUGUUCCUUGGCAUAGCAAUUGUAAAAGUAAUAUACAUCAUCAUACAUCUCAAACUCCAUUCCAACAGUAGGAGGCAAGGGAUUUUGGAUUAUCCCAGUUUGUCCAACAUAUUCAGUCAUCGCACAAUCUCCUACAACCUCAAAAUCAUCAGUGUCAUCAUCACCUACUGGUUCGGUGUUGAGAGAAACUUCAUCCAUCUACAAUGGAUGUUCAAUGAAGUGAGCUUUAAGGAGAAAAAGCAAAAUCUGUUCAAGGAAUGAUAAUAUAAUCAUACAGUUACUUUCACAAAGCUUCAUAUUUCAUCACUGCUUUACCAACAUGCAACUGCCAGAGAACAAACAGACAUGUCAUAGACGCUUGAAUUAAGUAUUGGUACAAAUGAGCACACAUCAUGUGGGACAAAAUUUCAGUCACUAAACCCAAUACCACUUUUUACAUCAUACCAAGGAACAGAUUAAACCCGACACCUUCUUUUAAACCAUACCAAGGAACAGAUUAAAUCAUCAAUGAAAAAUUAAUCACAUAAUAACUUAACCAGACAAAUGAAGAGCCUGAAACAGCACAAAACUUGAAUCUGAUUAUGAUAAUUGUUGAGUCCUUGUAUCUACAGCUUUCCUUCAAUGAUAAGACAAUGAACAUAAACGAGACACAAAAAAAUUAUUUUAAACUGACAGCCCAUGAUAUAAAUCAAACAAAAUCAACUCCUUUUUUUACACAUUACAUCUCAUAUUCAUUUACAUUGAAACACAAAAAGGAAGCAGGAGUGGGAAAAAAACAACAGCAGAGGAACUUAUUUCCAUAAGGUUUACGAAAUAAGGAAUCUAUUAAAACCCAAAACUUGAGGUCACCACUAAGAAUUUGGUUCUCAUUAUUUUUUUCUUCAUUUUUCACCAAUUGAUGAACUUAAAAUACAAUCAUAAAUGAUAAAACCCCAUCUCCAUCUUUUUGAACUAGAGCUAAAGCAAAGCAUUUUAAGAUGUUUCAUCAUUUUUUUUUUUAAAAAAAACUCAAUAGUACAAUGUUUUUCAAUGCUAAAUGCACAAUUCAAUCUUCUCCUAAUUUACUCUAAUAAUCUCUUAAUUAAGGAAGAUUAAGCUUCAGUUGUAAGCUAAAACAAAUUUCUUAAAUCAAGCCCCAAUGCUUUAUGCUAUUCAACAAGGGCUCAUAAAUGAUAAAACUACUUCUAUAAAGAUACCCAUUUUCUAAAUUAAUUUCACAAACUGAAAUCAAACUCCUGAAACGUAACGAGCAUUAAUAUAAUCAAGCCCGAACAAGAAUUGAAAAAUGAUACAUAAACUCGUUUACACAUUUCGACAGACACUUUGCAAUCAAUGAGCAAAAAAUUAAUGGAGAAGAUAAAAUUCAAACGAAACAUGCCUUACAUUGAUAAAUUAGAAGGGCAAAAGAAAUUUUAGUACGAUAUGCGAUCAGGGUCUUGCCACGGUGAUGUUAUUUGUGAAGUUCGAGCGACUCAGCAGCCUUCGAGGUUGAAAAUUUGAUUGACCAAAAGCUUCCCGUUCGUUGAUUCUCUAAUAGUAGAAACGAGACUGGCAGUAUACACAAGAAGUUCGCCGAUUUUAAAUUCCGUUGUUUGAGAUGGAAAAUUUUUUGAAAAAAUUAAUGUGUUCGAUGAAAAUCAAAAUCUCAAAAACCUCUUGUUUUUCAUUUUUUUGGAAAAAACCAUUGAGAUCCUUACUAUUUUUUCUUAUAUCAUCUUCCUUAAUAAUUUGCAAAGUCUAUCGCAUAGCACCCAUGUAUGAUGUAUGCUGCGUUGUAAUUUACAAAAUUGCACAUGAAUAAAUCCAGCUAAAAUUUGUUAAAAGAAAAUAAUAAUAACAUGUUAAAACUUUAAAAUUUGAUUAUUCGAAGAAAUUUUAAUUUAGUUAAGUAGGUGACAUGAUAAUAAAUAGAUACGUAUAAUGUCCGAGAUUUUUUAUAAGAUUAAUAAAUAUGAUAAAUUUGGAUUAGUUCAAUUUUGACAUAAUUCAUAAUAAACACAGCUUGCUAAUCUAAAUUGCCACCGUUACUCAUCAUCAGGUACCUGUUUGAAAAAUAAUUACAAACAAUUUUAUUUGUGUUGUUUCUCUAAAAGUUUGAGACACAAAUGUUAUUUCAAAUUGAUAAAAGUACGAAAAUUCCCCCUUGCUCUUCAACUAAAAAUGAAACAUGCAAAUAUACACACUAAUUUAGAUGUGUGAAUAACAAAUAUGGAACGACACAUGCAAAGUCAUCUGUAUAAUUGAAACGCCAUGCACUAGUAGUAGGUAAGAGAAACCAAGGUUGAAGUUGCUCCAAUGGUUACUGUUAAUUUAUUUUUAUUUAUGAUUUUUUUUGUAAAAUGUAAGAAAUAUGUAGAAAUGUUGCCAGCAAUGAUUUUGGAACUUUGCAUAAAAUUUUUAUCAUUAUUGUUUUUGGUAUUAAGAAAUCCGAGGCGGUGAUUAGACGUAUGUUGCAACAAUUAAGAAAUUUCUUAUUGGAGAUAAUUUGGUAGGUUUGCAGCAAUUAGAGAAUAAUUUUCCUGCCAGUUAAUCAAUCAAUAAUAAAUUUCAAAUUGCAGAAAAUAAAAUAAUACAGCCUCACUUAGAAUCAUCUUUUCUAUCUCUUUCAAUUGUGGCAAUCAUUUGCAACAAAUAAAUCAAUUUGAUGCACAUCAUUUCCCCAAUUCAAAGUUCAAGUCACUGCUCAAUUACAGAGUAGUUAGUGGACAUGCAUGCAUGUUUAAUUAAGUACUGCAUUGUAGUAUCGAAAAUCAUAACAUCUCACCAAUAUCAGAUUAUUAACCAUGGAAAUCAUAUCACAAUAUCAUAUAGAAUUCACAAAUCUGAAAAUCAUCACCAAACAAGUACCCAGAGAAAUAAUCUCGUCAUAUCCAGACCUCAACGGACGGGCAAUGACGUACUAUUUGGGUAACGUCACACCCUGGAGCUACACGGAUAAAUAGGAAAAUACCAUCUCAUAUCUCAUCAUAUUUGUGCAUGCAUAAUCUAGUCCCCAAGGGACAAAAGCGCCCAAGCACACGGCCCAAAGCCUCUAUGUGUACUCAGACGGGCCCCAAAGGCCUGUAUCUCAUAUGUAUCAUAUGUAUCAUUUGUAUCUCAAUAUCUGUUUGUAUCUCAUUUCCGUAUAUCUAUAAUCAUCAUACCGCAUGCAUAUGCCCCCAAAAGACAAAAGCGCCCAAACACAUGGCCCAAAGCCUUUAUAUGUGUUUAGACGGGUCCCAAAAGCCUCUUAUCUCAUCUUAUCUGUAUCACUGUAUCUGGAGAGAAGGGUACUGUCUAAUGAUUUAAAAAACAAUCAUUAUACUCAUAUUUACAUACCUCUUAAUCAUAUUUGAAAUCAUAUCACAUUUGAAUCCACUUUUCUAAUCUUUAAAAUAUUAUCAUGCUUUAUUCAAAGUCGAUACGCAAAAUCAAUAACCAAACAUUUUAAAUCAAAUUAUUAACCAUGGAAAUCAUAUCACAAUAUCAUAUAGAAUUCACAAAUCUGAAAAUCAUCACCAAAUAAGUACCCAAAGAAAUAAUCUCGUCAUAUCCGGACCUCAACGGACGGGCAAUGACGUACUAUCUGGGUAACGUCACACCUUGGAGCUACACGGAUAAAUAGAGAAAUACCAUCUCAUAUCUCAUCAUAUCUGUGCAUGCAUAAUCUAGUCCCCAAGGGACAAAAGCGCCCAAGCACACAGCCCAAAGCCUCUAUGUGUACUCAGACGGGCUCCAAAGGCCUGUAUCUCAUAUGUAUCAUAUGUAUCAUUUGUAUCUCAAUAUCUGUCUGUAUCUCAUAUCCGUAUAUCUAUAAUCAUCAUACCGCAUGCAUAUGCCCCCAAAAGACAAAAGCGCCCAAACACAUGGCCCAAAGCCUUUAUAUGUGUUCAGACGGACCCCAAAAGCCUCUCAUCUCAUCUUAUCUGUAUCACUGUAUCUGGAGGGAAGGGUACUGUCUAAUGAUUUAAAAAAUAAUCAUUAUACUCAUAUUUACAUACCUCUUAUCAUAUUUGAAAUCAUAUCACAUUUGAAUCCACUUUUCUAAUCUUUAAAAUAUUAUCAUGCUUUAUUCAAAGUCGAUACGCAAAAUCAAUAACCAAACAUUUUAAUAAAAUACCAAUGCAUAAAUAAAAUUCAUUUCGAGAAAUCAUUAAAUCAGAACAUUUAAAAUACUUAUUUCGCAAACAUGCUUUACUAUCAUCGCUAACUAUGAAAAUAAGUUUUGUAUAUUCCACUUUCAGUGAUGGUGUUCACGGUCGGUUAUCGUCCAUAUCUGCAGACCGAUUCUCGCUCGCGAAUCCUCCUAAAUCAAGGAAACGACAUAAUUAUUUUUUGUAAAUCGGAAUUAUGACUAAAUUUUAUGCAAUAAACUCAAAACGAACAUCUAUUCAUAAUUGACAACUCCUAUAUCCAUAAAAUUACUAAAAUAUCCUUGAGUCCGUAGAUCAUUAACAUGCUCCGAAAUCGUAAAUCACUGAAUUACCCUCGGAAUCGUAAUUACACCCGAUCCUCAAUUAUAGGAAUUACUAACAGAUCCACAGGCUUAGAAAUUACAAAAUUGCCCUCGUAGUGUGAAAUUACCAAAAGCCGGAAGUUGGUCAACAAUGGCUAGGAAGCUCAAAUCGUAAAGUUCCAAUCACGCUGAGUUCAAUGGUACCGGCGGUGAGCUCCAACGCGCGACAACGAUGCCAGAAUCUAGCUCGGCAGCCGUGAAUUCCACCAAUCGACCGGCGGCACAACAGUGACUCUCGGUGCCUAUGGAUGGUCGAAAAUGGAAGAGGGAGCCGUGGGGAACAAAAUCCAACCGGUGGUGUCACCAAAACCGGUGAAAAUCCCGGCGGAGCAAAGUGAAACAGUCGCGGGUUUCAUGCUUCGAUCGCCGGUGUUCCGAUUGGUUUUUGGCGAGGAGGAUGGCAAGGGAACGACAGCCGGCUUCUAAGCUUCAGAUUGGUACCAAGCUCGGCCGAAACGAUGGCCGGAAAUGGGAGAUAUGACCGGGUCAAGGUCGCGGGUUCCGGGUCGGGUUUUUUGGUCUGUAGUUGGGUCGGUUUGGUAGCUUCUCUCUCACUCUCUGUUACACGUGCAUAUGUUUCCUCUGUUUCCAGCUUAUUCUUUUGCUUUUACUAACUUCUUAACCGCCUCAUACUUAUUCAUUUUUAAUUCACAUAUGUUACAAUAAUUCCCGAGUAUUAAAUAACCAGUGGUCAUAAUUUUUGUACAAGAUUCUUUUUUUUUUUUGGAGAUCGUUAAAAGUGGUUGACGAUCCAUUUCGUAAUAUCAUAGAGGGAUCAUCAAUUCCUUUUCUUUUCUGUGGCUAGGCAACACUUUUUGGCCAAAGUAAGGAAAUCUAUUUUAGGUAAUGUAAAAACCAGUUGUAGGAUGUAAUAGUUUAUUAUGCACUGACAAUAACUUUUUGUAUAAUUGUCAGUUUAAUGAAUGCAAGAGGAACUCUGUUGGCAAAUUCAUCCAAGAUAGAUGCUAAAAUUAUUUAUGCAUGCCAGUUGCCUUAACUAAGUUUUCUCAGCACUGGUUUUGAACAGGAAAAUGAAUAUGCAAUUUGUAUAUUGUGCCAUAGUGGAGAAUUUGGAUAUUCUUAUUUAAGUAACAAGGAGAUUAUUUGCCUCAUCUUUAAACAAUGAAUCUUUGAGAGAUGAGGAGUGGGUGAUUGGAUGUGUCUUCAUGUAAUUGUUCAUUUAUUUGUAUUUUGAACUGUUAUGAAAAUCUUUAUAUGCCAAAUUAGUAAUACAAGUAUUCAGAUGAUUUUUCCUAUUGAUCAUGCAUUUGUAUCUGCCCACAACCAUUGUAUAUCACUUUAUUCUGAUGCGCAAGCAUCUGUAAUUUAGAAGAAAAGAAAUAAUAAUCAUAUUUUAUUGCUUGGUUCAUGAUUAUUAACGAUUAUGGCUUUAAAAAUCUACAAAUUUCUUGUGUUCAUGUAUGAAUGUGCCAAGUUUGCUGUAUCUUAGAUUACCUUCUUCCAAGGUAACAAGUUCAUAUAUAUAUAUUUUUUAAAUCAUUUUCCAUUACAGUUGAAUUUCAAGUGUUAGUUUUGUUAUUAGUACCUGGUUUCCUGUUAUAAGGAUCUAAUAAACAGUGUACGGAUAUGUGCUCUACUUUUGGAGGGCUUCCACGUGAAAGAAAAUUACAACAAUUGAAUUCUUCCGGAGGAUAUGGUAAUUAAUUUAUUUUCUCAACUUCUUGUAAGACUAAUAUAUUUCCUUCAGUAGGCACAGCAUGGUGGGAAGGGUUUUUAUUGAAAGAAUUCUGAUAUUUCUUAGACUUUGUUUUGGAAGGGGGUGGAGGAAUUUCUCAUCCAUAUAUGGUUACUUGAUUAGCUUUUGACUGUAUUGUCUCUGUCGUGCAAAGGAAAAUCUAAAUACUAACGAUGGGGAAUUGCUUAGGCACCCAAAAGGCAGAAAUGAAUUACAGAAGGAAGUUUUUGCUGCUUUAUUUAGUGCUGCUGAGAAAUCUGAUGAAUUUCCUGAAAUUACGGUGAAGACCGAGUGGAGGUCCAAAGCAUUAGGAAAGGUGGUGAGUGAACUGCCGGAGGAAUUUGUACCAAAAUACAAGGCUAAUGUGGUGCACUUGCAGCAAGAUAACCAGACCGGUAUGUGCUCUUAUAUUAACUAUAUUGACUGGAUUUGUGAGUGUGUGCAUUUUUUUGUGUAUACUCACUUUUGUAUUUAUGCAUAUUAACAUGUGUAGGAUUCUUGAUUUCUGCCACUUACUGGAGAACUAGUGGAAAGCUUUAUAUUGAUAUAUCUGCAAUAACUAAUGGAAACUAUGAUAUGAAUAUUUUCUCUCACCUGGGGAGCUGUGUAACAGAUAUACUUUGUGGCUCUGGAAUGCUGAAGAUUCUGCAAUAACUAAUGGAAAAUAUGAUAUGAAUAUUUUGUCUCACCUGGAGAACUUUGUUACAGAUACCCUUUGUGGCUCUGGAAUGUCUAAAGAAUGCUUUAGUUAGAUCAAAUAUCUUUUAGUUAGAAAAGAUAAAAUUCUCUGAGUCUGAAAGACUGAAACAUUUUGCAUAUUUUGUGAAAGGGAAAUAUCUGUUGAUACUAGCUCAUGCAUUGAGGUAAUAUCGAUGUUAAAGAAAAACAGCAAUGAUUUAUGAUAUAGAAUUGGGUUCACUUGCUUCAAAUGCUGGUCUGAUCAACCAUAUCAACCUGUAAUGAUUCUGCAGAAAUAUAUAUACAUGGAGAAAGUAGCUAAAUUUUUCUUUCAUUUAUGGGUUCGGUCUUUUUUCCCCUUAUUUUUCAGCUUUCCUUCUCCUGAAGUAUGUUAACAAUUGCAGAUAAUGAUGAAGACGACAGCUUCCGGGCUCUCCUUAGAGCCGUGAUGGAAUAUAGGGGCACAAUGAAGGAAUAUUGUAAAGCUGUAGGUACUUUUUCUCCUUUCAUUUAUGUUUUCUCACACAUUUUGUAUAUGCCCUGAACAUGCACCUUUGUAUGUAUCAAUUGACUUUUAAAUUUUAAAAGCCAUAAAGUAAGAAUACGGUUCCUUGUCAGGCUACUGAUGACAUUCGCUCAGGGGGAUCAUGUUCGAGCAGGAAAAUUUCUAGAACAGGUAAGGUUUCCAUCUACAGCCAUCCAUUGACAGCAGAUACAUUUUCAUUCAGCAGACUCUGUUAGCAUUCAAGAUGCUGGCAGAUUCACUUGAUUCUUAUUAGCUUGUUUAGUGGCAAAGCCUAUAACCUGUAUUUCAAAGCCAAGUUGUGCUAUUGAUUAUGUUAACUUUUUUGUUAACAUAAAAUGAUAUGGAGGAAAUAAUCAGUGUUGGAAAAUUAGGUGAAAAGAUGAUGUCAAAUCUUGAACCUCUUACGAAACUCUAAGUUCUUUACUUGAAGAGGCUACGAAAUUUGAACAGCGUCUACUCGAAGGCCUUGCCAUUCCCUGAUGCAUGCAGAAUUUUUGUAUUUAAAUGCCCAGAGCUUAAGAAGCUGCCACUGGAUCUUGAAGGGGCAGACCAAGGUAAAAAUCUUAUCAAGGGAAAGGAAGAUUGGUGGAAACAACUUAAUGGGAGGAUCAAGUAACUCAGAAUGCAUUGCUUCCAUUUUUUAAAUUGACUGACAAGUGAUUGAACGGGGCAUCAUCAACAUCAUCAACAGGGAUGGAGAGAUACCGGAGCAGAUCAGCAGGGUUUGAAUAUGACCUUUGGCGGUUGCUUUUUUUUUGUGAUUUUUUUUUCAUUUUUUCCUUCCUGUCAUUUUAUCAUUUCUUUCUCUGUUUCUAUUGCGGGUGUUACUGCAUGCUUACUGUUGCUUGACAAAGUUUGCUAGCUUUUUGUUUGCAGUGUUGCUAUACACUCCGAGUCAAGCCUCGAAAAUUUAUUAAACGAAGCCGUUUCGACAGUAACAAUUCUUUUCUUUUCCCUUUGCAUGUCUCUUUCAUCUGCUGUUUCUCUAUCACUUUUCAUUUUUGAUUUCCUUGCUUCUCAGCUGCCCCUAAAUUGUUAUUCUAGCAAUAUACUUUCUCAUCUUUGAAUUUUCAUCCUUGAGUACUCCCACAGCCGUAAUUUCAUCAUCAUAGACUUCACUUGGAAUGCUGUAUUUUUUCGAUUCUUGAGCUACUUCAAUUACAUCUUAGUAUAGGAUCCUCAUCUUCCUUUAUUUCUUCAUCUUAUGAGGUAAUAAAUGGAUUUCACAACUCAUCUACUUUUAAGCAAUUACAUAUUAUACCUUGAAUGAUUCAACUGUUCUGACAGUUAAAGAUUUUAUGCUCAACCUGCAGUGCUACGAACAUUGUCCAUGAAAGAUGAGUUUCAGCAUAUAAAAUGAAAUAUAGAUGUUUAAUCUAAAAUAACCCUUCACUGCCAGAAACCUAGGUCACAAAAUUCACAGAUAAUGAUAAAGAGCUAAAAAAUUUGAAAAACUCUACAGAUCACACAUCAAGCAAGAUAUCAUGUUUUUUUCCCUCAUUCAGUGGUGAUUGAUUCGCUUUUUGAUGAUGGAUAUGGUAUAAAAGUGUUGACCCAAUUUCAAGCAAACACAAAUAGAAACACAAACACAAUCGGGACUAGAGUUGUGGGCGAUUAUCUUAGGUGUACAAGUGAAACGGUGGUGGCUGUCGAUGGUGGUAGUGGGGUGGUUGGGUAUGCGUGAUGGCUAGAUUUUAGGACAAUAAUGAUUGGAGUUGACCUCAAUCAACGAAGGAAAGUGACAACAAUUUUGACAUCAAACGGUGCAUUUUUUAGCUUAGUAAAAUGGAGCCGUUUCGAUUUUGGGGUUUAAUCCGGGGUUUGACUCGGUGCAAGUAUCAUUUUCCUUUUGUUUAUUAAAUUUUUUUAUGGUCACAAAGUAUCACUCGUUCUAUUUGAGAGUCAUGUGAAUCAAUUUUUCAAAUUUUCAAUUUUAAAUUUUGUGGUCAAUGUGAAUUCAAUUUCAUUUGUCUCCUGCAAUUAUGAAAAAAUUAAAUAGUCAUAAUAUGGAAAAAUACACCGGUAAAAACUUUGUAAAAGCUUCGGAGUGAUACGGGGAAUUCACUUACUACUAAGGACAAUUGGUGGCAAGCUAUUCCAUUCAUUUUAUGUCCAUCCAUCUAUUUAGUUAUUGAAGAUAAGUGGUCCAUUUGUAAAUUUCAGAUUGUCUCUCUCUCCCUCUUGAAAUAACAAUAUUUAAUAUAUCUCAUAAAUUAUUAUAAAUUUUAAUUUACUCUCGAUUUAAAAUGGAGCAUGUCGAUAAAUUUUUUUUCUUCUUAAUAAAAUUGACGUAAGUUGUGUUUACAGUAGUUUGAAGUUUGAAAUAUUUUAAAGAUUAUUAUUCUAUAAGGGAGUAAUAUGAAAUGAUAUUUACUUUUCAUGUGUGAAAUGAAAAAGGACGAAGCAAGUGUCCCUGCUUUUAUUUUAUUUCAAGGAGGAGUCAUCUCACAUACUUUAGCUCUUAACAUUACAUUUUUUCUGGUUACAUUUUUUAUUUAUUUAUUUUUUUUUUUUUACACAUGCGUGUGGGUUGCUUUUCUGUAAGCUCCUUAAUAUAUAUUUAAGACAAAUCAUGGAAGAGAUGGGAUUAUAUCAAGAUGAUCAAAGAAUGUUAAAAAAGAAAAAAGAAAAAAAAAAGAAGUAAGACACUGAAAAUGGAGAAGAGAUGGAAGCAAAAGAUAUUCCAAAACAAAGCAAUCUAUCCCCUUUCGAGGGCAGACUUAUCAGGUUUAAAAAAGUACACGCUUUGGAUUGGUAGUUGCAAUCAAGGGAAAAUAAAUAGGAUCCAAUGAAAUUUAAAUCUCGGAGAAAAUAAAUAAUCAUGCAGAUUUUCAAGAUUUUAAUAAGGGAUACUAAUAUCUUAUUUUGAUUAAUAAUAUCCUUUCAUUGUGUUAACUCAAAAAAUAUAUAUUUUAAUGUUUUGCAAUAAACAGAAACGUACUAUUAAAAUGAAUAUAUAAAGAAUUUAGAAAAUUUUGAAUGUUAUAUAAAAUAAUUUUAAGAUAAUGCGUGAGAUAUAUUUUAUUAAUUUAAAAUGUUAUUUUACCUAAAAAAUAUGAUAAAUUAAUAAUUACAUAUUUGAAGUUAUUUUAAAUAUUAAAAAAAUUUAAUAUUAUUAAUCUUUUAGAUAGAUUAAAUUAUUUUUUAUAAGAGAUAGAUUAAAUUAUUUUAAAAUACGUUAAUUGUUUUUACUUUUAACGUUACCGGCCUUUCUUUUAUUUUAUUGCAAAUUAAUGCUAACAAGAAAAAGCUAGAUCAUAUUCCACAAAAGCAAAAGUGACAAACACAACCAGCUGGAAUCUUUUAAUUACUAUUCAAUAAUUCGAGACGAUUAGGGUCUUUUAUUAAACUACAAAUUGUAUAGUCUUUUUAAAAUUGUUAUAAAUUGGUGGCACCUACAAUCCUCAAUAAUUGUACCGAUAUUCACAAGUUGGUGGCCCCUACAAUUCUGUUCGGAUAAUUUAACUGUGCAAGUGCUCAUUCACAAUAAUUGUUUUGUUUUUUUUUUCUGCAUUCCCUUUCAUGCUCUUAAUAAUUGAAGAGCAUACUUUUCAUUUUCAAAUGUGGAGCCGCAGCUAAUGUCGCUAAUUUAAUUUGGGAUUAAAUUAGGGGACCAUUAUAUUGCAGUGUGCACUAAUUUUUGUGUUUAUCUAAACUCCUUAAAUUUAAGACAUAUUAUGGCAUAAAUAAGAAUAUAACAAUAGCAAAAGAGUUAAAAAGUGUAGAGAAGAUCUUGCAGAAAUAUAAAUAAUAUCUAUUUUAAAAUAAUAUCAAUAUUUAAAAUAAUUUUUAAUAUUUUAUGAUUCAUUAGAUAUAUUUUAUUAUAUUAAAGUAAAUUUUAUAAUAAAUAAAAACAUACUAUUAAAAUGAAUAUAUAGAAAAUUUAGAGUAUUUUAAGUAUUAUAUAAAAUAAUUUUAAUAAAAUAUGUGAGAUAUUCAUAUUUUAUUAAUUUAAAAUACCAUUUAACCUAAAGAUUUAUUUAUGAUAAAUUAAUAAUUAUAUUUUUGAAGUUACUUCAAAUAUUAAAAAUAUUAAUAUUACUAAUCUAUUAGAUAGAUUAAAUUAUAUAUAUUAUUUUCUAUUUAUUAAAAAAUUUAAAAUUAUUUUUAAUUACUAUUCAAAAAAUAUAAUGAUAAAAAAGAAUCUUAACAUCUUUAUUAAAAAUUUAAAAAUUUACAUGAUCAAUUCUCUAAAUAUUUAGGGUUAUAUGUGAACAACGGUGGAGAAGCUUUAUUUAAUAUUAUUGAUUUAAAUAAUAUGUCAAUUAAAAAUGUACAGAGAAGGAAAUUUCGGUGGGUAUUUUAGUCUUUUCAGCAAUUAUCAUGAUCAGAUCAGCCUUUAGCCUUGAAUCGUCGGUCAGAAAAGUUUUAAAAUUAACGCUAACAAGAAAAAGCUAGGUCAUAUUCCACAAAAGCAAAACUGACAAAACAACCAGCUGGUUUCUUUUACUAAACUACAAAUUAAAAGUGGAUUCUUUUGAAUGCAAGUGGGACAGACGAUUAGGCUCUUUUUAUUAAAGGCAAGUAAAAACUAGUCGAAUAGUCUUUUUCAAAUUGUUGUUUUAUUAUUUUUCCUUCAAAAGUUAGUGUGGCUCAUGUUUGCAGGUGCGAAUGUGGGUCCCGAAUCAUUACUAAAAUUUCUAUUCCACAGCCCACCGCAGCUUCAGUUAAUCAAACUCAAAUCAAUUUUCUUUCUUAACAAAAUAUUCCAAAGAUGUGUAGCAUUUUUCAGAUCACAUGCGAUGGUGCUCUUUUCAAUCGUUGCUUGGAUUGCUUUCUUGGAAAAGCAGCAUACAUACGUAACCUCCAAGAUAAUGUUGAUACCUUGGGCACUGAAUUGGGAAAUCUGAUCGCUAGAAAGAACGAUCUGAUGAGGAGGGUUGUCGAUGCUGAACGGCAACAAAUGAGAAGGCUGGACGGAGUGCAAGUGUGGGUUUCGAGGGUGGAUUCUGUUAAAACUGAAGCUGAUCAAUUUAUAAGAGACGGCUCUCGAGAAAUUGAAAAAUUAUGUGUUGGAGGCUACUGUUCCAAGAAUUGCAUGUCAAGCUACAAGUUCGGGAAAAAAGUGGCUAAAAAGCUACGGGAUGUGCGGACUUUAAUCAGUGAAGGAGUUUUUGAGGUGGUGGCUGACAGAGCUCCAGAGUCUGUAGCAGAUGAAAGACCUACUGAGCGAACAGUAGUAGGCUUGCAAUCACAACUUGAACAAGUCUGGAGAUGUCUUGUAGAAGAAUCAGCGGGAAUCAUUGGCCUAUAUGGUAUGGGCGGUGUUGGUAAAACUACACUACUGACCCAUAUCAACAAUAAAUUUCUCGAGAGUCCAACCAACUUUGAUUGUGCGAUUUGGGUUGUAGUUUCAAAAGACCUGCGACUCGAAAAAAUUCAAGAAGAUAUUGGGAAAAAGAUAGGUUUGGUUGGUGAUUCAUGGAAGAGUAAAAGUGUAGAGGAGAAAGCUGUCGACAUCUUCCGGAGUUUAAGAGAGAAGAGAUUUGUAUUGUUGUUAGAUGAUAUAUGGGAGCGGGUUGAUUUAACAAAGGUGGGCAUUCCACUUCCCGGACCAAAAAAUACUACCUCAAAAGUCGUAUUCACAACCCGUUUCAUCGAUGUUUGUGGUAGCAUGGAAGUUGACAGGAAGUUUCAAGUAGCAUGCUUAUCAGAAAAGGAUGCUUGGGAACUGUUUCGAGAAAAAGUUGGGGAGGAAACUCUUCAGAGUCAUCAUGAUAUCGAUGAGCUAGCCCAAAUUGUGGUCAAAGAGUGUGGUGGUUUGCCACUCGCACUUAUUACUAUUGGUCGAGCUAUGGCCUACAGAAAGAAAGCGGAGCAGUGGAGACGUGCAAUUGAAGAGUUAAGGAGAUCAGCUUCAGAGUUUGCAGGUUUGGGAAAAGAGGUUUAUCCUCUUUUAAAAUUCAGCUAUGAUAGUUUGCAGAAUGAUACGGUUAGAUCUUGUUUCUUGUACUGUUGUUUAUAUCCUGAAGAUUAUGGCAUUCUUAAAUGGGACUUGAUUGAUUGUUGGUUUGGCGAGGGAUUUUUUGGGGAAUCUGACAGGUCUGGUGCAGAAAACCAAGGAUAUGACAUUUUGGACACUCUUGUUCGUGCGUGUUUAUUAGAAGAGGUGGAAGAUGAUGAAGUAAAAAUGCAUGACGUUAUUCGUGAUAUGGCUAUAUGGAUAACUUGUGAAAUUGAGAAGGAGAAGAGAAACUUUUUGGUUCGUGCAGGUGCUGGAUUAAAAGAUGCACCGGGUGUUAAAGGAUGGGAAAAUGUGAGAAGAUUGUCAUUGAUGCAAAACCAAAUUGAAACUCUGGCAGAGGUUCCCACAUGCCCUCAUCUCCAUACUCUAUUUCUUGACUUUAAUAGGGGGUUGGAUAUGAUCGCGGAUGGCUUCUUUCAAUUUAUGCCUUCUCUCAAAGUUUUGAAGAUGUCAAACUGUUCGAAUUUGAAAUUACCUGUUGGGAUGUCAGAGUUGGGUUCAUCACUAGAACUUCUUGAUAUUUCAGAAAACAGCACAAGAGAGUUACCGGAAGAGUUAAAGAAGUUGGUAAAUCUGAAAUGUUUGAAUUUGAGGUGGACAGAGCAUUUAAAUAAAAUUCCACGGCAACUAAUAUCAAAUUCUUCAAGGUUACGUGUGUUGAGAAUGUUCGCUACUGGCCGGUUCAAUUUUCAUGAAGCACCAGAAGACAGCGUUUUAUUUGGUGGGGGUGAAGUUUUGAUACAGGAAUUGCUCGGUUUGAAAUAUUUAGAGGUAUUGGAGUUGACCUUGGGAAGUUAUCAUGCUCUCCAAAUUCUUUUGAGCUCAAAUAAGUUAAAAAGUUGUAUUCGAUCUCUUUACCUCGAGUUGACCGGAGAUACAACGUCAAUUAUUGAUGCUACGGCUUUCGCAGAUCUAAACCACCUCAAUGAAUUACGGAUUGAUAAUGGUAUUGAGUUGGAAGAGUUGAAGAUUGAUUAUACGGAGAUAGUACGAAAAAGGCGGGAACCUUUUGUUUUCCGCAGCCUUCAACGUGUUACCAUAGCGGAGUGCCAUAAAUUGAAAGAUGUGACAUUCCUCGUUUUUGCUCCAAACCUCAAGUCUCUUCGGCUAUUCUAUUGCGGUGCUAUGGAAGAAAUAAUCAGCGUCGGAAAAUUUGCUGAGACUCCUGAGAUGAUGGGACAUAUAAGCCCUUUUGAAAAUCUCCAAAUGCUUGAUUUACAAGGUUUGCCACAUUUGAAGAGCAUCUUCUGGAAGCCAUUGCCUUUCACUCAUCUGAAAGAAAUGGAGGUACUUAGGUGCGAUCGGCUUGAAAAGCUUCCACUCGAUUCCAACAGUGCAAAGGAGCGCAAAUUUGUUAUUCGUGGAGAAGAAGACUGGUGGAACCGACUUCAAUGGGAGGAUGAAGCCACUCAAAUUGCUUUUCGUUCCUGUUUUAAAAGUGAUGCUUUAUUUAUAUCUUAUUCGUGAAAAGUGAUUUAAUUUCCUGCCAAAAGACGAACGAGAAGAACAAUAGAGUCAAACUAAUGCUCACAUAAAUUUCCCGUAAGAAUAUAUAAUUAGAUUGGAAUGCACACCUCUAGAUUGAACAGAAUUAAAGCUGAGAAAAUAUUGAGUAUAGUAGCCCUCUUUACAGAAAAUGACGUGAAAGUUAAUUUAGAAAGAUAUAUUCUUGAUUAAUCCAUUUUCUGAAGUUUUUAUUUUGUAUGGUCAAUUAUACCUUCAUACUAAAAAUUUCUGAAGUUAUAAAUUAGUGCAACUUGACAAUUUUUACUGAUGAUAUCUUCUAUUUUUCCCUUUUUUUUUUUUUCACUUUCAUAGACUGGCAGCGGAUCCUGCGGCACCAAUUUGAGAGAAUAUACUGACACUACUUCGAACAGCAAGCAGAAGAAGUAAUAUGUCUACGGCAAAGGCAAUGGAGUCCUCAUUUUGGCUCGAGAUGCAGUAAUCAUCGAAGAGAGUUUCCUUGUGAAACUGGGCAACACAUUGAAUCCCUUCACCACUGAGAAGGUUGUGGAGGAAGUAAGCUUUCUCUCCAGUGAGGAAGAGGUGGCAUAUACCUUCCCCAUUUUGUUGAGGGCAGGUAGGAAUCUUUUUUCUAAGAGAUUUACUUCGUUCUCUGUAAGAAAUGCUUUGAACUUCAUCCCUCUGUCUCUAUCCUCACUUAUCAGGAAAUAAGUUGAAAGCACUAUGAAGAGAGAGAGAGAGAGAGAGAGAGAGAGAGAGAGAGAGAAUUAAGAUAUAUAGACAAGAAAAAUAUUUGACGUUGAUCUUACAAACUAAUACUUCAAGCAGUAUCCUAGAAAGCUAAAAACUGCAAGAUGGCUUGAAAUUUGAAAAGAGCACAUGCUUUUCCUCCUUAACUUGAGAAAAUGUUUAAUAUAGUGCACCUUACAGAAGCAUUUAAGCAAUUAGAACUUUGCACAAAAACAUCAAGAAGACUAAACAAGUCAGAUGCAGUGUAUUUGUCCAAGCACAAAUUGCAUUUUUUCCUCAACUUUAAUAUUUAUUGAUGAGAAUCAAUACAGGUCCCUCAUUUGUUAUAGAAAGCUUUCUUUCUUGUAGUCUCACCAGUUAAUUCAGAGGUCUAUAAUCAUCUUGCAAAGUUAAGGGCAUUUCUUUUGAUCUAAAGUCUUUGCAUCACCACCUCAUCACACGCCAAGCCAAUAUUCCAUUUACCUCUACAACAAAAAGUUUUAAUUAAACAAUCCUAAUGCACGCAGCCAAAUAAAAUGCAGUAAGAAUAUUCAACUUAAAAAUCUGAAAGCCAACUUGGUGAAUUGCCUCCUUAGGUGAAGUUCCAUGCUUUACUAUAGUUGACAGAACUCAGCAAAAGCUUCCAUACAACAGAUUUUGAAAAUGAUGAUGCCAACAGAUACUCAUUCAAUGCAUUGAAACUCCAAAGGUUCAUUGUUCAUAGAAGUUUACAGAGUUUUGGUCAUCAAAUAGCUCAGACCUAAUCCCAAACAAAAAAUGAGUGAAAAUUAGAUCACGAGCAGCUAAUUGUAAAUUCUAACUUAACUCUUCAUCUCCUUUGUAAACAAGAAACAAAAUGGAGACACGCAAAAUGAAUAUGGAGAAAAUUUGAACUCAAAUGAAAUGAGGGCAUGAAAGCAAACAAAUGGCAUGCACCAAAAAACCAAGCCUCAAUCAAAAACUAAUUAACCAUUAAGAAAAAAAUUGGUCAGAGAAUGAACUCCAAAUUCAGGAGUCAAGCAAGAAGCUUUCAUUAUUAUCAAAGUCAAUUAUCUUUGUUAGUAUGCGAGUGUGACGACUAUAGGUUGUUCUUUUUCUAAUGUCAUAUGAUUCCAAUUUUAGGUACAGGGCAUCUCUCUCUCUCUCUCUCAUCGCUAAGUGGAUAUUUUUCUCUUUUGUCAUAUACUUUAGUUAUUCUUCAAUUUACUAACUAAAAUGAAGGCCGCUUUAUUAAGAAGUUAUAUCCAGUUAUAUAAUUUGUUGUAUUUAAUAUAUGUUUGGGCUCAUAAUUUUUUUUAAAAAUAUAUAUUUCAUUCUCCAUAAUUUUUUCCCAUCAUAGCUACGAAACGUCUUAGUUUCGACUAAAAUCCUAAAAUUGGUCCUUAAUUGAAUAUGCAUUGCAAUUUGCAAAUGUAAUAUUGUGAAUGGGACACUGGAGAUACCAAAAUGGUCAAAUGCGAAAUAAGUUAGGAUUGUACGAUGUAGUUUGUAUUCAUAUUCAAUGCCUUUUUUUUCAAAAAACAAAUUGAAAUGCCAUUACUAAACGAUUCUUGAUGAUGGGAGCCACCGUGCCAGCUUUGUCGCUGAUUUGGUAUUAUUCUUAACUUGCAGAUAGUUGUGGAUAUGAUAUGCAAAAAGGUAAGGACUAUAUCUUCUUGAUGGAGGCCUCUGAUUUUUUCCCUUCUAUGUAAUUUAGUAAAUCGCAUUUUCCCUUGUGAUUGAUAUAUCAUACCAAAGUCAAGUCUUAAAUACUGCUGUCAUAUGUUAAGGUUCAACUUCCAUUUUGAUUAACGUCCAUUUGCUGCUGCUUCCAAAAGUGAGAAUGAGAUACUUUGGUUAAUUUCAGUAGUUGAACCCAAUAGAGUACUUUAUUUAGAUCUUCAUGGUUCAAAGGCCUGAAAAAACUUGCCGGUAUUUGCAAAAUGACAUUCUGUGCUUUUAUUUAGGCUUAUUAUUUAAGUGAUAAAAACUCCCGUAACCUGCUGUCAAGAAAAUUUCAGAUUGUUAAAAGACAACAUUUUGUUUCAGCCAAAAAUGUUUGUUUCGAUUAAAGACUUGAACCAUUUUCAUUUAACCUUGAUUGUGAUGCUUUACAUUAUGCAUGUUCCUCUCAAUCAAUAAAAGUUGAGGUCAUGAUUUUAUAUUUCUAUUUUGUAACUUGAAAUAAUUGGUCUGCCUGUUUCUGUAGCUUGAUAACAUGAAUUUUUCCUUCUGAAGUUAAUUUGAUCAAUAAAGUAAUUCUUCGGAGAUGAUAUGCCCAUUCUAUAGUCAUUUUCUUAGGUAACAUGUUUUUUCUUCACUCUUCAGAGCAUGUCUAAACUAAUUGAUCGCUCAGCGGAGACUUUGGGUGAGAAGACAAAAUUUCUUGGUAAAUCCUCUAAAAAGGUAUGCAUAAUUCCCGAGUAUUAAAUAAUCAUUGGUCAUAAUUUUUGUACACAACUCUUUUUUUGGAGAUCGUUAAAAGUGGUUGAUGAUCUAUUUUGUAAUAUCAUAGAGGGAUCAUGAAUUCCUGUUCUUUUCUGUGGCUAGGCAACACUUUCGGGCCAAGCUAAGGAAAUCUAUUUUAGGUAAUGUGAAAACCAGUUGUAGGAUGUAAUAGUUUAUUAUGCCCUGACAAUAACUUUUUGUAUAAUUGUCAGUUUAAUGAAUACAAGAGGAACUCUGUUGGCAAAUUCAUCCAUGAUAGAUGCUAAAAGUAUUUAUGCAUACCAGUUGCCUUAACUAAUUUUUCUCAACACUGGUAUUGAACAGGAAAAUGAAUAUGCAAUUUGUAUAUUGUGCCAUUGUGGAGAAUUUGGAUAUUCUUAUUUAAGUAACAAGGAGAGUAUUUGCCUCAUCUUUAAACAAUGAAUCUUUGAGAAAUGAGGAGUGGGUGAUUGGCAGUGUCUUCAUGUAAAUGUUCAUUUAUUUGUAUUUUGAACUAUUAUGAGAAUCUUUGUAUGCCAAAUUAGUAAUACAAAUGUUCAGAUGAUUUUUCCUGUUGAUCAUGCGUGUGUAUCUGCACACAACCAUUGUGUCCCACUUUAUUCUGAUGCACAAAUAUCUGUAGUUUAGAAGAAAAGAAAUAAUAAUCAUAUAUUAUUGCUUGGUUCAUGAUUAUUAAACGAUUAUGGCUUUAGAAAAUCCACAAAUCCUUUGUGUUCAUAUAUGAAUGUGCGAAGUUUGCUAUCUCUUAGAUUACCUUCUUCCAAGAUAACAAGUUCAUAUAUUUUUUUUAAUCCUUUUUCAUCACAGUUGAAUUUCAAGUGUAAGUUUUGUUAUUAAUAGCUGGUUUCCUGUUAUUAUGAUUUCAUAAACAGUGAGAGGAUAUGUGCUCUACUUUUGGAGGGCCUCCACAUGAAAGAAAAUUGCAACAAUUGAAUUCUUCCGGAGGGUAUGGUAUUUAAUUUAUUUUCUCAGCUUGUUGUAAGACUAAUAUAUUUCCUUCAGUACCCAAAAGGACAGAAAUGAAUUACGGAAGGAAGUUUUUGCUGCUUUAUUUAGUGCUGCUGAGAAAUCUGAUGGAUUUCCUGAAAUUACGGUGAAGACGGAGUGGAGGUCCAACGCAUUAGGAAAGGUGGUGAGUGAACCGCCGGAGGAAUUAGUACCAGAAUACAAGGCUAAUGUGGUGCACUUGCAGCAAGAUGACCAGACCUGUAUGUGCUCUUAUAUUAACUAUAUUGGUUGGAUUUGUGAGUGUGUACAUUUUUGUGUGUAUACUCACAUUUGUAUUUAUGCAUAUUAACGUGUGUAGGAUUCUUGAUUUCUGCCACUUACUGGAGAACUAGUGGAAAGCUUUAUACUGAUAUAUGUGCUAUAACUAAUGGAAACUACAAUAUGAAUAUUUUCUCUCACCUGGAGAACUGUGUAACAGAUAUAAUUUGUGGCUCUGGAAUACUGAAGAUUCUGCAAUAACUAAUGGAAAAUAUGAUAUGAAUAUUUUUUCUCACCUGGAGAACUUUGUAACAGAUACAUUUUGUGGCUCUGGAAUGUCUAAAGAAUGCUUCAGUUUAGAUCAAAUAUCUUUUAGUUAGAAAAGAUAAAAUUCUCUGAAUCUGAAAGACUGAAACAUUUUGCAUAUUUUGUGAAAGGGAAGUAUCUGUAGAUACUAGCUCAUGCAUUGAGGUAAUAUCAAUGUUAAAGAAAAACAGCAAUAAUUUAUUAUACAGAAUUAGGUUCACUUGCUUUAAAUGCUGGUCUGAUCAACCAUAACAACCUGUAAUGGUCCUGCAGAAAUAUAUAUACGGGGAGAAACUAGCUAAAUUUUCCUUUCACUUAUGGGUUUGGUCUUUUUUUCCCCUAUUUUUCAGCUUUCCUUCUCCUGAAGUAUGUUAACAAUUGCAGAUAAUGACGAAGAGGACCGCUUCCAGGCUCUUUGUAGAGCUGUGAUGGAAUAUAGGGGCACAAUGAAAGAAUAUUGUAAGGUUGUAUGUACUUUCUCUCUUGUCAUUUAUGUUUUCUCACACAUUUUGUUUAUGCCCUGAACAUGCAGCUUUGUAUGUGUCAAUUGCCUUUUACGUUUUAAAAGCCAUAAAGUAAGAAUACAGUUCCUUGUCAGGCUAUUGAUGCGUUCGCUCAGAAGGGUCAUGUUCAAGCAGGAAAACUUCUAGAACAGGUAAGGUUUCCAUCUACAGCCAUCCAUUGACAGCAGAUAUAUUUUCAUUAAGCAGACACUGUUAGCAUUCAAGAUGCUGGCAGAUUCACUUGAUUCUUAUUAGUUUGUUUAGUGGCAAGGCAUAUAACCUGUAUUUCAAAGCCAAGUUGUGCUAUUGAUUAUGUUAACUUUAUUGUUAACAUAAAGUGAUAUGGAGGACAUAAUCAAUGUAGGAAAAUUAGGUGAAGAGAUGAUGUCAAAUCUUGAACCUCUUACAAAGCUCCAAGUUCUUUACUUGAAGAAGCUGCCAAAUUUGAAGAGCGUCUACUGGAAGGCAUUUCCAUUCCCAGAUGUAUGCAGAAUUUUUGUAUUAAUGCCCAGUUCUUAAGAACCUGCCACUGGAUUUUCAAGGGGUGGGCCAAGGUAAAAUUCUUAUCAAGGGAAAGGAAGAUUGGUGGAAAGAACUUCAAUGGGAGGAUCAAGCAACUCAGAAUGCAUUGCUUCCAUUUUUCAAAUCAACUGACAAGUGAUUGAAGGGGGCAUCAUCAACAUCAUCAACAGAGAUGGAGAGAUUCUGGAGCAGAUCAGCAGGGUUUGUAUAUGAUCUUUGGUGGUUGCUUUCUUUUGUGAUUUUUUUUUUCUUCCUGUCAUUUUAUCAUUUCUUUGUCUCUUUUUUUAUUGCUGAUGUUAGUGUAUGCUUACUGUUGCUUGACAAAGUUCGCUUGCUUCUUGUUUAUUAAAUUUUUUAUCGUCACAAAAUAUUACUUGUUCUAUUUGAGAGUGAUGUGAAUCAAUUUUCAAUUAUAUAUUUUGUGGUCAAUGUGAAUUCAAUUUCAUUUGUCUCCUGCAAUUAUGAGAAAACUGCAGAGUCAUAAUAUGGAAAAGUACACCAGCAAAAACUUUGUAAAAGCUUCGGAGUGAAACAGGGAAUUCACUUACUACUAAGAACAAUUGAUGGCGAGUUAUUCCAUUCAUUUUAUGUCCAUCUAUCUAUUUAAUUAUUAAAGAUAAAUGGUCCAUUUAUAAAUUUCAGAUUGUCUCUCUCUGAAAAUAACAAUAUUUAAAAUAUCUCUUAAAUUAUUAUAAAUUUUAAUACACUCUCGAUUUAAAAUGGAACAUGCUGAUGAAAUUGUUUUCUUCUUAAUAAAAUUGAAAUAAAUUGUGUUUGCAGUAGUUUGAAAUAUUUUAAAGAUUAUUAUUUUAUAAGGGAGUAAUAUGAAAUGAAAUUUACUUUUCAUGCGUGAAAUGUUGAAAAAGGACAAAGCAAGUGUCCCUGCUUUUAUUUUUAUUUUAAAGUGGAGUCAUCUCACAUACUUUAGCUCUAUCAUUACAAUUUUUCAGGUUACAUUUUUAUUAUUUAUUUAUUUUCUUUUUUACACAUGCAUGUGGGUUACUUUUCCGUAAGCUCCUCAAUAUAUAUUGAACCCAGCGAAGAAUGUUAUGGAAGAGCAAAUUAAUGAUAUUUCUGAUAGAGUCUAUUUGAUUAUGUAGCCUGAAUGGAUGUCUUGUUGAAAGAUAUCUCAGUGCAUUAGUUCAUCCUUGUCUGUCAAUGUGUUUUUAAUGGUUUUUCCAAUUGUUUAUUAUUAUAGAUUGAUUGUAAAUUGAUAUGAAAAUUUGAUAUGAAUUUAAUGUUGAAAUGUUUUCUCUUUAGUGGAAUGAAUUUAAAAGUGCAAAAGAUUAUUGCACACAGAGAAAUAAACAUAUAUGCUUUAUAACUUUAGCAAUCGAUUCUUUUACAGCUGGAAACAGAGAUGAUGAUUAUCAUAAGGAUGAAGAAAAGUAGUGCGUUAGACGAUUAGACUCUCUUAUUAAAGGCAAGUAUAAAGUAGUGAAGAAUCCAAUAUCUCUAUUGUCUAGUCUUUUGUUUAAUUCUUCUUUUAUUAUUUUUCAGAAUAAUUUUUGGUGAUUACAAUCGGGUUAUUAUUCAGAGUUAUUGUUAUCUUCUGGGGCAGUUUCUGUUCAUCGAAUUCAUUAAUUAAAAUUUUAGAACUCUUAUCAGAAGAAUAUUUUUCGGUUAUCUUUUUUAUGUUCUAAUUCCAAUUGUAAGAAGUAGCCAUUUUAGAAUUUGGGUCUUGAAUCGAAUUUCAAUGCAUGAAUUAAUAUUAAAAAAAAAAAAUUCACUACUCGCAGUUUAGGUUACAAAUUACUUUUUGGAAAGUUGACUUUGGAAUGUUUGCAAAGAAAGAGACUAACAUAUUUCCAAUUACACUAAAUCUCUAUUAUGAUAAUGUUAAGACUAAAUUAAUUUAAAUAAUUUUUAUUUGAAAAUUAUAUCAAACGCAGUCUAAUUUUAUUAAUUUUAAGAAAUAAUAAUUAUAAAAAUUAUUGUUCUGACUUAAUUAAUACAAGUGAUAUAAAAGUUAAGUGUGCACUAAAUCUGUUUUAAUUUUUUCCAGUAUAACUAACAGAGGUCAUUACUAGAAUUAUAUUACUAGUCUAUUAGAUAGAAAAAAUUACUUAUAUUGUUUUAUAUUUAUUAAAAAAUUUAAAGCCAAUUUUUUUAAUUACUAUUUAAAGAAUAUUAUAAUUUGAAAAAUUUUAAUAUCUUUAUUAAAAAUUUAGAAAUUUACAGUCCUCUAAAUAUUUAAGGCGUAACUGUCAUUUUCUCAAGAAGCUUUAUUUAAUAUUAUUGAUUUAAAUAAUAUCUUAUUAAAAAUGUACUGAGGAGAAAUUUUGGUGGGUAUUUUAGUCUUUUCAGCAAUCAUCAUGAUUAACCUUUGGUUGGCCUUGAAACGUCGGUCAGAAAAGUUUUAAAAUGCUUAAUUGUUUUUCACUGUUAACGUUAGUGGCCUUGAAAUUGCUUAUAUUUUAUUAAAAAUUAAUGCUAACAAGAAAAAACUAGAUCGUAUUCCACCCCCAAAGCAAAAGUGAUAAAACAACCGGCUGUAUUCUUUUAUUAAACUACAAAUUAAAAUGGAUUUCUUUAAUUAAAGUGGAUAUCAUUUAAUUAAUGUUUGAACAUUAAAGUUCUGAUAUAUAACCACUAUGCCGACCACCUAAUUGCUGCUAUUUAAUUUCGUUCCAGUUCUCUCUCUCUCUCUUUUUCUUUUUUUUUUGGGCCAAGCAAUAAAUAGUAAAAAUUCAAUAAAAGCAAUAUUAAUGCUGCAAGUGAGUCAUGUUAUUUAUUGUCAAUUAGGAAAUGUGAACCUAAUUUGAUUGCAUCCCUUUAAUCAUUUAAUAAUUAUGUAAGCACCAUCCCUUUAAUUAUUUAAUAACUAGAAAAUAGAACACUGCGUUUCACGCGGCUUUGAAAAAAGAAUUUAGUAUUAUCUUUUUUUCUUACUUUACACUUGAUGAAACUGAUAAAAAAUAUGAAUUGAUUUUUUUUAAAGAUGAGGCAGCCUUAUAAAAAAUAAAAAAAGCUAUUAGCCAGCAAUACAAAUAAAGAAGGAAUGCAAGAUAAAGAAUAAAAUGAGAGAAUAUAUUAUAGAGUGAUCUUAUUCAUUCUAAUUGUGUGUGUACAAAACAAAAAGAUGAGCUCUCCUUUUAUAACUACAUAAUUACUUCAUGAAAUUAAUGAAAAAUUAUGAAUCAUAAUUUCUUGUGAGAUAGUGGGAGUUAUUGGGAAGCUAAAAGUUGCUAAUGGGAGAUAGUGGGGAGACUAAGAGAUAUAUAUUAUGAACAUCUACAUUUAUUUUAAUAAAUUCAUAACACUCCCCCUUAAAUGUUCAUUACAAAGAAUAUGCCUCAUUAAAAUCUUUACAUAAUUGUUAUUGUGUAAUAACAAUCAAAUUAAUUAUAAGAAGAUGAAAAGCCAAAUCUAACAGAAAAUUUCUCUAUUUAUUAGAUAAUAGAGAAUAUAGCAAGAUGAGAAAUGGUAAUGCCACAUCAUCUCCUCACGUCCCAACUUUAUAUAUAUAUAUAUAGAUAAUAUAUAUUAUUCCUGUCCUACAUUCACAUAUUUAAUUGUCCUUUUGAAAAUAUUCAUGAGUUAGGCCAAGUAAAGUCAAAGAAAUUGGGAAAAAGGAACAAAAGGACAAACCUAAAUUAAUUGAACCUAAUUCAUGAAAAUGCACACUUUUGUGUUGCGGACGGCGGACCCUAAAGCUUCGUUGUUUGCAGCUGCAAUUAAUUCUUUUCCUUCAAAAGUUAGAGGCUCGUGUUUACAGUGGGUCCCGAAUCGGACGUACCUAAUAAAUCUUUUAAAAAAAUUUGCCGUAUAAAGGACAGAGGUCAUUACUGAAAUUUCUCUUCCACGGGCAAUUACAGCAGCUUCAGUUAAUCAAACUCAAAUCAAUUUUCUUUCUUAACAAAAUAUUCCAAAGAUGUGUAGCAUUUUUCAGAUCACAUGCGAUGGUGCUUUUUUCAAUCGUUGCUUGGAUUGCUUUCUUGGAAAAGCAGCAUACAUACGUAACCUCCAAGAUAAUCUUGUAGCCUUGGACACUGAAUUGGGAAAUCUGAUCGCUAAAAAGAACGAUGUGAUGAGGAGGGUUGUCGAUGCUGAACGGCAACAAAUGAGAAGGCUGGACGGAGUGCAAGUGUGGGUUUCGAGGCUCGAUGCUGUUAAAACUGAAGCCGAUGAACUUAUCACAGACGGCUCUCGAGAAAUUGAAAAAUUAUGUGUUGGAGGCUACUGUUCCAAGAACUGCAGGUCAAGCUACAAAUUCGGAAAACAAGUGGCAAGAAAGCUACGAGAUGUGGAGACUUUAAUCGCCGAGGGAGUUUUUGAGUCGGUGGCUGAGAGAGCUCCGGAACCUGUGGCAGAUAAAAGACCCACUGAGCCAACAAUAGUAGGCUUGCAAUCACAGCUUGAACAAGUUUGGAGAUGUCUUCUUGUAGAAGAAUCAGCGGGAAUCAUUGGCCUAUAUGGUAUGGGCGGUGUUGGUAAAACCACACUGUUGACCCAUAUCAACAAUAAAUUUCUUGAGAGUCCCACCAACUUUGAUUGUGUGAUUUGGGUCGUAGUUUCAAAAGACCUGCGACUUGAAAAAAUUCAAGAAGAUAUUGGGAAGAAGAUAGGUCU